rnacentral:lncRNA from 1 species
AGACAGUGUCCAACAAUGAAGAUCUUCUCUCAAGGAGUCUUAGACACACCAAUGCUAAACAAAGUGAACGUCACCGAAGAAGAAAAAGAUGAUGAUGAUGAAGAUGAUGAUGAUGAAGGAUGUUGGGAAGGCAACCUCAAUGACACCAUAAAAAAAUUGUUCAAUGAAAUGGUGAGUAUCAAUUAAGUUUUGGUGCUAUUUAGCAAAUUAUUUUAUAGAAACUAAUGUGAUAUAAUAUGAUUGGUUGACUGAAAAUAUAUAAUAAUAAUAAUAAUAAUAAAUAAAUAAAUAAAUUAUGAGGACCAUGUAAUGUUUUUAUUUAACCAAUCAUAUUAUCUCGCAUUAGUUUAUACAAUAUUGUUUGUGCACAAGAGGUGGUGGUCCUAUCAUUACUCUAGCUUUAUUAUUCUUAUGGUGGCAAUGUAUGCUUGCUUACACGAGUAAUUACAAAAUGUGCAGAAUUCUAAAGAAGAUAUUGAGCCAACCCUUCAGGUACAGUGAAGAAGCUAUCUCGAACCAGGCCAAUCUCUUAUACAUGAUUUAGCUUGCUCGUUCUUCUGUACUUGAAUAAUUUGGUUCUACAUAUUUACAAUUUUUUGCUCAUGCUACAGACGUGCAAGACACUUUGGAUUUUGUUUGAUGCAUUCUCCGUUUAAAGAAAGGACUUGAAUUGAUUUUUCAUGUUUCAUGCAAUAUUCGAUUAGAUUCUGCCUAAAUUUCUGUAUUAUUCUCUUUUAAGCAUUUAAUUUCUAACCUCUCCUGAUAGAAGAUCCUUAGCCUAAGAAAACAGCAUAACAUUUGUGAAAAAGAAUUAAUUAUCUCACACCAGAUUAGAAAAAGAAAACAGCAUAACAUUCGAUUAGAUAAUAAAAUUAUCUCGACCACUGUUAAAAAGAAUUAAUCAGUCAAAUCUCACACCAGCACGCUUUAAAUUAAAAGAAUUUCGUGAAGUCAAGACCAUGUUAUAGAUCUCAUGGAAAGAAGUAAACCCGUAAUCUUUUUCACAGCAUCAUAAGAAAAACCGUUUUUUUUAAGUAUUUUUGUUAGCUGUCGAGUUUUAAUAGUAGUAGCUAUUAAACAAUAACAAUUAGUGUAUAUUAAAAAGUUGGAAACUGGUUGAUACCACUCGGGAAUCGAGCAGUUCACUUGUUUGCGAGUAGAAACCAACUUUACUACUAAUUACACUCCAAAAAUCACUAUUCUUCAUUUUUUAAUGCAAAAUUCCCAUUCGAAAACACCAAUGACUUUCAUUCAAAGUAAAUGAGAAAUUACAAUGAAAAUAGAAUCAAAAUACAUGUAUGUAUACCUAAAACAAAUGAUUUUUUUAAUUAAAAAAAAAACACAGUUGAGGUGAAAUGAAACCAGAGUCAUGAUAUCUCUGGUUCCAACUUUGGGACAACAGCAGACUUGAGUUCUAUAUGAGAAACACGUACAGCACCAAUCAGCCGCUCCGGUAAUUCAUCUGUAGUAUUUGCCUGCAUACAGAAGAGUAAGAUAAAGAAGACACACACGAAGCAUUAUACCAUUCUGAGAACAUUCAAGUAUGCAAAAAUGCAAAUUGCAGUGCAAUAUCUCAAAAUCAUGUCUUUUCCCUUGUGUCCAUUUAGAAGUGGGGGAAAAAAACAAUCAUACAUACCUGUACAAGGAAAGCCAUGUCAACCACCAAUGUCGUAACUACACCAAUUACAAGGCCCAAAACUCCAUUAGCAACAGUAGAAGAACCGAUGUCAACAUUAAUCUACAGAAAGAUGAACAAUGUUAAACCAUGUUAAUGGUAUCGGAUGCUAUUUGAAAGAUGAACAUCUCAUGUACUAUAGAAAUUCCAAGAGCAUUUACUUCUAAGUACUUGGGACCGCGAAUAUAGUUACAAUCAACUGCUUUACCCAAUAAGCAAGGGGUGCUUCCAACACUCUGGCGCACGAUCCAUGACCCCUGCAUGAUUCAGUGCUUAAAAUCAAGAACAAGUGCAAAACAAAUUCAAGAGGGUAAAAAUGGACAUGAAGUUUGAAGGUACAACCCAUCAAUACAUUUACACCUAAAUGCAUGCCUUCUUUGGACAAAUUGAAGUGUACCAUGCAGUAAAGGGUUAGUAUACGUUAAUAUAGUCCUAAUACAUGAAGGCCAAGAUGGAUACCUUAGGAACAGAUGGAAUAAGUUUCAACCUGCUAUUGCGAAACUCAUCAUCGCCAUCAACAAACCGUUGCAAAAGUGAUCCCAUAACCAAUUGCCUUGCGACUAAAUAAAAUACCAUACUAUAAUGUGUUGAUCCAGGAACCUGCAGAUGCUUAGGUUACAACUAUACAACCUCCCAAUACAAUAAGUUUGAAACUUAAUACCUUCUGAAAUGAAACAAACUUACUUGAAGAUUAAAGAUCAGUGAGAAAAGCCCAUUUUCGGAAGCAACCUACAUUUUUUAGAAGAGGGUCAGUGUGUUAUAGAUUCAAUGAACCAUGAGAAGUUAUUUACAUUGUAGUAUCUCACAGGCAGUAUUUUCUCCUAAUGCAUCAAUGGAAAAGGAAAAAUAAAAAGAAAAGAAUAGUUACUUGUGCAGCACAGCCUUGACGCCUAGCUACAUGGUCCAUUCUCUUUGUGUCUUUGAACCAAUCAACAGCAACAAGAUCCAUUAAAUGUUUUCCCGCAGGUAUCUGCAGUUACAAAUUGCACAAAGCACAAGAAGAGCCAACCAAACUACAUCAUAACCUGUCUACCUAGCCUAUGCAGGAUAUAUAAAUACCAUAACAAACAAACAAAAUAUGGGGGAACCUUUGUUUUGUCAUAACAAAAAUGCUUGCUACGAACUCUAAAGUUAUUUCCAUCAGAAAGUUUCCAGCAGUCACGAGCAUUAUCACAGUCAUCGUGUCGUAGAUUGCCCGAAAAACAAGACAAAUCAAUUUGAUCAGCCUGCUCUUCCUCUAGGGCUGCAACUAAUUGAAAUUUUUUUUUUUUUAAAAAAAAAGAUCAAUACCAUAAAAAUCCACUAGCCAAAUAUACAAAAAUGAAUACUUAUCAUCCACCUGUCCUCUUGAAAUCAUUCUCAAUCUUUUUUUCAUUUGCCUGAAAUCCCAAGGAAAAAUAUGUAACUAAUACUUCCCAUUCAUGAAUAUUGUCUAUCGUAUAAACAUGACAUUUUUAAUUGGAAUAAUAAAAUUAUUUAAUUAUUUUAAUUAAAUGUUAAUCCUACAAAUUAUUUUUGUUAAAUCUAGCAAGAAUAACUAAAAUUUCUUUAAGAUAUAUUUUGGUGGUAAAUUAAAAAAAAUUUAAUUAUUUGGCGGGAAUUAUUGAAAUUGGAGCCAUUUUUUUUUGUGGGAAUUGAAAUAUAUUCUUUAAAUUAUUACAUAAAUAGCAAAAUGUACAUACACACACAUAUAUAUAAUUCAUAUAUAAAAAUUCUCUAAUUUGUUCACAAGUACCAUAGAUUAUAAUUCAGUUAUGAAAUAAAAUAACUACAAUUAUUAUAGUUAAAUGAAUACUUCAUUAAUUCUUAAUUUGCUUCCUAACAUUAAAUGAACAACUUGAGUCAGCCACCUGAAUUAACCAGUAACAACGCCUGAGUCAACCAUCUGAAUAAACCAGCAACCCUAGCUGAUUCCAGCACCUGCAAUUAACGUCAGCACAACAGGAACAAUCUUAAAUCAACACCAAGAACAGACCAAACUGCUGUCAAAUGUCACAAAACCAAACAGUCUGCUACUGCCAUCAAAUGCAAGCAAACAUAUGCAACAAAACCAGAUGCAAGUGAAAUUCUGGAGAAUAUCGGAUAAACCAAACCAAAUGCAACACUUCUAGUAAUUAGACUAGAUGCAGUGUUCAAUUAAACUAAAUGUAGUCUCAUAUUACAUUCAAAAUUUCUAAAAGAAGCAGUGUUCCAUCAGAGAAGCACCAAAACCAAACCAAUCUAAUCCAGCAUAAUUACCAGCUCAACCCAAAACAAUUACACAUUAUAUUGACAUAUCAAAAUUCGCUAUCAAAACAUAGCCAAAUAAAUGAAAAUAAACUCAAAACAGACCCAAACCAACUGAUGUUGCAGCCCUAGUAGUCGUUGUCCGUUCCACUGCCAUGGGAGCGAGGGUAGGCUCCGUUGUCGAUGAGUGAGUAAGAUAAGGCUCCAAAUAAAUAGUUCCACCUCCUUUCUGCAAUUCAAAAAACAGAAAUUCAUAUAUGUAAAACUAUUAAAAAGUGUGAAACAACCUGUAAGUAUUCAACUUCUGUCAACUCAAUAGCACUUACUAAAGUUUUUAUACAGAAGAAAAAGGCAUUUUAAGUCCAAAAAAUUAGAAUUAUUGGUUGAACUCCAACUCCAUCAAUCCAUGCAACCAUCCAAUCUUUAACGAAAAAAUGAAGCAUAAUUAACCAGACAUCUGAAUCAGAAAGAUUGUGCUUUCAUUUGGCACGAGGUGUUGGAAACAACUUAACAAAUCUAGACACAAUCUAUAACCAUCAAGUCCAAACAAAAGUCAGGAUCUAAAAUACUUUGAAAAAUCAGAAAAGCAGUUUCAAUUUCUUUUUCAUCCAUUGUAAGCUCAAACUAAAGGUAGCCGCGCUACCUUUAAACAUCAUUUGGGCUUAUACAUGCGACAUUUGCUCAUGAACAACUAAAGUUGAAUAAGAUUUUUAUAUGAAACAGAAUAUAAAAAGUCAAAGUAGAAUAUGACAGGAGCUACAAUAUAUUAUUCAGCAUCAGCAUUAUGUAUAAAAUAAAUUUAGAGGCAUUAUAUUCAUUCACAAUCUUGCAGAGGUAACACCAGAUUAUGGCACGCAUCUCUUGAAUAGCAGAUAAAGGAGGAGAUGCAGUGGGAAGGUAGUAACUUGCUUGCAUGAGAACUAGAAAGUAAUAUCCCAAGAUCAAUUAUAGAUCUCAUAAAACAAAAACAGUGAGGCAAACACAAUUAUACAAUCCAUCUGUCAAAAGGCUAAGCAUAUGAAUAUACAAUCAACACCAUUCUUCCAAACGAAUAUAAAGUCAACACCAUUCUUCUAAACACAAACAAAGUUUGAACGUAUGACAGAUUUUUAGCUAUUUAAUAUUCCAUCAAAGAUAAUUAGAUAACACCUACCAAGGAUUUUUGAAAAGAAUGCAUUCUCAUCUUAAGCAGCAACCUCACCAGUAACACAUUUUCAUACCCUGUUUCCACCUCUGGUCGCACCACCAAAAAAAUUCAGUACUAAUUAGCUUCAACAGAAUCUGUUUUUUUUAUUUUUUAUUUUUUCCAAAAUAAACCUCCAUUCUUAUACAUAAAAUUAAAAUAUCAAUUAAAUACACAAAGUCUAUGCUUACUAGUAAAACACGUCCAUUUUUAGGUAGAGGCAGAUAAUAAAAGAAAAUUGAAACUGAGAUAAAAUAAGAAGAGCUUACUAGGUGCAUUUGAUCAACAAUCCAAUCCUCAACGAUGGAAUCGAUGCCAUCAAAUAAACAUGACUUAAUCUUGAAACCAUAAACUGCACUAAGCAUAGCACCAAAGCCAGAGCGUGACUAUAAAGAAGAAAAAUAAAAAGAAGGAAAAGAAGAAUUAAAUCAACAUGAAAUUCAACUGGAACAAUACAAAAUAUGAAAUUUUUAGCAAUCUUACUAGCGUUAGGGUUAAGGCUUACCAUAGAGAACUGGAUGGCGCUAACUAAAUGACAAGUUGAAACGGCAUCUGCAAUCGUAUUGAAUGACAUUGAACCGCGAGGUAGGGUUUAAAUGAAUACCGAGCAGAGAUAAAUUGGUGUGGUGAAUUAGGGUUUUGUGGCUACGUUUUAUUUCGAUUGAAAAAAGGAAUUUGAGCUUUUGCUUUAAUUCAACGGUGUCGUUAAUUUAAACAUUCAUUUUAGGUUGCAGUGGCCAGUGGAGAGAGGGGGAUUCAUUCAACGCUUAGCCAAAAUUUGGCUGUAAGUGUUGAUGUGUUUUAAGUUAUACAGAACGGUGUCGUUAAUUUAAACAAUACUGUUUUACAAUCUUAUAAGAUCACAAAACCUAAGCAUGACUUAUAUGUAUCAUUUAUUUAGGACGGUUAAGUUAUAAGUCAUGAAUAUGUCAUAUAUUCUGGACAUAUGAAUAUAUAUUAUGAAUCUAUCAUAUUUUUAUGACACAUUCGUGACACAAUGAUAUAUGUCAUCAAAUUUACGUCAUUAUUUAAUAUUUUUCUAGUGGUGUCAGAUUUUUGAAACAUUUUUGUUAAUAGCAAAAACUCUAAUCCUUUAGCAAAAGACUAAAAAUUAAAAAAAAAAUCUGUUUAAAUAUCAGUUGGCUCAUGAUCAACACUUCAAUAUUGUUUGUUGUAUUUUCUUUCUUUCUUUCUUUGUCAUUUUAUUAGAUUUUUUUUGUAUCAUAGUUUGUUUUGCUUAAGUAAUUGUUCAUUGUUUAUGUCUGUGUUCUUACUAACAGAGUAAAAGAUUUUGAGAGAAUGAAUUGCACCCUUUUCCAUUGAUUGUAAGACUUUUAUAUGCAGCAAUAUAUAUAACAACUGUGCCUAUUUUAAAGAGAUAAGAUAACAGAAAGAUAUACUUUACAUUUGAAUUAGUUUGAAUGAGUAAACUAGAUAGGUCCCAUAUUCUAAGAGGAGAAUCUGCUGACACUUACUGGCUUUUGAUAAUUUAUGGUUGGUUUUUUAUUCAGACCCUCGAAGUACCUUUUUGUUAAUAUUAAAACCUCUGAUCCUUAAGAAAGAAAAAAAAAUUCUCUAUUUAGUUAUUAGUUAGUUCAAGAUCAAUAUAGCGAUAUUGUUUGUGGUCUUUUCAUUCUCUAUCUUUCCCUCUAGUUCAUUUUAAUUUAUUUGUAUUCCUUUCUUUGACACUUGUAUUUAUAUAUAUAUAUUGUUAAGCAACAGGCAAUGGCUGUUGAAGGGUGUCUCCCUGCUUUUUCCAGCAUUGUAUCACAAGGUUCAAAAGCAUUAUUCGAACCGAUUAUGCGGCACAUAUCUUAUGUGUUCGAGUACCAAAGCUACAUAGAUGGGCUAAAAGAUUGAGUGAAGGAGCUGGAAUAUAUAAGAGAAAGGGUGCAAACGCUGGUUAGAGAGGCUACUCUACAAGGAGAUGAGAUUUAUAAGGGUGUCUGAGACUGGCUAAAUAGAGUUGCUGAAUUCAGUGAAGGGGUUGCAAAAUCCAUCAUUGACGAUAAAGAUAGAGCUAAGAUAGAGCUAAGACUGAGCAUGAUUGCAAAUGCACGAUUGCAAAUGCAUUGGAUCAAUUAAGAAGUUCCAAUCUAGGAGAAAUUCAAGGAAUGCGUGCAGAUGUAUAAACCUCCAUAAAAUUGUUACGACUUGAAGGAUUGUAUAUAAGCAUUAAAUUGAUCUAAUUUAAUUUGUAUGUAAACAUUAAAUUGUAUAUAAAUACACAGAACAGAACCAUAUCAGUGUUGGAAAAAAAAAAAAAAAGAAUCCAGAGUUAUAUAAAUUCAAUAAAAAAUUACUGAAUUUUUUAUUACUAACUUUGAACACUCUAAUUUCAAUAAAAAAAUUAUAUUACUAAAAUAGUCUUAAUUGAAUUUACUAUUAAAGACAUUAGAAUAACUCAACACUAAUAUUCUAAAAUAUAUUUCUCUCCAUAGUCUAAUCUAAUCCAUUCUAAGAAUCCUAUAGAAAAUAUAUUAUUUACUUUUUCCUUAUUAAACACAAAAACAUGUCAUUUUGUUGCUAACUAAAAUUUUGGAACUAACAACAGCAGAUUAACAAAAUUAUCAGAAAAAGAAAUCAAACAAGAUUUUAAUCGUCGUCAUCUUCACUCUUGUCUUUUUCUUUUUCUUCACACAUGUGGCUUGCACACGCAUUCCCCUCUCUCAUCCUUAGGGCCGCCCUUCAACAAUAUCCAAUCAUCGAUUAUAAUUAUUUAGAUUGACCAAAUCAAGCAUUGAUCAUAUAUUGGUUGAGGUUAGAAAUAGGCAGGCAGCAGCGAUAAUACUACUAAUUAAUAUCUCAUGAGAAUUUUAAAGAAAAAUCUAACGUUGUCAAAUUCGUUUGAUUUCAAUGAAGUCUUUCUCCUACUUAUACUUUCACAUAUUCUCUUUUAUUUCCAAAGUUAAGGUUAUGGAUGUUGUAGAGUAAAAAGAUGAGCAUUGCUAGGAAAGCAAUAAAAGGAAAUAAAUAAAAAUUAAAAAUAUAAAAAGAGUUAAGUCAUUUUUUUUUCUAUUAGUGUUUUUGUAUUUAAUAACGAAAGAUAAAAAUAAAGUAGAUAUUAUCUAUUGGAUUAUUAAAAUAACACAGGUAUAACACAUGUCAAAAUCUCGUUAUUAUAAUAUUAGAAAAGGUUAAAUUAGGAGAAUAUUCAAAUCGGCGAAAUAAUUAAUAAAUCGUAUUUAUUAAUCAUCCACCCAAUUCAUGCAUACCCAAAUGGCCGUCAACGAGCUAACCAAAUCCCAGCUUGUUGUAAUCUGGGUUGGGCUUUUUGGGCGAUAAUUAACUGCCCGAGCUGCUCAUCUACCCCAAUAGAGCCUAACAAAAAUUUUCGCCUAAGCUUCACAAAAAUGUUCAUAAAUCUUUUUUUUUUUGGUAUCAUAAAAACAUAAAUUUAUUUCAAACACUUUUGGAGCUUAAUAAAAAUUUCCCAACAUUUCAUCUGACAAAGGUAGUUUAAAAGUGUAUUCGUUAAAUUCUAAAAUACAUACUUAAAAUCUUUUAGUGAUAAUCUAAUUAUAAAUUAAGGGUCUAUUUGGGAUUGAGAUUGAACAGUUAAAAUGUUAUAGUUGUUGUAGUUUAGAAGUUAAGAUGAUUUGAUUUUACACUUAUAUGAUAAAAAAUUUAUUAUAUCUUUUCUAAUUUUAUCAAAAUUAUUAUUAAAAAAUUAUAUUUAUUAUAUACUAUUAACUUUUAUUUUAUACUUAAAACUUUUUUUUCUUACGGCAAAAGUUUUAGCACCUCAAUACCCAACCAAGUCUAAAACUGCACAAAUAUAAUUAUGAGUGCGAAUGUUAAAAUCUACACACAUUCGUACUUGAUAAUUUCAAUCAACAGUGUUACAAACUUAGUUAAAAUAUUAUAUCUGAAAUUAUUGAGGGAAAAAAAAAAAGAAAACGAAUGUUGUUUUCAUGAUAGUGACAUGUGUCGUGCACAUUUUGCUGUUGGCUCUUUGGUCUCUAAGACUCUAACCCAGCGAAUAGGUUGUUGUGUCCUCGUUGUUAGAUGCCCGAACCCAGCGCAAGAACUUUGUACGAUACAUGGUGCGUUUGGGAUUGAGGUGCUGUAGCUUUUAAGCUAUAGUUGAUGUGAAAAAAAAGCUGUAAUUAUGAAACAAAAGUUAAUAAUAUAUAGUAAAUAUAAAUUUUAAAUAAUAAUUUUGAUAACAUUAUUAAAAAUAUAAUAAAUUUUGUAUUAUACAAGUGAAAAACCAUAUCAACAUAGCUUAAAAGCUACAGCAGCUAGUGUUUACCAAACACUUUAGUGUUGUAGCUUUUAAGUUACAGCUACCCAACCUCAAUCCCAAACGCACCCACAAUAUAUUUUAUGAAAGUGAUGAUGUUGCCAAUAAAGAUGAGUAAUAAACCAAACGGCGUCGCUUCCCUAACCUGUUAGAAAUAUCAACGCCCAUUGUCGCCCUCUCGUUCCAUUUAUUCAUUUAGCCCGGUCAGGGGAUUGACGAAUUAAAUAAACAACAAUAAUCGUCCGAUCCCCGCAGAUUGCCACUCAUAUUUAAUCCAACGGCUAGGAUAUGAACCCCUCUAUAACUUUUAUUUGUCGAAUCAGCCGCUCUCUCUAUUAAAAUUAAUUUUUUUUUUACAACGGCCGACGAGUGCUGACGUAUCAGAGACGCUUCACCAAUCAAUAAAAAAAUCAAUUGAAAAGGACGGUAUAGUGAGUGGAAGAGAAAUGCCAAUGGCAGAUCAAGGGAUGAAGAUACGAGCUCACUUGCAACGUGGUAUAGUUCAUCAUGGCUUUCCUAUAAGUUCAGGUCCUUUGAAUACUUUCAAUGAUCUUAUUAGUCAGAAAUUCAACAAUAAUUUUUACUUUUUACAUCCAGGAACAGUUUUAAGCACAAGCAAAUCAGGUGGUCAAUAGGCCUCAUAUGUUAGCAAGGUCCCCGUUUUGGUCACUUAAGUCCCAUAUGUUAGGAAGACUCCCUUUUUAUUUUUGGUAUUACUUAUGAUAGCAAAUCCUCUUUUUUAGGCCUCUUUUUAGUUAGUAAUUAUCUUAUAAUGAAGAAUUUUGUAUUUUGUUACACAUUUUAUAUUUGAUAACCUUAAUAUUAAAGAUCUCUAAUUGAUAGUAUUAUCUAAUUGUUAAUUUAUUAUUAGUUUUUCCAAAAAAAAAUAAAUUCUUUAUCUAUUUAAAAAGGUUAAUUAAUUAACAUUAUAAAAAAUUUUGUGCUAUUCUCUAUACAGAAAAUUAUUACAUUUAUUACUUCACUUCUGAAUUAAAAAAAAAAAAAAGAUUUAUUGAAAUAAUAGUUCUAGAGGAAGUAAAAAAGAUAUCUUCUUGAUUAUUUUUCUUUUUUGAACAUUUUAACUAUCUUGUUGAUUGUUAAUAUUCAAGAUAUAGUUAAAAAUUGAUUGAAUUCUAAGCUCUUUUAUGUUUCUUUAGGUGUUGAAGCUGCUGAAUGUAAGGAGCCCUCGUAAAACAAUUCCCAUAACGCCCCUAAUACUCUAAGGUCGACCCUGUGUAUAUCAUAUUACUAAUAAUGUAUAUCAUAUUUUUAAUAGGUCUUCAUUUUAGGCUAAAGUACUUGAACAAUAGUUCCCAUGCACUUUGUGAUCUUAUUACAAAAUAUUAAACUAAAUAGCUGUGGAAGUAACAAAGAGGGCAACUUUUUACCAUAAUGUGAUGAAAAUAAUUCAUUUGUCAUCACGAACUAACCAAAUCAAAACAAAAAACUAAUUAUCAUAUGGUUCAAAUCUGUGCAACAAUGGUGCAUUUAAAAGGAAAUAAUGUACAGUUAAAAUUUGUGCUUGUAACAAGAACUCUUCUCUUCAAGCCAACAAUUCCACCUAGGAGAGGAAGUGUUUUAGGCGACACUUUCCAACUAAUGAAAGCAGUGAGCUCUCAAACUCUGUUAUCAUUUUCUACUACUUGAAAAAGAGAGAAAGAGAAACGAGAGGAAAAACAGGUCUCCUCUGUUUUCAUUUUGGUGAUUGCAAAUAAUAUUUUUUUUUACUUUUACUCUUUAUUUAUUUAAUUUUUAAAAAAAAACUUUUAGCUCAUUAGUUCUUGUUCUUGUUAAUGCGUCUAAUAACUUAUAUGAUGAUCUGAUCAUAUCCGUAACAUUAACAUACCCCCAUAAUCCGUUAUUUUAUAAUUAUAAAAUUUGAAGAUUCGGUCAUGCAAUUUUGUAUGAUGAACAGUGUGUUCAUUUUUUCUGUGAAACAUAAGAACAAUUUGUAAAUAAUGUCCAUGCGGACCUUGUAAUAGCGAAGCAUCAUUAUUGAUCUUACUUUGAUGAUCGCACUUUAGUUUCUUUUUAAAGUGCCUUUUGUUUAUUUUAUCGGCAUCCGCUUUUACAAAAGUUUUGGUCCUCGUUCAUUCAUCAAAGCUUCUACUUUUAUCUUUUAUUAGUAAUCUUACAAAAAGCUUAAUUUAAUUGGAAUCAUGUUCGAUAUGAAGAUUGUUUUACUUACUUCAGUAAUCUUUCAAUCAACCGAAUUUAUACUUGGUCAGUAGGACAACAGUGACCAAGUACAUAAUAUGAAAAUUCAUUUGUAUUGCUUACUCUAAUAAGCUCUUAAACUCACACAUUCCUCUGCAGUUACCAGUGAUCUUUUGCUCACUAAAAUUGUUAAUAUAUAUUCAAGGUGAAUAAAGAAACUCAUCAUCCCAGAUAAUUAAAGAGGUGAACUUGUUCUAAAUCCUUUAAUAAUUUCUAUUAAUAGCAUAUAUAAUCUCUAAUCCUUGAUCUUGGUAGUAGUUCUUUCUUAAUGUCCAAGAAAAAUAUCUCUCAUUUGUCUUAAUCUUGUCAUUUAAUUUUCUUGAAUUCUGAGUUAGUGUUUAUUGUUAAAUUCGGUUUUCGGUUAGUAGCUGUUGGUUAAUAGCUUCGGUUAAUCCUUGAAUUAAACAUAUUAAAAUCUAAUCAUAAACCCGCCUUUCCCUAUUUUACAACACCCUUUAUGUAAUAGUGACUUCAAAAGUGUAACAUAUUUUGAACAAUUGCAAGGAAAGAACAUAUUUGACACUUCACAAAACGGUAAAGAUAUAAGCUUCAAUUCUUGUCCAACAAAUUAAUAUAACUAACGUCAAUUGAUCAAUAAUUCAGUAACAAAAAGGGGCAGAUAUCCUAGUCUUUCUUUACUAAUGAAGCAAGCCAUUAAACUUCGAAAGCUAUUUCUAUUUCCACAUUCUUCAUGUACCAAAGCCAAAAAAAAAAAAAAAAAAGCAACAAAAAUUUGGAAGUAAUCAUCUUUAUUCAGCAGCAUGCAUAUUAAUUAAAACAUAUUCAAAAAGAAAUAUACAAUAUCAGGUCUGGAGACGAAAUGAGCCCACAGAGACUACCAAUAAUGUAACGGCUUGAUUAAAAAUAUUAAUCAAGCCACUACAUUAGAAGAACAAGAGUUAAUCAUGCAUAGUAAUUAAAAAUAUUUUUGCUAUCAUCCACCUGUUCUCUCUAAAUAGUUGUCCCUUUUUUUUUUCUUUUGCCUGAAAUUCCAAGCAAAAAUAUAAUUAGAAGAUCAAGAGUUAAGGGUUAAAAAAAUGGAAAAAGAGGGCUCCUCUGUUUUCAUUCCCCUGUUUUUCUGUUCGGUGAUUACAAAGAUUUAAAUCAAAAUUUAUGAUGCAGGCUACACGGCACCUGGUGGAAGACUGCUAGGGUUUACCUUUUAUUCUUAGUUAGAAAUUUAAUUUAGAAUUUGUAGUGUGCGCCUUAUAUAAGUAGGUUUCCUAAUAGUAAAAUUAAAUAAUCUAAGUUUAUGAUGCACUAGGAUAUGAUUGUGAUAAAUGAGCUUUUUAUGUAUCCUCUGAGGUUGAUCAUUAUUUUACUACAUUGAAGAUUCAGUUAUCUCUUUGUAAUACUCUGGACUUCACAUACUAAACAGAAUGGAGCAUUAUUUUAUCCCGCUAAAUCAGUUUUUUAUUUUUUUAAAAAAUAAUUCAUCAAACACUUUAUAGCUCUGGUUUUAAGUUGGUAAACACUUUAAGCCGCAACUUUAAAUUCAGUUUACGAGAAUCCCUAACAGUCACAGUGGCUGAACCUAUCCAGACUAAAACCAGAUCAUGAAAGCUUAUAUACACCAAGAGAUUUAUCUAGAAAGUACCGCCGGCAGCCAGUUCAUUCGUUUCUGAGUUUGUUUCCAGAAACCCGGAAACUCCCCUGUUUCUGCAAACAGGGCUUCUUUGUUUUCAGUCCCCUGUUUUUCCAUUUGGUGAUUGUAAAAAUUUAAAUCUAAAUUUUUGAUGCAGUCUACACGGCACCUGCUAGAUGAUUGUUAGGGUUUAUCGUUUAUUCUUAAUUAUGAAUUUAAUUUAGAUUCGUAGUGUGCGCCUUAUGUAAGAUUAAAUAGAAUAAUGUAAAAAACAAAAGAAAAAAAGGCCUUUCUUAAUUUUGACUUCAUAAUGUUGCAGCAACCGUCCUCUGUUAUCAUUCCCCUGUUCUUCAGUUUGUUGAUUGCAAAUAACAUUCUUUGUAUCUACUCUUUAUAUGUUUAUUUUUUAAUUUUUAAGUCAUCAAUUCUUGUUCUUCUUAAAGCGUGUAGUAAAUUAUAUGAUCAUCUGAUCAAAUCCCUCACAUUACAUACAGCAGAAUCUGUUAAUGGAAUUUAUUAUUUUAUCAUAAUUAAACAGAAGAUUUGUUCAUGCAGUUUUGUAUGACGAGGAGAUUUCAUUUUUCUGUCAAAUACAAGAACAAUUUGUAAAUAAUGUCCAUGAAAGCUUGAAUGAAGAAUGGCAUUUAAUAAUUUUAGAAGAAUAUUGGCUUAUAGAGCAUAUUAGUAGGGAUAAGAUUUGUAGGUGUCUGGUAACGGAAAAAGGAGAAAAAAAAUGGAGAGUGGAGGCAUUACUUUUAUCUCAUCCUUAACUUCAGUAAGUGGAGGAGAACAAAGGGGAAAAGAGGGGAGUGGGGCAUGACCUUAAAAGGAGGAUUUAUUUAUUUUUUCGGGGUCUGCAGGGCAUCUUUUUCUCUCUUCCUCUCAUGGAAAAUCCUUUCUUUUACACUCUAUUUCAUUUUUCUGCAAAUUACUCAAAAAGCUUUUGGUUUUUAAGGUAAUGUUUAUUAAGCCAUAUGAGUGGUAGCACAAGUUUUUUGGCAAAGGCCCAGAAACUAACUUGAGCGUCGGAGGGUUCACGCCGGAAAAACUUUCGGCGCCUUUGACCGUCUUCUAUGAUUUUAAGUAUUCGCAAGUUAAUCGCUAGUGGUUGCAGGACAUCUUGACGAUUGACCAAUCGAUUCUCUACCAAAUAAAUCUAAUGCUGGUGUAGAAGUCUGAUAUUAAGUCGCUAAUAGACUAGAUCAGAUUUGGGCAUCAACAUUUGGCACCGUCUGUGGGGAAUCGGUACAAAAAGCCAACUUCUUGUCUCUACCAAUUUUGCAUCCGGCCAAGCCAAAGGCAGAAUAUUAUCAUGCACAAAUUGAUAAGCUGGCUCAAACACGGAAGCCUAUCAAGGCUGGAUGGAAUGCUUACCUGUAAAGGUUUUGGCUUAUUUAUUGCUUUAAGUAUAUUGUUAUUAAAAUUCAAUUUCCAAUUGCUAUGAUGAUUGAUUUAUCAACUGAGAGAUGCUUGGAAAUUCUUUAAUAACAUGCAUGUUUCAAUACCGUGCAUGAUAUAUUUGCUGAAAUUGAAUAUUAUCCCUUGGAAUUCGUUGAUAAUGUUCCUUCACAAAAUUAGCUUGUUAGAAUGGGCUUCAUUCAUGAUUCAAGAUUACAUGCUAUUAUACUUGCAAAUGAAUUAAUUUAGUAUUUUCCAACAACAUGCUUGACAUAAUGUUAACAGUUCAGAUUUAUUAUGGCUAAUUAUUCAGCUUCGUUAUGGCUAAUUGGAUGUAUAAUGCUGCUACCAUCAUUAUUUUGCUGAUGUAUUUAUAUUUCUUGAUUGAUUGUUCUCUUUUCAUCGAACUCAAGAUAUAAAGUCUGUUCAAAAGAGCAAUCGAUUUGCGGUAUUAUCAAUGUUCAAUUUCUUAAAAUAAAGAUCACACAAAUUGUUAAAUUCAUUUGGUGGUAAGCAUAAAAAAUCCACGGAUCUUUGGUUUCUUCAAGAUAUUUCCUGCUGGUUUUACACCCCAUCAAUCAAUCAUGCAGCUAGUUUUCAUGUGAAGAAUAUGCAGGGAAAGUAUUUAGACAAUUCUGGUAUGAAACUCGGUUCAUUACAAGUUGAGGCAGAAUUGUUAAAAUUCAAAUCAGGAGCUGUUCGUUAAAUCGCCUCAAGGGAUAUGAAAGUUCAAAAGUGAGUUUGUUGCUGAUUACACUACAUACACUACAUAUAUGCUUGAGAGAAUGUUGCCCAGGAGCCAAGAUCUAAACCCAUGUUCUGUUUCAGUUUAUUCAAUAUAAGUAUCAAACUGAUUGAGAGCAUGAGUUAUUCUUAACCAUAGCUUUAUUAUAUUUUCGCAAAGAGAACAUUAGAAAUUAUGCAUAUAUACGCUGUCUUUUGAUAGUAGCUGUCAUCCACAUUGCACAAAUUCUCAUAAUCGUUAAUGAGUGUUGGAAGAAGUAUAAUUAGCAUAAUCUGGAUGAGGCCGAGUAUUGGUAUUUUGGCUGACUUUAAUAAUGGUUUUAAAACAAAACAAUUUUUUAUUGAUGAUGAGAAUUGAUAGGCAUGUCUUCAAGCUUCAAAGAAUUGAUGAAGUUGGAUUUUUGUUUCCUUCAUAUUUUAUUCGUUUUGUGCCCGUGUUAAAAUAUUGCAAGAAUAAUUCUAAGAAGGGAGCAAAGCAGAGUCAAGCUCGGGAUUUGUUUGAUGAAGUACUAAUGAAAUAAUGCAGAGCACAAUCUCAGGUGCACUUGUUCUAAAACCUCAGUUUUAUAUUUAUCCUUUAAAUCCACUACCUGACUUAAAAAAUCUGAUGGAUGGGGUUUUGACUUAUUAAGUCGUUAAUAGAAAAUAGUUAAGAUUACAUAUUAUAGAUUAUAUAGCAUAGUCAUAUAUUAGCACACAACAUGCUUGACCGAAGGAUUGAUGGAACUUGGGUUAGCAUGAGAUCGUAUUUCCUUGAUACAGUGAUAUGACUUUGCUUAAACUUUUAUGGUACCAUUUAUAUAAUAUGAUUUAUUUUAUAUAUAAAUUUUAAUAUCUUUAGUGUUGGUAAAUGGUGCUCUGCACCUUUAGCAAAGGUCUUUAAUAAUAUUGCUAACCAAAUAUUAUAGAUGGUAAUAAAAACACCAAGGAUGUUUAUCCAUCAAAGGCCCAAACAUAUAUAAAUAGCUAAAGCGCAAGUUGUAAAUGUGAGCUAUUUUCUGGACAAGUUAUAAGUUAUAAGUCCGAAAUUAAAUUUUUGAUGGUUAUCUAUAUUUAAGGAUUUAAAGCAAAAACCUCAAAUAAGAACACAUUGAAGGCACGCAAAGGCUCUAAAGUCUCAAAGCCUGUUUUAUGGUGAGACAGGAAGCCAAGUAUGCCAGGAUCUGCUCGACCAAGCGAAGGCGAGCAGACCAAAAAAGUUUCAAAAAUCUUCUAAGGCACGCAAAGGCUCCAAAGUCUCAAAGCUUGUUUUAUGGUGAGACAGGAAGCCAAGCAUGCCAGAAUCUGCUUGACCAAGCGAAGGCGAGCAGACCAAAAAAGUUUCAAAAAUCUUCUAAGGCACGCAAAGGCUCCAAAGUCUCAAAGCCUGUUUUAUAGUGAGACAGGAAGCCAAGCAUGCCAGGAUCUGCUGGACCAAGCGAAGGCGAGCAGACCACAAAAGUUCCAAAAAAGUUUCUAAGGUAAGCAAAGGCUCCAAAGUCUCAAAGCCUAUUUUAUGGCGAGACAGGAAGCCAAGCAUGCCAGGAUCUGCUGGACCAAGCGAAGGCGAGCAGACCACAAAAGUUCCAAAAAAGUUUCUAAGGCAAGCAAAGGCUUCAAAGUCUCAAAGCCUCCUUGAUGGCGAGACAGGAAGCCAAGCUCGCCAGAAUCUGCUCGACCAUGUGAAGGCGAGCAAAAAAUGAGAAUUCCAAAACAGUUUCUAAGGCAAGCAAAGGCUCCAAAGUCUCAAAGCCUCCGUGAUGGCGAGACAUGAAGCCAAGCUCGCCAGAAUCUGCUCGACCAUGUAAAGGCGAGCAGAGAACAAAAAUCCCAAGAAAGUUUCUAAGGCACGCAAAAGACUUCAAAGUCUCAAAGUCUGCUCGAUGGCGAGACAAGAAGUCAAGCUUGCCAGAAUCUGCUCAACCAUGUGAAGGCAAGCAGAAAGUUAAAAAAAAAAAAAGUGUACUUCAAGUAAAAGGCUUAUAGUCUCUAAACCUCCUCGCAGUGAGACGAAGUCAAAGUUUGCCUGCUCUUGCCCGACCAAGAUUAGGCGAGCAAGAGUUAUAUGAGUGAAAAAUAUUCUAAAGCAGAUAAAUGACUGAGUCUCAAAACCUACUUCAGGUGAGAUAAAUACGUGAACUUAUGAAACCUGCUUUACAUAAUUAUGCAAGUAGGAAAAUGGUAUAUUUAAAGGCAUGUAAAAGUUUAAAACUUGAAAUUUUUUGCUAAUAGUAAGGUUAAUUUUAGCAAUCCCGAGCCGAUUUAUGCCAACCACAUCGAGGUCACUUUAAAAUUCAUAUAGUUUCCAGUCUUGAUUCGUUAAAACUCUCAACAUUAGAAACUGGGGGACUGGUGUUUGGUAACGGAAAAAGGAGAAAAAAAUGGAGAGUAGAGGCAUUACUUUUAUCUCAUCCUUAACUUCCGUAAGUGGAGGAGAACAAAGGGGAAAAGAGGGGAGUGGGGCGUGACCUUAAAAGGAGGAUUUAUUUAUUUUUUCGGGGUCUGCAAGGCAUCUUUUUCUCUCUUCUUCUCAUGGAAAAUCCUUUCUUUUACACUCUAUUUCAUUUUUCUGCAAAUUACUCAAAAAACUUUUGGUUUUUAAGGCAAUUUUUAUUAAGCCAUAUGAGUGGUGGCACAAGUUUUUUGGCAAAGGCCCAGAAACUGACUUGAGCAUCGGAGGGUUCACGCCGGAAAAACUUCUGGCGCCUCUGACCGUCUUCUAUGAUUUCAGGUAUUCACAAGUUAAUCGCUAGUGGUUGCAGGACAUCUUGACAAUUGACCAAUCGAUUCUCUACCAAAUAAAUCUAAUGCUAGUGUAGAAGUCUGAUAUUAAGUCGCUAAUAGACUAGAUCAGAUUUGGGCAUCAACAGUAGGAUGCCUGAUAAAAGAUAAAGCAAAAGCUUGAAUGAAGAAUGACAUUUUUAGAAAGAAACUAAUGUGCAAUGUAAUAAUCAAAGUAAGAUCAAUAAUGACUUGAUCAGUUAUGCUUUUUAUUAUUUCAUUUAUUCUAUCCUAUCCCUACUAAUAUGCUCUAUAAGCCAAUAUUCUUCUAAAAUUAUUCUAGCACAACAUGUAUUUAUUCGUUAAAAACUUCAACUUAAUUAUUUCAUUACAGGAUAUGAAACACUGAGCCAUAAACUAGUGCUUUCUUCAACUUAAUUAUUCUCACUGCAUAUUUUUUAAGGCUUCGUCUUUUGUCUUGAUUCUGGACUUCAAAAUUAAAUCUUAAAAAUCGGGUAUAAUAGGGGUACGUGAUUAAGUCUUCCUCUUUUGCAAUUCACUGUUAUUACUCUCAUCAAUUCAUUCUUUUGAUAGCAGUUCUUACUUAAUAUCCGAAGCGAAUAGAGGAGGUCAUCGACUCUCUGAUCCCAUAUAAAUAAAGAGGUAUACAUGUUCUAAAUCCUUUAAUAAUAUCCUUUAAUAGCAGUUCUUACUUAGUUUUCAUCUACUUUCCAAGAAAAAAUUUCUCUGGUUUGUUUUAAUCUUGUCAUUGGUUUUGCUUGAGUUUCAAAUUAUUGUUCAUUGUUAAAGUCUGUGAUCUUAUUAUAUGGCUUUAGUUAAUUAAAAAAAAAGUCUGGGAUUUUAUUCAGACCCUUGAAACCUUUCAGUUAAUAGCAAAAACUCUAAUCCAUGAGCCCGGGGGGGGGGGGGGGGGGGGGGGGGGGGGGGGGGGGGGGGAAGAAAAAAGAAGAAGAAAGAAUUCCCUGUUUAAAUAUCAGUUGGUUAAAUGUUGUGUGUUUGCUGUCUUUUACUUGUUUGUUUGUUUUUCAUUUUAUUAGAUUUGCUUUUUACUUGAAGAUUAAAGAUGAGUAAGAAUUUUUUUUUUCUUUUCUGAAGCAGCCUACAAAUUUUAGAAUAGGGCUAAGAGUAAUUACAAAUUCAAUUAACCACAAAAAGUUAUUUAUAUUUAUCGCUUGUAAAAUUAAGUUUAUCAUCCCAAAUAGAGUUGUUUGCAUUAGAAGUUUUCUAGCAUUCAUGAGCUUUAUCAUCAUAUCACAAGAUUGCCUGAAAAACAAGAUAAAUCAAUUUGAGCAACUUGCUCUCUAUUGAUUUUUUUUUUUUUUUUUGCCUGAAAUACUAGGGAAAAUAUUAUAUAAGAACAAGAGUUAGAUGAAAAAAAAGUUAAAACAAGUUUUCUGUGUUUUCAUUCCCCCUGUUUUUUUGUUUGGUGAUUGAAAAUUUUAUAUCUAAAUUUUUAUGACUUCCCGUUGGGAUUUUAUUAAAUAAAAAAGAAUAUGUAAUUCUAAAUUUACCCUUACGCAUUGAGUGAUUAUUAUUACGUUCUCUUAAUAUUUGUUGGUGCAAUUUUGUGUGAUGUGAAUUUUAUGUUUCUGUUAACAUAAACCAAUUUGGAAAUAAGGCCACGUCGAACAAAUGAAACAACAAAAAAGCAUCGUUGGCAAUACAAAAUCAAACUUUAUUAUUAAUCAUUAUUUUGUUUUUGAAUAUGUAUAAAUCAAAUCAUAUACUGUUGAUCUUACUUUGAUAAUUUGGUGCUUAGUUUCUCUCAAAAAUGCUUUUAUAAAAGUUUUGGUCUUCAAUCAUUCAUCCAAGCUUUUGCUGAUCUUUUAUUAGGCAUAUACAUCGUGCUGUCACUUAAUAUUCAUUUCAAUUUCACAGUACACAAGCAACGUCUAUGCCAAAAUCAUUAAAGCACAAGCGGUAUUUAUUCCAUGAAAACUUUAUGAUUUCUUCAACUUAAUUGGGUCGAACAACAUUUUUUAAAAUACUUUUAUCACACUGCAUGCUUUGUUAAACCUCCGUCUUUUGGUAUUGAUUCUAACUUGAAAUUAAAUCUUUAAGUCUUUACAAGUUUAUUUCUUCAUGAAAGAAGUCAAUAAUCAAGUGCGUGUGAAUUAAACAAAAAAAAAAAAAAAGAUCAGUGAGAAAAGCCCUUUUUCUAAGGCAACCUACUGAUUUGAGAAUAGGACUCAACCACAAGAAAAUAUUUACGUUUGCUUUUAAGGAGUACAUGAUAGCUAUUAAACUUAAUUCAAAUUUAGUCAAUCAUCAAUCAACCAAUCCAACUAGUUCAAGUACAGAGUCAAUUGAACAAAUUCAUCACUUGCGUAAUUAAGCUUAUCUUCCGAAAUUGAGUUGUUUCCAUUAGAAAAUUUCCCGCAGUCACGAGUUACAAUCAUCAAAACAAGAUUAUUUAUAUAAGAACAAGAGUUAAAGGGAAAAAAAAAUGGUAAAGCAAGAUUCCUCUAUUUCCGUUCCCCUAUUUUUUUUUUUUUUUUUUUUUGUCUGGUGACUUAAAAUUUCAUAUCUAAAUUUUUAUAAUUUUCCAUCGACGUUUAUAUUUAAAUAAAGAAUUACAAAAAAAAAAAUUCUAAAUUUAUGCAUUGAAUGGUUAUUGUUAUGCUCUCUUAAAAUUGGGUACAAUAUCAUUUUCAUAGCGAAUAGAGUUAUUGACCACUUUGUUAAAAAUGAACAUGUUAUGUUUAUACGAAUAAAACAAAACACGGGGUGCACGCUUAAGUCUUGUUCUUUUACAAUUCAUUUGUAUUACUUACUCUGAUGAAAUCUUUACUCUGUUAGGAAAUUGGUGGGUGAAGCAGACACGCAGAUAAAGUGAAAUUGGGAAAAAAAUAAAGAACAAGCACAAAAAAUGGACACAAGAAAUUACGUGGUUCAGCUUUUAGCCUACGUCCACGGGCGAAAACAGGAGGAAAAUAUUUUACUAGUAAAAAUGAUUUAUAAGUAUUGUGGUAUUUUAGCUUACUACCCAAAAUCCUAAUACACUCAAACUCUCAAAUCACUAGACUCUUAAAAUCACUCUUUAAAUAAAGAAAAGAACUGAAGAACUCGAUGAUUUACAAAUGAAGGGAGCCAGCGGUUUUAUAGCCAAAAUUAGCUACCGUUCAUUUAAUAUUUAAUUAUUAUUAUUAUUUUAUUAAUUUUCCUUUUCUUUUCCUUCUUCGGUCUGACAUCUCUUUUUCUUCUCUCUUUCUUCUUUUUCUUCUUUCUCUUUUGUUUCUUUCCUUGGGCGGCAUCUACAUGGCCUUUAAUUUCCUUCAAUUUGGGUGGCCAUUUUGAAAUAUGUUAAUGAUGCUAAACCGCCCAUGACUUUGACAUUCUCCCACUUGGAGAUUAGAUUGAGAAUCAAUCAAUCUCCACAACAUCCUUUCUGCUUCGCCAUAAUCAUGUUGCCUACAUUUCUGCUAGGCCACAAGAGGAUCUACUCCAGAUAAACUUGUCAGCAUUUAUCGGCUUAGCCAAAACAUCUGCUAGGUUCUCCUUCGUAUGGAUUUUCUGUAAAUCCACAUUUCCAUCUUCCACUACUUCUCGAACGAAGUGAUACUGAACUCCUAUAUGCUUUGUCCUGGAAUAAAAGGCUGGAUUUCUUGCAAUGUGAAAGGCACUCUGACUGUCACAAAACACAGAAAUUUGCUCUUGUUUGUGCCCGAGCUCCUCCAAUAAUCUUUGUAUCCAAAUAGCUUCCUCGCAAGCUUGUGUAGCUGCCAUGUAUUCUGCUUCUAUUGUAGAUAAAGCCACAACAGUCUGCAGUUUCGAAACCCAGCUUACAGCUGCUCCCGCAAGUAUAAACACAUAACCAGUAGUGGAUUUUCUUUUAUCAAGAUCUCUUGCAAUCUGAUCCUCCGUAACAUAAUGCAACAUCUGAGGUUCAUUUGAUGUAUCUCAGAAUCCUCUUCACAACUAUCCAAUGCUCUCCACCGGGAUUCGCCAUGUAUCGACUGACUGCUCUCACUGCUUGUGCAAUGUCUGGUCUAGUACAUAUCAUAGCGAACAUUAAACUUCCCACUACUGAUGCAUACAGUACUCGAGACAUCUCCUUCCUCUCUGCUUCAUUGCUAGGACACAUACUUGAGGAUAAUUUGAAAUUAACAGGAAGUGGGGUAGAAAUUGACUUACAAUCUUGCAUGUUGAAGCGCCACAAGAUUUUCUUCAAGUAAUUCUUCUGCGAAAGCCAAAUCUUCCUGUUAUUUAUGUCUCGGUGAAUUUGCAUUCCUAGAAUCUUGUUUGCUGGUCCCAAGUCCUUUAUUUCAAACUCCCUAGCCAACUGUGCCUUCAAUUCUUGGAUUCGAUCUUUGUUAGGGCCUGCUACCAACAUGUCAUCCACAUACAACAGUAAAAUAAUGAAAUCAUUAUCUUCAAACCUUUUAUAAUAUGCACAAUGGUAUGAACUGAGUCUGUUGUAUCCAAGGCUCAUGAUAAAGGAAUCAAAUCUCUUAUACCAACACCUCGGCGCCUGUUUGAGACCGUAUAAAGAUUUGUUCAACCUGCAAACCAAGUUCUCUUUUCCCGUUUCUGCAAAACCUUCUGGUUGGAGCAUAUAUAUUUCUUCUUCAAGUUCUCCAUGAAGAAAUGUAGUUUUCACAUCUAACUGCUUUAAAUGUAGGUCAAAUGUAGCACACAUUGCCAAGACUACUCUGACUGUCGUGAGUCAAACCAUCGGCGAAAAUAUCUCGUUGAAGUCAAUACCUUCUUUCUGAGCAUAUCCUUUCACCACUAAUCUCGCACGAUACCGCUCUACUUGGUCAUUGCCUUCACGUUUGAUCUUGUAGACCCAUUUGUUUCCAAUGGCUUUUCUUCCACGUGGUAGUGGUACAAGUUCUCAUGUCUUGUUAUUAUGUAGAGCUUCAAUUUCUUCCUGCAUUGCUGUCAUCCACAAAGCAACAUCUGAGCUUUCUAAAGCUUCAUGGAAAGUUAAAGGCUCUCUAUCCUCUGUUAGAAGACAGUAUGCAACGUUGAUCUCUGUAACAUACUCCGAGUGCCACAUUGGCGGUCGUCUCUCACGAGUUGACCGACGAACUUCUGGAGCCUCGGACUCGACUAGUUUUUGUUUCUCGUGCUCUGGUUCUGCUUCAAAAGAAUCUGAAUCUUCUGGAUUAUUUUCCACAUAUACCUGUACAGUUUCUGACUUUUCUUUUACACUACUAUCAUCUUCAUUUUUCCUUUGCAGUUGAUCUUCUAUGAAGAUAACAUCUCUGCUGAUAACGAUCUUGUGGGCAGUGGGGUCUCACAGACGAUACCCCUUUACUCCAUCAGCAUAUCUCAAGAAGAUACAUCUUCUAGAUUUUGGAUCCAGCUUUGUUCUUUCUUGGGCAUUGUACAUCACGUACACAAGACAUUUAAAUGCAUGUAGGUAGGAAUAAUCAGCUGGCUUUCCAGUCCACAUCUCCAUCGUUGUCUUUAGCCCAAUAGCUGUAGAUGGCAACCGAUUUACUAUAUAACAAGCAGUUUUGGCUGCUUCUGCCCAGAAUGAAUUAGGUAGACCAGCAGUCCUCAACAUAGCUCUUAUUCUUUCUGUAAGAGUUCUAUUCAUCCGCUUCGCCACUCCGUUUUGUUGAGGAGUGUAUGCUACAGUGAACUGUCUCUGAAUACCUUCUUGCUUACAGAAAGCAAGAAACUCGCCGUCUGUAUACUCUCCACCAUUAUCCGUCCUCAAGCACUUAAUCUUUUUAGCAGAUUCAAGUUUCACCCGCGCUUUGUAUUCUUUAAACACUGGAAAUACAUCUGACUUUUUCUUAAUUAGAUACACCCAACAUCUUCUGGAAUAAUUAUCAAUGAAAGUCGCCAUGUACUUUGCACCUCCCAUGGAUAUAUCCGGUGAUUUCCAAACAUCAGAAUGAAUCAAGUCUAGAAUAUAUUUACUUCUAGAAUAGAUCUACUAAAUUUUAAUCUAUGCUGCUUACUGGUAACAUAAUGCUCGCAAAAAGGUAAACUUACCGAUUUAAGCCCUGGAAGUAAUUUUCGCUCAGAGAGAAUCUUCAAACAUUGUUCCGACAUGUGGCCAAGUUUGAGAUGCCACAUCAUCAUUAACUCUUCUCCAUUUGAUGCGACACAUGCAUCAGCCUCCUGUAGUGACUCUCCUUUAAGCAUGAAUAGAUUAGCACCGAUCUUUUCUGCCUUCAUCAAUACAAGCUCUCCUUUAACAAUCUUCAUAAUUUCAUUCUCCACAUGAGUUUUGCACCCAUAACUGCCUAUUUGUCCCAAAGACAAUAGAUUUUUCUUCAGGUCAUUGACAUGUCGUACCUCCCCAAUUGUGCGAAUUGUACCAUCAAAUAUUUUUAUUUUGAUAGUACAAAUACCAGCGAUCUCCAAGGCAUGAUCAUCUCCCAUAUAUACAGAUCCUCCUGAGAUAGGUUCAUAUGUCUAGAACCAUUCUCUCCGAGAGGUCAUGUGCCAGGUAGCUCCUGAGUCUAUAAACCAGACAUCAGAUAGUCGUUUUCUGCCUUCUGAAAUAGUUAUUGCCCCAGUGUAAAGAAUUUCGCUAUCAUCCGAGGUACUUGCUACACACCCCUGAGCAUUUGAUGACUCAGGUUCUUUAUCCUCUUUUCUCUUCUAGUUACUCCAACACUCUUUCUUGACGUGUCCUUUCUUGCCACAGUUGUAGCAUUUAACAUUAUUCUUACUUCUGGAUUUUGAUUUACCAUGAUUUUGACUCCCACUAGGGCCACGUUCCGUUGAUCUCCCUCUCGUCACCGAUAGCACCUCCGCUUGCUGCGAAAUUGCUUGUCUGUUUUCCUUAUUUUUCCGCCUGCUCUCCUCAUUUAAUAUGAAAGCUGCAACAUCGUCGAAAACUAGACUAUCCGCUGGAUUGUUGUUCGUUAGGUUGAUGAUGAGUUGAUCAUACGAAUUUGGUAGACUUUGAAGUACAAGCUCUGCAUGUUUAUUCUCCUCUAUAUUAUGACCCAACGUUGUGAGUUGUGAAAAUAGAGUCUUCAAGGUGUUGAUGUGGUCGAUCACCAUUGUAGAUUCCACCAUUUGAAGAGUAUAGAGUUUCCUCUUUAAGAAGAUUUUGUUGUGUAGUGACUUAGCCUCAUACAAUUUUGUGAGAGUAUCCCAUAUUUCCUUCGCUGUAUUUUUCUCUGCUACACUAGAUAAUACUCCAUCUGCAAGUGCCAAGUGUAGAUCAGAAAUGGCGUUGCCAUCUAUCUCGUUCCACUUGUCAUCAGUUAUCUCCAAAAGCCUUUCUCCAAUUACUGCUAAGCAAUUAUUUUUUCUCAAAACAGCUUUCAUCUUCAUUUUCCACAAUAAAAAAUUGUUUCCGUUAAAUUUCUCAAUUUCAUACUUUGCCGCCAUUUUAUUGAUAAAUACCGCACACAAGCAAGUGUACCACCUUGAAUAGUUGUGAGUAUGUGUGAGAAUGCACAACAGGAAAGUUCCCAGGAAACACUGGAGGGGUCACAAUGGUCCCACUUAAAACCCAGACUCCUUAAGUUCUUAUCGCCUUUGUGAUAGAACUUUCAUAGACAUGUACAAAACCACACAGUUGUUUUACUCACACCAUUAUUCCCUGCUUUGCACCGCAAAAUUCUUGGAUUGCUCCCACCGUUUUACGUGAAUAGUACCGUAUACGUGAACAGUGCCGUAUACGUGAAUAGUACCCCUUACGUGAACAGUACCCGACUCCAAAAAAUACAACUAAUAGCUCUGAUUCCACUAUUACAAAAUUGGUGAGUGAAGCAGACACGCAACUAAAGUGAAAUUGGAAGAAAAUAAAGAACAAGUACAAAAAAUGGACACAAAAAAUUACGUGGUUCAGCUUUUAGCCUACGUUCACAGGUGAAAACAGAAGGAAAAUAUUUUACUAGUGAAAAGAAGUUACAAGUAUUGUGGUAUUUUAGCUCACUACCCAAAAUCCCAAUACACCUAAACUCUCAAAUCACUAGACUCUUAAAAUCACUCUCUAAAUAAAGAAAAGAACUAAAGAACUAGAUGAUUUACAAAUGAAGGGAGCUAGCGGUUUUAUAGCCAAAAUUAGCUACUAUUCAUUUAAUAUUUAAUUAUUAUUAUUAUUAUUUUAUUAAUUUUUCUUUUCUUUUCCUUCUUCGGCCCGACAUCUCUUUUUCUUCUCUCUUUCUUCUUUUUCUUCUUUCUCUUUUGUUUCUUUCCUUGGGCGGCAUCUACUUAGGCCUUUAAUUUCCUUCAAUUUGGGUGGCCAUUUUGAAAUAUGUUAAUGGUGCCAAACCGCCCAUGACUUUGACAUACUCACAUUCCUUUGCAGUUGACAUUGAUCUUUUGCUUAUUCUUAUAUGUUCAAGGCCAAUAGUGAAGCUCCUUUCAAAAAAUAAAAAUAAAAAUAAAAUAGAGAAAUUGUGGGCUUUUAUUCAGACCCCUGAAACCUUUCUAAUAAUAUAAAAACUCUAAUCCUUGAGCAAAAGGUUAAAAAAAAAAAGAAUUCUCUGUUUAAAUAUCAGUUGGCUUAAGAUCAAUGUUGUUUGCCUCCUGUCUUUUCUUUGUUUUGUUUGUUUGUUUGUCAUUUUAUUAGAUUUGCUUUGUAUCUAAUUUUACUUGGAGAUUAAAGAUGAGUGAGAACUGCCCUUUCUUCUGAAGCAACCUACAAAUUUUAGAAUAGGGCCCAGAGUAUUAAAGAUUCAAUUAACCACAAAAAGUUAUUUACUUGCAUCACUUGCAAACUUAAGCUUAUCAUCCCAAAUUGAGCUGUUUGCAUUAGAAAUUUUCAUGCAUUCACGAGCAAUAUCAUCAUGUCACAAGAUAGCCUGAAAAGCAAGUUUCCUCUGUUUUCGUUCCUUUGUUUUCAUUCCCCUGUUUAUUGAUUUUUGUUUUUUUUUGGCCGGAAAUUAAGAAGAAAAAAUUGGUAAAACAAGUUGCCUCUGUUUUCAUUCCCCUGUUUUUUGUGGAAAGAAUAAAUCAAACUUUAUUUUUUUUUUAAUUUUAUAUUUUGGUUUUUGAAUAUGCAUAAAUCAAAUCAUAUAUUAUUGAUCUUACUUCGAUUAUUUGCUGUUUAGUUUCUCUCUUAAAUGCUUUUUGUGUGUUUCCGGUAUUUGCUUUUAUAGAAGUUUUAGUCCCGAAUCAUUCGUUGCAAUUCCGAUAGGAAUUGAGUAAGGCCUUCACCUUAAAACGGGGCUCAGGGGAGAGGGGAACCCCUCCCAAGGAUUUGCUUUAUGUUUUAUUAGGCAUAUACAUUGCUCUGUCAAUCAAUAUUCAUUUCAAUUUCACAGUACACAAGCAAUGUAUAUACCAAAAUUAUUCUAUGAAAACUUAAUUAUUUCUUUAGAAUAUAUGAAAACGUAGAGUUGUGAACUAGUGCUUUCUUCUUCAACAUGCGUCAACAGGGCAACAAUAACCAAAUACAUGAUAUAGAAAAGCGGUGCAUGACUAAUUCUUUUUCUUUUGCUUUAUGCACUAGUUUUGCAUUGUUUACUUCCCUUAAUAUCGAUGUUUUGCACUUAAUAAUAAUGUUUUAAUUGUGUUUUACUUUUGUAGGUGCAAUUCUAUUGAUUGGUGAUAAAAUUGAGCUAAAAGAUGAUGUUUAAGGAGGAUUGUUCUCUUGGAGAAAUUAUGAGCGUCAGAAGAACUUUGUUGAUAAGGCGUGGGCGCGUGCUGUCAACUGCGGACCUGCAGUUUUUAGUUUAACGUGUUUUGUAUUUUUGGUUAUUUUUGUAAUUACGAAUUUAAUAUUUCAGAUAUUAGUAUUUUAUUUUAAAUAGAAUUCUAAAAGAGAAGAGAGAGAGAGUAUUUAAGGGAGGAAUCUAUUGUGAAAAAGGGGGGAUUUGGAUUGGAGAAAAAGAAAGAAACCCUAGAUCUUAAUUUUUCUCUUCUCUCUAUGAAGAACUAAACCUAUUUUUCUGGUUGAAGGAUAAUGAAGCUUUGAUUCAUCACUACUGUGAGAUCUUUCUUGUGCUUUAAUUGUUUUAUUGCUUUUUGGGUAUUUGUUUAUUCUCUGAAUUAUUUUCAUGAUUAUGUUUGUUAAUUAGGUAAUUGGCCACUAUUUAAUUAUCAACUUAAUCUAUUGUCAAUUAAAGGAUUCAUCGUAUGAAGAAUUUAAUGUUUGUGACAAAUAACAUAGCAGAAAGUUGUGUUGUGAGAAUAAACAAUCUAAUUUAAAUGAAUCAUCAUAUGUGUUGAUUAGGAUUUGGGUCUCUCUGGUUUUUCAGGCUGUCAAUUGAUUAAAUCCUAUGAUCGUAUCUAGGGUUGUCUAUUGAUUAGGGAAAUAACCAACGGUCGUACCUUGGUUAUCGACUAGUUAAGGAGAGAUUGGCUAUUAGAGGGUCUCAGUAGCUAUAACCGGUCUAUUCAUAAGUAAUAAUAAUCUAUAUUUGAAUCAAUGAUCAGUAGUCGAAUCAAGCUGAGUUAAUUCCUUCAACCAGAGCUUUCUCCAAUUUGAAUUACAACUUUAAUUUACAUUCUCGUUAUUUUAAUUUGAUUUUUAUUAUUGUCAACAAUUCCCCCAUUUUACGUUUUACGUUUCAAAAGGAUUUAAAUAAUUACCGAUCUCUGUGGACACGACCCUGCUCAAUCACUAUACACAAUUUAUUUAGAGUAUGAAUUUAUUUUUGUUGGCUUCGACACCCAUCACAGGUCAUUGUUAUUGCUCUCAUCAACUCUUUUCUCACACAUUCCUCAGCAGUUACCUGUGAUCUUUUUCCUCUUUCAACUUGUUCUUAAAUAGAGAAGCUCACCAACUCUCUAAUCCCAGAUAAUUAAAGAGGUGCACGUUUUCUAAAUCCUUGACAUCUGCUCUUUCAUAAGUUCCAUCUACUUUCCAAGAAAAAAUUUUCUCUGGUUUGUUUUAAUAUUGUAACUUAUUUUGCAUGAGUUUUAAGUCAGUAUUCAUUGUUAAAGCCUGUGCUCUUAUUAUUUCUUUUGGUUAAUUUGCAUGCUCUUCCCCCCCCCCCCCCCCCCCCCGCCCCCGCGGCGGCGCCCCCCCAAAAAAAAAGUUUAUAGGCUUUUACUCAGACCCUUGAAACCUUUACUGAUAAUACCAAAAACUCUAAUCCUUCAACAAAAGAAAGCAAGAAAAAAAGGUCCUAAGUUUAUUGUCUUUUAUUUGGAUUUGUACCAAAAACUCUGAUCUGUUGGCUUUGUAUCAGUAUUGCUUGUUUGUUGUCUUUUAUUUCAUUAUUUGUAUCUAAGUUUAUUUCAAGAUUACAGAUCAGCAGGAAAAGCCCUUUUUCUAAAGCUAACUAUACAGAUUUUAGAAUAGGGCUCAACCACAUGAAAAUAUUUACGUUGUAAUAUCUCAUAUUAAUAAUCUAAAAGCAACCAAUCCAACAAGUUCAAAUUCAGUCAAUCAUAAAUCAACCAAUCCAACGAGUUCAAAUUCAUCACUUGCAAAAUUAAGUUUUCUUCCGAAAUUGAGUUGUUUCCAUUAGAAAUUUUCCCGCAGUCACGAGUUACAAUCAUCAAAACAAGAUUACUUGAUGCAUUAAUAAUCUUAUUAAAAAAAAUAUACCAACUGUUAAGGGUUAAAAAAAUUUAUUAAAUAAUUGCAUUAAUAUACCAACUGUUAAGGGUUAAAAAAAUGUGCCAUUUUGUAAUCCAUUUAAAUCAAAAUAGUAUGUUUAAUCGCAAAAAAAAUAACUACUGCCAUGAUGGAGCACAUAGAAUAAAAAUAAAACUUUUAGUUUUACUAAUCCUAAAUAUACCAAUUGUUAUCUCCAAAAAAGAAAAUUUUAUUUUUUAAAUUUUUAAAUCAUAUAUUAUACAAAUUUAACAUAUGUUCUAACAGUCGUCUGAUCCCUGCAGAUAUUAAUUGGGUUUAGGGUAAUCCUGUUUACAUAAAGAAUAUUGUUAAAUAAAUGUUUGUUAAUAUGGUUUCAGAUGAUGAUGAUGAGUUGCGACUGCCAAUCAUGCGUAAUAUCAUAAUAAUAUUAAAAACAAUUAUCCCAACAGGUUUCCCAGAAUAUGCUAUAUUAUUACAUAUUAAAGUUAAUUAUAAACUAAUAUAAAAAAAAAGCUCUGACAAAUAUUAUUUCUUGAAAAAUGAGAUGAUUCACCGCUGUUGUGUUUCAUGCUAAUUACUUUUCUCCGGAAAAAUAUUAUAAAUUAAAAUUUAACGAAAGUCUCAAUUUAUACGCUUAUAGCAUGUUCUAUAAUUUUUAUUUUUUAUAUAUAUAGUAUAAUUCAAGAAUUUAUACUGAGUAGAAGCAAAGAUCAAUCCCAUAUGUGGGUAACCAAAAUCCUUCAUAGAACAAGGCACUAUAAUAACCAAAACCAGCCCUUCGUUUUGGUGCCGAUUGAAAACAAUCAUAUUGUGAUUCGCAAAUUAAGUGAGAUUAGUGACCUCUCAACUCAAUCAAAUACUUGCCAAAUUCAUUUCUGAUCAUGCAUCUUACCCCCCCCCCCCCCCCCCCUCCUCUUUUUCGUGUAUAAAUUGAGCAUGGUGGCUUUGAAAAUUUUAAGAUUCUUGAUGAUUCCAAAAUGAGAAUAUCAAUUGUUAAGCCAAUAGUAGAUUAUUGACGUUUUAAAUUGAUAAAUAAACACAACUCUGAUUUUAAAAAGUUAUGAUAACAACUUUAAAAAUUUAAAUGUGGAUAUAAAAUCACCCAUAAUAUAACGAUAUGAGAUUGAAAUAAUUUAUUUAAAUAUAAAUCAUCCGAUGUAAUGAAUACAAAACCAACCAUCAAUUUAAAUUUUUAAAUAAUGACAUUGACAUGUGCUAUAAAUGAGUUCCAGGAAAUAAAUAUUAAUGUAAAUGAUAGCAACAGCUUCAUCCAUUAAUAUAAUUCUACUAUUAAGCAUGAAAUAUAUGACCAUCAACUUACAAUUGUAAUCAUUAAACUAGAAAUCAUUGAGUAUUACAUGAAAUCAUUAAUAUUGAACCUAAAAGAUAUAUGAAACUAAUGUUAAUAUGAAAUCUAGGACCAUUAACUUAAAAUUGUAAUUAGGAAAUAAAGCUUUACAUGAAAUCACUGUCAUUGAGCUUGAUAAUUCUACCAUUAAACAUAAAAUUAAUGCAAAUAGGAAGCAUAAGACCAUCAACUCAAAAAUUGUAAUCAUCAAAUUUUGAAUACCACAAAUUAAAUUUACUCUAUCUUUGUAAUGAAUACAUUCUACAGCCUUAAAAAAUACAUAAAUAAAGGGUUAUUUUAGCAUUUAUACAAGUGUGUAAAGUAAAUGUUGACUUUUAAAGUUGAUUCAAUAUAUAUAAACAACAUUAUUGAAUCAUUAUCUUUUUUUUUAUAAUCAUUAUUAAUAAACAUACUAUUUUGAUUAAAAAAAUAAAAUAGUGGAGCUUAAAUAUGUCUAAAAAUUUCAAAAUUAGUAAUAGAAUCAGUAGCGGUUCGAUCUCUAGACAACUUAGGUGGUUGCUUAGAGCCCUACUUUACAAGAAAAUCCUAUAAGAUGAUUAUUUUGUAUAUAAAAGAGGAAAGUGAAUUUAAAAGUCAUUAUUAUGCAUCUAAUUUAUUAUUAUUUUGUAAUUAUCUUUUCUCAAAUAAACUACCGAGUUCCUAUAAAGUUUAUUUAAUGUAGUACUUAGUAGUUUUAAUUCCUACAAAACCGAUAAAUUAAUAGUUUCAAUCCUAUAAAUUCGAUAUUUCAUUGUUAGAAUUAACAACUUAUAAUUAAAAAGUUUUAUAUUCAUUUUAAACCUCUAUAAAAGCCCCACAUUUUAUUACUUAUCCAUUAAAUUUUUCUUCUAACAAUGAAGACAGCAUAUGUUCUUCGUUUUUGAGAGAAAGAAAGAGAGAGGGGAAAAAAAAUCUUGCUUCCUCUACUUUCCACUCAAAAAAAAAAAGAAAAAAUCUAAUAGUUUUAUUCUAUUCUCUAUGGCUAUUAGUCAUUACUCAAAUCUUCAAAUAAUUAAUAUAAAGAUAAAGUUAAUUUAUGAUUUCAUCUCAAAUUUCAAAUUUCAGAUUUUAUUUUUUAUUAUUCUCUUAAUUAAUUGUAUUAUUUAUGUGUUCUUAUUUCUUUUUAAUACAUUCUUUUAUUCAUCUACUAUUUUUUGUGUGCUUUUUUUUUUCUAUUGUGAAAUAAAUAACUAUAUCAAAAAACUUUAGAAAACAGAAGAAUAAAAAAAUUAAUUUAAUGUAGAAAAGAAGUAGUAUAAAAGAUGUAAUUUGAGUUAAAAAAAAGUAAAAAUAUUAUAAUUGAAUUAAAAUUUCAAGGAUUGACAAUAGUGUAAUAUAAUUUUAUUUAAUAAUUUUACAUUUUAGAGAGUGUUUAAAGAAUUGAUUUUCAAUAAAUAUUAUAUAACUAAUGAGUAAUGAUAUAACCACAAACUCUUGUACAAACUUAUUUUGUACAAACUGAUGUGGCAUGAUAAGAUUGGUUGAAUUAAAUAUCACUUGGCUCACGUGAUUUGUUUUUAUUAUUUUAUAUUUUCAUUCAACGAAUGAAUUAAUACCAUGUCAGUUUGUACAAGAGUUUGUGGCUGUAUCAUCACUCAUAACUAAUAUACAUAUUUUUUGUCCUAAAUUUUAAGAAAAACUAAUUAAAACCAUUUGCCUAAGGCCUCAAAUAUGGUUGAGCCAGCCCUGAAUAGAAUAUAAAAGUACAUGAUAAAUAUUUAAAUUAAAACUCGAUAAAAGGUUAACAAAAACACACAUGUUGUUUUUUAGUGAGUUUAAUUUUUUUUUUUUUUUGGGAACAAAUUCAAAACGACAUCAUUUUGGAUGUAUUUUCAUUGGGAUUUGGUUCUUCAAUUAUUUUUCUAAUAGCAGAUCUCAAGAUUGUGUGAUUACAUCACAGCUUAACUUUUACAGUGAUCGAUUCCAAUAGCUCUCUAGUUGAAAUUUAAAUUAAUUAAAUAAAAAAUAACACGGCCCUUAUCAAUUUGACGAUGGUAUGGUGUAAAAACAUCCUCUUGAAAAUUAUGAGUCAUCCAAAAAGAUUAAUUUUUUUGGGAUAUCUUGAAUGGAAGUAAACAUAAUUUUAUGUUUUAUAAAAAGGUAAAACAUUAAGUAAUUAAUAAUAUAUCAAUAUUAAUUAAUAAGUUAUUUACAUUAGGCAAUAUUAUACGUUUGUGAAUUUAUUGGUCAUUUGUUUUUGUACAAUUAUUUCAUGACAUUAUAACGAUAUGAGAAUGACGAUUCAAACUAUCUUGAAUAUUGGAUAAUUGUUUUUUAAUUAACAUUUUGGGGCUGAAUUCAAUCGUGCAUAUAGACAAUUUUAUCUAUUAAAAGAAUUAAUUAUUAUGUUAAAAUUUAUUUUGGAAUUUAAUGACGAAGAAACUGUUUCUUAACUGGAGCUAUGGCUUUGGCCACGAGCUCCUCUGGUGUUAGAUUAUGAACCGGAACUCCGGUUGAAUUCGGUUGUGGUGGCGGUGAGUCCGCCGGAAAAAUCCGGAACUCACUGAGUUCGGAUGCGGACUCGGCCAUUAUUGAAAUAAUGACUAACUAAUUUACUUAGGAAUAAAGACAGAAUUUGGGGGAGGGAAAUUACCAAGCCUUUAAAUUUUUAUAAGUAAAUAGAAAAAGAAAUUCAAGAUGGCCAAAAUUUUUUUGCUGUAUGAGACCCCAAUUAAAGCGGGCAAAUUCCACUCAAACUUUAAAAGUUAGUGUGAGUAUAUAGGUUUGAUUAUUUUAACUUAAAACUUUGACCUAAUUAAACACAAAUUCAUAAUCAUUGUACUUCCAGACAUCAAGCGUGUAAUCAAAAUUCAGUUACUUUUUGUCUUGCAUUAAUUUAAUUGACCAAUAUAUAUUUCUUAAAUAAAUAAUAAUAGUUUGUAUUUUAAUUAAUGUUCCACUAAUCAUUUAUUGUCUCAUAAAUGAUAAUAAAUAAAUUUAUUAUUAAUUAUUUACAUACUAUUCUUACAACUUGAUCAAUGAACAACAUAUAACAUGCCACAUAAAAUAUCAGAGUAACUAAGAUAUAAACUAUGUAUUUCUUGGUCGAAUUGAGUAUCCGUAGCAUUAAAUGUAAAUCACUAAUUACUGCAAAGAUCAAACUUAUAUUUAAACGAGAGAUUUAACAUUAACUAAUACCAAAUAUUGGCGUUCAAUUACAACUUAUGAAAUACUCAACAUAGGUAAAACCACAGAAUCAUACGAUUCAUACGGUUCGUAUAAGCCUUUCGAGGCUAAUGCAUGUGUAGGCUUGAAGACAUCAUUACUAAGAGGCGGCUAAUAAUAUUAUAAUAUAAAAUACUGCUACUCAUGCAACUGGGUAGGAAGGUUUAGUGGCAAUGCCACAGAGACCUUCAGGUGCUUCAACAUCUCUGAGAAUCCUCAUGUAGCCGGCCUCACCCCAGCUCUCCCCCCAUGAAUUCUUAAUUAACCAAUACUUCAUUCCAUCUUCAGUUGCCCCAAAUCCAACGAUAGCAACAGCAUGAGAACACUGAGUUCCACAUCCUCCGUUAAAAAUACCGCCUUUGUAACUCUGGAAGUCUGGUCCACUUCCUUCAAUGCAAAUUGAUACUGGCUGCAUGGCUACAGCUUGGAGUAAAGCCUGCUCAUCAUUGGGUUUUACAUCUUCAAAGUUACUAAUUUUAGCAGCUGCCUUGACCUGUGCGUCUUCACAAGUCCCUUGGACUUCCUUGUAUGGAUAAUCCGCUUCUGAGGCAAUACCCUGGUUUUUUAUAAUAUAUUUAAAGGCAUUGUCCAUCCAACCGCCACCGCAUCCACGGUUACCAUCUAUGGAGCAGUCUAGUAUUUGCUGCUCCGAAAGUGGAAUAAGAUUACCACUACUAAUCUCAGUCACCCCUUCCACCGCCGCCACAGUUGAAAAUGCCCAACAGUCUCCUGCAUCGUACAUAUUAAGGAAAAAAAAAAAAAAAAGGCUUGAUUAAGUUACAUGAAACAUGCCCCAGCAGGGGUUUGGCAGACGGUUGUCAAGCUGUUUUUAUUAAUUAGCUGAUGGUCAACUGAGUUUGAGUUCUGAAAGAGGUUGGAGGCUAAAUAAUCUAUUAUAGUUACUUCAUAAAUAUUUAGUAUACGAUUUACUUACCACAUUGACCUUGGUUCUUAAUAGGAGUGACAGCUCCUUUCUCUCUCCAGUCCAUGCUAGUUGGAACGUCAGUCAGGUUUUGAUACUUGAAGGAUGCUGUUGUGGAUUGCCGUGAUGAAGAUGACUGGCUUGGCACCCUGUAUCCUGUAUAUGAAGCACGAAACUCCUCAUUAGUUAAGUCUGAAAAUUCAUUGGUGCCUAACUUGUACGUCCGAUUCGCCUCCUCAUUGGCUUUCUCAAUGUAUUCAAGGUUUUCUUUGAAUAUCUUAAACCGCUUUUCCUUCUCCAGGUCGUCCUUGUAAGUGCGCCCAUGCUCAGCCAUCCAUUUUUCAUGCUUCUCAACAAUGGAUGGUUCAUGCAGCGACCGGCCGGCGACCGACACCAUUUUAGAUGAAUAAGUCACCAGAAUGAUCAUAGACAGGGCAAUGAUAUCAAAGCUUUUCCCCAUAAUAAUUGGUAGGUAUUUGCAAGUUGAACAAGGUUGUUGUUUUUUUUUUUUUUUUUUUCCCUUCAAAUUAUAGAGGCUAGCUAGCCAGCUGGGGGUAAGUUGUGAAUACUUGAAGCACGCAUUGCAGCUCUAUAUAUAGUACUUGUAGAUAGUGGAUUUGUGCUCUCAACAUGGGUCGCGUACAAUAUUUGCCUAAUGCAUGAGACGUAUGCGUUGCGUUAGUCGUGCCCCAUACUUCACGAUUUUCAAUCAAGCUAAUUAGUAUGCGAAACCGGACAACCAAGUUAUUAUCAGUUAUCGCCGUGAUUCGCGUACUUCGUGCUUUUGAGGCUUGCUAGCAAUGACUUGACUAGCUUUUAGCGAAGUUACAAAAAGAAUUAUGAACUAAUUUGUAGAUGGACUUUUAUCGAUGAGACUUGCGGCGACGUGGAAAACAUUGGUGUCAUUUUUUUUUUCUUUCAUAAAUCAACUUAAAAAAAGGAAAAUUGGAUAAUAAUGUGAACUCAUUUGGACGGAGUAAAAUAAUUCUUACAAAAUCUACAAUGCAUCUAGCUAGGAUGAACUUUUAUAUAUCUGCGAUAUUAUGAAGAAAUCAUUACUAAUAUGCAUUACAUAAUAUGGCAUAAAAUAUGACACUAAUACUAGAAUUUCUUCCUUUAAGUGCCAAUUUGGUAGUUUAUCUUAACCUGUCAGUGACAACUGUUGUUUCAAGUGCACUUUUUGAGUCUUUAUGCAUACUAUAAUAUAUAGGCUUCAAUGGGGUCUCCUCGUAACUUUCUUGCCUAUCACCUUGAAUAUAAUCAUAACAUCCCGCCAAGUUAAUUUUUUUAGACCAUAGCACGUCAAAAUCUUUAAUGGAUAUAUUACUAAUAGAAUAAUGGUCAAUAUUCUAUUUUUACAUACGGUUUAAGAUAUCUAAUAAAUUGAUAUGGAUUUAAUUUCCUAAAUAGCAAAUUAGUGAAUUAUCAUAACUUUUUAAAAACUUAAAUUUGAUGUUAAAGAAAAGGAUAUAUAUAUUAACUUAUUGAUAUAAAUAAUGCUAAGUAUAUAUAUAUUUGCAGCCAAAAGUUAAAUAUGGUACAACAAUAAAAAAAGAUACUUUACACACUCAGUUAUAAUAAAUUAAUAUUUAUAACGAUAAUAUGACCCAAUACCCAUAUUGACCCAAUUACUAUCAUAAUAUUGUAUUAGGAUAUUAAAAUUCCACAAUAAUGGAGAUGACAUAAAAUUUGUUUAUAAAAAUGUACAAUACAAUAUUUAAAUUUUUUGCGGCUGAGAAUCGUGAGAACAGUAUGGUCAUCACAAUUAAUUGAUUGUGAGGAGAAUAAAGAGACCAUUACCAUAAUAGCUAUGCAUAAUUCAAUGGCCCGAGAUGGAUUGGCGGAUGGAAUCAAGAAUAAUUUGAUUCAAACUUAAGAAUAAUACAUUAUACAGAAUUACAGAUUGAGAUUAAAUAUACUCUCUUGUUUUUAUAAACAUGUGCAAAAUGCAUGCUUUCUCUUUCAUCUCUGCUUCAAUCCCACUUUAGGGUUUGUUUGUCAAAAGUAUUGUUUUUGAAAAAUAGAUAUUGUUUAAAGCAAAUAAAAUAAAGAUCAUUAAAAAAAUAUAACAACAUAAUGUUUAAUUGAUAAUGAUUUUUGCCAGUCUUAUGAAGGACUACAAAACCGAAUACAAAAUGCCAAAAUUUUGUAACUAGGAAUCAUACCAAAUAACAUAUUAAUUUAAAAUUUAAUUCUUACUUUUAAUUCUUACUUUUAACAUCUAUAUAUGUAUACAUAGAUACACGGUGGGUCCCUCCGAGCAUCGGAUGAUUUUUCGGGCAACGGACAUCUCAUAGAGUUAAGAUCGUCAUCAUCAUCGUCAUUAUACGAAUACAUUACUUUGAAGGAGCUUAUGUUGGACUCCAAUUUUAGGGGUGGCGGCAUUGCCAUUAUAAAUUCAAUAAGAACCACAGUGGACAAUUGUUACAUUUCGCAUUUCACUACCGCUGGCAUUUCCAUCCAAGAUGGCCACGAAACGUAUAUAAGAAAUUCCUUCAUCGGCCAACACAUCAACAUCGGCGGGGAUGAUCGCGAAAAGGAUUUCUCCGGCAUCGGAAUAAACAUCACGGGAAACGACAACGCGGUCACUGAUGUUGUUAUAUUUUCAGCAUCAAUUGGAGUAAUGGUACAGGGGCAGGCCAAUAUGCUGACGGGAAUACACUGUUAUAAUAAGGCUACUGACUUGGGAGGUACCGGCAUUUACAUCCGGGCACCAGCAUUGAUAAUAAAUUUACUUAUUACAAUGGUUCUCCGUGAAAUCUCCUCAAUGGGAUUUUAUGAGUUGAAAAUAAUGAAUUAUCAAUAUAAGCAAAAAUAUAUUUUUCAAUAUACAACUUAAUUUGCUCUUAAAAUAUUUUAAUAAUAACAAAAAUAUUCAUAUAUUGCAACACACAGAACAAAUAUGAAAUGCAUGAUAAAAUUAUAUAUUUUAAAACUAGAUAAAAGAUUAAUUAGAAAAUUAUAAAUUAGAAUUAGGAAGACUUACAACUUAUGGUCAGUGUUGAAAGACUAAAUAAUUAAUUUUACUUGAAUAAAAAAUAAAAAGAUUAAAAACUGAUCCAUUAACCAUUAUACUAACAUUUUGUUAUGAUUAUUUUUUAUUUUAAUAUUUGUUCUCGUGUCUUUAAUAAAGUUUCAUGAAAUGUUAAUAACUAAUUAAAUAAUUUAUAAUUAAAAAUAUAAAUUAGGGACAGUAUUAAAUAUUUUAAAAUUACUGGAGUCAAUUUUAAAUUUUACAAUUCAGCUGGGACAUUUUUCAUAAAUAACAAAUAAAAUACAUAUUUUUAGUAUAAUUAUAAAAAAAAAAAUUAAAAGCCAGCUGGGGCCUGUGCCCCACCUCGUCCCACGCUGGCUCCGUCCCUGUUAUUCGUUCCCUCUCACAUUUCCGGCACCGGCAUCAUCCCUUCCCCUCUUCACCAAUACCCUCUAUUCGAAAUUACUGAAAUACUCUCCUCAUCUCCACCACUACCACCACCACCACCAUGUUGUCAUGCACAGUCAAAUGCUUCAAGGCCUUCAAAACCCCUUUCAACCCGGGAACCCAAAACCCGACCCGUUUGUGCAGUCAUCGACGUUAUGAUGGGCUGGACGGCUGAUGUUUUCAAGAAUUUUGAAGGUCCCAUUGUUGGGUUCUUCACUUCUGGUGCUUGUUCAGCAGCGUGGAGUGUGCCAUGUAGCAGGCUCGCAUCCAAGAUGUCAAACCGGGAGAGGCCCAUUUACUUCCUGGGUUACCCAAGGAUAUGGCUUUAUUCGAAUCGGAGCUUAAAUACGGGCCUCACGGGCCCCUUCCUCGUGGUCCACUACCUUUGCGAGGUGCGCCCGGUUCAGAGAAAAUGAGUCCAUCGAACCCCGUGAUCAACCACACUGGAUGAAGGAAGUGGAGGAAUGGAUGGCUUUGAUGUUCAACACCUGUGAUGAUCUUGAGGGACCAUUUAUUAAUCAUUUAGGGGAGAUUAUCAAUUUUCCCCCUAUUGUAAUCAAUAUAUACUAUUUACCUCCUUCCUGUUUUUAUAAUGACCAAAAACCCCUCCUGAUAACAUAAGUUUAUAAUAUUAUCCUUAUUUUCAACUACUCUUUUAUUUAUAUUUAUUAUAAAUUAAAUAAAUCACAUGAAUAUAAAUUAAAUAAAAAAUUAAGCAUUAAAAAUAACAAAUAUAUGUUUUGAUAUGAGCAAAAAAAUCAAUAAUAUAAUUUUUUCUUGAACUUAUUUAUUUUUUGAAAAUUUUCUUAUAAUAAAUAUAUAAGAAAAUUAUUAUAAAAUGAUAAAAAACUAUUAUAAGAAAACUUGAAUGACAAUUAAAAAUUUAUUAUAAGAUAAUUAAAAAAAUAUUUUGCCUAUUCUUUUUACAUUUAAUUUUAAAAUAUUAUAAAUGUUUAUUAUAAGAAAAUAUUCACAAAAUAAAUAAUUACAAGAAAAAAUUAUUAUUAAAUUUUUUGCUCAUAGUAAAACAUAUAUUUCUUGUUUUUAAUACUUAAUUAUUUAUUUAUUUUUUAUUCAUGUGAUUUAUUUUAUUUAUAAUAAAUAUAAAUAAAAGAGCAAUUAAAAAUAAAAGUAAUAUUAUAAACUUAUACUGUCAAGGGAAUUUUUGGCCAUUAUAAAAAUAGUAAAUGAAUAAAUGAUAUAUAUUGAUUAUAGUAGGGGAAAAUUGGCAAUCUCCCAUUAUUUAGUCAAUCGAAUGGGAAAGCCAAUGUGGGGAGUAGGCCCAUUAUUACUUGAACAAUUUUACAAAUGGGGCGGGUUCAGUGCUUCGUGAUCGUGAGAUGAGAACCAAUCGGUGGAGUUCUAACAUGAACGAAGAUGAGAUCAUUCAAUGGUUGGAUUUGAAAUCAUGAGGAUCUGUGUUAUAUGUGUCAUUUGGUAUCGAAGUGGGUCCAAGUUAGAUGAGCAUUUAGUACUAGCCAAUGCUUUAGAAGUAUCAAAUGAACCAUUUAUUUGGGUAAUUCAAACUGGUGCUGGUAGAUUGGAUCCUCCGUGUCAUUUAACUGGCUUAGACAGACCAGCAGAAGGCAAUUAUUUUCAUAGUGGUUUGGGUAGUAAAGCCAGUAAAAAGGGAUUGAUAAUAAAUGGAUGGGCGCCACAAUUAUUGAUAUUGAAUCAUCAAUCAAUGGGUGAAUUUUUAUCUCAUUGUGGAUGGAAUUCAAUGGUAGAAGCAAUUGGUGUGGGGUUCCAAUUUUAGCAUGGCCAAUUAGAGAUGAUCAACAUUACAAUGCCAAAUUGGUGAUCAAUCAUCUAAAGGUGGGGUACAUGAUUUCUAAUGAUCAAUCAAAAUCGAUUCAAAAGAAUGAUAUAGUGAUUGGUAUAGAAAAGCUUAUGAGUGAUCAAGAGAUUAAAAAACGAGCUCACAUGCUUCGCCGUAUAUUUUAUCAGGGCUUUCCUAUGAGUUAUGUGGCUUCUUUGAAUGCUUUCAAAGAUCUCAUUAGCCAGAAAUCAGUCUAACAAAAAUAAUUAUUGUGUAUAUUAGGCUUUUGUUACAUUGGCUUGGGUGUAAAUAAAUCUACUUUAUCAAGAACAGACAUCUCAGCACCUAAAUAAUGUUAGGAAAUUGAGUUUCAUCCCAAGAUCACUCCAAGCAAUUUGUCAAGCAACAAAUUAACAAAAAAUUUAAAUGGAGAAUACAACAAUCACACAACACAAGAUUUACGUGGAAAACUCUAAAUUCGGAGAAAAACCACAGCCGUUGUCAAGAGACAACCAGAGAAAAAAUAUUCACUAUAUGGAAAAUUAUUACAACCACACUCUCAUAAAUAAUUUUCUCUCACCCAAGCCCCAAAUACAUAAUUGCGAAAAAUAUUCCUUAACAAAGCAAACCCGUAAUACCCAUAUUGAGGAGCCAAAUGCUCCUUCAAUAUAAAUACAUGCUUAAGAAUAUUUCUCUCCCAUGUUGGAAGCUCUCAAUGCUUCUCUUACAUAUUCUUGCUUCUCAAAUUUUGGGAUUUCUUCUCUGGGAUACAAAAAUGAGAGGGAGAACCCCUCUAUUUAUAGCCAAACUUUGGCUUCAUUUUCUCCCUUUUCUUCUUUGCAUGGGCGGCACCCACCCAUUUUUUCUUGUUCAAUGAUGGUGGCUAACUUGGCCACCCACCAUCUUUGAAUUCAGAGAUGAUGGCUCAACCACCCAUCAUUUUGGCUUCUUUUUUUAAAAUCAAUUUUCAACAAUCUCUACCAUGAUUAAAAAAAAAAAAUUUCAUAGUCACUACUACAAAACAUUGUCUUCACCAAUAGUUAUAAUUCUCAAUAUAAAGAAUUAUCACACUACACCAUAAUGAGUAUACCACUUAGAAUCAACUAUUCUAAGAUUUUUCUCGGCACAUGUCAAAAUAUCCUGCUGAAAUUUAUAGUGCAAUUCUCAUGCUUGGUUUCAAUGAGAAUUCUUCAGCCAUGACAUAACUUUUCCACCACACACGUUGCAUUUAUACCAAGCCAAUGCCCUCGUGCAAACUUGUGGACCCCACUGAUAAUAACAUGUUCUCUUUCAUGGUAACUUGGAGAUCUACAUGCCAAAAGAACUAAUCCAAUCUCUUAUCAAAAACAAAUUCACCAUCUGCGAGAAAUAUCAGUAUUUCUUUUACUGAUUCUGGAGUAAUUUGUCGAGCCCGCUCCACCUUCUUGACAAUUUUCUUGAGGCGCCAAAAUUGUCCACACCUUCAAAUCUUUGUGCAUACCAGAUUGGAUACACCUUUGACUUGAAUUCUCCACAAGCCAACAAAAAAUCAUUCUCCCAUUAAUUUUUUAACAACAUCAAACUCCACCAAGUUUGAAAAAUACCAGCUACUGACAUAUUUGCUUCAUAAAUGACCCUAUACUCUUCACCACGGACUAUUUAGAUUGGCUCCCACUGCUUCACAUGAACAGUACCGUAUACACGAACAAUAUCAUAUACGUGAAAUAGUAAUGUCUACGUGAACAGUACCCCGACAUCAAAACUUCAAUCAAUGGCUCUGAUACCACUGUUAGGAAAUUGAGUUUCCUUCCAAGAUCACUCCAAGCAAUUUGUCAAGCAACAAAUUAACAAAAAAUUUAAAUGGAGAAUACAACAAUCACACAACACAAGAUUUACGUGGAAAACUCCAAAUCCGGAGAAAAACCACAGCCGUUGUCAAGAGACAACCAGAAAAAAAAUAUUCACUAUGUGGAAAAUUAUUACAACCACACUCUCAUAAAUAAUUUUCUCACCCAAGCCCCAAAUACAUAAUUGCGAGAAAUAUUCCUUAACAAAGCAAACCCGUAAUACCCAUAUUGAGGAGCCAAAUGCUCCUUCAAUAUAAAUACAUGCUUAAGAAUAUUUCUCUCCCAUGUUGGAAGCUCUCAAUGCUUCUCUUACAUAUUCUUGCUUCUCAAAUUUUGGGAUUUCUUCUCUGGGAUACAAAAAUGAGAGGGAGAACCCCUCUAUUUAUAGCCAAACUUUGGCUUCAUUUUCUCCCUUUUCUUCUUUGCAUGGGCGGCACCCACCCAUUUUUUCUUGUUCAAUGAUGGUGGCUAACUUGGCCACCCACCAUCUUUGAAUUCAGAGAUGAUGGCUCAACCACCCAUCAUUUUGGCUUCUUUUUUUAAAAUCAAUUUUCAACAAUCUCUACCAUGAUUAAAAAAAAAAAAUUUCAUAGUCACUACUACAAAACAUUGUCUUCACCAAUAGUUAUAAUUCUCAAUAUAAAGAAUUAUCACACUACACCAUAAUGAGUAUACCACUUAGAAUCAACUAUUCUAAGAUUUUUCUCGGCACAUGUCAAAAUAUCCUGCUGAAAUUUAUAGUGCAAUUCUCAUGCUUGGUUUCAAUGAGAAUUCUUCAGCCAUGACAUAACUUUUCCACCACACACGUUGCAUUUAUACCAAGCCAAUGCCCUCGUGCAAACUUGUGGACCCCACUGAUAAUAACAUGUUCUCUUUCAUGGUAACUUGGAGAUCUACAUGCCAAAAGAACUAAUCCAAUCUCUUAUCAAAAACAAAUUCACCAUCUGCGAGAAAUAUCAGUAUUUCUUUUACUGAUUCUGGAGUAAUUUGUCGAGCCCGCUCCACCUUCUUGACAAUUUUCUUGAGGCGCCAAAAUUGUCCACACCUUCAAAUCUUUGUGCAUACCAGAUUGGAUACACCUUUGACUUGAAUUCUCCACAAGCCAACAAAAAAUCAUUCUCCCAUUAAUUUUUUAACAACAUCAAACUCCACCAAGUUUGAAAAAUACCAGCUACUGACAUAUUUGCUUCAUAAAUGACCCUAUACUCUUCACCACGGACUAUUUAGAUUGGCUCCCACUGCUUCACAUGAACAGUACCGUAUACACGAACAAUAUCAUAUACGUGAAAUAGUAAUGUCUACGUGAACAGUACCCCGACAUCAAAACUUCAAUCAAUGGCUCUGAUACCACUGUUAGGAAAUUGAGUUUCCUUCCAAGAUCACUCCAAGCAAUUUGUCAAGCAACAAAUUAACAAAAAAUUUAAAUGGAGAAUACAACAAUCACACAACACAAGAUUUACGUGGAAAACUCCAAAUCCGGAGAAAAACCACAGCCGUUGUCAAGAGACAACCAGAAAAAAAAUAUUCACUAUGUGGAAAAUUAUUACAACCACACUCUCAUAAAUAAUUUUCUCACCCAAGCCCCAAAUACAUAAUUGCGAGAAAUAUUCCUUAACAAAGCAAACCCGUAAUACCCAUAUUGAGGAGCCAAAUGCUCCUUCAAUAUAAAUACAUGCUUAAGAAUAUUUCUCUCCCAUGUUGGAAGCUCUCAAUGCUUCUCUUACAUAUUCUUGCUUCUCAAAUUUUGGGAUUUCUUCUCUGGGAUACAAAAAUGAGAGGGAGAACCCCUCUAUUUAUAGCCAAACUUUGGCUUCAUUUUCUCCCUUUUCUUCAUUGCAUGGGCGGCACCCACCCAUUUUUUCUUGUUCAAUGAUGGUGGCUAACUUGGCCACCCACCAUCUUUGAAUUCAAAGAUGAUGGCUCAACCACCCAUCAUUUUGACUUCUUUUUUUAAAAUCAAUUUUCAACAAAUAAUAUGUAAGCUUUUGUUAAUUGACUGCACUCGAUCAUUAAAAGUCUUACAAAGCAUGUAAAGUAAAAAAAUGGCACAUCCUCCAUCCGAAAGCAUCUAAAAUAAAAAGAUGGCACAUCCUCCAUCCGAAGUUUUUUACCAUUCGGCUUAAAUAUAUAGUCUCAUUUUUGGUAAUAAGCUCACAACAUGCAUAGGGAAGUUUUUAAUAGAUCUUCAUUCCCGUGGAUGUUGUGAGCUUAUUACCAAAAAUGAGACUAUACAGGUGUGGGACAAACAAAAAGGGAAGUUUUUUUUCCAUUCGGCUAAAUUUUAAUGUCACGCAAAAUAAUAUGUGAUCUUGAAUUCAUUUUAAUAUGAUAUCAACAUACGUAGGAAAUUCGUGAAUCAAGAAAUUUUGCAUGCCAGAGUCAGAGGAACAAUUAAAUAGAAUGCUUUUUAAGACAACAAUCACUGAUGAUCAUGUUUGCACACCAUCGGAGAGUACUGAAUAUCUACUAUCAGUCCUAUCUAAUUGAAAAAUGUACUGGUAGUUCGAUGAGUUUGUUUCCAUAGAAGCUACUAAAUAAAGAAAGGGAAAAAGAGUGGCUACAAAAAGGAGGAAAGUGGGAGGAGCUGUAAGGCUUUCACGGCAAAUUGAUUGCCUUGUUGAUGCUGUGGAAAUGGAGGUCGAACUCAAGAAGCAGAUCAUGGUACUAAUGUUCUUGAAGAUCAAGAGAUGGAGAGAUUGAAAAAUAAUAGUGCUGCAAGUGGAUAAUAUUAUAGUUAUAUAUUUCUUUACACAUGUAUAUAAUAUUAUAUUUCUAUGAAUUACUUUAUUACAAUAGUUUUGCGUACAUAAAAGUUUAUAUAGAGAUUAAAUUUUUGCAUUUUCUUUUUUGCAGUUAAGUUUAUUAAUCAAUUCAAGUAUUUGUGUAUAUUACGGACUACAUAACAAAUUUUUUAGUUAAAUAUAUUAUAGUUAAUUUUUAUUGCAAAUUAAAAUAGUUAAUAAAAAAUUAUUUAAAUAUGUAAUCAAGAAAAUAGAAUACGCUCUUCAAAAAUCCAAUGAAUAAGAAAAAUUAUUUAAAUAAUAAUAUUCUAAAUAAAUUACAAAUAAGUAAAUGAGUACAUUUUUGUCAUUUGCACAUGAACAUUAUACUUUUAAUUUUCACUUACCAGAUUUAUAUAGUAGAUUAUUUAAAAAUUGAUUGUCAAAUAAUCAUCAUUUACCAAACACCCGGCUAAAUUAUUCAUAAAAUUAAUUUUCUGAUAAUCAAGGUAAAAAUUAAUUAUUGGGAAGUAAAAGAAAUUCCAAACAUACCCUCAAUCAAUUAUAAGAGGGUUUUUAAUUAAAGAUACCUUAAAAGUAGGGUAUUUAGUUAAAUAUAUCACAUGCUUGAAAAUUAUCUAGAUAUACCUUUUUAUGUGGUACAUUGUUUAAAAUAUCCUUAAAAAAAUAUAUAAAACACACACAACUCGUCUCUAACACUCUUUACUUCUCACUCUUUUUAACUCCACACAACGAAAACUCACUCCACACUCAAAAUCACUCACGAACAGCUAAUGCAUUGAGAUUUUAAUUUGCAACUGGGUGCAUUAUUCAUCCCAUGAAUAAGGUAUUUGAAAUUUUUUUAUUUUGUGUUAUUUAUUCAUUUAAUUGACAUUAUAUUAUUUUUAGGGUUUUGUUUGGUUUGUGAUAAACACUAAAGCAACUCAUAUUUCAUUACAUUUGCAUCAUAUGACUGUUAUUUGAUGGAUUUUAUAACUACAUUCGUUAAAACCUGAAGUUGUUGCCAAAUUUUUUUUCUGCACCCGACAUACACGACAUCAGUCUUGUAUGUAUGGAUUUACAUAACUGUAGUCGUGCAAAUGUGCAAAAGAUUCCAAUUAUCAUGACACUUUAUCAUUCUAUUGGUGCAAAAAAUAUUUUUUUUUUCACUAUAUAUAUCCUUUUACUAUUACUGGACUAUAGUCGUGUGUGUUAAUAAGUUACACAACUACUAUCGUGUACGUAUGAACUUACAUACUAUAAUUGUGUAUAUAUGUAAAAUGUUCCAAUUGUUAUCAGAUCCCAACAUUUUUUUAAGAAGAAAUAUGUCCUCUGAUUAUUUAUUGAGUCAUAUAUUUUUGCAACUUACACGACUUUUGUCAUGUAUGUAUGAAUUUACACGACAACAAUCGUGCAAGUUUGGAAGAUAUAGUAGCUGUUAUGACACCUACCAUUCGGUUAGUACAAAGAUUACAGUUUUUUUUACUAAAUAUAUCAUCUGACUGUUUAUAGAACUAUAGUUGUGUAUUUUAGCAAGUUACAUAACUAUUGUCGUGUAAACUACCAAUUACACGACGUGAGUCAUGUAAAUAGGCAGACAGAUCCACACUUCGUUAUAUGCAUUGCUUGAUUUUAUUUUUGUAUUUGUUGUAUAAUCAACCGUUGUAUUAUUACAGAAAAUGACUUCAGUACGUGUGCCUAUUAUGUUUUGUGGUGAAUGGAUUGAGCAAAACGGCCAUUAUAGAUUUAAUGAUACAAAGGCAAGAGGGAUCAUAGUGCCAUAUUCUACAACGUAUGCACAAUUGAUAGAAAUAGUAUCUCGGGUUAUUUAAUAGGCAACCAAAUUACCAGAGGCUUAUACAAUAUGGACCGAGUGUUUGGGUUGAAAAUGCAAAAAAAUUAUGAUGAUUGUUAAACAACUUCUAUUGUAUUAUGACUUAUUUACGAUUCAAAUAAGUAUUGGAUUUAUGUUGUUUGAUAGGCAACCAGACUACAGUUAGUUUCAUUUAUUUGAAAUUUAAUAUGUUAAAGUUUAUAUUGAUUGUGUCAUCAAUAUAAUGAAUGUUUUAGUUGAUUUUUUAUUCUGUGUCCACAUACCCGAGUACAAUCGUGUAUUUUGGCUGUUACAGAACUGGUCAUGUUUAUUUACAAAUACUCGACUGCAGUCGUGUAUCUGUGCAAAUACCUGACUGCAGUCGUGUAUUUUCCUAUAGAGAGCUAGUCAUAUUUAUUUGUAAAUACUCGACUGUAGUCGUGUAUCUGUGCAAAUACCCAACUACAGUCGAGUAUUUUCUUACAGAGAGCUGGUCAAAUAUAAUUAUAAAUACUCGAUUGCAGUCGUGUAUCUGUGUAAAUACCCGAAUGCAGUCGAGUAUUUUCUUAUAGAGAGCUGGUUAUGUACAAUUGUAAAUACUUGACUGUAGUCGUGUAUCUGUGUAAAUACCCAAUUGCAGUCGAGUAUUUUCUUACUGAGAGCUAGUCAUGUAUAUUUGUAAAUACUCGACUGCAGUCAUGUAUCCGUGCAAAUAGCUAAUUGCAGUCGUGUAUUUUCUUACAGAGUAUUCCCUGACCAUAUAUGGCAAUCCUGUUACAUCACAUAGAUUGUACAAACUAUCUUCACUAUCAUUAAUAUAGUUAACAAAGAAAUAAAACAUAUUAAUGAUGUCAAGUUAUCUUUAAUGACAUCAAAUAUCAACAACAUCCUCAUUAUAACUAUCACAUCUCAUGGUCCAAAAAUGACACACCAAUAAAGUUUUUAAGGGUAGUACACUACAAAGUUUUUUUCCAUGACCUAUGCCCAAAUAAUUUGACAACCAAGGCUUUUCGAAAUUGUAUAACAUGAUCUUGUUUGCAAUAUGAAUUGACAUCAAGUCCAUGGGUUAGGACCUCCAAGUACCGCAACAAAUUCUCCACAAUCACCACUAAAAAAAGUAAAAUAAAUCAAUUGUUAAAAAUCAGCAUUCUUAUUAUUAUGUUCAAAACACAUUAUAUAUAUAGUACAUACCCUAAUUUUUGUUGCGGGAUGUCACACACUCGCACGAUGGGCCAAGGAAUUUUCGAUGUAACCUCAAUAUAGUCUGGAUGUGUUUCGUGAUACGCUAUCUUUUGAAGUACUAGAGGUAUCAUGUCUGCAACAGGCAGCAAUUGUCUCACUAAAACUUAAGUCUAUCAUGGAGUCAUAAAUAGAAAUCUUGCCACAAGAAAUUUAUAAUGCUUGCAGUAAUCAAAUGGCCUCAUAAAUAGAAAUCUUGCCACAAGAAUCCUUUGUUAAGUCUAUCAUGGAGUCAUUAAUUCAAUUAGAUUAAUCUCAGCAACAAGAAAUUUAUAAUGCUUGCAGUAAUCAAAUGGCCUCACAAUUCUAAACUAACUCUCCAUCCAUCAUUAAUCCUCUUGCUUCUUGAGCAAUUAAUGAAAAAUUAAAUUUAUCCACCCACUAUUUCCACUUCUAAGUAAAUAUAAUGUCAAUAGUCCAAAAUUAAAUUAUCUCGUACAAGUUUCCUAAAUAACAUCUUUCAAUAGUUGAAAAUAAGAAAUUAGAUAUAUGUAAUGCAUGUUUUUUUUUUUCAUUAAAACUAUAACCCAUAUCUCCACAUAAGCACAACUCCAAUACUUGAGCCUUUGUACCAAAUUUCCAGGUAAUUCAAGAUAGAUUCUAAUGUUACUAACAAAUCACACAAAUUAGCAAAGCAUAUAUUCGAUAAAAUCAUACUCAACAAGGUGUAACUGUCAAGUUUUUGAGUGGUAACUCACCUUUCAUUCGCCCAAUUUCAAUUCAAGGCAACAAAUUUAUGGGCUGGAACAAACGGCAACAGAGACAUAAAGUAACAGCAGCAAAGCGUCAUUGGCGUUAAUCUCAUCUAAUGGCGCAUCAGAGGGAUAGCAAUCGAGCCUGGCAAACAACUCUUCACUCUUUUUUGCUUGCUUGGAUUGGAUUCAAUCUUGAGGAAGGUUUGAAUUUGGCAAAAAUGGGUGUUGUGCACGCUAGUCGUGAGAGAGAAUUAGGGAUUGUGUUUUGUGACUGAUUGUGCAGGGUAAUUUGAAUGAUUUAGGUUUUUAAUUAGAGCAAUUUCGUAGCUGCACAUUAAAAAAGGUAUAUAUGGGGAAUUUUAGAGUAUGGGGGUGUUCUUAGAUAAAUACAUUUUUUUGGGGUAUGCCACGGAUAAAUCCCUGACUAUAAGAAGUUAUUUAAGUUGUACUAUUUAAUGGGUUUUAUUAAUAGUGAGCGCGUUUAUCAAAUAUAUAAAAAUAAAUAUUUUAGUUAUUAUCCACCUAUUCUCUUGAAAUCAUUCUCAAAAAUUUUUCGUUUACCUAAAAUUCCAAGUAAAAUAGAUAAAAGAAGAAGAGUUGGGGUAAAAACAAAUGGAAGGAAAAACAGGGCUCCCUGUUUUCAAAUUAUCUAUAAGUUACGAAAGGAGAAUGGUUCAGAUUAUCUUGAGCUCUGCGGUCAAACCGUCCAUCAGGCGGAUUCAGAUUUUGAAUUAUCUGUCAUAAUUUGGUUUCCCACUUAAGCAUGCUUAUCAUUGGUUUGAUAUUUGCUUUUUAAGACGACAAUCACUGAUGAUCAUGUUUGCACACCAUCUGAGAGUACUGAAUAUCUACUAUCAGUCCUAUCUAAUUGAAAAAUGUACCGGUAGUUCGAUGAGUUUGUUUCCUUAGAAGCUACUAAAUAAAGAAAGGGAAAAAGAGUGGCUACAAAAAGGACGAAAGUGGGAGGAGCUGUAACUGUAAGGCUUUCACGGCAUAUUGAUUGCCUUGUUGAUGCUGUGGAAAUGGAGGUCGAACUCAAGAUGCAGAUCAUGGUACUAAUGUUCUUGAAGAUCAAGAGAUGGAGAGAUUGAAAAAUAAUAGUGCUGCAAGUGGAUAAUAUUAUAGUUAUAUAUUUCUUUACACAUGUAUAUAAUAUUAUAUUUCUAUGAAUUACUUUAUUACAAUAGUUUUGUGUACAUAAAAGUUUAUAUAAAGAUUAAAUUUUUGCAUUUUCUUUUUUGCAGUUAAGUUUAUUAAUCAAUUCAAGUAUUUGUGUAUAUUACGGACUACAUAACAAAUUUUUUAGUUAAAUAUAAUAUAGUUAAUUUUUAUUGCAGAUUAAAAUAGUUAAUAAAAAAGUUAUUUAAAUGUGUAAUCAAGAAAAUAGAAUAUGCUCUUAAAAAAUCCAAUGAAUAAGAAAAAUUAUUUAAAUAAUAAUAUUCUAAAUAAAUUACAAAUAAGUAAAUGAGUACAUUUUUGUCAUUUGCACAUGAACAUUAUACUUUUAAUUUUCACUUACCAGAUUUAUAUAGUAGAUUAUUAAAAACUGAUUGUCAAAUAAUCAUCAUUUACCAAACACCCGACUAAAUUAUUCAUAAUAUUAAUUUUCUGAUAAUCAAGGUAAAAAUUAAUUCUUGGGAAGUAAAAGAAAUUCCAAACAUACCCUCAAUCAACUACAAGAAGUUAUUUAAGUUGUAGUAUUUAAUGGGUUUUAUAAAUAGUGAGCGUGCUUAUCAAAUAUAUAAAAAUAAAUAUUUUAGUUAUUACCCACCUAUUCUCUUGAAAUCAUUCUCAAAGUUUUUUCGUUUACCUAAAAUUCCAAGGAAAAUAUAUAAAGGAAGAAGAGUUGGGUUAAAAAAAAAAAAAUGAAGGAAAAACAGGCCUCCUCUGUUUUCAUUCCCCUGUUUUGAAAUUAUCUAUCAGUUACGAAAGGAGAGUGGUUCAGAUUAUCUUGAGCUCUGCGGUCAAACCCGUCCAUCAGGCGGAUUCAGAUUUUGAAUUAUCUGUCAUAAUUGGUUUCCCACUUAAGAAUGCUUAUCAUUGGUUUAAUAUAUUGCUGUUCCACUUGUUUAAUGAAUGGAUUCCCACCUACGCGUUUGCUUAUUAAAAGAAUAAAUCUUGCUUUUGCUUUUCUAGAGAAAUAAUGCAAUAUGCAAUUAUGCGUGAUGGUGCGCGUCCAUGUGAGAAAGUUGACGAAAGCUUCUUUUUCAGUAUUGCAAGUGCUAUCCACAGCGGAACUCCACAAUCGAAACCAUCAUUACGACAAUUUUUCUCUGUCGUUUCAAUUUUUAAUUGAAUAUAAAACAAGUAAGGUCAAAUAAAGUCUGGUCCACCAAUUUAAUCAGUAUGAACGUAUGGAUCCCAUCAUUAAUAUUAUAAAUAUGUGGGUCCUUUAAUUAUUACAUUAUAUGAUUAUUGUAUUAUUUAUAGAUUGCUUUAAUCAUGACAUAUUACGAAAGGAGAUUCCCCUUGGAAAAAAAAUAAAAAAGAGAUUCCCUCUUCGGCGACUGAAAAUAAAAGAAAUUAAGGGCUGCAUGAUUGAGUCUUCUUCUUUUGCAAAUCAUUAUCAUUACUCUCAUAAGCUCUCUAUAAUUACAUUCCUCUGCAGGUAACAUUAACUUUUUGCUCAUUAAAAUUGCACUUAAAUACUCAAGGCGAUUACAGAAGCUCAUCAACUUUCCAUAAUUAAACAGGAUUUCCACAACCUUCAAUUAAUUUCUUUUAAUAACAUAAUCUCUGAUGCUUGAUCUCUAUACAAUUUCUUUCUUAAUUUCCAUCCACUUUCCAAGAUAAAAUUUCUAUGGCUUGUUCAUUUAUCAUUUUUUUUUUGGGACACUUGAAGCACGUUUCUGUUAAUAGCAAAAACUCUGAUCCUUAAGAAAGAAGAAAAAAUGCUCUGUUCAUGUUUCAGUUGAUUCAAGAUCAAUUUUGCGAUACUGUUUGCCGUCUUUUUUUCUCUCUCUAGUUUAUUUUAAUUUAUUUGUAUUCCUUUCCCCUUUCUUUGACAUAUUAUUAGAUUUGUUAAGCAGCAGGCAAUGGCAGAAGUGGGUCUGGCUGCUUUUUCCAGCAUUGUAUCAGAAGGUUCAAAGUCACUGUUCAAACUGAUUAUACGGCAGAUAUCUUAUGUGUUCAAGCACCAGAGCUACAUAGAUGGCCUGAAAGAUCAAGUGAAGCAGCUGGGAUAUAGAAGAGAAACGGUGCAACAACCUGUUAAUCAUGCUAGACUACAAGGGGAUGAGAUUUAUGAGGGUGUCACAGACUGGCUAAAUAAAGUUGAUGAAUUCAUCAGUGAAGGGGUUGCAAAAUCCAUCAUUGAUGAUGAAGAUAGAGCUAAGAAGUCCUGCUUCAAAGGGUUGUGCCCCAACUUGAUUUCUCGUUACCAGCUUAGUAAACAAGCAGCAAAGGCCGCAGAAGCUGCCGCUAGUCUCGAGGGAAAAGGCACCUUCUCUAGUGUUUCCUACCGUCCUGCUCCAAAGAGUACAGAAUAUAUGCCAGUGAAAGAUUACGAGGCCUUCGAUUCAAGAACGAAAGUAUUUCAAGAUGUUGUGGAUGCGUUGAAGGAUGAUAGUUUCAAAAUAAUUGGGGUCUAUGGGAUGGGCGGCGUGGGUAAAACCACGCUAGUUAAGCAAGUUAGAAAGCAAGUGAUGGAAGAUAAGUUGUUCGAUAAGGUCGUUAUGGCUGAGGUAACACAGACACCAGAUCAUCAUAAAAUUCAAGACAAACUUGCUUUUGAUUUAGGCAUGGAAUUUGACUUGAAUGAGAAUGAAUUUCAAAGAGCUUCUCGACUGUGUCAAAGGUUGAAGCAAGAGAAGCGGCUCCUCAUUAUACUGGAUAAUAUUUGGACAAAACUUGAGUUCGAUAAAGUUGGAAUUCCUUAUGGGGAUGUUGAUGAGAAAGAUAGAGAGGACGAUCGGAGUAGACGCACAAUAAUAUUGACGUCUCGAAGUCGAGAUUUAUUGUGCAAUGAUAUGAAUUCUCAGAAAAAUUUCUGGAUCGAUGCUUUAUCCAAAGAUGAAGCAUUGCAGUUAUUUGAGAAGAUUGUGGGUGAUUCAAAAAAAACAUAUGAUUUUCAACCCACUGCAGAUGAGAUCGUUGAAAAAUGCGGGGGAUUGCCUGUUGCACUGAGAACAGUUGCAAGUGCUCUGAAAAAUAAGAGUCUUGCCAGUUGGAAGGAUGCAUUGAAUCAGCUAAGAAGUUCCAAUCUAAGAGAAAUUCGUGGUAUGGAUGCAGAUGUGUAUUCUUCCAUAAAAUUGAGUUACGAUUUCUUGGAAAGUGAUGAAGCAAAAUCUUUGUUCCUUCUUUGUACUCUGUUUGGUGAAGGUCAUCCUAUAUACGUACAUUACUUAUUGAGAUAUGGUAUGGGUUUGGGUCUAUUUAGAAAUGUUUACACAUUGGAAGCAGCAAGGAAUAGAGUGGAUGCAUUGAUCGACAGUCUAAAAGCUUCAUGCUUAUUGUUGGACGGUGAUGCUGAAGAUGAAGCUAAAAUGCAUGACGUCAUUCAUGUUGUUGCUGUAUCAAUUGCCGCAGAGAAGCUUAUGUUUAAUAUUCCAAAUGUUGCUGACUUUGAGAGAGAGAUGGAAGAGACAAUACGGAAAGGUCCAAUCGCUAUUUCCUUACCUUAUAGAGAUAUUCAAGAGCUCCCUGAGAGGUUGGAAUGUCCCCAACUCAAGUUAUUUUUUUUGUUUGCAAAGCAUGAUAGCUCUUUGCAAAUUUCACACCUCUUUUUUGAAGGGGCAGAAGAACUCAAAGUUUUAGACUUUACUGGAAUAUUUUUCUCUUCAUUACCUUCAUCACUUGGUUGCCUCAUUAACGUUCAAACAUUAUGUUUAGAUGGUUGCCGACUGAACGAUAUAGCAAUAGUUGGACAGCUAAAGAAAUUAGAGAUUCUCAGCUUUCGAGAUUCUGAUGUUAAGGAGUUGCCACUUGUAAUUGGACAAUUGACGAGAUUACAGUUGCUAGAUUUGAGAAAUUGUAGCAGCCUUGUGGUGAUAGCUCCAAAUGUCAUAUCAAAAUUAUCUCGAUUAGAAGAACUAUACAUUGGUAACAGCUUUUCACAAUGGGAGAAGGUUGAAGGAGGAAGUAACGCCAGUCUUGCUGAAUUGAAUGGGUUGUCAAAGCUAACUACUUUGGAGAUACACGUUCGGGAUGCCGAAAUUCUACCGCAGGAUUUGGUCUCUGUGGAAUUGCAAAGCUAUAGGAUAUGUAUAGGAAAUGAGUGGUGGAGCAGCCGGUCCGUUAAAUCUGGAUUAUCAAGAUUGAUGAAGCUCCAGGGGCUAGAAAAGUUUGGCAUUCUUUUGCAGAAUUACAGGAUGAAACUGUUGUUGGAGAGAACUGAAUAUCUCUAUCUAAAAGAACUGAAGGGUGUUCAGAAUGUUGUUCAUGAAUUAGAUGAUGGGGAAGGUUUUCCACGAUUGAAGCAUCUUCACGUAGAAAGUUGUUCUGAGAUUUUACACAUUGUCGGUUCAGUUGGACGGGUUCGUCGCAAAGUCUUCCCCUUGCUGGAGUCAUUGUCUCUUUGGUGUUUGAGCAAGUUGGAGACAAUAUGUGACAGCCAACUCACAGAAGAUCAAUCUUUCAGCAACUUAAGGAUUAUAAUAGUACGCGGCUGUGACAAAUUGAAGCAUCUUUUCUCAUUCUCCAUGGCCAAAAACCUACUGCGGCUUCAAAAGGUAGAAGUGUUAUUUGGCGGUGAUCUGGAAAUGAUUGUUGGUAAGUGUUGAAAUUAAGUACUGGUGGGAUUAUGGACUUCACCUCAAUUAUUUUGAAAAAAAAAAACGACAAAGAUUAAUUAUGUAUAUUGUUUUUGUUUGUUUAUAGGACCCGACAGGGAGAAACCAACAACUUCUUUGGGAUUCAACGAAAUCAUUGCUGAUGAUGAUACCGCUCCAAAGGUGAUAAUUUUCUGUACAAUAAUUAAUUGAUUAAUUUAUUAUCACGAUUAAUCUUCGAUCAUCAAAAGAAUAUUAUACUAGACGGUUGUACUUGAAGGAACAAAAAUGUACGGGUUUUCUUUGCAGGUUAUUCUUCCGAGCUUAGAGGAAUUGAAUCUCACGCUAUUAAGAAACAUGAAAAAAUUAUGGGCCGAUCAUAAUCAAGGAAUGUACUGUUGUCAAAAUUUAACAAAGGUGAUCGUGAGCAGUUGUGAUCGUAUGAAGUAUCUGUUUUCGUAUUCUAUGGUUAAUAGUCUUUUGCUACUCCAACAUCUUGAGAUAAGAGCUUGUAAGUCAAUGGAAGGGGUAGUCGACACCACGGGGUGGUCAGAAAGAGAUGAAGGACAUAUUCAUUUCCCUAAACUACACUCCCUCGAGCUCCAUUGUCUUCCAGAACUAACAAGCUUCGCCAAUACGGGACAUAUUCAUUCAGAUUUAGUUGUUGAAUUCCCUUCUUUGCUAGAACUCCGGAUUAGUGGUUGCAGUAAUAUGUUAAGAUUCAUCUCUACGAGCUCACCAGAAGACACCAUUCAUUCUGAAAUGCAACCUCCUCCUCUUUUUGACGAAAAGGUUUUUUUUUUUAAUAAAAAAAUUAAUUUUAGUCACAAUACUUAAUUUUUCUUUUCCUUGAGUCUUCAAAUUUAGUUAAUAUCCACCUCUAAUUUAGUUAUCAAUUGAUUAUGCCAUUAAUUGAUUAAUUAGUUAUUUAAUCUUUAACUGCCAGGUACGACUUCCUAGGGUGGAGGUAUUACUUAUGGAGAUGAUGGAUAAUUUGAGAAGAAUAUGGCACCACCAGCUUGCUUCGGAGUCUUUCAGCAAAUUGAAGAAUUUGGACAUAUGGUGGUGUGAUAACCUAAGAAAUAUUUUUCCUCCAUUGGUAAGGUUGCUGUAUUCAUUUCGAAUCUUUUUUCCCAGAUAAAAUUCAACCAUUUUUUAACCAUUUUUGUGUUUACAAAUGGUAUUCAGCCACUAAUUAUUUAUUUCAAGUAUUGUACUUCAAAUUAACCACCACUCUGAAAUCUACGUUUUAAGUCCGGUUUUCAAUUUAAUUGUUUUUGCUCAUAUCUUAAAAGUACGAUUUUCAAAAAUUAAAGGAUCGUCUCUCAUCUUAUAGGUUCACAAAUUCAUCUAUAUAUUUCUCUUUUCCUUAAUUCUUCACGUUUCGAUUGGAAAAAAAAAUAAAAGUCUUCAAAUUUAAUUAAUAUCUCUAGUUUAGUUACGAAUUGAUUAUGCCAUUAAUUAACCACAAAUUCAUGAUUAUUUACAACUGACCCUUGAUUGUAAAGAAAUUUCCUCGAGUCUGGAAGUACUUAAUAAAGAUCCACUUUACAGCAGUCCCUUGUUGACAGUAUUGGGAAAUCUUUUCCAAUUUUUUUUUCCAUUUUUAAAUAUACAUUAAAAAAAGGAACCAAGGAAAAGGGAAAAAUGGUUGAGUUUUUUUUUUUUUUUUUAAAAAAAAGGAAUAGUUGAAAUUUGCAAAUUUAUGCUUAAAAACUGAUAUCAAGAUGCAAAAGAAGUCUAAAAUAUUUAGAAAUUGCCUUAAAUUCUUUCUACGUUUCUAAUACUAAAUAGUGUAAAUGCAUUUUUAUUAUCUUUGUUUAUCUGGGUUUUAUUUAUUUAUUUAUCUUGUUCUAUUUUUGUUUAACAAAAAAUAUCUAGUAGACAUUUCAUAAUUUGUUAUGUUCAUAAAAUGUAUAAUUGUAUGAUUAAACAUACUUUGAACCUAGUUGAAUGAUAUUCUUACAUUUUUACUUUUUUAAUACACCACACAUGCACACACUUUUGCUUAUUUUCAGGUUGGAAUUCCUAGUAGUCUGGUGAAUCUUAAAGUAUCGGGUUGCCCAAAAUUAGAAGAAAUCGUAGGACAUGCUGGAGAAGAAGUGAAGGAGAAUCGUAUUGCUUUCAGCAAAUUAAAAGUUUUGAUACUUGAUGAUUUACCAACGCUUACCAGCUUUUGUUUGGAGAAUUACACUCUUGAAUUCCCAUCACUGGAACGAGUUUCUAUGACACAUUGUCCGAACAUGAAGAAUUUUUCUGACGGAAUCUUAUCCAUUCCAAAGCCAUGCAAAGUACAAGUGACUGAAAAGGAAGAGGGUGAACUGCACCAUUGGGAAGGCAAUAACCUUAAUUCCACUAUACAAAAGUGUUAUGAUGAAAUGGUAUGUGUUAAUCGAUUCACCCAAAUUGUUCAUGCAUCUCCCCUGCACUUGCACAUUUAAGCAUAUACACCUCCCUUGUAUAUAUAUUUUUAGAAGUUAAAACACAAAACAUGUAAGUUUAAUGUGUAUAUAUAUAAUGCCUUUCAAAAACAAAAUUGUAUAUAUCUGGUGCAAUUGUUUUGGUUUGUGCAGAUUGGAUUCCUUGAUAUAAACCGUUUGCAACUCUCGCAUUUUCCACGCUUGCAAGAAAUAUGGCAUGGCCAAGCACUGCCUGUCAGCUUCUUCAACAAUUUAGCAGAGCUGGUGGUGGAUGACGGCACGAAUAUGUCGAGUGCUAUUCCUGCCAAUCUGCUACGGUGCUUGAACAAUUUGGAAUGGCUGGCAGUGAGGAAUUGUGAUUCACUAGAAGAGGUGCUUCAUUUGGAAGAGCUAAGUGCUAAGGAAGAACAUAUAGGCCCCCUGUUUCCUAGGCUUUUAAGCCUAAAGCUCAUUGAUCUUCCAAAACUCAAAAGAUUCUGCAACUUCACUGGGAAUAUAAUUGAACUGCCUAAGUUGGAAUAUCUAAUUAUUGAGAAUUGCCCUGAUAUGGAAACAUUCACAUCCAAUUCUACAUUUGUACUGCACAUGACAGCAGAUAAUAAGGAACCUCAAAAAUUAAAAUCAGAAGAGAACCUCUUGGUAGCUAAUCAAAUACAAUAUCUCUUCGAUGAAAAGGUAAUCAUUAUUAUUAUUUUCCCUUCACUUUCGUUCGCACAUAUGUAAUUUCAUUAUAAUCAAAUCAAAUUUAAUGACUCAUCUUUUUGCACGUCGUCUUAAUUUAUAUCUGAUUUAACAAUAUAACCGCAGUUAUUAACUAACUUUAUAGUAUGAAUUAUAAAAAUGUCUGAAAUUAAUUGGAUGCCUGGUAACACGAGGUGAUGAACUAUACUAAUUAUGUGUGUAACAUCUCUGUUUUCCUAGCUAAUUCAUAUUGGAUUUAGCAUCAGAUUUCAUUUAUGUAUUUCAAAGGGUAAUCGAUUUGAUACUGAUAUUUGGGAUCCUACUGCAAAGCAUACUAAUAUGGAAAUAAAAUAUAAAAUGUCGUGAUUAAUCUUGUCCGUAAAAUAUGCAGGGGAAGACUGCAGAGAUUGGAUACAUAUUUUCAUUUACAACUUAAUUUUGUUGAUUUUCAGGUUGCAUUCCCUAAAUUGAGGAAGUUAAGGCUGUCUAGAUUACACAAAGUGCAGCAUCUCUGGAAGGAAAAUGCCGAAUCCAACAAAGUAUUUGCAAAUUUGGAAAGUCUAAAAAUAUCGGAAUGUAGUAAGUUGCAAAAAUUAGUACCACCUUCGUGGCAUUUGGAAAAUCUUGAGGCUUUGAAAGUAUCGAAGUGUCACAGGUUGAUAAAUGUGUUGACGCUCUCAGCAUCUAAAAAUCUAGUGAAUCUCGGAAGAAUGAAGAUAGUUGAUUGCAAAAUGAUGGAAGAAAUUAUACAGUCGCAGGUUGGAGAAGAAACGGAAGAUUGCAUUGUUUUUGGGAAAUUGAGGUACUUGGAACUUGACUGUUUGCCAAGCCUAACAAGCUUUUGUUUAGGUAAUUACGCUCUUGAAUUCCCGUCCUUGAAACAAGUAGUUGUGAGACAGUGUCCAAAAAUGAAGAUCUUCUCUCAAGGAGUCUUAGACACACCAAUGCUAAACAAAGUGAACGUCACCGAAGAAGAAAAAGAUGAUGAUGAAGAAGAUGAUGAUGAUGAAGGAUGUUGGGAAGGCAACCUCAAUGACACCAUAAAAAAAUUGUUCAAUGAAAUGGUGAGUAUCAAUUAAGUUUUGGUGCUAUUUAGCAAAUUAUUUUAUAGAAACUAAUGUGAUAUAAUAUGAUUGGUUGACUGAAAAUAUAUAAUAAUAAUAAUAAUAAUAAAUAAAUAAAUAAAUUAUGAGGGCCAUGUAAUGUUUUUAUUUAACCAAUCAUAUUAUCUCGCAUUAGUUUAUACAAUAUUGUUUGUGCACAAGAGGUGGUGGUCCUAUCAUUACUCUAGCUUUAUUAUUCUUAUGGUGGCAAUGUAUGCUUGCUUACACGAGUAAUUACAAAAUGUGCAGAAUUCUAAAGAAGAUAUUGAGCCAACCCUUCAGGUACAGUGAAGAAGCUAUCUCGAACCAGGCCAAUCUCUUAUACAUGAUUUAGCUUGCUCGUUCUUCUGUACUUGAAUAAUUUGGUUCUACAUAUUUACAAUUUUUUGCUCAUGCUACAGACGUGCAAGACACUUUGGAUUUUGUUUGAUGCAUUCUCCGUUUAAAGAAAGGACUUGAAUUGAUUUUUCAUGUUUCAUGCAAUAUUCGAUUAGAUUCUGCCUAAAUUUCUGUAUUAUUCUCUUUUAAGCAUUUAAUUUCUAACCUCUCCUGAUAGAAGAUCCUUAGCCUAAGAAAACAGCAUAACAUUUGUGAAAAAGAAUUAAUUAUCUCACACCAGAUUAGAAAAAGAAAACAGCAUAACAUUCGAUUAGAUAGUAAAAUUAUCUCGACCACUGUUAAAAAGAAUUAAUCAGUCGAAUCUCACACCAGCACGCUUUAAAUUAAAAGAAUUUCGUGAAGUCAAGACCAUGUUAUAGAUCUCAUGGAAAGAAGUAAACCCGUAAUCUUUUUCACAGCAUCAUAAGAAAAAUCGUUUUUUUUAAGUAUUUUUGUUAGCUGUCGAGUUUUAAUAGUAGUAGCUAUUAAACAAUAACAAUUAGUGUAUAUUAAAAAGUUGGAAACUGGUUGAUACCACUCGGGAAUCGAGCAGUUCACUUGUUUGCGAGUAGAAACCAACUUUACUACUAAUUACACUCCAAAAAUCACUAUUCUUCAUUUUUUAAUGCAAAAUUCCCAUUCGAAAACACCAAUGACUUUCAUUCAAAGUAAAUGAGAAAUUACAAUGAAAAUAGAAUCAAAAUACAUGUAUGUAUACCUAAAACAAAUGAUUUUUUUAAUUAAAAAAAAAACACAGUUGAGGUGAAAUGAAACCAGAGUCAUGAUAUCUCUGGUUCCAACUUUGGGACAACAGCAGACUUGAGUUCUAUAUGAGAAACACGUACAGCACCAAUCAGCCGCUCCGGUAAUUCAUCUGUAGUAUUUGCCUGCAUACAGAAGAGUAAGAUAAAGAAGACACACACGAAGCAUUAUACCAUUCUGAGAACAUUCAAGUAUGCAAAAAUGCAAAUUGCAGUGCAAUAUCUCAAAAUCAUGUCUUUUCCCUUGUGUCCAUUUAGAAGUGGGGGAAAAAAACAAUCAUACAUACCUGUACAAGGAAAGCCAUGUCAACCACCAAUGUCGUAACUACACCAAUUACAAGGCCCAAAACUCCAUUAGCAACAGUAGAAGAACCGAUGUCAACAUUAAUCUACAGAAAGAUGAACAAUGUUAAACCAUGUUAAUGGUAUCGGAUGCUAUUUGAAAGAUGAACAUCUCAUGUACUAUAGAAAUUCCAAGAGCAUUUACUUCUAAGUACUUGGGACCGCGAAUAUAGUUACAAUCAACUGCUUUACCCAAUAAGCAAAGGGUGCUUCCAACACUCUGGCGCACGAUCCAUGACCCCUGCAUGAUUCAGUGCUUAAAAUCAAGAACAAGUGCAAAACAAAUUCAAGAGGGUAAAAAUGGACAUGAAGUUUGAAGGUACAACCCAUCAAUACAUUUACACCUAAAUGCAUGCCUUCUUUGGACAAAUUGAAGUGUACCAUGCAGUAAAGGGUUAGUAUACGUUAAUAUAGUCCUAAUACAUGAAGGCCAAGAUGGAUACCUUAGGAACAGAUGGAAUAAGUUUCAACCUGCUAUUGCGAAACUCAUCAUCGCCAUCAACAAACCGUUGCAAAAGUGAUCCCAUAACCAAUUGCCUUGCGACUAAAUAAAAUACCAUACUAUAAUGUGUUGAUCCAGGAACCUGCAGAUGCUUAGGUUACAACUAUACAACCUCCCAAUACAAUAAGUUUGAAACUUAAUACCUUCUGAAAUGAAACAAACUUACUUGAAGAUUAAAGAUCAGUGAGAAAAGCCCAUUUUCGGAAGCAACCUACAUUUUUUAGAAGAGGGUUAGUGUGUUAUAGAUUCAAUGAACCAUGAGAAGUUAUUUACAUUGUAGUAUCUCACAGGCAGUAUUUUCUCCUAAUGCAUCAAUGGAAAAGGAAAAAUAAAAAGAAAAGAAUAGUUACUUGUGCAGCACAGCCUUGACGCCUAGCUACAUGGUCCAUUCUCUUUGUGUCUUUGAACCAAUCAACAGCAACAAGAUCCAUUAAAUGUUUUCCCGCAGGUAUCUGCAGUUACAAAUUGCACAAAGCACAAGAAGAGCCAACCAAACUACAUCAUAACCUGUCUACCUAGCCUAUGCAGGAUAUAUAAAUACCAUAACAAACAAACAAAAUAUGGGGGAACCUUUGUUUUGUCAUAACAAAAAUGCUUGCUACGAACUCUAAAGUUAUUUCCAUCAGAAAGUUUCCAGCAGUCACGAGCAUUAUCACAGUCAUCGUGUCGUAGAUUGCCCGAAAAACAAGACAAAUCAAUUUGAUCAGCCUGCUCUUCCUCUAGGGCUGCAACUAAUUGAAAUUUUUUUUUUUAAAAAAAAAAGAUCAAUACCAUAAAAAUCCACUAGCCAAAUAUACAAAAAUGAAUACUUAUCAUCCACCUGUCCUCUUGAAAUCAUUCUCAAUCUUUUUUUCAUUUGCCUGAAAUCCCAAGGAAAAAUAUGUAACUAAUACUUCCCAUUCAUGAAUAUUGUCUAUCGUAUAAACAUGACAUUUUUAAUUGGAAUAAUAAAAUUAUUUAAUUAUUUUAAUUAAAUGUUAAUCCUACAAAUUAUUUUUGUUAAAUCUAGCAAGAAUAACUAAAAUUUCUUUAAGAUAUAUUUUGGUGGUAAAUUAAAAAAAAUUUAAUUAUUUGGCGGGAAUUAUUGAAAUUGGAGCCAUUUUUUUUUGUGGGAAUUGAAAUAUAUUCUUUAAAUUAUUACAUAAAUAGCAAAAUGUACAUACACACACAUAUAUAUAAUUCAUAUAUAAAAAUUCUCUAAUUUGUUCACAAGUACCAUAGAUUAUAAUUCAGUUAUGAAAUAAAAUAACUACAAUUAUUAUAGUUAAAUGAAUACUUCAUUAAUUCUUAAUUUGCAUCCUAACAUUAAAUGAACAACUUGAGUCAGCCACCUGAAUUAACCAGUAACAACGCCUGAGUCAACCAUCUGAAUAAACCAGCAACCCUAGCUGAUUCCAGCACCUGCAAUUAACGUCAGCACAACAGGAACAAUCUUAAAUCAACACCAAGAACAGACCAAACUGCUGUCAAAUGUCACAAAACCAAACAGUCUGCUACUGCCAUCAAAUGCAAGCAAACAUAUGCAACAAAACCAGAUGCAAGUGAAAUUCUGGAGAAUAUCGGAUAAACCAAACCAAAUGCCACACUUCUAGUAAUUAGACUAGAUGCAGUGUUCAAUUAAACUAAAUGUAGUCUCAUAUUACAUUCAAAAUUUCUAAAAGAAGCAGUGUUCCAUCAGAGAAGCACCAAAACCAAACCAAUCUAAUCCAGCAUAAUUACCAGCUCAACCCAAAACAAUUACACAUUAUAUUGACAUAUCAAAAUUCGCUAUCAAAACAUAGCCAAAUAAAUGAAAAUAAACUCAAAACAGACCCAAACCAACUGAUGUUGCAGCCCUAGUAGUCGUUGUCCGUUCCACUGCCAUGGGAGCGAGGGUAGGCUCCGUUGUCGAUGAGUGAGUAAGAUAAGGCUCCAAAUAAAUAGUUCCACCUCCUUUCUGCAAUUCAAAAAACAGAAAUUCAUAUAUGUAAAACUAUUAAAAAUUGUGAAACAACCUGUAAGUAUUCAACUUCUGUCAACUCAAUAGCACUUACUAAAGUUUUUAUACAGAAGAAAAAGGCAUUUUAAGUCCAAAAAAUUAGAAUUAUUGGUUGAACUCCAACUCCAUCAAUCCAUGCAACCAUCCAAUCUUUAACGAAAAAAUGAAGCAUAAUUAACCAGACAUCUGAAUCAGAAAGAUUGUGCUUUCAUUUGGCACGAGGUGUUGGAAACAACUUAACAAAUCUAGACACAAUCUAUAACCAUCAAGUCCAAACAAAAGUCAGGAUCUAAAAUACUUUGAAAAAUCAGAAAAGCAGUUUCAAUUUCUUUUUCAUCCAUUGUAAGCUCAAACUAAAGGUAGCCGCGCUACCUUUAAACAUCAUUUGGGCUUAUACAUGCGACAUUUGCUCAUGAACAACUAAAGUUGAAUAAGAUUUUUAUAUGAAACAGAAUAUAAAAAGUCAAAGUAGAAUAUGACAGGAGCUACAAUAUAUUAUUCAGCAUCAGCAUUAUGUAUAAAAUAAAUUUAGAGGCAUUAUAUUCAUUCACAAUCUUGCAGAGGUAACACCAGAUUAUGGCACGCAUCUCUUGAAUAGCAGAUAAAGGAGGAGAUGCAGUGGGAAGGUAGUAACUUGCUUGCAUGAGAACUAGAAAGUAAUAUCCCAAGAUCAAUUAUAGAUCUCAUAAAACAAAAACAGUGAGGCAAACACAAUUAUACAAUCCAUCUGUCAAAAGGCUAAGCAUAUGAAUAUACAAUCAACACCAUUCUUCCAAACGAAUAUAAAGUCAACACCAUUCUUCUAAACACAAACAAAGUUUGAACGUAUGACAGAUUUUUAGCUAUUUAAUAUUCCAUCAAAGAUAAUUAGAUAACACCUACCAAGGAUUUUUGAAAAGAAUGCAUUCUCAUCUUAAGCAGCAACCUCACCAGUAACACAUUUUCAUACCCUGUUUCCACCUCUGGUCGCACCACCAAAAAAAUUCAGUACUAAUUAGCUUCAACAGAAUCUGUUUUUUUUUUUAUUUUUUAUUUUUUCCAAAAUAAACCUCCAUUCUUAUACAUAAAAUUAAAAUAUCAAUUAAAUACACAAAGUCUAUGCUUACUAGUAAAACACGUCCAUUUUUAGGUAGAGGCAGAUAAUAAAAGAAAAUUGAAACUGAGAUAAAAUAAGAAGAGCUUACUAGGUGCAUUUGAUCAACAAUCCAAUCCUCAACGAUGGAAUCGAUGCCAUCAAAUAAACAUGACUUAAUCUUGAAACCAUAAACUGCACUAAGCAUAGCACCAAAGCCAGAGCGUGACUAUAAAGAAGAAAAAUAAAAAGAAGGAAAAGAAGAAUUAAAUCAACAUGAAAUUCAACUGGAACAAUACAAAAUAUGAAAUUUUUAGCAAUCUUACUAGCGUUAGGGUUAAGGCUUACCAUAGAGAACUGGAUGGCGCUAACUAAAUGACAAGUUGAAACGGCAUCUGCAAUCGUAUUGAAUGACAUUGAACCGCGAGGUAGGGUUUAAAUGAAUACCGAGCAGAGAUAAAUUGGUGUGGUGAAUUAGGGUUUUGUGGCUACGUUUUAUUUCGAUUGAAAAAAGGAAUUUGAGCUAGGCUUUAAUUCAACGGUGUCGUUAAUUUAAACAUUCAUUUUAGGUUGCAGUGGCCAGUGGAGAGAGAGGGAUUCAUUCAACGCUUAGCCAAAACUUGGCUGUAAGUGUUGAUGUGUUUUAAGUUAUACAGAACGGUGUCGUUAAUUUAAACAACACUGUUUUACAAUUUUAUAAGUUCACAAAACCUAAGCAUGACUUACAUGUAUCAUUUAUUUAGGACGGUUAAGUUAUAAGCCAUGAAUAUGUCAUAUAUUCUGGACAUAUGAAUAUAUAUUAUGAAUCUAUCAUAUUUUUAUGACACAUUUGUCACACAAUGAUAUAUGUCAUUAAAUUUCUGUUAUUAUUUAAUACUUUUCUAGUAGUGUCAAAUUUUUGAAACAUUUCUGUUAAUAGUAAAAACUCUAAUCCUUUAGCAAAAGACUAAAAAUUAACAAAAAAAUUUCUGUUAAAAUAUCAGUUGGCUCAUGAUCAACACUUCAAUACUGUUUGUUGUAUUUUCUUUCUUUCUUUCUUUGUCAUUUUAUUAGAUUUUCUUUGUAUCAUAGUUUGUUUUACUUAAGUAAUUGUUCAUUAUUUAUGUCUGUGUUCUUACUAGCUUUUGCUAAUUUAUAGUUGGUUUUUUAUUCAAACCCUCGAAGUACCUUUUUGUUAAUAAUAAAACCUCUGAUCCUUAAGAAAGAAAAAGAAAUUCUCUAUUUAGUUAUUAGUUGGUUCAAGAUCAAUAUAGCCAUAUUGUUUGUGGUCUUUUCAUUCUCUAUCUUUCCCUUUAGUUCAUUUUAAUUUAUUUGUAUUCCUUUCUUUGACACUUGUAUUUAUAUAUAUAUAUAUAUUGUUAAGCAACAGGCAAUGGCUGUUGACGGGUGUCUCCCUGCUUUUCCCAGCAUUGUAUCACAAGGUUCAAAAGCAUUAUUCGAACCGAUUAUGCGGCACAUAUCUUAUGUGUUCGAGUACCAAAGCUACAUAGAUGGGCUAAAAGAUUGAGUGAAGGAGCUGGAAUAUAUAAGAGAAAGGGUGCAAACGCUGGUUAGAGAGGCUACUCUACAAGGAGAUGAGAUUUAUAAGGGUGUCUGAGACUGGCUAAAUAGAGUUGCUGAAUUCAGUGAAGGGGUUUUAAAAUCCAUGAUUGAUGAUAAAGAUAGAGCUAAGAUGUUCUGCUUCAAAGGGUUGUGCCCAAAUUUGAUUUCUCGUUACAAGCUUGGUAAACAAGCAGCAGAGGCCGCAAACGAAGCGGAUAAACUUGUGAAAAAAGGCGAAUUUAACAACUGUAAUCAUGUUUCCUACCGUCCUGCUCCAGAGAGUACAGAGUAUGUGCAAGUGAAAGAUUACGUAGCCUUUGAUUCCAGAAUGAAAGUAUUCCAAGAUGUUGCAAAGCAAGUUAGGGAAGAAAAGUUGUUCGAUGCGGUUACUUCCGGGGAUGUUGAUGAGAAAGAUAGAAAGGAUAAAAGUAUUCCAUUCAUUAACUUCCGGGGAUGUUGACGAUCAGAGACAAUGCAAAAUAAUAUUGACGUCUAGAAGUCGAGAUUUAUUAUUGUGCAAUGAUAUGAAAUCUCAGAAAAAUUCCUCGAUCGAUGCGUUAUCAAAAAAAAAAAAAAGAAGCAUUGGAUGGCGAUCGAGGAGUAUUCAACAAAAAUACUCCUCGAUCGUUGAAAGAUGCGGAGGUUUGCCUGGUGCACUGAGUACGAUUGCAAAUGCUCUAACAACUAAGGAUCUUGACCGUUGGAAAAAUGCAUUGGAUCGAUUAAGAAGUUCCAAUCUAGGAGAAAUUCAAGGAAUGCGUGCAGAUGUAUAAACCUCCAUAAAAGUGAGUUACGACUUGAAGGAUUGUAUAUAAACAUUAAAUUGAUCUAAUUUAAUUUGUAUGUAAACAUUAAAUUGUAUAUAAAUACACAGAACAGAACCAUAUCAGUGUUGGAAAAAAAAAAAAAAAGAAUCCAGAGUUAUAUAAAUUCAAUAAAAAAUUAUUGAAUUUUUUAUUACUAACUUUGAACACUCUAAUUUCAAUUAAAAAAAAUUAUAUUACUAAAAUAGUCUUAAUUGAAUUUACUAUUAAAGACAUUAGAAUAACUCAACACUAAUAUUCUCAAAUAUAUUUCUCUCCAUAGUCUAAUCUAAUCCAUUCUAGGAAUCCUAUAGAAAAUCUAUUAUUUACUUUUUCCUUAUUAAACACAAAAACAUGUCAUUUUGUUGCUAACUAAAAUUUUGGAACUAACAACAGCAGAUUAACUAAAAUUUUGGAACUAACAACAGCAGAUUAACAAAAUUAUCAGAAAAAGAAAUCAAACAAGAUUUUAAUCUUCGUCAUCUUCACUCUUGCCUUUUUCUUUUUCUUCACACAUGUGGCUUGCAGACGCAUUCCCCUCUCUCAUCCUUCGGGCCGCCCUUCAACAAUAUCCAAUCAUCGAUUAUAAUUAUUUAGAUUGACCAAAUCAAGCAUUGAUCAUAUAUUGGUUGAGGUUAGAAGUAGGCAGGCAGCAACGAUAAUACUACUAAUUAAUAUCUCAUGAGAAUUUUAAAGAAAAAUCUAACGUUGCCCAAUUUGUUUGAUUUCAAUGAAGUAUUUCUCCUACUUAUACUUUCGCAUAUUCUCUUUUAUUUCCAAAGUUAAGGUUAUGGAUGUUGUAGAGUAAAAAGAUGAACAUUGCUAGGAAAGCAAUAAAAGGAAAUAAAUAAAAAUUAAAAAUAUAAAAAGAGUUAAGUCAUUUUUUUUCUAUUAGUGUUUUUUUAUUUAAUAACGAAAGAUAAAAAUAAAGUACAUAUUAUCUAUUGGAUUAUUAAAAUAACACAGGUAUAACACAUGUCAAAAUCUCUUUAUUAUAAUAUUAGAAAAGAUUAAAUUAGGAGAAUAUUCAAAUCGGCGAAAUAAUUAAUAAAUCGUAUUUAUUAAUCAUCCACCCAAUUCAUGCAUACCCAAAUGGCCGUCAACGAGCUAACCAAAUCCCAGCUUGUUGUAAUCUGGGUUGGGCUUUUUGGGCGAUAAUUAACUGCCCGAGCUGCUCAUCUAGCCCAAUAGAGCCUAACAAAAAUUUUCGCCUAAGCUUCACAAAAAUGUUCAUAAAUCUUUUUUUUUUUUUGGUAUCAUAAAAACAUAAAUUUAUUUCAAACACUUUUGGAGCUUAAUAAAAAUUUCCCAACAUUUCAUCUGACAAAGGUAGUUUAAAAGUGUAUUCGUUAAAUUCUAAAAUACAUACUUAAAAUCUUUUAGUGACAAUCUAAUUAUAAAUUAAAGGUCUAUUUGAGAUUGAGAUUGAAAAGUUAAAAUGUUAUAGUUGUUGUAGUUUAGGAGUUAAGAUGAUUUGAUUUUACACUUAUAUGAUAAAAAUUUAUUAUAUCUUUUCUAAUUUUAUCAAAAUUAUUAUUAAAAAAUUAUAUUUAUUAUAUACUCUUAACUUUUAUUUUAUACUUAAAACUUUUUUUUCUUACGGCAAAAGUUUUAGCACCUCAACACCCAACCAAGUCUAAAAUUGCACAAUAAUAAUUAUGAAUGCGAAUGUUAAAAUCUACACACAUUCGUACUUGAUAAUUUCAAUCAACAGUGUUACAAAAUUAGUUAAAAUAUUAUAUAUGAAAUUAUUGAGGGAAAAAAAAAAGAAAAAGAAUGUUGUUUUCAUGAUAGUGAUGUGUCGUGCACAUUUUGCUGUUGGCUCUUUGGUCUCUAACCUAGCGAAUAGGUUGUUGUGUCCUCGUUGUUAGAUGCCCGAACAGUAGCGCAAGAACUUUGUACUAUACCAUAUAUUUUAUGAAGGUGAUGAUGUUACCAAUAAAGAUGAGUAAUAAACCAAACGACGUCGCUUCCCUAACCUGUUAGAAAUAUCAACGCGCUCUGUCACCCUCUCGUUCCAUUUAUUCAUUUAGUCCAGUCAGGGGAUUGACGAAUUAAAUAAACAACAACAGUCGUCUGAUCCCUGCAGAUCGCCACUCAUAUUUAAUCCAACGGUUGGGAUAUGAACCCCUCUAUAACUUUUAUUUGUCGAAUCAGCCACUCUCUCUAUUUAAAUUAAUUUUUUUUUUCAACGGCCGACGAGUGCUGAUGUAUCAGAGACGCUUCAUCAAUCAAUAAAAAAAUCAAUUGAAAAGUACGGUAUAGUGAGUGGAAGAGAAAUGCCAAUGAUAGAUCAAGGGAUGAAGAUACGAGCUCACUUAGAUGGGCGGAAAUUGACUGCUUGUAAAGUGACAGCCAAAUUUCUUGCAAGUCCUCUCCUCAUGAAGUUUUCUCUUGGAGACCUCAAAAGGAUGAGAGAGUACAGUCGAGCCGUCAUGACUCAUUAAGUCACUCCGGGGUGGGUGGUUAUUUUCACUGCUUUAUUGAGGGUCUGUAGCUGGUAGAUACAGAUUUAGUUUGGUCAGGGGCUUGGUGGGGGUGCUCUCUAAGAGGCUGAGACACCAAUUAAUUUACCCAUUAUUGUUCAAAACAACCUCCAACGGAUGGAUCCAGAAGAGCUUAUAAGGAGAUGCAGAGCAAUAAGAUUAAGUGAAGAGGAGGGAGGGAUAGUCUCUUUCAAGAUAAAAAUGAAGGCUAAGGGAGAAAAGAUAGCUGCGGGCUGUUUGGUCGGGAAAGUGCUCCACACAAGAAGGGUCAACACUGAAGGCUUAAAAAUGACAAUGCAGAGGGUGUGGAAAACUUCAAGGGAGGUCAAGAUAGAAAGUUUAGGGGAUAACACGUUUAUGUUUAGGUUUGGCUCAGAGGCAGAUAAAAGAAGUAUCAUGGUGGGGGGACUGUGGCAUUUUGAUAGAGCCCUUAUUGUGCUUACCGAACCAGCAGGAAUAGGGGAUAUAAAAAAGCAAGACUUUAGUCAUGUAUCAUUCUGGGUACAAAUCCAUGAUGUUCCCGUUAUGUGCAUGACUAAAGAAAUGGCCACCGAAUUAGGGGAGGUAAUUGGGAAAGUCGAAGAGGUAGAAACAGAUGCAACAGGGGAAUGCAUUGGACAGUUCCUAAGAUUAAGAAUUUCAGUGGAUGUUACAAAGCCGCUAAAAAAGAUAAUUGAGCUGGAACAAGAAGGGGAAGAGGAAGAGGAAGAGGAUAUCCCCAUGCGUGUGAUGUACGAAAGAUUACCUGACUUUUGCUUCUGUUAUGGGAGGAUAGGGCAUCAGUACAGAGAAUGUGCUCACUACAAAUCUCAAUCCAAAGAUGAAUUAGCUUAUGGUCCAUGGAUUAAAGCAACUACCACAACAGAGAGAUUAAGACAGAAUAUGGGAAGAGAUAGAUGGGAUUUUGAGCGUAACAAUUUCAAUCGAAAGAUCUCAACCCAGACAACAAUGGAAACAAGCAGAUACACGGUAGAGGAGGAGCAACACAGGAGGGGGGAAUCGGGUAACAGGUGGUGCCCAGACCAUCAGGAUCCGGGUAAGGAUUACUCGACUGAUGAAAUGGGUAUGGUUCAGAGGAUAGUUGGGACGCAAUUAAUGAAAGGGACUGAAACAGGCCGAAAGACCCCUGAAAAAUGCAACCUAGAUGCUGGGGAUAUAGUAUCUUGGGAUACGAAUGGGCAAGCAGAAAUGAGGGGAAAAAGGAAAGAGUAGAGAGAGGCAAGCCUUAAGUCAGAAAAAGCAAAGUUUCUUGGAAUGGCAAACGCGGGAACUUUUAAGAGGGAAGAAGUUGAUGACUUGGGGGAUGGGAAAAAGGGGGGAGGCAAACAAGAGGUAAUGGUGGGCUCGGCCCAUGUGGAAACUGAAGCUAAGAAUGCAGACAAUGGGAAUUGCUUGGAUAAAAUGAAGCACAGGAAAAAGAAAUGGAAGACACAAGCCCGAAAAAUAGAAAAUAAAGCAAGGAUAAAUGAAGCAAUCAUAAACUUAAAAAGGCCCAGCAGUGCUAUGGAGUGGGAGCACCCGGAAGCAAAAAAAUGCAAAAUAAAUAGCUGGCAGGGCGCUGAACAUUCAUCACAGCAUCAGGAAGUUACUACAACAGCUACUCAGCUAGUUUUCGAAAAUGAAGUCGGGGAUGCUUCAAAGGGGGCUCUGAAUGCUGCUCCUAAAAUAUCGGCGGAGGCUGGAAGACAGCCCUGCCGACAGCCAUGAAGCUAAUAAGCUGGAACGUUCGGGGGCUGGGGCAAGACCGAACGUUCCGAGAAGCCCAACAAAUCUUGCAGGAGCAUAGACCUCAACUUUUAUUUCUUUGCGAAACAAAGAUGACGUCGAAGCAAAUGCAAGAGAAAGUGAGUAAGAUGAAAAUUCAGAAUUGUUUUUCAGUUAGCCAUGAAGGAUUGGGAGGUGGGUUGGCAAUGUUGUGGAAUCCAGGGACAAUAGUAGAGAUAAAGUCUUUUAGUAAACAUCAUGUGGAUGCAGUGGUUUGUAACGAAAAUGGCAAUUAUUGGAGGUGUACGGGAGUGUAUGGCCAUCCAGAAUCAGAUUAGAAGAGACAUACUUUGGAGCUAUUAAGAAGGUUAGCUACUUUAUCUUCGCUGCCGUGGCUUUGUUUCGGAGAUUUCAAUGAGGUGUUGAACUUAAAUGAGAAAUUAGGAGGAAGAGAUAAGAGGAUUAAUAUAGUGAAUGAGUUUAGAGAAACUAUUAGGGAUUGUGAUUUAAAGGAUUUAGGAAGUAUUGGGUACCCGUUUACUUGGUCCAAUAGACGGUUUGGCCCUCACAUUAUAGAAGAAAAACUCGACAGAUUUUUGUGCAACAGCAAUUGGGGAAACAACUUCCAAGAAAAGGUUGGGCGGAAUUUAAUUUCUUGGAGCUCAGGUCAUAGUCCAAUCUUGAUGGAGGUGGUAGAAAAGAGGAAGGGAAAACGUUUUAUGAAAAGAACUUUCCCAAGAGUCCAUUAUGAAGAUAUGUGGAGCUCGUACGAGAAGUGCAGAGAGAUAGUGAGGCAGGAAUUGAGGGAGGUGAAUUAUGAGAAUGGUAGCAAUCCAAUUGAAAUCUUCAAGAAAAAAUCAAAGAUGUUGUUGGCUGAAUUAAAGAAUUGGAGCAAUGAAGAAUUUAGUGGGAGAGAAAAGAAGCUGGAGCAGUUGCAAAACAAGCUGAAGGAUAUUAAAAUCGGGCACAAUCAUGCUGUUAAUGGAGAGGAGAUUACAAAAGUAGAAAAUCAGAUAUCAUUCUUGACAAGGAAGUUUAUUGGAGGCAAAGAUCGAGGGCGGAUUGGUUGAGGCAGGGGGAUAAGAACACAAAAUUUUUUCAUUCGAAAGCCUCUGCGAGAAAGAGAAAGAACUGGAUAAGUGGGCUGGAAGAUGAGAAUGGCAAAUGGCUUGAAGAAGUUGACGAUGUAGAGCGGAUGCUAUGUGAGUAUUUCACUAAUAUCUUCACUACAACAAACCCAUCAUUAGGCCAGAUAAGCACAGCCUUAUCAAACCUGCCAGCCAAGGUUACAAGGGAGAUGGGGAGCUUCAUGGACCAGCCGUUUACAAAAGAAGAUGUAGCAGAUGCCUUAGCUCAAAUGUGCCCCACAAAAGCGCCGAGACCAGACGGGCUUCUAGUAGCUUUCUUCCAGAAACAUUGGGGUUCUGUGCAUCAAGAUGUUAUCACCACAUGCCUACAUGUUUUAAAUAAGGGAGGUAACAUUGCACCCCUGAAUCAUACAUAUUUAGCUUUGAUCCCCAAAGUGCAAAAGCCUAGAAAAGUGACUGAUUUCAGACCUAUUAGCUUGUGUAAUGUUAUAUAUAGGAUUAUUGCUAAAACGCUAGCUAAUAGGCUUAAGAAGAUUCUGCAUGUUAUCAUCUCCCCGACCCAAAGCGGUUUUGUACCCAAUAGACUCAUUACUAAUAAUCUUAUUAUAGGAUACAAGUGUCUUAAUAAGAUUAGACAAAGCAAGAGUAAAAGAAAUGGGCUGGUAGCUCUUAAACUUGAUAUUAGUAAAGCCUACGAUAAGGUUGAGUGGGAAUUUGUAAAAUGCACAAUGCAAAAACUGGGAUUUUCAGAAAAAUGGGUGAAGUUGAUCAUGAAUUGUAUCACUAUAGCAAGUUUCUCAGUGUUAAUCAAUGGAGUGGCAAAAGGCCUAAUCCAUCCUCAAAGAGGAUUGAGACAAGGCUGCCCCCUCUCCCCUUAUCUCUUUAUUAUGUGUGCAGAGGUGUUUUCGAACUUAAUGGUGAAUGCAGAAAAUCAAAAGCUCAUAAAUGGUCUGAAAUUCAGCAGAGAUCUAUCAGUCACACAUCUUCUCUUUGUCGACGAUAGUAUGAUCUUUACAAAGGCAUCAAUUAAUGAUUGUAGAAACUUAAGAAAGAUCUUUGACAAUUAUGCAGCAGCCUCAGGACAGGUUUUUAAUUUCGAGAAGUCCUCUAUGUUCUUUAGCAGCAGCACAAGCUCAGGUCAAAGGGAGGAAAUCAGAAGUAUUUUUGGUUUGAAUGUCAUUUCAAAACAUGAAAAGUAUCUAGGACUUCCAUCGAUGAUAGGGAGGAAAAAGACUAGCUUCUUUAACGACAUAAAACUGAGAGUGCUAAGCAAGCUAUCAAGUUGGCAAAACAAGUGUUUCUCAAGUCGGGGAAAAGAAAUACUCAUCAAAGCUGUGGCACAAGCAGUGCCUGCCUAUGCGAUGAGCGUAUUUAAAAUUCCCCAAGGGCUUUGUGAUGAUAUACAAAAGGCUGUAGCAAGGUUCUGGUGGGGAUCAUCUGAAAUUCAUAAAAGGAUUCAUUGGGCAAGGUGGGAGAAAUUAUGUUAGGCUAAGAUUAGGGGUGGUCUGGGUUUUAGGGACUUUUCAAGCUUUAAUCAUGCCCUUGUCGCCAAACAGGAGUGGAGGAUCCUACAUAAUCCUGAUGCUUUAAUGUCAAAAAUUUUAAAAGCCAAGUACUUCAAGCAUACUGAUUUUAUGGAGGCAAAAUUGGGGUCAAAUCCCCGGGGAGACAAGCGUUGCACAAGGGCUUAAGAUGGAGAAUAGGUAAUGGAAACCGGGUCUCAGUGUCCAGCAGGAAUCGAAUGCAAAAACUCGAAUGUUCCAGCAAUGUUCCUCACCAAAAUUUAGCAAAAAAUGUUGUAGUUGCUGAUUUUAUUGAUGACAAAAAUCAGUGGAUGGAGGAGAAGGUUGUGCAAUGUUUUCCUGAAGAGGUGGCACAAAGGAUUCUAAUAACCCUUCUGCCAAGAACUCCCCAGGAAGACCUGAUGAUUUGGCACUUUGAUAAGUAUGGCUAUUACUCAGUAAGAAGUGAAUACCAGGUGGCAGUUAGAAUGAAAUUCCCAGACAAUCCGGAGUGCUCUGAUAGCUCUAAAACUCAAUGGAAGGUAAUUUGGUCAAAUGAGAUUUCGGAAAAAAUAAAAAUUUUCAUGUGGAGAGCUGCUCAGAAUCUAUUACCCACAGCCAAUAAUCUAUGGAGGAAAAAUGUGGUGGGGAAUCCAGCUUGUCAAAGAUGUCAUUGUAAAAGUGAAAAUGUCACUCAUGUGUUAAUGGAGUGUAAGGCUGCUCGAAAAGUCUGGAAGUUGACAGAUUUUUACGAAGAUAUGAAGUUGUUGUCUCAGCAUGACAUACUGAGUAUGCUCCAAGAACUAGCAUCGAGAAGAAUGAAGAAAGAGAUUGAGCAGAUUUUUGCAAUAUGUUGGGCCAUUUGGUAUGCGAGGAACCGCUUUGUAAUUGAAGGAAAGCAGGAAGAGCCAAAACUGACAGCAGCUAGAGCUUCAGCUAUUGUGGAGUCAUAUAAGAGAAUCAAAACCCAAAACGGUCCAGCUAGAUCAAUUCAUUUUCAAAAUAACCAACAAAUUUGGACACCUCCUCCAGAGGGGAAGUAUAAAGUCAAUGUGGAUGCUGCGAUUCAAAUGGCACGUCUGAAGGCAGGGUUGGGGGCAGUGGUUAGGAAUUCCAAUGGAAAAAUCAUUGCUACAGCUGUUAAGAAGGUGUGCUUUCAGGGAACAGUGGCGAGCAUGGAGGCUGAAGCAGUCCUUUUUGGCAUUCAAGUUGCCCAGCAAGUAGAAUCUUUGCCCAUGAUUAUUGAAUCGGAUUCAACAGAAGUGGUGGAGCUGGUCUGGAGCAGGAAACGUAGCUCGACUGAAGUUUCUUGGACAGUAGAAGAAAUAAAACAACAGCUGCAGAUCUCGAAUGCAUGUCGAUUACAGUAUGUUCCAAGGAAGUGUAAUGCCAUAGCUCAUGCUAUAGCAAAAGUGGCUCUGGAUUUUGAGAAUUUUGUUAUAUGGUUGGAAGAUUUUCCAGUCCAGAUCAUGAUGUUACUCUCAAAUUUUAUCAAUUAGAAAGCUUUACCUUCUUAUCAAAAAAAAAAAAAAAAGCUCACUUGCAACGUGGUAUAGUUCAUCAUGGCUUUCCUAUAAGUUCAGGUCCUUUGAAUACUUUCAAUGAUCUUAUUAGUCAGAAAUUCAACAAUAAUUUUUACUUUUUACAUCCAGGAACAGUUUUAAGCACAAGCAACUCAGGUGGUCAAUAGGCCUCGUAUGUUAGCAAGGUCUCCGUUUUGGUCACUUAAGUCUCAUAUGUUAGGAAGACUCCCUUUUUAUUUUUGGUAUUACUUAUAAUAGCAAAUCCUCUUUUUUAGGCCUCUUUUUAGUUAGUAAUUAUCUUAUAAUGAAGAAUUUUUUUACACAUUUUAUAUUUGAUAACCUUAAUAUUAAAGAUCUCUAAUUGAUAGUAUUAUCUAAUUGUUAAUUUAUUAUUAGUUUUUCCAAAAAAAAUAAAUUCUUUAUCUAUUUAAAAAGUUAAUUAAUUAACAUUAUAAAAAUUUUUGUGCUAUUCUCUAUACAGAAAAUUAUUACAUUUAUUACUUCACUUCUGAAUUAAAAAAAAAAAGAUUUAUUGAAAUAAUAGUUCUAGAGGAAGUAAAAAAGAUAUCUUCUUGAUUAUUUUUCUUUUUUGAACAUUUUAACUAUCUUGUUGAUUGUUAAUAUUUACGAUAUAGUUAAAAAUUGAUUGAAUUCUAAGCUCUUUUAUGUUUCUUUAGGUGUUGAAGCUACUGAAUGUAAGGAGCCCUCGUAAAACAAUUCCCAUAAUGCCCCUAAUACUCUAAGGUCGACCCUGUGUAUAUCAUAUUAUUGAAAAAAAAUUGCUUCAAUACAGUAUGUGGUAAGGUUUAAUUUUAUAUGAAUUUAAGCUGAAGUUGGUACCUUUUAUUGUUUAAUACCAUGACAUCAGGUAAACUUUUAAUAGGUCUUCAUUUUAGGCGCAAGUACCCGAACAAUAGUUCCCAUGCACUUUGUGAUCUUAUUACAAAAUAUUAAACUAAAUAGCUGUGGAAGUAACAAAGAGGGCAACUUUUUACCAUAAUGUGAUGAAAAUAAUUCAUUUGUCAUCACGAACUAACCAAAUCAAAACAAAAAACUAGUGAUCAUAUGGUUCAAAUCUGUGCAACAAUGGUGCAUUUAAAAGGAAAUAAUGUACAGAUAAAAUUUGUGCUUGUAACAAGAACUCUUCUGUUCAAGCCAACAAUUCCACCUAGCAGAGGAAGUGUUUUAGGCGACACUUUCCAACUAAUGAAAGCAGUGAGCUCUCAUACUCUGUUAUCAUUUUCUAUUACUUGAAAAAGAGAGAAGGAGAAACGAGAGGAAAAACAGGGCUCCUCUGUUUUUAUUUUGGUGAUUGCAAAUAACAUUUUUUUUUACUUUUACUCUUUAUUUAUUUAAUUUUUUUAAAAAAACUUUUAGCUCAUUAGAUCUUGUUCUUGUUAAUGCGUCUAGUAACUUAUACGAUGAUCUGAUGAUAUCCGUAACAUUAACAUACCCAUAAUCCAUUAUUUUAUAAUUAUAAAAAUUGAAGAUUCGGUCAUGCAAUUUUGUAUGAUGAACAGUGUUUCAUUUUUCUGUGAAACAUAAGAACAAUUUGUAAAUAAUGUCCAUGCGGACCUUGUAAUAGCGAAGCAUCAUUAUUGAUCUUACUUUGAUGAUCGCACUUUAGUUUCUUUUUAAAGUGCCUUUUGUUUAUUUUAUCGGCAUCCGCUUUUACAAAAGUUUUGGUCCUCGUUCAUUCAUCAAAGCUUCUAAUUUUAUCUUUUAUUAGGCAUCUUACAAAAAGCUUAAUUUAAUUGGAAUCAUGUUCGAUAUGAAGAUUGUUUUACUUACUUCAGCCAUCUUUCAAUCAACCGAAUUUAUUCUUUUCUGACCUGGCAAUUAUUCAUGAAAAAAUACGUGCGUCAGUAGGACAACAGUGACCAAGUACAUAAUAUGAAAAUUCAUUUGUAUUGCUUACUCUAAUAAGCUCUUAACUCACACAUUCCUCUGCAGUUACUAGUGAUCUUUUGCUCACUAAAAUUGUUAUUAUAUAUUCAAGGUGAAUAAAGAAACUCAUCAUCCCAGAUAAUUAAAGAGGCGAACUUGUUCUAAAUCCUUUAAUAAUUUCUACUAAUAAUAGCAUAUAUAAUCUCUAAUCCUUGAUCUUCGUAGUAGUUCUUUCUUAAUGUCCAAGAAAAAUAUCUCUCAUUUGUCUUAAUCUUGUCAUUUAAUUUUCUUGAAUUCUGAGUUAGUGUUUAUUGUUAAAUUCGGUUUUCGGUUAGUAGCUGUUGGUUAAUAGCUUCGGUUAAUCCUUGAAUUAAACAUAUUAAAAUCUAAUCAUAAACCCGCCUUUCCCUAUUUUACGACACCCUUUGUGUAAUAGUGACUUCAAAAGUGUAACAUAUUUUGAACAAUUGCAAGGAAAGAACAUAUUUGACACUUCACGAAACGGUAAAGAUAUAAGCUUCAAUUCUUGUACAACAAAUUAAUAUAACUAACUUCAACCGUCAAUUGAUCAAUAAUUCAGUAACAAAAAGGGACAGAUAUCCUAGUCUUUCUUUACUAAUGAAGCAAGCCAUUAAACUUCGAAAGCUAUUUCUAUUUCCACAUUCUUCAUGCACCAAAGCAGCAAAAAGAAAAAAAAAACAACAAAAAUUUGGAAGUAAUCAUCUUUAUUCAGCAGCAUGCAUAUUAAUUAAACAUAUUAAAAAAGAGAUAUACAAUAUCAGGUCUGGAGACGAAAUGAGCCCACAGAGACUACCGAUAAUGUAAUGGCUUGAUUAAAAAUAUUAAUCAAGCCACUACAUUAGAAGAACAAGAGUUAAUCAUGCAUAGUAAUUAAAAAUUAUUUUUGCUAUCAUCCACCUGUUCUCUCUAAAUAGUUGUCACUAUUUUUUUUCGUUUGCCAGAAAUUCCAAGCAAAAAUAUAAUUAGAAGAACAAGAGUUAAGGGUUAAAAAAAUGAGGGCUCCUCUGUUUUCAUUCCCCUGUUUUUCUGUUCGGUGAUUACAAAGAUUUAAAUCAAAAUUUAUGAUGCAGGUUACACAGCACCUGGUGGAAAAUUGCUAGGGUUUACCUUUUAUUCUUAGUUACAAAUUUAAUUUAGAAUUUGUAGUGUGCGCCUUAUAUAAGUAGGUUUCCUAAUAGUAAAAUUAAAUAAUCUAAGUUUAUGAUGCACUAGGAUAUGAUUGUGAUAAAUGAGCUUUUUAUGUAUCCUGUGAGGCUGAUCAUUAUUUUACUACAUUGAAGAUUCAGUUAUCUCUUUGUAAUACUCUGGACUUCACAUACUAAACAGAAUGGAGCAUUAUUUUAUCCCGCUAAAUCAGUUUUUCAUUUUUUUAAAUUAAAAAAUUAUUCAUCAAACACUUUAUAGCUCUGGUUUUAAGUUGGUAAACACUUUAAGCCGCAACUUUAAAUUCAGUUUACGAGAAUCCCUAACAGUCACAGUGGCUGAACCUAUCCAGACUAAAACCAGAUCAUGAAAGCUUAUAUACACCAAGAGAUUUAUCUAGAAAGUACCGCCGGCAGCCAGUUCAUUCGUUUCUGAGUUUAUUUCCAGAAACCCGGAAACUCCCCUGUUUCUGCAAACAGGGCUUCUUUGUUUUCAGUCCCCUGUUUUUCCAUUUGGUGAUUGUAAAAAUUUAAGAUUAAAUAGAAUAAUGUAAAAAAAAAAAGAAAAAAAUGCCUUUCUUAAUUUUGACUUCAUAAUGUUGCAGCAACCGUCCUCUGUUAUCAUUCCCCUGUUCUUCAGUUUGUUGAUUACAAAUAACAUUCUUUGUAUCUACUCUUUUUAUGUUUAUUUUUUAAUUUUUAAGUCAUCAAUUUUUGUUCUUCUUAAAGCGUGUAGUAAAUUAUAUGAUCAUCUGAUCAAAUCCCUCACAUUAACAUACAGCAGAAUCUGUUAAUGGAAUUUAUUAUUUUAUCAUAAUUAAACAGAAGAUUUGUUCAUGCAGUUUUGUAUGACGAGGAGUUUUCAUUUUUCUGUCAAAUACAAGAACAAUUUGUAAAUAAUGUCCAUGAAAGCUUGAAUGAAGAAUGGCAUUUAAUAAUUUUAGAAGAAUAAUGGCUUAUAGAGCAUAUUAGUAGGGAUAAGAUUUGCAGGUGUUUGGUAACGGAAAAAGGAGAAAAAAAAAUGGAGAGUGGAGGCAUUACUUUUAUCUCAUCCUUAACUUCCGUAAGUGGAGGAGAACAAAGGGGAAAAGAGGGGAGUGGGGCAUGACCUUAAAAGGAGGAUUUAUUUAUGUUUUCGGGGUCUGCAGGGCAUCUUUUUCUCUCUUCCACUCAUGGAAAAUCCUUUCUUUUAUACUCUUUCAGUUUUCUGCAAAUUACUCAAAAAGCUUUUGGUUUUAAAGGCAAUGUUUAUUAAGCCAUAUGAGUGGUGGCACAAGUUUUUUGGCAAAGGCCCAGAAACUGACUUGAGUGUCGGAGGGUUCACGCCGGAAAAACUUUCGGCGCCUCUGACCGUCUUCUAUGAUUUUAAGUAUUCACAAGUUAAUCGCUAGUGGUUGCAGGACAUCUUGACGAUUGACCAAUCGAUUCUCUACCAAAUAAAUCUAAUGCUGGUGUAGAAGUUUGAUAUUAAGUCGCUAAUAGACUAGAUCAGAUUUGGGCAUCAACAUUUGGCACUGUCUGUGGGGAAUCGGUACAAAUAGCCAACUUCUUGUCUCUACCAAUUUUUCAUCCGGCCAAGCCAAAGGCAGAAUAUUAUCAUGCACAAAUUGAUAAGCUGGCUCAAACACGGAAGUCAAUCAAGGCUGGAUGGAAUGCUUACCUGUAAAGGUUUUGGCUUAUUUAUUGCUUUAAGUAUAUUGUCAUUAAAAUUCAAUUUCCAAUUGCUAUGAUUAUUGAUUUAUCAAAUGAGAGAUGCUUGGAAAUUCUUUAAUAACAUGCAUGUUUCAAUACCGUGCAUGAUAUAUUUGCUGAAAUUGAAUAUUAUCCCUUGGAAUUCGUUGAUAAUGUUCCUUUACAAAAUUAGCUUGUUAGAAUGGGCUUCAUUCAUAAUUCAAGAUUACAUGCUAUUAUACUUGCAAAUGAAUUAAUUUAAUAUUUUCCAACAACAUGCUUGACAUAAUGUUAACAGUUCAGAUUUAUUAUGGCUAAUUAUUCAGCUUCGUUAUGGCUAAUUAGAUGUGUAAUGCUACUACCAUCAUUAUUUUGCUGAUGUAUUUAUAUUUCUUGAUUGAUUGUUCUCUUUUCAUUGAACUCAAGAUAUAAAGUCUGUUCAAAAGAGCAAUCGAUUUGUGGUAUUAUCAAUGUUCAAUUUCUUAAAAUAAAGAUUACACAAAUUGUUAAAUUCAUUUGGUGGUAAGCAUAAAAAUCCACGGAUCUUUGGUUUCUUCAAGAUAUUUCCUACUGGUUUUACACCCCAUCAAUCAAUCAUGCAGCUAGUUUUCAUGUGAAGACUAUGCAGGGAAAGUAUAUAGACAAUUCUGGUAUAAAACUCGGUUCAUUACAAGUUGAGGCAGAAUUGUUAAAAUUCAAAUCAGGAGCUGUUCGUUAAAUUGCCUCAAGGGAUAUGAAAGUUCAAAAGUGAGUUUGUUGCUGAUUACACUACAUACACUACAUAUAUGCUUGAGAGAAUGUUGCCCAGGAGCCAAGAUCUAAACCCAGGUUCUGUUUCAGUUUAUUUAAUAUAAGUAUCAAACUGAUUGAGAGCAUGAGUUAUUCUUAACCAUAGCUUUAUUAUAUUUUCGCAAAGAGAACAUUAGAAAUUAUGCAUAUAUUCGCUGUCUUUUGAUAGUACCUGUCAUCCACAUUGCACAAAUUCUCAUAAUCGUAAAUGAGUGUUGGAAGAAGUAUAAUUAGCAUAAUCUGGAUGAGGCCGAGUAUUGGUAUUUUGGCUAACUUUAAUAAUGGUUUUAAAACAAAACAAAUUUUUAUUGAUGAUGAGAAUUGAUAGGCAUGUCUUCAAGCUUCAAAGAAUUGAUGAAGUUGGAUUUUUGUUUCCUUCAUAUUUUAUUCAUUUUGUGCCCGUGUUAAAAUAUUGCAAGAAUAAUUCUAAGAAGGGAGCAAAGCAGAGUCAAGCUCGGGAUUUGUUUGAUGAAGUACUAAUGAAAUAAUGCAGAGCACAAUCUCAGGUGCACUUGUUCUAAAACCCCAGUUUUAUAUUUAUCCUUUAAAUCCACUACCUGACUUCAAAAAUCUGAUGGAUGGGGUUUUGACUUAUUAAGUCGUUAAUAGAAAAUAGUUAAGAUUACAUAUUAUAGAAUAUAUAGCAUAGUCAUAUAUUAGCACACAACAUGCUUGACCGAAGGAUUGAUGGAACUUGGGUUAGCAUGAGAUCGUAUUUCCUUGAUACAGUGAUAUGACUUUGCUUAAACUUUUAUGGUACCAUUUAUUUGUUGAUUACAUAUUUUAUAUAAUAUGAUUUAUUUUAUAUAUAAAUUUUAAUAUCUUUAGUGUUGGGAAAUGGUGCUCCGCACCUUUAGCAAAGGUCUUUAAUAAUAUUGCUAACCAAAUAUUAUAGAUGGUAAUAAAAACACCAAGGAUGUUUAUCCAUCAAAGGCCCAAACAUAUAUAAAUAGCUAAAGCGCAAGUUGUAAAUGUGAGCUAUUUUCUGGACAAGUUAUAAGUUACAAGUCCGAAAUUAAAUUUUUGAUGGUUGUCCAUAUUUAAGGAUUUAAAGCAAAAACCUCAAAUAAGAGCACAUUGAAGGCACACAAAGGCUCUAAAGUCUCAAAGCCUGUUUUAUGGCGAGACAGGAAGCCAAACAUGCCAGGAUCUGCUCGACCAAGCAAAGGCAAGCAAACAAAAAAAGUUUCAAAAAUCUUCUAAGGCACGCAAAGGCUCCAAAGUCUCAAAGCCUAUUUUAUGGUGAGACAGGAAGCCAAGUAUGCCAGGAUCUGCUCGACCAAGCGAAGGCGAGCAGACCAAAAAAGUUUCAAAAAUCUUCUAAGGCACGCAAAGGCUCCAAAGUCUCAAAGCCUAUUUUAUGGUGAGACAGGAGCCAGGAUCUGCUCGACCAAGCGAAGGCGAGCAGACCACAAAAGUUCCAAAAAAGCUUCUAAGACAAGCAAAGGCUCCAAAGUCUCAAAGCCUAUUUUAUAGCGAGACAGGAAGCCAAGCAUGCCAGGAUCUGCUGGAUCAAGCGAAGGCGAGCAGACCACAAAAGUUCCAAAAAAGUUUCUAAGGCAAGCAAAGGCUCCAAAGUCUCAAAGCCUCCUCGAUGGCGAGACAGGAAGCCAAGCUCUCUAGAAGCUGCUCGACCAUGUGAAGGCGAACAAACAAUGAGAAUUCCAAAAAAGUUUCUAAGGCAAGCAAAGGCUCCAAAGUCUCAAAGCCUAUUUAUGGCGAGACAGAAAGCCAAGUAUGCCAGGAUCUGCUGGACCAAGCGAAGGCGAGCAAACCACAAAAGUUCCAAAAAAGUUUCUAAGGCAAGCAAAGGCUCCAAAGUCUCAAAGCCUCCUUGAUGGCGAGACAGGAAGCCAAGCUCGCUAGAAUCUACUCGACCAUGUAAAGGCGAGCAGAGAACAAAAAUCCCAAGAAAGUUUCUAAGGCACAUAAAAGACUUCAAAGUCUCAAAGUUUGCUCGAUGGCGAGACAAGAAGUCAAGCUUGCCAGAAUCUGCUCAACCAUGUGAAGGCAAGCAGAAAGUAAAAAAAAAAAAAAAAAGGGUACUUCAAGUGAAAGGCUUACAGUCUCUAAACCUCCUCGUAGUGAGACGAAGUCAAAGUUUGCCUGUUCUUGCCCGACCAAGAUUAGGCGAGCAAGAGUUAUAUGAGUGAAAAAUAUUCUAAAGCAGAUAAAUGACUAAGUCUCAAAACCUACUUCAGGUGAGAUAAAUACGUGAACUUAUGAAACCUGCUUUACAUGAUUAUGCGAGUAGGAAAAUGGUAUAUUUAAAGGCAUGUAAAAGUUUAAAACUUGAAAUUUUUUGCUAAUAGUAAGGUUAAUUUUUGCAAUCCCGAGCCGAUUUAUGCCAACCACAUCGAUGUCACUUUAAAAUUCAUAUAGUUUCCAGUCUUGAUUCGUUAAAACUCUCAACACUAGAAACUGGGGGACUGAUGUUUGGUAACGGAAAAAGGAGAAAAAAAUGGAGAGUGGAGGCAUUACUUUUAUCUCAUCCUUAACUUCCGUAAGUGGAGGAGAACAAAGGGGAAAAGAGGGGAGUGGGGCGUGACCUUAAAAGGAGGAUUUAUUUAUUUUUUCGGGGUCUGCAAGGCAUCUUUUUCUCUCUUCUUCUCAUGGAAAAUCCUUUCUUUUACACUCUAUUUCAUUUUUCUGCAAAUUACUCAAAAAGCUUUUGGUUUUUAAGACAAUGUUUAUUAAGCCAUAUGAGUGGUGGCACAAGUUUUUUGGCAAAGGCCCAAAAACUGACUUGAGCAUAAUAAACUAGUUAAUUAUUUCAUAAACUUCAACUUAACACUGAGCCAUAAACUAGUGCUUUCUUCAACUUAAUUAUUCUCACUGCAUAUUUGUUAAGGCUUCAUCUUUUGUCUUGAUUCUGGACUUCAAAAUUAAAUCUUAAAAAUCGGGUAUAAUAGGGGUACGUGAUUAAGUCUUCCUCUUUUGCAAUUCAUUGUUAUUACUCUCAUCAAUUCAUUCUUUUGAUAGCAGUUCUUACUUAAUAUCUGAAGCGAAUAGAGGAGGUCAUCGACUCUCUGAUCCCAUAUAAAUAAAGAGGUAUACAUGUUCUAAAUCCUUUAAUAAUAUCCUUUAAUAGCAGUUCUUACUUAGUUUUCAUCUACUUUCCAAGAAAAAAUUUCUCUGGUUUGUUUUAAUCUUGUCAUUGGUUUUGCUUGAGUUUCAAAUUAUUGUUCAUUGUUAAAAGUCUGUGAUCUUAUUAUAUGGCUUUGGUUAAUUAAAAACAAAAAGUCUGGGAUUUUAUUCAGACCCUUGAAACCUUUCAGUUAAUAGCAAAAUCUCUAAUCCAUGAGCCCCGGGGGGCGGGGGGGGGGGGGGGGGAAGAAGAAGAAAGAAUUCCCUGUUUAAAUAUCAGUUGGUUAAAUGUUGUUUGUUUGCUGUCUUUUACUUGUUUGUUUGUUUUUCAUUUUAUUAGAUUUGUUUUUUACUUGAAGAUUAAAGAUGAGUAAGAAAUUUUUUUUUAUUCUUUUCUGAGGCAGCCUACAAAUUUUAGAAUAGGGCUAAGAGUAAUUACAAAUUCAAUUAACCACAAAAAGUUAUUUAUAUUUAUCACUUGUAAAAUUAAGCUUAUCAUCCCAAAUAGAGUUGUUUGCAUUAGAAGUUUUCUAGCAUUCAUGAGCUUUAUCAUCAUAUCACAAGAUUGCCUGAAAAACAAGAUAAAUCAAUUUGAGCAACUUGCUCUUUAUUGAUUUUUUUUUUUUUUUUGCCUGAAAUACUAGGGAAAAUAUUAUAUAAGAACAAGAGUUAGAUGAAAAAAAGUUAAAACAAGUUCCUGUGUUUUCAUUCCCCCUGUUUUUUGUUUGGUGGUUGAAAGCUUUUAUAUAUAAAUUUUUAUGAUUUCCCGUUGGGACUUUAUUAAAUAAAAAAGAAUAUGUAAUUCUAAAUUUAUCCUUACGCAUUGAGUAAUUAUUAUUACGUUCUCUUAAUAUUUGUUCUUGCAAUUUUGUGUAAUGUGAAUUUCAUGUUUCUGUUAACAUAAACCAAUUUGUAAAUAAGGCCACGUCGAACAAAUGAAACAACAAAAAAGCAUCGUUGGCAAUACAAAAUCAAACUUUAUUAUUAAUCACUAUUUUUUUUUUGAAUAUGUAUAAAUCAAAUCAUAUACUGUUGAUCUUACUUUGAUAAUUUGGUGUUUAGUUUCUCUCAAAAAUGCUUUUAUAAAAGUUUUGGUCCUCAAUCAUUCAUCCAAGCUUUUGCUGAUCUUUUAUUAGGCAUAUACAUCGCGCUGUCACUUAAUAUUCAUUUCAAUUUCACAGUACACAAGCAACGUCUAUGCCAAAAUCAUUAAGGCACAACCGGUAUUUAUUCCAUGAAAACUUUAUUAUUUCUUCAACUUAAUUGGGUCGAACAACAUUUUUUAAAGUACUUUUAUCACACUAAACGGCUUUGUUAAACCUCCGUCUUUUGGUAUUGAUUCUAACUUGAAAUUAAAUCUUUAAGUCAUUACAAGUUUAUUUCUUCAUGAAAGAAUUCAAUAAUCAAGUGCGUGUGAAUUAAAGAAAAAAAAAAAAAGAUCAGUGAGAAAAGCCCUUUUUCAAAGGCAACCUACUGAUUUGAGAAUAGGGCUCAACCACAAGAAAAUAUUUACGUUUGCUUUUAAGGAGUAAAUGAUAGCUAAGCUAUUAAACUUAAUUCAAAUUUAGUCAAUCAUCAAUUAAUCAAUCCAACUAGUUCAAGUACAGAGUCAAUUGAACAAAUUCAUCACUUGCAUAAUUAAGCUUAUCUUCCGAAUUUGAGUUGUUUCCAUUAGAAAUUUUCCCGCAGUCACGAGUUACAAUCAUCAAAACAAAAUUAUUUAUAUAAGAACAAGAGUUAAAGGGAAAAAAGGUAAAGCAAGAUUCCUCUAUUUCCGUUCCCCUAUUUUUUUUUUUUUUUUUUUUUUGGUCUGGUGAUUUAAAAUUUUAUAUCUAAAUUUUUAUAAUUUUCCAUUGAAGCUUAUAUUUAAAUAAAGAAUUACAAAAAAAACCUAAUUCUAAAUUUAUGCAUUGAAUGGUUAUUAUUAUGCUCUCUUAAAAUUGGGUACAAUAUCAAUUUCAUAACGAAUAGAGUUAUUGGUUGUUGAAUAAUGAUGAGAUUAGAGAUUAUGCUGUGUCCUUCUUUUCAAAGCUCUAUUCCAAAGAGGAUGCAAUCUAUCAUCCAUACCAUGUUGUUAACGCCUUCCCAGUCCUUGAGGAAAGUCGAAUGCAAGCUUUGGGACAAGCAGUGGAGGAUGAGGAAAUUAAGAAUGUGAUCUUCAGCAUGAAGGCUUUGAAAGCCCCUGGAAUAGGCGGGUUGCAUGCUCUCUUUUACCAGACCCAGUGGCAUGUAGUGGGAAAAUCUGUCUGUAGUCUUAUAAAAGGUAUUUUUAAUGGCAACGAGAACCCUAAGGAGUUGAACAAAACUCUGAUUGUGUUGGUUCCUAAGUCGGAUAAUCCUAUUAGCCUUAAGCUUUUUCGUCCGAUUAGUCUUUGCCCGGUUAUCUAUAAAACUAUCACUAAGUUAUUAGCUAACCGGCUGAAAUCUAUCUUGCCUGACCUCAUUGGACCUACCCAGACUAGUUUUAUCCCGGGGAGACACAUAACGGAAAACAUAGUGGUUGCUCAGGAAGUUAUUCAUUUGAUGAGACGUAAGAAAGGGAGGAUUGGGCAGAUGGCCAUUAAGGUGGAUUUGGAAAAGGCGUAUGAUCGUUUAAGCUGGGAUUUUAUUUAUGAAACCUUGAGGGAGUUUGGAUUGCCUACUAUUUUGGUUCGGCUUAUUAUGGAAUGUAUUACAACGGCGACUAUGCAACUUCUAUGGAAUGGAGAAAUUACAGAGAUUUUUACCCCUUCUAGGGGUAUUAGACAGGGAGACCCCAUUUCCCCAUAUAUCUUUGUGUUAUGUAUAGAAAGGUUAAGCCAUGGAAUAAAUGACGCUGUGAAGAGAGGGCACUGGAAACCUAUUAAACUGUCUCGUGGAGGUACCUCUUUAUCUCACUUAUUUUUUGCUGACGAUCUUAUCUUGCUUGCAGAGGUUUCCUGUAGGCAAGCAAUGGUUAUAAUGAAGUGUUGAAUGUUUUUUGUAUGAGCUCUAGAGAGAAAGUUAGUAAAACAAAGACACAAGUUUUUUUCUCCCACAACAUAAAGUCUGCUGAGGCUAAGGAAAUUGGUGAUUCCUUGGGUUUUUCUGUCACAAAAAACCUAGGGAAAUAUUGAGGAAUGCCAAUUAUUCAUUCACGGGUUAAUAAGCUGACUUAUCAGGGAAUUUUGGACAAAGUGAACCAACGUUUGUCGGGGUGGAAUGCGAUACAUUUGUCCUUGGCGGGUAGGAUCACUCUCACUCAAUCGGUAAUCCAGGCAAUUCCUAUUUAUGCAAUGCAAACCACGAAGAUUCCGUUUGGUAUUCGGGAGAAAAUUGAUCAGGCUUGUAGGAGGUUUAUUUGGAGCGGGGCAGCAGACAAGAAGAAAAUCAGUUUGGUGAAAUGGGAUACAAUAUGUCAACUGAAACCUAGCGGAGGCCUUGGUCUUAAGCAGCUUAAUUUAAUGAAUGAUGCUCUGCUCAUGAAGAUUGGGUGGGUUUUAAUUGCUUCUCCAAAUAGUUUAUGGGUGAAGGUUCUCUUGUCUAAGUAUGGGCUGGCUCCUAAAGCCCUCCCCGGCACAUUACCUACGAAAUAUGGCUCUUACAUGUGGAAGGCUGUGGGAGGCAUUUGGCAUGAGGUUUUAAAAAGGAUCAAAUGGGACAUUGGAAAUGGCAACCGACUUAGAUUUUGGUGGGAUAAUUGGGUAACAGAGGAAUACCCUUUGUAUACUUUCGCUUUGCAGCCGAUACCUUUACAGCAGCUUGAGGAGUGUGUGGCGAGGUUUAUCACUGUUGAGGGUACUUGGAAUUGGCGGCUUUUUGAGAAUUUAUUUCCCCAUCAUUUACUUCUCAAAAUUGCAGCCACCAAGCCUCCCAGUGUAAAUGAUGAGGAUGAUUACAUGUACUGGGCAUAUUCUAAGUCAGGAGAUUUCACUACUAAUUCAGCAUAUAGGGCUUUGUCAAAAAUGGAGGUUCACAAUGAAGAAUCCUUUUGGCGCAUUCUUUGGCAGUGGAGAGGUCCCCAACAUAUCAAAACCUUUCUGUGGGUGGUGGGUCAAAAUAGACUUAAAACUAAAGUAGAACUUUUCCGGAGACAUAUUGUUGAUGAUAUGAGUUGUGCAAGGUGUGGCUGUGUUGUUGAAAAUACUCUUAAUGUGCUGCGGGAUUGCCCCAGUGCUAAGCAUGUAUGAUCGUCAUUGAUACCCCAUGGGAUUAGUCAUCAAUUUUUUAGUUUGAAUCUCCGAGAUUGGGCGUUAUAUAAUUUGAGGAACUUGUGGAAGUAUGAUGGUAUGUUUGACUGGCCGUGUCUUUUUGGGGUCACAGUUUGGAGGCUUUGGUUUUGGCGUUACCAAAAUCUGCAUAAUGGUGUUUUUACCAGCAAGAGUACUGUUGUAAUGGAUAUUAAGAUCUGUACAGAAGAAAUUCAAAAGGUUAAUCAGAGUUGUUUGGUUCCUGCUGCCAUGAAGAUUUAGAAAUAUUUUGGAUGGGUGACACCUACUUGGCCUUGUUUUAAACUCAACACAGAUGGAGCUCGUAAAAGUUCUGGUCUGUCUAGUACGGGUGGCUUGAUUAGAAACUGUUAUGGAGAGUGGAUAAUUGGUUUUGGAAUGAAUAUUGGUGUGGUUACCAUCAUUGGUGCUGAGUUAUGGGGCCUUUAUCAAGGGUUAUGUCUGGCUUGGGAUAAUGGAAUUCGGUAGCUUCAGGUGGAGGUUGACAGCCUUUGUGUUACUCGUUUGGUGGCGGAUGACGAGAUUAGGCCAAAUGCACAUGCUUCUCUUGUCAGGGGUAUUAUGUCAAAAGCAGCCAUCCAUCUAGAUGGUCAACAUUCAAAGAAGAGGAAUUUUGCAGCAAAUCAAAGAAAAUUCAUAAAGCUAGAUUGACAAAUGGAAGCCAUGCGGAUUGACGAAAUUGAAGCCAUAAUUGGUGGGCUAAAAUCGUUGAUUUUCUUGGCCACUAGUUUGCUAUAAAUAGAAGUGCAGAUGAAGAGCUUAUGCAUUCCAUUAAGAGAGAGCAAUUUAGCAUUUUGAGAGAGUUUAGAGAGCUUGAAAUUAUAAGCUCUUGUUAUUAGUGUUCUGAGAGUUUGGGUGUAUUGGGGUUUUGGGAAGUGAGCUAAAAUACUACAAUACUUGUAACUCCUUUUCACUAGUAAAAUAUUUCCUUCUGUCUUCGCCCGUGGACGUAGACUAAAAGCCGAACCACGUAAUUUUCUAGUGUCAUCUAUUGUGCUUGUUCUUUAUUUUAUUUCCAAUUUUAUUUUAGCUGCGGUCCUGCUGCACCCACCAAUUUCCUAACAGUGGUAUCAGAGCCAGGUUGUAUUUAUUUUUGGAGUCAGGAACUAUUCACGUAUACGGCGUACGGAACUAUUCACGUAUACGGCGUACGGCACUAUUCACGUAUACGGCGUACGGCACUAUUCACGUAUACGGCGUACGGCACUAUUCACGUAUACGGUAUACGGCACUAGUCACGUGAAACGGUGGAAGCGAUCCAAGAAUUUUAUGGUGCAAAGUAUGGAAUAGUGGUGUGAGUAAAGCAACUGUGUAGUUUUGUACAUGUCUAGGAAAGUUCUGUCACAAAGGCGAUAAGAGCUUAAGGAGUCUGGGUUUUAAGUGGGACCAUUGUGACCCCUCCAGUCUUUCCUGGGAACUUUCCUGGUGUGCAUUCUCACACAUACUCACAACUAUUCAAUGUGGUACACUAGCUUGUGUGCAGUAUUAUCAACAAAAUGGCGGCAAAGUAUGAAAUUGAGAAGUUUAACAGAAAUAAUUUUUCGUUGUGGAAAAUGAAGAUGAAAGCUGUAUUGAGGAAAAAUAAUUGUUUGGCAGCAAUUGGAGAAAGGCCCAUGGAGAUAACUGAUGACAAGUGGAACGAGGUAGACGGCAAUGCCAUUUCUGAUCUACACUUGGCACUUGCGGAUGGAGUAUUAUCCAGUGUGGCAGAGAAAAAUACGGCGAAGGAAAUAUGGGAUACUCUCACAAAAUUGUAUGAGGCCAAGUCACUACACAACAAAAUUUUCUUGAAGAGAAAACUCUAUACUCUUCGAAUGGCGGAAUCUACAAUGGUGACCGACCACAUCAACACAUUGAAGACUCUAUUUUCACAACUCACAAUGUUGGGUCAUAAUAUAGAGGAAAAUGAACGUGCAGAGCUUCUACUUCAAAGUCUACCAGAUUCGUAUGAUCAACUCAUCAUCAACCUGACGAACAACAAUCCAGUGGAGAGUCUAGUUUUCGACGAUGUUGCAGCCUCCGUAUUAAAUGAGGAGAGCAGGUGGAAAAAUAAGGAAAACAGACAAGCAAGUUCGCAGCAAGCAGAAGCGCUAUCGGUGACGAGAGGGAGAUCAACGGAACGUGGCCCCAGUGGGAGUCAAAAUCAAGGUAGAUCAAAAUCCAGAAGUAAGAAGAAUGUUAAAUGCUACAACUGUGGCAAGAAAGGGCACGUCAAGAAAGAGUGUUGGAGUAACCAGAAGAGAAGAGAGGGCAAAGAACCUGAGUCAUCAAAUGCUCAGGGGUGUGUAGCAAGUACCUCGGAUGAUGGCAAAAUUCUUUACAGCGAGGCAACAAUUAUUUCAGAAGGCAGAAAACGACUUUCUGAUGUCUGGCUUAUAGACUCAGGAGCUACCUGGCACAUGACCUCUAGAAGAGAAUGGUUCCACACAUAUGAACCUAUCUCAGGAGGAUCUGUAUAUAUGGGUAACGAUCAUGCCUUGGAGAUCGCUGGUAUUGGUACUAUCAAAAUAAAAAUGUUUGAUGGUACAAUUCGCACAAUUGGGGAGGUACGACAUGUCAACGGCCUGAAGAAAAAUCUAUUGUCUUUGGGACAAAUGGAUAGUCAUGGGUACAAAACUCAUGUGGAGAAUGGAAUUAUGAAGAUCGUUAAAGGCGCGCUUGUAUUGAUGAAGGCAGAAAAGAUCGGUGCUAAUUUAUUCAUGCUUAAAGGAGAAACACUACAGGAGGCUGAUGCGUGUGUCGCGUCAAAUGGAGAAGAAUCAACGAUGAUGUGGCAUCUCAAACUUGGCCACAUGUCAGAACAAGGCUUGAAGAUUCUCUCUGAGCGAAAAUUGCUUCCGGGGCUCAAAUCGGUAAGUUUACCAUUUUGCGAGCAUUGUGUUACAAGUAAGCAGCAUAGAUUAAAAUUCAGUAGAUCUAUUGCUAGAAGUAAAUGCAUUCUAGACUUGAUUCAUUCUGAUGUUUGGGAAUCACCGGAUAUAUCCAUGGGAGGUGCAAAGUACAUGGUGACUUUCAUUGAUGAUUAUUCCAGAAGAUGUUGGGUGUAUCCAAUUAAGAAAAAGUCAGAUGUAUUUCUAGUGUUUAAAGAAUAUAAAGCGCGGGUGGAACUUGAAUCUGAUAAAAGGAUCAAGUGCUUGAGGACAGACAAUGGUGGAGAAUAUACAGACGGAGAGUUUCUUGCUUUCUGUAAGCAAGAAGGUAUUCAGAGGCAGUUCACGGUGACAUACACUCCUCAACAAAACGGAGUAGCGGAGCGGAUGAACAGAACUCUUACAGAAAGAAUAAGAGCUAUAUUGAGGACUGCUGGUUUACCCAAUUCAUUCUGGGCAGAAGUAGCCAAAACCGCCUGUUAUAUAGUAAAUCGGUCGCCAUCUACAGCUAUUGGGUUGAAGACAGCGAUGGAGAUGUGGACUGGAAAGCCAGCUGAUUAUUCCUACCUACAUGCAUUUGGAUGUCCUGUGUACGUGAUGUACAAUGCCCAAGAAAGAACAAAGCUGGAUCCAAAAUCUAGAAGAUGUAUCUUCUUAGGGUAUGCUGAUGGAGUAAAGGGGUAUCGUCUGUGGGACCCCACUGCCCACAAGAUCGUCAUCAGCAGAGAUGUUAUCUUUAUAGAAGAUCAACUGCAAAGGAAAGAUGAGGAUGAAAGCACUGUAAAAGAAAAGUCAGAGAUUGUACCAGUAUAUGUGGAAAAUAAUCCAGAAGAUUUAGAUUCUUCUGAAGCAGCACCAGAGAACGAGGAACAAGAACCAGUCGAGUCCGAGGCUCCAGAAGUUCGUCGGUCAACUCGUGAGAGACGACCGCCAACGUGGCACUCGGAGUAUGUCACAGAGAUCAACGUUGCAUACUGUCUUUUAACGGAGGAUGGAGAGCCAUCAACUUUCCAUGAAGCUUUAGAAAGCUCAGAUAUUGCUUUGUGGAUGACAGCAAUGCAGGAAGAAAUUGAAGCUCUACACAAGAACAAGACAUGGGAACUUGUACCACUACCACAUGGAAGAAAAGCCAUUGGAAACAAAUGGGUCUACAAGAUCAAGCGUGAUGGUAAUGACCAAGUGGAGCGGUAUCGUGCAAGAUUGGUAGUGAAAGGAUAUGCUCAGAAAGAAGGCAUUGACUUCAACGAGAUAUUUUCGCCCGUGGUUCGACUCACAACAGUCAGAGUAGUCUUGGCAAUGUGUGCUACAUUUGACUUACAUCUAGAGCAGUUAGAUGUGAAAACUGCAUUUCUUCAUGGAGAACUUGAAGAAGAAAUAUAUAUGCUCCAACCAGAAGGUUUUGCAGAAACAGGAAAGGAGAACUUGGUUUGCAGGUUGAACAAAUCUCUAUACGGUCUCAAACAGGCGCCGAGGUGUUGGUAUAAGAGAUUUGAUUCCUUCAUCAUGAGCCUUGGAUACAACAGACUCAGUUUAGACCAUUGUGCAUAUUACAAGAGGUUUGAAGAUAAUGAUUUCAUCAUUUUGCUGUUGUAUGUGGAUGACAUGUUGGUAGCAGGUCCCAACAAAGAUCGAAUCCAAGAAUUGAAGGCACAGUUGGCUAGGGAGUUUGAAAUGAAGGACUUGGGACCAGCAAACAAGAUUCUAGGGAUGCAAAUUCACCGAGACAGAAAUAACAAGAAGAUUUGGCUUUCGCAGAAGAAUUACUUGAAGAAAAUCUUGCGACGCUUCAACAUGCAAGAUUGUAAGUCAAUUUCUACCCCACUUCCUGUUAAUUUCAAAUUAUCCUCAAGUAUGUGUCCUAGUAAUGAAGCAGAGAGGAAGGAGAUGUCUCGAGUACCGUAUGCAUCAGCAGUGGGAAGUUUGAUGUUCGCUAUGAUAUGUACUAGACCGGACAUUGCACAAGCAGUGGGAGCAGUCAGUCGAUACAUGGCGAAUCCUGGUGGAGAGCAUUGGAUAGCUGUUAAGAGGAUUCUGAGAUACAUCAGAGGAACCUCAGAUGUUGCAUUAUGUUAUGGAGGAUCAGAGUUUACUGUCAGGGGCUAUGUGGAUUCAGAUUUUGCAGGAGACCUUGAUAAAAGAAAAUCCACUACUGGUUAUGUGUUUACACUUGCGGGAGCAGCUGUAAGCUGGGUUUCGAAACUACAGACCGUUGUGGCUUUAUCUACAACAGAAGCAGAAUACAUGGCAGCUACACAAGCUUGCAAGGAAGCUAUUUGGAUACAAAGGUUAUUGGAGGAGCUCGGGCACAAACAACAGAAAAUUCUUGUGUUUUGUGACAGUCAGAGUGCCUUGCACAUUGCAAGGAAUCCAGCCUUUCAUUCCAGGACAAAGCACAUAGGAGUUCAGUAUCACUUCGUUCGUGAAGUAGUGGAAGAUGGAAGUGUGGAUUUGCAGAAAAUCCAUACCAAAGAGAACCUAGCAGAUGUUUUAACCAAGCCGAUAAAUACUGAUAAGUUUAUCUGGAGUAGAUCCUCUUGUGGCCUAGCAGAAACGUAGGCAACAUGAUUAUGGCGAAGCAGAAAGGAUGAUGUGGAGAUUGAUUGAUUUUCAAUCUAAUCUCCAAGUAGGAGAAAUGUCAAAAGCAGCCAUCCAUCUAGAUGGUCAACAUUCAAAGAAGAGGAAUUUUGCAGCAAAUCAAAGAAAAUUCAUAAAGCUAGAUUGACAAAUGGAAGCCAUGCGGAUUGACGAAAUUGAAGCCAUAAUUGGUGGGCUAAAAUCGUUGAUUUUCUUGGCCACUAGUUUGCUAUAAAUAGAAGUGCAGAUGAAGAGCUUAUGCAUUCCAUUAAGAGAGAGCAAUUUAGCAUUUUGAGAGAGUUUAGAGAGCUUGAAAUUAUAAGCUCUUGUUAUUAGUGUUCUGAGAGUUUGGGUGUAUUGGGGUUUUGGGAAGUGAGCUAAAAUACUACAAUACUUGUAACUCCUUUUCACUAGUAAAAUAUUUCCUUCUGUCUUCGCCCGUAGACGUAGGCUAAAAGCCGAACCACGUAAUUUUCUAGUGUCCUCUAUUGUGCUUGUUCUUUAUUUUAUUUCCAAUUUUAUUUUAGCUGCGGUCCUGCUGCACCCACCAAUUUCCUAACAUAUUAAGGAAUUGCUUAACAGAACCUGGCAAGUGCAGGUCAAGCAUGUUUACAGAGAAUCAAAUUUUGCAGCUGACUUUCCUGCAAACUCUGCUCUUUCACUACCUGUUGAAUUGCACAUUUUCAAUUCUCUUCCUUUAGGGGCUGGGUUUUGGAUUCGUCAUGAUUGUAUUGGGGUUUCACAACCCCGUUUUGUUUUGCCCUAGUCUAUGCUAGGCACGUCUUUGUACCAAAAAAAGAAGAGUUAUUGACCACUUUGUUAAAAAUGAACAUGUUAUGUUUAUACGUACAAUAAAACAAAACACGGGGUGCACGCUUAAGUCUUGUUCUUUUACAAUUCAUUUGUAUUACUUACUCUGAUGAAAUCUUUACUCACAUUCCUCGGCAGUUGACAUUGAUCUUUUGCUCAUUCUUUUAUAUUCAAGGCCAAUAGUGAAGCUCCUUUCAAAAAAUAAAAAUAAAAAUAAAAUAGAGAAAUUGUGGGCUUUUAUUCAGACCCCUGAAACCUUUCUGUUAAUAUAAAAACUCUAAUCCUUGAGCAACAGGUUAAAAAAAAAAAAAAAAAGAAUUCUCUGUUUAAUUAUCAGUUGGCUUAAGAUCAAUGUUGUUUGCCUCCUGUCUUUUCUUUGUUUUGUUCGUUUGUUUGUCAUUUUAUUAGAUUUGCUUUGUAGCUAAUUUUACUUGCAGAUUAAAGAUGAGUGAGAAAUGCCCUUUUUUUCUGAAGCAACCUACAAAUUUUACUUGCAUAUGUAAAGCCUUUGUUACUGAUUGCACUCAAUUGUUCAAUUAAAAGUCUUACCAUUUUAUUCUAUGAAAACUUAAUUAUUUCUUUAGAAUAUAUGAAAACGUAGAGUUGUGAACUAGUGCUUUCUUCUUCAACAUGCGUCAACAGGGCAACAAUAACCAAAUACAUGAUAUAGAAAAGCGGUGAAUGACUAAUUCUGUUUCUUUUGCAGGUCAUUGUUAUUGCUCUCAUCAACUCUUUUCUCACACAUUCCUCAGCAGUUACCAGUGAUCUUUUUCCUCUUUCAACUUGUUCUUAAAUAGAGAAGCUCACCAACUCUCUAAUCCCAGAUAAUUAAAGAGGUGCGCGUUUUCUAAAUCCUUGACAUCUGCUCUUUCAUAAGUUCCAUCUACUUUCCAAGAAAAAAUUUUCUCUGGUUUGUUUUAAUAUUGUAACUUAUUUUGCAUGAGUUUUAAGUCAGUAUUCAUUGUUAAAGCCUGUGCUCUUAUUAUUUCUUUUGGUUAAUUUGCAUGCUCUCCCCCCCCCCCCCCUCCCCGCGGCGGCGCCCCCCCCAAAAAAAAAGUUUAUAGGCUUUACUCCUUGAAACCUUUACUGAUAAUACCAAAAACUCUAAUCCUUCAACAAAAGAAAGCAAGAAAAAAAGGUCCUAAGUUUAUUGUCUUUUAUUGGAUUUGUACCAAAAACUCUGAUCUGUUGGCUUUGUAUCAGUAUUGCUUGUUUGUUGUCUUUUAUUUCAUUAUUUAUAUCUAAGUUUAUUUCAAGAUUACAGAUCAGCAGGAAAAGCCCUCUUUCUAAAGCUAACUAUACAGAUUUUAGAAUAGGGCUCAACCACAUGAAAAUAUUUACGUUGUAAUAUCUCAUAUUAAUAAUCUAAAAGCAACCAAUCCAACAAGUUCAAAUUCAGUCAAAUCUAAAAAAAAAUUGCUUUUAAGGAGUACAUGAUAGCUAUUAAACUUUGGUUAAAGAUCUUAUGAGGAAAAGUGAAAUUCAGUCGAUCAUAAAUCAACCAAUCCAACGAGUUCAAAUUCAUCACUUGCAAAAUUAAGUUUUCUUCCGAAAUUGAGUUGUUUCCAUUAGAAAUUGUCCCGCAGUCACGAGUUACAAUCAUCAAAACAAGAUUACUUGAUGCAUUAAUAAUCUUAUUAAAAAAAAAUACCAACUGUUAAGGGUUAAAAAAAUGUGCCAUUUUGUAAUCCAUUUAAAUCAAAAUAGUAUGUUUAAUCGCAAAAAAAAUAACUACUGCCAUGAUGGAGCACAUAGAAUAAAAAUAAAACUUUUAGUUUUACUAAUCAUAAAUAUACCAACUGAUAUCUCCAAAAAAGAAAAAUUUAUUUUUUAAAUUUUUAAAUCAUAUAUUAUACAAAUUUAACAUAUGUUCUAACAGUCAUCUGAUCCCUGCAGAUAUUAAUUGGGUUUAGGGUAAUCCUGUUUACAUAAAGAAUAUUGUUAAAUAAAUGUUUGUUAAUAUGGUUUCAGAUGAUGAUGAUGAUGAGUUGCGACUGCCAAUCAUGCGUAAUAUCAUAAUAAUAUUAAAAACAAUUAUCCCAACAGGUUUCCCAGAAUAUGCUAUAUUAUUACAUAUUAAAGUUAAUUAUAAACAACCAACAAAGUGUUGGCUCCACUGGCAAUGGAGUCCCCUUAAGUGGCUUGACUGGGUUUGCUCUCCAGUUCGAGUCGCAGGGAAGUCGCCUUUGUUGGGAGAACCUGUGCCUCCUGGUUCGAGCGGGGACUUCUAGUCUGGGUUGUGGUAGGGGCUUAAAGGUGCCUCCCACAGUUGGGGCCCUCCCCAGGAUACCUCGUGAUUAAUAUAAAAAAAAAAAGUUAAUUAUAAACUAAUAUAAAAAAAAAGCUCUGACAAAUAUUAUUUCUUGAAAAAUGAGAUGAUUCACCGCUGUUGUGUUUCAUGCUAAUUACUUUUCUCCGGAAAAAUAUUAUAAAUUAAAAUUUAACGAAAGUCUCAAUUUAUACGCUUAUAGCAUGUUCUAUAAUUUUUAUUUUUUAUAUAUAUAGUAUAAUUCAAGAAUUUAUACUGAGUAGAAGCAAAGAUCAAUCCCAUAUGUGGGUAACCAAAAUCCUUCAUAGAACAAGGCACUAUAAUAAUAACCAAAACCAGCCCUUCCUUUUGGUGCCGAUUGAAAACAAUCAUAUUGUGAUUCGCAAAUUAAGUGAGAUUAGUGACCUCUCAACUCAAUCAAAUACUUGCCAAAUUCAUUUCUGAUCAUGCAUCUUACCACCCACCCCCCCCCCCCCCCCCCCUCUUUUUUGCGUAUAAAUUGAGCAUGGUGGCUUUGAAAAUUUUAAGAUUCUUGAUGAUUCCAAAAUGAGAAUAUCAAUUGUUAAGCCAAUAGUAGAUUAUUGACGUUUUAAAUUGAUAAAUAAACACAACUCUGAUUUUAAAAAGUUAUGAUAACAACUUUAAAAAUUUUAAUGUGGAUAUAAAAUCACCCAUAAUAAAACGAUAUGAGAUUGAAAUAAUUUAUUUAAAUAUAAAUCAUCCGAUGUAAUGAAUACAAAACCAACCAUCAAUUUAAAUUUUUAAAUAAUGACAUUGAGAUGUGCUAUAAAUGAGUUCCAGGAAAUAAAUAUUAAUGUAAAUGAUAGCAACAGCUUCAUCCAUUAAUAUAAUUCUACUAUUAAGCAUGAAAUAUAUGACCAUCAACUUACAAUUGUAAUCAUUAAACUAGAAAUCAUUGAGUAUUACAUGAAAUCAUUAAUAUUGAACCUAAAAGAUAUAUGAAACUAAUGUUAAUAUGAAAUCUAGGACCAUUAACUUAAAAUUGUAAUUAGGAAAUAAAGCUUUACAUGAAAUCACUGUCAUUGAGCUUGAUAAUUCUACCAUUAAACAUAAAAUUAAUGCAAAUAUGAAGCAUAAGACCAUCAACUCAAAAAUUGUAAUCAUCAAAUUUUGAAUACCACAAAUUAAAUUUACUCUAUCUUUGUAAUGAAUACAUUCUACAGCCUUAAAAAAAAAAUAAAUAAAGGGUUAUUUUAGCAUUUAUAUGAGUGUGUAAAGUAAAAGUUGACUUUUAAAGUUGAUUCAAUAUAUAUAAACAACAUUAUUGAAUCAUUAUCUUUUUUUUUAUAAUCAUUAUUAAUAAACAUACUAUUUUGAUUAAAAAAAUAAAAUAGUGGAGCUUAAAUAUGUCUGAAAAUUUCAAAAUUAGUAAUAGAAUCAGUAGCGGUUCGAUCUCUAGACAACUUAGGCGGUUGCUUAGGGCCCUACUUUACAUGAAGAUCCUAUAAGAUGAUUAUUUUGUAUAUAAAAGAGGAAAGUGAAUUUAAAAAUCAUUAUUAUGCAUCUAAUUUAUUAUUAUUUUGUAAUUAUCUUUUCUCAAAUAAACUACCGAGUUCCUAUAAAGUUUAUUUAAUGUAGUACUUAGUAGUUUUAAUUCCUACAAAACCGAUAAAUUAAUAGUUUCAAUCCUAUAAAUUUGAUAUUUCAUUGUUAGAAUUAACAACUUAUAAUUAAAAAGUUUUAUAUUCAUUUUAAACCUCUAUAAAAGCCCCACAUUUUAUUACUUAUCCAUUAAAUUUUUCUUCUAACAAUGAAGACACCAUAUGUUCUCCGUUUUUGAGAGAAAGAAAGAGAGAGAGGGGAAAAAAAAUCUUGCUUCCUCUACUUUCCACUCAAGAAAAAAAAGAAAAAAUCUAAUAGUUUUUUUCUAUUCUCUAUGGCUAUUAGUCAUUACUCAAAUCUUCAAAUAAUUAAUAUAAAGAUAAAGUUAAUUUAUGAUUUCAUCUCAAACUUCAAAUUUCAGAUUUUAUUUUUUAUUAUUCUCUUAAUUAAUUGUAUUAUUUAUGUGUUCUUAUUUCUUUUUAAUACAUUCUUUUAUUCAUCUACUAUUUUUGUGUGCUUUUUUUUCUAUUGUGAAAUAAAUAACUAUAUAAAAAAACUUUAGAAAAUAGAAGAAUAAAAAAAUUAAUUUAAUGUAGAAAAGAAGUAGUAUAAAAGAUGUAAUUUGAGUUAAAAAAAAGUAAAAAUAUUAUAAUUGAAUUAAAAUUUCAAGGAUUGACAAUAGUGUAAUAUAAUUUUAUUUAAUAAUUUUACAUUUUAGAGAGUGUUUGAAGAAUUGAUUUUCAAUAAAUAUUAUAUAACUUAUGAGUAAUGAUAUAACCACAAACUCUUGUAUAAACUGAUGUGGCAUGAUAAGAUUGGUUGAAUUAAAUAUCACUUGGCUCACGUGAUUUUGUUUUUAUUAUUUUAUAUUUUUAUUCAACCAAUAAAUUAAUAUCACGUCAGUUUGUACAAGAGUUUGUGGCUGUAUCAUCACUCAUAACUAAUAUACAUAUUUUUUGUCUUAAAUUUAAGAAAAACUAAUUAAAACCAUUUGCCUAAGGCCUCAAAUAUGGUUGAGCCGGUCCUGAAUAGAAUAUAAAAGUACAUGAUAAAUAUUUAAAUUAAAACUCGAUAAAAGGUUAACAAAAACACACAUGUUGUUUUUUAGUGAGUUUGAUUUUAUUUUAUUUUUUUGGAACAAAUUCAAAACGACAUCAUUUUGGAUGUAUUUUCAUUGGGAUUUGGUUCUUCAAUUAUUUUUCUAAUAGCAGAUCUCAAGAUUGUGUGAUUACAUCACAACUUAACUUUUACAGUGAUCGAUUCCAAUAGCUCUCUAGUUGAAAUUUAAAUUAAUUAAAUAAAAAAUAACAUGGCCCUUAUCAAUUUGACGAUGGUAUGGUGUAAAAACAUCCUCUUGAAAAUUAUGAGUCAUCCAAAAAGAUUAAUUUUUUUGGGAUAUCUUGAAUGGAAGUAAACACAAUUUUAUGUUUUAUAAAAAGGUAAAACAUUAAGUAAUUAAUAAUAUAUCAAUAUUAAUUAAUAAGUUAUUUACAUUAGGCAAUAUUAUACGUUUGUGAAUUUAUUGGUCAUUUGUUUUUGUACAAUUAUUUCAUGACAUUAUAACGAUAUGAGAAUGACGAUUCAAACUAUCUUGAAUAUUGGAUAAUUGUUUUUUAAUUAACAUUUUGGGGCUGAAUUCAAUCGUGCAUAUAGACAAUUUUAUCUAUUAAAAGAAUUAAUUAUUAUGUUAAAAUUUAUUUUGGAAUUUAAUGACGAAGAAACUGUUUCUUAACUGGAGCUAUGGCUUUGGCCACGAGCUCCUCUGGUGUUAGAUUAUGAACCGGAACUCCGGUUGAAUUCGGUUGUGGUGGCGGUGAGUCCGCCGGAAAAAUCCGGAACUCACUGAGUUCGGAUGCGGACUCGGCCAUUUUAACUCAGGUUAAGAACUCCGUGAUGCGAGUGGCAAUGAGGGUUAUCUGUAGGGUUUAUAGCGGGUUUGGAAACAUUGGUCUUCGGUUUAGAUAUUUUUUAUUCCGUUAAAGAAGACGACUGAAACAACUUGCCGUUUAAUGAAAAUGACGUCGUUUAGUCGUAACGUUGUAAAAAAAUGAAUAAAAAAUAAAAAAUUACAUUGUCAGAAGUGGGAUUUGAACCCACGCCCUCUUUCGAAGACCAGACUUGAGUCUGGCGCCUUAGACCACUCGGCCAUCCUGAGUUUUUGAUGAGCCUGUCGACUUUCAAAAAUAUCUCCAAAUACUUUUAAUUAUAAUUACAUGACACUAUUAUUGACAAUAUAAUAUGGAUAUGAAAGUAAAAAAAUUUGAUUAAUAAAUUAUAACUAUCGUUCUACUAUUUUGUUCAAAAAAUAAUAUUAAAAAAAUAGAUGAAGAAUAAAAAUGCAUUAAAUUAUAUUGUUUAAUAUUAAUCAGUCACGGCUACUUGCGCUUAACUUUCCCUCUACGCCCAAAAUUUAGAACUUAGAAUAAUUUUAAUUAUUGAAAUAAUGACUAACUAAUUUACUUAGGAAUAAAGACAGAAUUUGGGGGAGGGAAAUUACCAAGCCUUUAAAUUUUUAUAAGUAAAUAGAAAAAGAAAUUCAAGAUGGCCAAAAUUUUUUUGCUGUAUGAGACCCCAAUUAAAGCGGGCAAAUUCCACUCAAACUUUAAAAGUUAGUGUGAGUAUAUAGGUUUGAUUAUUUUAACUUAAAACUUUGACCUAAUUAAACACAAAUUCAUAAUCAUUGUACUUCCAGACAUCAAGCGUGUAAUCAAAAUUCAGUUACUUUUUGUCUUGCAUUAAUUUCAUUGACCAAUAUAUAUUUCUUAAAUAAAUAAUAAUAGUUUGUAUUUUAAUUAAUGUUCCACUAAUCAUUUAUUGUCUCAUAAAUGAUAAUAAAUAAAUUUAUUAUUAAUUAUUUACAUACUAUUCUUACAACUUGAUCAAUGAACGACAUAUAACAUGCCACAUAAAAUAUCAGAGUAACUAAGAUAUAAACUAUGUAUUUCUUGGUCGAAUUGAGUAUCCGUAGCAUUAAAUGUAAAUCACUAAUUACUGCAAAGAUCAAACUUAUAUUUAAACGAGAGAUUUAACAUUAACUAAUACCAAAUAUUGGCGUUCAAUUACAACUUAUGAAAUACUCAACAUAGGUAAAACCACAGAAUCAUACGAUUCAUACGGUUCGUAUAAGCCUUUCGAGGCUAAUGCAUGUGUAGGCUUGAAGACAUCAUUACUAAGAGGCGGCUAAUAAUAUUAUAAUAUAAAAUACUGCUACUCAUGCAACUGGGUAGGAAGGUUUAGUGGCAAUGCCACAGAGACCUUCAGGUGCUUCAACAUCUCUGAGAAUCCUCAUGUAGCCGGCCUCACCCCAGCUCUCCCCCCAUGAAUUCUUAAUUAACCAAUACUUCAUUCCAUCUUCAGUUGCCCCAAAUCCAACGAUAGCAACAGCAUGAGAACACUGAGUUCCACAUCCUCCGUUAAAAAUACCGCCUUUGUAACUCUGGAAGUCUGGUCCACUUCCUUCAAUGCAAAUUGAUACUGGCUGCAUGGCUACAGCUUGGAGUAAAGCCUGCUCAUCAUUGGGUUUUACAUCUUCAAAGUUACUAAUUUUAGCAGCUGCCUUGACCUGUGCGUCUUCACAAGUCCCUUGGACUUCCUUGUAUGGAUAAUCCGCUUCUGAGGCAAUACCCUGGUUUUUUAUAAUAUAUUUAAAGGCAUUGUCCAUCCAACCGCCACCGCAUCCACGGUUACCAUCUAUGGAGCAGUCUAGUAUUUGCUGCUCCGAAAGUGGAAUAAGAUUACCACUACUAAUCUCAGUCACCCCUUCCACCGCCGCCACAGUUGAAAAUGCCCAACAGUCUCCUGCAUCGUACAUAUUAAGGAAAAAAAAAAAAAAAGGCUUGAUUAAGUUACAUGAAACAUGCCCCAGCAGGGGUUUGGCAGACGGUUGUCAAGCUGUUUUUAUUAAUUAGCUGAUGGUCAACUGAGUUUGAGUUCUGAAAGAGGUUGGAGGCUAAAUAAUCUAUUAUAGUUACUUCAUAAAUAUUUAGUAUACGAUUUACUUACCACAUUGACCUUGGUUCUUAAUAGGAGUGACAGCUCCUUUCUCUCUCCAGUCCAUGCUAGUUGGAACGUCAGUCAGGUUUUGAUACUUGAAGGAUGCUGUUGUGGAUUGCCGUGAUGAAGAUGACUGGCUUGGCACCCUGUAUCCUGUAUAUGAAGCACGAAACUCCUCAUUAGUUAAGUCUGAAAAUUCAUUGGUGCCUAACUUGUACGUCCGAUUCGCCUCCUCAUUGGCUUUCUCAAUGUAUUCAAGGUUUUCUUUGAAUAUCUUAAACCGCUUUUCCUUCUCCAGGUCGUCCUUGUAAGUGCGCCCAUGCUCAGCCAUCCAUUUUUCAUGCUUCUCAACAAUGGAUGGUUCAUGCAGCGACCGGCCGGCGACCGACACCAUUUUAGAUGAAUAAGUCACCAGAAUGAUCAUAGACAGGGCAAUGAUAUCAAAGCUUUUCCCCAUAAUAAUUGGUAGGUAUUUGCAAGUUGAACAAGGUUGUUGUUUUUUUUUUUUUUUUUUUUCCCUUCAAAUUAUAGAGGCUAGCUAGCCAGCUGGGGGUAAGUUGUGAAUACUUGAAGCACGCAUUGAAGCUCUAUAUAUAGUACUUGUAGAUAGUGGAUUUGUGCUCUCAACAUGGGUCGCGUACAAUAUUUGCCUAAUGCAUGAGACGUAUGCGUUGCGUUAGUCGUGCCCCAUACUUCACGAUUUUCAAUCAAGCUAAUUAGUAUGCGAAACCGGACAACCAAGUUAUUAUCAGUUAUCGCCGUGAUUCGCGUACUUCGUGCUUUUGAGGCUUGCUAGCAAUGACUUGACUAGCUUUUAGCGAAGUUACAAAAAGAAUUAUGAACUAAUUUGUAGAUGGACUUUUAUCGAUGAGACUUGCGGCGACGUGGAAAACAUUGGUGUCAUUUUUUUUUUCUUUCAUAAAUCAACUUAAAAAAAGGAAAAUUGGAUAAUAAUGUGAACUCAUUUGGACGGAGUAAAAUAAUUCUUACAAAAUCUACAAUGCAUCUAGCUAGGAUGAACUUUUAUAUAUCUGCGAUAUUAUGAAGAAAUCAUUACUAAUAUGCAUUACAUAAUAUGGCAUAAAAUAUGACACUAAUACUAGAAUUUCUUCCUUUAAGUGCCAAUUUGGUAGUUUAUCUUAACCUGUCAGUGACAACUGUUAUUUCAAGUGCACUUUUUGAGUCUUUAUGCAUACUAUAAUAUAUAGGCUUCAAUGGGGUCUCCUCGUAACUUUCUUGCCUAUCACCUUGAAUAUAAUCAUAACAUCCCGCCAAGUUAAUUUUUUUAGACCAUAGCACGUCAAAAUCUUUAAUGGAUAUAUUACUAAUAGAAUAAUGGUCAAUAUUCUAUUUUUACAUACGGUUUAAGAUAUCUAAUAAAUUGAUAUGGAUUUAAUUUCCUAAAUACCAAAUUAGUGAAUUAUCAUAACUUUUUAAAAACUUAAAUUUGAUGUUAAAGAAAAGGAUAUAUAUAUUAACUUAUUGAUAUAAAUAAUGCUAAGUAUAUAUAUAUUUGCAGCCAAAAGUUAAAUAUGGUACAACAAUAAAAAAAGAUACUUUACACACUCAGUUAUAAUAAACUAAUAUUUAUAACGAUAAUAUGACCCAAUACCCAUAUUGACCCAAUUACUAUCAUAAUAUUGUAUUAGGAUAUUAAAAUUCCACAAUAAUGGAGAUGACAUAAAAUUUGUUUAUAAAAAUGUACAAUACAAUAUUUAAAUUUUUUGCGGUUGAAAAUCGUGAGAACAGUAUGGUCAUCACAAUUAAUUGAUUGUGAGGAGAAUAAAGAGACCAUUACCAUAAUAGCUAUGCAUAAUUCAAUGGCCCGAGAUGGAUUGGCGGAUGGAAUCAAGAAUAAUUUGAUUCAAACUUAAGAAUAAUACAUUAUACAGAAUUACAGAUUGAGAUUAAAUAUACUCUCUUGUUUUUAUAAACAUGUGCAAAAUGCAUGCUUUCUCUUUCAUCUCUGCUUCAAUCCCACUUUAGGGUUUGUUUGUCAAAAGUAUUGUUUUUGAAAAAUAGAUAUUGUUUAAAGCAAAUAAAAUAAAGAUCAUUAAAAAAAUAUAACAACAUAAUGUUUAAUUGAUAAUGAUUUUUGCCAGUGUUAUGAAGGACUACAAAACCGAAUACAAAAUGCCAAAAUUUUGUAACUAGGAAUCAUACCAAAUCACAUAUUAAUUUAAAAUUUAAUUCUUACUUUUAAUUCUUACUUUUAACAUCUAUAUAUGUAUACAUAGAUACACGGUGGGUCCCUCCGAGCAUCGGAUGAUUUUUCGGGCAACGGACAUCUCAUAGAGUUAAGAUCGUCAUCAUCAUCGUCAUUAUACGAAUACAUUACUUUGAAGGAGCUUAUGUUGGACUCCAAUUUUAGGGGUGGCGGCAUUGCCAUUAUAAAUUCAAUAAGAACCACAGUGGACAAUUGUUACAUUUCGCAUUUCACUACCGCUGGCAUUUCCAUCCAAGAUGGCCACGAAACGUAUAUAAGAAAUUCCUUCAUCGGCCAACACAUCAACAUCGGCGGGGAUGAUCGCGAAAAGGAUUUCUCCGGCAUCGGAAUAAACAUCACGGGAAACGACAACACGGUCACUGAUGUUGUUAUAUUUUCAGCAUCAAUUGGAGUAAUGGUACAGGGGCAGGCCAAUAUGCUGACGGGAAUACACUGUUAUAAUAAGGCUACUGACUUGGGAGGUACCGGCAUUUACAUCCGGGCACCAGCAUGUUUUAAAAAAACCCAUUAUUGACAAUUAAUGUUGCAGGUCAUUAAUUUUUAAAAACAAUAACACAAAUGACCCAAUUAAUAUCUAAUAAAAUAUUUUUUUAUUAUCAUAUUUAAUACUAAUAUCAAUAUUAAAUUCAAAAAUCACACUUAUAUUAUAAAUAGCUUGAUUGUAGCAUAAACUUAAUGGGUAAUUGUACAAAAAUAUGUAUUUUGAUAUGACAAAAUACAACAAUUUGAUCAUUGCAAAUUAAAUCAUGGAUUUUUUUUUUAAUGAGUAAAUUACAUAAAUAUGUCUGAUUUUAUUAAAAUUUAGAUAAACAGUGAUCAAAUCAUAAACGUAACAUAUAAAUACAUAAAAUAUUUAUAUUAUAUUUACAUUUAAGUAACAUUUGAUAAUACCAAUUCUUUAAACUAAGACAUAUAAAUUAAGAUUUUUCUGAUCGUUAAAAUUUUGUAAAAACAAUUAUCUAAUAAUUUGACAAUUUUCAUCUUUUACAUUAUCCACAUUUGAAGAUUAUGUAUUUGUACAAAAAUAUCAAAAUUAACUUUGGAUAUGAAAGCUAUAAUGAUAUUUUUCAAUUCUUAAAAUUUAUAUUUCACAAAAUUAUGGAUUUAAAAAAAAAUUGGCACAAUAAAUUUAUGAUGAAUUAUAGUUUUAAUGGUUUACUCUUCCCUCAUAAAAUAAAAAUAAAACUGUUCAAAGAAGAUAUUAGAAGGUUUAUUGGAAUAUUUAAUUUGAUAUUAUAUUUAUUUGUAUUUAACAAAAAUUUGGAUCCAGCCAAAAGCCAAGAUAAUGGGCUAUUUUUUUUUUUACUUCGAGGAGGCUGCUGCACAAUGUAAGACAAGGUCACUCAACCGUUGCUGGUGAUGGAAGAAAUUAAGAGAUGUCUCUUUCAAUAAUUUGACAAGAAAAAUGAAUAUCUAUUUGUUUUCAAUUGGAACUUUGAAUGUACGCAUCAAGCUGACAUCACACGUAUUUUUAUUAAUUUUAUAUUUUUUUGGAUGAAUUAGCUAGAAGCUAGAAUGCCCCGUGAAUUAUUUUGGUUUCAAAAUUUGAUCCGGUUAAUUACAAUUAAGUGCAUCCAAAAGAUUACCAUCAAUUAAUUAGCUUGAGCUUGGGAAUUCUAAUUAAUAAUAGUAAAAUAUAUAUAAUAUAAUACUUGGAAUUAGCUUUGGAUUUGAUCUAACAUAUUUAUACAUACACACGCACGCGCGAUAUCAGCUAGCAAAGCAUGCACGAUUCACUUUAAUUAAUGAGUUGAAUCUUCAAAAAUUAAAUAUUGAUAAUUCUUUUUUUCUUUUUAAUAUUUAUAUAUCAUCUCACCGGCCGUGACAUUAUCAAUUUUUUUAUGUUUUAAAUUUUAUUAACAUCGGCCAGAACUCAAGCCUUCUCAAUUAAUAUGAUAAAAAAUUCGUCUAUUAUACUUGGCACGUUGUUGCCCUUGCUGCCUCUUCUGCAAACGAUGUCGUAUAUUUUAAUCAAAACAAAGAAUGUUGAUAAGACGCGGUUAAAUAUUAACAAUCUUUUUACUUAAAAUUAGUGAGGCCAGUUACUUCAUUCGCCACCUAAUACGCUACACUGCAGGGAAGGGCAAAACCGUCCGAAGUUGAUUCCAAUCCAAUCAAUUAAUUAACCUAAUCAUAUAUCAGCUAUUUAUUAUUGUGUUUUUCACAAAGGGUACUCUAGUUGACAAUUGGUGUUCUCUUUUCCUGUCAUUUUCCAAAUUUUUGGCCUUUUUGUUAGAGUAGUGAAGUUUCUUUCAAGGAUGUCUGCAUUCAUUGAAGGGAUUUUUUUUUUUUUAUGAGUAAUAGAAACAUAAUGUGAAUUUUGAAAAUAACUGCUUUAUUAUAAAAAAUUUUGAAUUGGUUAAAACAUUCUACAUUGUUUUAUACGAGAUUGAAAACUUUUUACUUAAUGUUUUACCUCUUCUAUUUUAAAAAAUUGUAAACCAUGAAAACAAUAGCUUGACAAUCAUGGAUUAAAUCAGAAAUUAAUUUUAAUAUUGGAUAUUUAUAAUUAACAAUUAACAAAUGAUAUCUUUACAGUGAAUUCUUUACAAUAAGUUAAUUUAUAUCAGUUCCACCGCAUUAGUUAACACCAAGAAUAGUCUUUUUAUAAAUUAACUAUUUUUGAAUUAUUAAGUUAUAAAUAGCUAUUUAUUAUGUUUGUACAAGAAAUAAUAUUUUUCCGGAGAAAAAUUAUAGAACAUAUGUUCUAACAGUCGUCUGAUCCCUGCAGAUAUUAAUUGGGUUUAGGAUAAUUUAAUAUUUUGUAAUCCUGUUUGUAACAUUUUAAUAAACACGGUUGAUGAACUACUUGUAAACCAAAUGAUAUCUCCUAAAAAUUUAUUGUUAAUAAUCAACAAUAACAUAAUAACAUUAUUUAUAAAUAACUCUUUUUUAAUAUCAAAGCCUCCACAUUUUUAGCAAAAUGUCAUAAAAAAAUAUACCAAUUUUUUUCUAUUAUACAAAUUUAAUUAAUCAGCGAUAUUCUCACUGUUUCUCCCUUGCAGCCAUUGAAUCCAACUAAUAUGCAUGGCAAUUGCCUAAAACUGAUAAGAAUUUUGCCCCUUUUUUUGGCAACAUGCAUUAUUAUCAUGACACCCUAACACGUGCGCAUUGCGUCACUGCUGGCUUCUGAAGGUUACUUUAAAGCUUCUAUAUAUAAGCGCACUCAUUCUGCAUAGAGACAUAUUUCGGUAUCAUAUGACUUUCUUCUUCAAAGCAAAAGAAAAGCAUUCAGGAAACCUCUAGAGUCUUACCUUCCUCGAUGGCCACAACGUAAGAAUUUGGUUUUUUUUUUUUUUUUUUGGAAUUUCAUAAUUAAUUAUGAUCAUUAUUUUAACGAUCAUGUGUCAUCUUUGAUAGAGCGCAAGAGAAUCUUCCUCCACCGUUGGAUUCGAAGGCCGAGCUACCACCUCUGUUCGAUGGAACUCCCAGGUUGUACAUUUCUUACUUGUGCCCAUUUGCUCAGCGUGCGUGGAUCACCAGGAACUACAAGGUUUUAUUUUUAUUUACUAUUUUUUUUUUUUUUUAUCACUGUUGACCCGUCUCUGCUUUCUAGGUUUAAUUAAAAUAAUAAUAAUAACAAUAACAGUAAUUUAUGGUUUAUUCGUUUCGCCUUUGUCGUAAUACUCUCUUUGAAUUUGACAACUUUUGGUGUGCUGCUGCAGGGAUUACAAGACAAGAUUAAGUUAGUUCCACUGAACCUCCAAGAUAGGCCCGCUUGGUACAAGGAGAAGGUUUAUCCUGUUAACAAGGUGAUGCUGAUGCUGAUGUGUGAUCAAUAAUAAUAUUUGAUUUUAUUUGAUUGAUCAUUUAAGUAAUUUGAUAGAUCAACAAUAUGUGCAUUCUUUUGGUUAACAUGGAGCUUAGAAUCUGCUGGGAAGAUUUUGAAUAGUAUUAGAAAGUUUCUGAAUAAUAAUUAGGAAUUUUUCUAAUCAAGGUGUUGAUAGACCAAUUCAGAUAUAGAAAAGGAAGAGGUUAGUUGUGUUUGGUAUUGAGGUAGGGCGGCUGUAAAUUAAAAGGUACAGAGUUAAAGUGUUUUGUAAAACUCUAAUAUUUCUACUAUUUUUGUCAAAAUCUUAAUUUAAAAUUCAUAUUUAUUACGCAUUUUUAACUUUUAUUUUAUAGUUACAGUUUUUUUUUUUUUUUUUGGGUCCGUGGCAGCUGUAGCUAAAAAAACCACAGCACCUCAAUACCAAAUAGCCUAAUUAUGUGACUCUGUGUCCUUAUGCCCCAUCUUUGAAAUUGAAAUGCUUGUAAUCUGUGCGGAGGAGUUCCUGAAUAAAAUUGGAAUGGUGUCUUUGUGCUUUGUGUGCCUAGUAAAAUCUUAACAUAUUCUGAUUUGAGCAAGUUGCUUGCUUGCAAGAAAACACAACGAAAGAAUUAAACUGAUUGUUACACUUUCGUGCAAGAUUAGGGAUCAUUGCUGGAGUUAUGAAGUAUAUUUACCUAUUAGAGUUCUUCUUGACAGGUUCCAGCACUGGAGCACAAUGGCAAAGUUAUUGGAGAAUCUCUUGAUUUGAUUAAAUAUGUUGACAGCAAUUUUGAAGGGCCUUCACUUUUACCUGAUGUAAGAUUUUUGCUGAUUACAUUGUUGCUUUUAAUAAAAGCUUCUCUCUCUCUCUCUCUCUCUCUCUCAACUUUGAGUAAAGUAAUGUUGUGAAAAUAUUGUAGGAUCCUGAGAAACGAAAGUUUGCUGAUGAACUGUUUUCCCACAUCGAUACCUUCACCAACGAUGUGUAUACUUCAUUCAAAGGAGACCCAGCAAAACAAGCUGGUAGGAUUUGAAACUUGCUUACUUGUUUAUAAUGGAAUGCAUUUUGAAUAUGUAUAUAUAUGUGCUGAACUCACGGAAAAAGUUUUAAUUUGUCACAGGUCCUGCUUUUGAUUACUUAGAGAAGGCCCUUGAUAAAUUUGAUGAUGGCCCGUUCUUCCUUGGACAGACGACUAGACAAUAAAGAAUAUUCUUAAAUACUAAGGCUACCAUAUUUAUUUGGAAAUAAAUGUUUGUUAAUAUUAAUAAACCCAUACAUUAAUAGAUGAUGUGUUGUGAAUACUGAUGACCAUACUGUUAUAAAUGAGAACAUAAAUUUAAUGUUAAAAUCACAUAUUAACAUCAUUGAAUACUGAUGUUUAAAAUAUUAGUAAAAUACUUAAAUAGCAAGUGUAUUAAUUAUUUUUUAUUAAUUAACAAUAUUUUACCAAUCAGAUCUCAAUUAUCUCAUCUUCUCUUAAAUAUUUCUGCCUCGUGUAGGUGUAUAUAUGGGUGUGUUUUAAGGUCUCCGUACGGGUUCUUGUCUUCACUGGCCUAUACAGAGGAAGCGGAGCGAAUAACGCAGUCCAAAGGGCUUGUGUUUUGCUUAAAUGAUGAGCCGGGCGUAUACAGAGUCUGGAUGCCGAAUGGUGAGACUCCGGGACUAGCCAUAUCAAGAGCCUUGGGUGAUUACUGUGUCAAGGACUAUGGCCUAAUCUCCGUGCUCCAUGUAACGCAAAGAAACAUAACAACACGAGACCAGUUUGUCAUUCUGGCAUCGGACGGGGUACGUAUCCACAUAUUGGAAUUAUCUUUUGAUCUGAACUAACGUCAAUGUUUGAAAGAUCAAUUAUGGAUUUUUCUUCAGGUUUGGGAUGUGAUUUCGAACCAAGAGGCGGUGGAGAUUGUUUCUUCAGUAGUGGAUAGGGAAAAGGCAGCAAAAAGAUUGGUGGAAUGUGCUGUUCGGGCAUGGAAAUAUAAGAAACGAGGCAUUGCAAUGGAUGAUAUUUCUGCCAUUUGUCUCUUCUUUCACUCUUCAUCGUCCCCUCAAAAGGUGGAGCACAAUUUGAAGGAUUCAAAACUGCAGGCUGGCAUUUGAAUGAAUUUGAAAACAAGGGCUGCUUCUUGGCUAUUGUGUCUGUUGCCAAAGCACUACUUGUAUGUAUAUAUAUGUCUGCGUUUAGGGAUGGUAAUUGUACCCGCAAACCCGCCCAAACCCACCCGCCAAAACCCGCCCGCUGUGGGUAAUUUUACCCGUUGCGGGCGGGUUUAGUAUUAUAAACUAAAACCCGCAUAUGGAUGCGAGUGGGUUUGGUAUUAACCUUAUAUCCGAUGGAUACCCGCAUGGAUAUCCACCAAACCCGCAAUAUUUUUUCCAAAUAUUUUUAAUUUAAUUUUAACCUAAAAAUGUAUAAAGAAAAUAAUGUCAUUAUUCAAAUUACCAAAUAGUCAAAGGCUCAAAGUUGUGUAUAUGUGUAUGUGACCCAUUUCCCAUUCUAAAGUCAUAAUCUAAAGAAAACUAAAGGCAUUUCCUUUCGAAUUUCCCUUCGAAUUAGGGCCCGUUUGGUAUUGUUUUUGAAUUCGUAUUUUCUGAGAAUAAAAAUGAAAAUGAAAAUGGUGUUUUGUAGUUGCUGUAUUUCGAAUUUAAGUAUGCGUCUGGUAUCAUUUUCUGUAUCCUAUAUUUUAAAACUGAAAACAGUAAUAUGCGUUUGGUAGAUACAGUUGAAAAUGAUAAAAACAGAGAAUAUGCGUUCGGUAAUACUUUUUUCAAAAACAGUUUUUACUAUUAAGCAAUUACGUCAUAUUUAUAAUUAUUUAGCUAAUACAUACACAAAUACAACAUAAUAAUUUAAAACAAAAUUAUUAUAAAAAAUUUACAUGAUGAUAAAGUUUUAGAAUUAACAUUAAUUAAAAAAAAUUACAUUGUCAUUGUUUUUACAUAAUAAUUAAGAUAUAUAUUACAACACAUGAUUUAAACAAAAUAAUUAUAAAAAAAAUACAUAAUAAACAUUAUACAUUACGUAUGUAAUCAUGCCACAUAGAAGCUGCAAUUCUAUCUCUUGUAGCACUCAUCUCGGCGACACUUGCUGGAGAUAAAUCAAUAUUAGUAAGUGGCCUACUAGUGUCUCCUUCUUCGUUGGUAACCAAAUCUUGCACAUCAAAGUCCCCAAAUAACCUAUCACUUGCAUUUUCUGGUCGAAUAAAGUUAUGUAAAGCGCAACAUGCAAUUAAAAUUAGACGUUGCUUAUGUAAACUAUAAUUAUGCCACUACAAGAAAAAUGAGAUUUAACAAUGUGUAAUGUACGUUGUUAAACACUUUCAACAGCGGGCAACCGCAUGCUGUUGAUCAAGAUGUUGUCUUUAAGGCUGUCUGUUUUAACAACAUAUAAAGAGUGUUGUUGAAAGUUAUUUACUUGUUGCUUAAAAGUUUUUAACCACAAGCUGUAAAUGUUGUCUUCUACUAUUUUAUUACAUAUCUUUUAAUAACAUGCAGAUGCAUGUUGUGAAUUAGUUUUUUUAAGUAAUUUAAUAUUUUUAACAUAAUAUAUUUUUAAAUUAAUUUGGAAGCUCUCAAACAAAUGCAUAAAAUACAAACUAAAAAACACGUAACAUAUAAUUAAAAAAAAUCCACUUUAUUAAUUGAAUAACAUUAUAGUAUUACAUUUUUUUUUUACAAUAUAAAAUAAACAAAAUGUCAACAACUUGAUCUAAACUCUUCAAAAGUUCAAGCUCUAUUGUGUAGUGUCCUCAGAAUAAAAAAAACAAGGGAAAAGCCAAUUUAAUAAAAUUCACCCUAUCUUCAUGAAACAACUGAAAUGAAUGCAUACUCAAUCCAUUAUAUCAACUAGGAAUGAUAUUUACUGCAUCCUGAGCACCACCAGCCUAGCCUGUUACAUCAAAAGCAAGCAAACUUAUCAUUAGCAUGCUCUCUUCUUUAAUUGGGUAAGAAAAGGACAUUUGGAUACAAAGUUUAGCGAAGGAUAAAGAAGUAUGAGUGCAAACCCUUGUGUGUAUGAAAUAGUACCCAGAAAAAUACUGAAAUAAAAAAAUAAGGUGAAAAUUAUAUAUCACCUGGAUAUUAAAAUAUCAACAUGCUUAUGAGCAAAUAGAGCAAAUUUCAGAGCAGUGAGAACCUCAAGUUUUUUCAUUAAUUAAUUAAGGAAAAUAAAGGAGUGCAAAAGAUAAUAGCACAUGUACAAAUUGCAAUGCUUUACCAAAUUAUUACAUUGUAAGCCUGCAAACUUGAAACCUUUCUAUUGAAGAGACACAGACAUGUUGCAUAUUAUGCACAAUCUCUGCCUGAAAUUACCAUGAAUGGUUCCAGAAAAGAAACCUCAAACUAUGGUUAAGGUUAUAGCUACUGGUCAGACCACAAACCUACAAUAAUUAGUAUUUAAUGCUUCCCCAAAAAAACAAAAAAAAAAACCUAAAAAAUGCUGCUACAUACUCUGAAUCCAAGUUUGCUUUUAUUUCUCUAUAUUUGCCUUUGAAAAUCUUAAUUAUAAUGCUUAUUCCGUCAACAUCUACUCAAUAAAGAACAAUAAAGAAGUAAAAAUAAAGAACCCAUCACUUUCCAAAUCCAAAAAUUUUCUCACUUUCUCACCAACAAAACAUCCUUUUUCUUUCUCUCAAAACCUCAUCUUCCCACUCAAACUCACUCAAUUUCAACUCAAAUUCCACCAAAAUUUACCUUUAAUUUGAAGAUGAGGCAGCUAAUUCGCCGUCUUUCUCGCGUCGCCGACUCCUCGUAGUACAGUCUCCGUGCUUGAACUUGAAGAAAGUAGCAGCAGCUCGAACUUGAAUAACAUCGGCAGCAGCAGCUCGAAAAUCGGUAGUUCGAUUACCACCACCUACUUAGCAAAAAUAAAAGCUGGAGCUAAUUCCUCACAAAAAGAAAAAAGUAAAAACCCACAUCCAAUUUCACCAAACAUAAGUAAACCCAGAAAAGAUUUAAAGAAAUUAAGAAAGAACAAUUGUUCACUAAAAUAAAAGAAAAUUAAAAGCUUACCAUACAAUGGGCGGGCAAGUGACAGAUCCGGGAGAGCAAAGACGGAGCAGCAGCAGCUAGACGGAGUCGUAGCAGCAGCGGUUACGGCGGAGACAGAGCAGCGGCAGUGGCUAGCACACCAAGAGCGACCAAGAGAGAGUGGAUUGGGAGAGAAAGAUGUUGGAUGAAGAUAAGGGGAGGGAGAGAGUGUAGAUUUACUGCAACUGGAUCUAGAAAAGUGAGGGGAAAGAGAGAGUUGCAGUGAACUGGAUUGAGAAAAGUGAGGGCUGCAGUGAAGAGAAAAGGAGGACGAGGGUCACGAUUUUCUUUUGUUUUUUAAUUCAUUUUUAGGUUUAGUUUGUGAUAUUUGAAGAACAUGUUUAAGUUGUUUUCAGUUGAGUAGUUAUAAUAAUGAAUCCGGAUUUUGUGUUUUGUAAUCUGUUUUUUGAAAUUAAUUGGCCGAACGUGUAUUAUAUGUGGAUUAUGAAAAAGAAAAUGAAAAUGUUGCGUGGAAAAGGGUACCGAACGGGCCCUUAGUAUUUGAAAAUAUUAAUCUUAAUUAUUAUUAUAGGCAUUGUGUUGGAUGGGUGCUUAUGUUGGUGAAUGAAAUGAAUAUCUUCUCUUGGAGCUUGUUUUAAAUGAUAAUAUGAAAUGUAAUUAUUAUUUUUAGAUACUAAUUUGUAUUUUUUAAAUGAAUUUGUGUAAUUUAUACUUAAAUUUGAGAAUUUGUGUUGGAUUGAUGUGGAAAUUUUAAUUUUUUAUUUACUUUGUUUAAAUAUAAAAUUGAGUAUGCUAUAUGGAAUUUGAGGUUAUUAUUAUAAAUUUAUAUAUUAAACAUUUGUGAUUUUAAAUACGGAAACUCGCAAAAAAUCUGCCGGGUACCAUUGCGGGUUUGGUAAUUGUUAAAACCCGUUGUGGGUGAGUUUUUUUAAAAAAAUUAAAACCCGCUGCGGGUUGCGGGUGGGUUUGGUAAUUUAAAUUUUGUGCGAGUUUGGGUUUGGUAAUGGCAAACCCGCUGCGGCCGGUACCCAUUACCAUCCCUAUCUGCGUUUUGUACGCGACAGUCUAAUAUAAAUUACACAGGAGAGAGCCCAGGAGUUCAAGUGACCCAAUAGUAACUUAACAUUGUUUGCAAUCCCUUGGUUGCAUCUUGUUUGCAACAUGAUGAUUUCAUUUUCAUGUAAUGGCAUUUACUAUCACCAAAUUGUACAUUUAUGUUGUGGCUAUUAUUAAAUUAUAAUAUAAACUACCCGAUAAUUAUUCAAUGCGUAUUUGUUAGUAACAUUUACAUUAGAAAACUUCAAAAUUUAUCUAAUGUGGUGGAGGAGAACUAAUAACAAAAGAAUGAAGAAAUGAGAUAAUAUAUUUACAUAGAAUCAUUAUAUAUUAUAAAUUUCCACAUGUUCUAAAAUAUGAAUUUGAUACAUGAUUAAAUUGAAACUAAAUAAUAAAUGUAAUAUAAUUCCACAAUUAAAUUUUAAAACGCGUGAACUUUCCACCUAAAAUUUUUUAUGGAUAACCAACCGUGAUUAAAUGUAAUUUUUUUUUUCAAGUACAAUUGAGAAACUCAAAAGAUAUAUGCAUAAUUUUACAUAAGGAUGAAAAUAUUCCAAACUUGAUUAAAGAAGAAUGCUUAAUAUAUGUAACUUGUACAUUAGUAAUGGUUUUGUAGGAAAGGGACAAAUGAAGACAAAAACAAAAUUACUCAUAAUUAAGGGGAUAAAUUAUAAAUAGGAAAAUUAUCAAUUGUAUACUUUAUUAUCAAAUUUACUACAAUACUUUUAGGGUAUAUCAGUCAUUCAUCUUAAGUUGACAAAAUAUAAUGUCGUUCACCAUACCUUAGUUGCCGUUUAAAUAUGAUGACGUUAGAGGGGUAAUAUGGUCUUUUCAUAUGAUACAAGUGAUAAUUUAAAGGUAUAUAAAUAAAAAAAAAUUGAUGACCAUGAAAUUAAUCUAUAUCAAGCAGCUUUUUGGAUGAUUCAUAAUUUUUUAUAAAUAUUAAUUUAUAAAUUGCAAUAAUGAUUUAGUGAUGGGUGUCGAAGCCAACAAAAAUAAAUUCCUACUCUAAAUAAAUUGUGUAUAGUGAUUGAGCAGGGUCGUGUCCACAGAGAUCGGUAAUUAUUUAAAUCCUUUUGAAACGUAAAACGUAAAAUGGGGGAAUUGUUGACAAUAAUAAAAAUCAAAUUAAAGUAACAAGAAUGCAAAUUAAAGUUGUAAUUCAAAUUGGAGAAAGCUCUGGUUGAAGGAAUUAACUCAGCUUGAUUCGACUACUGAUCAUUGAUUCAAAUAUAGAUUAUCAUUACUUAUGAAUAGAGCGGUUAUAGUUAUUGAGACCCUCUAAUAGCCAAUCUCUCCUUAACUAGUCGAUAACCAAGGUACGACCGUUGGAUAUUUCCCUAAUCAAUAGACAACCCUAGAUACGAUCAUAGGAUUUAAUCAAUUGACAGCCUGAAAAACUAGAGAGACCCAAAUCCUAAUCAACACAUAUGAUGAUUCAUUUAAAUUAGAUUGUUUAUUCUCACAACACAACUCUCUGCUAUGUUAUUUGUCACAAACAUUAAAUUCUUCAUACGAUGAAUCCUUUAAUUGACAAUAGAUUAAGUUGAUAAUUAAAUAGUGGCCAAUUACCUAAUUAACAAACAUAAUCAUGAAACUAAUUCAGAGAAUAAACAAAUACCCAAAAAGUAAUAAAACAAUUAAAGCAUAAGAAAGAUCUCACAGUAGUGAUGAAUCAAAGCUUCAUUAUCCUUCAACCAGAAAAAUAGGUUUAGUUCUUCAUAGAGAGAAGAGAAAAAUUAGAUCUAGGGUUUCUUUCUUUUUCUCCAAUCCAAAUCCUCUUUUUCACAAUAGAUUCCUCCCUUAAAUACUCUCUCUCUCUUCUCUUUUAGAAUUCUAUUUAAAAUAAAAUACUAAUAUCUGAAAUAUUAAAUUCGUAAUUACAAAAAUAACCAAAAAUACAAAACACGUUAAACUAAAAACUGCAGGUCCGCAGUUGACAGCACGCGCCCACGCCUUAUCAACAAAGUUCUUCUGACGCUCAUAAUUUCUCCUAGAGAACAAUCCUCCUUAAACAUCAUCUUUUAGCUCAAUUUUAUCAUCAAUCAAUAGAAUUGCACCUACAAAAGUAAAACACAAGUAAAACAUUAUUAUUAAGUGCAAAACAUCGAUAUUAAGGGAAGUAAACAAUGCAAAACUAGUGCAUAAAUUGCACUCUAACAUUUAGCCAAAAUUUAACAGGGAGUUAAUUUAAGAAUUAAAAUUAACAUGAUUUUGUUAAUAACAAAUGAUGUUUUUGUUAACUUAUAUAUGACUUGUGUGUGCAUGUGAAACAUUGGUGUUAUUACAUCAAAAUACUUGAUAUUAUUACAAAUGUUUCAGAUUAAAUUUUUAUUAGAAAAUUAUUUUAAAGUUACAAACUAACUUUAAAAUUGAAAUUGUCAAUUUAUUUGGGAUUAACUUAUUGUAAAGUCUAACGGAAAAUAAUUCUGAUAUGACAAUUAAAUUUUAUUAUAAACAAAUAGAUAUCUUAGAUGUUAUUUCAAAUUAAUUUUUAAUAAGUUCAUUUUCAGAUGUAAACUUGACCUUUAAUUAAAUCACAUAUUAACUGAGAAAUAUUGUUAAAAUAUGUUAAAUCUAAUGACUCGAGACAUCGAAUCAGAUGUGAUCAGAUCAUUCAGGAGGGUUCGGGUUCAGGGGUCUCAUCUCUUUUGGCCCUGCAUAUUGCUUGUUCCCUCUGUGCUAGCUUUUAGUAACUGAAAUAUAUCGCUGAUUGGCUGAUUUAAUUUGUACGUGCACCCGUUUUGCUCUUUUGGCAGUUCUGACUGACAGACAGACGUCUCUAGUGUACACUAUUCCUGCUGAGCUGUUUCAGAAUGAGAGAGAAAAAAUUGGCUGACAUUUCACAAUUAACACACACACACACACACUCCACUUUCUGCACUACUCGAUCGAGAAAUAAAAGGAGGUACGUGUCACCACUUUAUUUUAUUUAUUUUUUAUUUUUACCAAAUCCAUAUUAUUAUAUACUAUUAUUUGGUUCAUUCGUUUCCAAUUCUGCCCUUUGCCCCAUCUCUUUUACAAUGUCGCAUCAUUCUUUUUGGUACUAUAGUUAGUUAGUUUAUAUGCUAAUGCCUAGUCUAGUAGUUACCCGAUGUUUAAUUUAUUAUGGCGUAGAUACAGUUAGAGAUGCUCAAUGGGUCGGGCCAGUAAGUAAGGCCCAUGCGUGCUUAUGCUUGUGUUGUGUCAUGUCGAGAUUUAUUUAUUUUUUUUUUUGUUUAGGCCCGGCCUAACACACAUGCCGAUACAUGCCGUGCUAUGCCUAAGAAAAAAAGCUCACUAAGUUUUUUUUUUUUUAAAUUUUUUAAAGGGCAUACUAAACUGUUGGCGUAUUUUUUUCAAGUCUAUAUAUUUUUCUUAAGUCUAUACUUUUAUUCAAAUUUAAUAGAAUUAAAAAAUCAAAACUCAAGUUUAUAUUCAAUAAUAAUAAACUAAUAAUAGUAAGAAAAUGUAAUAUUUAAUAGAUCUAAGUUUGACCUCUUAGUAUUAUAAUUUUUUUAAUACUCAACAACAACAACAACAAUAAUAAUAAUAAUAAUAUUUUCUUAAGGGUUAACUUAAUUGUUAACUUAGAGUUACAUAGAGUCAUAGAUCAUAGUUCACAAUAAUAUUAAUGCAUAUUUAUAAAAUCAUUAUAUUUAUAAUUUUAUUCAUUAAAAUCAUGAUAUCAAUUAUUUAUUUAAUAAAUUAUAAAUAUAAAUUAAUUAUAAUAUUUUUUUAAACUAAGAAUUAAAUGAAUUUAAAAAAUUCAACUUCAAGUUAUUUAUAAAACAUAAAAUUUUAAGUUUAUUUUCAUUAAAAAAAAUAUAAUGUGCUUAUUGUGGGCAUUUUCAUCGUGCUGUGCUCAGUCCAUCUCUAAUCAUAUCAUAUUUUUAAGACUCUUGUGCUUAUAAUUCUAAGCCUGGCCCGACCCACAUCGUGCUCCACCGAAAUAAAUCUAUGACACUAAAGUGUUGAAUCUGAUAGAUAUAAAUGCCGAAGUUUUAUAAAUUAAACUUUUAUCACUUUAUUUUGUUAUAUCUGUUAACAAAGCAAAUGGAGAAUUUCAGGAUAAUGAUUUUUGUUUUAAAACUAAGGAACCACUUUUUUUAAGAAAAAGAAGCACUUAGCACUAACUAAUACCAAGUAUUUGAUGUCAUAACACCAAUUGACAAAUAUUAUCUUGCUCGAAAAAUUAUAACAAUAAUAUACAGCAUAUCUAAACUGGUAAUAUGUAUUGUAAAAAUUGGAAAAUGGUGGAGUAUUAACUCUCCAUUAAUGUUAAAAUUUAAAAUCAUAAAAUUUAAAAUUGUGCUCGUCACAAAGGUAUUCAAAAAUUUAUGUUAUAUAAUAAUUUAUAACACAAUACAAUUUAGUUGGUUCCGAUAAUUUUUUUUAUAAAAUAAAAUUCAAAUCAAACUGAACUGAGUUGGUUCGACUUUCGAUUCAAUUUCGUUUUGGCUUGGUUUUUCUUUUUAAACUGUAAAUUCCUCUAUAUUUUGUAUUUUUUUUUCUGUUUUUGAUUUUACGAAUUGACUUGUUUUUUUUUAAUUUUUGAAACAAAACCAAACCUCUAGUUAGCUUUUGGAUUUUUGGCAACAAUGAUUUUUUUAUACCCCUACUUCUGAUAUUAAAAUUUUGUAGUGUACGAAAUUGUAUUUUGUAGUUAUAUGUUGCCCUAAUUUAGGCUUGACUCUUAGGCAUUGACCUAUACAUUGUACUUAAACUUGAUUUUUUUGCAUAUAUUUGUGCCUAUAUACAUACGUAUUGAUGAUCAUUUUUAUCCUAACAAUACACGUUAUUAUUCUUUUUUUUUUUUAAAAAAGGAAUAUUCAUGUAAACUUUUUAAAAUAUUGUUAAGAGGAUAAUUCCAUCAACAAAAAAGACUACUGAAUAUUAGCCAAAUAGGUUGUUUUUAUUAAAAAAAUUACUUUCUAUAGAGAUAUGUGAGUAAUGAAAAUGUAUUUUGGGCAGCCUAUCUAGUACUCAAACUUUUCUACUUUUUAGAAGCAUUGAGUUUUUCUUUGGCUUUUUAUUGUAAUUUUUGAAUUCUGAGAAACUAGAAGGGACUUUCAUAGAAGUCAAAUUAAUACCUAUGCCUAUUGUGGUUAAUUAGCCCUUUAGAAGCAUGAUUACUUAAUUGCGUGCUUUAUUUUUCGUUUACUUUAUUAUUUUCGGUAAUUUAUUAAAUUAAUCUUUAAUUAAAUUUGGCUAAGACUUAGGUGGUGGAGAUAAAUCAAUCAUAUUUUUAUCUGUAUUAAUCUAUAGGUUAUAAUAUUAAUUGAUAUUAUAAUUUUUUUUUAAAAGAAAUUUAUUAAUCUAUGACCUAAAAAAAAUAUACCAACUGUUAAGGGUUAAAAAAAUUAGAAUUUUUCACGUAAUUCAAAUUUAUUUACUUUCUCCAAAUUCAUCUCAUACUUGAAAUUCCAAGGAAAAAUAUAAUUAGAAGAGCAAGAGUUAAGGGUUAAAAAAAUGGAAAAAUAGGGCUCCUCUGUUUUCAUUCCCCUGUUUUUCUGUUCGGUGAUUGCAAAUAUUUAAAUCAGAAUUUAUGAUGCAGCCUACACGGCACCUGGUGGAUGACUGUUAGGGUUUAUCUUAAUUUAUGAUGCAUUAGGAUAUGAUUUUGAUAAAUGAGCUUUUUAUGUAUCCUGUGAGGCUGAUUAUUAUUUUAUUACAUUGAAGAUUCAGUUAUCUCUUGGUAGUCUUGUGAAUCAAGCGGAUUUAGUUAGUAGUAGGUAAUACUCUGGACUUCACAUACUAAACGGAAUGGAGCAUUAUUUUAUCCCGCUAAAUCAGUUUUUUUUUUUUAAAUUAAAAAAUAAUUCAUCAAACACUUUAUAGCUCUGGUUUUAAGUUGGUAAACACUUUAAGCCGCAACUUUAAAUUCAGUUUACGAGAACUCCUAACAGUCACUGUGGCUUGGGUAGAAAUGAAUAUACUACCUUUGUUUCAUAAGUAAUGCUACCCAGGAAAUGUAGUUGAACCUAACCAAACUAAAACCAGAUGAUGAAAGCUUAUAUACACCAAGAGAUUUAUUCGUUUCUGAGUUUGUUUCCAGAAACCUGGAAACUCCCCUGUUUCUACAAACACGGCACCUGUGUUUUCAUUCCCCUGUUUUUCCAUUUGGUGAUUGUAAAAAUCUAAAUCUAAAUUUUUGAUGCAGUCUACACGGCACCUGCUAGAUGAUUGUUUGGGUUUAUCUUUUAUUCUUAAUUAUGAAUUUAAUUUAGAUUCGUAGUGUGCGCCUUAUGAAAGAUUAAAUAGAAUAAUGUGAAAAAAAAAGAAUGCCUUUCUUAAUUUUGACUUCAUAUUGUUGCAGUAACCGUCCUCUCUUAUCAUUCCCCUGUUCUUUGGUUUAGUGAUUGCAAAUAACAUUCUUUCCAUCUACUCUUUAUUUAUUUUUUUUUAAUUUUUAACUUAUUAAUUCUUGUUCUUCUUAAAGCGUUUACUAAAUUAUAUGAUCACCUGAUCAAAUCCCUCACAUUAACAUACAACAUAACCAACAAAGUGUUGGCUCUAAGUGGCUUGACUGGGUUUGCUCCCCAGUUCGAGUCGCAGGAAAGUCGUCUUUGUUGAGAGAAAUUGUGCCUCCCGGUUCCUGUGGGGACUUCUAGUAUGGGUUGUGGUACGGGCUUAAAGGUGCCUCCCACAAUUGGGGCCCUCUCCAGGAUACCUCGUGGUCAAGACAAAAAAAAAAAAAUACAACAUAAUGUAUUAAUGGAAUUUAUUAUUUUAUCAUAAUUAAAUUGAAGAUUUGUUCAUGCAGUUUUGUAUGAUGAGGAGUUUUCAUUUUUCUGUCAAAUACAAGAACAAUUUGUAAAUAGUGUCCAUGAAGGCUUGAAUGAAGAAUGGAAUUUAAUAAUUUUAGAAGAAUAUUGGCUUAUAGAGCAUAUUAGUAGGGAUAAGAUUUGUAGGAUGCCUGAUAAAAGAGAAAGCGAAAGCUUGAAUGAAGAAUAGCAUUUUUAAAAAGAAACUAAUGUGCAAUGUAAUAAUCAAAGUAAGAUCAAUAAUGACUUGAUCAGUUAUGCUUUUUAUUAUUUCAUUUAUUCUGUCCACAAAUCUUAUCCCUACUAAAAUGCUCUAUAAGCCAAUAUUCUUCUAUAAUUAUUAAAUGAAGAAGCGAAAGAUUGCAUUGUUUUCGGGAAAUUGGAGUACUUGGGACUUGACUGUUUGCCAAGCCUAACAAGCUUUUUAUUCAGGUAAUUACACUCUUGAGUUCCCGUCCUUGAAACAAGUACUUGUGAGACAGUGCCCAAAGAUGAAGAUUUUCUCUCAAGGAAUCAUAGGGACGCCAACGCUAAAUAAAGUGAAACUCACCGAAAAAGAAGAAGGAUGCUGGGAAGGCAACCUCAAUGACACCAUACAUAAAUUGUUCAAUGAAAUGGUCAGUAUUAAUUAACUAAGUAUUGGCGCUAACUACCAAAUUAUUUUGUAGAAAUGGAUAUGGUAUAAUAUGAUUGGUCGACUGAAAAUAUAUAAUAACAAAAAAUAAAUCAAGUGGUCCAUGUGAUGUUUUUGUUUAACCAAUCAUAUUAUGUCACAUUAAUUUAUACAUUAUUGUUUGUCUGACGGAGUUUAUAGUUGUAUCAUAACAUUUGCUUCUUUUUUCUUAUUGUUAUUAUUAUGGUAAUGUAUGCUUGCUUACACAUGUAUAAUUACAAACAUGCAGAAUUCUAAAGACAAGAUUGAGCCCACCCUUCAAGUAUAAAGAAGAAGCUAUCUCGACCCAGGCCGAUCUCUUAUAUAUGAUUCAACUCGCACGUUUUCCUCUACUUCAAAAUUUUGUUCCCAGAUGCAUUUAUAGCAUUUUGGUCAUGCUACAUAAUUGCAAGACACUUUGGAUUUGCUUGGUGCACACUGGUUAAGCGAGGGCUUGAAUUGAUGUUUCAUAUGCAUGCAAUAUUCAACUUCUAUAUUAUUUCUCCAAUUGGUAUUUUAAGCAUUUGAUUUCUAGCCUGAUUGACUGAUUCAAUUGAGGAUCUGUAGUUGAAGAAAACAGCACAAGACAAUGUUUAUUUCAUUUUUUUAUAGUAUUAUCAAAUAUAGUGUAUUGACAUUUAUUAAAAGGAAGUAAUCCGUCAAGCUGACCUUCUCAAACCAGCACUCUCUAAAUUAAAAGAAUCACGUGAAGUCAAGAUCAUGUUGUAGAUCUUGUGGAAAUAGGUAAACCCAUAUUCUUUACACAGCAUCAUAGGAAAAUCAAUUUUUCCAUUAGUAUCUAUGUUAAUGUUGAGCUUUAAUAGUAUUAGCUAUUCAACAAACACAGUUAUUGUGUAUAUUAAAAAGUUAGAAACCGGUUGAGUGACGGUUGGGAAUCAAUCAGUUCACUUGUUUGCUUGUGAGUACGACAUUUAGAGACCGAUUAAACAAUUUUAAAACUAUUACUCUCAGAUUCCAAAAAUAGUAAAUAAAGAAUCAGAAAAUUUCCUACUAGCUAUACUUAUGCAAAAGUCUCAUUUGGAAACAUCAAUGACUUUCAUUCAAAGAAAACAAUGAAAAUGGGAUCAAAAUACAUGUGUGUAUACCUAAAACAAAUGAUUUUUUUUUUCGGGUAUUAAAAAAAGUUGAGGUGCAAUGAAACCACAGUCAUGAUGUUUCUGGUUCCAAUCAGCCGUUCUGGUAAUUCAUCUGUAGUGUUUGACUGCAUACUAAAGAGUAAGAUAAAGAAGAGACAGAGGAGGCGUUUUACCAUUCUGAGAACAUUGCAGCACGCAAUAUCUCAAAUUCCGACGUGCUUCAUUUAAAAGUGCCCCCCCCCCCCCCCCCCCCCCCCCCCCCCCCCCCCCCCCCCAAAAAAAAAGAAGAGAACAAUCAUACGUACCUGUACUAGGGAAGCCACAUCAACCACCACUGUCGUAAUUACACCAAUUACAAAGGCCAAAACUCCAUUUGCAAUAGUAGAAGAACCGAUGUCAACAUCAAUCUACAGACAGAGGAACAAUGUUAAACCAUGUUAAUGGUAUCGGACGAGCUAUUUGAAAGGGGAACAUCUCAUGUAUGAUAGAAAUUCCUAGAGCGUUUACUUCUAAGUACUUGGGACCGCGAAUAUAAUUACGAUCAACUUCUUUUCCUAAUAAACAAGGGGUGCUUCCAACACUCUGGUGCACGAUCCAUGACCCCUGCAUGAUUUAGCGCUUAAAAUCAAGAGCAGGUGCAAAACAAAUUCAACAGAGUGAAAAAAGGUCAUUAAGUUAGAAGGUACAACCCAUCAAUACAUUUAUACCUAAAUGUACGCUUCCUUUGCACAAAUUGAAGUGUACCAUGCAGUGAAGGUUACGACAUGUUAACAAAGUCCUAAUACAUGCAGACCAAGAUGGAUAUCUUAGGGACGGAUGGAAUAAGCUUCAGCCUACUAUUGGGAAGAUCAUCAUCGCCAUCAACAAAUCGUUGCAGAAGGGAUCCCAUAACUAAUUCCCUUGUGACAAAUAAAAUGCCAUACUGUAAUGUGUUGAACCGGAAGCCUGCAGAUGUCUUACGUUACAACGAUCCAACCUCCCAAUACGACAAGUUUGAAACUUAAUACCUUUUGAAAUGAAACAAACUUAACUUGAAGAUCAAAAAUUAAUGAGAAAAGUCAUUUUUCGGAAGCAACCUACAUAUUUUAGAAUAGGGCUCAGAGUGUCACAGAUUCAACGAACCCUAGGAUCUCACAGGCAGCAAUUUCUGCUAAUCCGUCAAGGGAAAAAGGAAAAAUAAAAAGAAAAGAAUAGUUACUUGUGCAGCACAGCCUUGACGUCUAGCAACAUGGUCCAUUCUCUUUGUGCGCUUGAACCAAUCAACAGCACAAGCGCAAGAAGAGCCAACCAAACUACUUCAUAACAUGUCAAACUAGAACAUGCAGGAUAUAUAAAUACCAUAACAAACAACCAAAAUACGGGGGAACCUUUGUUUUGUCAUAACAAAAAUGCUUGCUACGAACUCUGAAGUUGUUUCCAUCAGAAAGUUUCCUGCAGUCAUGAGCAUUAUCACGGUCAUCGUGUCGCAGAUUGCCCGAAAAACAAGAUAAAUCAAAUUGACCAGCUUGCUCUUCCUCUAGGGCUGCAAGUAAUUGAAAAAAGAAAGAUUUAAGUCCAUAGAAAUCCAUUAAUGAGUACAUUAACUAAAUAUAUAAAAAUGAAUAGAUAAGUUGUCAUCCACCUGUUCUCUUGAAAUCAUUCUCAAUCUUUUUUUCAUUUGCCUGAAAUCCCAAGAAAAAUUUAUAAGAACAAGAGUUAUGAAAGAAGUUACUUGAAAAGGAUGAGGAUUCAAGCGUGAAUCAAACCUCUUGUUCAGACUCAGCUAAUUGAAAUUCUUCAUCCUCCUCAGAGUAUUCAUCCAUCAUCACAGAGUGUCUACCUGCAGCAAUUAACUGAUCAAGAGAUGAGCUCAGAUGAAUAGAUGAGUCUUGCAGGUUUCGGUUCUUAUAUGAAGAAACAGAAGCUGAGGCCAUAUUGACCAUGACAGGGAUUCUCGGAUGAGCACUCAUUUCAUCUGUUUGGCAAACCAUUCGCGGAGACCUGUCAUAAGAAGUAAACAACAUAACUCAAACAAAGUGUUUGUAUUGGAAAGAAACAAAAAAUUAAUAAAUAAACCCUCAAAAAAUCCUCUGAAAAUUGUGUUUAACUAGACCACUUUUCUAGCAGUUUGAUCUAUUAAAUGAACCAGAACAGCAGCCUUUUUAUUAUUUAUUUCACUUACUAUCUUAUAAAUCCUCUGAAAAUUACACCGCUACUCCAAACCAAGUUCCAUUAUCAUUUAUUUCAUUUUUUGUCUUAUACUAAAGCUAAAAGAAAAGAAAAGGUACAUCCACAUGUAUAUUUCAUUGGAGUUACUGCAUUUCGUUCUUUUAGCUUAUUCCUCAUUUUAUUAAAAUGAUAGAUCCCGCAUUAAAAAGGUGUCUUUAUAAAUAUGUGUAUGCAUGUGUAUAUUCCUUAGAAAAGGAGUGACAGAAAAUACAGUAACAAGCAAAGCAAGACUUAAAAUGGCCUCCCAGCAGAACCAUAUAAUCUACAACGGCAAAAAAUAAAUGUGAAAAACAAGUAACUUACCAGCAACCCUAUUUAACUAAGAAGACAGUGUUGCUAAAAUAUUGACACAUGACCAACAAGUCACCCUUUAGGUCAACCUGCAUAAGAUACUGAACCUGUGUUCUGGGCCUACCAUUUCGAGGUUCUUAAUGGGGAAAUGUCGAAUCCUCCACCUGAGAAAUCAGAAUACAGUCAGCAAGUGGUGCAAUUUGGCGUGAGUUGGUCACUUGUUAAUUCUCUACAUCAACCGAAGGAUAGAAAACUGACUCUCCACUUGAGCUCGUACAUACCCUGGUUGUGGACCACAGUUCUCAUCAUCCCUACAACGAAAUAACACAACUGCACAAUAACAAAACACAGCAUGUGGAAAUUUCUAGUGCCAGAAAAGAUAUAUUUAAUUUCAAGAAGUGGGGAAGCAAGAACCUUACCAUAAUUCCCAUCGUCAUUUCGACGCCAAUAACGCACAUAGCAAAGGUCCACAGAGGAAAGGAGGAAGAUUAAUUCAAUAAAAAGGAUAAAUUUCAGGGAAUUCCACUAUCCUCUGACUGAAAUAGAUAACCCAUGCAGUUUUGAAAUUCAUUUGAUCCCCCCUGAACUUUUAAAAUUGGCCAUAGAGCUCCCCCAAAAUCCAUAUGAACCUUCCCUGGUGAAUUUGUUAGAAUCAAGGGGAAGGCUUUAGACUAACUUCAAAACCAAGUUGUGGCCUAUAUAUUUAAGUCAUAUUGAGGAUGUUGAGAAGUCAAUAUUAGCCCAAAUAAGUCCACACCUAAAUUAAUUUGAUGUCAUUGCUUACAUCAAUUUAGUUAGGUGAAAAUUAGGUAUUUUUCCCAUGUUUAAUUUCAAUGGUUUAAAUUAGUUUGUGGUUAUUUUAAUGAGUGGUUUAGAUUGUUUCUUGUAAUCUAUAAAUACCUCAUUUGUAUUUGAGUUUUAUCAUUCAACAAUCAAAGCUUUAUUAUAAGCAUUUGAAAGCUUUCUCAAGAGUUCUUCUCUUUUUGCAAUUUUGUGAGAUUAUUCUAAAGAGAGUUUUUCUUCUUCUUGAUCAAUUGGAGUUUUUACUCUAUUUUGAUUCAACAUUUGGUAUCAGAGCAUUGGUUGUAAAGUCUCUUGAAAUUCCGAGUAUGCUCUGUGGUUGCAGUUUUGACUGAUCUUCCACAUCAGAAAAGAUUUCUUGAGAUUAUUGCUGGGGUUAUCACAAACCUUGAGAGGGAGCUUCUUUGUGUCAAGAGUAGUGUAUUACUCUGCACGAUAGUCACUCAAGCUUGUUCGGUGUAGUCAAAGUCUUGUCGAUACGAUGGGUGAUCUUCAAGUUGUUGGAGGAAUCAAGAAGCUCAACAACCAAAACUAUAACACAUGGGCAACGUGUAUAGAGUCUUACCUUCAAGGUCAAGACUUGUGGGAGGUUGUCGGUGGUAGUGAAGUUACACAACCGGCAGCAGAAGAUGCUAACGGCGUCUUGCGGAAGUGGAAAAUUAAAGCAGGCAAAGCAAUGUUUGCUUUAAAGACCACAAUAGAAGAAGAAAUGUUGGAGCACAUUCGGGAUGCUAAAUCACCGAAGGAAGCGUGGGACACCUUCGCUACACUCUUUUCGAAGAGGAACGAUACAAAAUUGCAACUUCUCGAGAAUGAACUUCUAUCAAUGGCGCAACGCGACAUGGCGGUUGCCCAAUACUUUCACAAGGUGAAGUCGAUAUGCCGCGAAAUUUCAGAAUUAGAUCCGACAGCUGCUAUUGGGGAAGCCAGGAUAAAAAGAAUAAUUGUCCAUGGCUUGAGACCCGAAUACCGAAGCUUUGUAGCCGCUGUACAAGGAUGGCCGACACAACCAUCACUUGUUGAGUUUGAAAAUUUACUGACAGGCCAAGAAGCUAUGGCCAAGAAAAUGGGAGGAGUCUCACUAAAGGGUGAAGAGGAAGCGCUUUACACCAACCAAAGCAGAGGUGGUUCAAGACAGCACAACAAAGGCGGAUCUAGAAAGACUGGUGAACAGACAAAAAGUCAUCAGGGAGGGAAUGGCUCUCGUCCAGGGGGAGCUUCGAAGAAUCGCGACAGUAAUAGAAAGUUCGAUGGUGAAUGUUACAAUUGCGGGAAGAAGGGCCACAUGAAGAGAGAUUGUUGGUCCAAAAAGAAGUCUACCGAAAGCAAUAUUGCUACUUCUAGUUCUAAAGAAGAUAGUGAAGAUAGCUGGGAUGCCGAAGCAUUACUCGCUAUGGAGGAAGAAGGAUUAGCUCUCACGGUAACAACACCAGAAAAGAUUAACUACGAGAAUGAUUGGAUCGUAGACUCAGGCUGCUCAAAUCACAUGACGGGUGAUAGACAGAAGUUAAAAAACUGUUCUGAGUACAAGGGAAAUCGUGUGGUGGUAACAGCUGACAACUCAAGGUUACCGAUAGCUCACAUCGGUAAAGCGAUCGUUACACCUCGAUAUAGUCCCAACCAAGUGCCACUUCAAGAUGUCUACCAUGUUCCAGGAAUGAAGAAAAAAUUGCUAUCCGUAGCUCAAUUGACAUCAUUAGGGCACUAUGUCUUGUUUGGUCCACAAAAUGUGAAGGUAUUCCGAGACCUAAAGAUCUCAGAAAAGCCUACGAUGGAGGGACGGCGAUUGGAGUCAGUUUAUGUGAUGUCAGCUGAGUCUGCAUACGUAGACAAGACAAGAAGGAAUGAGACGGCAGAUCUAUGGCACAUGCGGCUAGGUCAUGUUAAUUAUUCCAAGCUAAGUGUGAUGGUGAAGAAGUCGAUGCUUAAGGGACUUCCUCAACUUGACGUGAGAACAAAUACUGUUUGCGCGGGAUGUCAAUAUGGUAAAGCACAUCAAUUGCCAUACGAGGAGUCGAAGUUUAAAGCAAAGAAACCAUUAGAGUUAAUUCACUCUGAUGUGUUUGGACCCGUUAAGCAACCAUCAAUUGGCGGAAUGCGGUAUAUGGUUACGUUCAUUGAUGAUUUCUCCAGAUAUGUAUGGGCUUUCUUCAUGAAAGAAAAAUCUGAAGCAUUCUCAAAGUUCAAAGAGUUCAAAGAGAUAGUCGAAGGAGAAGUGGAGCAAAAGAUUCGUUGCUUGCGCACAGACAACGGGGGUGAGUAUAGCUCGAGAGAGUUUUCUCAAUACCUACGGGAAUGCCAAAUACGUCAUUAGUAUACUUGUGCUAAUACGCCACAACAAAAUGGUGUAGCAGAGAGGAAGAAUCGGCACCUUGCUGAAAUUUGCCGGAGUAUGCUACAUGCGAAGAAUGUACCUGGAAGAUUUUGGGCCGAAGGUAUGAGAACUGCAGCUCAUGUCAUCAACAAGCUUCCUCAACCAAGGUUGGAGUUUGUUUCACCCUUUGAGAAAUUGUGGAACAAGAAACCUACAGUUAGCUAUUUUCGAGUAUUCGGUUGUGUAUGCUAUGUAUUUGUUCCUGACCAUCUACGUAGCAAGAUCGAUAAGAAAGCAGUCAGAUGUAUCUUUGUGGGAUACGACAAUCAGCGAAAAGGGUGGAAGUGUUGUGAUCCAGUAAAUGGAAGGUGCUACACAUCACGAGAUGUGGUGUUUGAUGAAGCAUCCUCAUGGUGGACCUCAGAAACAGAAGUAUUGCCAGACUCGAAAGAAUUCGGAGACAUGCUACAACAAAAGAUGGAGGAGCAUACUGUCCAAAUUCAUCUAAGCUCAGCUGGAGAUCUAUGCGAUAGUGAUAGCGAACGAAGAGUAACUCUAAAUCCUUGGCAAUCUGGGGUGUAUCGACAACCAGAUGAAGAAGGUGUGCCUAGUGAAACAGAAGAAUCAACUCCAUUACGAAGGUCAACAAGAACCCGGAGGCCAAAUCCCAAAUACGCUAAUGCAGCCAUAGUUGAAGAAGCAACUGGAAUAGAACCUGAGACGUUCGAAGAAGCGUCACAGAGUUCUGAGUGGAUGACAGCUAUGAAAGACGAGAUCACUGCACUUGAGCAAAAUCAGACCUGGGAACUCGUGCCAAAGCCAAAAGAUGUGAAACCCAUAUCCUGCAGAUGGGUUUACAAAAUAAAGCACCGUCCAGAUGGGUCAAUCGAGAGGUACAAGGCUCGAUUGGUAGCUCGUGGUUUCUCUCAACAAUAUGAACUAGACUAUGACGAAACGUUUAGUCCAGUGGCAAAACUUACAACCGUCCGAGUCUUACUUGCACUUGCAGCCAACAAAAGUUGGAACUUGUGGCAGAUGGACGUGAAGAAUGCCUUUCUCCAUGGAGAGCUGGAUCGGGAGAUCUACAUGAUUCAACCGAUGGGUUUCCAGAACCGAGGUCAUCCUGAGUAUGUGUGUAAGCUGCGAAAGGCUCUCUACGGACUAAAACAAGCACCCAGGGCAUGGUAUGGCAAGAUUGCUGAAUUUCUAACUCAAAGUGGGUAUUCAGUAACAUCUGCAGACUCCAGCUUGUUUGCUAAAGCUAAUGGAGAAAGGAUAGCUAUUGUGCUCGUGUACGUAGAUGAUCUAAUCAUCACUGGAGAUGAUGUUGAAGAAAUUUUCCGAACAAAGGAGAACUUGUCAGUUCGUUUUCAAAUGAAAGAACUUGGACAACUUAAGCAUUUCCUUGGGCUAGAGAUUGAUCAGACGAAAGAAGGGAUAUUUCUUUAUCAACAGAAAUAUGCCAAAGAUUUGUUGAAGAAGUUUGGGAUGCUAGAAUGUAAGCCGAUCUCAACACCGAUGGAACCAAAUGCCAAGAUGUGUGCACAUGAAGGCAAAGACCUGGAAGAUGCAUCGAUGUAUCGACAAUUAGUGGGUAGUCUAAUCUACUUAACCUUGACUCGACCUGACAUUUCUUAUGCAGUUGGCGUGAUGAGUCGAUACAUGCAAAAUCCGAAGAAGUCUCAUUUAGAAGCGGUUCGGCGAGUACUCAUAUAUGUGAAGAGUACAAUAGACUAUGGUCUUCUAUACAAGAAAGGUGGAAAUUGCAAACUAGUUGGCUACUGUGAUGCUGACUAUGCAGGAGAUCACGAUACUCGCAGAUCAACUACUGGGUAUAUGUUUACCCUUGGAUCUGGAACGAUUUCUUGGUGUAGCAAGAGACAACCGACUGUGUCCUUGUCAACUACGGAAGCAGAGUACCGAGCAGCAGCAAUGGCAGCUCAAGAAAGCACGUGGCUGAUACAACUAAUGAAUGAUCUACAUCAACCAGUAGAUUAUGCAGUUCUGUUGUAUUGUGACAACCAAUCGGCAAUUCGGCUGGCGGAGAAUCCUGUUUUUCAUGCAAGAACUAAACAUGUGGAAGUGCAUUACCACUUUGUUAGGGAAAAAGUUCUGCAAGAAGAGAUUGAGAUGAGGCAAGUUAAGACAGAUGAACAAACUGCUGACUUGUUUACAAAAAGCUUGAGUGUUGGAAAGUUUGAACAUUUCCGUCGUCAGCUUGGCGUGAUUCAAAGAAUGGGGGCUAACAUUGAGGGGGAGUGUUGAGAAGUCAAUAUUAGCCCAAAUAAGUCCACACCUAAAUUAAUUUGAUGUCAUUGCUUACAUCAAUUUAGUUAGGUGAAAAUUAGGUAUUUUUCCCAUGUUUAAUUUCAAUGGUUUAAAUUAGUUUGUGGUUAUUUUAAUGAGUGGUUUAGAUUGUUUCUUGUAAUCUAUAAAUACCUCAUUUGUAUUUGAGUUUUAUCAUUCAACAAUCAAAGCUUUAUUAUAAGCAUUUGAAAGCUUUCUCAAGAGUUCUUCUCUUUUUGCAAUUUUGUGAGAUUAUUCUAAAGAGGGUUUUUCUUCUUCUUGAUCAAUUGGAGUUUUUACUCUAUUUUGAUUCAACAGAGGAAACAUAUGAGAUCAUUGCAGCAUGCAAUAUCCGAUAUGCACAUUGGAUUUAUAUAAAUAUAUAUAAUUAAAUUCUAAAUUUGAACUCUUAAAAUUAUUAUGUUAUUUGGAUUUAUCAAGAACUUACAUGUACAGUAGCUAUUAUGUUAGCAUAUGUAAGAAUAAUUUUAAUGCAUGCAGCAUUUAGAAGGUACUAAAGUGGAAACAAGAAUUUGCGCUUGCAACAAGAGGUGAUCCGUGCGUUCCCCAGUUUAGUAAUUAAAAAAAUCAAAAAAGAGAAGAAACAGGGCCUCUCUUUUCUCAUUCCCUUGUUUAAUAACAAUGAAAACAGAACAGAGGAUAAACAGAGGCUAUCUUUUCAUUCCCCUGUUUUUCUGUUUGGUGAUUUUUUUUCAGAGUAUGAUUAGUCGGCUGCUGAGUCAGCAGCCACGCUGGCAAGCCGUUGCUCUGUUUAGUUAUUUCCCGUUAAAAGUUUGUUAAGCUGAAUUGUAUUGAGUUCACGUGUUUGUUUCAUAUAGAAGGUUCCAGUGAGUAGCAUAAAUAUUGUUGUAUAUUGAACCAAAUAUAGAUUAAUAAGAUGGUUUUAGAUUCAUUCUAGCUACAUAAUUUUCUCUGUAUUUUUCCUUCACUUUCUGAGUAAACAAACAGGAAAAGCUUCUUUAACUUGGUAUCAGAGCUAGAUCCAAUGGCUCUAACGAACUCAAAUUCACAAUCUAAUACCAGUGCCAUAGCUUCUUUCACCUUCACUACACCAGUCAAAUUAGAUCGUACAAAUUACACGAUCUGGAAACAGCAGGUGCUCUCUUCAGUUCGAGGCAAUGGACUUUGAGUCUUAUAUCGAUGGAUCAAAGCUAUGUCCUGAUCAAUUUCUUUAACCUGGAUCUGAAGGCACUUCGUCAAUCUCUGAAGGUCAUGAAAAUCCAGAAUAUGCUGUGUGGAAACACCAAGAUCAGCUUCUGCUUAGCUGGAUUAUGUCAUCCACAACUGUUGAAAUACUCAGCCUUGUGGUAAGUUCCAAAACCUCCUUUGAAUUGUGAAAAAAAAUUACUUCAAUACUCCAUGGGCUGGCAUUUCGGUCUGCGGUGCCGUUUUCCUUCUUAUUCUCACCGUCAUCCAAGCUGUAUGCUCUGUUAUACAAGUGUUGUCUCAGCCCAAAAAUAUCUCGUGACGAAAACCUUCUAUGCGGUAUUUGUAUGUCGUUUUCGAGUUGCUGUUUUUUUUUUUUUAAUUUUAAUUUUUAUUCUGAAGUAAUUUUAUCAUGGAUUUGUUAAUUUUACUUGAAUGUUGAACAAGCCUUUACUUUUCUCUCUCUCUUUUUUUUUUUUUUUAAUGAAAUGAAAUAAAAGGUGGGGGUAUACCCUACAGAUUGUUCUCUCCACUCCAUAAUUAGUAUUGCUUUUACCACAUGAAAAAUUAAUGUUAAACGAUAAAUUUAUUUACUUGAAUAUUUUAAUUAUGUCAUGAACCAAUUGACAGGCUAAAGAAUUAACUUUCAAUUUUCAACAGUAUAAGAUUAAUAAAUAGCAUAAACUAAUUUUUAUUUUCAUUUAAAUUAAUCUAAUCCUACCAACUUCAUGUGGUUUUCAUAUUGGUUGGUUUCAUGUAUCACAAGAAUUGUUAGACACUGUUAAGGAAGCACACAUCAGUAGCAUAGACUGUAAAGCAGAGGAUAGCAGCAGCUCCAGCUUACAGUUAAGAGUUGAUGACAUGGCAUGCCAGCUGGCACCUGGUGGUUAUGUAAUCACUUGUUCACGUGAUAAUUAGUUGAAGUUGUUAUAGCUAGCUAGAAUUAGUUUUGUAAUUAGUUAACUAAUUGAGCUGAGCAUCAGUUGUGUAUAUAAGCAUCUCUGUGUACAGUUUCAUAAGUAAGUUUUAGAUGAAUAAAAUCGUGUGAGCAAAAAGCUUUCAGUUCUUAAAUUUUCUCAGCUUCCAAACAUCCUUUUUUUGAUUUCUUACUUGGUAUCAGAGCACUAAUGGCAUCUGUGAAUCUUGCCUCUUCCUUAAAUCAAGUUCAUAAUACCGCUGCACAUUCAACAACAGUCAAUUUCACUUUCAAUACUCCCGUUAAACUUGAUCAAUCAAACUAUUUGAUCUGGAGAUCUCAAGUGCUUGCUUCAAUUCGAGGAAAUAGACUUGAGAAAUUUAUCGAUGAGUCAAUCACUCCACCUCCUUCUCAUAUUGCUCAUAGAUAUGAUGAUGAGCUUAGAUCUGUGGAGAAUCCAGAAUUUGCAACCUGGAGAGCACAAGAUCAAAUACUUCUCGGUUGGCUUCUUUCAUCCAUGAGUGAAGGUAUCAUCAGUUUGGUGUUCAAUCUUGAGACUUCAUUGGAGGUAUGGAAAGCUGUUGAAACUCAAUUUGGAUCUCAAUCAAAGUCUAGGUUAUUACAUUUGAGAUAUUUGAUGAAUUCCACUAGAAAGGAUGAUCUUAAAAUGACUGAAUACUUCAUUAAAAUGAAAUCUAUUGCUGAUAACAUGGCUGUAGCAGGAAGUGCAUUAAGCAAUGAUGAUUUGAUUUUACAUGUACUCUCUGGUCUAGGUCCUGAUUAUAAUUCUGUUGCUACUUACAUCACUGGACAAGUAGGAACUGGAAAAAUGAAUGUUAAUGAGGCUUAUGCUAUGCUGUUAACUCAAGAGGCUAGGAUUGAUCAACAAACUCAUAUGCUUGCUAAUAUGGAUGUUAAACACAAUUUAGAAGCUAACUUUGCACAAAAUAGAGGACCUAAGAGAGGAAACUUCUCAGGAGGAAAAGGUUUUGGUAGUCUUGGAUAUAAUACAGGCUACAGUAAUGCUGGAAAUUCUGGAAAUAGUGGUUACAGAGGAAAUUAUGGAUCAUCUGGUUUUGCUGUUGGAAGUGCUGGAAAUAAUGGUUACAGAGGAAACUAUGGAGGAGGAGGAGGAGGAAACUGGAAUAAUAAUAAUGCUGUCAAUAAUGGCAAAACACCUGGAAAUCCUAAAUCUCAGUGGAAUCCUUCUAAGCCUACAUGUCAAGUUUGUCUCAAAAUAGGUCACACAGCUAAUGUAUGCUGGAAGCUGGAAGAAUUUAUUGCUUCAGGAGCUUAUAGACCACCUCCAAACAGGAAUCCGAAAUCUGCAUAUCUGGCAAACAUGGAAGGAUCAUCUGAUACAAAUUGGUACCUUGACAGUGGUGCCACUCACCAUCUCACAAAUGACAUGAACAAUAUGCAGAUUUCUGAAUCAUUUACAGGUACAUCUAAACUCAUUAUUGGUAAUGGUACUGGCUUGAAUAUUACACAUAUUGGAAAAGCUGUUCUGAGAUUGCACAACUGCACUGAUUCCACUGUGUUUAAACUAAACAAUAUACUUUUAGUUCCACAAAUAACCAAGAACCUUAUAAGCAUUUCUCAGCUAACCAAAGACAACAAUAUCACAAUUGAGUUUACUGACAAAUCUUGUUUUGUGAAGGACAAGGUGAAGAAUUUGAUCAUACUGCAGGGCAAGGCUGAAAAAGGCUUGUACAGAUUGCUAUUAGUGUCCUCAAAUAAAACUUCUGCUCAGUCUUCCUUUCAAGGUCAUGUUGCCAAUAUUGAGUCUUCUUUUCAGUCUUUUGUUCCUUUGUCAAUGCUAUCAACUGUCAAUCUCAGUCAGUCAAAUAAUCACUGCUUGCAAAAUGUGGCAGCAGAACCUUGUAUGAACUCUAAGUGUCUUUUAAGCACUUCUGUAUUACAUCAGAGGCUAGGUCAUCCUAACUCUAAGAUCUUAAACCAUGUAAUACAAUCUUGUUCCUCUUUCAAACCUAUCAAUGGAAAUAAAGAGUUUGAUUCAUGUGAUGCUUGUAAAUUUGGGAAAAUGCAUAGAUUACACUUUCCAGCAACUGAAACAAAAACAAAACAACCUUUAGCCAUUUUACAUACUGAUUUAUGGGGACCAGCUCCAGUGGUUUCCACACAAGGUUAUAAAUAUUAUGUGAGCUUUGUGGAUGAUUUUACCAGAUUCACUUGGAUAUUUCCCCUGAAAACCAAAGAUGAAACUCUUCAUGUGUUCAAAAUUUUCAAAGCUCAAGUUGAAAAACAAUUAGAACAGCCCAUUAAAUGUCUUCAAUCUGACUGGGGAGGGGAAUUCAGAUCCUUUAGCAAAUAUCUUCAAGAAGAAGGGAUAGAAUUUAGACACUCUUGUCCUUAUACACAUAACCAAAAUGGUUUGGUAGAAAGGAAACACAGACACAUCACUGAAUCAGGUCUUACUCUUCUUGCACAAGCUAAAUUACCUAUCAAAUUCUGGUGGGAUUCCUUUCAUACAGCAGCCUAUCUCAUUAACAGAUUACCAACACCUAUUCUAGCAAUGAAAACUCCAUAUGAAUCAAUCUUUCAUCAUCAACCAGACUAUAACUUUCUAAGAACAUUUGGAUGUUCUUGUUUUCCUUUUCUCAGAGAAUACAAUAACCAUAAAUUUCAUUUCCAUACUUCAAAGUGUGUCUUCUUAGGAUAUAGUCCUUCACAUAAGGGUUAUAAGUGUCUACAUUCAUCAGGCAAAAUUUAUAUUGCCAGUCAUGUAUUGUUUGAUGAAACCACUUUCCCUUACAUUUCAGAUCCAAAUUUUUCUUCCUUUUCUAAACACACUUCCUCUGAUUUUCAAUAUAAUCUUUUUCAAAGGUUUACUCUGUCAGUUCCUAAUAGCAUUCUGAACAGUCUUGAAGCUACUGCAGCAGAUCAAUUCCCUGUCAAUCAUUCUUUAUCAUCAAAUUCACCUCAAUCUCAGUCACCCACAAAUCAGACCUCUACAUCUUUGCCUUCACCUGCACCCCAGUCACCAGCACCACAAAUACCCUGCACAACACAAACAUCUCAGCCUAAACCUUCUACUUCCACCCAUCAUAUGAUAACCAGAGCUAGAGCUGGUAUUUUCAAACCAAAGACCUUUCUAACAACUCACAACAGCUUAGAACCAUCCACUGUCCCUGAGGCAUUAUCAGAUCCUAAAUGGAAAGAUGCAAUGCAAACUGAGUAUGAUGCUCUUAUUCACAACAACACUUGGACUCUUGUGCCAAUGUCUUCAACAUACAAGCUAGUUGGUUGUAAGUGGGUAUUCAGAACAAAGUAUAACACAGAUGGAACUGUCAGCAAGUAUAAAGCUAGAUUGGUUGCAAAGGGAUUUCACCAAACAGCAGGGGUAGAUUAUUCAGAAACUUUCAGUCCAGUGGUGAAGUCUUCAACAGUUAGAGUUAUACUCAGCUUGGCAGUUAUAAAAGGGUGGAAAGUCAGACAAAUUGAUGUAAAUAAUGCAUUCCUUAAUGGAGAUCUUUCUGAAAACGUAUAUAUGACACAACCAGAAGGCUUUGUAACUAAGGAAGAGUACAUCUGCAAACUCAAUAAAGCUCUCUAUGGUCUAAAACAAGCUCCACGAGCCUGGUAUGAAAAAUUGAAGGGUUGUCUAACUACUUGGCAAUUUCUUAAUUCAAAGGCUGAUACAUCUCUAUUCAUUAAACAUGAUACAAGGGGCUUAAUCAUAGUAUUGAUCUAUGUGGAUGAUAUUCUAGUCACUGGACCAGAUUCUGCUUUACUAGAGGAUUUUAUUGUUAAACUCAGUCAGACAUUUGCCUUGAAAGAUCUGGGAUUAGUUGCUUAUUUCCUAGGUGUUGAAGUUAGUUACUUUGAUGAAGGUAUGCAUCUAUCUCAAACAAAGUAUAUUAAAGACUUGCUGAGUAAAGCAUCUAUGGAGAAUUGCAAAGGGUCUGAUACUCCUCUUAGUACUGGUUUGAAGCUAGAAAGAAAUGUCAGGGGUCCUUUGGGUCAGGAGUUCGAAAAUCCAACACAAUACAGAAGCAUAGUUGGAGGGUUACAAUAUCUAAUUCUCACCAGGCCGGAUAUAGCUUAUUCAGUUCAUAAGCUCAGUCAAUACCUCAGUUCUCCUACUGUUCAGCACUGGUUAGCCUGCAAAAGAGUUCUUCGAUAUCUCCAGUCAACCAUCACCUAUGGUCUCUAUCUCAGAAAGGAAGCAACUCUGGAAAUUGGAAUAACAGGCUAUACAGAUGCUGACUGGGCUUGUGAUCUUGACGACAGAAAAUCAAUUGGAGCCUAUUGUAUAUACUUGGGUAACAAUCUGAUUUCAUGGUCUUCCAAAAAGCAAGCUAUUGUAGCAAAGUCAAGCACAAAAAGUGAAUAUCGAGCCCUGUCAGCAGCAUGCUCAGAAAUUUCUUGGUUGCAGUCUUUAUUUUCAGAACUCAACAUUGCUAAACUACCUACUCCAGUUCUUUGGUGUGAUAACCAAAGUGCAGGGGAGCUAGCUCGCAACCCUGUGUUUCACUCAAAAUCUAAGCACAUAGAGUUGGAUGUUCAUUAUGUUAGAGACAAAGUGCUUGGAAAAGAAUUGGAGGUUAGAUACAUUCCUACUGAAGAACAAGUAGCUGAUGUUCUGACUAAGCCCUUAUCUUUUUCUAAAUUCAGCUUUUUUAGAUCCAAGCUCAAUGUCGUUAGUAGACCUUUGAGCUUGAGAGGGGAUGUUAAGGAAGCACACAUCAGUAGCAUAGACUGUAAAGCAGAGGAUAGCAGCAGCUCCAGCUUACAGUUAAGAGUUGAUGACAUGGCAUGCCAGCUGGCACCUGGUGGUUAUGUAAUCACUUGUUCACGUGAUAAUUAGUUGAAGUUGUUAUAGCUAGCUAGAAUUAGUUUUGUAAUUAGUUAACUAAUUGAGCUGAGCAUCAGUUGUGUAUAUAAGCAUCUCUGUGUACAGUUUCAUAAGUAAGUUUUAGAUGAAUAAAAUCGUGUGAGCAAAAAGCUUUCAGUUCUUAAAUUUUCUCAGCUUCCAAACAUCCUUUUUUGAUUUCUUACUGACACUGACUAACUGAAGUAUAUGUUAAACAUCUCACAUGAAUAAUCGUCUAAGGAAAUUUAACUAUCUAAAACUAACCUUCUUAAUUUAAAUCUCAUCUACUAGUAAAAGUAGAACCCUUCUCCGUCAACUGAUCUUCCUCAUUAUAUAACAAAAGAUGCUUAGUGAAAUAUGAAAAAAAAAAUUGUUAUAAUAAUUAUGUCAAAGUGGUCAAGAUCCAGCCACUAGGCUUGAGGGCUUGGGUUCAAAGCCACAUAAACUCAUUUCAAUUCUUUAUUUUAUAAAUGUGGGAUUAGGGAUAGAUUUUUCUAUGACUAUUUGCUUAUAGAGUAAUUAAUUAGAACAGUAUUAUUAAUUUUAGUUGAAUAGUUGUAGAGUGUGCCAUGUGGCAGGCUCGCAUCAAAGAUGUCAAAUCAGGAGAGGCCUAUUUACUUCCUGGGGUACCUAGGGAUACGGCUUUAUUUGAAUCGAAUCUUAGACGUAGGCCUUGCGGGCCCCCUCCUAGUGGUCCACCACUUCUGCGGAGUGCACCCGGUUCAGGGAAAAUAGGUCCACUAGAACCCGCGCAAUCAACCACACUACAUGAAGGAAGUGAAGGGAUCGAGGGCGUUGAUGUUCUAACACAUGUAAUGAUCUUGAGGGACCAUUUAUUAAUUAUUUAGCCAAUCAAAUGGGAAAGCCGGUGUGGGGAGUGGGCCCAUUGUUACCUGAACAAUUUUACAAAUUGGUCAGUUCAGUGUUUCGUGAUCGUGAGACGAGAACCAACCAGCAGAGUUCUAACAUGACUAAAGAUGAGAUCAUUUAAUGGUUGGAUUUGAAAUCACGUAGAUCUGUGCUAUACAUAUAAUUUGGUACCAAAGUGGGUCCCAUCUUAGAUGAGUAUUCAGCCUUGCCAAUGUUUCAGAAGCAUCAAAUCAACAAUUUAUUUGGGUAAUUCAAACUAGUGCAGGUAGAUUGGAUCCUCCGCGUCAUUUAACCGGCUUAGACAGACCAGUAGAAGGCAGUUAUUUUUCCAGUGGUUUGGAGAGUAAAGUCGCUAAAAGGGGAUUGAUAAUAUAUGGGUGGGCGCCACAAUUAUUGAUACUAAGUCAUCAAUCAAUGGGUAGAUUUUUAUCUCAUUGUAGAUGGAAUUCAACUAUGCAAGCAAUUGGUUGUAGGCUUGGCAAUUUAGCCCGAUCCUAUUUUUGGUCCGAUUGAUCCGACUCUAAUUUUUAAGGCUUUGACCCGAAUUUUCAAGUUUAGGGUCGGGUUAGGGCCAAGAUUUUAAGGCCCAAACAAAUUUAUGGUCAGGGUCGGGCUUAAUGCCGACCUGACCCGACCCGACCCGACCCUAUUUAAAAAAAAAAAAACUAACACAAGUUAACACACGCACACAACACAUCCUCACAACAUCACACAUUGUGUGUUUUGAAUUUAAUUGCAUUGUAUUUUUAUUUGUAUAAGACAUGAGUUUUUUUUUUUUUUUAUGUUGGGUUGUUAAAUUGAAUUGUGUAUGACUAAAAUAGUUGUGGAAUUACAUUGUGUGUUUUUAAUUUAAUUGCAUUGUGUUUUUAUUUAUAUAAGACAUGAGUUUUAUUUUUUAUUUUUUAUUUUUUAUGUUGGGUUGUUGAAUUGAAUUGUGUAUGGGUAAAAUGGUUGUGGAAUUACAUUGUGUAUUUUUAAUUUAAUUGCAUUGUGUGUUUUUUAUGUUGGAUUUUGGAAUUGAUUUGUGUGGGGGGUUGAAAUAGUUGUGGAAUUGGUUGAAAUGGUUGUGGAAAGUGGAUUGAAUUGUGUUUGAAAUGGUUGAGUAAUUGCCGAAUUAGUUGAAAUGGUGGUGAGAAAUGGGAAUUAAAUGGUGGGGUUAACUAUUUCGGUAGGGUCGGGUUGAGCCCAAUCCGAUGUUGGCCCGAUUCGGGUCGGGCUCGGCCCGACCCUAACUAAAUAGUGUUCGGGCUUUUUUAAGGUUGGGUUUCAAAUUUUUUUGAUCAGGUCGGGUAGGGCUUGGCCAAGCCCGAGCCCGACCUGACAUUUUACCAUUCCUAAUUGGUUGUGGGCUCCCAAUUUUAGCAUGGCCAGUUAGAGGUGAUCAACAUUACAAUGCCAAAUUGGUGAUCAAUCAUCUCAAGGUGGGGACAUGAUUUCUGAUGAUCAAUCAAAAUCGAUUCAAAAGGAUGAUAUCGCGAGCGGUAUAUAAAAGCUUAUGAGUGAUCAAGAGAUUAACAAACGAGCUCGCUUGCUUCGCCGUAUAUUUAAUCAUGGCUUUCCAAUGAGUUCAGCGGCUUCUUUGAAUGCUUUCAAAGAUCUUUUUAGCCCUUUCAAAAAAAAAAAAAAAAAAAGAUCUUGUUAGCCAUAAAUCAGAUUAACAAAAAUAGUUAUCGUGUAUAUUAUUAACGAAAAGGCUUUGAUUCUGUUGGCUUGGGUGUAAAUAUAUCUACUUUAUCAAGAACAGACAUCUCAGCACCUACAUAAUACUAUAUGUAAGCUUUCGUUAAUUGGCUGCAUUCAAUCAUUAAAUCAGAAGUCUUUCAAAGCAUCUAAAAUAAAAAAGAUGGCACAUCCUCCAUCCAAACAACAAAAGCAUGGACUCGCAACGCUAGUCUUGCUAAUUAAUUAAUAAGUAGUCAUAUUCCACCGAGCAACAUAAUGUACAUCAAGUUGUUGGAGAGGCACCAUAUGCACAAAAUGUUGAUAUUGUUUAAUGUUUAAUAUUAUGGGGAAGUUUUUAAUAGAUCUUCAUUUCCCUUGCAUAUUGCGAGCUUAUAACCAAAAAUGGGACUAUAUAGUUGAGGGACAAACAAAAAGGGAAAAUUUUUUACCAUUGGCUAAAUUUUAAUGUCAAUAAUAUAGGAUCUGAAUUCACUUUAAUAUGAUAUCGACAUAUGUAUAAAAUUUCUUAAGUAAAUAGAUUUUGCAUAAAAGGUAUCGACCCAGAGUCAGAGGAAAAAUUAAAUGGAAUGUUUUUUAAUACAACAAUCACUGGUGACACUGUUUGGGCAUCGUUUGAGAGUACUAAAAUAUCUACUACCAACUCUAUUCUAGUUGAAGAAUGGACUUGUCGUUAGAUGAGGUUGUUCCCAUUGAAGCUAUUAAAGAAAGAAAAAGAAAAAGAGUGUCUGCAAAACGGAGGAAAGUGGGAGGAGUUGAAAGGCUAUCAAGGCAAAUUGAUCGCUUUGUUGAUGAUGUGGAAAUGGAGGUUGAAUUCAAGAAGAAGAAGAUUAUGGUAGUAAUGUUCUUGAAGGUCGAGAGAUGGAGAGAUUGAGAUAUAAUAGUGCAGCAAGUUUAAUGAGUGGAUAAUAUUAUGGUCAUAUGUUUUUUUUUACACACAUGUAUAUAAUAUUAUAUUUCUAUGAACUAGUUUGAUUACAAUGAUUUUAUGUACAUAAAAGUUUAUAUAAAGAUUAAAUUUUUGCAUUUCCUUUUUUGCACUUAAUUUAUUAAUCAAUUUAAUGAUAUGUUAGUAUUUGUUAUAUCACGAACUACAUAACAAAUUUUUUAGUUAAAAAAAUAUUGAAGUUAAUUUUAUUGCAAAUUAAAAUAGUUAAUAAAAAAUUAUUUAAAUAUGUAAUAAAGAAAAUAGAAUAUGCUCUUAAAAAAUCUUGUAAAUAAAAAAAGAUUUAAACAACAAUAUUCUAAAUAAAUUAGAACUAAGUAAAUAAGUAUAUUUUUGUCAUUGUAUGUGAACAUUUUACACUUUUAAUUUUCAUUUUCCAGAUUUGUAUAGUAAACCAUUUUAAAACUUAUUCUCAAAUAGUUAUCAUUUACCAAACACCUUACUAAAUUAUUUGUAAAAUUAUAUAUUUCUUUUUAGAAUCAAGGUAGAAGUUAGUUCUUAGAAAGUUAAAAAAAAAAAAAAAUCUCAAACAUACGAAUAUAUAAAAACCUCAAUCAAGCACAAGAAGUUAUUUGAGUUGUACUAUCUAAUAAUUUCUAUCAAUAGUGAGCUCGUUUAUCGAAUAUAUAAAAAUAAAUAUUUUAGUUAUUAUGCAAAAACAGUUCUAGUAAGUAUAUCUAUUUAUCAAAUAUGUCAAGCUCUGAUGCUCAGAUUCAGAUAUGGAUAGUCCCUUUUUUUGGUUAGGGACAUUUCUGUCCAUGCAUUGAAUUAUGCAAGCAAAUCACUCCUCAAAAUUACCAAUCUACCCUCAUCGUUACCUCUCACGUACCCAUAACCACAGUUACCCAUUCCUCUUUUCACUAAGGCACACAGAUUACAGGACAAUGCAGCGAUCCCAACCAAGAAUGCUUAGGAUAAAGACAGAGAGAUCAAAUAGAAUAAUGUAAAAAUUUAUUCAGUAAACCCACUAGAUUUGCUAGCAAAGUCGUACUUUCAGGCAAAACACCUACUUCUGGUUUAGGACAGGCUCCUCUGUUUUCAUUUCCCUGUUUUCCUAUUCGGUGGUUGCAAAAAUUUAUAUCUAAAUAACGAAUAGUACUUAUAGAGUUAAAAAUAAAAUUUGUGGUAAAAUUAAAAAAAAAAAGCAUCAGAGGUCCUGAUAUUAUCAUCCACAGAAAUAUGUUUAUUUGAACAUGGGCCGAAAUGGGCUAAAUAAAAAAUACGCAUUUAUGUCUAAUUAUAUAGUAAUUAAAUGCUGAAUUUGAACGUACACAAUUAUUCAAUUAUCUGGAUUUCGAAUCUGUGUUUAUUGAAAAUCCUAGUCUGAACACUAUCAGACAUUCGAGUAAAUACAUAAAGAGAUUGAUCAUUUAAUGUCGUUCUCAAUUUUGACUUUUUAAUGCUGCAGCAACCGUUACAUUUGCUAUACAAUUAUUCAAUUAUAACAUAAAGAGAGAUUGAAAAAAGGGAGAGAGAGGACAAACAGGGGCUCCUCUGUUAUCAUUCCCCUGUUUUUCAGUUUGGUGAUUGGAAGUAACAAUAUUUGCAUGUACUCUUUAUUUAUUUAUUUUUCAAUUUUUAACUAAUUAAUUCUUGUUCUUCUCAAAGCGUUUGGUAAAUUAUAUGAUAAUCUGAUGAAAUCUCUAACAUUAACGUCCGCAUAAUCUAGUAAUGAAACUUCUUAUUUUAUAAUAAUCAAAUUUAAGAUUUGUUCACGCAGUUUUGAAUGAUGAUGAGUUUUUAUUUUUCUGUUAAACAUAAGAACAGUUUCUAAAUAAUGUCCAUGUGGAAUUAGUAAUAACGAAGCAACAUUUGUGGACAGAACAAUUGAAAUAACAAAAAGCAUAACUGAUCAGGCCACUAUUGAUCCUAGUUUGAUGAUUGCACUUUAGUUUCUUUCUAAAAUGUCAUUCUUCAUUCAAGCUUUUGCUUUAUCUUUUAUCAGGCAUCUUACGAAGCUUUUCCCUACUAACAAGCUCUGUAAAUCAAUGUGCUUUUCAAUUUCGCAGGAUACAAGUAAUGUAUAUGCCAAACUUAUUCAAGCACAACAGGUACUUAUUCGUCGAAAACUUCAACUUAAUUAUUUCAUUAGAAAAUAUGAAACGCUUCGUAAGGUAUUUGGCCCGAUCCAUUUCUUGUAUCUGACUGCAUGCUUUAUUAAAGCUUCGUCUUUGUUCUUGAUUGGGAACUUCAAAAUUAAAUCUUAAAAAUCGGGUAUAAAAGGGGUGCUUGAUUAAGUCUUCUUCUUUUGCAAUUCAUUGUUACUGCUCUUUUCAGCAUUUUACUCACAAAUUCCUCUGCAGUUAACAGUGAUCUUUUGCUCACUACAAUAUAUUGUUCUUAAUAAUUUCUUUUAAUACCAGUUCUUCCUCAAUAUUCAAGGCGAAUAGAGAGCUCAUCAACUCUCUGAUCCCAAAUAAUUAAAGAGGUACACAUGCUCCUAAAUCCUCUAAUAACUUCUUUUAACAGCAGUUCUUAUUUAAUUUCCGUCUAUUUUCCAAGAAAAAUUUCUCCGGUUUGUUUUAAUCUUAUCAUUUAUGUUGCUUCAGUUGUAAGUUAUUGUUCAUUUGUAAGGUCUGUGUUCUUAUCACUAGCUUUGGUUAAUUUGAAUCUAUCUUCCCAAAAAAAAGGAAAAAAAAAAGAGGUUUUUAAAAAAAGCGCGGGUUUUUAUUCAAACUCUUAAAACCUCUCUGUUAAUAGCAAAGACUCUAAUCCUCGAGCCCGGGGGGAGUAAAAAAGAAUAAAGAAUUCUCUGUUUAAGUAUCAGUUGUCUCAAGAUCAAUGUUGUUUUUUUCUUUUUUUGUUAAUUUGUUUGUUAUUUUAUUAGAUUUGCUUUUUACCUAAUUUUACUUGAGGAUUGAAGAUGAGUGAGAAAUACCCUUUGCAAAAUCAAGCUUAUCAUCCCAAAUUGAGUUGUUUGCAUUAGAAAUUUUCUAGCAUUCACGAGCAUUAUAUAUCAUUCACAAGAUAAAUCAAUUUCAGCAACUAGCUCUUUAUUGAAAUUUUUUUGUUUUGGUUUGCCUGGAAUCCCAUAAAAAAAUAUUAAGUAAGAAAAAGAGUUAAGAUGAAAAACAGGUAAAAUAAAUCCUGUGUUUUCAUUCCCCCUUUUUUUUUUGUUUGGUGAAGAAAAUUUAUAUAUCUAAAUUUUUAUGAUUUUCCAUUGGGGUUUUAUUAAAUAAAAAAGAAUUAGAAAAUGUAAUUCUAAAUUUACCCUUCUGCAUUGAGAAAAUGUAAUUCUAAAUUUACCCUUAUGCGUUGAGUGAUUAUUAUUAUGUUCUCUUAAGAAUUGAUAGUGUAAUUUUGUGUGAUGUGAAUUUCAUGUUUCUGUUAACACAAACACAAUUUAACCAAGCAUCAUUUGUGGAAAGAACAAAUGAAAUAACAAAAAAGCAGCGUUGGCAAUACAAAAUCAAACCUUCUCUAUUUAUUUGUUUUUGUUUUUGUUCUUGAAUAUGCAUUAACCAAAUCAUAUAUUAUUGAUCUUACUUUGAUGAUUUGCUGUUUAGUUUCUCUCUCAAAUGAUAUUUGUGUGUUUCCGGUAUCUGCUUUAUGAAAGGAGCACUAAUCAUUAAAGUGCAUGCGGAUUAAAAAAAAUGCACAUAAUUAUUCUGUACAUGCGUCAAGAGGGCAACAAUAACCAAAUACAGGAUAUAAAAAGGGGUGCUUCAUUAAUGGUUUUUCUUCUGCCAGUCAUUGUUAUUUCUCUCGUCAACUCUUUUCUCACACAUUCCUCAGCAGUUACCAGUGAUCUUUUUGCUCUUUCAAGUUGUUCUUAAAUAUUCAAGUGAAUAGAGAGAGAAGCUCACCAACUCUCGGUGCACAUUUUCUAAAUCCUUUAAUAAUUUUUUUUUUUUUGAUAGUAGAAUCCCUGAUCCUUGAUCUUGACAUCUGUUCUUUCAUAAUUUCCAUCUAUUUUCCAAGAAAAAAAAUUUCUCUGGUUUGUUUUAAUAUUGAAUUUACUUUGCAUGAGUUUUAAGUUAUUGUUCAUUGUUAAAGCCUGUGCUCUUAUUAUAUUGCUUGUUUGUCAUUUUAUUUGAUUUACUUUAUAUCUAAGUUUACUUGAAGAUUAAAUAUCAGUAGGAAAAGCCCUUUUUCUAAAGCAACGUACAGAUUUUAGAAUAGGGCUUAGCCACAUGAAAAUGUUUACAUUGUAGUAUCUCAUAUUAAUAAUCUAAAAACAACCAAUCCAACAAGUUCAAAUUCACUAAAAUAAAAAGGAUUGCUUUUAAGGAGUACAUGAUAGCUAUUAAAUUUUGGUUAAAGAUCUUUCAGGCAGAAUUGAAAUUCAGCCAGUCAUAAAACAACCAAUCCAACGAGUUCAAGUACAGAGUCAAUUGAACAAAUUCAUCACUUGCAAAAUUAAGCUUAUCUUCAGAAAUUGAAUUGUUUCCAUUAGAAAUUUUCCUGUAGUCAUGAGCACUAUCAUCCAAACAAGACUACUUAUAUAGGAACAAGAGUUAAGGAAAAAAAAAUUGGUAAAACAAGAUUCCUCUGUUUUCAUUCCCCUGUUUUAUCCCUUGGUGAUUGAAAAAUUCCCUCUCUAAAUUUUUAUAAUUUUCCAUUAAGGUUUAUAUUUAAAUAAAGAGUUGAAAAAAAUCUAAUUUUAAAUGCAUGCAUUGAAUGAUUAUUAUUAUUAUAUUCUCUUAAAAUUGGUUACAAUAUCAAUUAAAUAACGAAUAGAGCUAUUGAUCCCUUUGUUAAAAAUGAUCAUGUGUUCUAUUUAUAUAAUAAAACAAAAGAUGGGGUCACACUUAAGUCUUUUUCUUUUACAAUUCAUUUGUAUUACUCACUCUCAUGAACUCUUUACUCACAUUCGUCUGCAGUUAAUAUUGAUCGUUUGCUCGUUCUUAUAUAUUCAAGGCCAGCAGUGAAGGUCAUUAACUCUUUAAUAAUUCAACAGGUACAUUUGUCCAAGAAAAAAUAGCUCUUGUUUGUUUUAAUCUUGUCAUUUAAUUUUCUUAACUGUUCAUUGUUAACUUCUUUGCUCUUAUGUAAUAUUAGCAAUGGUUAAUUUGCAUCCAUCUCACAAUUUUUUUUUUUAAAUUGUUGGUUUUACAUCCAGACCCUUGAAACCUUUUUUAAAAAAGUUGUUGGUUUUACAUCCAGGCCCUAGCUCAUUUUAAUUUAUUUGAAUCUAAUUUUUCCAACAGCUAAUAUAUAUAUAUAUAUAUAUAUAUAAGCAACAGGCUAGGCAAUGGCUGCAGACCUGGUUUCCGCUACUUUUUCCAGCAUUGUAACAGAAGAUGCAAAGGCAUUGUUCGAACCGAUUAUGCGGCAGAUCUCUUAUGUGUUCAAGUACCAGAGCUACAUAGAUGAGCUAAAAGAUCAAGUGAAGGGGUUGGAAGGUAUAAACGAAAUGGUGCAACAACAUGUUAAUCAUGCUACUCGACAAGGGGAAGAGAUUUAUCAGGUUGUCAAAGACUGGCGAAAUAGGGUUGAAUCUACGGAGGGGGUUGCAAAAUCUAUCAUUGAUGAAGAAGAUGGAGCCAAGAAGUCCUGCUUCAAAGGAUUGUGUCCAAAUUUGUUGUCUCGUUACAAACUCAGUAGACGAGCAGCAAAGGCCGCAAAAGAUGCCGCUAAUCUCAAGGAUGAAGGCUGCAAACUGAAGAGUGAUGUUUCCUACGAUCCUCCUCCAGAUAUCGAAGCACCUAGGGGCGGGAAAGAUAACGAGGCCUUUGAUUCAAGAAAGAAAGUAUUACAGGAUGUUAUGGAGGCGUUGAAGGAUGAUAAGCUCAACAUAAUUGGGGUCUACGGCAUGGGCGGCGUGGGUAAAACCACGCUAGUCAGGCAAGUUAGAAAGCAAGUGAUGGAAAAUAAGUUGUUCGAUAAGGUCGCUAUGGCUGAGGUAACAGAGAACCCAGAUCAUCAGAAAAUUCAGGACAAACUUGCUUCUGAUUUAGGCAUAAAGUUUGAGUUGAAUGAGAAUAUAUUCGACAGAGCAAAUCGACUACGUCGAGUAUUGAAGAAAGAGAAGCGGGUCCUGAUUAUAUUGGAUAACAUUUGGAGAGAACUGAAGUUCGAUGAAGUUGGAAUUCCUUCUGGGGAUGUUGAUGAGAAAGAUAGAGAGGAUGAUCAGAGAAGAUGCACAAUAAUAUUGACGUCUAGAAGUCGAGAUUUAUUGCGCAAUGAUAUGAAUUGUCAGAAAAUUUUCUGGAUCGAUGCUUUAUCGAAAGAAGAAGCAUUGCAAUUGUUUGAAAAGAUAGUAGGUAAUUCCGCAAAAGCAUCUGAUUUUCUACCUUUAGCAGAUGAGAUUGUUGGAAAAUGCGGAGGUUUGCCUGUUGCACUGAGUACAGUUGCAAAUGCUCUGAAAACUAAGGGGCUUGCCAUUUGGAAGGAUGCGUUGAAUCAGCUAAGAAGAUCGGAUGCAAGAGAAAUUCAUGGCAUGCAAGCAAAUGUGUACACCUCCAUAAAAUUGAGUCAUGACUUCUUGGAAAGUGAGGAGGCAAAAUCUCUGUUCCGUCUUUGUGGUCUAUACAGUGAAGGUCAUGCCAUACACGUACAUUACUUAUUGAGAUAUGGUGUGGGUUGGGGUUUGUUUGAAAAUGUUUACACAUUGGAAGAAGCAAGGAGUAGAGUGCAUCGGUUGAUCGACAACCUCAAAUCUUCAUGCUUAUUGUUGGACGGUGAUGCUGAAGAUGAAGCUAAAUUGCAUGACGUCAUUCAUGUUGUUGCCGUAUCAAUUGCCGCAGAGAAGCGCAUGUUUAAUAUUCCAAAUGUUGCCGACUUAGAGAAAAAGAUGGAAGAGACAAUACGGAAAGAUCCAAUUGCCAUUUCAUUACCCCAGAGAGAUAUUCAAGAGCUCCCUGAAAGGUUGCAAUGUCCCAAUCUCCAGUUAUUUUUGUUGUCUGCAGAGGGUAAUGGCCCUAUGCAAAUUUCAGACCUCUUUUUUGAAGGGACAGAAGAACUGAAAGUUUUAAGCCUUACUAGAAUUCCUUUCUCUUCAUUACCUUCGUCACUUGGUCGCCUCAUUAACCUUCAAACAUUGUGUUUAGACUGGUGCCAACUAGAAGAUGUAGCGGCAAUUGGACAGCUAAAGAAAUUAGAGAUUCUUAGCUUUCGAGAUUCCGACAUUAAGCAGUUACCACUUGAAAUUGGACAAUUGACGCGGUUACAAUUGCUAGAUUUGAGCAAUUGUAGGAGCCUUGUAGUGAUAGCAACAAAUGUCAUAUCAAAAUUUUCACGAUUGGAAGAACUAUAUAUGGGCGACAGCUUUUCGCAGUGGGAUAAGGUUGAAGGAGGAAGUACCGCCAGUCUUGCUGAAUUGAAGGGGCUGUCAAAGCUAACUACUUUGGAGAUACAAUUUUGGGAUGCCCAAAUUCUGCCGCAGGAUUUGGUCUCUGUGGAAUUGCAAAGAUAUAAGAUAUGUAUAGGAGAAGCGUGGCGCAUGUGGGGCGUUAAUUCUGAAACAUCAAGAAUGGUGGAGCUCGAUGGGCUAGAAAAUGUUAGCAGUCUUUUGGAGAAUUAUGGGACGAAAAUGUUGCUGAAGGAAGCUGAAGAGAUCCAUCUAAACGAACUGAAGGGUGUUCUGAAUGUUGUUCAUGAAUUAGAUGAUGGGGAAGGUUUUCCACGAUUGAAGCAUCUUCGUGUAGAAAGUUGUUCUGAGAUUUUGCAUAUUGUCGGUUCAGUUGGACGGGUUCAUUGUACAGUCUUUCCCUUGCUGGAGUCAUUGUCUCUUUGGUUUUUGAACAAGUUGGAGACAAUAUGUGAUAGCCAACUCACAGAAGAUCAAUCUUUCAGCAACUUAAGGAUUAUAGGAGUACAAUCCUGUCACAAAUUGAAGCAUCUUUUCUCAUUCUCCAUGGCAAAAAACCUACUGCGGCUUCAAAAGGUAGAAGUGUUUGUUUGCGAUGAUCUGGAAAUGAUUGUUGGUAAGUGUUGAAAUUAAGUGUUGGUGGAUUUAUGGACUUCGCCUCAAUUAUUUUGAAAAAAAAAAAACAACGACAAAGAUUAAUUAUGUGUAUUGUUUUUGUUUGUUUAUAGGACCCGACAGGGAGAAACCAACAACUUCUUUGGGAUUCAACGAAAUCAUUGCUGAUGAUGAUACUGCUCCAAAGGUGAUAAUUUUCUGUUCAAUAAUUAAUUGAUUAAUUUAUUAUCACGAUUAAUCUUCGAUCAUGAAAAGAAUAUUAUACUAGACGGUUGUACUUGAAGGAACAAAAAUGUAUGGGUUUUCUUUGCAGGUUAUUCUUCCGAGCUUAGAGGAAUUGAAUCUCGGGGAAUUAGGAAACAUCAAAAAAUUAUGGGCCGAUCAUAAUCAAGGAAUGUACUGUUGUCAAAUUUAACAACGGUGAUCGUGGGGGAUUGUAAUCGUCUGAAGUAUCUGUUUUCAUAUUCUAUGGUUAAUAGUCUUUUGCAACUCCAACAUCUUGAAAUACGGUCUUGUGAGUCAAUGGAAGGGGUAGUCGACACCACGGGGUGGUCAGAAAGAGAUGAAGGAAAGUUGAUUGAAUUAAAGGUUUUUCCUAAACUACACUCCCUGCAGCUCUAUCGGCUUCCAAAACUAACAAGCUUUGCAAACACGAGACAUAUUCAUUCAGAUUUAGUUGUUGAAUUCCCUUCUUUGCAAAUACUCAAGAUUGAUAGUUGCAGUAAUAUGUUAAGAUUCAUCUCUACGAGCUCACCAGAAGACACCAUUCAUUCUGAAAUGCAACCUCCUCCUCUCUUUGACGAAAAGGUUUUUUUUUUUAAAUAAAAAAAAAAUUAAUUUGUCCCAAUACUUAAUUUGUCUUUUCCUUGAGUCUUCAAAUUUAGUUAAUAUCCGCCUCUAAUUUAGUUAUCAAUUGAUUAUGCCAUUAAUUGAUUAAUUAGUUAUUUAAUCUUUAACUGCCAGGUACGACUUCCUAGGCUGGAGGUAUUACGUAUCGGGUUGAUGGAUAAUUUGAGAAAAAUAUGGCACCACCAGCUUGCUUCGGAGUCUUUCAGCAAAUUGAAGAAUUUGGGGAUAUGGUGGUGUGAUAACCUAAUGAAUAUUUUUCCUCCAUUGGUAAGGUCGCUGUAUUCAUUUUGAAUAAUUUUUUUUCAAAUUACAUCCAACAAUUUUUUAACCAUUUUUGUGUUUACAAAUGAUAUUCAGCCACUAAUUAUUUAUUUCAAGUAUUGUACUUCGAACCACCACUCUAUCUAUUUCUCUUUUCCUUAAUUCUUCACGUUUCGAUUGGAAAAAAAAAUACAAGUCUUCAAAUUUAAUUAAUAUCUCUAGUUUAGUUACGAAUUGAUUAUGCCAUUAAUUAACCACAAAUUCAUGAUUAUUUACAACUGACCCUUGAUUGUAAAGAAAUUUCCUCAAGUCUGGAAGUACUUAAUAAAGAUCCACUUUACAGCAGUCCCUUGUUGACAGUAUUGGGAAAUCUUUUCCAAAUUUUUUUUCCAUUUUUAAAUAUACAUUAAAAAAAGAACCAAGGAAAAGGGAAAAAUGGUUCAGUAUUUUUUUAAAAAAAGGAAGAGUUGAAAUUUGCAAAUUUAUGCUUAAAAACUGAUAUCAAGAUACAAAAUAAGUCUAAAAUAUUUAGAAAUUGCCUUAAAUUCUUUCUACGUUCCUAAUACUAAAUAGUGUAAAUGCAUUUUUAUUAUCUUUGUUUAUCUGGCUUUUAUUUAUUUAUUUAUCUUGUUGCUUUUUUUGUUUAACAAAAAAUUAUCUAGUAGACAUCUCAUGGUUUGUUAUGUUUAUAAAACGUAUAAUUGUAUGAUUAAACAUACUUUGAGCCUAGUUGAAUGAUAUUCUUACACUUUUACUUUUUUAAUAUACACACAUAUGCACACACUUUUGCUUAUUUUCAGGUUGGAAUUCCCAAUAGCCUAGUGAAUCUUAAUGUAUCGAAUUCCCAAAAAUUAGAAGAAAUCGUAGGACAUGUUGGAGAAGAAGUGAAGGAGAAUCGUAUUGCUUUCAGCGAAUUAAAAUUUUUGAUACUUGAGGAUUUACCAAGGCUUACCGGCUUUUGUUUGGAGAAUUACACUCUUGAAUUCCCAUCAUUGGAACGAGCUUCUAUGAUACGUUGUCCGAACAUAAAGACUUUUUCUCAAGGAAUCUUAUCCACACCAAAGCUGCACAAAGUGCAAGUGACUUUAAAGGAAGAGGGUGAAUUGUACCUUCGCGAAGGCAACCUUAAUUCCACUAUACAAAAGUAUUACAAAGAAAUGGUAUGUGUGAAUCGAUUCAUCAAAAUUGCUCAUGCAUCUCCCUUGAACUUGCACAUUUAAACAUAUACACCUGCCUUGUAUAUGUAUUUUUAGAAGUUAAAACACAAAACAUGUAAGUUUAAUGUAUAUAUAUCUAAUGCCUUUCAAAAAAAAAAAAAUUGUAUAUAUCCAGUGCAAUUGUUUUGGUUUGUGCAGAUUGGAUUCCGUGACAUAUGGUAUUUGCAACUCUCACAUUUUCCACGUUUGAAAGAAAUAUGGCAUGGCCAAGCACUGCCUGUCAGCUUCUUCAACAAUUUAUUUAAGCUGGUGGUGGAUGACUGCACGAAUAUGUCGAGGGCUAUUCCUGCCAAUCUGCUACGGUGCUUGAACAAUUUGAGAUGGCUAGAAGUGAGGAAUUGUGAUUCGCUAGAAGAGGUGCUUCAUUUGGAAGAACUAAUUAAUGCUGAGGAAGAACAUUUUGGCCAACUGUUCCCUAAUCUUUUCGGGCUAAGCCUCAUUGAUCUUCCAAAACUCAAAAGAUUCUGCAACUUCACUGGGAAUAUAAUUGAACUGCCUAUGUUGUGGAGUCUGACUAUUGAGAAUUGCCCUGAUAUGGAAACAUUCAUAUCCAACUCUGUAGUGCACGUGACAACAGAUAACAAGGAACCUCAAAAAUUAACAUCAGAAGAGAACUUCUUGCUGGCUCAUCAAGUACAACCUCUCUUCGAUGAAAAGGUGAUUAUUAUUGUUAUUAUUAAUUUUUCCCUUCACUUUCGUUCGCAUAGAUGUAAUUUCAUUAGAAUCAAAUCAAAUUUAAUGACUCAUCCUUUUGCAUGUCGUCUUAAUUUAUAUCUAAUUUAACAAUAUAACCGCAGUUAUUAACUAACUUUAUAGUAUGAAUUAUAAAAAUGUCUCAAAUUAAUUAGAUGCCUAGUGACAGGAGGUGAUGAACUAUAUCGAUGCGUGUUACAUCUCUGUUUUCCUAGCUAAUUCAUAUUGGAUUUAGCAUCAGAUUUCAUUUAUGUGUUUCAAAGGGUAAUCGAUUUGAUACUUAUAUUUGGGAUCCUACUGCAAAGCAUACUAAUUUGGAAAUAAAAUAUAAAAUGCUGUGAUUAAUCUUGUCCAUAAAAUAUGCAGGGGAAGACUGCAGAGAUUGGAUACAUAUUUUAAUUUACAACUUAAUUUUGUUGAUUUUCAGGUUGCAUUCCCUAAAUUGAGAUGGUUAGAGCUGUCUAGAUUACCCAAUGUGUUGCAUCUCUGGAAGGAAAAUGCCGAAUCCAACAAAGUGUUUGCAAACUUGAAAAGUCUAGAAAUAUUUUAAUGUAGUAAGUUGCAGAAAUUAGUACCAGCUUCGUGGCAUUUGGAAAAUCUUGCGACUCUGGAAGUAUCGAAGUGUCAUGGGUUGAUAAAUUUAUUGACGCUCUCAACAUCUGAAAGUCUAGUGAAUCUUGAAAGAAUGAAGAUAACUGAUUGCAAAAUGAUGGAAGAAAUUAUACAGUCGCAGGUUGGAGAAGAAGCGGAAGAUUGCAUUGUUUUCAGGAAAUUGGAGUACUUGGGACUUGAUUGUUUGCCAAGCCUAACAAGCUUUUGUUUGGGUAAUUACGCUCUUGAGUUCCCGUCCUUGGAACAAGUAGUUGUGAGACAGUGUCCAAAAAUGAAGAUCUUCUCUCAAGGAGUCUUAGACACACCAAUGCUAAACAAAGUGAACGUCACCGAAGAAGAAAAAGAUGAUGAUGAAGGAUGUUGGGAAGGCAACCUCAAUGACACCAUAAAAAAAUUGUUCAAUGAAAUGGUGAGUAUCAAUUAAGUUUCGGUGCUAUUUAGCAAAUUAUUUUAUAGAAACUAAUGUGAUAUAAUAUGAUUGGUUGACUGAAAAUAUAUAAUAAUAAUAAUAAAUAAAUAAAUAAAUUAUGAGGGCCAUGUAAUGUCAAAAGCAGCCAUCCAUCUAGAUGGUCAACAUUCAAAGAAGAGAAAUUUUGCAGCAAGUUGGAAAGGAAAAGGAGCACACGGGCUUGGCAUUUAAAAGAAGAAGUUGGCAACUACUUUGAAAUAUAUACAUAUAUAUAUUAAUUUAAUAGCCAUUUUUUGGCUAUAAAAUGAAGAGCUUCCUCAUUCAUUUUCAUUCAAUUCCAUCGAGAGAAAUCUUUCUUUCUUUGAGUGUUGAGAGUUUUCAAGAGUUUAAUAAACUCUUGAGUGUCUAGUGAGUGAGAGAUUGGGUGUAUUGGGGUUUUGGGUAGUGAGCUAAAAUCUUACAAUACUUGUAAUCCUUAUUUCACUAGUAAAAUAUUUUCUUCUGUCUUCGCCCGUGGAUGUAGGCUAAAAGCCGAACCACGUAAUUUUUCGGUGUCCUCUAUUGUGCUUGUUCUUUAUUUUAUUUUCAAUUUUAUUUUAGCUGCGGUCCUGCUGCACCCACUAAAUUACUAACAGUGGUAUCAGAGCCAUUGGUUGUAUUUUUGGAGUCGGGAAUUGUUCACGUAUUCACGUAUACGGCGUACGGCACUAUUCACGUAUACGGUGUACGGCACUAUUCACGUAUACGGCAUACGGCACUAUUCACGUAUACGGCGUACGACACUAUUCACGUAUACGGUACUAUUCACGUGAAAACGGUGGAAGCGAUCCAAGAAUUUUGCGGUGCAAAGCAGGGAAUAGUGGUGUGAGUAAAGCAACUGUGUGGUUCUGUACAUGUCUAGGAAAGUUUUGUCACAAAGGCGAUAAGAGCCUAAGGAGUCUGGGUUUUAAGUGGGACCAUUGUGACCCCUCCAGUCUUUCCUGGGAACUUUCCUGGUGCGCAUUCUCACACAUACUCACAACUAUUCAAGGUGGUACACUAGCUUGUGUGCAGUAUUAUCAACAAAAUGGCGGCAAAGUAUGAAAUUGAGAAGUUUAACGGAAAUAAUUUUUCGUUGUGGAAAAUGAAGAUGAAAGCUGUAUUGAGGAAAAAUAAUUGUUUGGCAGCAAUUGGAGAAGGGCCUAUGGAGAUAACUGAUGACAAGUGGAACGAGGUAGACGGCAACGCUAUUUCUGAUCUACACUUGGCACUUGCGGAUGGAGUAUUAUCCAGUGUGGCAGAGAAAAAUACGGCGAAGGAAAUUUGGGAUACUCUCACAAAAUUGUACGAGGCCAAGUCACUACACAACAAAAUCUUCUUGAAGAGAAAACUCUAUACUCUUCGAAUGGCGGAAUCUACAAUGGUGACCGACCACAUCAACACAUUGAAGACUCUAUUUUCACAACUCACAACGUUGGGUCAUAAUAUAGAGGAAAAUGAACGUGCAGAGCUUCUACUUCAAAGUCUACCAGAUUCGUAUGAUCAACUCAUCAUCAACCUGACGAACAACAAUCCAGUGGAGGGUCUAGUUUUCGACGAUGUUGCAGCCUCCGUAUUAAAUGAGGAGAGCAGGCGGAAAAAUAAGGAAAACAGACAAGCAAGUUCGCAGCAAGCAGAAGCGCUAUCGGUGAUGAGAGGGAGAUCAACGAAACGUGGCCCCAGUGGGAGUCAAAAUCAGGGUAGAUCAAAAUCCAGAAGUAAGAAGAAUGUUAAAUGCUAUAAAUGUGGCAAGAAAGGGCACGUCAAGAAAGAAUGUUGGAGUAACCAGAAGAGAAAAGAGGGCAAAGAACCUGAGUCAUCAAAUGCUCAGGGUUGUGUAGCAAGUACCUCGGAUGAUGGCGAAAUUCUUUACAGCGAGGCAACAACUAUUUUAGAAGGCAGGAAACGACUUUCUGAUGUCUGGCUUAUAGACUCAGGAGCUACCUGGCACAUGACCUCUAGGAGAGAAUGGUUCCACACAUAUGAACCUAUCUCAGGAGGAUCUGUAUAUAUGGGAGAUGAUCAUGCCUUGGAGAUCGCUGGUAUUGGUACUAUCAAAAUAAAAAUGUUUGAUGGGACAAUUCGCACAAUUGGAGAGGUACGACAUGUCAACGGCCUGAAGAAAAAUCUAUUGUCUUUGGGACAAAUGGAUAGUCAUGGGUACAAAACUCAUGUGGAGAAUGGAAUUAUGAAGAUCGUUAAAGGCGCGCUUGUAUUGAUGAAGGCAGAAAAGAUCGGUGCUAAUCUAUUCAUGCUUAAAGGAGAAACACUACAGGAGGCUGAUGCGUGUGUCGCGUCAAAUGGAGAAGAGUCAACGAUGAUGUGGCAUCUCAAACUUGGCCACAUGUCAGAACAAGGCUUGAAGAUUCUCUCUGAGCGAAAAUUGCUUCCGAGGCUCAAAUCGGUAAGUUUACCAUUUUGCGAGCAUUGUGUUACAAGUAAGCAGCAUAGAUUAAAAUUCAGUAGAUCUAUUGCUAGAAGUAAAUGCAUUCUAGACUUGAUUCAUUCUGAUGUUUGGGAAUCACCGGAUAUAUCCAUGGGAGGUGCAAAGUACAUGGUGACUUUCAUUGAUGAUUAUUCCAGAAGAUGCUGGGUGUAUCCACUUAAGAAAAAGUCAGAUGUAUUUCUAGUGUUUAAAGAAUACAAAGCGCGGGUGGAACUUGAAUCUGGUAAAAAGAUCAAGUGCUUGAGGACAGAUAAUGGUGAAGAAUAUACAGACGGCGAGUUUCUUGCUUUAUGUAAGCAAGAAGGUAUUCAGAGGCAGUUCACAGUGGCAUACACUCCUCAACAAAACGGAGUAGCGGAGCGGAUGAACAGAACUCUUACAGAAAGAAUAAGAGCUAUGUUGAGGACUGCUGGUUUACCCAAUUCAUUCUGGGCAGAAGCAGCCAAAACCGCCUGUUAUAUAGUAAAUCGGUCGCCAUCUACAGCUAUUGGGUUGAAGACAGCGAUGGAGAUGUGGACUGGAAAGCCAGCUGAUUAUUCCUACCUACAUGCAUUUGGAUGUCCUGUGUACGUGAUGUAUAAUGCCCAAGAAAGAACAAAGCUGGAUGCAAAAUCUAGAAGAUGUAUCUUCUUGGGGUAUGCUGAUGGAGUAAAGGGGUAUCGUCUGUGGGACCCCACUGCCCACAAGAUCGUCAUCAGCAGAGAUGUUAUCUUUGUAGAAGAUCAACUAUAAAGAAAAGAUGGAGAUGAUGGCACUGUAAAAGAAAAGUCAGAGACUGUACCAGUAUAUGUCGAAAAUAAUCUAGAAGAUUCAGAUUCUUCUGAAGCAGCACCAGAGCACGAUGGACAAGAACCAGUCGAGUUCGAGGCUCCAGAAGUUCGUCGGUCAACUCGUGAGAGACGACCGCCGGCGUGGCACUCGGAGUAUGUCAUAGAGAUCAACGUUGCAUACUGUCUUCUAACAGAGGAUGGAGAGCCUUCAACUUUCCAUGAAGCUUUAAACAGUUUAGAUGUUGCUUUGUGGAUGACAGCAAUGCAGGAAGAAAUUGAAGCUCUACACAAGAACAAGACAUGGGAACUUGUACCACUACCACACGGAAGAAAAGCCAUUGGAAACAAAUGGGUCUACAAGAUCAAACGUGAUGGCAAUGACCAAGUGGAGCGGUAUCGUGCAAGAUUGGUGGUGAAAGGAUAUGCUCAGAAAGAAGGUAUUGACUUCAACGAGAUAUUUUCUCCAGUGGUUCGACUCACAACAGUCAGAAUAGUCUUGGCGAUGUGUGCUACAUUUGAUCUACAUCUUGAGCAGUUAGAUGUGAAAACUGCAUUUCUUCAUGGAGAACUUGAAGAAGAAAUAUAUAUGCUCCAACCAGAAGGUUUUGCAGAAACAGGAAAGGAGAACUUGGUUUGCAGGUUGAACAAAUCUCUAUACGGUCUCAAACAGGCGCCGAGGUGUUGGUAUAAGAGAUUUGAUUCCUUCAUAAUGAGCCUUGGAUACAACAGACUCAGUUCAGACCAUUUUGCAUAUUAUAAGAGGUUUGAAGAUAAUGAUUUCAUUAUUUUGCUGUUGUAUGUGGAUGACAUGUUGGUAGCAGGUCCCAACAAAGAUCGAAUCCAAGAAUUGAAGGCACAGUUGGCUAAGGAGUUUGAAAUGAAGGACUUGGGACCAGCAAACAAGAUUCUAGGGAUGCAAAUUCACCGAGACAGAAAUAACAGGAAGAUUUGGCUUUCACAGAAGAAUUACUUAAAGAAAAUCUUGCGACGCUUCAACAUGCAAGAUUGUAAGUCAAUUUCUACCCCACUUCCUAUUAAUUUCAAAUUAUCCUCAAGUAUGUGUCCUAGCAAUGAAGCAGAGAGAAAGGAGAUGUCUCGAGUUCCUUAUGCAUCAGCAGUGGGAAGUUUAAUGUUCGCUAUGAUAUGUACAAAACCGGACAUUGCACAAGCAGUGGGAGCAGUCAGUCGAUAUAUGGCGAAUCCUGGUGGAGAGCAUUGGAUAGCUGUGAAGAGGAUUCUGAGAUACAUCAGAGGAACCUCAGAUGUUGUAUUAUGUUAUGGAGGAUCAGAGUUUACUGUCAGGGGCUAUGUGGAUUCAGAUUUUGCAGGAGAUCUUGAUAAAAGGAAAUCCACUACUGGUUAUGUGUUUACACUUGCGGGAGCAGCUGUAAGCUGGGUUUCAAAACUGCAGACCGUUGUGGCUUUAUCUACAACAGAAGCAGAAUACAUGGCAGCUACACAAGCUUGCAAGGAAGCUAUUUGGAUACAAAGAUUAUUGGAGGAGCUCAGGCACAAACAACAGAAAAUUCCUGUGUUUUGUGACAGUCAAAGUGCCUUGCACAUUGCAAGGAAUCCAGCCUUUCAUUCCAGGACAAAGCACAUAGGAGUUCAGUAUCACUUUGUUCGUGAAGUAGUGGAAGAUGGAAGUGUGGAUUUACAGAAAAUCCAUACUAAAGAGAACCUAGCAGAUGUUUUGACCAAGCCGAUAAAUACUCAUAAGUUUAUCUGGAGUAGAUCCUCUUGUGGCCUAGCAGAAACGUAGGCAACAUGAUUAUGGCGAAGCAGAAAGGAUGGUGUGGAGAUUGAUUGAUUCUCCAUCAAAGCUCCAAGUGGGAGAAAUGUCAAAAGCAGCCAUCCAUCUAGAUGGUCAACAUUCAAAGAAGAGAAAUUUUGCAGCAAGUUGGAAAGGAAAAGGAGCACAUGGGCUUGGCAUUUAAAAGAAGAAGUUGGCAACUACUUUGAAAUAUAUACAUAUAUAUAUUAAUUUAAUAGCCAUUUUUUGGCUAUAAAAGGAAGAGCUUCCUCAUUCAUUUUCAUUCAAUUCCAUCGAGAGAAAUCUUUCUUUCUUUGAGUGUUGAGAGUUUUCAAGAGUUUAAUAAACUCUUGAGUGUCUAGUGAGUGAGAGAUUGGGUGUAUUGGGGUUUUGGGUAGUGAGCUAAAAUCUUACAAUACUUGUAAUCCUUAUUUCACUAGUAAAAUAUUUUCUUCUGUCUUCGCCCGUGGAUGUAGGCUAAAAGCCGAACCACGUAAUUUUUCGGUGUCCUCUAUUGUGCUUGUUCUUUAUUUUAUUUUCAAUUUUAUUUUAGUUGCGGUCCUGCUGCACCCACUAAAUUACUAACAUGUAAUUUUUUUAUUUAACCAAUCAUAUUAUGUCGCAUUAGUUUAUACAGUAUUGUUUGUGCACAAGAGGUGGUGGUCAUAUCAUUACUCUAGCUUUAUUAUUCUUAUGGUGGCAAUGUAUGCUGGCUUACACGAGUAAUUACAAAAUCUGCAGAAUUCUAAAGAAGAGAUUGAGCCAACCCUUCAGCUACAGUGAAGAAGCUAUCCCGAACCAGGCCAAUCUCCUAUACAUGAUUUAGCUUGCUCGUUCUUCUGUACUUGAAUAAUUUGGUUCUACAUAUUUACAAUUUUUUGCUCAUGCUACAAACUUGCAAGACACUUUGGAUUUUGUUUGAUGCAUUCUUUGUUUAAGAAAGGACUUGAAUUGAUGUUUCAUGUUUCAUACAAUAUUCGAUUAGAUUCUGCCUAAAUUUCUGUAUUAUUCGUUCAAUUGGUCUUUUAAGCAUUUGAUUUCUAACCUCUCCUGAUAGAAGAUCAUUAGCCGAAGAAAACAGCAUAACAUUUGUGGCAUUAUCAGAAUAAGAAUAUUUUUUAGUAUAGUAAAAUUAUCUCGACCACUGUUAAAAAGAAUUAAUCAGUCAAACUGACCUUCUCACACCAGCACGCUUUAAAUUAAAAGAAUUUCGUGAAAUCAAGACCAUGUUAUAGAUCUCGUGGAAAGAAGUAAACCCGUAAUUUUUUUCACAGCAUCAUAAGAAAAAUCAUUUUUUUAAAGUAUUUUUGUUAGCUGUUGAGUUUUAAUAGUAGUAGCUAUUAAAUAAUAACAAUUAGUGUAUAUUAAAAAGUUGGAAACUGGUUGAUACCACUCGGGAAUCGAGCAGUUCACUUGUUUGCGAGUAGAAACCAACUUUACUACUAAUUGCCUUGUGACAAAAUAAAAUACCAUACUAUAAUGUGUUGAACCAGGAACCUGCAGAUGCUUAGGUUACAACUAUACAACCUCCCAAUACAAUAAGUUUGAAACUUAAUACCUUCUGAAAUGAAACAAACUUACUUGAAGAUUAAAGAUCAGUGAGAAAAGCCCUUUUUCAGAAGCAACCUACAUUUUUUAGAAGAGGGUCAGUGUGUUAUAGAUUCAAUGAACCAUGAGAAGUUAUUUACAUUAUAGUAUCUCACAGGCAGUAUUUUCUCCUAAUGCAUCAAUGGUAAAGGAAAAAUAAAAAGAAAAGAAUAGUUACUUGUGCAGCACAGCCUUUACGCCUAGCUACAUGGUCCAUUCUCUGUCUUUGAACCAAUCAACAGCAACAAGUUCCAUUAAAUGUUUUCCUGCAGGUAUCUGCAGUUACAAAUUGCACAAAGCACAAGAAGAGCCAACCAAACUACAUCAUAACCUGUCUACCUAGCCUAUGCAGGAUAUAUAAAUACCAUAAAUAAGUACCAUAAAUAACAAAUAAACAACAUAUGGGGGAACCUUUGUUUUGUCAUAACAAAAAUGCUUGCUACGAACUCUAAAGUUAUUUCCAUCAGAAAGUUUCCAGCAGUCACGAGCAUUAUCAUGGUCAUCGUGUCGUAGAUUGCCCGAAAAACAAGACAAAUCAAUUUGAUCAGCCUGCUCUUCCUCUAGGGCUGCAACUAAUUGAAAAUUAAAAAAAAAAAAAAAAAGAUCAAUACCAUAAAAAUCCACUAAUGCGGACAUUAGCCAAAUAUACAAAAAUGAAUACUUAUCAUCCACCUGUCCUCUUGAAAUCAUUCUCAAUCUUUUUUUCAUUUGCCUGAAAUCCCAAGGAAAAAUAUGUAACGAAUACUUCCCAUUCAUGACUAUAGUCUGUUGUAUAAACAUGACAUAUUUAAUUGGAAUAAUAAAAUUAUUUAAUUAUUUUAAUUAAAUGUUAAUCCUACAAAUUAUUUUUGUUAAAUCUAGCAAGAAUAACUAAAAUUUCUUUAAGAUAUAUUUUGGUAGUAAAUUAAAAAAAUUUAAUUAUUUGGCAGGAAUUAUUGAAAUUGGAGCCAUUUUUUUUGUGGGAAUUGAAAUAUAUUCUUUAAAUUAUUAUAUAAAUAGCAAAAUGUACAUACACACACAUAUAUAUAAUUCAUAUAUAAAAAUUCUCUAAUUUGUUCACAAGUAUCAUAGAUUAUAAUUCAGUUAUGAAAUAAAAUAACUACAAUAAUUAUAGUUAAAUGAAUACUUCAUUAAUUCUUAAUUUGCUUCCUAACAUUAAAUGAACAACUUGAGUCAGCCACCUGAAUUAACCAGUAACAACGCCUGAGUCAACCAUCUGAAUAAACCAGCAACCCUAGCUGAUUCAAGCACCUGCAAUUAACAUCAGCACAACAGGAACAAUCUUAAAUCAACACCAAGAACAGACCAAACUGCCAUCAAAUGUCACAAAACCAAACAGUCUGCUACUGCCAUCAAAUGCAAGCAAACAUAUGCAACAAAACCAGAUGCAAGUGAAAUUCUGGAGAACAUCGGAUAAACCAAACCAAAUGCCACACUUCUAGUAAUUAGACUAGAUGCAUUGUUCAAUUAAACUAAAUGUAGUCUCAUAUUACAUUCAAAAUUUCUAAAAAAGGCAGUGUUCCAUCAGAGAAGCACCAAAACCAAACCAAUCUAAUCCAGCAUAAUUACCAGCUCAACCCAAAACAAUUACACAUUAUAUUGACAUAUCAAAAUUCGCUAUCAAAACAUAGCCAAAUAAAUGACAAUAAACUCAAAACAGACCCAAACCAACUGAUGUUGCAGCCCUAGUAGUCGUUGUCCGUUCCACUGCCAUGGGAGUGAGGGUAGGCUCCGUUGUUGAUGAGUGAGUAAGAUAAGGCUCCAAAUCAAUAGUUCCACCUCCUUUCUGCAAUUCAAAAAACAGAAAUUCAUAUAUGUAAAACUAUUAAAAAGUGUGAAACAACCUGUAAGUAUUCAACUUCUGUCAACUCAAUAGUACUUACUAAAGUUUUUAUACAGAAGAAAAAGGCAUUUUAAGUCCAAAAAAUUAGAAUUAUUGGUUGAACUCCAACUCCAUCAAUCCAUGCAACCAUCCAAUCUUUAACGAAAAAAUGAAGCAUAAUUAACAAGACAUCUGAAUCAGAAAGAUUGUGCUUUCGUUUGGCACGAGGUGUUGGAAACAACUUAACAAAUCUAGACACAAUCUAUAACCAUCAAGUCCAAACAAAAGUCAGGAUCUAAAAUACUUUGAAAAAUCAGAAAAACAGCAAAAUAUCAGUUUCAAUUUCUUUUUCAUCCAUUGUAAGCUCAAACUAAAGGUAGCCGCGCUACCUUUAAACAUCAUUUGGGCUUGUACAUGUGACAUUUGCUCAUGAACAACUAAAGUUGAAUAAGAUUUUUAUAUGAAACAGAAUAUAAAAAGUCAAAGUAGAAUAUGACAGGAGCUACAAUAUAUUAUUCAGCAUUAGCAUUAUGUAUAAAAUAAAUUUAGACGCAUUAUAUUGAUUCACAAUCUUGCAGAGGUAAUACCAGAUUAUGGCACGCAACUCUUAUAUAGCAGAUAAAGGAGGAGAUGCAGUGGGAAGGUAGUAUCUUGCUUGCAUGAGGAUUAGAAAGCAAUAGCCCAAGAUCAAUUAUAGAUCUCAUAAAACAAAAACAGUGAGGCAAACACAAUUAUUGUGAACAAUUAUUCAUAGAACCACAUACCAGCAACAAGAUCAGAGUCAUCUGUGUAUAUAUCGAUUCCCCAUAGCUGACUGCCUCUGACCUAAACAUAAUGAACUUACAUAACUAAGAAGUAGAGUCAUAAAAUAUGCAGCUGUAACAGCUAUCAAUAAAUUUCCAGACAAAUGGAAUUUGAUCUGUAAGGCUAUAACUAGCAACACUUCAAAAUAAUUUGAAGUAGCAUGAUCUUACUUUAAGGAUCAAUACUACAAUCUUUCAGAAAAAUUAAAGUCUAAGCAAAAUUAAAACCUUAAACAUACUAAAAUCUGGUAAAUAGACCUACAGGAAUUCCAAUGACCUCCAAAAUAUUUGAAAGAAAAAUUAAUUUACAGCAAAAAAUGUUAAAAGAUUUGUAAAAUGGAAGCCCAUACUACUAUUCAAAUUACAAAUGAGGAAAGGGAGCUGGCCAUUAAAUGAUAAAGGCAUGCAUAAAGAAAUACAAAUAAUAUGCCCAUAAAGACGUCCACUCAAGCGUUAUAAGCGGCUUUAUGCAAAGGAAAGCCAAUUAGUUAACAAUAAAUGAAUUUCAAGGUGCAAUAAUUAAACUCCCUGAUCAGCACAUAUAAGGUUCAUGCAUUUCUACAAAACAUGUAAAUCAUAAGAACUUUUUUGGUCCAAAUGCUAACCAAUAAUUAAGUAGAUUAUCAAAGUUGUCACAGAACAAGCACCACAUUGAUUGCUAUGCAAAAGAUGAAAGUAAAAGUUAAUACUUUAUUUUAUUUUACUUUUCGAGAGUUUUGAUCAUCAUGUGCAAAAUAGUAGUAUAACUUGCUCAGUGUUAUCUCAAAAAGCUUGCUUAAAAUACCUAUUAGCACCAGUCCAAGUAGUCAAAUAAAUCCUUAUCUAUCCAUUCAUCUCUGACCUUGCCAAAAAGAUUUAAAUGAGCAUCUAUAUUCUCACUCCAAUCUUUCACAAUCAUGGGCUUUAUCUUUAGACCAGUUCUUCAAUAUCCCUUCCACUGUGAGCCCCUCGAAAACCUUGUAAAUUGAAUCACAUUUGUCGUCAGUUUCAAAUCCAUGUGUCAAAAGGCUAAGCAAAUGAAUAUACAAUCAACACCAUUCUUCCAAACGAAUAUACAGUCAACACCAUUCUUCCAAACGAAUAUACAGUCAACACCAUUCUUCCAAACACAAACAAAGUUUGAACGUAUGACAGAUUUUUAGCCAUUUAAUAUUCCAUCAAAGAUAAUUAGAUAACACCUACCAAGGAUUUUUGAAAAGAAUGCAUUCUCAUCUUAAGCAGCAACCUCACCAGUAACACAUUUUCAUACCCUGUUUCCACCUCUGGUCGCACCACCAAAAAAAAAUCAGUACUAAUUAGCUUCAACAGAGUCUAUUUUUUUAUUUCUUUUUUUUUUCAAAAUAAACCUCCAUUCUUAUACAUAAAAUUAAAAUAUCAAUUAAAUAAAAAAAGUCUAUGCUUACUAGUAAAACACGUCCAUUUUCAGGUAGAGGCAGAUAAUAAAAGAAAAUUGAUACUGAGAUAAAAUAAGAAGAGCUUACUAUGUGCAUUUGAUCAACAAUCCAAUCCUUAAUGAUGGAAUCGAUGCUAUCAAAUAAACGUGACUUAAUCUUGAAACAUUAAACUGCACUAAGCAUAGCACCAAAGCCAGAGCGUGACUAUAAAGAAGAAAAAGAAGAAUUAAAUCAACAUGAAAUUGAACUUUUGUUUUAUCUUCCACAAGCAAGAAAUUCAACUGGAACAAUACAAAAUAUGAAAUUUUUAGCAAUCUUACUAGCAUUAUACACAAAUCUCAAUUCACGACAAAUAGGGGAAUGAAUCACUAACAUCACCCAAUUCAUAUAUUCAAAUAAUGUAUCCCCACUCCUAACAAGCAACGUGCUACCACAGUCGAUUAGUUGUUAGGGUUAAGGCUCACCAUAGAGAACUGGAUGGCGCUAACUAAAUGACACGUUGAAACGGCAUCUGCAAUCGUAUUGAAUGACAUUGAACUUUUUCAGCUUCGUCGGUUGCGAAUGUGAGACCUUGGCUUAGGGUUCUAUACAGUGUUGUUGAUGCUUAAAUCUGCUCGCCUUUUGACCGACCAGAUUCUUUCACCAACAUUUGUGUUGUCAACUGCUGCUCGGACCACUGGGGUUGGAAUUGCCCUCCUUCCUCUUACUAGACCUGCGUUCACCAAAAAUGGAUCAGAGACGCCGGUGGUUUUGCCGGCGUAAACCCUCCGAUGCCUAAGUUAGCACAAGGUAUUUACGGGAAAACGGUGUAAUUUGGAUUCAAGAAGGGCUUAUAACUUGUUUCGAAGUUUGUAAGGAAAAGGCAUGAUUGCAAUUUGGCAGCGUUUUCCCUCUCUUCAUUUUUUUUGUCCUUUUCUUCAUCGAUUUCUUCUCCUUUUAUAGCCGUUGUCCCAUGUUCCCGUUUGGCUUUCAUCCCUCUUUUUUCGGAUGGUGGCAGCCCCUCAACGGACUCUAACUGCUACAUCAUGGGCAAACGUGGGGUCUCGCAUUACUCGCAACGGUUCUGGGAGAAGCGUAACUACCAUGAUUCUGUGGGAUCGUGUUCCCGCUUUUUCGGGGGAUGGGUAUCGGCUCGGUAUAUACCUCUGGUCGGUAUACUCCCCUGGUUGUACUCGUCUCUGGUCGGACCAUACUUGUCCCUGUGUUCUGCUCGUACCAUUUGGUUAAGGUGAUCCAUGCCGGCAUGGAAAUAGAAGCAUGGCCGACCUGGUGCGUAGCAUGGCCGACCUGGUGCUUUUAUUUACUUAACACCAGUCCCCCAGUUUCUGGUCUUGCGAGUAAAAUGAGUUAAGAGUAGAAACUGAUGGUUGAAUCUUACCAGCCCGGGGCUUCUCAUCUGGUCUUCUGUCAUUCCGGGACGGACCUGAGGUACCAUUCUUGUUCUGGGGGGAUUCUGACCUGAGCAUGGGCCUUAAUAAGCAUGUCCAUUGCAUAUAUGGACUUGCAUCUAGCCUGGCCUCUUGUAACGGUUAGUGACGUGGCGCUUCUCGACUCUUCGUAUUUGAAAUUUGAAACGACGGGCUAUCCGUCCUCGAUAUAUGGGGGGUGAGCUGGCAUAUCCCAUCACUUAAACGCUUCCAUUUCCCCCUUUUCGUUUCAAAUCCCUAGACUGGAGUCAUCAUCAUCUUGUUAUUCGUUUCUCCGCCGUUAAUCAAAUUUUUCUCUGAACUUUGCUCACACUUCCAGCGUCCAGAGUAUCCAUUUGGUGGGUGUUUUCUCUGUCACGGCAGCGCUAUCAGUGUCAGUCUAUUCCAGGUAUAGCCUUUAACCUCUUCUUUGGCUGUUGUUGAUUGGGUUCUGUGUUGCCCCUUUUUGUAUUCGUGUACUUGGGUUUGUUUUGGUUUCCUUUUGGGAUUCCGGUAUGUCGAAUCGGAGAAGGCAGUUGAUUGUAGAUGAGGGUGACGAAGGAACAGAGGAUUCACGCCUUAAUGUUUCAAUACCCACUGAAUUUUUACAUCCCUCUAGUACUGUAGGCUUCUCCCAUGGGAGGGAUACCCUUGAGUACCCACGUCCCUUGUCCAUUUCAUCUUCCCCUGAGCUAGGGCUUGUAGGAAAUAGAGGGGGACCUGCGUCGGGCUCUGGUGAGAACCACAGUUCUGGUGGGGUUGGGGUCCUUGAAGAAGUGGGUAAUAGUGAGGGAAGCAGCUCCGAGCCGAGCCGACCUCCUAAGAAAAGAAACCUUGGGCAUAGGGUGGAGGCGAAUUCUUACCCUAUCGACCAUAUAGCCUGUGCCACCACCCAAACUGACCUGUUCAAGCUUAGGAACCUCUACAACAUUCCUAAGGAGGUUCUUCUUGUAGUUCCUAGGAAGGGUGAUGUUCCUAGUCGGCCUCUGCGGGGGUAUGUGACGAUGCACCUGGAGAGUUUCAAACUAGUAGCUCGGCUGCCCCUUCAGCGUUAUUAUGCCAAGAUAUUGGGGGCCAUGCACCUGGCCCCAGGUCAGCUACACCCAAACGGGUGGAGGGUCCUCUCGGCUAUGUUUGUGUUGUGGGAGAGAUGCGGGUCGGAGGAGCCUUCCCUUGUUGAAGUGAAGCAUUUGUAUCAGCUGCGGAGCAGCCCAAGGGAGGCAGGCUGGUACUACUUCAUGUCCAGUUCUGCGAAGAGAAAGCCCAUUACCGGUUUCCCCUCCUCGUGCAAAAAUUGGAAGAACAAAUUCUUAUUUGCUGGGGGAAAUUGAUGUUCAGCAGUCCGUUCGUUGGGUGGUGAUAUUUACCUUCCAACGCAAUUUGUCACCCCAGGUCGUUCAUUUUUUGCCUGUAUCCUUUCUCGAAUUGCCACUUAUUGGGUUCUUUAACCUUGUUUGUUUUUUCAGAAUCGUGGGGUUUGGUUAAGGAUCUCGAAGACCGGCCUUUGCUUCAGGUGGAAACUGCUCUGGUGAACGCGUCUACUUGUCAAGACCUCCUGUCACCAACAAGCUUGGUCGGUUCGGGCUUAGUAGAUAUUGCCGCAGGAAUGGAUAACAAGAUCCUUAACGCGAUGAGCAGAAAACGUGGUCGGGCUCCGAGUAGCUCCAGCAACCCUCCUCCUCCUCCAAAGAAACCCAGCGUCGGUCCUUCCAAGGCGCCUGUUCCUGCUCUGCCCCCUCCUCCACCUCGUAAGAGUGGUGGGGAGAAAACCUCCGACAAGAGUCCUGAGGUCAGCUUGCAGUCAGGGGACCGAUCUUCUCCUCUUCCAUCUCGGGAUCAAGGUGACUACCUGAGCCCUUAUCAGAAGGAUUAUAAAAAAUCGGUUGGGCCCAAGAUGGUGAAGGACAUCGAGAGCAUGAACCUCUCUGAGUUAGCUGCUUCUGUUCAAAGAGUCUCAUUCAGGCUGGCCACAAUGGUCUCGUGCUACAAGACCGGAUCCGCGCGCCAUGAGAAGAAGCUUCAAGCUGACAAUCAGGAGUUGAAGAAGAAAGAUGAAUCUGCUGACCGCUCCAAGGAGAAACUGGCCGAGUUGAACAAGCAGAUUACGGAGCUGGAGGAGAAAAUUGCAGUUGCUGAGUCCACUGCCUCCAAGUUUGAGGGUGAGCUGGGUGGCCUGAAGUCGGACCUUCAGGUAGCUCAAAGUGAAAGAGAUACUUUGAGGACCGCCCUUGAGGGAAAAAUCAAAUCCCUGAACGAGCAGCUGGCUGAGGGGAAAGGUAAAUCCGCCGAUGUGGACGAUCGGUUGGAUGCCGAGUAUGACUCGGGGGUUGCUUUCUCCUAUAAGUGCAUUAUGUCUGUGCUUCAGGGAGAAUAUCCCGAGCUGGACAUGAGCAAGUUGGAGGCUGGAGUGCAGCGAUAUAUGGCAGAGGUCGGUCAGGCGAACAAGGAGCAGGGUGAGCAGGAUCAGGUGGAGGCUCCUUUUGAUGGGAUGCAAGAGGGGGAAGCUGGGGGACGCACUUUCGAAGUGGGUCAAGGGUCCAUGCCUCCUCCUCCCGGUAUUGCUGAUCUCCCACCUCCUGAUGUUGCUGAUCCCUUACUUCCCGAGCUCGCUGAUCCUUCGGCUGCUGGAACCGUUGACUCUGCUAAGCUUUGAGCCUAUUUUUGUAUAAACUCUAGAUUUGCAUUUGUUUUGUAAACAAUUGAACAUUUAUAAAUUUUUAGAUGCUCUUUAUUUGCUUUCUUGCCCGGUUUUUGCUCAUAGAUUGUUUCUGAAAAACAAUUGGACAACUUAUCUGAUUUUGCCUGCUGGUUCUUUAGUGAGCCGAGCAGGAGUAGGCAUUUGUUUGCCUUAGUAAGAUUUCCAUAAAAUUGGUUACUAGUCUUUAUUGACCGAGCAGAAUUAGGCACUUACUUGCCUUAGUAGGAUUUUUGUAGGAUUAGCUGCUGGUCUUUCUUUGACCGAGCAGAGGUAGGCACUUAUUUGCCUUAGUAGAAUUUUCGUAGAUUAGCUGCUGGUCUUUCGUUGACCGAGCAGAUGCGGGCACUUACUUGCCUUGGUAAGAUUUUCGUAGGAUUAGCUACUGGUCUUUCUUUGACCGAGCAGAGGUAGGCACUUAUUUGCCUUAGUAAAAUUUUCGUAGAUUAGCUGCUGGUCUUUCGUUGACCGAGCAGAUGCGGACACUUACUUGCCUUGGUAAGAUUUUCGUAGGAUUAGCUGCUGGUCUUUCUUUGACCGAGCAGAGGUAGGCACUUAUUUGCCUUAGUAGAAUUUUCGUAGAUUAGCUGCUGGUCUUUCGUUGACCGAGCAGAUGCGGGCACUUACUUGCCUUGGUAAAAUCUUCGUAAAUUUAGCUGCUGGUUUUUCGUUGACCGAGCAGAAGUAGGCACUUGCCUUAGUAAAAUCUUCGUAAAUUUAGCUGCUGGUCUUUCGUUGACCGAGCAGAAGUAGGCACUUGCCUUAGUAAAAUCUUCUUAAAUUUAGCUGCUGGUUUUUCGUUGACCGAGCAGAAGUAGGCACUUACUUGUCUUAGUAGAUCUUUUUAAUGGACUUAUUGGCCAGGGGAUUUCAUGCUGAAUUCAUCUUUAUUGAACUUUGAAUGCGUUACAGAAAUACAGAAUAUAUGCAUAUGCAACAAGCCAUCAUGCGUUUGAAAGGAAUAACUUAUCAAAAUGAAAAUUAAUAGGGCACUUUGCUUACUGGAAGUACUUUUUCAAGUGCUCGGCGUUCCACGACCUCUUCACCUCUCGUCCGUCUGGAUACGCCAGCUUGUAGGCUCCCGGUCCAGUUGCUCGUAUCACCCUGUACGGGCCUUCCCAUUUCGGGCCAAGAGCUCCAUGGUUGGGAUCCCUGGUGUUUUGGUUCACCUUCCUAAGCACCCAAUCUUCUGUUCGGAACUGCCUCACGCGUACGUUUUUGUUGUAAUAACGCGUGACCCUUUGCUGACAUUGGACCACCUUCUGCGAAGCCCGUUCCCUUUUCUCCUCCAGCAGGUCCAGGCUCAAGCAGAUCUGCUCGCCAUUUAUUGCUUCGCCCAAUUCUGAUCCGACCUUAACCACUCUGCUAGGGUCACUCCUGCUUACAACAACUUCCUCCAGCUUCUCAACAGGUUCUUGGCGACCGUUUUUUGAAUCCCCUCGGUUAUCUAGAGAGGUAACUUGCAGUGUUUCCUUGGCCGCUGUAGCAUAGCAGCUCCUGGCCAUUCUCUGGUCGCCCUUUACUACACCCACAACUCCAUUUAUUCUGUAUUUCAGUGCCAGAUAAUGUGUGGACAUUACACAUUGGCUUAUUCUCAUGAACGGUCUCCCCAAUAUCAUCUGGUAAGGACUUCUUUCCUCUACCACGACAAAGUCUAGCAUCAUCGUUCUUUCAAAUGGCUUUGUCCCCACAGUAAUCGGGAGUUCAAUGACCCCCAUGGGAGUUAAUCGUCCCCCUCCAAACCCCUUCAAGGAUGUGUUCGUCCGCUCCAGCUUUAAGUCUGAAAUCCCCAUAUCAUCUAGGGCCGACUUAAACAGAAUAUCGACUGAGCUGCCCGUGUCCACCAGUAUUCGCCUUACUUCUGUACUAGCUACCAACGCUUUAAUCACCAGUGCAUCCUCAUAAGGAUACAAAAUGCCCUCUUCGUCAUCCUCCGUCCACAUAAUGGGCACUUGCCGCACUCUUGCCUUCUUGGCUGCUGGCAAAUUUAGAAGCACCUCUUUGCCAGUCAUGGCGUACCUCCCAUAGUUCUUCCGUGCUCUAUUUGAAUCCCCGACCAAUGUUGGCCCUCCUGCUAUCACACGGAUGGUCGGCUGUUCACGUUCCAGAUCCCUCUCAACUCCUUCAUCCCGUGUGUACUGUGAUUCCAUGGCAGGGGACAUUCCAUCUACAUACUCGUCCAAGUAUCGGUUCCUCACUAAAUCCUCCACCUGAAUCUUCAGGUCACGACAUUGGCUGAUAGUGUGACCAUGAGUGUCGUGGAACUUGCAGAAUCUGCUCUUAUCCCGUCGAUGAGUCGGUUUUGUUAUUGGGGCUGGAAGGUACAGCAGGCCUCGUCCUUCGAUCCUCUCAUACAAUUUCUCCAUGGAGAUCUUUAAUGGAGUGUACUGUCUAUAUGCCAAGCUCUGGUCUACUAGCUGAACUGCUCGGCUAUCAUGAACGUCUCCUCGGGUUGGUAUAGCCGGUAGCUGCUCUAGUCGUCCAGACCUGUAAUUAGUUGCACUUAAUCCUCUGGGAGUGCUGUGAUAAGGGUAGGCAGCCAUCUGCCUGAAUUCUCGCUGUCGCUCUGGGAUCGGGGGGCGCAGAGGUUGAGCCCGGCUGUGUUGGAACUGUUGUGAUCUCGGAGCUAUGGGAUAAGGGCGGGACCGAGCUGAUGUUCCGCCCCUUACUGAGGACUCCCCAGCUCGCUUUCCCGACCCGCUCCCACUUGGAGUUCUUCUUUCCUUUCGUCUCAGCUCCUCCAACUGUUCACUCUUUAUCCUUGCCGAUUUUUCUUCUUCGAUUUCGAUGUCUCUCUUUGCCUGCUCAUACCCUGCUGAAUAACUCUGCACUAGGGGGCUCCUCAGGUUAUUCCAUAGCCGGCCUAUCCUCACACCCUCCUUUAAUCCCCUCAAUGCCUGCGGGUGAUUGAAAGCUCCCAAAUCAAGUACGGCUUGGUGGUAUCGCUUUACAAAAUCCCGUAGGGAUUCAUGCUCCUCCUGUUUUAUCCCCAUCAGUUCCAUCAUGUCAUCCUCUGGGGCUGCUGCUCCUCGGAACUGCUCGGCCAACUCCUGGCACAUCUGCUCAUACCCCUUUAUACUUCCUCGGGAUAGCUUGCGGUACCAUUCUCGGGCUCGUCCCUCUAGUGUCAACGGGAACACCCGGCACCUCUGAGCUGGUGUCAGCCCCUGCACACCCGUCAUGUCGUUGAAACGCUCGAUGUGCACCAGCGGGUCACUUCGCCCGGAGUAUUUGAGGUCGGGGAAGCGGAAAUCUCUUGGGAUUAUGAUACCCAUGAUCUCAGUUGAUAACGGAGAUUCUUCAUCUAGCAUUAUCCUCCAGCUCGGGGGCUUUCUCUUGCCCUGUUUCCUCGACUCUACGCCUCCAGAGGUUGGAUUCUGCUCCAACUUCAUCUCUUCCCACGGGGGUUUCACAAUCCCUUCUCCGCUCAUCCCUCAGCUCAAACAAUAUGGCCGCGAGAGUCUCCAUUUGUUUCUCCAUCCGCUCCAGUCUAUCUUGCAUCAUCCUCUCUCGGGCUUCAUUUGCAAUUUCCCGAAGAGUGAUUGUCUCCCCAGCUUCGUUAUCCUCCCUCAAGGCGUCCUUCCUCGUCACAUCCAUGUCUAACCGUUCGUCGUUUCUCCGGUAACUCCUAAUUCGGUGGUAGCUUUUUAUCCAGCUCCCCACAGACGGCGCCAAAAUGUUGAUGCUUAAAUCUGCUCGCCUUUUGACCGACCAGAUUCUUUCACCAACGUUUGUGUUGUCAACUGCUGCUCGGACCACUGGGGUUGGAAUUGCCCUCCUUCCUCUUACUAGACCUGCGUUCACCAAAAAUGGAUCAGAGACGCCGGUGGUUUUGCCGGCGUAAACCCUCCCAUGCCUAAGUUAGCACAAGGUAUUUACGGAAAAACGGUGUAAUUUGGAUUCAAGAAGGGCUUAUAACUUGUUUCGAAGUUUGAAAGGAAAAGGCAUGAUUGCAAUUUGGCAGCGUUUUCCCUCUCUUCAUUUUUUUUGUCCUUUUCUUCAUCGAUUUCUUCUCCUUUUAUAGCCGUUGUCCCAUGUUCCCGUUUGGCUUUCAUCCCUCUUUUUUCGGAUGGUGGCAGCCCUUCAACGGACUCUAACUGCUACAUCAUGGGCAAACGUGGGGUCUCGCAUUACUCGCAACGGUUCUGGGAGAAGCGUAACUACCGUGAUUCUGUGGGAUCGUGUUCCCGCUUUUUCGGGGGAUGGGUAUCGGCUCGGUAUAUACCUCUGGUCGGUAUACUCCCCUGGUUGUACUCGUCUCUGGUCGGACCAUACUUGUCCCUGUGUUCUGCUCGUACCAUUUGGUUGAGGUGAUCCAUGCCGGCGUGGAAAUAGUAGCAUGGCCGACCUGGUGCGUAGCAUGGCCGACCUGGUGCUUUUAUUUACUUAACAAGUGUUAUAGAGAGAGGCUCAGAGUUGAUUCAUUUUAGGUUGCAGUGGCCAGUGGAGAGAGAGGGAUUUAUUCAACGCUUAGCCAAAAUUUGGCGGAAGUGUUGAUGUGUUUUAAGUUAUAUAAAACGGUGUCGUUAAUUUAAACGGCACUGUUUUACAAUCUUAUAAUUUCACAAAACUUAAGCAUGACUUAUAUGUAUCAUUUAUUUAGGACGGUUAAGUUACGUCAUGAAUAUGUCAUAUAUUCUGGACAUAUGAAUAUAUAUCAUGAAUCUAUCAUAUUUUUAUGAUACAUUCGUGACACAACGAUAUAUGUCAUAAAAUUUCUGUCAUUAUUUAAUACUUUUCUAGUAGUGUCAUAUCUUUAAAACCUUUCUAUUAAUAGCAAAAACUCUAAUCCUUUAGCAAAAGACUAAAAAUUUAAAAAAAAAAAUUCUGUUUAAAUAUCAGUUGGCUCAUGAUCAACACUUCAAUACUAUUUGUUGUAUUUUCUUUCUUUCUUUCUUUGUCAUUUUAUUAGAUUUGCUUAAGUAAUUGUUCAUUGUUUACGUCUGUGUUCUUACUAGCUUUUGAUAAUUUAUGGUUGGUUUUUUAUUCAAACCCUCGAAGUACCUUUCUGUUAACAGCAAAACCUUUGAUCCUUAAGAAAGAAAAAGAAAUUCUCUAUUUAGUUAUUAGUUGGUUCAAGAUCAAUAUCGCGAUAUUGUUUGCGGUCUUUUCAUUCUCUAUCUUUCCCUCUAGUUCAAUUUAAUUUAUUUGUAUUCCUUUCUUUGACCCUUGUAUUUAUAUAUAUAUAUUGUUAAGCAACAGGCAAUGGCUGCAGAAGGGUGCCUCCCUGCUUUUUCCAGCAUUGUAUCACAAGGUUCAAAAGCGUUAUUCGAACCGAUUAUGCGGCACAUAUAUUAUGUGUUCGAGUACCAGAGCUACAUAGAUGGGCUAAAAGAUCGAGUGAAGGAGCUGGAAUAUAUAAGAGAAAGGGUGCAAAUGCUGGUUAGAGAGGCUACUCUACAAGGAGAUGAGAUUUAUAAGGGUGUCAGAGACUGGCUAAAUAGAGUUGCUGAAUUCAGUGAAGGGGUUGCAAAAUCCAUCAUUGAUGAUAAAGAUAGAGCUAAGAUGUUCUGCUUCAAAGGGUUGUGCCCAAAUUUGAUUUCUCGUUACAAGCUUGGUAAACAAGCAGCAGAGGCGCAAACGAAGCUGACAAACUUGUGAAAAAAAGGCGAAUUUAACAUAUGUAAUCAUGUUUCCUACCGUCCUGCUCCAGAGAGUACAGAAUAUGUGCAAGUGAAAGAUUACGUAGCCUUUUAUUAUAAUAUCUUUUCACUCUAUUAACUUAAAAAAAGAUUGACUUCAAAUGUUAAAAAUGUAACAGCGUAUACAUUUUAUAAUAAUUUCAAUAUUUAAAAAAUAUUUGAAUACUUUACAAUCUUAUAUUAUAUUAAACUAAUUUUAUAAUAUAUAGAAACAUAAUAGUAAAAUAAAUAUAUAAAAUUUUAAGUUAGGCUUAAUAUUAUUUAAAAUAAUUUAAAUAUCAUUAAUACAUGAGAUAUAUUAUAUUAAUUAUAAAUUCUAUUUAAUCUAAAUAUUUAUUUAAAUUUUUUAUACUAAAAAUAGAUAUAUUAUUAAAAUAAAUAUAACAACUAACAUUUUAAAAAUUAAUACUGAAAUUAAAAUUAUAAAUUAUAUUAAUCUACUAAAAAGAUUAAUCUAUUUGACACUCGCAGCGGACAAUGAGGUCACGGCAUAGGACAACUUCUUUUGAAAAAAAAAAAAAUCAAAAUCAAAGUCAUUGAAGUGCGUUUGAUGAUUUGCUGUGUAGCUUCUCUCUCAAAUGCUUUUCGAGUGCCUCUGGUAUCUGCUUUUAUAUAAGCUUUUGUCUUUAAUCAUUCAUUCAAGCUUUCGCUAAGAGUGAUGCAGCACAGCACGUAAAUAUAGAAGCAUUGACAGCCGUAGUCAGGAGCUCUUCGGUAUUUGAAGCAAGAAUGGUUGUUUGGCUUUGUGCAUUGAAAGAGAAAAGAAAAUAGAAUGACUAAUUUCAAUAAUACAAUUUAAUUAAUUAAUUUAAAAUAAUAAGCAUAUAAUAAUGAUGAAAUUAAUUAAUAAAAAGAAGAAAAUGAAAAUUGCACGUGCUAUUAGCAUAAACCAAUUGCCGGAAUGAGGUCACUUUGUAGACAAAUGAUUCUGGAAUCAGAACUUGGGCCAGCUUUGGGUUAUGGAUCCAAAAUAAAAAUAAGGUGGGCCACAUGGUCUCUUAUGAUCAAUAAAAAUCGAUUGAAAAGGAUGGUAUGGUGAGUGGAAGAGAAAUGUCGAUGGCAGAUCAAGGGAUGAAGAUACGAGCUCACUUGCAACGUGGUAUAGUUCAUCAUGGCUUUCCUAUAAGUUCAGGUCCUUUGAAUACUUUCAAUGACCUUAUUAGUCAGGAAUUUAACAAUAAUUUUUAUUUUUUUACAUCCAGGAACGGUUUUAAGCAUAGGAAAAUUAGGCCUAUAAUAGCAAAUCUUCUUUUUUAGGCCUCUUUUUAGUUAGUAAUUAUCUUAUAAUUAAGAAUUUUUAUACACAUUCUAUAUUUGAUAACCUUAAUAUUAAAGAUCUCUAAUUGUUAAUUUAUUAUUAGUUUUUCCAAGAAAAAAAUUAAAUUCUUUAUCUAUUUAAAAAAGUUUAUUAUUUAACAUUAUAAAAUUUUUUGCGCCAUUCUCUAUAAAGAAAAUUAUUACAUUUAUUGGUUCACUUUUGAAUUAAAAAAAAGUUUAUUAAAUAAUAAUUCUAGAGGAAGUAAAAAAGAUAUCUUCUUGGAAAUGUUUCAAACCCAUGUGUUUGGAUCUGUUUGAUAAUUUGUCGAAUUUGCCCACAUAUGAAAUUAGUAUGAUUUUACAGGUUAUAUUAUUUAAUUGGCUAUUUCAUUAAAAAAAAAAAAAAACACACACACACACACACACACAAGGAUUUUUAUUUGAUGGUAGAAGUUAAGUUGUUUUUCAGUGAUAAAUAAUGUUGUUAACCAAAUUUAAUUGACAUUCUACGUGGCAGUAAUUCAAUUUUAUAGAAGCACGUGGAUUAAAGGACAAAAACACAUCCAGUAUUUAAUAUUGGAUAUGAAUAUGGAUUUUAUCCAUAUAGAUAUGGAGAUCUACGGAUAUUUUAUUUUUAUUAUAUAAAACUAAUAAUAUAAAAUAGUUAAAAUUUCAAUAUCAAAUUUGAUUAUUAAACUAUUUAUAUUAGUAAUAAUAUAUAUAUAUAUAUAUAUAAUGAAAUGGCCGUCCGGUGGCCGGCAACGGAGGUCCGCGAAGUCUCUUCAUUCUCCUGUUAAGUAAUAAAAAAAAUCAAAACAGAGGAGAAACAUGGCCCUCUUUUCAUUCCCCUGUUUGAUAACAAUAAAAACAAAACAAAGGAGAUACGUGGACUCUCUUCUCAUUCCCCUGUUUUUCUUUUCGGUUUGGCGAUUUUAAAAUUUGAUAUCUACACUCAUUAAAAAAAGAAAAAAAAAAGUUAUUCCAAGAUGAUUUUCUAUUUUCAUAUAGACGUUUAUUUAUUAACCAAAAUUUAAAAAGUGUAAUUCUAAACUUAUCCUUGUGCUUUGAUCUUGGAGGGAUUUUUCAUUUUUUCUACACUGGUCUUAUCAAUUAAUGAUGAAAGUUCUUAUCAUUAAUUGCUUUGGAAAUGAGCAAGCACGGUAUGACCCCUAAGAGAAUUUAUUAAUUGGACAAGUUAUAUAACACCUUUGAUAUGGCUCCUAGACAUGUAUGCAAUUUGUAUCUUUUAGUUUUGCUUUUAAUUCUUUUUUAAUUAAAUGAGUCCGGAUUAGGUCAGUGGCAGAUAAAAGAGUCGGUUUUUCCAUUACUAAGCUUUUCAUGGAUGAAAAUUUUAUUUAUUUUUUUGGUUUUAAAGGUUCUCUGUGAAUGCCAUUAGAAAUGAGAUUGACUAAUUCAAGCUUCCUUUUUCCCCUUAGCAUCCAAACGUGUGAGGCAAGGGCAACUAAUGAGUCCCUUGUGAUGAGAACCUUUGUCUAAGCAAAAGCAGAGGUCAAUUGCUAAUACCGUAAUGUUAUUACUUUCAGUGCUUAAAUUGCUCCAUAAGCUUGCAUUUUAAAGUCUUUGUCUUAAUUUCUGUGGUAUACUGGUUAUGAGACCUCCUGCCAAGUUCAAGUUUCUUGAUGUCUUAUAAUUCCAUUUGUUGUGGUGGUUACUUUGUCAUAGAACUGACUGUUAAAGGCCAUCAAUCAGCUCUGUUUUGUAUUUGUGUACGUUUUUUUUCGUAUAAUGAUCAAUCAAAUGUUAGCCCUUAGAUUGCAUCCAAUAUUUAUUGAUUGUCUUUAAUUAGGAUAUAAACUAAAUUCAUAAGACAUUCCCUUAUUGAUAUUCAUUCCAACACGUCCUAGUCUUUUGCCUUGUAGAAAUGCUUGUGGUUGAAGAGCUUUACACAGAAGCUGUCGUCAGUACUGCGCGGAAAUUGAUUAUAUUGAAUCAGAAAACUUGACUAGGUAAGGUCUAUGUGCAUGAGAAUACUUGGAAAAUCUUCACAAUACUGAGGGCCGGAUCUGCACUCUUUCCUCUAUAUGUGUCUUCAAUAUCAAUGGCUCAAAUACAUGUGUUAUGGUCUUUUAAUAUAAAAUACCAUUAUCUCAUGCGUUAUGGUCUUAUCCUUGUAUUCUUAAAAACUAUAUAAAAUACCAUUAUCUCUGCUUUUGUAGCUAUUGAAUUCGACUUUCACAACAUAAAUAUUUAUUUAUGUUAAUGUGUAUAAUUUUGAAAAUUAUAUGCAUUGUUAAUGUGUAUUAUUGUCUAAUAUUUGGAUUUUAUUAAUUUACAACUGCUAUAACUUAAGGCCUCUUCAAACAUAAUGUGAGUCCCACCACGUGUUAAAUUUUUUACAUUAUUUUUGAAGGAACUAUAAGUUACAGCAGCUGUAACUUAGCAGCACCUCCAAUAUUUUACUUUACUUCCCCUAAUAUUUUACUUGUACUUUUAUAUCUUUACAAAACAAUACCAACAAGACAAUAAUGUAUGAAAUAAAUAAAUAAAGAACUGACAACGAAAUUAGGCCUAUCAUUAAUUUCUCGUGGCGUGAACUCUUGACAAUUCUCCCAUAUCCCACCUGAAGCUCUCGCGUGGUGUGAACGCUUGACGAUUCUCCCAUAUCCCUCCAAAAAUUUGUCAUAUUACGAAAAGCAAUGUCAAUUCAAUGUCGUCUCCAUUAAUCAUAGUGGCAGAUAGGACUAGAAUUUGUUGAAACCCCCGGACUUAUUUUUCCUUUUGAAAAUAAUUUUGUAGAAUCUCAUAUCGUGAAUAACAGACAAUGAGACUCUUUUUUUUAACUAUAAUAUUUUUUUUUAAAUUAUUAACUAAAAAAAUAAUUUUAAUAUUUUUAUAAUAAAUAUAAGUAGGAUAUUAAAAUAAAUAUAAUAAUAUUUAUAUAUUAAAAUAAUUUCAAUACCAAAAAAUAUUUUAAUAUUUUACAAUCUCGUAUUCUAUUAAACCAAAUUAUAAUAAAUAGAGACAUAAUAUUCAAAUAAAUAUAUAAAAAUUUAAAUUAUUUUCAACAUCAUAUAAAAUAACUUUAAUAUUAUUAAAACAUGAGAAAUAUUAUAUUAAUUAUAAAAACUAUUUAACCCAAGGAUUUGUUUAAAAUUUUUAUAAUAAAUAUAUUAUUAAAAUAAAUAUAUUAAAUUACAUUUUAAAAAUUAAUUAUUUAAAUUAUACAUACUAGUCUACUAGAAAAUUUAAACUAUUUAAAUCAUAUAUACAUUUAGUAAAAAAUUUUGAAGUCAUUUUUUUUUAUGUGGCUACCAUAAGAGUACUAUAGUCAAAAAGGGUAUUGGUGUUCUUUAUUAAAAUUUUGGGGUCUACAUGACUAUUUUCUAAAAUUUUAAGGGUGUCAUUUUAUUUUUGGAAAAAAAUAAAAAUUUCAUUUAAACGGCUAAAAUGGUGAAUGAUGGUUGUCGAAGCCAACAAAAAUAAAUAGAUACUCUAAAUAAAUUGUAUAUAGUGAUUGAGCAGGGUCGUGUCCACAUAGAUCGGUAAUUAUUUAAAUUCUUUUAAAACAUAAAACAUAAAAUGGGGGUUUUGUUGACAAUAAUAAAAAUCAAAGUAAAAAAACGAAUGCAAAUUAAAGUUGGAAUUCAAAUUGGAGAAAGCUCUGGUUGAAGGAAUUAACUCAGCUUGAUUCAACUGCUGAUCAUUGAUUCAAAUAUAAAUUAUUAUUACUUAUGAAUAGACCGGUUAUAGCUACUGAGACCCUCUAAUAGCCAAUCUCUCCUUAAUUAGUCAAUAACCAAGGUACGACCGUUGGUUAUUUUCCUAAUCAAUAGACAACCCUAGAUACGAUCAUAGAAUUUAAUCAAUUGACAGCCUGAAAAACCAGAGAGACCCAAAUCCUAAUCAACAAACACAUACGAUGGUUCAUUUAAAUUAGAUUGUUUAUUCUCACAACACAACUCUUUGCUAUGUUAUUUGUCACAAACAUUAAAAUCUUCAUACGAUGAAUCCUUUAAUUGACAAUAGAUUAAGUUGAUAAUUAAAUAGUGGCCAAUUACCUAAUUAACAAACAUAAUCAUGAAAAUAAUUUAGAGAAUAAACAAAUACCCAAAAAGCAAUAAAAAAAUUAAAGCAUAAGAAAGAUCUCACAGUAGUGAUGAAUCAAAGCUUCAUUAACCUUCAACCAGAAAAAUAGGUUUAGUUCUUCAUAGAGAGAAGAGAAAAGUUUAGAUCUAGGGUUUCUUUCUUUUUCCAAUCUCCCAUUUUUCACAAUAGAUUCCUCCCUUAAAUACUCUCUCUCUCUUCUCAUCUAGAGUUCUAUUUAAAAUAAAAUACUAAUAUCUGAAAUAUUAAAUUCAUAAUUACAAAAAUAACCAAAAAUACAAAACACGUUAAACUAAAAACUGCAGGUCCGUAGUUGACAGCACGCGCCCACGCCUUAUCAACAAAGUUCUUUUGACGCUCAUAAUUUCUCCAAUGGAACAAUCAUCCUUAAACAUCAUCUUGUAACUCAAUUUUUGCACCAAUCAAUAGAAUUGCACCUAUAAAAAUAAAACACAAGUAAAUCACUAUUAUUAAGUACAAAACAUCGAUAUUAAGGGAAGUAAACAAUUCAAAACUAGUGCAUAAACUGCACUCUAACAGUGAAUAGUACAAUGCUACAGUGGGCGUAAAUGGAAGGUAAAAAGCACUCAAAAUGACCAACAGUCUAAUGCCUCAGCAGGGACAUAAGGUCAAAGUUUGUUACAUGUGGUUAGGGCCAUUUAGUCUGUGAGUGGGUCCUGCGUGUCAUUUUUGGGCAUUUCAUCUUCUUUAGCAUUGAAGAUUAAAUGUUGCCGAUAUUUUCAAAAUUUUGGAAGACCCAUCACACUUUUGGAUGGUUGUCAUUAUUUGAUAUUAUCAUUAUAUGACGAAAUAAAAUUGGAUGUAACACUUGUUUCGCGUUGUGUGAACUUUUGACAAUUCCCCCAUAUCCCCCAAAAAUCUUUCGCCAUUUUGGGAAGAUGCCAUUUAUUUUCAUUUUCAUCAUUGAUAGUGGCAGAUAAUGGGUUCGGGGACAUACUAUAAAUUAUUAUGACCCAUGGACUUUUCUAAUUUUUUUCCCUUUGGAUAGUUGUCGUUAUUUGAUAUAAGGAGAUAGAGAUAAAGUUUUUUAAUCAAAUGCCCAUUUUUUUUACCUUUGGAUAGUUGUCGUUAUUUGAUAUAAGGAGAUAGAGAUAAAGUUUUUUAAUCAAAUGCCCAUUUUAUUUAACAUGGAAGAAGAUCUUUAAACUCUAAGUGAGGCUAUCACUUCAACUGAUGCAGCCCUCAAGAAAGAGGUAACAAGUGAUGAGAUAGACUCAUUAUUGUCUAAUCAAAAAAGGACAUCAGUAGAUGUAUCAGGAUCUUAAGUUAGAUUGGAAUUUGAUACAUUGUUGCUGGUAACAUUGGUUCAAACCUUUAAAGCGAGGUUGGAUGCAAAAUGGUUUACACCAAAGAAGUGAUUUAGGAAGUUAAUUAACGUUAUUUUAGAUAAUUUAUAAUUCUAGAAUAUUUAUUAUUUUAUGAUUUUCUAUUUUAGUUUGAGUCAAUUAUGGUAUGUAUCUUAAUCUUUUAUUUCCAUUAUAAUUAUGAUUUAAAUUUUCUUUUUAGGUUAAUUUAGGAAAGUGGAUUUCUUUUAUUAUAAAUAAAGAUGUCUGUAAUAAAAAAAAAUAAAGAUGUCUUGUCAUUAUUUUCAAAACUUCAAGUUCAAUUAUUAAAUAAAACCCCUCUUUUAUAAUUUCCUCUAAGAUUAUUUAUCAAAAUCUCUCUUGUAGAGUCGUUUGGAUUAGAGUGUCAUCUAAUCUCGUAUUACGCGUUAUUAAAAAUCGCAUUGAGUCAUUUGGAUUAGAACAAUAUCUAAUCACGCUUCGAAUAGAGCGUAAGCUAAUUGCAUUGGCUUGGUCCAGUAUUAGAACGAUAUCUAGUGUUUCUUACCCUAUAAUUCUGCUUCCGCUACGCCUCGCUCCAUCAAUUCGUAUCAAAGCGAUUCUAUGCGAAUCACACAUCGUUCCUAGAUACACGAUACCCAUCCAAACCAAAUCCAUCAAAAAAAAAAAAAUUUACAAAUUUGAAAACCCUACCCGUCACAUCAACCUCCACCGCCGCCCACACCGCCGAUCAGCCAGCCAACACCACCACAAACCUCACUAGCCACCGUCGACCAAGCCUCAGUCAUCGCUGCCUCAACGGCCGCUUGAACAGCCGCAAAUCACCAACGCAAACCCGCGGCUCCACCAAGCAACCCACCACCAUUCAGCCACUUUCUCCAUCAGCCACCUCCACCAACAAACUCGCCGGCCUCCGUUGGCCAAAAACCAACCAACUUCAGCCCUUGAUCGCCGCCCGCUGUCACCAGACGAAACGACAACCCACGAGUGCUUCCUACACGCGCCGCCACCAAAACACCUUGUUUUUCCGUCAAUUUACACCACCACCAUAAUCCCUAGCAGUCGGCAACCGUAAAUCCAGUCUUCUGCCACUGUAAGGCCGCCAUAAACCAAAAGCCACAUCACCAAAAUCAACCGCCAAUUCAAGUCGGAUUUCCCCCAAUUCAAGUUGCUGAAUAUAAAAAGGACUCAUGAAAAUUACUAAAGUUUCAAAUAUUGUUAUUCAGCAACCACUUUUAGGUUACAUUAGUUUCAACCCAAAUUUUAUAUAAAUAAUUUAUAACUCCCAUUAUUAUUAUAAAAAAAAUUGUAGCAAUUGUGGUUAUAUCACAUGAAAAAAAAAAAUUCUAAUUAAAGAAAUUGACAUUAUAACUUAAAAGGAUAGUUGCUCUUUUAAUCAUUAGAAUUUAUGUCAAUUAUCCAGCUUAUCAUUGCAUUCUUAAAAACUAUAUACAAUACCAUUAUCUCUGCUUUUGUAGCUAUUGAAUUUGACUUUGACAAUAUAAAUAUUUAUUAGCAACAACUUAAAAUUCAAACAAAUCUAAUAUGUAAUGUAUGAAAUACAAAUAACAAUUAAACAAAUUUUGAUUAUUUAAUAUUAAGAUAUAAUCACAUUAAUAUCAUAAGGAUAUGUGGUACUCAAAUAAUCUUUUAAAAAUCAAACCCAAAUUAUAUAUUAUUAAUAUGUAUUAUUAUCUAAUAUUUAGAUUUUGUUAAGUUACAACUGCUGUAACUUAAGUCUCUUAAAAAAUAUGUGGGUCCCACCACCUAUUAAAUUUUUUACAUUAUUUUUAAAAAAAUUAUAAGUUACAUCAGUUGUAAUGUAAAAGCCCCCCUAAUAUUUUACUUUACUUUUAUACCUUUAGAAAAACAAUAAUGCAUGAAUAAAUAAAGAACUGACAACAAAAUUGGGCCUAUCAUUAGUUUCUCGUGGUGUGAACUCUUAACAAUCCUCCCCUAUCCCACCUAAAGCUCUCGUGUGGUGUGAACGCUUGACAAUUCUCCCAUAUCUCUCCAAUAAUCUGUCAUAUUGCGAAAAGCAAUGUCAAUUGCAAUGUCGUUUCCCAUUAGUCAUAGUGGUAGAUAGGACCAGAAUUUUUUGAAACCCCUGAGGCCCUGAACUUGUUUUUCCUUUUGAAAAUAAGAAAAGGACACCCGUCUGGAGAAAUAAUUUUGUAGAACCUCAUAUCUUGAAUAACGGACAAUAAGAUUUUUUUUAAAUUAGAUAUUUUUUAAAUUUAUUAACUAAAAAAAUUAACUCUAAUAAUUUAUGAUAAAUAUAAAUAGGAUAUUAAAAUAAAUAUAAUAAUAUAUACAUAUUAAAAUAAUUUCAAUAUCUAAAAAUUUUAAUAUUUUACAAUCUCGUAUUCUAUUAAACCAAAUUAUAAUAAAUAGAGACAUAAUAUUCAAAUAAAUAUAUAAAAAUUUAGGUUAUUUUCAAUAUCAUAUAAAAUAAUUUUAAUAUUAUUAAUACAUGAUAAAUAUUAUAUUAAUUGUAAAAUCUAUUUAACCUAAGGAUUUAGUUAAAAUUUUAAAAUAAUUACAAAUAUUUUAUAAAUACAAAUAAAUUAAUUUACAUUUUAAAAAUUAGUAUUGAAAUUUAUUAUUACUUGGACAAAUUAACACCAAAAUUAAUAUCUAUGCAAUUUGUGUCAUUUACUUUUGCUUUGUAAUAUUUUUUAAAUGAGUCCCGAUUGGUUCAUUGGCAGAUAAAUGAGUCGGUUUUUCUGUUUUUAUUUUAUUUUAUUGUUUUUGAAAAUGGUUUUUCUGUUACGAAGCUUCUCAUGGAUGAAUUUUUUUUUUAAUUUGGGUAAUUUUUAAUUGGGUCCUAAUUAUUUCUAGAAAAAAAAUUCAGAGACCAAAAGUUUACUAAAUGAAUGAAUUAAAUCCUUUUAAGUGCAAAUUUAUGUCAUUCAAGCCCUUAACCCAAUUCUUCCGUUAAAAAAAUUAGUGAAAAUGUUAAGUUAAAUAUAAAAAGACAGGUAUACCCUUAUAAUCAUAUUAGUGAUUUAAAAUACAAUUUUAGCCUUGGACAUUAUUUUUUUUUUCAAUCUAACAACCUAUUUAUCAAUUUGAGUAUUUGAAAACACUAAACGAAUAUCUUUCGCCAAUUUUUAUAAAAAUUCAAAUAUAAAGAGUGAAUUAUACAUGAAAAUGUAAUUUGCUAUCCAUAUAAUUUCAUCACAUCAAUAAAAAUAUGAUAAUUGUUAAACUAAAUAACAUAUGUAUUGAAUAUAAUAUUAAAAAAAACACAAUAACAUUCGGUCUAAAAAUGAAAUUAAAAGUAUGAAAGUCAAUUAAAUUCAAACUAACAAAUACCUUAACAAUACUAAAGUAAACUGAAAUUUAAACACAAAAAAUAGUUAAUUGUCUUCUGAACUCUAUAAUGGAGAAUUAAAUGCCAACCCAAGGUGAAAUUGUACUAUCCUACUCCCUGUUAACUAUGAUAAGUUCUUCAUUUUGAGGUUGAGGUACAAUCCACAAUAGUUGUGUAUACAGUCCCACUAGUUGAGUGACAUUGAUUGAAGCCUAACUAGCUUGUUUUGGAACUAUUGCCAAUUGAUUGUUCAUUGACAUCUACUUCUUGAGAUUGUGGGUUAGUUUCAUGCUAUUCAAAAAAGAAAAAAAAAACAUCAAUUUCAUUAAAUAAAAAAAAAAGAAUCAAUCUAUUCAAUAUAAUUCCACAAUCAAAUCAAACAUAUAUAGCUAGUCAUGUUUUAUUAGCUGCAUACACAUCACUAGGAUCACCAAGUUAUUAAUCCAUUUGAUAACAUAACAAAAAAAAAUAUAAUGAGAUUCAAUUACAAAAUCAGACCUGUGUGGUUGAUGAAGUGAUAUCACUUGCCUGUGCACAAAAAAAAAAUCACCAAGUUUUAAGCAAUUUAAUGAAAAAGAACAAAAAACAAUCCUUUAGAAUUAAAUUUUCAAAAUCAUAUUAAACACGUCCACUUGAUUAAGUCUUAUUUCUUCCUUACACACAACCAAUAUCACCAAGUUUUAAGCAAUAUCUAGUGCAAAAGAAAAAAAAUCCUUUUGAAUUUAAUUAUAAAAUAUAAUUAAAUUAAACCAAUGCACUUGAUGAAGUCCUAUUGCUUCCCUGCACAACAUGAAGAUCAAUAUUUGUUAACUUCACCAAACGAAAUUUAAAAAACAAAAAUGACUCUUAUAUUAUACCUUUAUGGUUCUUGUGGUUUUUGGAAAAUUAGGGCAGCCCCUUUUGUUGUGCCCAAGAUGUCUGCAAGCACCACAUUUGAUAAUAAACCGUUUAUUAGUUAGUUUGGCCUCACCAAUGUCUUUUGUUCUUUUCUUUUUCGGUCUACCAACUGGAGCCUUUAUGUAAGGUGGUCCAACCUUCACAGGCACCACAACAUCAGGUGAAGGUUCAUCUUCCACUUUAGGCCAUGCACACUCAUAAGGAAUAGGAUUUAUAGUCCCUAUGUAUGUCAUCAUAAAAAAUUCAUUGGUCAGAUAAUGAUGCACAUAAUCUUCACGUUGCCCUCCUUUAUUAAAAAUAGCAGCUACUGAAUGUUUGCAAGGCACUCCACUAACUUGCCACAUCUCACAUUCACACGUACCAUCUAUAAUAUGUACUAGGAAAUUUCUAUAGCCAUCUUGACAACAUUCAAACAACUCCUCUCUACCUCCAAAGACCUUAAUUCUCCUUGUCUCAUUUGAGGAUUGAUUUGGUCUGUCUCUAGCAUAUGGGGUCAAACGGUCUUGCCAAGUUUCCCCUUGUUGAUAUUUUUCCAAUAUUCUCACCAUUAGUUGUCUACGAAUAUGCUCAAGAAUGGUUAGGACAAGCUUGUCCCUAACCUCAUCCACCCACUUAUUAAAAGAGUCAAUCAUGUUGUUUGUAACAUGGUCAAAUUUCACAUGGUGAUCAAACCCGCUUCUAGACCACUGUGCAGAUGGUAUUUUUCUCAACUAUUCACAACAAUUUUAGUCUUUAGCCCUAAUUUGACUCAUUGCCCUCUCAAAGUCAUACUGAUUUACAGCCCUAUAAGCUUUCCAAAAUAACCCCAUGACAUUCAAACCAGGAAACUUACACUUCAAAUUGGCAAAGAUAUGCCUAGCACAAUAUCUAGUACUAGCAUUAGGCUAAUAUUUUUCCAGUCCCUAUAAAAGACCUUUUUGUCUAUCACUAAUAAUAGUCACAUGCCUAUGAUCAUCAUCCCUAAUGAAUUCCUACAGCAAAGAUAAAAAAUAACCCCAACUAUCAUAGUUCUCUGCCUCACAUAUGCAAAAAGCCAGCGGAAAAAUUCCACUAUCAACAUCUAAUGCAACAACAAAUAACAAUACUCCCUUGUAUGGCCCCUUCAAGUGACACUCAUCCAAUCCUAUGAAAGGUCUACACCCAGUUAGGUACCCCACUUUAAGUGUAGGAAAUGACAAAAAAAAAAAAAAACUUUGAAAACCUAGGCUAUUUGACUAUGGCCUAUCAACCUUUACCUUGACACAAGCACCUUUAUUCAUUUUCAUUAGAAUGUGAGCAUAUUUCAAAAGCUUUCCAUAGCAAGUAAUGUGGUCAGCACCUCGGUUUUUUAAUGCAAUUUUUUUGCCCUGUAUAGUUUUUGUUUGUCACAUUCAAUCCCAUGUUUAUCUUUUAACUCACUCCUUAUAACAUUUACACCAACUCCUAGGUUAGUUUGAAUAAGUUCAGCACAACUUUAGCUAUCCAAAGUGCUGUUGCAUCUUUGUUAACUGAUUUAAUAUGGCAAUCAUGUUUCCCUUUAAUAUACCUAACUUUAAAAGUUAUCCCAUCAACCAUCGAUGAAGCAUGAAAUUUCCAAGUUCAUUUUGGAUUGACACAAUAACAAGUAUACUUAACACCAUCAUUUUUAAUCCUAUUUAACUCAAAAUCCUCUUGGAUUGCAUAUUUCACCAUAACCUCUCUUAAUAAUGCAACAGAUUCAAAGGUAUUUCUUACUUUUAGACUAACUGAACCAUUUAGUUUUGGUUUCCACUCAUUAUCAAUAAUGGAUUCAUACAUAUGUGAGAGACCAUUCUCUUCAUCAAAUGAGUGCACUCCGAUAAAGCCAUCCUCACUAAAUUUUUCAAACUUAUCAGUACCCAUACUAACACCUAUAUUGAUAGGACUUUUAGAUCCUAUUACAACACUUUCAUGACAUGAUUGACCACCUAACCCAGUGUGCACCUCAAACUCAAUAACAUGCCAACUAUUAGUAAAGAACUCCUAAAAAACCGAAUACAAUUCACUAUCAUUUGAAAUUAGCUUCCUCUGCCUACUUGUAGUCCAUGGUAACACAACAGAAAUUUCAAUCAAAUCCAUUUCGUUGUGUCCAUAUUUAACCAUGACUUCUAGAAUUUCAUGAAACAACCUAAUACUCUUAUAUUCCUAUGGGUUCCUAUAUCCUAUCUCAUACACUGCCCCAUUAAUUUUAACCAACAAAAAAAAGGUAACAUGGCUACCUGCAUCAAUUUUAAACAAAAGGUAUUGCAUCAAAAAAUGGCUAAACUAAUACAAUUUUAUUUAGCAAAGAAUAAAAAAACUCAACCUAAAUGAAAUAUACAUGUAAUUCAGUUAAAAAAGGUACAAAAGCAAAUUCAAUCUAAUACAUAUAAAAAUAAAAAUUGAAAAGAAAAAAUAACCCAGCAAAUAUAGAGAAUUUAGUCUAAUAUAUAAAAAUUACCACUCAUAAUAACACAUAGAAUUCAAUUUUACAUGAACAAAGAAGCAAAUACAACGAAUUCAAUCUUAUUAAUAUAACGAUACCAAUUAGUUGAAAUGAAAUAUUGUACAUAUACAACAACUCAAGAAAGCAAAUAAAAUAAGCUAAAUAAGUUCAAUAAAUACAUAUAUAAAUAUGGUGUAUUUGUUCUAUUUAUUAUAUAAAGAGCAAAUUAAAAAAAGUAUAUUAAAUACAACAUUCAAUAAAAAAAUCCACCAAUAAUUAAACAUAGUUUGUCAUUUAGAAAAAUAGACUUGAAAAACCUAAUUUUUCACAAAGAUCACUAAAUAUGGAAACAAUUUUUUCAGAAAAUGCUUGCAAAAAUCACUAAAAAAUUAGAGUUACUAACUUUGAAACUCAGGUUCUCUCCAACACUUGAACUCAACCAAUGCUAACAAAUCUUUGGUCAAAAUCACAAUAGAUUUAUACAACAUGUUUUGCGCCAUCCCACGUUCUCUCAAUCUCUCCUCUCACACGAAGAAUACGGCAGUUUCUAUAGUAUUUUUUUUUUUCGUUUGAAAGAACUUUAACUUGGUUAGGUUAAUUGACUUUGCUUUAAACUAUUGCCACCUGUAAGCAAACUAUUGCCACCUGUCAAAAAUAAAAGAAUGAGGAAGGGUUCAAUUGUUCUUUUACUAAAAUGUCCUCAAUGUUGUUAAUAUCUCUAACGGACGAGUUAAGUUAAGGACUUGAAUGACAUUACUUUGUACUUGAAAGGAUUUAAUUGAUUUAUUUAGUAAACUUCUGGUUUUUGAAUUUUUUUCUAAAAAUAAUGAGGGCUUAAUUAAAAAUUACCCUUUAAAUUUUAUAGAUUCUCUGCGAGCGCAGUUAGAAGUACCAAGUUUUGUUAGGUAGAAGGGUAUUUAAGUAAAUCUGCCCACAAUGAAGAAUAGUUCAGAACAGUUGAGGAAGCAUGAGAAUACUUGAGGAAAGCCUGAUAAGAAUUACGGCCGGAUCUGCACCCUUUCCUCUAUAUGUGUCUUCAAUAUAAAUGGCUCAAAUAUAUGCGUUAUGAUCUUUUAAUAUUUCGCCUCUGAUAUUGCCCACAUUGCUUACUGCAACACAUAAAGCACUUCGUUUACCCCAAAUCCUGAUAGGGAAGUAUAAAUAUAUGCUUCCGAAAUAGCGCAACUCUCCAUAAUUAUUUAAUAUGCCUCUCAAUGAAGCAAUCACCUUCAUUUACAACUCUGCGAUUAUUAAUCCUACAUACACGUGUUUCUUUUGUCUCUAAAAGUAUUCUCAAUUAAUUUACAUAAUUUAAUAUAAUAAGUACCUAAGACUAGACAAAUUUUCAUUACAAUAAAAUGAAUAAAUUAUAAUAGUAUUGACACAAUAAUGUCAAUAAUAAAAACUUUAAGAAGCCUAUAAAUUUUAAAAUAUGACUCAGAGUGCUACAAUGAACCACAACAAGUUAUUAUAUGAUCUAUAAUCAAUAUUCUAAUGAUAACAGAGUUCCUCUAUUUUCAAUCCCCUACUUUUCUAUUUAGCGAUUGUCAAAUUUUAUAUCUAAAAUUCUUCUAAUUUUACACUAAGGUUUAUUUUUUUAAAAAAAAAGGGGCAGGAGAAAGAGGCUAGAGAGUAUUAAAAAAUGUCAUUCUAAAUUUUCACUUGAGCGUGGUGUGAUUUUUAUCAUUUUUUAAAAUUGGCCAUUUAUAUUGAGUAAAUAAAAGAAUGAAUAGACGUUUGGACCACUUCUUUUCUGUUAUAAUAAAACAUGAGAUGUCUUCUCUUGAUGCUUUCGUCACAAAAGAAUAUGUUUAUGUCAUCAUAGGCUUAAAUGGGGUAAGUAAAUUAAGAUCGAGGACAAGUUUGUUUAAGCACUAAAGUCGCUAAAUAAAAGAAAGGCUCAUAUAAAAAUUACCUAAAGCACCAAAUAUUGUUAUUCAGCUACUUCUUUUAUGUUACAUUAUUUUCUACGCAAAUUUAUAUAAAUAAUUUAUAACUCCCAUCAUUAUUAAAAAAAAAAAAAACUGUAGCAAUUGUGGUUAUAUCACGUGGUGUGAUUGUUGUGAAAAUUUUAAUAUACUCGCAAGCGCACGAAUCUAGAAAUAGAGUAGUGGUAACGAGGUCGAUCCCACAGGGAUUGAUAAAAAGUCUAAUUUAAAUCUAAAAUUAAUAUUACUCCUAACCUAGUUGAGCAAAUUGAGUUUUUAAGAAAAUUAAACCAAUUAAACUAAGGAAGCAAUUAAAAUAAAAGAGAAUUCAAUAAGAUAGAAAUUACCAAGGUUUCAGAAUCCACCACUAUUCAACUAGUAAUUAUCUAAUUAUUAAUUAAUCCCCAAUUUUAGAGUGACAACUCGAAAUCAAUCUAUGUCAUCUCAUAGAUAUAACAAUUAAGCCCAAGUAAUUAAAUCUAAUGUAGGUUCUUUUUCUGCUUAAUAAUAUGACAUCUAAGCAUCCCAUGUAAACAUAUUGAAUAACAAAGAGUCAAAGUUUUCCUAAGCACUCUAUGUAAACAAUUUAAUGAAAGACAUAAAAUCAAAGAUAAUCAUGUAUAAACUUUAUAGAUCCAAGCAUAGAAUUAAUCGAAUAUUAAUCCUAACAAUCAAUAAUGCAUGACAGAAUUGAUGAAAAGAUUUUAAUAACAUCCAAUUAAUCAUGUGAAAUAAAAACCAUAAUUAUCAAAGAACAUAUAUAGGGAAUUAAUUAAAUAAAAAGAGAUAAUUAUUUCAUUGAAUAGGGUUUCAUCCUUAACCUCAGUAUAAGAGAAUUAGUUAGACAUACUUGAAUUGGGAACAACAAAAAAAAUAAAAUCACCCAUGGAAACCGAACUGCUGCUGCCCAACCUUGCGUCUUGCGUCUGCCGAAUUCUCCUUCUCCUUUCGUUUCUGUCCAGCAGCUCCCUUUUAUAUUGCUUGGCCACGGAAUCCUAUUGUGAUUCUAAUAACUAAACCAACUCUUACAAGCUAAAGCUCUAAGCUUGCCACGUAAUUGAAAACAAUAAAAGCCAAAAGCUAUUGAUUUCCUUCCUUUAUUCUACUUUGACUUUCCAUUCAAAGGCUUAAUUAAAAGCUUUGUUUUUAUGUGCUGCCCACUUUAGCUUUAACUUUCAUCUUUGUUUGCACGAGCAUGGAGAAUUCAAUUUAUUGGAUUCGGCUUCUUCCACAUGCACGUAUGUCUAAUUGGUUCCAAAUCAAUUAAUCUUUAAUGCUUACAAAUUGAACUCCUUUAUGCUCUUUUUAUCCAUAAUCUCCAAUUAAUUCCCUAUUCAAUAAAAUAAUUCAAUUAAUUAAAAAUAACAAAUAAAAAUAACUAGCAAUUAAAUAAUUAAGGGUAAAAUAUGUAUAUAAAUUAUGCUCAUCAAAUACCCCCAAACUUAGAUUUUGCUAGUCCUCGAGCAAAACUAAAAAAAAAAAAAAACAAAAAUAAAAAUAAUGAAACAAAAAGUAAAUCCGAACUAAACCACUUUCGCAGGUAAUCGCGAUUGCAUUUAGCGUAUGCAACAAGCCUUUAAACCCCUAGGCGGCCCUAGUGGACGAGUUAUAGUCUCGUGAGGGCUUCAGUGAUGAUACCCACAAACAUCAUUUUUCAAAGAAUUAAAAUAAAAAUAAAAUGAAAAGAACAACAAGCUUUAAACAAAACAUGAAGAUAGCCUCAAAGAUUGCAUAAAUUAUAUAGCUCAAAGAAAAUUUCAAAUAUUGGCAAAGUUCUAACUUUAAUUCAAUAAUCAAUCCCAUCUCUCUUUCGAUUCUUGUAGUGUGUGUGUGUGAAAUCAAUUCAAUCAAAUCCAUUCCCAAAAUCCUCAAUAUCAAUAGCCUUCGCCUCAAACAAAGAAAAGAGUAGAUCAAACUAAUCUUAUCAUCUUGAUCUCCAAUUUUUUUUUUCAGGCUUUUAUGUGCAUUUUCUUUUGAUUUUUUUUUUUUAGCACAUGCACUUGAUUUUUUUUUCUUUUCCUUUUCUUUUUUUUUUGUUUUUUUUUCUUAACCAUAGUCAGGAGCUUUCACUCUACCCCUUAAGGUAGCCUUCUUCUCAUGGUAGAUUAUCCUCUACAUACUUGUGGUACAUAGGCCCAAAUUACUCAAGGAUAACUUCACUCUUAAGGGUUAUAGGUAGCUAUUUCUGACUUUGGCGCCUGUGUAUACUAAUUUGUAUUGUGGAGAUAAGAAUCAAGACAAACAGUCAUUUACUCUAUCUAAAAUUCUCAACUCAGGCUGUGUCAAUUUCAAAUUUCAAGCCAAAAUUAUAAAAGAACUGAUAUUAGUGCUCAUAGUUUAAAGAAUCUCAAUCAAGAGGAAUUAACACAAGAAUCAAGUAUAAACUAAGACAAUAUUCAACCCUUUCUAAAAACCAUAUUCAUUGUCAAUCAAGUUCUUAUCAUUGGCUUUUCACAUAAAAACAAAAAGAAAAAAAAAAACAAAACAUUUUUUUUUGAAUUUUUUUUAAUAACAAACAAAACACACGCUAUUCCCACCCCUAAAUUUAUUCGGAACAUUGUCCUCAAUGUUUCAUAAACAAAAGAUAUGCAUGCAAACAAAUGAAAGAGAAAUAAUAAUAAUAAUAAUAAUAACAAUAAUAAUAAACAUAAAUAAUAAAAAGAAAGUUGGAGAGAACACACCUGGAUGGGCUGGGAAAGCUUAAAAGAAAAUGCCAAAUGAAAAGAAAACAUUAAAAUAUAUAUAUAUAUUAGAAAAGAAAAUAAAUAAAGAAAAGAAAACCGACUAUUAAAAUAAAACAAGAGUGUAAAGAUGAACUUAAUUAAUCCUGAUAAACAGGAUCAUCUAAAAGUAUCUCCUCAACUUCUGGUGUUUUUAAUUCUAAAAAUGGUUUUAAUCUUUGACCAUUCACCUUAAAUAAAUCACCAUUUUUAGGAUUUUCAAUUUCAAUUGCUCCAUAAGGGAAGAUAGUACGAACUAUAAAAGGAUCAGACCAUCGAGAACGUAACUUACCUGGAAAGAGAUGCAAUCGGGAAUUAUAUAAAAGUACUUUCUGACCUGGUGUAAAGGCUUUUCUCAAAAUAUGUUUGUCAUGAAAGACUUUCAUUCGCUGUUUAUAAAUCUUGGCAUUCUCAUAUGCAUCAUUCCUGAUCUCUUCAAGUUCUGCUAGUUGUAAUCUUCUCUUGGACCCAGCUUGCUGCAUGUCAAAAUUGAAUUUCUUGAUAGCCCAAUAUGCACGAUGCUCCAACUCUACUGGCAGAUGACAUGCUUUUCCAUACACAAGUCGAUAAGGUGACAUCCCAAUUGGUGUUUUAAAAGCAGUUCUAUAUGCCCACAAUGCAUCAUCAAGUCUCAAAGACCAAUCCUUUCUAUCUGGCCUAACUGUUUUCUCUAGAAUCUGCUUGAUCUCUCUAUUAGAAAUCUCUACUUGGCCACUGGUUUGAGGAUGAUAUGGGGUGGCAACCUUAUGUGUAAUGGAAUAUUUGUCCAAAAGAGUUUUGAAAGGUUUAUUACAAAAAUGGGUACCACCAUCACUAAUGAUUGUUCUAGGAAAACCAAAACGAGACAGAAUAUUACUCUUCAAGAAUUUCACUACAACCCUAUGAUCAUUGGUUUUGCAUGGAAUAGCUUCAACCCACUUCGACACAUAGUCCACUGCAACCAAUAUAUAUUGAUAACCAAAAGAUGGAGGGAAAGGUCCCAUGAAAUCAAUACCCCAUACAUCGAAGAUCUCAACCACAAGAAUAGGAUUGAGUGGCAUCAUGUUCCUCUUUGAAAUGCUACCCAUACGUUGGCACCUAUCACACAAAGAACAGAAAACAUAAGCGUCAUGAAAAAGAGUAGGCCAAUAAAAACCACACUGUAAAAUUUUUGUUGCUGUCUUUUUAGCACUAAAGUGGCCUCCGCAAGCUUGUUCAUGGCAAAAUGAGAUAACACUUUGAAUUUCAUUAUCGGGAACACAUCACCUAAUAAUCUGAUCAGCACAAUAUUUAAAUAAAUAGGGAUCAUCCCAAAAGAAGUCUUUCGCUUUAGAUAAGAACUUUGUUCUAUCUUGCUUAGUCCAGUGCUCUGGGAUUUGACCUGUAGCAAGGUAAUUAACUAUAUCAGCAAACCAUGGUACAACAUUUACACUCAUAAGUUGCUCAUCUGGGAAAGACUCAUUCAAAGGUAAAGAUUCUGGAAUAAAUUUAAGAUCAAGGCGAGAUAAAUGAUCCGCCACAACAUUUUCAGAACCUUUUUUAUCUCUAAAUUCAAUGUCAAAUUCUUGUAAAAGCAACACCCAACGAAUCAAUCUUGCCUUAGCAUCUUUCUUAGUAAACAAAUAUUUUAAAGCAGCAUGAUCAGUAAAAAUAAUCACUUUACAACCUAUAAGAUAAGAUCUGAAUUUAUCAAGUGCAAAUACCACAGCUAGCAUUUCUUUUUCUAUAAUUGAAUAGUUCAACUGUGCAUCAUUGAGUGUCAUACUAGCAUAAUAAAUCACAUAAGGCACACGAUCUAAUCUUUGUCCUAAAACUGCUCCUACAGCAUAAUCAGAUGCAUCACACAUAAUUUCAAAAGGCAAAUCCCAAUUAGGUGGCUGAAUGAUAGGUGAAGAAGUCAAUAAUUUCUUAAGGUUUGCAAAAGCAUCAAGACAAGAUUCAUCAAAGAUAAAAGGUGCAUCCUUAACAAGUAAAUUGCAUAAGGGUCUAGAAAUUUUACUAAAAUCUUUAAUGAAUCUUCUAUAAAAACCAGCAUGUCCAAGGAAAGAUCUUACUUCUUUUACGGAUUUGGGAUGUGGAAGAUUAGAAAUUAAAUCCACCUUAGCUUUGUCGACUUCUAUACCUUUGCUAGAAAUUAUAUGACCAAGAACAAUACCUUGUUUUACCAUGAAGUGACACUUUUCCCAAUUUAGAACCAAGUUCUUUUCUUUACAUCUCUGCAAAACUAAUGUUAGAUGCUGCAAACAUUCAUCAAAAGAAUCUCCAUAAACAGAAAAAUCAUCCAUGAAUACUUCAAGAAAUCUCUCAACCAUAUCAGAAAAAAUACUAAGCAUGCAUCUUUGAAAAGUAGCAGGUGCAUUGCAUAAACCAAAUGGCAUUCUCCUAUAUGCAAAAGUUCCAAAUGGACAAGUAAAAGUAGUUUUCUCCUGGUCCUCUGGAGCUAUAGGGAUCUGAUUAUAACCUGAAUAUCCAUCUAGAAAACAAUAAAAAUCAUGACCUGCAAGUCUAUCAAGCAUUUGAUCAAUAAAUGGAAGAGGAAAAUGAUCUUUUCUUGUGAAUGAAUUUAAUUUUCUAUAAUCAAUGCAAACACGCCAACCUGUAGUUACUCUAGUGGGAAUUAAUUCAUUAUUAGCAUUAGUAACUACUGUAACACCAGAUUUCUUAGGAACAACUUGCACAGGGCUAACCCAAGAGCUAUCUGAAAUAGGAUAAAUAAUUCCUGCAUCUAAUAAUUUGAUUACUUCAGCUCUUACCACUUCUUUCAUGUUAGGAUUUAGCCUACGUUGCAUUUCCCUAAUAGGUUUAGCAUUUUCUUCAAGAUGAAUACGAUGCAUGCAAUCUACUGGAUUAAUACCUUUAAUAUCAGCGAUGGUCCAUCCUAUUGCCUCCUUAUGCUCUUUUAGAAUAUCUAACAAUUUACCUUUUUGCUCAAGAUCGAGGGAAGAAGAAAUAAUAACAGGUAGAGUGUCAGAUUCUCCCAAGAAUGCAUAUUCCAGAGUGUCAGGCAGUGCUUUGAGUUCCAAUUUUGGUGGUGCCUCCGCAGAUGGGCCAAUUUUCUUCUCAGAAUGAGGCAGUAGUUCUGACUUUGUCUUCCAUUUAAUUGUGUCCGUAAUUAGAGGUGCAUCAAGUAAAGCGUUGAUUUCUGCAAUUGCACUGUCAUCAUUAAAAGAUAAAUCAGAAUGAGUUAGACAUGCCUCUAAUGGAUCAUCAUUAUGGUUAGAAAUGAAUGAAUCUUCUACUAAUUCCUCUAUCAUAUUCGCUUCAACAAAUUCAUCUUCUUCUUGUGGCUGCUUGGUAACAUUAAAAAUAUUCAAUUCCAUGGUCAUAUUACCAAAAGAUAACUUCAUGUUUCCAUUCCUGCAAUUAAUAAGAGCAUCAGCUGUAGCUAAGAAAAGGACGACCUAGAAUAACUGGGGUGUGUUUCUUAGGAUCAUGUACAUGCUGAAUAUCAAUAACAAUAAAAUCAACAGGAUAAUAAAAUUUAUCAAUCUGUAUCAACACAUCCUCUAUAAUACCACGAGGUAUUUUCAUUGAUCUAUCAGCAAGUUGCAAAAUAAUAGGAGUUGAUUUUAACUCACCUAAUCCAAGUUGCAUGUAAACAGAAUAAGGCAAGAGAUUAACACUAGCACCCAAAUCCAAUAAUGCUUUAUCAAAACAUUGGUUUCCUAUAACACAUGAGAUAGUAGGAGAACCUGGAUCCUUAAAUUUUGGUGGCAUUUUACAUUGGAGUAAGUUGCUAGUUUGUUCAGUUAAAAAUGCCUUUUUAGUGACAUGUAAAUUUCUCUUUUUCGUGCAUAAAUCUUUUAAAAACUUUGCAUAUGAAGGAACUUGCUUAAUAGCAUCGAGUAAAGGGAUGUUUAUACUUACCUGUUUGAAUAUUUCCAUAAUCUCACCUGUUGAAGUCCCUUUCUUUACCUUUGUUAACCUUUGAGGAAAAGGAGCCUUGCGAAUGUAAGCUGGCGGGCCACUCUCUUCUGGAUCAUUUGUUGAUGAGUCUUGUGAUGGAACUGGAUCUGAAGAAGUAGGCUCAGAUGUCUUCCUUGUUUGAACCUCUACUUUGUUGUCAAAUAAUUUUCCUCUUCUCAAGGUCAUAAUAGAUUUUGCUUCUUCAUGCUGAUGGCUCGAACUCGAUCCAACUUCAUGCACUCCUUUAGGAUUGGGAAUUGAUUGACUUGGGAAUUUUCCUUUUUCUCUCUCAGCUACAGUAGUUGCUAAUUGACCCAAUUGAUGUUCAAGUUUUAGAAUAGCUUGAGUGUUUGACUGAAAAGCUUGUUGGGUUGACUGAAUGAAACUUUGAAGUGUAUCCUCUAAAGAAGGCUUUCUUUGUUGGGGUGCAACAAAUUGAGACAUAGGUUGUUGGGCAUGAGGAUGUACUUGGUUAGGAGGGACAAAUUGUUGAUUGGGCAUGUUAAAUUGUUGCCCUCCUUGGUUUGACAAAGGUUGAUUUUGUUUCCAAGAAAAAUUAGGGUGAUUCCUCCAAUUAGGAUUAUAUGUGGAUGAAUAUGGACUAUUGGAGGUUUUCUCAUAUGAUUGUAAGGCAUGUACCUGCUCAGAAUAAGCAUCUGGAUAGACUGGUAAUGAUGGACAAUUUUGUGCUGUAUGAGACAAGUUAGAACAAAUAGCACAAACCUCAUUAGCUACACUAGGAUGAUGAUUUAUGGAUUGGUUCAUAACUAAGGCAUCUACUUUCCUAGAAAGUGUAGCUAGAGUGGAUUUCAUAUCUAAAUCAUCCUUAACUUCAUAUAGCCCCUUUCUAGAAACUUGAGAUGAUUUUUCCCUUUGAUUUGAAAAAUCCCACUGUUGAGAAUUUUCAGAAAGUGAAUUAACGAAAUCCCAUGCUGCCCCUUCAUGUAAGUUCAAAAAUCUCCCACCAUUCAUAGAUUCCACCAUAUGACGAUUCGACAUGGUUAAACCGUUAUAAAAGCAUUGUAUAAGUCUCCAUUUCUCAAAACCAUGAUGGGGACACUUAAGGAGUAAAUCAUUAAAUCUUUCCCAACACUCAUAAAAUUGCUCACCAUCUCUUUGAUAAAAAUCACUUAUCUCUCUCCUAAGGGCAUUUGUUUUAGACAUAGGGAAAAACUUGGUGAGAAACUUAUUACUCAAUUCAUCCCACGUAGUAAUAGACCCAGCAGGAAGUGAAUUCAACCAAGCUUUUGCUUUGUCUUUUAAUGAGAAAGGGAACAUACGAAGCCUAAUUGACUCAUCAUUAAAAUUUUGAAAACGAAAUGUAGAGCAUAUGUCAAGAAAUUCCUUAAUGUGCAAAUAUGGAUCCUCUCUCUCUAACCCAUGGAAGGAUGGCAAAAGUUGAAUGACAGAGGGCUUAAGUUCAAAGUGUGUUGCUGUAGUUUGUGGCAACACAAUACAAGAUGGUUGGUUGGCUGCAAGUGGUGAAAAAUAUUCUCUAAGGGUUUUCUCUGCUUGCACUGGUGGGAGUAUUGGCAAUAGUCUAUUUGGGUCAUCCAUCACUUCUAAAGAACUAGUUUGACUACUAUCAAUUUUUGACUCUCUUUUAACCAAACGAUUUGUUGAAUCACGUUCCCAAACACUCAUAAACUAACUAGACAAGGAAAGAAAGAGAAAUAAAAUAAAAUAAACCAACAAAAAUGAGAAUAAACGAAAUUUAAAAAUAAAAGAAAUCAAACAACCAAACAAUGAAUUUAAAAUAAAAUAAAAUUAAAAUUAAAAUUAAAAGUUUUUUUUUGUGUUUUUUUUUAAAAAUAAAAAUUGAAUAAAUAAAAUAAAAGACAACCUAAAUUAUAACUAGUGGAAGAAUCAAAUUAACCUAGAUUAAACUGACUUUCUAGCACAAUCCCCGGCAACGGCGCCAAAAACUUGAUGUGAAAAUUUUAAUAUACUCGCAAGCGCACGAAUCUAGAAAUAGAGUAGUGGUAACGAGGUCGAUCCCACAGGGAUUGAUAAAAAGUCUAAUUUAAAUCUAAAAUUAAUAUUACUCCUAACCUAGUUGAGCAAAUUGAGUUUUUAAGAAAAUUAAACCAAUUAAACUAAGGAAGCAAUUAAAAUAAAAGAGAAUUCAAUAAGAUAGAAAUUACCAAGGUUUCAGAAUCCACCACUAUUCAACUAGUAAUUAUCUAAUUAUUAAUUAAUCCCCAAUUUUAGAGUGACAACUCGAAAUCAAUCUAUGUCAUCUCAUAGAUAUAACAAUUAAGCCCAAGUAAUUAAAUCUAAUGUAGGUUCUUUUUCUGCUUAAUAAUAUGACAUCUAAGCAUCCCAUGUAAACAUAUUGAAUAACAAAGAGUCAAAGUUUUCCUAAGCACUCUAUGUAAACAAUUUAAUGAAAGACAUAAAAUCAAAGAUAAUCAUGUAUAAACUUUAUAGAUCCAAGCAUAGAAUUAAUCGAAUAUUAAUCCUAACAAUCAAUAAUGCAUGACAGAAUUGAUGAAAAGAUUUUAAUAACAUCCAAUUAAUCAUGUGAAAUAAAAACCAUAAUUAUCAAAGAACAUAUAUAGGGAAUUAAUUAAAUAAAAAGAGAUAAUUAUUUCAUUGAAUAGGGUUUCAUCCUUAACCUCAGUAUAAGAGAAUUAGUUAGACAUACUUGAAUUGGGAACAACAAAAAAAAUAAAAUCACCCAUGGAAACCGAACUGCUGCUGCCCAACCUUGCGUCUUGCGUCUGCCGAAUUCUCCUUCUCCUUUCGUUUCUGUCCAGCAGCUCCCUUUUAUAUUGCUUGGCCACGGAAUCCUAUUGUGAUUCUAAUAACUAAACCAACUCUUACAAGCUAAAGCUCUAAGCUUGCCACGUAAUUGAAAACAAUAAAAGCCAAAAGCUAUUGAUUUCCUUCCUUUAUUCUACUUUGACUUUCCAUUCAAAGGCUUAAUUAAAAGCUUUGUUUUUAUGUGCUGCCCACUUUAGCUUUAACUUUCAUCUUUGUUUGCACGAGCAUGGAGAAUUCAAUUUAUUGGAUUCGGCUUCUUCCACAUGCACGUAUGUCUAAUUGGUUCCAAAUCAAUUAAUCUUUAAUGCUUACAAAUUGAACUCCUUUAUGCUCUUUUUAUCCAUAAUCUCCAAUUAAUUCCCUAUUCAAUAAAAUAAUUCAAUUAAUUAAAAAUAACAAAUAAAAAUAACUAGCAAUUAAAUAAUUAAGGGUAAAAUAUGUAUAUAAAUUAUGCUCAUCAGUGAUCUUUUGACAAUUCUCCCACAUCCCACCAAAAACUCUCACGCGGCAUGAACUUUUGACAAUUCUCCCAUAUCCCACCAAAAAUUUGUCAUAUUGCGAAAGGCAAUGUCAAUUGCAAUGUCAUUUCCAUUAGUCAUUGUGGCAGACAAUGGAGGUCCCGAGAUAGGACUAGAAGUUUUUGAAACCCUGAACUUAUUCUUACUUUAUUUUUUCUUUUGAAAAUGAGAAAAGGACACUUGUUUGAGGAAAUAAUUUUGUAGAACCUCAUAUCGUGAAUAGGGGAUAAUAAGACUUUUUUUUUUUUACUUUACUGCAAUACUCUGUAAUUUUAUUAAUUUUAUAUUUUAUAAUAAAUAUAAAUGUGAUAUUAAAAUAAAUGUAAUAAUAUAUACAUAUUAAAAUAAUUUGAUAUUGAAAAACAUUUUAAUAUUUUACAAUCCCAUAUUAUAUUAAACCAAACUGUAAUAAAUAGACAUAAUAUUAAAAUAAAUAUAUAAAAGUUUAAAUUAUUUUGAAUAUCAUAUAAAAUAAUUUUAAUAUUAUUAAUAAAUUAGAAGUAUUGUUGAGGUUAUGGGGCCCCAACAAUUCUUCUUUGCGCUUGUGGGUGUAACAUCCUUCUGUGUAAUUCCAUUGAGGUGGCAGUAAGGUUACCUAGGGCGUAACUGCCCGGCCCAUUGGCACAAUUACAAAUGUGUGCAGCCCCUCAUGUCCAUCCACCGCUUAGUGUGGGGCUCUGCGCUUCCAUUGUAUAAGAAAAUAAAGUUGCACCUUGGCUAUCAGCUUAAGCUUUUAGCCCAAUGGUAAGCGCUUGAUCCUAACAAGUAUUACAUUAAUUGUAAAAUCUAUCUAAUCCAAGGAUUUAUUUAAAUUUUUUAUAAUAAAUUAAAAAUAUAUUAAUUAACAUUUUAAAAAUUAAUAAUGAAAUUAAUUAUAUAAGUUAUACAUAUUAGUCUACUAGAAAAAUUUAAACUAUUUCAAUCAGAUUUAUAUUUAGUGAAAAUUUUUGAAGUUAAUGUUUUUGGUUAUCAUCUACUAAGAAUCUUGUAGUUAAAAGGGGUAUUGACAUUCUUUAUUAAAAAAUUGAGGUCUACAUGACUAUUUUUUAAAUUUUAAGGGUGUCAUUUUAUUUUUGAUGAAAAUAAAAUUUCAUUUAAGUGGCUAAAAUGGUGAAUAAUACAAUGUUACAACUGGCAUAAAUGGAAGGUAGGAAACAAUCAAAAUGACCAAUAGUCUAACGCCACAGCAAGGACAUAAGGUCAAAAAUCCCCUUAUUAAUUAGUAAAAGAGAGUCCUUUGUGCUUAUAAAUAGUAAGGGCGGGCAAAAUCGGAUACAGAUCAAAUUCGGAUUAAUCUGAUAAAUUUCAGAUUGUUUGAAUUGAUAAAAAAAGUCAUCCAAAUGUAAUCUAAACUUUUGUAUGUGUAUAUAUACAUACUUGUUAUAAAUUAAAGUUGCAAAAGUCUUUAAGCAAGGCCAUUCAUAGUAAGUUUCAAAUUUUUAGGUUAAUUAUGUAACUUCAUUAUGCGGGCCAUGCAUAAAGCCCGUAGGUCUAGGCGGGACUGACCUGAGUUUUUUUACCAAUCCUACACAUGACGGGAGGUGUUAGGAAUAACAUCCCGCAUCAAUUGAGUAUUGAACUUGGGUUCAGUAUAUAAGAUUUGGACAACUCUAAACUCUUGAGCUAACUUACUAGUUUUUGGAUUGAGUUAAGCCUGUACGCUGCAAUAUUACAAAUUAGUCUUUCGUUACCAUUACUUAUUUUUUGUAUUGUUUAAAAUUAACACAAUAAAUGACCUUUCAUCCCAAAAGAACUAAAGUAAUCAUUUCGCAUUGUUACGGCCGUAUCUACACUCUUUCCUCUAUAUGUGUCUUCAAUAAAUAUAUGCGUUAAUGAUCUCUCAAUAUUUCGCAUCCGAUAUUGCCCACAUCGCUUACCACAAUAUAUUCACUUUACAAACAGAGUUUGCAACCCAAUUACUAAUAGAGGAAUAUAAAUAUGUACUUGUCAAUGAAGCAAUCACCUUUAUUUAGAAAUUUUUUAUUAUUAAUCCUACGUACACACACUUCUUUUGUCUCCAAAAAUAUUCUUAAUUAAUCCACACAAUUUAAUAUAAUAAAUACCUAAGAUUACAUAAAUUUUCAUUACAAUAGAAUAUAUAAUUUAUAAUAUUAUUGAUACAAUGAUGCCAAUAAUAAAAAUCUUAUAAACCUUACAAAUUUUAGAAAAUGGCUUAGAGUGUGAUAGGUUGAAUGAACCACAACAAAUCAUUUUCAUUAUAGUACCUAUGAUCAAUAUUCUAAUACAAAUUUUACAUUUCCCUAUAUUUUCUGUUUGGUGAUUGUCAAAUUUUAAGUCUAAAAUUUUUCUAAUUUUACCGUGAGGUUUAUGUUUUAAAGAGAGAGAGAGAGAGAGAGAGAGACUCAAAGAGAAAUAAAAAAUGUAAUUCUAAAAUUUUACUUGUGCAUUGUGUGAUUUUUACCAUUUUUGCAGUUGGCCAUUUGUAUUGAAUAAAUAAAAUAAUAAAUAGACUUAUGGACCACUUUUUUCUGUUAUAAUAAACAUCAGAGGUCCUUUCUUGAUGUUUUCAUUCCAUAUGAAUAUAUUAUAAUUUUAUUGAUACAGUAAUGUCAAUAAUAAAAAUCCUAACAAACAUACAAAUUUUAGAAUAUGGAUUAAAGUGUUACAAGUUGAGGGGAUCACAAGUUAUUUAUACUGUAAUGUCUAUGAUCAGUAUUUCAAUGAUAUCAAGGUUUCCCCUGCAAUUUUUGUUUGGUCAUCGCCAAAUUUUGUAUCUAAGAUUUUUCUAAUUUUACACGACAUUUAUUUAAAAAAAGAAAAAGAGAAAGAGAGACGCGGAGAGAAUUAAAAAUGUAAGUCUAAAUUUUCGCUUGUGUGUUAUGUGAAUUUUACCAUUUUUAAAGUUGGCCAUUUGUAUUGAAUAAAAAAGUAAUUGUUGAAUCUGGUUCGUUAGCUAUUCUUUGAUCAAGAACCAGAUCCUCCCAAGAUUCUCAGCCAAGAUUAAUCAGGAUGCAAUAUCAGCUUAGAUCAACUUCAGAGAAUCAACUAAACCCAAUAAGACUCGUAACAAAAAGGAUUAAUUACAAACUUAGAAACCAAAACCAGCAAGAAAACCAAUCACACAAAACAGAGCACAAGCUUUAACGUGGUUCAGCCAUUAAUGGCUUACAUCCACGAGUGAAUUCCUCAGACAGCUUUAUUGAAUGAUUCAAGAAGUUUGUUACAGAGAUUCUAAGAACAAGAACAAGUAAGACACUUCCUCUUUGAUUUCCCUCAAUCUCUAUCACGCACGAUUACCUCCAAACCAGAAGGCUGCAGCUUAUAUACCAGUCUUGUAACAGCUCUAACAACCCAGAUUGCACAGCUCCUUGACACGUGUACUAUGGGUCUGUUAUUUAACGAACUCAGCUUCAGCUAACUAUCACGUGAAGAACCCGUGACUCCACUUAAGUUGAGCAUAUCCAAAACGCACUCAUGUGUUGCCGUUUCGGAACCAGGAUUGGUUGUGCUUCUCACGUGAUCACUUAAAGCUUCUGAACACUACUGGAAACGCUGUCGUUUGCUGGCAAAGGUGUUUGAAUUCACCUUUCAGCCAACAGUAAUGAAUAGACUUAUGGACAACUUUUUUCUAUUAUAAUAAAACAUUUUCUUCCCCUGAUGUUUUUCAUUCCACAAGAAUGUGUUUGUCAUAAGGGGUCCAAAUGGGGUAAAUAAAUUGGGAUCAAGGACAAGUCUGUUUAAGUGUUGAAAUUGCAAGAAGACCUCAUUAAAAAAUUGCCUAAAGCCCCAUUAUUGUUAUUCAACUAUUACUUUCAUGUCACAUUAGUUUCCACACAGACACUUAUACAAAUAAUUUAUAACUCCAUCUUUAUUUGGGAAAAAACUGUAGCAAUUGUUGUUAUAUCACAGGAAAAUUUUCCAAUUAAAAAUAUAAUAAGAAUUAAUUACAAAUUUUUUAAUAAAUAUCAAUAUAAUUUAAUGGUUUAAUUUUUUUGGUAGAUCAAUAUAAUUUAAAAAAUUAAUAGCAGUAUUACUUUUUAAAAUGCAAAUUAUUAUAAUUAUAUUAAUAAUAUAUUUGUAUUUAUUAUAAAAUUUAUUUUAAUAAAAUCUUAAUUUUUUUUAAAUAUUUGUAUAUAUUGUUAUAUUUUGUUAUAAUAUUAUAUUUAUAUUUAUUAAAAUAUAAGAGUCAAUAUUUUUAAAUUAAUUAAGAUAAAAAGUAUUAUAAUAAAAAAAAAUUCUUUUAUUAAAAAUAUAAUCAUUCUCCCAAACUUAUCCUUGUCCCUUUUUGAAAGGAAAAAAUAAAUUAGAAAAGUCUAUGGUCAUGAUAACAUCUAGCCUUGUCCCGUGGGACAUGGCUACGGUGCAGAAGCUGCAAGUAACAGCUUCGAGCUUUCCCAUUUCCAUCACCUUGUAUUGGGACCUCUUUCUCUCUCCUCUAGCACCCGUGGAAGUUCCCCAUUGGCCGCUGUUACUUACAGAAGCCGUAACAUAGACUUCCCCCGUCCCGUGAUGUCCAUUGUCUGCCACUAUGAAUAAUGGCAAUGACAUUGCAAUUGAAACAUUGAAAAGGUAUUUUCGCAAUAUGACAAAGUUUUUGUUAGGAUAUGGGAGGAUGUCAAAAGUUCACACUACGUUCAUUAGCAUUAGAUCUAAUUUUAUUUCGUCAGUUCCUUAUAUAUUUAUUUCAUUUAUUUCAUGGGUCCCUCUAUGAUGCUGUAAUUAUUUUACAGCAUCAAUAGUGUAAGCAAUAUUAACCAUUAGAUUUUAUCAACAAUGUAUAUUAUAUUUAUUAAUAAAAAAAUAACAUAACCGGUUAACAGGGGUGAGCUGUUGGAUCGUGGAGUUGGUAGAAGUAUGCGAAAUUUCAAUGACGACCCCUACAGUUUUAAAAAUUCUCACAUGUUUCACUUGAAUAGCAUAUUCAGAAGAAUAACACAAAAUUUAAUAAAAUAUAUGAUUUCAAUGAAAUAUAUGAACAUGCAUAUGAAACCCACAUUCAUAGAAAUGUUUCAUUAGACUUUUAACGUUUAUCUUACCUAUGUAUCCUAAACCAUUCAUUAUCAACUUUUCGUAAUUUUAUUAAAUAGAAAUUUCAAGCAAAACAAGAAAGAGUGACAAUAUGUAAUUAAUUUGAAGAUUUAAUAUAAAACUCACAAUUGCUAAAAUAGUGCUUAAAUUAUAUCAUUAAUGUUAUAAGAUAAUUUGAUUAUCAUGUAACCAAACUAAUUUCAAAAUUUAUUUUGAAAGCAUGCAAAACUAAUUUCAAAAUCUAUUUUGAGAGCAUGCAAAUGGAUGUAGUCUCCACUAUGUGAUUUUUUUAUUCUAAUUUAUGGCCAUGGGAGAGAAUUGGAAGAUCCAUAUUUGUCCAAUAGUGAAAUAUAAAUAAUAGCCCGUCAAUUUCUCAUGUAGUAUAUUUCAUUGGCUUAUUAGCUUACAAAACUAUAUACAAGUGUUAAACAUUGGACUACUGCAUGAAAUGUCAUGUGAUAUAUUUCAUUUGACCUUAGAUUAAUUAAAUGCCUAUAAAUGGUUUACAACAUUAAUCUAAAAAUUAAUUUUCACUGAUAUUUAUAUGUGACAUAUCAAUUCAUAAUAUAUCAGGGUAAUUACGAUUUUAAUUUCCCUUCUAUUAAUAAAUAGGGGUAGAAAGAAGUACUCAAUAUGUGUGUGUGUGUGUGUGGGGGUAUCAAUUCAUGUCUUAAUGAAUACAAGAAAAAUCACAUCUACUAAUUUAACAUAUGCCUUUCUAUAAUAGUGUUUGUAAAAUAUAUUUUAUUUGCUAUACUUUGGAAGACGUGUAGUAUAUUAUUUUAUAAUUCGUUUUGUAAUUUACAGAAAACGUGUUUAACAUGUUUUAACUUUUAUUACUAUCAAAUAGAUUCUGUUUAAUACAUUUUAUAAUUUGAUUUAAGGUUUAGGCUCACCAAACAUACAUUACACCUAUACUAUUAAAAUGAAAAUGAAAAUCGGGGCUACAAAAUGAUACUGAACAUACCCUAAGUUACUUGGAGUGUUAGUUUAGAAAUAAGUAUCACUGUAGGCUUAAAUUUAUGGAACAACUUUUCAGGACUGUUGGUCUUCCUCCAUUAGCUUAAUUUAGGUCUGUAUUUUCAUUUUUUUUUAAAUGGCGCAAGAUGAUGAUGAUGAUGAAAUUGUGCUAUUUGUAAUGAUGCUCCUUCGUAUUCAAUAAGAAUCAUAUGCAUAUUCAAUAGUGAAAAUAUGAUAACUCUAUCGUAAUUUGAUCAUAUUACAAUACAAUUGAUUACUAAAAAAUGUCUUUAUAUUUUUUUAUUACAUUUUACAUUAAAGUUGUAGCACAUUAUAAAUGCAAAGCUUAAUGUUUAAUAACAUAACACUUCAACAAAAUCAACAUCUUAAGUAUGAUGUAUGAUAUAGAAUAUUGAAAUAGUUAUACCUAACACUCACAACAAUUUAUAAAAAUUUAUAGUGUUUUAUUUACAAUAUCUUUUCUAAUUAUAUAUGUAUUAAUAUCUAUCUUAAAGUCAAUUUUUGGAUUAGUAGAUUUUAAUAAAUCCAUUGGUAUAGAUUAAUAAUAACUUAAUAUUAAAAAAAUUAAUUAUACAUGUUAUUUUAUUAAUUACACUUAUUUUAAUAUUUUAUUUGUAUCAUAUGAUAUUUAUUAUUAUUUUUAUCCUAUUACUAUAUGUAUAUUUAUUUAGGUUGUGUAAAUCAAAACGUAUAAUAGUCAUUUAUGAAAAUUAAGGGGUCUGUAUUACCAUUUAUGAAACUAAGUGGAUCUAUAUGACUAUUUGAGCAAACCUUGGGAUGUGUGUGGCUUUUUCUCAAAUUAAUAUUAAUUUAAAAUUAAAAAAAUAUUUACCAACAACUUGUAGACUACGUGCUACAUUUUCAUUAAUGAUUUAAUUAUCCAUUAUAUUAAAUGGAUGAUUGAGAUUAAAAUACUUAAAACUAAUAGUCCACAUUAAUCCCAGUAUCAAUAUUGUAAAAAUACAUACAGUAUCAUAAAGAAAUCCUUAUUUCAUACAUAACUGUUUUUUUUCUUUGGUUUUUCUUUUUCCAAAACAUAAAUAGACCAAGCACAUCUCCAAAUCGGGUUGGAGCGGAGAUUCUAACCCUACGAUGGCCAUAUUAAAAUUUAAAUUUUUUUAAUUUAUUUUUUUCUUUUAUAGCUACAUCUCAAUAUUUGAAAAAAUGAUUAUACAGAUCUAUAUAUUUUUAAUAAGAGAUAUUAAGAUGCUCUUUUUUUACUAUAACACCUACUAGUUCUAUUAACUCAAAAAAUUACCAACAAAGUGUUGGCUCCACUGGCAAUGGAGUCCCCUUAAGUGGCUUGACUGGGUUUGCUCUCCAGUUCGAGUCGCAGGGAAGUCGCCUUUGUUGGGAGAACAUGUGUCUCCCGGUUUGAGCGGGGACUUCUAGUCUGGGUUGUGGUACGGGCUUAAAGGUGCUUCCCACAGUUGGGGCCCUCCCCAGGAUACCUCGUGGAUAAGACCAAAAAAAAAAACUCAAAAAAUUGACUUCAAUAUUAAUACAUAUAUUUUAAAAUUAUUUUAAUAUUUUUAAAAAAUAUGAAAAAAAAUUUAAUACUUUACAAACUUAUACUAUAUUAAACUAAAUUUUAUAAUAAAUAGAAACUUAAUAUGAAAAUAAACGUCUAAAAAUUUAAAUUAUUUUCAAUAGCAUAUAGAAUAAUUAUAAUAUUAUUAAUACCUAAGAUAUAUUAUAUUAAUUAUAAAUUCUAUUUAACACAAAUAUUUAACUAAAACUGUUAAUUGCAAUUUCUUUUGAAAACAAUAGAUCAAAUCAUUAAAGUGCAUGUGAUGAUGAUUUGCUGUUUAAUUAUUUCUUUAGAAUAUAUCCAAACGUAAGGUUGUGAACUAGUGCUUUCUUCAACUUAAUUGGGUCCAACAAUACACCGCAGCUUCCUCUUUUGGUCAUUCCAAGUUUAAUUCUUAUGAAAGAAGUUACUACUGAUUUAAGUGCAUGUGAAUGAAAAAAAACAAAUACAUAUAAUUAUUCUAUACAUGCGUCAACAAGGCAACAGUAACCAAAUAAAUGAUAUGAAAGGGGGUGCAUGAUUAAGUCCUUUUCUUAUUCAAUUCAUUGUUAUUAUCCUCAUCAACUCUUUUCUCACUUAUUUUUCAGCAGUUACUGUUCAUAGCAUUGUUAUUAUUCUCAUCACUCAUUAAAAUUAUUCUUAAAUAUUCAAGGCCGAAAAGAGAAGCUCAUCAACUGUCUGAUCCCGGAUAAUUAAAGAGGUGAACUUGUUCUAAAUCCUUUGAUAAUUUCUAUUAAUAGCAUAAUCUCCUUGAUCCAAGAAAAAACAUCUCCUGUUUGUCUUAAUCUUGUCAUUUAAUUUUCUUGAUUUAGGUUACUGUUCAUUGUUAACUUCUGUGUUCUUUAGCAUUUGUUAAUUUGCAUCCCUCCUCUAAAAGUCUCUAAAAAAGAAUGUUGCUUUUCAUUCAUACCCUUGAAACCUUUCAGUUAAUAGCCAAAACUCUAAUCUUUCUUUCUCUUCCUCUCAAAAAUGUGCCAAAAAAUGUGCCAAAAAAGUGAAUCCAAUUUUUUCAACAGCAAAUAUAUAUGUACACACACACACAUAUUGUUAAAAAGUGCAGAAAAGCCACUCAAAAACGUGGAGAAAAAUCACUCAAAUUUAUACAAGCGUCAACAGGGAAACAGUAACCAAAUACGUGAUACAAAAAGGGGUGAAUGAUUCUGUCUUUUCCUUUUGCAAGUCGCUGUUAUUACUCUCAUCAACUCCUUUCUCACGCAUUUCUCAGCAGUUACCAGUAAUAUUUAAAAUCGCUGUGUAGGUAUGCAAAAGUUCGGUAAGUGCACUAAUAAUUAUUUGCCAGAAAAAAAGUAGUUGCGUCAAUGAUAUAUUAAUCUUUAGUUGAAUUGACAUCCAGGAACCCAAUUGAGUUGCUUAAUGAUUAAUUAAUUAAUCAAUUUAUAAUAUAUUAAUCUUUUUAGUUGAAUACUUAAAAUCUUAGACCCUAAACAAUAAAUUAUUUGAGCCAUAUAAAAGAGAAAUUAUCAUUCAAUUUUUUUUUAUUUGUAGCUUAUAAAAGAGAAAUUAUCAGUCAUUUACUCAAAGUUUAUUCAAUUAUUAAAAUUAUUAUAAAAAUUUAAAUUUAUUUAAUUUUACACCCAAUGUAUGUAAUUUGUAUUAAAUAUCCGUUAAAAACAUAAAGUUAUUCUUUCAAAGUCACAAAAUAGGAGCGAACACAAAAUUGUAGUGGUGAUUAUGUUUUGGGAGUAACUUUAUCUUUUUAGUAAACAGUUGAUACACAUUGUAAUAAUGGGUAUAAAAUUAAAUAUAUUUAAAUUUUUAUAACUUUUUGGAAAAUAAGAUAAUUCUUAGGUGGAUAAUUAAAAAUUUUUCUUUUCAAAAUAUUUUGAAAACAAUACCAAAUGUACCAUAUCAUUGUUUAUUUACACUAUAUAUAUAUAUAUAUUAACUCAUUCUUAUCCACAAUCUGUCAAUGAAAUAAUUAUUGACACUCAUAUUUGAAAACUUUCGAAAAGAUAAAAUCCAAUAUGAAAGGUGAAACGUUAUAAUCAUAGUAACUAGAAAAUGGAUUGAUUUACAAAUAUCAAUUUAAACAAUUUUCAAGUUGAUCGACAAUUUAAGUAGAUUGACAAAGAUUGAAGUAAUUACUGUUGGUGAUUGAUUGACUUUGUCCUUAUCCUCGCCGCCUUCUUAUCAAAAGUCGAGUGUCAAUUGGGCCAGGGCUUCUGAUUGCAACUAAUAGACUUCAUAUACGCAUAAUGGUCCCUACGUACAUACGUACCAAUAUUUGAUUGAAAAAGGGAUGCGUGCUUAAUGCUCAAGUCGUCUUCUUUUGGAAAUUCAUUGUUAUUACUCUCAUCAACUCGUUACUCGCAUUCCUCUUUAGUCAACAGAGAUCCUUUUGCUCAAUAAAAUUUUUCUUCUAUAUUCAAGGUGAAUACAGCAGCUCAUCAACUCUGAUCCCAGACAGGUAAAGAGGUGCACUUGUUCUAAGACCUUUAAUAUUCUUUUAGUAGCAGAAUCUCUGAUACUUGAUCUUCAUAGCGGUUCUUUCUUAAUUUGCAUCAACUUUCCUAGGAAAAAAUUCUCUGGUUUUUCUUAAGUCAUAUAAUUUAUUUUUCUUAAGUCAUAUCAUUUAUUUUUAGCAGCAGAAUACUUGAUCUUGAUAACGGUUCUUUCUUAAUUUCCAUCAACUUUCCUUGAAGGAUACCUUUUUGUUAAUAGCGAAACCUCUGAUCCUUAAGAUGGAAAAAGAAAUUCUCUAUUUAGAUAUCAGUUGGUUCAAGAUCAAUAUCGCGAUGUUGUUUGCAGUCUUUUCUUUCUCUGUCUUUCCCUUUAGUUCAUUUUAAUUUAUUUGUAUUCCUUUCUUUGACAUAUUAUUAGAUUUGUUAAGUAGCAGGCAAUGGCAGAAGUGGGUCUGGCUGCUUUUUCCAGCGUUGUAUCAGAAGGUGCAAAGUCACUGUUCAAACCGAUUAUACGGCAGAUAUCUUAUGUGUUCAAGUACCAGAGCUACAUAGAUGGCCUAAAAGAUCAAGUGAAGCAGCUGGGAUAUAGAAGAGAAACGGUGCAACAACCUGUUAAUCAUGCUAGACUACAAGGGGAUGAGAUUUAUGAGGGUGUCACAGACUGGCUAAAUCAAGUUGAUGAAUUCAGUGAAGGGGUUGCAAAAUCCAUCAUUGAUGAUGAAGAUAGAGCUAAGAAGUCCUGCUUCAGAGGAUUGUGCCCAAACUUGAUUUCUCGUUACAAGCUUAGUAAACAAGCAGCAAAGGCCGCAGAAGCUGCCGCUAGUCUCGUGGGAAAAGGAAACUUCUCUAAUGUUUCCUACCGUCCUGCUCCAGAGAGUACAGAACAAAUGGAAGUGAAAGAUUACGAGGCCUUUGAUUCAAGAAUGAAAGUAUUUCAAGAUGUUGUGGAGGCGUUGAAGGAUGAUAAGCUCAACAUAAUUGGGGUCUACGGCAUGGGCGGCGUGGGUAAAACCACGCUAGUCAAGCAAGUUGCAAGGCAAGUGAUGGAAGAAAAGUUGUUCGAUAAGGUCGUUAUGGCUGAGGUAACACAGACCCCAGAUCAUCAGGAAAUUCAAAAGAAACUUGCUUCUGAUUUAGGCAUAAAGUUUGAGUUGAAUGAGAGUAUAUUCGACCGAGCGGAUCGAUUGCGUGAAAGAUUGAAGAAAGAGAAGCGGGUCCUCAUUAUAUUGGAUAAUAUUUGGAAAAAACUCGAGUUCGAAAAAGUUGGAAUUCCUUCCAGGGAUGUUGAUGAUAAAGAUAAAAAGGAUGAUCAGAGACGAUGCACAAUAACAUUGACGUCUAGAAGUCGAGAUUUAUUGUGCAUUGAUAUGAAUUCUCAGAAAAAUUUCUCGAUCGAUGCUUUGCCACGAAAAGAAGCAUUGCAGUUAUUUGAGGAGAUAGUGGGUGAUUCAACUAAAAUAUCUGCUUUUCAAAGUAUAGCAAAUGAGAUCGUUGAAAGAUGCGGAGGUUUGCCUGUUGCACUGAGUACAGUUGCAAAUGCUCUGAAAACUAAGGAGCGUGACUUUUGGAAAGAUGCAUUGAAUCAGCUAAGAAGAUCGGAUGCAAGAGAAAUUCAUGGCAUGCAAGCAAAUGUGUACACCUCCAUAAAAUUGAGUUAUGACUUCUUGGAAAGUGAGGAGGCAAAAUCUCUGUUCCGUCUUUGUGGUCUAUACAGUGAAGGUAAUGUCAUACAAGUUUCUGACUUAUUGAGAUAUGGUGUGGGUUGGGAUUUGUUUGAAAAUGUUUACACAUUGGAAGAAGCAAGGAGUAGGGUGCAUCGGUUGAUCGACAAUCUCAAAUCUUCAUGCUUAUUGUUGGACGGAGAUGCUGAAGAUGAAGUUAAAAUGCAUGACGUCAUUCAUGUUGUUGCCGUAUCAAUUGCCGCAGAGAAGCGCAUGUUUAAUAUUCCAAAUGUUGCCGACUUGGAGAAAAAGAUGGAAGAGACAAUACGGAAAGAUCCAAUUGCCAUUUCUUUACCUUAUAGAGGUGAUCAAGUGCUUCCCCAAAGAAUGCGAUGUCCCCGUCUUGGGCUAUUUUUGUUGCAUAGGAAGGGUCUUUGCUCUAUGCAAGUUUCAGACCACAUUUUUGAAGGGACGGAAGGACUCAAAGUUUUGGAUCUUGCCAGAAUUCACUUCUCUUCAUUACCUUCAUCACUUGGGUGCCUCAUUAACCUUCAAACAUUGUGUUUAGACUAUUGCCGACUAAAAGAUAUAGCAAUAGUUGGACAGCUAAAGAAAUUAGAGAUUCUCAGCCUUGUAUAUUCCGAUAUCAAGCAGUUACCACUCGAAAUUGGACGAUUGACGCGGUUACAGUUGCUAGAUUUGAGCAAUUGUCGGAGCCUUGAGUUGAUACCACCAAAUGUCAUAUCAAAAUUAUCUCGAUUAGAAGAACUGUUUAUGCAUAACAGCUUUUCACAGUGGGAUAAGGUUGAAGGAGGAAGUAAUGCCAGUCUUGUCGAGUUGAAAGCGUUGACAAAGCUAACUACUUUGGAGAUAGAAGUUCCGGAUGCCGAAAUUCUGCCGCCGGAUUUUGUCUCCGUGGAAUUGGAAAGAUAUAAGAUAUUUAUAGGAAAAAUGUCUGUCCGACGGCUCGUCGAAUCUAAAACAUCAACAUUGAUGGUGCUCAAGGGGCCAGAAAGAGUUAGCCUUCUUUUGGGGAAUGAUGGGACGAAAAUGUUGCUGAAGAGAACUGAAGAUCUCCGUCUAUACUCACAGAAGGGUGUUCAGAAUAUUGUUCAUGAAUUAGACAAUGGGGAAGGUUUUCCACGAUUGCAGCAUCUUCUAGUAACAGACUGUUCUGAGAUUUUACAUAUUGUCGGUUCAGUUGGACGGGUUCGUUGCAAAGUCUUUCCCUUGCUGGAGUCAUUGGAUCUUAUUGAUUUAACUAAUUUGGAGACGAUAUGCUGCAGCCAACUCAGAGAAGAUCAAUCUUUCAGCAACUUAAGGAUUAUAAACGUAGAUUCCUGUCCAAAAUUGAAGUAUCUCUUCUCAUUCUCUAUGGCUAAAAACCUAUUGGGGCUUCAAAAAGUAAAAGUGAGAAAUUGCGAUGAAUUGGAAAUGAUGAUUGGUAAGUGUUUAAAUUAAUUAUUGGUAGGAUUAUUGACAUUGACUCAUUCUUUUUUUCUUUUUCUUUUUUUUUUGGGUGAAAAAACAACGGAUGUUUAUUAUAUAUUGUUUUUGUUCAUUUAUAGGGCCCGACAUGGAGAAACCAACAACUACUGAGGGACUCACAGAAAUCAUUGCAGAGGAUGAUCCUAUUCACAAGGUGAUAAUUUUCUGUUUAAUAAUUAAUUAAUUAAUAUUUUAUCGCGAUUGAUCUUCAAUCAUCAAAAGAAUAUUAUAUUAGAAGUUGUAGUUGAAGGAACAAAAAUGUACGGUUUUGCUGUGCAGGUUACUUUUCUACGCUUAGAGGAACUGAAACUUGACGGUUUAAAAAACAUCAAAAAAUUAUGGCCCGAUCAAUUUCAGGGAAUGUAUUGUUGUCAAAAUUUAACAAAAGUGACCGUGGAAAGGUGUUAUCGUCUGAAGUAUAUGUUUUCAUAUUCUAUGGUUAAUAGUCUUUUGCAACUCCAACAUCUUGAGAUUAUUAAUUGUUGGUCAAUGGAAGGGGUAGUCAACAACACCGCGGGGGGGUUAGGAGGAAGAGAUGAAUUAAAGGUUUUUCCUAAACUACACUCCCUGCGGCUCCAUUGCCUUCCAAAACUAUGUAGCUUCACCUCACCAGAAGACGUCAUUCACACUGAAAUGCAACCUCAAUCUUUCUUUAAUGAAAAGGUUUUUUUUUUUUUUUUUAAAUUAAUUUUAUUUUCAAUAGUUAAUUUCUUCUUUCGUUGAGUCUUCAAAUUUAAUUAAUAUCCAUCUCUAAUUGCAUUGAAUUUUUAACUUCAGGUACGACUCCCAAGUCUGGAGGUAUUACAUAUUAGUGAGGCGGAUAAGUUGAGAAAAAUAUGGCACCACCAGCUUGCUUCGAAGUCUUUUAGCAAAUUGAAAAAAUUGGAGAUAUCUUGGUGUAAUAAUCUAUUGAAUAUUUUUUCUCCAUUGGUAAGAUUGCUAUAUUCAUUUUGAAUUUUUAUUUCAAAUAACAUUCAACAAUUAUUUUAAUCAUUUUUGUGUUUACAAAUAAUUUUCAUUCACAAAUUAUUUAUUGCAAGUAUUGUACUUCAAACUUCUGGAGGGAAAAAAAGUAGUGUACUUCAAAUCACCAUUCUGAACUCUGCAUUUUCAAUCUAAUUUAUAGGUUCACCUGCAUUAAAGUCAACAAUAUAAUUGUUUUAAACACGAUUUAACAGCAUAAUAUAAUUCAAUUUAAUUUUUUUUUCUUAAAUCGUAAUAAAUAAGAUUUUCAGAAAUUAAAAGAUACUUAGUUACUCAGCUUUUAAGUUCACAAAUUCAUAUAUAUUUCUCUUGUCCUUGGGUCUUUAGAUUUCGAUUUUAAAAAAAAUAAAGAAAAGUGUUCAAAUGUAGUUAGUAUCUCUAGUUUAGUUAUGAAUUGAUUACGCCAUUGAUUAAGCACAAAUUCAUGAUGGUCAUUUUGAAUCGACCGUUGAUUAAAAAAAUUCCUCAAAUAUUCACUCUAUAACAAUCCCAUGUUGAUGGCGUUGGGAAGUGUUUUCCAGAAAUGUUUUCCAUUUUUAAAAGCAUGAAUAUCGGGAAAAAAAAAAAAAAAGAGAAAUACAACGUUUUAGUUUAGUUAUUUUAAAAAUAGGCAUGUUUGAAAAUUAAAAAUUUUUAAAAACUAGCAUCAAGAUGAAAAAUGAAUUUAUAAUAUUUAAAAAUUACCUGAAAUUCUUUCUCCGUUCCUAAUACUAAAUAGUGUAAAUGCAUUUUCAUUAUCUUUGUUUUUCUGGACUUCUAUUUAUUUAUUUAUUUUUGUUUUAAUUUUUUCCUUUUUUUCUUUAACAAAAAAUAUCUAGUAGACAUUCAUGAUUUGUUAUUUUUCAUAAAACAAUUGUAUGAUUUUGACAUACUUUGAAUCUAGUUGAAUGCUACUCUUUAUUUUAAGGUUGGAAUUCCUAGUAGCCUGGUGAAUCUUGAUGUAUCAUACUGUGAAAAAAUAGAAGAAAUCAUAGGACAUGUUGGAGAAGAAGCGAAGGAGAAUCGUAUUGCUUUCAACGAAUUAAAACUUUUGGUACUUGAUCAUUUACCAAGGCUUACCAGCUUUUGUUUGGAGGAUUACACUCUUGAAUUCCCAUCAUUGGAACGAGUUUCUAUGACAUGUUACCCGAACAUGAAGACUUUUUCUCAGGGAAUCGUAUCCACACCAAAGCUGCACGAAGUGCAGGUGAGUAAAAAGGAAGUAUUAAGUUUUAUAUGAAACUGUGAUGUUGUUUGGUUACUAAGAAAAUAGGAAGAAAGAAAACUUCUGUAAGCUGAGAAUUCUGUUAUUAUUGAUCUAAUGAAUCUGGAAAUUACAAGCCUUUUUAUAUGUGCAUAGAAGAUUCUACACACAUUGCACACACGCACAGUUUACUACUAACAACCUCUAUAACAACCUUUAGCUGACUCAGCUGCCAUGUCAGCAUACUCAUUAACUAACUAAUUCUAUUCUUAACAGGAAGAGGGUGAAUUGCGCCGUUGGGAAGGCAACCUUAAUUCCACUAUACAAAAGUGUUACGAAGAAAUGGUAUGUGUUAAAUCGAUUCGUCGAAAUUACUUAUGCAUCUCCCUUGCACUUGCACAUUUGAACAUAUAAGUUUAAUGUAUAUAUAUAUCUAAUGCCUUUCAAGAAAAAAAUUUAUAUAUAUCCAGUGCAAUUGUUUUGGUUUGUGCAGAUUGGAUUUCGUGACAUACAGGAUUUGCAACUCUCACAUUUUCCACGUUUGAAAGAAAUAUGGCAUGGCCAAGCACUGCCUGUCAGCUUCUUCAACAAUUUAGUACGACUGGUGGUGGAUGACUGCACGAAUAUGUCGAGUGCUAUUCCUGCCAAUCUGCUACGGUGCUUGAACAAUUUGGAAUACCUGGCAGUGACGAAUUGUGAUUCACUAGAAGAGGUGCUUCAUUUGGAAGAGCUAAAUGCUGACAAAGAACAUAUAGGUCCCCUGUUUCCUAGGCUUUACAGUCUAAGGCUCACUGAUCUUCCAAAACUCAAAAGAUUCUGCAACUUCAUUGGGAAUAUAAUUGAAAUGCCUGAGUUGGAGAAUCUAACUAUUGAGAAUUGCCCUGAUAUGGAAACAUUCAUAUCCAACUCUGUAGUGCACGUGACAAUAGAUAACAAGGAACCUCAAAAAUUAACAUCAGAAGAGAACUUCUUGCUGGCUCAUCAAGUACAACCUCUCUUCGAUGAAAAGGUGAUUAUUAUUAUUAUUAUUAUUAUUAUUCCCUUCACUUUCGUUCGCAUAGAUGUAAUUUCAUAAGAAUCAAGUCAAAUUUAAUGACUCAUCUUUUUGCAUGUCAUCUUAAUUUAUAUAUGAUUUAACAAUAUAACCGCAGUUAUUAACUAUCUUUAUAGUAUGAAUUAUAAAAAUGUCUGGAAUUAAUUGGAUUCCUGGCAACACGAGGUGCUGAACUAUAUUAAUUAUGUGUGUUAAUUCAUAUUGGAUUUAGGAUCAGAUUUCAUUUAUGUGUUUCAAAGGGUAAUCGAUUUGAUACUUAUAUUUGGGAUCCUACUGCAAAGCAUACUGAUUUGGAAAUAAAAUAUAAAAUGCCGUGAUUAAUCUUGUCCAUAAAAUAUGCAGGGGAAGACUGCAGAGAUUGGAUACAUAUUUUCAUUUCCAACUUAAUUUUGUUGAUUUUCAGGUUGCAUUCCCUCAAUUGAGAUGGUUAAACCUGUCUAGAUUACACAAAGUGCAGCAUCUCUGGAAGGAAAAUGACGAAUCCAACAAAGCGUUUGCAAACUUGGGAAGUCUAGAAAUAUCGGAAUGUAGUAAGUUGCAAAAAUUAGUACCACCUUCGUGGCAUUUGGAAAAUCUUGCGACUCUGGAAGUAUCGAAGUGUCACGGGUUGAUAAAUUUAUUGACGCUCUCAGCAUCUGAAAGUCUAGUGAAUCUUGAAAGAAUGAAGGUAGCUGAUUGCAAAAUGAUAGAAGAAAUCAUACAAUUGCAGGUUGGAGAAGAAGUGAAAGGCUCCAUUGUCUUCGAGAAAAUGAACUACUUGACACUUGAUUGUUUGCCAAGCCUAACAAGCUUUUGUUCGAGUAAUUACACUCUUCAAUUCCCAUUCUUGCAAAAAGUAGUUGUGAGACAGUGCCCAAAGAAGAAGAUUUUCUCUCAAGGAGUCGUAGACACACCAAAUCUAAACAAAGUGAAACUCACCGAAGAAAAAGAUGAUGAUGAUGAUGAAGAAGAUGAUGAUGAUGAAGGAUGUUGGGAAGGCAACCUCAAUGACACCAUAAAAAAAUUGUUCAAUGAAAUGGUGAGUAUCAAUUAAGUUUUGGUGCUAUUUAGCAAAUUAUUUUAUAGAAACUAGUGUGACAUAAUAUGAUUGGUUGACUGAAAAUAUAUAAUAAUAAUAGUAAAUAAAUAAAUUAUGAGGAGCAUGUAAUGUUUUUGUUUAACCAAUCAUAUUAUGUCGCAUUAGUUUAUACAAUAUUAUUUGUGCACAAGAGGUGGUGGUCAUAUCAUUACUCUAGUUUUAUUAUUCUUAUGGUGGCAAUGUAUGCUUGCUUACACGAGUAAUUACAAAAUCUGCAGAAUUCUAAAGAAGAGAUUGAGCCAAUCCUUCAGGUACAGUGAAGAAGCUAUCCCGAACCAGGCCAAUCUCUUAUACAUGAUUUAGCUUGCUCGUUCUUCUGUACUUGAAUAAUUUGGCUCUACAUAUUUACAAUUUUUUGCUCAUGCUACAGACUUGCAAGACACUUUGGAUUUUGUUUGAUGCAUUCUCCGUUUAAGAAAGGACUUGAAUUGAUGUUUCAUGUUUCAUGCAAUAUUCGAUUAGAUUCUGUCUAAAUUUCUGUAUUAUUCGUUCAAUUGGUCUUUUAAGCAUUUGAUUUCUAACCUCUCCUAAUAGAAUAUCAUUAGCCGAUGAAAACAGCAUAACAUUUGUGGUUGUGGCAUUAUCAGAAUAAGAAUAUUUUUUAGUAUAGUAAAAUUAUCUCGACCACUGUUAAAAAGAAUUAAACAGUCAAACUGACCUUCUCACACCAGCACGCUUUAAAUUAAAAGAAUUUCAUGAAGUCAAGACCAUGUUAUAGAUCUUGUGGAAAUAAGUGAACCCGUAAUUUUUUUCACACCAUCAUAAGAAAAAUCAUUUUUUUUAAGUAUUUUUGUUAGCUGUUGAGUUUUAAUAGUAGUAGCUAUUAAACAAUAACAAUUAGUGUAUAUUAAAAAGUUGGAAACUGGUUGAUACCACUCGGGAAUCGAGCAGUUCACUUGUUUGCGAGUAGAAACCAACUUUACUACUAAUUACACUCAUACCAAAAAUAGUGACGAAAGAAUCAGGGAAUUUCCUAUUCACUAUUCUUCAUUUUUUAAUGCAAAAUUCCCAUUCGAAAACACCAAUGACUUUCAUUCAAAGUAAAUGAGAAAUUACAAUGAAAAUAGAAUCAAAAUACAUAUAUGUAUACCUAAAACAAAUGAUUUUUUUAAUUAAAAAAAAAAUACAGUUGAGGUGAAAUGAAACCAGAGUCAUGAUAUCUCUGGUUCCAACUUUGGGACAACAGCAGACUUGAGUUCUAUAUGAGAAACACGUACAGCACCAAUCAGCCGCUCCAGUAAUUCAUCUGUAGUAUUUGCCUGCAUACAGAAGAGCAAGAUAAAGAAGACAAACACAGAAGCAUUAUAUCAUUCUGAGAACAUUCAAGUAUGCAAAAAUGCAAGUUGCAGUGCAAUAUCUCAAAAUCAUGUCUUUUCCCUUGUGUCCAUUUAGCAGUGGGGGAAAAAAACAAUCAUACAUACCUGUACAAGGAAAGCCAUGUCAACCACCAAUGUCGUAAUUACACCAAUUACAAGGCCCAAAACUCCAUUAGCAACAGUAGAAGAAUCGAUGUCAACAUCAAUCUACAGAAAGAUGAACAAUGUUAAACCAUGUUAAAGGUAUUGGACGCUAUUUGAAAGGGGAACAUCUCAUGUACUAUAGAAAUUCCAAGAGCAUUUACUUCUAAGUACUUGGGACCGCGAAUAUAGUUACAAUCAACUGCCUUCCCCAAUAAACAAGGGGUGCUUCCAACACUCUGGCGCACUAUCCAUGACCCCUGCAUGAUUCAGUGCUUAAAAUCAAGAACAAGUGCAAAACAAAUUCAAGAGGGUAAAAAGGACAUAGUUUGAAUCUGAAUCCAAAUCCAUUAAUCCAGAGUUCAUAGCUUGGAUGAAGACUGAUCAACUUCUGUUGAGUUGGAUGAUGUCGUCGAUACAGCAAAAUCUACUUGCUACUGUGAUUGACUCCACAACUUCAAAACAGCUUUGGGAGACUCUUACUAGUAUGUUUAUUUCUUAAUCACAAGCUAGAAUCCAAACACUUAGAAUGCAGAUUCAAACUAUUAAGAAAAGUGCAAUGCAUAUGUCUGAUUACUUUGCAAAAGUAAAACGUAUAGCUGAUACUUUAGCUCUAGCUGGAAAACCUGUUGAGUUAAGUGACCUUGUGAUGCAUGUAUUAACCGGUCUUGAUUCAUCAGAUUAUGAAUCUUUAGUCACAGCUAUUUUAGCUCGAGGUGAGAAGAUAACAUUAGAUGAACUAUAUCCUUUGCUGUUGAAUCAUGAAAAUAGAGUUGAGCAAAAGAAAGGAAAAAUUGCUGGUGAUGUGAUGCACAAUAUAACAGCAAAUAUUGCUCAGAAGAACUCAUGCUGGAAAGAAUAAUGGCAAUUUUCAAAAAAAUUAUGGAAAUAAUUCUGGAGGUGGAAAUAAUUCUAGGUAUGGAGGUUUUAAUGGAUAUGGAUAGGGUCAGUUUAAUAAUGGUGGUAAUUCCUUUGAAAUUGUUUGUCAAAUCUGCUUAAUACCUGGUCAUGCAGCCAAUAGAUGCAAAAAUAGGUACAAUUCAUCUUUUGUUCCACAAAGAAACUAUGGCAGAGGUAAUAUGAAUGGUGUCAGAGGUUUUAAUCAAGGGCAAUAUGGUAGAGGAAGAGCUUUUAAUGGUAAUGGUGGCAGAGGUUUUGGAGGUUUUGGUUUAAAUGCCGGUUUUGGCUAUGCACCCAGGGGUUUUGGCUAUCAAGGAAAUAUAGUGUAUCCAGAUAGGAAUCCUUCUGCUUAUUACUCAUUCACCCUUGGACCAUCUACUUUUGUUUCUGGUCAAGGAAAUAAUAAUCCUGGACAGUCAAGUGCUUCAUCUUCCUCAGCUAUGCCUUCUUCACUUCCACCAGAACACAUUGAAGAUCCUUCAUGGUAUAUUGAUAGUGGAGCAACAAAUCACAUUACAAAUUAUCUAGGUAAACUUCUGGAUUCACAAGUUUAUACUAGUACUGAAAAAUUGUUUGUUGGAGAUGGAAAUGCAUGAGCUAUUACACAUGCAGGAUCAGUUGUGCUAAAUACUUCAACUUCUAAACCUUUAAGAACCAUCUUCUGCAUGUCCCUUUUAUUACUAAGAAUUUGCUUAGCAUUUCAAAAUUAUUGGCUGACAAUCCAGUUAUUGUUGAAUUUCUUGGUGAUUUGUGUUUUAUAAAGGCUAGGAACACAGGGAAAAUUUUACUUGAAGGUGUUGCUAAAGGUGACUUGUAUAGAGUCUCUUCACAUGUUGCUGCUCAUUCAGUCUUUCUCAUUUCAGUUGGUCAAAAUAAAACUCACUCUCUUUGCUUGUUCUCCUGUUUUCAAUUCUGAUCAGCUCACUGCUGUUAGUUCUUAUGAAUUGAAUAAAAAGUCAUGUCUGUCAGUUGUUACAAAGAGUUCUAUUGAUGUAAAUCUUCUUCAUAGAAGAUUAAGACACCCAGCAUCUUAUACUCUCAAAACUAUACUCAAAACUUGUAACAACUCUACUGCUUAUAAUAAAAUUGAAAGCUUGAAAUUUUGUUCAGCAUGUCAAUAUGGGAAAAAUCAUAUGCUGCAUUUUGAUUCAGUUGAAACAAAAACUUCAGCACCCUUACAAGUGAUAUAUGCAGAUCUUUGGGGUCCUUCUCAUGUCUAUUCUACCCAAGGAUAUAAUUACUACUUAUCAAUCUUAGAUGAUUAUAGUAGAUUUACCUGGAUAUUUCCAUUGUCAGCCAAAUCUGAUGCUCUUGAAGUGUUUACCAAUUUCAAAAUUUUUAUUGAAAAGCAUCUUCAACUUCAAAUCAAAACUGUCCAAACUGACUGGGGAGGAGAGUUCAGAACACUUUCCUCAUUACUCACUGCUUCUGGUAUCCAUUUUAGACACCCUUGCCCACAUAUUCAUCAUCAAAAUGGAAGAAUUGAGAGGAAACAUAGACACAUAGUUGAUGUAGGUCUGACCUUAUUAGCUCAAGCACAUUCACCACUCAAAUUUUGGUGGAAUGCAUUCCACACAGCUGUCUAUUUGAUAAACAGACUUCCAACUCCAGUUCUAAACAACAUUUCUCCUUUCCAAAAGUUAUUUCAUCAUCAACUAGAUUAUUCAACACUUAAAACCUUCGGUUGUGCUUGUUAUCCAACACUCAGACCAUACAAUAGACAUAAGUUUGAUUUCAGAACUGCCAGAUGUAUAUUCAUUGGCUACAAUUCACAACACAAGGGAUAUCAGUGUCUUCACUCUUCUAAGAGGGUUUACAUUUCAAAUCAUGUCACCUUUGAUGAAAAUUCUUUUCCUUGUGAGUCUGGAGCAGAUUUUUCUUCACUCUCUUCAAGUUGUCAGUCAACAAAAAACUAUAAGUCUUCUUUCAAUUCCUCUGUUCCUUCUGUUACUCAGUUACAAGCACCUUUAGCAGCAUCAUCAGAACACCAUCAAAAUGUUCAUCAUUUAGAUGCUCCUACUCCCUCACCAAAUUCUACUCCACUUUAUUUUUCUGAUAAUUCCAACUCAGCUUCUUCUUCUUCACCACCACAUAAUUCACCUCCACAUACAUUGCCACAACCUGCAUCAACUGGUCAUCCAAUGAUAACCAGGUCAAAAGCAGGUAUUUUCAAGCCAAAAAUUUAUUUGUCAGCUUUAUUAGCCCAAAAAUCAGAACCAACUUCUGUUUCCCAAGCACUUUCUGAUCCUAUGUGGUAUAAGGCUAUGCAAGAAGAGUAUCUAGCACUUAAAACUAAUCACACCUGGGAUUUAGUUUUACCUGCUACUCCAGUGAAGAUAGUUGGCAGCAAAUGGGUGUUUCGAAUAAAGUAUAACUCAGAUGGUUCAGUUUCAAGAUAUAAAGUCAGGCUUGUUGCAAAGGGGUUUCAUCAGACACAUGGGAUUGACCAUACAUAAACUUUUAGUCCAGUGGUUAAAGCUUCAACUGUUAGAGUUAUUCUUAGCUUAGCAGUAUUGAAUCAAUGGGUGAUUAGGCAAGUAGAUGUUAAUAAUGCCUUUCUAAAUGGCAUUUUAAUUGAAGAGGUGUACAUGGCUCAACCUGAAGGUUUUGUUGACUCAACUAAACCUAAUCAUAUCUGCAAGCUGAAUAAAGCUUUGUAUGGCUUAAAACAGGCACCCAGAGCCUGGUUUGAUAGAUUCAAGGAUGCAAUGAUCUCUAAACAGCAUUUCCAACAUUCAAGGUCUGAUAACUCUCUGUUUCAUGCCUGGAACAGUGGUCAUCUAACUCUUGUUUUGGUCUAUGUUGAUGAUAUUAUCAUCACUAGUUCCAGUCCAACACUAAUUCAGCAAGUUAUUCAGAGUAUGAAUCAAGCCUUUGCUUUAAAAGACAUGGGGGAACUUAGCUAUUUUCUGGGGAUUGAAGUCAGCAAGUCUUCAUAAGGGGUUUCCUUGACACAAGCAAAGUAUAUUACUGACAUUCUAGAUAAACAUGGCAUGACAGAUUGCAGUCGUGUGCCUACUCCAAUGUCUACUGGUUAUUAUCUCACAAAAGAAUCAGGAGAGCUAAUUGAUAAUGUUUCUCAAUAUAGGAGUGUUAUAGGAGCUCUUCAAUAUGUUACUCUUACCAGACCUGACAUUGCUUUCUCUGUAAACAAGCUAAGUCAAUUCCUUUCAAGUCCUAGAACACAACAUUGGGAAGCAUGCAAAAGGUUAUUGAGGUACUUAAAAGGCACUAUACAUCUUGGGCUGCAAUUUAAUAACAAAGGAGCUUUGCAACUACAUUGUUUUUCAGAUUCUGACUAGGCUUGUGAUCGUGAUGAUAAGAAGUCACUGGUUGGCUUUGCUGUUUACCUAGGCCUUAAUCUAGUCUCAUGGUCAUCAAAGAAACAAGCUGUUGUUUCCAGGUCCAACACAGAGGCUGAGUAUAGAUCUCUUGCUCAUGCUGCUUCAGAGGUUCCCUGGAUACAAUCUUUACUUGGUGAACUUAACAUCAAAUUGAGCUCUACUCCUAUGAUGUGGUGUGAUAAUCAAGAAGCAAUUGCUUUAGCUUACAAUCCAGUCUAUCAUGCUAAAACUAAGCAUGUCGAAUUGGAUAUACAUUUUAUCCGAGAUAAAGUUACUGCUAAAGAGAUUGAAGUAUGUUUUGUGCCCAGUCAAGAUCAAACAGCAGAUGUGUUGACUAAGGCUUACUUUCAAACAGUUUAGUUACUUAAGAAGCAAGCUGAAUGUUCAUCCUAAACAUUUCAGCUUGAGGGGGGAUGUAGUGAAUUGAAUGAAGUUGGAGCAAAGCAUGAUGUUGCUGUGUAGCUGACUGUAGCAGAUCAACUCACUAGGCUGACCUGGCAAAGUUAGUUAGCUGGUUGAGCUGAUGUGUCAAAUUAGUUAUGCAGCAAAUGGUUAUGUGAUGUAAAAAACUUGUGUGUGUGUUGAGCAAAUUGUAGCUUAAUAUAAAUAUCAGUCUGUAUUCAUUUAGUUGUAAUGCUAGAGUAAUAAAGGUUCUACAAACUUCUUUACAGCGCUUUCUUUUAUUUUCUUUCAUUUUCUAGCUUGCCAAACAAUACAAAACUAAGUUUCUUUCGGAAAAGGAAAAAUAAAAAGAAAAGAAUAGUUACUUGUGCAGUACAGCCUUGACGCCUAGCUACAUGGUCCAUUCUCUGUGUCUUUGAACCAAUCAACAGCAACAAGAUCCAUUAAAUGUUUUCCCGCAGGUAUCUGCAGUUACAAAUUGCACAAAGCACAAGAGCCAACCAAACUACAUCAUAACCUGUCGACCUAGCAUAUGCAGGAUAUAUAACUACCAUAACAAACAACCAAAAUAUGGGGGAACCUUUGUUUUGUCAUAACAAAAAUGCUUGCUACGAACUCUAAAGUUAUUUCCACCAGAAAGUUUCCAGCAGUCACGAGCAUUAUCACAGUCAUCGUGUCGCAGAUUGCCUGAAAAAUAAGAAAAAUCAAUUUGAUCAGCCUGCUCUUCCUCUAGGGUAGCAACUAAUUGAAAAUUAUAAACCAAAAAAAAAAAUCAAUACCAUAAAAAUCCACUAAUGAGGACAUUAGCCAAAUAUACAAAAAUGAAUACUUAUCAUCCACCUGUCCUCUUGAAAUCAUUCUCAAUCUUUUUUUCAUUUGAUGGCAGGAAUUAUUGAAAUUGGAGCCAUUUUUUUUGUGGGAAUUGAAAUAUAUUCUUUAAAUUAUUACAUAAAUAGCAAAAUGUACAUACACACACAUAUAUAUAAUUCAUAUAUAAAAAUUCUCUAAUUUGUUCACAAGUACCAUAGAUUAUAAUUCAGUUAUGAAAUAAAAUAACUACAAUAAUUAUAGUUAAAUGAAUACUUCAUUAAUUCUUAAUUUGCUUCCUAACAUUAAAUGAACAACUUGAGUCAGCCACCUGAAUCAACCAGUAACAACGCCUGAGUCAACCAUCUGAAAAAACCAGCAACCCUAGCUGAUUCAAGCACCUGCAAUUAACAUCAACACAACAGGAACAAUCAUAAAUCAGCACCAAGAACAGACCAAACUGCCAUCAAAUGCCACAAAACCAAACAGUCUGCUACUGCCAUCAAAUGCAAGCAAACAUAUGCAACAAAACCAGAUGCAAGUGAAAUUCUGGAGAAUAUCGGAUAAACCAAACCAAAUGCCACACUUCUAGUAAUUAGACUAGAUGCAGUGUUCAAUUAAACUAAAUGUAGUCUCAUAUUACAUUCAAAUUUUCUAAAAAAACCAGUGUUCCAUCAGAGAAGCACCAAAACCAAACCAAUCUAAUCCAGCAUAAUUACCAGCUCAACCCAAAACAAUUACACAUUAUAUUGACAUAUCAAAAUUCGCUAUCAAAACAUAGCCAAAUAAAUGACAAUAAACUGAAAACAGACCCGAACCAACUGAUGUUGCAGCCCUAGUAGUCAUUGUGCGUUCCACUGCCAUAGGAGCGAGGGUAGGCUCCGUUGUUGAUGAGUGAGUAAGAUAAGGCUCCAAAUCAAUAGUUCCACCUCCUUUCUGCAAUUCAAAAAACAGAAAUUCAUAUAUGUAAAACUAUUAAAAAGUGUGAAACAACCUGUAAGUAUUCAACUUCUGUCAACUCAAUAGCACUUACUAAAGUUUUUAUACAGAAGAAAAAGGCAUUUUAAGUCCAAAAAAUUAGAAUUAUUGGUUGAACUCCAACUCCAUCAAUCCAUGCAACCAUCCAACCUUUAACGAAAAAAUGAAGCAUAAUUAACAAGACAUCUGAAUCAGAAAGAUUGUGCUUUGAUUUGGCACGAGGUGUUGGAAACAACUUAACAAAUCUAGACACAAUCUAUAACCAUCAAGUCCAAACAAAAGUCAGGAUCUAAAAUACUUUGAAAAAUCAGAAAAACCGCAAAAUAUCAGUUUCAAUUUCUUUUUCACCCAUUGUAAGCUCAAACUGAAGGUAGCGGCGCUACCUUUAAACAUCAUUUGGGCUUAUACAUGUGACAUUUGCUCAUGAACAACUAAAGUUGAAUAAGAUUUUUAUAUGAAACGGAAUAUAAAAAGUCAAAGUAGAAUAUGACAGGACCAACAAUAUAUUAUUCAGCAUUAGCAUUAUGUAUAAAAUAAAUUUAGAGGCAUCAUAUUCAUUCACAAUCUUGCAGAGGUAAUACCAGAUUAUGGCACGCAACUCUUGAAUAGCAGAUAAAGGAGGAGAUGCAGUGGGAAGGUAGUAACUUGCUUGCAUGAGAACUAAAAAGUAAUAUCCCAAGAUCAAUUAUAGAUCUCAUAAAACAAAAACAGUGAGGCAAACACAAUUAUUGUGAACAAUUAUUCAUAGAACCACAUAGCAGCAACAAGAUCAAAGUCAUCUGUGUAUAAAUCGAUUCCCCACAGCUGACUGCCUCUGACCUAAACAUAAUGAAAUUACAUAACUAAGAAGUAGAGUCAUAAAAUAUGCUGCUGUAACAGCUAUCAAUAAAUUUCCAGACAAAUGGAAUUUGAUAUGUAAGGCUAUAACUAGCAACACUUCAAAAUAAUUUGAAGUAGCAUGAUCUUACUUUAAGGAUCAAUACUACAAUCUUUCAGAAAAAUUAAAGUCUAACCAAAAUUAAAACCUUAAACAUACUAAAAUCUGGUAAAUAGACCUAUAGGAAUUCCAAUGACCUCCAAAAUAUUUGAAAGAAAAAUUAAUUUACAGCAAAAAAUGUUAAAGAUUUGUAAAAUGGAGGCCCAUACUACUAUUCAAAUUACAAAAGAGGAAAGGGAGCUGGCCAUUAAAUGAUAAAGGCAUGCAUAAAGAAAUACGAGCACCACAUUAAAUGAUAAAGGCAUGCAUCGAGAAAUACAAAAAAUAUGCCCAUAAAGACGUCCACUCAAGCCUUAUAAGCGGCUUUAUGCAAAGGAAAGCCAAUUAGUUAACAGUAAAUGAAUUUCAAGGUGCAAUAAUUAAACUCCCUGAUCAGCACAUUUAAGGUUCAUGCAUUUCUACAAAACAUGUAAAUCAUAAGAACUUUUUUGGUCCAAAUGCUAACCAGUAAUUAAGUAGAUUAUCAAAGUAGUCACAGAACAAGCACCACAUUGAUUGCUAUGCAAAAGAUGAAAGUAAAAGUUAAUACUUUAUUUUAUUUUACUUUUCGAGAGUUUUGAUCAUCAUGUGCAAAAUAGUAGUAUAACUUGCUCAGUGUUAUCUCAAAAAGCUUGCUUAAAAUACCUAUUAGCACCAGUCCAAGUUGUCAAAUAAAUCCUUAUCUAUCCAUUCAUCUCUGACCUUGCCAAAAAGAUUUAAACGAGCAUCUAUAUUCUCACUCCAAUCUUUCACAAUCAUAGGCUUUAACUUAGACCAGUUCUUCAAUAUCCCUUCCACUGUGAGCCCCUCGAAAACCUUGUAAAUUGAAUCACAUUUGUCGUCAGUUUCAAAUCCAUCUGUCAAAAGGCUAAGCAAAUGAAUAUACAAUCAACACCAUUCUUCCAAACGAAUAUACAGUCAACACCAUUCUUCUAAACACAAACAAAGUUUGAACGUAUGACAGAUUUUUAGCCAUUUAAUAUUCCAUCAAAUAUAAUUAGAUCACACCUACCAAGGAUUUUUGAAAAGAAUGCAUUCUCAUCUUAAGCAGCAACCUCACUAGUAACACAUUUUCAUACCCUGUUUCCACCUCUGGUCGCACCACCAAAAAAAAUUCAGUACUAAUUAGCUUUAAUAUGUAAAUUUUCGCUUAGUUUAAGCUAGGGUUUUCUUUCGAUUGAAACAGAGGAAAGCUUUUGGGUUAUUAAAGUGAAAGAUAUGGAAUAAUACAAAAAAUUAUUGAAGUGAAAGAGCAGGAAUACAAAAAAUCAGCAGAUGAGAUCGUUGAAAGAUGCGGAGGUUUGUAUAUAAAUAUUAAAUUGAUCGUUGAAAGAUGUAUAAACCUCCAUAAAAUUGAGUUACGACUUGAAGGAUUGUAUAUAAACAUUAAAUUGAUCUAAUUUAACUUGUAUGUAAACACUAAAUUGUAUAUAAAUACACAAAACAGAACCAUAUCAGUGUUGGAAAAAAAAUAAGAAUCCAGAGUUAUAUAAAUUCAAUAAAAAAGUAUUGAAUUUUUUAUUACUAACUUUGAACACUCUAAUUUCAAUAAAAAAAAUAUAUUACUAAAAUAGUCUUAAUUGAAUUUAAUAUUAAAGAUAUUAGAAUAACUCAACACUAAUAUUCUCAAAUAUAUUUCUCUCCAUAGUCUAAUCUAAUCCAUUCUAAGAAUCCUAUAGAAAAUCUAUUAUUUACUUUUUCCUUAUUAAACACAAAAACAUGUCAUUUUGUUGCUAACUAAAAUUUUGGAACUAACAACAGCAGAUUAACUAAAAUUAUCAGGAAAAGAAAUCAAACAGGAUUUUAAUCGUCAUCAUCUUCACUCUUGCCUUUUUCUUUUUCUUCACACAUGUGGCUUGCACACGCAUUCCCCUCUCUCAUCCUUAGGGCCGCCCUUCAACAAUAUCCAAUCAUCGAUUAUAAUUAUUUAGAUUGACCAAAUCAAGCUUUGAUCAUAUAUCGGUUGAGGUUAGAAGUAGGCAGGCAGCAACGACAAUACUAAUUAAUAUCUCAUGAGAAUUUUAAAAAAGAAUCUAACGUUGCCCAAUUCGUUUGAUUUCAAUGAAAUCUUUCUCCUACCUAUACUUUCGCAUAUUCUCUUUUAUUUCCAAAGUUAAGGUUAUGGAUGUUGUAGAGUAAAAAGAUGAACAUUGCUAGGAAAGCAAUAAAAGGAAAUAAAUAAAAAUUAAAAAUAUAAAAAGAGUUAAGUCAUUUUUUUUGUCUAUUAGUGUUUUUGUAUUUAAUAACGAAAGAUAAAAAUGAAGUAAAUAUUAUCUGUUAGAUUAUUAAAAUACAUACUUAAAAUGUUUUAGUGACAAUCUAAUUAUAAAUUAAGGGUCUAUUUGAGAUUGAGAUUGAACAGUUAAAAUGUUAUAGUUGUUGUAGUUUAGAAGUUAAGAUGAUUUGAUUUUACACUUAUAUGAUAAAAAAUUAUUAUAUCUUUAUUAAUUUUAUCAAAAUUAUUAUUAAAAAAACUAAAUUUAUUAUAUACUAUUAAUUUUUAUUUUAUACUUAAAAUUUUUUUUUUCUUACGGCAAAAGUUUUAGCACCUCAAUACCCAACCAAGUCUAAAACUGCACAAUAAUAAUUAUGAGUGUGCAUGUUAAAAUCUACACACAUUCUUUAAUUUCAAUCAACAGUGUUACAAACUUAGUUAAAAUAUUAUAUCUGAAAUUAUUGAGGGGAAAAAAAAAGAAAAAAGAAUGUUGUUUUCAUGAUAGUGACAUGCGUCGUGCACAUUUUGCUGUUGGCUCUUUGGUCUCUAACCUAGCGAAUAGGUUGCUGUGUCCUCGUUGUUAGAUGCCCGAACCCAGCGCAAGAACUUUGUACGAUACCAUAUAUUUUGUAUGAAUUUAAGCUGAAGUUGGUACCUUUUAUUGUUUUAUAUCAUGACAUCAGGGAAAUUUUUAAUAGAUCUUCAUUUUAGGCUAAAGUACCCGAACAAUAGUUCCCAUGCACUUUGUGAUCUUUUUACAAAAUAUUAAACUAAAUAGCUGUGGAAGUAACAAAGAGGGCAACUUUUUACCAUAAUGUGAUGAAAAUAAUUUAUUUGUUGUCAUCACGAACUAACCAAAUCAAAACAAAAAACUAACUCAAAUCUGUGCGUCUAGUAACUUAUAUGAUGAUCAUUAGAUCUUGUUCUUGUUAAUGCGUCUAGUAACUUAUAUGAUGAUCUGAUGAUAUCCGUAACAUUAACAUACCCAUAAUCCAUUAUUUUAUAAUUAUAAAAAUUGAAGAUUCGGUCAUGCAAUUUUGUAUGAUGAACAGUGUUUCAUUUUUCUGUGAAACAUAAGAACAAUUUGUAAAUAAUGUCCAUGCGGACCUUGUAAUAGCGAAGCAUCAUUAUUGAUCUUACUUUGAUGAUCGCACUUUAGUUUCUUUUUAAAGUGCCUUUUGUUUAUUUUAUCGGCAUCCGCUUUUACAAAAGUUUUGGUCCUCGUUCAUUCAUCAAAGCUUCUACUUUUAUCUUUUAUUAGGCAUCUUAUAAAAAGCUUAAUUUAAUUGGAUUCAUGUUCGAUAUGAAGAUUGUUUUACUUACUUCAAUCUUUCAAUCAACCGAAUUUAUUCUUUUCUGAUCUGGAAAUUAUUCAUGAAAAAAUAGGCGCGUCAGUAGGACAACAGGGACCAAGUACAUAAUAUGAAAAUUCAUUUGUAUUGCUUACUCUAAUAAGCUCUUAAACUCACACAUUCCUCUGCAGUUACCAGUGAUCUUUUGCUCACUAAAAUUGUUAAUAUAUAUUCAAGGUGAAUAAAGAAACUCAUCAUCCCAGAUAAUUAAAGAGGUGAACUUGUUCUAAAUCCUUUAAUAAUUUCUAUUAAUAGCAUAUAUAAUCUCUAAUCCUUGAUCUUGAUAGUAGUUCUUUCUUAAUGUCCAAGAAAAAUAUCUCUCAUUUGUCUUAAUCUUGUCAUUUAAUUUUCUUGAAUUCUGAGUUAGUGUUUAUUGUUAAAUUCGGUUUUCGGUUAGUAGCUGUUGGUUAAUAGCUUCGGUUAAUCCUUGAAUUAAACAUAUUAAAAUCUAAUCAUAAACCCGCCUUUCCCUAUUUUACGACACCCUUUGUGUAAUAGUGACUUCAAAAGUGUAACAUAUUUUUGAACAAUUGCAAGGAAAGAACAUAUUUGACACUUCACGAAACGGUAAAUAUAUAAGCUUCAAUUCUUGUACAACAAAUUAAUAUAACCAACAUCAACCGUCAAUUGAUCAAUAAUUCAGUAACAAAAAGGGACAGAUAUCCUAGUCUUUCUUUACUAAUGAAGCAAGCCAUUAAACUUCGAAAGCUAUUUCUAUUUCCACAUUCUUCAUGUACCAAAGCCAAAAAAAAAAAAAAGCAACAAAAAUUUGGAAGUAAUCAUCUUUAUUCAGCAGCAUGCAUAUUAAUUAAAACAUAUUCAAAAAGAGAUAUACAAUAUCAGGUCUGGAGACGAAAUGAGCCCACAGAGACUACCAAUAAUGUAGUGGCUUGAUUAAAAAUAUUAAUCAAGCCACUACAUUAGAAGAACAAGAGUUAAUCAUGCAUAUUAAUUAAAAAUAUUUUUGCUAUCAUCCACCUGUUCUCUCUAAAUAGUUGCCACUUUUUUUUUUCGUUUGUCUGAAAUUCCAAGCAAAAAUAUAAUUAGAAGAACAAGAGUUAAGGGUUAAAAAAAUGGAAAAAUAGGGCUCCUCUGUUUUCAUUCCCCUGUUUUUCUGUUCGGUGAUUACAAAGAUUUAAAUCAAAAUUUAUGAUGCAGGCUACACGGCACCUGGUGGAAGACUGCUAGGGUUUACCUUUUAUUGUUAGUUAGAAAUUUAAUUUAGAAUUUGUAGUGUUUGCCUUAUAUAAGUAGGUUUCCUAAUAGUAAAAUUAAAUAAUCAAGUUUAUGAUGCACUAGGAUAUGGUUGUGAUAAAUGAGCUUUUUAUGUAUCCUGUGAGGCUGAUUAUUAUUUUAUUACAUUGAAGAUUCAGUCAUCUCUUGGUAGUCUUGUGAAUCAAGCGGAUUUAGUUAGUAGUAGGUAAUACUCUGGACUUCACAUAGUAAACGGAAUGGAGCAUUAUUUUAUCCCGCUAAAUCAGUUUUUUUUUUAAUUAAAAAAUAAUUCAUCAAACACUUUAUAGCUCUGGUUUUAAGUUGGUAAACACUUUAAGCCGCAACUUUAAAUUCAGUUUACGAGAACUCCUAACAGUCACUGUGGCUUGGGUAGAAAUGAAUAUACUAGCAUAAGUAAUGCUACCCAGGAAAUGUAGUUGAACCUAACCAAACUAAAACCAGAUGAUGAAAGCUUAUAUACGCCAAGAGAUUUAUUCGUUUCUGAGUUUGUUUCCAGAAACCCGGAACCUCCCCUGUUUCUACAAACACGGCACCUUUGUUUUCAUUCCCCUGUUUUUCCAUUUGGUGAUUGUAAAAAUCUAAAUCUAAAUUCUUGAUGCAGUCUACACGGCACCUGCUAGAUGAUUGUUUGGGUUUAUCUUUUAUUCUUAAUUAUCAAUUUAAUUUAGAUUCGUAGUGUGCACCUUAUGAAAGAUUAAAUAGAAUAAUGUGAAAAAAAAAGAAUGCCUUUGUUAAUUUUGACUUCAUAAUGUUGCAGUAACCGUCCUCUCUUAUCAUUCCCCUGUUCUUUGGUUUAGUGAUUGCAAAUAACAUUCUUUUCAUCUACUCUUUAUUUAUUUAUUUUUAAUUUUUAACUCAUUAAUUCUUGUUCUUCUUAAAGCGUUUAGUAAAUUAUAUGAUCACCUGAUCAAAUCCCUCACAUUAACAUACAACAUAACUAACAAAGUGUUGGCUCCACUGGCAAUGGAGUCUCCUCAAGUGGCUUAACUGGAUUUGCUCUCCAGUUCGACUCGCAAGGAAGUCGCCUUUGUUGGGAAAACUUGUACCAAAAACUCUGAUCUGUUGGCUUUGUAUCAGUAUUGCUUGUUUGUUGUCUUUUAUUUCAUUAUUUGUAUCUAAGUUUAUUUGAAGAUUACAGAUCAGCAGGAAAAGCCCUUUUUCUAAAGCUAACUAUACAGAUUUUAGAAUAGGGCUCAACCACAUGAAAAUAUUUACGUUGUAAUAUCUCAUAUUAAUAAUCUAAAAACAACCAAUCCAACAAGUUCAAAUUCAGUCAAAUCUAAAAAAAAAUUGCUUUUAAGGAGUACAUGAUAGCUAUUAAACUUUGGUUAAAGAUCUUUUGGGCAAACGUGAAAUUCAGUCAAUCAUAAAUCAACCAAUCCAACGAGUUCAAAUUCAUCACUUGCAAAAUUAAGUUUUCUUCCGAAAUUGAGUUUUUUCCAGUAGAAAUUUUCCCGCAGUCACGAGCACUAUCAUCAAAACAAGAUUAUUAACAUAAGAACAAGAGUUGAGGAAAAAAAUAUCUGUUUAUAUGGACACGGGGUGCACGCUUUAAGUCUUGUUCUUUUACAAUUCAAUUGUAUUGCUUACUCCCAUAAACUCCUUACUCACAUUCUUCUGCAGUUAACAGUGAUCUUUUGCUCAUUAAAAUUUUUCUUAUAUAUCGAAGGCCAAGAGUGAAGCUCAUAAACUCUGUGAUCCUAGAUAACCGAAGAGGUGCGUUUGUUCUAAAUACUUUAAUAAUUUCUUUCAAUCGCAUAAUUUCUAAUCUUUGAUCUUGAUAGCAGUUGUUUCUUAAUGUCCAACAAAAACUAUCUCUUGUUUGUCUUAAUCUUGUCAUUUAAUUUUCUUGAGUUUUAAGUUACUGUUUAUUGUUAACUUCUGUGUUCUUAUGCAGUAUUAUUAAUGGUUAAUUUGCAUCCAUCUUCCAAAAAAGUUUUCUUUCUUCAUAAAAUUGUUGGUUUUCCAUUCAGGCCCCUGAAACCUUUUUCUAAAAAGUUUUUUGUUGUCGUUUCUUUCUUUUUCUUCCCCGCUAGUUCAUUUAAUUUAUUUGAAUCCAUUUUUUUUUCAACAGCCAAAAACUAGAUAUUUAUAGUUAAGCAACAGGCAAUGGCUAUAGAAGCGUGUCUGGCUUUUUUAACCAACUGUGUAUCAGAAGGUGCAAAGUCACUGUUCAACCCUAUUACACGGCAGAUAUCUUAUGUGUUCAAGUACCAGAGCUACAUAGAUGAGCUAAAAGAUCAAGUGAAGCAGCUGGGAUAUAAGAGAGAAAUGGUGCAGCAACCAGUUAAUCAUGCUAGGCUACAAGGGGAUGAGCUUUUUGAGGGUGUCACAGACUGGCUACAUAGCGUUGAUGAAUUCAUCAGUGAAGGGGUUGCAAAAUCCAUUAUUGAUGAUGAAGAUAGAGCUAAGAAGUCCUGCUUCAAAGGAUUAUGCCCAAACUUGAUUUCUCGUUACAAGCUUAGUAAACAAGCAGCAAAGGCGGCAGAAGCUGCCGCUAGUCUCGUGGGAAAAGGCAACUUCUCCAAUGUUUCCUACCGUCCUGCUCCAAAGCGGGCAGAACAUAUGCAAGUGAAAGAUUUCGAGGCGUUUGAUUCAAGAAUGAAAGUAUUUCAAGAUGUUGUGGAGGCGGUGAAGGAUGACAAGGUCAACAUAAUUGGGGUCUAUGGGAUGGGCGGCGUGGGCAAAACCACGCUGGUCAAACAAGUUGCAAACCAAGUGAUGGAAGAUAAGUUGUUCGAUAAGUUCGUUAUGGCCGAGAUAACACAGACCCCAGAUCAUCAUAAAAUUCAAGACAAACUUGCUUUUGAUUUAGGCAUGGAAUUUGACUUGAAUGAGAAUGAAUUUCAAAGAGCUUCUCGACUGUGUCAAAGGUUGAAGCAAGAGAAGCGGCUCCUCAUUAUACUGGAUAAUAUUUGGACAAAACUUGAGUUGGAUGCGGUUGGAAUUCCUUCUGGAGAUGUGGAUGAGAAAGAUAGAGAGGACGAUCGGAGAAGACUCACAAUAAUAUUGACGUCUAGAAGUCGAGAUUUAUUGCGCAAUGAUAUGAAAUCUCAGAAGGAUUUCUCAAUUGAAGUUUUAUCAAAGGAAGAAGCAUUGCAAUUGUUUGGAAAGAUAGUGUGUAAUUCUGCAAAAGCAUCUGCUUUUCAACCUUUAGCAGAUGAGAUCGUUGAAAAAUGCGGAGGAUUGCCUGUUGCACUGAUUACCCUUGCAAAAGCUUUGAAAAAUGAGAGGCUUGACACUUGGAAGGAUGUGCUGCGUCAGCUAAGAAGUUCCAAUGCAAAAGAAAUUGAUGGAAUGGAAAGAAAUGUGUACAUCUCCAUAAAAUUGAGUUACGACUUACUGGGAAAUAAGGAAGCAAAAUCUCUGUUCCUUCUUUGUGGUCUAUAUACUGAAGGUGAUGUCAUACACGUUUCUGACUUAUUGAGAUAUGGUAUGGGUAUGGGCUAUUUUAAAAACGUUUACACACUGGAAGAAGCAAGGAGUAGAGUGCAUACGUUGAUCGGUAAACUCAAAUCUUCAUGCUUAUUGUUGGACGGUGAUGCCGAAGAUGAAGUUAAAAUGCAUGACAUCAUUCAUGCUGUUGCUGUAUCAAUUGCAGAAGAGGAGCUCAUGUUUAAUAUUCCAAAUGUUGCCUACGUGGAGAAAAAGAUGGAAGAGACAAUACGGGAAGGUCCAAUAGCUAUUUCUUUACCUUAUAGAGAUAUUCAAGAGCUUCCCGAAAGGUUGGAAUGUCCCCGUCUCGAGUUACUUUUGUUGUUUUCAAAGCGUGAUAGCUCUUUGCAAAUUUCAGACCUCUUUUUUCAAGGGACAGAAGAACUCAAAGUUUUAGAUUUUACUGGAAUAUUUUUCUCUUCAUUACCUUCAUCACUUGGUUGCCUCAUUAACGUUCAAACAUUAUGUUUAGAUGGUUGCCGACUGAACGAUGUAACUAUAAUUGGACAGCUAAGGAAAUUAGAGAUUCUCAGCUUCCGAGAUUCUGAUGUUAACGAGUUGCCACUUGUAAUUGGACAAUUGACGAGAUUACAGUUGCUAGAUUUGAGCAAUUGUAGCAGCCUUGUGGUGAUAGCUCCAAAUGUCAUAUCAAAAUUAUCUCGAUUAGAAGAACUAUAUAUUGGUAACAGCUUUUCACAGUGGGAGAACGUUGAAGGAGGAAGUAACGCCAGUCUUGUUGAGUUGAAGGGGUUGUCAAAGCUAACUACUUUGGAGAUACACGUUCGGGAUGCCGAAAUUCUACCGCAGGAUUUGGUCUCUGUGGAAUUGCAAAGCUAUAGGAUAUGUAUAGGAAAUAAGUGGUGGAGCAGCUGGUCCGUUAAAUCUGGAUUAUCAAGAUUGAUGAAGCUCCAGGGGCUAGAAAAGUUUGGCAUUCUUUUGCAGAAUUACAGGAUGAAACUGUUGUUGAAGAGAACUGAAUAUCUCUAUCUAGGAGAACUGAAGGGUGUUCAGAAUGUUGUUCAUGAAUUAGAUGAUGGGGAAGGUUUUCCACGAUUGAACCAUCUUUCUGUAAAAAGUUGUUCUGAGAUUUUGCAUAUUGUCUGUUCAGUUGGACGGGUUCGUCGCAAAGUCUUCCCCUUGCUGGAGUCAUUGUCUCUUCGUCGUUUGAUCAAUUUGGAGACAAUAUGUGACAGCCAACUCACAGAAGAUCAAUCUUUCAGCAACUUAAGGAUUAUAAAAGUAUCAGACUGUCACGAAUUGAAGCAUCUUUUCUCAUUCUACAUGGCCAAAAACCUACUGUGGCUUCAAAAGGUAGAAGUGUUUUUUUGCGAUGAUCUGGAAAUGAUUGUUGGUAAGUGUUGAAAUUAAGUGUUGGUGGAUUUAUGGACUUCGCCUCAAUUAUUUUGAAAAAAAAAAAAGACAACGACAAAGAUUAAUUAUGUAUAUUGUUUUAGUUUGUUUAUAGGACCCGACAUGGACAAACCAACAACUUCUUUGGGAUUCAACGAAAUCAUUGCUGAUGAUGAUCCUGCUCCAAAGGUGAUAAUUUUCUGUUCAAUAAUUAAUUGAUUAAUUUAUUAUCACGAUUAAUCUUCGAUCAUCAAAAGAAUAUUAUACUAGACGGUUGUACUUGAAGGAACAAAAAUGUACGGGUUUUCUUUGCAGGUUAUUCUUCCGAGCUUAGAGGAAUUGAAUCUCAUGUCAUUAAGAAACAUCAAAAAAUUAUGGGCCGAUCAUAAUCAAGGAAUGUACUGUUGUCAAAAUCUAACAAAGCUGCACGUGGUCGGUUGUCAUCGUAUGAAGUAUCUGUUUUCAUAUUCUAUGGUUAAUAGUCUUGCGAAACUCCAACAUCUUGAGAUAAGCUAUUGUGAGUCAAUGGAAGGGGUAGUCGACACCACGGGAUGGUCAGAAAGAGAUGAAGGAAAGUUGAUUGAAUUAAAGGUUUUUCCUAAGCUACACUCCCUGCAGCUAGAAUGGCUUCCAAGACUAAGUAGCUUUGCCAAUAUGGGACAUAUUCAUUCAGAUUUAGUUGUUGAAUUCCCUUCUUUGCUAAACCUCAUGAUUGGUUGUUGCAGUAAUAUGUUAAGAUUCAUCUCUACGAGCUCACCAGAAGACACCAUUCAUUCUGAAAUGCAACCUCCUCCUCUCUUUGAUGAAAAGGUUUUUUUUUUUUUUUUUAAUUAAAAAAAAUAAUUUUAGUCACAAUACUUGAUUUGUCUUUUCCUUGAGUCUUCAAAUUUAGUUAAUAUCCGCCUCUAAUUUAGUUAUCAAUUGAUUAUGCCAUUAAUUGAUUAACUAGUUAUUUAAUCUUUAACUGCCAGGUACGAGUUCCUAGGUUGGAGGUAUUAUAUAUUGCGUGGAUGGAUAACCUAAGAACAAUAUGGCACCACCAGCUUGCUUCGGAGUCUUUCAGGAAAUUGAAGAAUUUGGAGAUAGAAGAGUGUGAUAACCUAAUGAAUAUUUUUCCUCCAUUGGUAAGGUUGCUGUAUUCAUUUCGAUUUUUUUUUUCAAAUAACAUUCAACAAUUUUUUAAUCUUUUCUGUGUUUACAAAUGAUAUUCAGCCACUAAUUAUUUAUUUCAAAUAUUGUACUUCAAACCACCACUCUAAAAUCUACGUUUUAAGUCUAGUUUUUAGGUUCACCAGCAUUAGAAUCAACAAUAUAAUUUUUUUAAACACGAUUCAAUAGCAUAAUAUAAUUCAAUUUAAUUGUUUUUGCUCAUAUCUUAAUAAGUACGAUUUUCAAAAAUUAAAGGAUAGUCACUCAUCUUAUAAGUUCACAAAUUCAUCUAUAUAUUUCUCUUUUCCUUAGUUCUUCACAUUUCGAUUGGGAAAAAAAAAAAGAAAGUCUUCAAAUUUAAUUAAUAUCUCCAGUUUAGUUAAGAAUUGAUUAUGCCAUUACUUAACCACAAAUUCAUGAUUGUUUACAACUGACCCUUGAUUGUAAAGAAAUUUCCUCGAGUCUGGAAGUACUUAAUAAAGAUCCACUUUAUAGCAAUCCCUUGUUGACAGUACUGGGAAGUCUUUUCCAAAUUUUUUUUUUCCAUUUUUAUACAUACAUAAAAAAAAGGGGACCAAGGAAAAGGGAAAAAGAGGCAUUUUAGUUGAGUUUUUUUUAAAGGAAUAGUUGAAAUGUGCAAAUUUAUGCUUAAAAACUUAUAUCAAGAUGCAAAAUAAGUCUAAAGUAUUUAGAAAUUGCCUUAAAUUCUUUCUACGUCCCUAAUACUAAAUAGUGUAAAUACAUUUUUAUCAUCUUUGUUUAUCUGGCUUUUAUUUAUUUAUCUUGUUACCUUUUUUGUUUAACAAAAAAUUAUCUAGUAGACAUUUCACAGUUUGUUAUGUUCAUAAAACGUAUAAUUGUAUGAUUAAACAUACUUUGAGCCUAGUUGAAUGAUACUCUUACAUUUUUACUUUUUUAAUAUACACACACACACACACUCUCUCUGCUUAUUUUCAGGUUGGAAUUCCUACUAGUCUGGUGAAUCUUUAUGUAUGGAACUGCAAAAAAUUAGAAGAAAUCGUAGGACAUGCUGGAGAAGAAGUGAAGGAGAAUCGUAUUGCUUUCAGUGAAUUAAAACUUUUGGAACUUGAUGAUUUACCAAGGCUUACCAGCUUUUGUUUGGAGAAUUACACUCUUGAAUUCCCAUCAUUGGAACGAGUAUUUGUGACACAUUGUCCGAACAUGAAGACUUUUUCUCUGGGAAUCUUAUCCACACCAAAGCUGCACAAAGUGCAAGUGACUGUAAAGGAAGAUGGUGAAUUGCACCAUCGGGACGACAAUCUUAAUUCCACCAUACAAGAACACUAUACAAGAUCUCAUGGAAAUAAGUAAACCCGUAAUUUUUUUCACAGCAUCAUAAGAAAAAAUCAUUUUUUUUUUAGUAUUUUUGUUGGCUGUUGAGUUUUAACAGUAGUAGCUAUUAAACAAGAACAAUCAGUGUAUAUUAAAAAGUUGGAAACUGGUUGAUACCACUUGGGAAUCGAGCAGCUCACUUGUUUGCGAGUAGAAACCAACUUUACUACUAAUUACACUCAUUCCAAAAAUAGUAACUAAAGAAUCAGGAAAUUUCCUAUUCACUAUUCUUCAUUUUUUAAUGCAAAAUUCCCAUGAAAAUGGGAUCAAAAUACAUGUAUGUAUACCUAAAACAAAUUAUUAUUUUUAAUUAAAAAAAAACACAGUUGAGGUGAAAUGAAACCAGAGUCAUGAUAUCUCUGGUUCCAACUUUGGGACAACAGCAGACUUGAGUUCUAUAUGAGAAACACGUACAGCACCAAUCAGCCGCUCCAAGACACACGAAGCGUUAUGCCAUUCCGAGAACAUUCAAGCGUUAUAUCUCAAAAUCAUGUCUUUUCCCUUGUGUCUGUUAAGGAAGCACACUGAGCACGUGUGAACUAAGAGUAGCUGCACGAUAAGCAUGUGUUAGUUAAAGAAGUAUAUGCCAGCUCAGCCAAUUAGUUAAGCAGGCUUUUGAUUCUGUUAUAGUUGUGUACCUUGCUUUAAUUCUGUUUUUAUGAUGUAAGCAACGAGUAUAAACACUGCUACGUUUGUCAUUUGUAUGUUAUGGAAAGAAAAGAAAUCCAGAAUAUUCUAUUUCACUUUCUCAUGAAUUUUCUGAGCUUCCAAACAAAAUUAUCAGUUCAAUUUUAAGCUUUUCAACAGUGUCCAUUUAGACGUGCAAAAAAAACAAUCAUACAUACCUGUACAAGGAAAGCCAUGUCAACCACCGACCGAUGUUGUAAUUACACCAAUUACGACAAGGCCCAAAACUCCACUAGCAAAAGUAGAAUAACAUCUAUGCCAACAUCAAUCUAUAGAGAGAUGAACAUGUUAAUGGUAUCGGACGAGCUAUUUGAACGGGAAACAUCUCAUGUACUAUAAUAGAAAUUUUAAGAGCAUUUACUUCUAAGUACUGGGGACCGCGGAUAUAGUUACAACCAACUGCAUUUAGAAACAAAAAUUUGCGCUUGCGACAAGAGCUGAUCUCUUCAUUCCCCUGUUUAGUAAUAAAAAAAAAUCAAAAUAGCGGAGAAACAGGGCCCUCUUUUCAUUCCCCUGUUUGAUAACAAUAAAAACAAAACAGAGGAGAAACGUGGGCUCUCUUUUCAUUCCCCUGUUUUUCUUUUCGGUUUGGCGAUUUUAAAAUUUUAUAUCCACAUUCAUUAAAAAAAAAAAAAAAAGUUAUUCCAAAAAGAUUUUCUAUUUUCAUAUAGACGUUUAUUUAUUAACCAAAAUUUAAAAAGUGUAAUUCUAAACUUAUCCUUGUGCUUUGAUCUUGGAGGGGUUUUUCAUUUUUUCUACACUGGCCAUAUCAAUUAAUGAUGAAAGUUCUUAUCCUUAAUUGCUUUUGAAAUGAGUGAGCACGGUAUGACCCUUAAGAGAAUUAAUUAAUUGGACAAGUUAUAUAACGCCUUUGAUAUGGCUCCUAGACAUGUAUGCAAUUUGUAUCUUUCCUCAAGUAUGCAUGAGAAUACUUGAGGAAAGCUUCACAAUAGUUACGGCCGGAUCUGCACUUCACAAGUCCUAAUAGGGAAGUAUAAAUAUAUGCUUCUGGAACAGUGCAACUCUCCAUAAUAAGUACCUAAGAAUAGACAAAUUUUCAUUACAAUAGAAUGAUAAAUUAUAAUAAUAUUGACACAAUGAUGCCAAUAAUAAGAAUCUUAACAAAUCUACUAAUUUUAGAAUAUGGCUUAGAGUGCUACAAUGAACCACAACAAGUUAUCGAUAUUAUAAUAUCUAUAAUUAAUAUUCCAAUAAUAACUGGGGCUCCUUUGUUUUCAUUCCCCUACUUUUCUGUUAAGUGAUUGCCAAAUUUUUAUAUCUAAAAUUCUUCUAAUUUUAAACUAAGGUUUAUUUAGAAAAAAAAAGGGAGAGAGAGAGAGAGACUCGAAGAGCAUUAAAAAAUGUAAUUUUUAAUUUUCACUUAAGCAUUGUGUGACUUUUAUCAUUUUUUAAAGUUGGCCAUUUGUACUGAAUAAAUAAAAUAAUGGAUAGACUUAUGGACCACUUUUUUUCUGUUAUAUUAAAACAUGAGAUGUCUUUUCUUGAUGUUUUCAUCACACAAGAAUCUGUUUAUGUCAUCAUGCAUCAUGGGUUUAAAUGGGGUAAAUAAAUUAAGAUCGAGGGCAAGUUUGUUUAAGUUCUAAAGUUGCUGAAUAUAAAAAGGGCUGAUAUGAAAAUUACCUAAAGUUUCAAAUAUUGUUAUUCAGCAACCACUUUUAGGUUGCAUUAGUUUCUACACAAAUUUUAUAUAAAUAAUUUAUAACUCCCAUUAUUAUUUAAAAAACUGUAGCAAUUGUUGAAAAAAAAUUCUAAUUAAAGAAAUUGACAUUAUAAUUUAAGGGAUAGUUGCUGUUUUAAUCAUUAGAACUUAAGUCAAUUAUCCAGCUUAUCCUUGUAUUCUUAAAAACUAUAUAAAAUACCAUUAUCUCUUCUUUUGUAGCUAUUGAAUUCGACUUUCACAACAUAAAUAUUUAUUAGCAACAACUUAAAAUUCAAACAAAUAUAAUAUGUAAUGUAUGAAAUACAAAUAAUAGUUAAACAAAUUUUGAUUAUUUACUAUUAAAAUACAUUCACAUUAAUAUCUUAAGGAUAGGUGGUACUCAAAUAAUUUUUUAAAAAUCAGACCCAAAUUAUAUGCAUUGUUAAUAUGUAUUAUUGUCUAAUAUUUGGAUUUUGUUAAGUUACAACUGUUGUAACUUACGAUCUCUUCAAAAAAGAAAAUUGAGUCCCACCACCUAUUAAAUUUUUUACAUUAUUUUUUAAAAGACUGUAAGUUACAUCAGUUGUAACUUAACAGCACCCUUAAUAUUUUACUUUACUUUUAUAUCUUUACAAAACAAUACCAACAAGACAAUAAUGUAUGAAAUAAAUAAAAUAAAUAAAUAAAGAACUGAUAGCGAAAUUAAGUCUAUCAUUAGUUUCUUGUGGUGUGAACUCUUGACAAUUCUCCCACCUAAAACUCUCUAGUGGUGUGAACUUUUGACGAUUCUCCAAAAAUUUGUCAUAUUGCAAAAAGCAAUGUCAAUUGUAAUGUCAUUUCCAUUAGUCAUAGUGGCAGAUAGGACUAGAAAUUGUUGAAACCCAUUGACUUAUUUUUCUUUCUAAAAAUAAGAAAAGCACACCCGUCCGGGGAAAUAAUUUUGUAGUACCUCAUGUCGUGAAUAAGGGACAAUACGAUCCUUUUUUUAUUAUAGUAUUUUUAAAUUUAUUAACUAAAAAAUUAAUUCUAAUAUUUUAUAAUAAAUAUAAGUAGGAUAUUAAAAUGAAUAUAAUAAUGUAUACAUAUUAAAAUAAUUUCAAUAUCUAAAAAUAUUUUAAUAUUUUAAAAUCUCGUAGUCUAUUAAACCAAAUAAUAAUAAAUAGAGACAUAAUAUUCAAAUAAAUACAUAAAAAUUUAAAUUGUUUUCAAUAUCACAUAAAAUAAUUUUAAUAUUAUUAAUACAUGAGAAAUAUUAUAUUAAUUGUAAAAUCUAUUUAACCUAAGGAUUCAUUUAAAAUUUUUUGUAAUAAUUACAAGUAUUUUAUAGAUACAAAUAUAUUAAUUCACAUUUUAAAAAUUAAUAUUGAAAUUAAUUAUUUAAAUUUUAUAAAAAAUUUUGAAGUCUUUUUUUUUUUUUUGGCUACCAUCUACUAAGAGUAGUAUUAUGAUCAAAAGGGGUAUUGGUAUCCUAUAUUAAAAAUUUGAGGUCUACGUGACUAUUUUUCUAAAUUUUUAGGGUAUCAUUUUGUUUUUGACAAAAGUAAAAUUUCAUUUUUGACAAAAAUAAAAUUUCAUUUAAAUGGCUAAAAUGGUGAAUAAAAUAAUACUACAGUGGGCGUAAAUGGAAGGUAAGAAACAAUGAAAAUGAAUAGUCUAAUGUCACCACAGGCACAUAAGGCCAAAGUUUGUUACAUCUGAUCAAGGACAAUUUAGUAUGUGGAGUGGGUCCUGCGUGUCAUUUUUUGGGCAUCUACCUUCUUCAGCAUUGAAGAUUUGAUGUUGACGACAUUUUAAAAAUUUGGAAGACCCAUCAUACAUUUGGAUGGUUGUCAUUAUUUGAUAUUAUCAUUAUCUCGUGGUGAUCCUAUUAUUUAUGUGGCAAAAGAGGUAAUUAAAUAAAAUUUAAUUGGAUGUAACACUUGUUUCGCGUUGUGAACUUUUGACAAUUCCCCUAUAUCCCUCCAAAAACUUUCGUCAUUUUGCCAAGAUACCUAACGAUUGUAAUGUAAUUUUCAUUAUUCAUAGUGCCAGAUAAUGGAGGUCCAGGAACGGACCAGAAAUUAUUGCUACCCGUGGACUUUUCCAAUUUAUUUUUUUUCUUUUGGAUGGUUGACGUUAUUUGAUAGGAGGACGAGAUAGAGAUAGAGUUCUUAAUCGAACACCCGUUUUAUUUAAUGGGGAAAUUAUCAUUUCACCACUACUCUUUUGCCUUAUGCUCAUUCAAUUACUACAAAAUUUUAACAUGUUCUCUGCACUACUUUUCUUUUUUAAAUUUGUAUCAAUUACUCACUUUUAUACUAACACCAUUAAAUAAUUUAAACAAAAUAAUAAAUUUACCCCUAAAUAAAUUAAAAGACCAUUUUAUUUUAUAAAAACUUAAAAAAUAAAAAAUAAAAAUUAUAAUUAUAAUUAUAAAAAUACCCCUAAAUUUAAUAAAGAAAUAAAUCCCCAAAUUAGAAUUUUUAUUUUAAUAAAAAUUAUAAUUAUAAAAUAAUUGCAAAAUUUUGGGAUUUAAUAAACAUCCCCUAAAAUAUUAAAUUUUGGGAUUUAUUUUUAAUAAAUAAAUUUAGUUAUUUUAAUAAAAUUUUACAAAAUUAUAAAUUUGUAAUAAAAAUAAGCUGAGCGCCUCUAUUUUGGAUUAUUUUUUAUUAAAUUUAGGGGUAUUUUUGUAAUUCUAAUAUUUUUUUUCAAAGCUUUUAUAAGAUAAAAUGGCAUUUUAAUUUAUUUAGGAGUAAAAUUAUCAUUUCGUUUAAAUUAUUUAACAGUAUUAGUGUAAAAGUGGCUAAUCGAUUCAAAUUUAAAAAGAAAGAUAGUGCAGAAAACAUGUUGAAAUUUUGUGGUGGUUAAAUGAACAUAAGUCAAAAGAAAGAUGGUAGAAUGAUAAUUUCCCUAUUUAAUAUGGAAGAAGAUCUUUAAACUCUCAGUGAGGCUAUGGCUUCAACAGAUGCAGCCUUGUGGAAAGAGGCAACAAGUAAUGAGAUAGACUCAUUAUUAUCUAAUCAACUAGAUGCAUCAACAAGAUCUUAACUUAGAUUGGAACUUGAAGCAUUGUUGUUUGAAACAUUGGCUCAAGCCUUUAGAGCGAGGUUGGAUGCAAAAUGAUUUACAACAAAGAAAGGAAAAAAUAAAUUUACUAAUUUACAAAAUAAAUUUAGUAAAUUAAUAAAGUCAUUAUAUGAUCUUAAAUAAGCACUAAAGCAACAGCAUGAAAAUUUUGAUUCUAUGAUCAUGUUGCAUGGAUUUUAACAUAAUAACGAUGAUAAAUGCAUUUAUUCUAAAUUAAUGGAUAAAUAUGGUAUGAUAAUUUUCCUCAUUUGAGAAAGAAUUCUUAAAUAAUGUCCCAUAUUAAUUAGUAAAAGAGAGUCACUUGGGCUUAUAAGUAGUAGAGAUGGGCAAAAUUGGAUGCAGAUGAUAUUCGGGUUAAUAUGAUCAGAUUUUGGAUUGUUCGGAUUGAUAAAAAGUCAUAUGAAUGCAAUAUGAACUUGCAUCCAAUCCGAUUAUGUACGGAUCAUAUUCAAAUUGGAUGAAUAGUGCAGAUUAAUUUGGAUUCGGAUCAGAUCGAUAAUAUCAAACUGAAAUCGGAAUCAGAUGUGUUCGAAUAAAUCAGAUGAAUUUCAAUCACUUGCAAGUUGAAAUACAAAAUUGAAAAAUCAUAGAAAUUAAGAAAAAAAUGCAGCAAGCUAGCAAAUGGAAGAACAAAGGCAAAAAAUUAUAUUAUAAAUUAAUCGUAAAAAGGUGCUAUUAGCAAUUGUUGCACAAUGCGAAAAUGUCCUGGAACUCGCUGUGUAGACAUGCAAAAGUUCCGUAAGUGCAUUAACAAUUAUUUUCCAAAAAAAGGUUGUUGCGUCAAUAUUAAAGGAAUUGACAUCCAGGGACCCAGUUUAGUUGCUUAAUGAUUAAUUAAUUAAUCAAUUUAUAAUAUAUUAAUCUUUUAAGUUGAAUACUUAAAAUCUUAGACCCCAAACAAUAAAUCAUCUGAGUAAUAUAAAAGAGAAAUUAUCAUCCUAUUUUUUAUUUGACUUCUUGUAGCUUAUAAAAGAGAAAUUAUCAGUCAUUUACUCAAAGUUUAUUCAGUUAUUAAAAUUAAUAUAAAAUUUAAAUUUAUUUAAUUUUACACUCAAUGUAUGCAAUUUGUAUUAAACAUCCGUUAAAAACAUAAAGUUAUUCCAUCAAAGUGACAAAAUAGAAGCGAACACAAAAUUGUAUUGGUGAUUAUGUUUUAAGAGUAAUUUUAUCUUUUUAGUAAACAGUUAUCCACAUUGUAACAAUGGGUAUAAAAUUAAGUAUAUUUAAAUUUUUAUAACUUUUAGGAUAAUAAGAUAAUUUUUAGGUGGAUGACUGAAAAUUUUUCUUUUCAAAAUAUUUUGAAAACAAUACCAAAUGUACCAAAACAUUGUUUACUUACACUCUAUAUAUAUAUAUAUAUAUAUAUAUAUAUAUAUAUAUAUUUAAUUUCUUAACUCAUUCUUAUCCUUAUUCUUGCUAACAUAUCCACAAUCUGUCAAUGAAAUUUACUUUUAUAAAUUUGAAGAUUCUUUCAUGCAAUUUUGUACGAUAAUGAGUUCUCAUGUCUCUGUUAAAAAAGAAUUCGUAAAUAAUACAAAUGAAAAAAAAACAAAAAGUAGCAGGGCUGGCAAUACAAACCAUAACUUUUUUUCUUUGAAAUAUGCAUAAAUAAAGUUAAUAGUGAUGUGUCAGCACGAUCUUGAGAGCACGGCUUGGAGUCUCAAUAAUUAUUGACACUCAUAUUUGAAAACUUUUGAAAAGAUAAAAUCCAAUAUGAAAGGUGAAAUGUUAUAAUCAUAGUAACUAGAAAAUUGAUUGAUUUACAAAUAUCAAUUUAAACAAUUUUCAUGUUGAUCGACAAUUUAAGUAGAUUGACAAAGAUUGAAGUAAUUACUGUUGGUGAUUGAUUGACUUUGUCCUUAUCCUUGCCUUCUUCUUAUCAAAAAUCGAGUGUCAAUUAAAUUGGGCCAGGGCUUCUGAUUGCAACUAAUAGACUUCAUAUACGCAUAAUGCUCCCUACGGACAUACGUACCAGUAUUUGAUUGAAAAAGGGAUGCGUGCUUAAUGCUCAAGUCGUCUUCUUCUGGAAAUUCAUUGUUAUUACUCUCAUCAACUCGUUACUCACAUUCCUCUUUAGUCAACAGAGAUCUUUUGCUCAAUAAAAUUUUUCUUCUAUAUUCAAGGUGAAUACAGCAGCUCAUCAACUCUGAUCCCAGACAGGUAAAGAGGCGCACUUGUUCUAAAACCUUUAAUAUUCUUUUAGUAACAGAAUCUCUGAUACUUGUUCUUCAUAGCGGUUCUUUCUUAAUUUCCAUCACCUUUCCUAGGAAAAAAUUCUUUGGUUUUUCUUAAUCAUAUCAUUUAUUUUUCUGAAGUCAUAUAAUUUAGUUUUAGUAGCAGAAUACUUGAUAUUGAUAGCGGUUCUUUCUUAAUUUCCAUCAACUUUCCUUGAAGGAUACCUUUCUGUUAAUAGCAAAACAUCUGAUCCUUAAGAUAGAAAAAGAAAUUCUCUAUUUAGGUAUCAGUUGGUUCAAGAUCAAUAUCGCGAUGUUGUUUGCGGUCUUUUCUUUCUCCGUCUUUCCCUUUAGUUCAGUUUAAUUUAUUUGUUUUCCUUUCUUUGAUAUAUUAUUAGAUUUGUUAAGUAGCAGACAAUGGCAGAAGUUGGUCUGGCUGCUUUUUCCAGCAUUGUAUCAGAAGGUGCAAAGUCACUGUUCAAACCGAUUAUACGGCAGAUAUCUUAUGUGUUCAAGUACCAGAGCUACAUAGAUGAGCUAAAAGAUAAAGUGAAGCGGCUGGAACAUAAAAGAGAAAGGGUGGAAAUACCCGUUCAUCAGGCAACUCAACAAGGAGAUGAGAUUUAUAAGGAUGUUGCAGACUGGCUUAAUAGCGUCAAGGAAUUCACUCAGGGAGCUGCAAAAUCCAUCACUGAUGAUGAAGAUAGAGCUAAGAAGUUCUGUUUCAAAGGAUUGUGCCCAAACUUGAUCUCUCGUUACAAGCUCAGUAAACAAGCAGCAAAGGCUGCAGAAGCUGCCGCUAGUCUCGUGGGAAAAGGCAACUUCUCCAAUGUUUCCCACCGUCCUACUCCAAAGCUGGUAGAACAUAUGCAAGUGAAAGAUUUCGAGGCCUUUGACUCAAGAAUGAAAGUAUUUCAAGAUGUUUUGGAGGCGUUGAAGGAUGAUAAGCUCAAGAUAAUUGGGGUCUACGGGAUGGGCGGCGUGGGUAAAACCACGCUUGUCAAGCAAGUUGCGAAGCAAGUGAUGGAAGAUAAGUUGUUCGAUAAGGUCGCUAUGGCUGAGGUAACAGAGAACCCAGAUCAUCAGAAAAUUCAAGACAAACUAGCUUCUGAUUUAGGCAUAAAGUUUGAGUUGAAUGAGAGUAUAUUCGACAGAGCAAAUCGACUAUGUGGAGUAUUGAAGAACAAGGAGCGGCAUCUCAUUAUAUUGGAUAAUAUUUGGAGAGAACUGGAGUUCGAUAAAGUUGGAAUUCCUUCCAGGGAUGUCGAGAAAGAAAGAAUGGAUGAUCAGAGACGAUGCACAAUAAUACUGACGUCUAGACGUCAAGAUUUAUUGCGCAAUAUUAUGAAUUCUCAGAAAGAAAUCCAGAUCGAUGCUUUAUCAAAAGAAGAAGCAUUGCAUUUAUUUAAGAAGAUAGUGGGUGAUUCAAUGAAAACAUUUGCUUUUCAAUCUAUAGCAGAUGAGAUCGUUGAAAGAUGCGGAGGACUGCCUGUUGCACUGAUUACACUUGCAAAAGCUUUGAAAAAUGAGAGGCUUGACACUUGGAAAGAUGUGUUGAAUCAGCUAAGAAGUUCCAAUGCAAAAGAAAUUGAUGGAAUGGAAAUAAAUGUGUACAUCUCCAUAAAAUUGAGUUACGACUUAUUGGGAAGUAAGGAAGCAAAAUCUCUGUUCCUUCUUUGUGGUCUAUUUAGUGAAGGUCAUGCUAUACCAGUUUCUUCCUUAUUGAGAUAUGGUAUGGGUAUGGGCUAUUUUAAAAACGUUUACACACCGGAAGAAGCAAGAAGUAGAGUGCAUACGUUGAUCGGCAAACUCAAAUCUUCAUGCUUAUUGUUGGACGGUGAUACUGAAGCUAAAGUUAAAAUGCAUGACGUCAUUCAUGCUGUUGCUGUAUCAAUUGCAGAAGAGGAGCUCAUGUUUAAUAUUCCAAAUGUUGCCGACUUGGAGAAAAAGAUGGAAGAGACAGUACAGGAAGGUCCAAUUGCUAUUUCUUUACCUUAUAGAGGUAUUCAAGUGCUUCCUGAAAGGUUGCAAUGUCCCUGUCUUGAGCUAUUGCAUACGGAGGGUGAUGGCUCUAUGCAAGUUUCAGACCACCUUUUUAAAGGGACGGAAGGACUCAAAGUUUUGAAUUUUAAUCGAAUUCACUUCUCUUCAUUACCUUCAUCACUUGGUUGCCUCAUUAACCUUCAAACAUUGUGCUUAGACUAUUGCCGACUAAAAGAUAUAGCAAUAGUUGGACAGCUAAAGAAAUUAGAGAUUCUCAGCCUUGUAUAUUCCGAUAUCAAGCAGUUACCACUUGAAAUUGGACGAUUGACGCGGUUACAGUUGCUAGAUUUGAGCAAUUGUUGGAGCCUUGAGUUGAUACCACCAAAUGUCAUAUCAAAAUUAUCUCGAUUAGAAGAAUUGUUUAUGCAUAACAGCUUUUCACAGUGGGAUAAGGUAGAAGGAGGAAGUAAUGCCAGUCUUGUCGAGUUGAAGGGGUUGUCAAAGCUAACUACUUUGGAGAUACAUGUUUCGGAUUCCGAAAUUCUGCCGCUGGAUUUUGUCUCUGUGGAAUUGGAAAGAUAUAAGAUAUUUAUAGGACAAAUGUCUGUCCGGUGGCUCGUCGAAUCUAAAACAUCAACAUUGAUGGUGCUCAAGGGGCCAGAACAAGUUAGCCUUCUUUUGGGGAAUGAUGGGACGAAAAUGUUGCUGAAGAGAACUGAAGAUCUCCGUCUAUGCUCACAGAAGGGUGUUCAGAAUAUUGUUCAUGAAUUAGACGAUGGGGAAGGUUUUCCACGAUUGAAGCAUCUUCAUGUAAAAAGUUGUUCUGAGAUUUUACAUAUUGUCGGUUCAGUUGGACGGGUUCGUUGCGAAGUCUUUCCCUUGCUGGAGUCAUUGGAUCUUAUUAAUUUAACUAAUUUGGAGACGAUAUGCUACAGCCAACUCAGAGAAGAUCAAUCUUUCAGCAACUUAAGGAAAAUAAACGUAGAUUUCUGUCCAAAAUUGAAGUAUCUCUUCUCAUUCUCUAUGGCCAAAAACCUAUUGCGGCUUCAAAAAGUAAAAGUGGAAAACUGCGAUGAUUUGAAAAUGAUUAUUGGUAAGUGUUGAAAUUAAUUAUUGGUAGGAUUAUUGACAUUGACUCAUUCUUUUUUUCUUUUCUUUUUUUUUUUUUGGUGAAAAAAACAACGGAUGUUUAUUAUAUAUUGUUUUUGUUCAUUUAUAGGGCCCGACAUGGAGAAACCAACAACAACUCAGGGAUUCACAGAAAUCAUUGCAGAGGAUGAUCCUGUUCACCAAGUAAUAAUUUUCUGUUUAAUAAUUAAUUAAUUAAUAUAUUAUCACGAUUGAUCUUCAAUCAUCGAAAGAAUAUUAUAUUAGAAGUUGUAGUUGAAGGAACAAAAAUGUAUGGUUUUUCUUUGCAGGUUACUUUUCCACGCUUGGAGGAACUGAAACUUGUCAGUUUAACAAACAUCAAAAAAUUAUGGCCCGAUCAAUUUCAUGGAAUGUAUUGUUGUCAAAAUUUAACAGAAGUGACCGUGUUCGGUUGUGAUCGUCUGAAGUAUCUGUUUUCAUAUUCUAUGGUUAAUAGUCUUGGGCAACUCCAACAUCUUGAGAUACGAAAUUGCUGGUCAAUUGAAGGGGUAGUCAACACCACGGGGUUAGGAGGAAGAGAUGAAUUGAAGGUUUUUCCCAAACUACACUACCUGUCGCUCCAUUGGCUUCCAAAACUAAGUAGCUUUGCCUCACCAGAAGACGUCAUUCACACUGAAAUGCAACCUCAAUCCCUCUUUGAUGAAAAGGUUUUUUUUCAUUGAAUUUUUAAAUUCUCUUUUCGUUGAGUCUUCAAAUUUAAUUAAUAUCCAUCUCUAACUGCAUUGAAUUUUCAACUUCAGGUACGACUCCCAAGUCUGGAGGUAUUACAUAUUAAGAGGCUGGAUAAGUUGAGAAAAAUAUGGCACCACCAGCUUGCUUCGAAGUCAUUUAACAAAUUGAAAAAAUUUGAGAUAUCAGGGUGUCAUAAUCUACUGAAUAUUUUUCCUCCAUUGGUAAGAUUGCUAUAUUCAUUUUGAAUUUUUAUUUCAAAUAACAUUCAACAAUUAUUUUAAUCAUUUUUGUGUUUACAAAUAAUUUUCAUUCACAAAUUAUUUAUUGCAAGUAUUGUACUUCAAACUUCUGGAGGGAAAAAAAGUAGUGUACUUCAAAUCACCAUUCUGAACUCUGCAUUUUCAAUCUAAUUUAUAGGUUCACCUGCAUUAAAGUCAACAAUAUAAUUGUUUUAAACACGAUUCAACAGCAUAAUAUGAUUCAAUUUAAUUGUUUUUUUUCUUAAAUCCUAAUAAAUAAGAUUUCCAGAAAUUAAAAGAUACUUAGUUACUCAGCUUUUAAGUUCACAAAUUCAUAUAUAUUUCUCUUUUCCUUGGGUCUUUAGAUUUCGAUUUUAAAAAUAAAAUAAAGAAAAGUGUUCAAAUGUAGUUAAUAUCUCUAGUUUAGUUAUGAAUUGAUUACGCCAUUGAUUAAGCACAAAUUCAUGAUGGUCAUUUUGAAUCGACCGUUGAUUAAAAAAUUUCCUCAAAUAUUCACUCUAUAACAGUCCCAUGUUGAUGGCGUUGGGAAGUGUUUUCCAGAAAUGUUUUCCAUUUUUAAAAGCAUGAAUAUCGGGAAAAAAAAAAAUGGGAAAUACAGCGUUUUAGUUUAGUUAUUUUAAAAAUAGGCAUGUUUGAAAAUUAAAAAUUUUUAAAAACUAGCAUCAAGAUGAAAAAUGAAUUUAGAAUAUUUAAAAAUUACCUGAAAUUCUUUCUCUGUUCCUAAUACUAAAUAGUGUAAAUGCAUUUUCAUUAUCUUUGUUUUUCUGGUCUUCUAUUUAUUUAUUUUUGUUUUAAUUUUUUCCUUUUUUUCUUUAACAAAAAAUAUCUAGUAGACAUUCAUGGUUUGUUAUUUUUCAUAAAACAAUUGUAUGAUUUUGACAUACUUUGAAUCUAGUUGAAUGCUACUCUUUAUUUUCAGGUUGGAAUUCCCAAUAGUCUAGUGAAUCUUAAUGUAUCAUACUGUGAAAAAAUAGAAGAAAUCAUAGGACAUGUUGGAGAAGAAGCGAAGGAGAAUCGUAUUGCUUUCAACGAAUUAAAACAUUUGGAACUUGAUCAUUUACUAAGGCUUACCAGCUUUUGUUUGGAGAAUUACACUCUUGAAUUCCCAUCAUUGGAACGAGUAUCUGUGACACAUUGUCCGAACAUGAAGACUUUUUCUCAGGGAAUCGUAUCCACACCAAAGUUGCACGAAGUGCAGGUGAGUAAAAAGGAAGUAUUAAGUUUUAUAUGAAACUGUGAUGUUGUUUGGUUACUAAGAAAAUAGGAAGAAAGAAAACUUCUGUAAGCUGAGAAUUCUGUUAUUAUUGACCUAAUGAAUCUGGAAAUUACAAGCCUUUUUAUAUGUGCAUAGAAGAUUCUACACACAUUGCACACACGCACAGUUUAAUACUAACAACCUCUAUAACAACCUUUAGCUGACUCAGCUGCCAUGUCAGCAUACUCAUUAACUAACUAAUUCUAUUCUUAACAGGAAGAGGGUGAAUUGCGCCGUUGGGAAGGCAACCUUAAUUCCACUAUACAAAAGUGUUACGAAGAAAUGGUAUGUGUUAAAUCGAUUCGUCGAAAUUACUUAUGCAUCUCCCUUGCACUUGCACAUUUAAGUAUAUACACCUGCCUUGUAUAUAUAGUUUUAGAAGUUAAAACACAAAACAUGUAAGUUUAAUGUAUAUAUAUCUAAUGCCUUUCAAAAAGAAAAAAAAUUGUAUAUAUCCAGUGCAAUUGUUUUGGUUUGUGCAGAUUGGAUUUCGUGACAUAAUGCGUUUGCAACUUUCGCAUUUUCCACGUUUGCAAGAAAUAUGGCAUGGCCAAGCACUGCCUGUCAGCUUCUUCAACAAUUUAAGAGAGCUGGUGGUGGAUGACUGCACGAAUAUGUCGAGUGCUAUUCCUGCCAAUCUGCUACGGUGCUUGAACAAUUUGGAAUACCUGGCAGUGAGGAAUUGUGAUUCACUAGAAGAGGUGCUUCAUUUGGAAGAACUAAUUAAUGCUGAGGAAGAACAUUUUGGCCAACUGUUCCCUAAUCUUUACGAGCUAAAGCUCAUUGAUCUUCCAAAACUCAAAAGAUUCUGCAACUUCACUGGGAAUAUAAUUGAACUGCCUAAGUUGGACAAUCUAACUAUUGAGAAUUGCCCUAGUAUGGAAACACUGCCUGUCAGCUUCUUCAACAAUUUAAGAGACCUGGUGGUGGAUGACUGCACGAAUAUGUCGAGUGCUAUUCCUGCCAAUCUGCUACGGUGCUUGAACAAUUUGGCAUGGCUGAAAGUGAGGAAUUGUGAUUCACUAGAAGAGGUGCUUCAUUUGGAAGAGCUAAGUGCUAAGGAAGAACAUAUAGGCCCCAUGUUUCCUGAGCUUUCCCUGCUAGGGCUCAUUGAUCUUCCAAAACUCAAAAGAUUCUGCAACUUCACUGGGAAUAUAAUUGAAAUGCCUAAGUUGGAAUAUCUCAUUAUUGAGAAUUGCCCUGAUAUGGAAACAUUCAUAUCCAACUCUGUAGUGCACGUGACAACAGAUAACAAGGAACCUCAAAAAUUAACAUCAGAAGAGAACUUCUUGCUGGCUCAUCAAGUACAACCUCUCUUUGAUGAAAAGGUGAUUAUUAUUAUUAUUAUUAUUUUUCCCUUCACUUUCGUUUCAUAGAUGUAAUUUCAUUAGAAUCAAAUCAAAUUUAAUGACUCAUCUUUUUGCACGUCGUCUUAAUUUUUAUAUGAUUUAACAAUAUAACUGCAGUUAUUAACUAUCUUUAUAGUAUGAAUUAUAAAAAUGUCUGAAAUUAAUUGGAUGCCUGAUAACACGAGGUGAUCUAUUAAUUAUGUGUAUUACAUCUCUGUUUUCCUAGCUAAUUCAUAUUGGAUUUAGCAUCAGAUUUCAUUUAUGUGUUUCAAAGGGUAAUCGAUUUGAUACUUAUAUUUGGGAUCCUACUGCAAAGCAUACUAAUUUGGAAAUAAAAUAUAAAAUGCCGUGAUUAAUCUUGUCCAUAAAAUAUGCAGGGGAAGACUGCAGAGAUUGGAUACAUAUUUUCAUUUACAACUUAAUUUUGUUGAUUUUUAGGUUGCAUUCCCUCAAUUGAGUUGGUUAACGCUAUCUGGAUUACACAAAGUGCAGCAUCUCUGGAAGGAAAAUGACGAAUCCAACAAAGCGUUUGCAAACUUGGCAAGUCUAGAAAUAUCGGAAUGUAUUCAGUUGCAAAAAUUAGUACCACCUUCGUGGCAUUUGGAAAAUAUGUGGGGACUGGAAGUAUCGAAGUGUCACGGGUUGAUAAAUGUGUUGACGCUCUCAGCAUCUAAAAAUCUAGUGAACCUUGAAAGAAUGAAGAUAGCUGAUUGCAAAAGGAUAGAAGAAAUCAUACAGUCGCCGGUUGCAGAAGAAGCGAAAGAUUGCACUGUUUUCAAGAAAUUGAAGUACUUGACACUUGAUUGUUUGCCAAGCCUAACAAGCUUUUGUUUAGGUAAUUACGCUCUUGAAUUCCCGUCCUUGAAACAAGUAGUUGUGAGACAGUGUCCAAAAAUGAAGAUCUUCUCUCAAGGAGUCUUAGACACACCAAUGCUAAACAAAGUGAACGUCACCGAAGAAGAAAAAGAUGAUGAUGAUGAAGGAUGUUGGGAAGGCAACCUCAAUGACACCAUAAAAAAAUUGUUCAAUGAAAUGGUGAGUAUCAAUUAAGUUUUGAUGCUAUUUAGCAAAUUAUUUUAUAGAAACUAAUGUGAUAUAAUAUGAUUGGUUGACUGAAAAUAUAUAAUAAUAAUAAUAAUAAUAAAUAAAUAAAUAAAUAAAUUAUGAGGACCAUGUAAUGUUUUUGUUUAAUCAAUCAUAUUAUGUCGCAUUAGUUUAUACAAUAUUAUUUGUGCACAAGAGGUGGUGGUCAUAUCAUUACUCUAGCUUUAUUAUUCUUAUGGUGGCAAUGUAUGCUUGCUUACACGAGUAAUUACAAAAUCUGCAGAAUUCUAAAGAAGAGAUUGAGCCAACCCUUCAGGUACAGUGAAGAAGCUAUCCCGAACCAGGCCAAUCUCUUAUACAUGAUUCAGCUUGCUCGUUCUUCUGUACUUGAAUAAUUUGGUUCUAUAUAUUUACAAUUUUUCGCUCAUGCUACAGACUUGCAAGACACUUUGGAUUUUGUUUGAUGCAUUCUCCGUUUAAGAAAGGACUUGAAUUGAUGUUUCAUGUUUCAUGCAAUAUUCAAUUAGAUUCUGCCUAAAUUUCUGUAUUAUUCGUUCAAUUGGUCUUUUAAGCAUUUGAUUUCUAACCUCUCCUAAUGGAAGAUCAUUAUCUGAAGAAAACAGCAUAACAUUUGUGGCAUUAUCAGAAUAAGAAUAUUUUUGAGUAUAGUAAAAUUAUCUCCACCACUGUUAAAAAGAAUUAAUCAGUCAAACUGACCUCACACCAGCACGCUUUAAAUUAAAAGAAUUUCGUGAAGUCGAGACCAUGUUAUAGAUCUCAUGGAAAGAAGUAAACCCGUAAUUUUUUUCACAGCAUCAUAAGAAAAAUCAUUUUUUUUAAGUAUUUUUGCUAGCUGUUGAGUUUUAAUAGUAGUAGCUAUUAAACAAUAACAAUUAGUGUAUAUUAAAAAGUUGGAAACUGGUUGAUACCACUCGGGAAUCGAGCAGUUCACUUGUUUGCGAGUAGAAACCUACUUUACUACUAAUUACACUCAUACCAAAAAUAGUAACUAAAGAAUCAGGAAAUUUCCUAUUCACUAUUCUUCAUUUUUUAAUGCAAAAUUCCCAUUCGAAAACACCAAUGACUUUCAUUCAAAGUAAAUGAGAAAUUACAAUGAAAAUAGAAUCAAAAUACAUGUAUGUAUACCUAAAACAAAUGAUUUUUUUAAUUAAAAAAAAAACACAGUUGAGGUGAAAUGAAACCAGAGUCAUGAUAUCUCUGGUUCCAGCUUUGGGACAACAGCAGACUUGAGUUCUCUAUGAGAAACACGUACAACACCAAUCAGCCGCUCCGGUAAUUCAUCUGUAGUAUUUGCCUGCAUACAGAAGAGCAAGAUAAAGAAGACACACACAGAAGCAUUAUAUCAUUCUGAGAACAUUCAAGUAUGCAAAAAUGCAAGUUGCAGUGCAAUAUCUCAAAAUCAUGUCUUUUCCCUUGUGUCCAUUUAGCAGUGGGGGAAAAAAACAAUCAUACAUACCUGUACAAGGAAAGCCAUGUCAACCACCAAUGUCGUAAUUACACCAAUUACAAGGCCCAAAACUCCAUUAGCAACAGUAGAAGAAUCGAUGUCAACAUCAAUCUACAGAAAGAUGAACAAUGUUAAACCAUGUUAAAGGUAUUGGACGCUAUUUGAAAGGGGAACAUCUCAUGUACUAUAGAAAUUCCAAGAGCAUUUACUUCUAAGUACUUGGGACCGCGAAUAUAGUUACAAUCAACUGCCUUCCCCAAUAAACAAGGGGUGCUUCCAACACUCUGGCGCACUAUCCAUGACCCCUGCAUGAUUCAGUGCUGAAAAUCAAGAACAAGUGCAAAACAAAUUCAAGAGGGUAAAAAGGAGAUAAAGUUUGAAGGUACAACCCAUCAAUACAUUCACACCUAAAUGCAUGCCUUCUUUGUACAAAUUGAAGUGUACCAUGCAGUAAAGGGUAAGUAUACGUUAAUAUAGUCCUACUACAUGAAGGCCAAGAUGGAUACCUUAGGAACAGAUGGAAUAAGUUUCAACCUACUAUUGCGAAAUUCAUCAUCGCCAUCAACAAACCGUUGCAAAAGUGAUCCCGUAACCAAUUGCCUUGUGACAAAAUAAAAUACCAUACUAUAAUGUGUUGAACCAGGAACCUGCAGAUGCUUAGGUUACAACUAUACAACCUCCCAAUACAAUAAGUUUGAAACUUAUACCUUCUGAAAUGAAACAAACUUUCUUGAAGAUUAAAGAUCAGUGAGAAAAGCCCUUUUUCAGAAGCAACCUACAUAUUUUAGAAUAGGGCUCAGUGCGUUAUAGAUUCAAUGAACCAUGAGAAGUUAUUUACAUUGUUGUAUCUCACAGGCAGUCUUUUCUCCUAAUGUAUCAAGGGAAAAUGCUAGUGAAUUGAAUGAAGCUAGAGCAGAGCAUGAUGUUGCUGUGUAGCUGACUUUAGCAGAUCAACUCACUAAGCUAACCUGGCAAAGUUAUUUAGCUGGUUGAGCUGAUGUGUCAAAUUAGUUAUGCAGCAAAUGGUUAUGUGAUGUAACAAACUCGUGUGUGUGUUGAGCAAAUUGUAGCUUAAUAUAAAUAUCAGUCUGUAUUCAUUCAGUUGUAAUGCUAAAGUAAUAAAGGUUCUACAAACUUCUUUACAGAGCUUUCUUUUAUUUUCUUCAUUUUCUAGCUUGCCAAACAAUGCAAAACUAAGUUUCUUUCAUGGUAUUAGAGCCAUAAAUGGCGAAUACAGUUCAAAAUAACAACUCUUUUAGUUUUGUUACGCCUGUAAAGCUAGACCAAAACAACUUCAUUUUAUGGCGGGCACAAAUUUUAGCAUCGAUCAAAGGAAACGGUCUGGAAGGGUUUAUCAAUGGUGAUCAAGAAUGUCCUGAGCAGUUUCUUUCUUCUGGAAACAACAAUGGAGCUGAAAUUUUUACUGAAUCUGAAUCCAAAUCUAUUAAUCCAGAGUUCAUAGCUUGGAUGAAGACUGAUCAACUUCUGUUGAGUUAGAUGAUGUCGUCGAUACAGCAAAAUCUACUUGCUACUGUGAUUGACUCCACAACUUCAAAACAGCUUUGGAAGACUCUUACUAGUAUGUUUAUUUCUUAAUCACAAGCUAGAAUUCAAACACUUAGAAUGCAGAUUCAAACUAUUAAGAAAGGUGCAAUGCAUAUGUCUGAUUACUUUGCAAAAGUAAAACGUAUAGCUGAUACUUUAGCUCUAGCUGGAAAACCUGUUGAGUUAAGUGAUCUUGUGAUGCAUGUAUUAACUGGUCUUGAUUCAUCAGAUUAUGAAUCUUUAGUCACAGGUGUUUUAGCUCGAGGUGAGAAGAUAACAUUAGAUGAACUAUAUCCUUUGCUAUUGAAUCAUGAAAAUAGAGUUGAACAAAAGAAAGGAAAAAUUGCUGGUGAUGUGAUGCACAAUAUGACAGCAAAUAUUGCUCAAAAGAACUCAUAUGCUGGAAAGAAUAAUGGCAAUUUUCAAAAAAAUUAUGGAAAUAAUUCUAGGUAUGGAGGUUUUAAUGGAUAUGGAUAGGGUCAGUUUAAUAAUGGUGGUAAUUCCUCUGAAAUUGUUUGUCAAAUCUGCUUCAUACCUGGUCAUGCAGCCAAUAGAUGCAAAAAUAGGUACAAUUCAUCUUUUGUUCCACAGAGAAACUAUGGCAGAGGUAAUAUGAAUGGUGGCAGAGGUUUUAAUCAAGGGCAAUAUGGUAGAGGAAGAGCUUUUAAUAGUAAUGGUGGCAGAGGUUUUGGAGGUUUUGGUUUAAAUGCUGGUUUUGGCUAUGCACCCAGGGGUUUUGGCUAUCAAGGAAAUAUGGUGUAUCCAGAUAGUAAUCCUUCUGCUUAUUACUCAUUCACCCCUGGACCAUCUACUUUUGUUUCUGGUCAAGGAAAUAAUAAUCCUGGACAGUCAAGUGCUUCAUCUUCCUCAGCUAUGCCUUCUUCACUUCCACCAGAACACAUUGAAGAUCCUUCAUGGUAUAUUGAUAGUGGAGCAACAAAUCACAUUACAAAUGAUCUAGGUAAACUUCUGGAUUCACAAAUUUAUACUAGUACUGAAAAAUUAUUUGUUGGAGAUGGAAAUGCAUUAGCUAUUACACAUGUAGGAUCAGUUGUGCUAAAUACUUCAACUUCUAAACCUUUAAAAACCAUGUUCUUCAUGUCCCUUUUAUUACUAAGAAUUUGCUUAGCAUUUCAAAAUUAUUGGCUGACAAUCCAGUUACUGUUGGAAUUUCUUGGUGAUUUGUUUUUUAUAAAGGCUAGGAACACAAGGAAAAUUUUACUUGAAGGUGUUGCUAAAGGUGACUUGUAUAGAGUCUCUUCACAUGUUGCUGCUCAUUCAGUCUUUCUCAAUUCAGUUGGUCAAAAUAAAAUUCACUCUCUUUGCUUGUUCUCCUGUUUUCAAUUCUGAUCAGCUCACUGCUGUUAGUUCUUAUGAAUUGAAUAAAAAGCCAUGUCUGUCAGUUGUUACAAAGAGUUCUAUUGAUGUAAAUCUUCUUCAUAGAAGAUUAGGACACCCAGCAUCUUAUACUCUCAAAACUAUACUCAAAACUUGUAACAACUCUACUGCUUAUAAUAAAAUUGAAAGCUUGAAAUUUUGUUCAGCAUGUCAAUAUGGGAAAAAUCAUAUGCUGCAUUUUGAUUCAGUUGAAACAAAAACUUCAGCACCCUUACAAGUGAUAUAUGCAGAUCUUUGGGGUCCUUCUCAUGUCUGUUCUACCCAAGGAUAUAAUUACUACUUAUCAAUCUUAGAUGAUUAUAGUAGAUUUACCUGGAUAUUUCCAUUGUCAGCCAAAUCUGAUGCUCUUGAAGUGUUUACCAAUUUCAAAAUUUUUAUUGAAAAGCAUCUUCAACUUCAAAUCAAAACUGUCCAAACUGAUUGGGGAGAAGAGUUCAGAACAUUUUCCUCAUUACUCACUGCUUCUGGUAUCCAUUUUAGACACCCUUGCCCACAUAUUCAUCAUCAAAAUGGAAGAAUUGAGAGGAAACAUAGACACAUAGUUGAUGUAGGUCUGACCUUAUUAGCUCAAGCACAUUUACCACUCAAAUUUUGGUGGAAUGCAUUCCACACAGCUGUCUAUUUGAUAAACAGACUUCCAACUCCAAUUCUAAACAACAUUUCUCCUUUCCAAAAGUUAUUUCAUCAUCAACCAGAUUAUUCAACACUUAAAACCUUCGGUUGUGCUUGUUAUCCAACACUCAGACCAUACAAUAGACAUAAGUUUGAUUUCAGAACUGCCAGAUGUAUAUUCAUUGGCUACAAUUCACAACACAAGGGAUAUCAGUGUCUUCACUCUUCUAAGAGGGUUUACAUUUCAAAUCAUGUCACCUUUGAUGAAAAUUCUUUUCCUUAUGAGUCUGGAGCAGAUUUUUCUUCACUCUCUUCAAGUUGUCAGUCAACAAAAAAUUAUAAGUCUUCUUUCAAUUCCUCUGUUCCUUCUAUUACUCAGUUACAAGCACCUUUAGCAGCAUCAUCAGAACACCAUCAAAAUGUUCAUCAUUCAGAUGCUCCUACUCCCUCACCAAAUUCUACUCCACUUUAUUUUUCUGAUAAUUCCAACUCAGCUUCUUCUUCUUCACCACCACAUAAUUCACCUCCACAUACAUUGCCACAACCUGCAUCAACUGGUCAUCCAAUGAUAACCAGGUCAAAAGCAGGUAUUUUCAACCCAAAAAUUUAUUUGUCAGCUUUAUUAGCCCAGAAAUCAGAACCAACUUCUGUUUCCCAAGCACUUUCUGAUCCUAUGUGGUAUAAGGCUAUGCAAGAAGAGUAUCUAGCACUUAAAACUAAUCACACCUAGGAUUUAGUUUUACAUGCUACUCCAGUGAAGAUAGUUGGCAGCAAAUGGGUGUUUUGAAUAAAGUAUAACUCAGAUGGUUCAGUUUCAAGAUAUAAAGUCAGGCUUGUUGCAAAGGGGUUUCAUCAGACACAUGGGAUUGACCAUACAGAAACUUUUAGUCCAGUGGUUAAAGCUUCAACUGUUAGAGUUAUUCUUAGCUUAGCAGUAUUGAAUCAAUGGGUGAUUAGGCAAGUAGAUGUUAAUAAUGCCUUUCUAAAUGGCAUUUUAAUUGAAGAGGUGUACAUGGCUCAACCUGAAGGUUUUGUUGACUCAACUAAACCUAAUCAUAUCUGCAAGCUGAAUAAAGCUUUGUAUGGCUUAAAACAGGCACCUAGAGCCUGGUUUGAUAGAUUCAAGGAUGCAAUGAUCUCUAAACGGCAUUUCCAGCAUUCAAGGUCUGAUAACUCUCUGUUUCAUGCCUGGAACAGUGGUCAUCUAACUCUUGUUUCGGUCUAUGUUGAUGAUAUUAUCAUCACUAGUUCCAGUCCAACACUAAUUCAGCAAGUUAUUAAGAUUAUGAAUUUGCUUUAAAAGACAUGGGGGAACUUAGCUAUUUUCUGGGGAUUGAAGUCAGCAAGUCUUCACAAGGGGUUUCCUUGACACAAGCAAAGUAUAUUACUGACAUUCUGGAUAAACAUGGCAUGACAGAUUGCAGUCCUGUGCCUACUCCAAUGUCUACUGGUUAUUAUCUCACAAAAGAAUCAGGAGAGCUAAUUGAUAAUGUUUCUCAAUAUAGGAGUGUUAUAGGAGCUCUUCAAUAUGUUACUCUUACCAGACCUGACAUUGCUUUCUCUGUAAACAACCUAAGUCAAUUCCUUUCAAGUCCUAGAACACAACAUUGGGAAACAUGCAAAAGGUUAUUGAGGUACUUAAAAGGCACUAUACAUCUUGGGCUGCAAUUUAAUAACAAAGGAGCUUUGCAACUACAUUGUUUUUCAAAUUCUGACUGGGCUUGUGAUCGUGAUGAUAAGAAGUCAGUGGCUGGCUUUGCUGUUUACCUAGGCCCUAAUCUAGUCUCAUGGUCAUCAAAGAAACAAGCUGUUGUUUCCAGGUCCAGCACAGAGGCUGAGUAUAGAUCUCUUGCUCAUGCUGAUUCAGAGGUUCCCUGGUUACAAUCUUUACUUGGUGAACUUAACAUCAAAUUGAGCUCUACUCCUAUGAUGUGGUGUGAUAAUCAAGAAGCAAUUGCUUUAGCUUACAAUCCAGUCUAUCAUGCUAAAACUAAGCAUGUCGAAUUGGAUAUACAUUUUAUCCGAGAUAAAGUUACUGCUAAAGAGAUUGAAGUAUGUUUUGUGCCCAGUCAAGAUCAAACAGCAGAUGUGUUGACUAAGGCUUACUUUCAAACAGUUUAGUUACUUAAGAAGCAAGCUGAAUGUUCAUCCUAAACAUUUCAGCUUGAGGGGGGAUGUUAGUGAAUUGAAUGAAGUUGGAGCAGAGCAUGAUGUUGCUGUGUAGCUGACUGUAGCAGAUCAACUCACUAGGCUGACCUGGCAAAGUUAGUUAGCUGGUUGAGCUGAUGUGUCAAAUUAGUUAUGCAGCAAAUGGUUAUGUGAUGUAACAAACUUGUGUGUGUGUUGAGCAAAUUGUAGCUUAAUAGAAAUAUCAGUCUGUAUUCAUUCAGUUGUAAUGCUAGAGUAAUAAAGGUUCUACAAACUUCUUUACAGCGCUUUCUUUUAUUUUCUUUCAUUUUCUAGCUUGCCAAACAAUACAAAACUAAGUUUCUUUCAGAAAAGGAAAAAUAAAAAGAAAAGAAUAGUUACUGUUGAAAAUAAAGAUUCAAAGUUAUGAUUUCUUUGUAAUCUAGGCUAUUUUAGGAAUAAGUUAAAUUAUAAUGGGAAGAUUCAUUAGGAUUUUUUCCAGAUUUUGUUUCCUAUUAUUUAGGAAAGGAUAGAUGUAGUCUCCUAUUUUCUCUCCUAUUUUGCUGUAUAUAUUCCCUGUACAUACUGUUCUGGAAAGUAAGAAAAAGAGGAACCAAUUCACAUUUUUCUUCAUGGUAUCAGAGCCUGGCUCUAAACCCUAGUUCUCCUAUCAGCCGCCAUUUCCUUCUUCUCUCAUAAAUUGAACAAUCUACCUUCCUUCCUCUCCCAUCAAUUGUAUUCUCUGUGGCAAAAUACGGGAUGGCUUCCUCAUCAACCUCUGUUACAGUAUCACAGUCUAAAGGAAACGUGGAGACUGCAACUCAUGGUGGAAUUGAUUCUUCACCGAUCUUAAUUACCAGUCAUAAAUUGAACGGCCACAAUUAUCUCCAGUGGUCACAAUCUGUCAUGAUGUUCAUCUGUGGCAAGGGUAAGGAUGAUUAUCUCACGGGUGAGGCGGCCAUGCCAAAGGUAUCAGACCCUAGUUUCAAAAGGUGGAAGUCAGAGAACAACAUGAUCAUGUCAUGGCUUAUCAAUUCCAUGAACAAUGAUAUUGGUGAGAAUUUUCUUCUGUUUGGGACUGCAAAGGACAUAUGGGAUGCUGCAAAGGAAACCUAUUCUAGCUCUGAGAACACAUCAGAGUUAUUCCAGAUUGAAACCAUCCUCCAUGACUUCCGCCAAGGAGAACAAUCUGUCACUCAGUACUUUAAUACUCUGACUAGGCAUUGGCAACACCUUGAUCUAUUUGAAACAUACCCUUGGAAGUGCACCGACGAUACAACCUUGUACAAGAAGAUUGUGGAACAGAAGAGAACGUUUAAAUUUCUCCUCGGACUCAAUAAAGAUCUUGAUCAGGUUAGGAGCCGUGUACUCGGGACAAAGCCUCUACCACGCCCUCGUGAAGCCUUUUCUGAAGUUAGGCAUGAAGAAAGUAGGAAAAAGGUGAUGAUGGGGUCAUCAGAACCAACACUGGACGCCUCUGCACUUGCUGCCCGUGCAUCCAACUCUGUAGGGGUUAGUGAAAAUCGUACAAAGAAAGAAAGACCAUGGUGCGAUCACUGUCGUAAGGCAGGCCACUAUAAGGAGAGUUGCUGGAAAAUUUAUGGCAAGCCUGCUGAUUGGAAACCUCGUUCCAAAGGUGACCGUGAAUCUCGUGCUCAUGCAGCAUCCACCACGGACAAUCAGGCCCUACCCGAGCCAAAUCCAUUCAGCAAGGAGCAAAUGGAGAUUCUUCAAAAGCUUUUCGAUCAAGCCACUUUGAACUCCAAUGCAGGGACAAGUCUAGUGGCUCAGAAAGAGACUCAUUCAGCAUUUGCAGCCACUAAUGGAGCAAGCAAACCUUGGAUAAUUGACACUGGUGCUUCUGAUCACAUGACUGGAGAUGCCUCAAUGUUGCAGGAUUAUAAAGCUAGCAUCAACAGCACUUCAGUCUGGAUCGCAGAUGGCUCUCACACAAAAAUAGCAGGGACAGGUUCCAUCAGACUCACUAAGGAGUUACACCUUAAUUCUGUACUUUAUGUGCCUAAUUUGGCUUGCAAUUUACUUUCAAUCAGUAAAUUCACUCGUGAUCAGAAUUGUGUAACUAAAUUCUAUCCAAAUAUGUGCGUUUUUCAGGACUUGGAUUCGCGAAGACGAUUGGCAGUGCUGAGCUAUGUUCUGGACUCUAUCUACUCAAAAGCGAUCAAUCCUCCUUCAUACAAGAUUCGAGAGCAAACUGUGCCAAGUCCAAUAGUCUGUCAACUAGUUAUCCUCAUUCUAUUGUUAGUCCAAAUGUCAAUAACGAUAGUGAAAUUGUUCUGUUACACUAUCGAUUAGGUCAUUCUAGUUUCAUGUAUCUCGCAAAAAUUUUUCCCAAUCUAUUCAUCAAUAAAAACCCUUUAUCAUUUCAUUGUGAAAUUUGUCAAUUUGCAAAACAUACUCGAAAUGUUUAUUCAAGUGUUAAGUAUAAGCCUUCUCGUCCAUUUGCUUUAAUUCACAGUGAUGUGUGGGGUCCCUCAAGAAUUAAAAAUGUUUCUGGGGCUCGCUGGUUUUUGUCAUUUGUGGAUGAUCAUACUCGUCUCACUUGGGUGUUUCUCAUGAAAAACAAAUCCGAAGUUAGUCAAAUCUUCCAAAACUUUAACGCCAUGAUUCAAACCCAAUUCAAUACCAAAAUCCAAGUCCUUAAAACCGACAAUGCCAAGGAAUAUUUCAAAGACUCCCUCAGCUCAUAUCUUCUCCAUCAAGGCAUUCUUCACAUCAGUUCUUGUGUUGACACCCCGCAACAAAAUGGGGUCGCUGAACGCAAAAACAGACACCUUCUUGAAGUGGCUCGCUGUCUUUUGUUCUCAUCUCAUGUUCCUAAUUUUUUCUGGGGUGAAGCUGUUCUCACUGCAGCCUACUUAAUCAACCGAAUGCCUUCUAGAGUCUUGGGGUUUCAUUGCCCAAGAAAAGUUCUUCUCAAUUUCUUUCCACACACUAGGAUUGUUUCAGCAGAUUUACCACAAAAAAUAUUCGGUUGCACAGCAUAUGUCCAUGUUCACUCUCAACACAGGACUAAACUUGAUCCCCGAUCUCUCAAGUGUAUAUUUUUAGGCUAUUCUCCACAUAAAAAAGGAUACAAAUGCUAUUCUCCUCAUACCAGAAAAAUAUACAUUUCCAGAGAUGUAACAUUUGUUGAAAACCUGCCUUUAUAUUCCAAAACUGUUGUUCAGGGAGAGAGUAUGAGCGAACAUCAGCCUUGGGAAUCUUCUUGGCAAUCUUGGCUGGAAACCCCUCAUGAAAACCCUCAUAACUCAACCACCACACAUGAUCAAUCUAUCCAACAGCCACAAUCAGCAAUCCUCCCAACAUCUUCACAACCUUUUGAGUCAUCUGAGUCCUCCCAACCACAAUCAGCCGAGUCACCCCGUCAUCCAUCAGCCCAUCAACUACAGCCUCUAAUCUCACCUCUUCCACAGCUUGCUGUUGAUAAUCUUAAUGUUUAUAGGAGGAGAAGAACUGGAGAGCAGAUAGAGCACAGAACUCAGCCACAUGUCCAAGAAACUGAACCAAAUCCAAGCUCUUAUGAAGACAACACAGGUAUGGAUAGUCUUGCCUCGGUUGAGUUCAUGGUUCCAAGUGUGGAUGAUUCUAAUAAAUCAAUUGCAGAAAGAAAGGGGGUUCAAAGUUGUACCACUCAUCCAAUUGCCAAAUAUGUCUCAUAUGAUGGUUUGUCCCCAUCAUACCGAGCCUUUGUUUCUUCUUUAGAUAAUCUACAUGUUCCCAACAAUAUACAAGAGGCUCUCGGUCAUCCUGAGUGGAAGAGAGCUGUUCAUGAAGAAAUAAAUGCUCUUGAGAAAAAUGAUACAUGGGUUAUAACAGAUCUUCCUGCAGGGAAACGACCAGUUGGAUGUAAGUGGAUUUUUACUGUUAAAUACAAGGCAGAUGGAAGUGUUGAGAGCCUCAAAGCUCGUCUUGUAGCUAAAGGGUUCACACAGUCAUAUGGGAUUGAUUAUCUUGAAACCUUUGCUCCGGUUGCGAAGCUCAACACCAUUAGAAUCUUGCUCUCCUUAGCAGUAAAUCUAGAUUGGUACUUAUACCAACUAGAUAUAAAAAAUGCGUUUCUCAAUGGCGAUCUUGAAGAAGAAGUGUUUAUGGAAGUUCCCCAGGGUCUUGAUCUGAAUCUUACUAGAAAUAAAGUGUGCAAGCUCAAGAAAUCUUUGUAUGGGCUUAAACAAUCCCCUCGAGCAUGGUUUGAUAGAUUUGCGAAGGCAGUUGUGAGACUUGGUUACACUCAGUGUCAGGCAGAUCACACUUUAUUCCUCCGAACAUCACAAGCAAAGAAGAUCUCUCUCCUAAUCGUAUAUGUUGAUGACAUCAUUCUCUCAGGAAAUGAUGAGGAAGAACUGCAGAAGUUGAAGAAACAGCUAGCUCAGGAAUUCGAAGUUAAAGAUCUAGGGAAUCUGAAAUAUUUUCUUGGGAUGGAGGUGGCAAGAUCUAGGAAGGGAAUUGUUGUCUCCCAAAGGAAAUACACCCUGGACUUACUAAAGGAGACUGGUAUGAUUGGGUGCAAACCAGUAGAUACUCCUAUGGAUCCCUACAAGAAACUAGGCUCAGUUGAGAAUAGUGUUCCAGUCAAUAGAGGGAGAUAUCAAAGACUGGUUGGUCGUUUAAUUUAUCUCUCACAUACCCGUCCGGACAUAGGCUUUGUUGUUAGUGUUGUGAGCCAAUUCAUGCACAAUCCUACAGAGGAACACAUGGAUGCAGUCUUUAGAAUUUUGAAGUAUCUAAAGAUGACACCUGGAAAAGGAUUGUUUUUCAAGAAAUCAGAAUAUAGGAAUAUUGAGAUCUACUCUGAUGCAGACUGGGCUGGAGACAUCACAAAUAGAAGAUCAACAUCUGCUUACUGUUCCUAUGUCUGGGGAAAUCUAGUAACCUGGAGGAGUAAGAAACAAUCAGUUGUAGCUAGGAGUAGUGCAGAAGCAGAGUUCAGAGCUUUGGCAAAUGGAAUCUGUGAAGGAAUUUGGAUAAAGCGUGUACUCAAGGAACUCGGUGUGUGCAGCCCUUCAUCCAUUCUAAUGAGGUGUGACAAUCAAGCAGCAAUCAGCAUCGCAAAAAACCCAGUGCAUCAUGAUCGAACCAAACAUGUCGAGAUUGAUAGGCACUUCAUCUCAGAGAAGGUCACUAGUGGAAGUGUGGAACUAAAGUACAUUCCAACUAGACAACAAAUUGCAGACAUCCUUACUAAAGCACUGCCAAGACCUAACUUUGAAGACUUAAGUAACAAGCUGGGUUUGUAUGAUAUACACACACCAGCUUGAGGGGGAGUGUUGAAAAUAAAGAUUCAAAGUUAUGAUUUAUUUGUAAUCUAGGCUAUUUUAGGAAUAAGUUAAAUUAUAAUGGGAAGAUUCAUUAGGAUUCUUUCUAGAUUUUGUUUCCUAUUAUUUAGGAAAGGAUAGAUGUAGUCUCCUAUUUUCUCUCCUAUUUUGCUGUAUAUAUUCCCUGUACAUACUGUUCUGGAAAGUAAGAAAAAGAGGAACCAAUUCACAUUUUUCUUCAGUUACUUGUGCAGUACAGCCUUGACGCCUAGCUACAUGGUCCAUUCUCUUUGUGUCUUUGAACCAAUCAACAGCAACAAGAUCCAUUAAAUGUUUUCCCGCAGGUGUCUGCAGUUACAAAUUGCACAAAGCACAAGAGCCAACCAAACUACAUCAUAACAUGUCGACCUAGCAUAUGCAGGAUAUAUAAAUACCAUAACAAACAACCAAAAUAUGGGGGAACCUUUGUUUUGUCAUAACAAAAAUGCUUGCUACGAACUCUAAAGUUAUUUCCACCAGAAAGUUUCCAGCAGUCACGAGCAUUAUCACAGUCAUCGUGUCGCAGAUUGCCGGAAAAAUAAGACAAAUCAAUUUGAUCAGCCUGCUCUUCCUCUAGGGUAACAACUAAUUGAAAAUUAUAAACCAAAAAAAAAAAAUCAAUACCAUAAAAAUCCACUAAUGAGGACAUUAGCCAAAUAUACAAAAAUGAAUACUUAUCAUCCACCUGUCCUCUUGAAAUCAUUCUCAAUCUUUUUUUCAUUUGCCUGAAAUCCCAAGGAAAAAUAUGGAACUAAUACUUCCCAUUCAUGACUAUUGUCUGUCAUAUAAACAUGACAUUUAAUUGAAAUAGUAAAAUUAUUUAAUUAUUUUAAUUAAAUGUUAAUCCUAUAAAUUAUUUUUGUUAAAUCUAGCAAGAAUAACUAACAUUUCUUUAAGAUAUAUUUUGGCGGUAAAUUAAAAAAAAUUAAUUAUUUGGCGGGAAUUAUUGAAAUUGGAGCCAUUUUUUUGUGGGAAUUGAAAUAUAUUCUUUAAAUUAUUAUAUAAAAAGAAAAAUGUACAUACACACACAUAUAUAUAAUUUAUAUAUAAAAAUUCUCUAAUUUGUUCACAAGUAUCAUAGAUUAUAAUUCAGUUAUGAAAUAAAAUAACUACAAGGAAAAAUAUGUAACUAAUACUUCCCAUUCAUGACUAUUGUCUGUCAUAUAAACAUGACAUUUAAUUGAAAUAGUAAAAUUAUUUAAUUAUUUUAAUUAAAUGUUAAUCCUAUAAAUUAUUUUUGUUAAAUCUAGCAAGAAUAACUAACAUUUCUUUAAGAUAUAUUUUGGCGGUAAAUUAAAAAAAAUUAAUUAUUUGGCAGGAAUUAUUGAAAUUGGAGCCAUUUUUUUGUGGGAAUUGAAAUAUAUUCUUUAAAUUAUUAUAUAAAAAGCAAAAUGUACAUACACACACAUAUAUAUAAUUUAUAUAUAAAAAUUCUCUAAUUUGUUCACAAGUAUCAUAGAUUAUAAUUCAGUUAUGAAAUAAAAUAACUACAAUAAUUAUAGUUAAAUGAAUACUUCAUUAAUUCUUAAUUUGCUUCCUAACAUUAAAUGAACAACUUGAGCCAACCACCUGAAUCAACCAGUAACAACGCCUGAGUCAACCAUCUGAAAAAACCAGCAACCCUAGCUGAUUCAAGCACCUGCAAUUAACAUCAACACAUCAGGAACAAUCGUAAAUCAGCACCAAGAACAGACCAAACUGCCAUCAAAUGCCACAAAACCAAACAGUCUGCUACUGCCAUCAAAUGCAAGCAAACAUAUGCAACAAAACCAGAUGCAAGUGAAAAUCUGGAGAAUAUCGGAUAAACCAAACCAAAUGCCACACUUCUAGUAAUUAGACUAGAUGCAGUGUUCAAUUAAACUAAAUGUAGUCUCAUAUUACAUUCAAAGGUGAAAACACUGUAAAAAAAAAUACAGCCAAAACAAUUGUUUACUUUUAAGUUCUAACAAAGCGUAACAGUCCAAAACCAAAACAUCUUAACUACCAAGCAAACAUCUAACAUAAUUAUUAAAAUUAAAAAGGAAAAAACAUAGGAAUCUCAGUUCUUAUACAUUUUGUAUGCAUUUAGUAAGCACACGCACAUAGACCAUCUAUGCAUAACCUUCUUCUAGCCCACCUGCAGAUGUCACAGAGAAGAGACAUUUUUUGCAGCUUGAAGUGCUCCAAUUGCUUUGUGAAGGUCCAAUUGUAAGCCUAAAUAUUGAAUCCAUGAGUCCAUAUAAUUGAAGGCUGGUGGCGACUUUUGAGUACAAAUCAAGAGAGAGUGAAGUGUGAAUUUCUGCAUGGCCCAUAACUUCAUCCACGUAGCUAUUCACUUCUUUGCAGUGAAAAGUUCCUUAAUCCUGGCACUAAUGUUGGGCAUCAUUUUGAUUUUUCAAGCCCUUUUAGAACACUUAUUGAUUUAGGAAAUUAAGGGAGCCAUUGAAAGGUGACUAAAACGGAGUGAGUUAGGGGUCCUACCUCUCUGUAGGGCUCUCGAAUCGCGGGAAAUGAGCUCCAUUGUGACCUUCAUUUCCUCCUUUUCGGAAAAAUUAGUUCAUGGCGCUUACGAUGUGAGCAAUUACUCUUUCUGGUGUCCUGAUGGUUGAUAACAGAGACUUUCAGCCUCGCUGCCUCAGGUAAGCUUGAUGGGAGGACCAGAUGUCAUACAAAAAAUAAAAGCUUUCUUUUCUCGGUAAAAGCAUGCGCAUUUUUCUGUAAGUGGGGAAGAGGCCGCGCCGUCAACACUGCAUCGGUGAAGAUGGGUGGUGGUUGUUGGUGGAGAAACGGAGGGAGGUGGCGAUUCUGAGACUUGUUGCGAUUUAGGGUUGGCCGGUUGGGUUUGGGGGAAAUUGGGUAAAGCAAAAUGCAUUUUUGUUGUUAUAUAUAUAUAUAUAUAGAUAUAUAUAUAGUAGUUGGAUUAGCUAAAAGACAAAAAAAUUUAAAUUUUACUACACUACAUGAUAAAAUACAGUGCAUUGGAGUAUGUGUUUAUUUUGUCUUUUAACUAAUCCCUGAUUGGAAAACUACUAUAUAUAUAUAUAUAUAUAUUUUUUUUUUACUUAAUAAAAAAGUGGGCACGGGUCCGGGUUCCGGAUUCUUGGUGCUGUGACCGGACCCGUGCCCGGAUCCGCUUUUUCCAUGCAUCCGAUCCGGGUUUUACCCGGACCGUAUGCACCAGGUCCAGUCCGGAUCCGGUCUGAGCGGGCUUUUCUGCCAUCUCUACAGUGGAGAGAGGGAUUAAUUCAACGCUUAGCCAAAAUUUGGCUGCGAGUGUUAAUGGGUUUUAAGUUAUACAAAACGGUGUCGUUAAUUUAAACGGCAUUGUUUUACAAUCUUAUAAGUUCACAAAACUUAAGCAUGACUUAUAUGUAUAAUUUAUUUACGAUGGUUAAGUUAUAAGUCAUGAAUAUGUCAUAUACUCUGGACAUGAAUAUAUAUCACGAAUCUAUCAUAUUUUCAUGACACAUUCGUGACAUAACGAUAUAUGUUAUAAAAUUUCUGUCAUUAUUUAGUAUUUUUCUAGUAAUGUCAGGUCUUUAAAACCUUUCUAUUAAUAACAAAAACUCUAAUCCUUUAGCAAAAGACUAAAAAUUUUAAAAAAAUCUGUUUAAAUAUCAGUUGGCUCAUAAUCAACACUUCAAUAUUGUUUGUUGUAUUUUCUUUCUUUCUUUUUUUGUCAUUUUAUUAGAUUUGCUUUGUAUCAUGGUUUGUUUUGCUUAAGUAAUUGUUCAUUAUUUACGUCUGUGUUCUUACUAGCUUUUGAUAAUUUAUGGUUGGUUUUUUAUUCAGACCCUCGAAGUACCUUUUUGUUAAUAGCAAAACCUCUGAUCCUCAAGAAAGAAAAAGAAAUUCUCUAUUUAAUUAUUAGUUAGUUCAAGAUCAAUAUCGCAAUAUUGUUUGCAGUCUUUUCAUUCUCUGUCUUUCCCACUAGUUCAUUUUAAUUUAUCUGUAUUCCUUUCUUUGACACUUGUAUUUAUUUAUAUAGAUUGUUAAGCAACAGGCAAUGGCUGCAGAAGGGUGUCUCCCUACUUUUUCUAGCAUUGUAUCACAAGGUUCAAAAGCAUUAUUCAAACCGAUUAUGUGGCACAUAUCUUAUGUGUUCCGAGUACCAGAGCUACAUAGAUGGGCUAAAAGAUUGAGUGAAGGAGCUGGAAUAUAUAAGAGAAAGGGUGCAAAUGCUGGUUAGAGAGGCUACUCUACAAGGAGAUGAGAUUUAUAAGGGUGUCAGAGACUGGCUAAAUAGAGUUGCUGAAUUCAGUGAAGGGGUUGCAAAAUCAAUCAUUGAUGAUAAAGAUAGAGCUAAGAUGUUCUGCUUCAAAAGGUUGUGCCCAAAUUUGAUUUCUUGUUACAAGCUUGGUAAACAAGCAGCAGAGGCCGCAAACGAAGCUGAUAAACUUGUGAAGAAAGGCGAAUUUAACAUUUGUAAUCAUGUUUCCUACCGUCCUGCUCCAGAGAGUACAGAAUAUGUGCAAGUGAAAGAUUACGUAGCCUUUUAUUAUAAUAUCUUUUCACUCUAUUAACUUAAAAAAGAUUGACUUCAAUAUUAAAAAUGUAACAGUAUAUACAUUUUAUAAUAAUUUCAAUAUUUAAAAAAUAUUUGAAUACUUUACAAUCUUAUAUUAUAUUAAACUACAUUUUAUAAUAAAUAGAAACAUAAUAUUAAAAUAAAUAUAUAAAAUUUUAAGUUAGGCUUAAUAUUAUUUAAAAUAAUUUAAAUAUCAUUAAUACAUGAGAUAUAUUAUAUUAAUUAUAAAUUCUAUUUAAUCUAAAUAUAUAUUUAAAGUUUUAUACUAAAAAUAGAUAUAUUAUUAAAAUAAAUAUAACAACUAACAUUUUAAAGAUUAAUACUGAAAUUAAAAUUAUAAAUUAUAUUAAUCUACUAAAAAGAUUCAUCUAUUUGACACUAGCAGCGGACAAUGAGGUCACGGCAUAGGACAAGCAGUUAUCGUGACCCAUGGACUUUUCUACUUCUUUUGAAAAAAAAAAAAAUAUCAAAGUCAUUGAAGUGCGUUUGAUGAUAUGCUGUGUAGCUUCUCUCUCAAAUGCUUUUCGAGUGCCUCCAGUAUCUGCUUUUAUAUAAGCUUUUGUCUUUAAUCAUUCAUUCAAGCUUUCGCUAAGAGUGAUGCAGCACAGCACGUAAAUAUAGAAGCAUUGACAGCCGUAGUCAGGAGCUCUUCGGUAUUUGAAGCAAGAAUGGUUGUUUGGCUUUGUGCAUUGAAAGAGAAAAGAAAAAAGAAAGACUAAUUUCAAUAAUACAAUUUAAUUAAUUAAUUUAAAAUAAUAAGCAAAUAAUAAUGAUGAAAUUAAUUAAUAAAAAGAAGAAAAUGAAAAUUGCACGUGCUACUAGCAUAAACCAAUUGCCGGAAUGAGGUCACUUUGUAGACAAAUGAUUCUGGAAUCAGAACUUGGGCCAGCUUUGGGUUAUGGAUCCAAAAUAAAAAUAAGGUGGGCCACAUGGUCUCUUAUGAUCAAUAAAAAUCGAUUGAAAAGGAUGGUAUAGUGAGUGGAAGAGAAAUGCCGAUGGCAGAUCAAGGGAUGAAGAUACGAGCUCACUUGCAACGUGGUAUAGUUCAUCAUGGCUGGCUUUCCUAUAAGUUCAGGUCCUUUGAAUACUUUCAAUGACCUUAUUAGUCAGGAAUUUAACAAUAAUUUUUAUUUUUUACAUCCAGGAACGGUUUUAAGCAUAGGCAAAUUAGGCCUAUAAUAGCAAAUCCUCUUUUUUAACAAUUAAACAAUUAGGAAGUCUCCCUUUUUUAUUUUUGGUAUUACUUAUAAUAGCAAAUCUUCUUUUUUAGGCCUCUUUUUAGUUAGUAAUUAUCUUAUAAUUAAGAAUUUUUAUACACAUUCUAUCUUUGAUAACCUUAAUAUUAAAGAUCUCUAAUUAAUAGUAUUAUCUAAUUGUUAAUUUAUUAUUAGUUUUUCCAAGAAAAAAAUUAAAAUCUUUAUCUAUUUAAUACUUCAGUUUUUUUUUCGUCAGUGGCAGAUAAAAGAGUCGGUUUUUCCGUUACUAAGCUUUUUAUGGAUGAAUUUUUUUUUAUAAUUUCUUUGUUUUAUAGGUUCUCUGUGAAUGCCAUUAGAAAUGAGAUUGACUAAUUCAAACUUCCUUUUUCCCCUUAGCAUCCAAACGUGUGAGGCAAGGGCAACUAAUGAGUCCAUUGUGAUGAGAACCUUUGUCUAAGCAAAAGCAGAGGUCAAUUGCUAAUACCGUACUGUUAUUAGUUUCAGUGCUUAAAUUGCUCCAUAAGUUUGCAUUUUAAAGUCUCUGUCUUAAUUUCUGAGGUAUACUGCUAAUGAGACCUCCUGCCAAGUUCAAGUUUGUUGUGAUGGCUACUUUGUCAUAUAACUGACUGUGAGAGGCCAUCAAUCAGCUCUGUUUUGUAAUUUUGUACCUUUUUUUUUCAUAUAAUGAUCAAUCAAAUGUUAGCCCUUAGAUUGCAACCAAUAUUUACUGAUUGUCUUAUAUAGGAUAUAAACUAAAUUCAUAAGACAUUCCCUUAUUGAUAUUCAUUCCGACACGUCCUAGUCUUUUGCCUUGUAGAAAUGCUUGUGGUUGAAGAGCUUUACAGAGAAGCUGUCGUCAGUACUGCGCGGAAAUUGAUUAUAUUGAAUCAGAAAACUUGACCAGAUAAGGUCUGUGUGCAUGAGAAUACUUGAGGAAAGCUUCACAAUACUGAGGGCCGGAUCUGCACUCUUUCCUCUAUAUGUGUCUUCAAUAUCAAUGGCUCAAAUACAUGUGUUAUGGUCUUUUAAUAUAUAUAAAAUACCAUUAUCUCAUGCGUUAUGGUCUUAUCCUUGUAUUCUUAAAAACUACAUAAAAUACCGUUAUCUCUGCUUUUGUAGCUAUUGAAUUCGACUUUCACAACAUAAAUAUUUAUUAGCAACAACUUAAAAUCCAAACAAAUCUAACAUGCAAUGUAUCAAUUACAUAUUAUGAUUAAACAGAUUUUGAUUAUUUAUUAUUAAAAUAUAUUCUCAUUAAUAUCUUAAGGAUAGGUAAUACUCACAUAAUUUUUUUAAAAAUCAAACCCAAAUUAUAUGCAUUGUUAAUGUGUAUUAUUGUCUAAUAUUUGGAUUUUACUAAUUUACAACUGCUAUAAUGUACGGCCUCUUCAAACAUAAUGUGGGUCCCACCACGUGUUAAAUUUUUUACAUUAUUUUUGAAGGAAUUGUAAGUUACAGCAGCUGUAAAUUAGCAGCACCUCCAAUAUUUUACUUUACUUCCCCUAAUAUUUUACUUGUACUUUUAUAUCUUUACAAAACAAUACCAACAAGACAAUAAUGUAUGAAAUAAAUAAAAUAAAUAAAUAAAGAACUGACAACGAAAUUAGGCCUAUCAUUAAUUUCUCUUGGUGUGAACUCUUGACAAUUCUCCCAUAUCCCACCUAAAGCUCUCGCAUGGUGUGAACGCUUGACGAUUCUCCCAUAUCCCUCCAAAAAUUUGUCAUAUUGCGAAAAACAAUGUCAAUUCAAUAUCGUCUCCAUUAGUCAUAGUGGCAGAUAGGACUAGAAUUUGUUGAAACCCUUGGACUUAUUUUUCCUUUUGAAAAUAAUUUUGUAGAAUCUCAUAUCGUGAAUAACGGACAAUGAGACUCUUUUUUUUAACUAUAAUAUUUUUUUAAAAUUAUUAACUAAAAAAAUUAAUUUUAAUAUUUUAUAAUAAAUAUAAGUAGGAUAUUAAAAUAAAUAUAAUAAUAUAUACAUAUUAAAAUAAUUUCAAUACCAAAAAAUAUUUUAAUAGUUUACAAUCUCGUAUUCUAUUAAACCAAAUUAUAAUAAAUAGAGACAUAAUAUUAAAAUAAAUAUAUAAAAUUUUAAAUUAUUUUCAAUAUCAUAUAAAAUAACUUUAAUAUUAUUAAAACGUGAGAAAUAUUAUAUUAAUUAUAAAAACUAUUUAACCCAAGGAUUUGUUUAAAAUUUUUAUAAUAAAUAUAUUAAAUUACAUUUUAAAAAUUAAGUAUUUAAAUUAUACAUACUAGUCUACUAGAAAAUUUAAACUAUUUAAAUCAUAUUUACAUUUAGUAAAAAAUUUUGAAGUCAUUUUUUUUUUUGUGAAUACCAUAAGAGUGCUAUAGUCAAAAAGGGUAUUGGUGUUCUUUAUUAAAAGUUUGGGGUCUACAUGACUAUUUUCUAAAAUUUUAAGGGUGUCAUUUUAUUUUUGAAAAAAAUAAAAAUUUCAUUUAAACAGCUAAAAUGGUGAAUAGUACAAUGCUACAGUGGGCGUAAAUGGAAGGUAAAAAGCAAUCAGAUUUUGAUUAAACAUGCAAUGUAUGAAAUAUAUAUUAUAAUUAUACAGAUUUUGAUUAUUUAAUAUUAAAUUAUAUUCACAUUAAUAUCUUAAGGAUAGUUAAUACUCAAAUAAUUUUUCAAAAAAUCAAACCCAAAUUAUAUGCAUUGUUAAUGUGCGUUAUUGUCUAAUAUUUGGAUUUUGCUAUGUCACAACUACUGUAACUUAAAGCCUCUUCAAACAUAUGUCGAUCCCACCACGUGUUAAAUUUUUUACAUUAUUUUUUAAGGGAUUGUAAGUUACAACAGCUUAACUUAGCAGCACCCUAAUAGUUUAUUUUACUUUUAUAUCUUUACAAAACAAUGCCAACAAGACAACAAUGUAUGAAAUAAAUAAAAUAAAUAAACAAAGAUCUGACAGCAAAAUUAUGGCUAUCAUUGGUUUCUUGUGGUGUGAACUCUUGACAAUCCUCCCCAAUCCCAUCCAAAACUCCCGCGUAGUGUGAACAUUUGACGAUUCUCCCAUAUCCCUCCAAAAAUUUGUCAUAUUGCGAAAAGUAAUGUCAAUUGCAAUGUCGUUUUCAUUAGUCAUAGUGGCAAAUAGGACUAGAAUUUAUUGAAACCCCUCGACUUAUUUUUCCUUUUGAAAAUAAUUUUGUAGAACCUCAUAUCGUGAAUAAAAGACAAUAAGACUCUUUUUUUUAAUUAUAAUAUUUUUUAAAUUUAUUAACUAAAAAAAUUAAUUUUAAUAUUUUAUAAUAAAUAUAAGUAGGAUAUUAAAAUAAAUAUAAUAAUAUGUACAUAUUAAAAUAAUUUCAAUACCUAAAAAUAUUUUAAUAUUUUACAAUCUCGUAUUCUAUUAAACCAAAUUAUAAUAAAUAGAGACAUAAUAUUCAAAUAAAUAUAUAAAAUUUUUAAUUAUUUUCAAUAUCAUAUAAAAUAAUUUUAAUAUUAUUAAAACAUGAGAAAUAUUAUAUUAAUUAUAAAAUCCAUUUAACCCAAGGAUUUGUUUAAAAUUUUUAUAAUAAAUAUAUUAUUAAAAUAAAUAUAUUAAAUUACAUUUUAAAAAUUAAUUAUUUAAAUUAUACAUACUAGUCUACUAGAAAAUUUAAACUAUUUAAAUCAUAUAUACAUUUAGUAAAAAAUUUUGAAGUCAUUUUUUUUUUGUGGCUACCAUAAGAGUACUAUAGUCAAAAAGGGUAUUGGUGUUCUUUAUUAAAAUUUUGGGGUCUACAUGAUUAUUUUCUAAAAUUUUAAGGGUGUCAUUUUAUUUUUGGAAAAAAAAAUUCAUUUAAACAGCUAAAAUGGUAAAUAGUACAAUGCUACAAUGGCGUAAAUGGAAUGUAAAAAGCAAUCAAAAUGACCAACAGUCUAACGCCUCAUCAGGGACAUAAAGUCAAAGUUUGUUGCAUGUGGUCAGGGCCAUUUAGUCUGUGAGUGGGUCCUGCAUGUCAUUUUUGGGCAUUUCAUCUUCUUUAGCAUUGAAGAUUAAAUGUUGACGACAUUUUCAAAAUUUUGGAAGACCCAUUAUACUUUUGGAUGGCUGUCAUUACUUGAUAUUAUCAUUAUAUGAUGAAAUAAAAUUGGAUGUAACACUUGUUUCGCGUUGUGGGAACUUUUGACAAUUCCCCAUAUCUCCUAAAAAUCUUUCGCCAUUUUGGGAAGAUGCCAUUUAUUUUCAUUUUCAUCAUUGAUAUUGGCAGAUAAUGGGGUCCGAGGACAGACCAUAAAUUAUUGCGACCCAUGGACUUUUCUAAUUUUUUUUUUUCCUUUGGAUAGUUUUCGUUAUUUGAUAGAAGGAGAUAGAGAUAAAGUUUUUUAAUCAAAUGCCCAUUUUAUUUAACAUGGAAGAAGAUCUUUAAACUCUAAGCGAGGCUAUCACUUCAACAGAUGCAGCUUCAAAAAAGAGGUAACAAGUGAUGAGAUAGACUCAUUAUUGUCUAAUCAAACAAGGACAUCGGUAGAUGUAUCAGGAUCUUAAGUUAGAUUGGAAUUUGAUACAUUGUUGUUCGUAACGUUGGUUCAAACCUUUAAAGCAAGGUUGGAUGCAAAAUGGUUUACACCAAAGACGUGAUUUAGGAAGUUAAUUAACGUUAUUUUAGAUAAUUUAUAAUUCUAAAAUAUUUAUUAUUUUAUGGUUUUCUAUUUUUGUUUGAGUCAAUUAUGGUAUGUAUCUUAAUCUUUUAUUUCCAUUAUAAUUAUAAUUUAAAUUUUCUUUUUAGGUUAACUUAGGAAAGUGGAUUUCUUUUAUUAUAAAUAAAGAUGUCUGUAAUAAAAAAAAUAAAGAUGUCUUGUCAUUGUUUUCAGGACUUCAAAUUCAAUUAUUAAAUAAAACUCUUUUUUUUAUAAUUUCCUCUAGUAUUAUUUAUCAAAAUCUCUCUUAUAGAGUUAUUUAAAUUAGAGUGUCAUCUAAUCUCGUAUUACGCGUUAUUAAAAAUCUCAUUGAAUCAUUUAGAUUAAAACAAUAUCUAAUCACGCUUUGAUUAAAGCGUAAGUUAAUUGUGUUGGCUUGAUCCAGUACUAGAAUGAUAUUUAGUAUUUCUUACCUUAUCAAUUCCACUUCCGCUACGCUCGCUCCAUCAAUUGGUAUCAAAGCAAUUCUGUGCGAAUCACACAUCUUUCCUAGAUACACCAUACCCAUCCAAACCAAAUCCAUCAAAAAAAAAAAUUACAAAUUUGAAAACCCUACCCGUCAGACCAACCCCCACCGCCGCCCACCACCGCCAAUCAGCCAGCCAACACCACCACAAACCUCACUAGCCACCGUCGACCAAGCCUCAGUCAUCGCUGCCUCAACCGCCGCUUGAACAGCCGCAAAUCACCAACCCAAACCUGCGGCUCCACCAAGCAACCCACCACCAUUCAGCCACUUUCUCCACCAGCCACCUCCACCAACAAACUCGCCGGCCUUCGUUGACCAAAAACUGACCGACUUCGGCCCUUGAUCGCCGCCCUCUGUCACCACACGAAACGACAACCCACGAGUGCUUCCUACACGCGCCGCCACCAAAACACCUUCUUUUUCCGUCAAUUUACACCACCACCAUAAUCCCUAGCAGUCGGCAACCGUAAAUCCAGUCUUCCGCCACUGUAAAGCCGCCAUAAACCAAAAGCCACAUCACCAAAAUCAACCGCCAAUUCAAGUCGGAUUUUCCCCAAUUCAGGUUGCUGAAUAUAAAAAGGACUCAUGAAAAUUACCUAAAGUUUCAAAUAUUGUUAUUCAGCAACCACUUUUAUGGUACAUUAGUUUCAACCCAAAUUUUAUAUAAAUAAUUUAUAACUCCCAUUAUUAUUAUAAAAAAAAAUUGUAGCAAUUGUGGUUAUAUCACAUGAAAAAAAAAAUCUAAUUAAAGAAAUUAACAUUAUAAUUUAAGGGAUAGUUGCUCUUUUAAUCAUUAGAAUUUAUGUCAAUUAUCCAGCUUAUCCUUGCAUUCUUAAAAACUAUAUACAAUACCAUUAUCUCUGCUUUUGUAGCUAUUGAAUUUGACUUUGACAACAUAAAUAUUUAUUAGCAACAACUUAAAAUUCAAACAAAUCUAAUAUGUAAUGUAUGAAAUACAAAUAAUAAUUAAACAAAUUUUGAUUAUUUAAUAUUAAGAUAUAAUCACAUUAAUAUCAUAAGGAUAGGUGGUACUCAAAUAAUCUUUUAAAAAUCAAACCCAAAUUAUAUGCAUUAUUAAUAUGCAUUAUUGUAUAAUAUUUAGAUUUUGUUAAGUUACAACUACUAUAACUUAAGUCUCUUAAAAAAUAUGUGAGUCCCACCACCUAUUAAAUUUUUUACAUUAUUUUUGAAAAAAUUACAAGUUACAUCAGUUGUAACUUAACAGCACCCCUAGUAUUUUACUUUACUUUUAUACCUUUACAAGAACAAUAAUGUAUGAAAUAAAAAAAAUAAAUAAAUAAAGAACUGACAACGAAAUUAGACCUAUCAUUAGUUUCUUGUGGUGUGAACUCUUGACAAUCCUCCCCUAUCCCACCUAAAGCUCUCGCGUGGUGUGAAUGUUUGACAAUUCUCCCAUAUCCCUCCAUAAUAUGUCAUAUUGCGAAAAGCAAUGUCAAUUGCAAUGCCGUUUCCCAUUAGUCAUAGUGAUAGAUAGGACCAGAAUUUUUUGAAACCCCCGAGGCCCUAAACUUGUUUUUCCUUUUGAAAAUAAGAAAAUGGCACCUGUCUAGAGAAAUAAUUUAUUAGAACCUUAUAUCAUGAAUAACGGCCAAUAAGACUUUUUUUAAAUUAUAAUAUUUUUAAAUUUAUUAACUAAAAAAAUUAACUCUAAUAAUUUAUGAUAAAUAUAAAUAGGAUAUUAAAAUAAAUAUAAUAAUAUAUAGAUAUUAAAAUAAUUUCAAUAUCUAAAAUAUUAAUAUUUUACAAUCUCGUAUUCUAUUAAACCAAAUUAUAAUAAAUAGAGACAUAAUAUUCAAAUAAAUAUAUAAAAAUUUAGGUUAUUUUCAAUGUCAUAUAAAAUAGUUUUAAUAUUAUUAAUACCUGAGAAAUAUUAUAUUAAUUGUAAAAUCUAUUUAACCUAAGGAUUUAGUUAAAAUUUUAAAAUAAUUACAAAUAUUUUAUAAGUACAAAUAAAUUAAUUUACAUUUUAAAAAUUAAUAUUGAAAUUAAUUAUUUAAAUUAUAUAUAUUAGUCUUCUGGAAAAUUUAAAUUAUUUAAAUCAUAUUUACAUUUCGUAAAAAAUUUUAAGUCAAUUUGUUUGAUUACCACCUGCUAAGGGUAUUGUAGUCAAGGGGAAUAUUGGUAUUCUUUAUUAAAAAUUUGGGAUCUACAUGAUUAUUUUUCUAAAUUUUAAUGGUGUCAUUUUAUUUUUGACAAAAAUAAAAUUUCAUUUAAACAACUAAAAUGAUGAAUAAUACAGUGCUACAGUGGCGCAAGUGGAAGGUAGGAAACAAUCAAAAUGAACAGUCUAACGUCACAGCAGGCAUAUAAGGCCAAAGUUUGUUACAUCCCAAUACAAAAAGUUUGAAACUUUGCACCUUCUGAAAUGAAACAAACUUACUUGGAUAUUGGUGAUCAGUGAGAAAAGCCCUUUUUCAAAAGCAACCUUAGGGUACCGAGUGUUACAGAUUCAAUGAACCACAAAUACUUAUUUACAUUGUAGUAUCUCAAAGGCACCGAUUUCUUCUGAUCCGUUAAGGAAAACAAGAAAAAUAAAAAGAAAAGAAAAAGGGUACUUGUGCCACACAACCUUGACGCCUAGCUACAUGGUACAUUCUCUUUGUGUGUUUGAACCAAUUAACAAUAAUGGUGCCUUUACUUCUUGGACUGGAGAAUCGAAAUCCGAAAUCGAAAUCAUUAAUGAUGUUUACUUCAUAAAAUGGAGGCUGGGAUCCGAAUCAGAACUAUGGGGACCACCCAAAUUAGGAGUGAGGAAUGGAAGAUUGAUUCCUAAGGAAGGUGGUGGGAAUCAAUCCCCCAUUCCCAAGAUUGAUCAUUUUGCCCCCUCUCACAAACUAUAAAAUAUCUAUUUUGUCCUCAAUUAAAAAAUUAUUAUGAUUAAUUAAUAUAUGUUUAUAAUUUAUUAAUAUAACUAUUCUAAUCAAUUUAUAUAUAUUUUAAAUAUAUUAUUAUUAAAUAAUUAAUAUAUUAUUAUAAUUAAUUAAUAUAUUUUGAAUUUUUAUUAUUAUCGUCAUCAUCAUCAUUAUUAUUGUUAUGAAUGAUAAAUUUUUUUACAAUUAAUUAGUAUAUUAAUAUAUUAUUGACAAUAAUUAAUAAUAAUAAUAAUUUUUGAAUAAAUAAAUAAAUAAAAUUAAUUACUGAAUUUGAACAUUUUACAAUUAUUCUAUUAUUUGGACUUAUCGAGAACUUACAUGCAGCGUAGCUAGUUUGCUAGCAUAUGUAAGGUUUAAUUUGAAUGCAUGCAGCAUUGAGAAGAGACAACGCAGAAACAAAAUUUCCGCUUGCAAUCUUUUCAUUUCCCUUUUUAAUAACAAGCAAAAUAGAGGAUAAACAGGGACUUUGUUUUAAUUCUCCUGUUUUUCUGUUUGGUGAUUUUAAAAUUUUAUGUCUAUAUUUAUCAAAAAAAGUUAUCCAAAAUUAUUAUCUAUUUUUGAUACACGUUGAUUUAUUAAAAAAAAAUUAAAAACUUCAUUUCUAAAUUUAUCGUUGUGCUUUGACCUUGGGGUGGUUUUUUUCUGUUUUUUUACGUAGGCCAGAACCUUAAUGAAGAAAGUUUUCAUCGUUAAUUGCUUUUGACCUAGGAGAAUUUAUUCUUGGACAAAUUAACACCUUUGUCUUUUGAUGCGGCUCCUAGAUAUCUAUGCAAUUUGUGUCAUUUACUUUUGCUUUGUAUUCUUUUUUAAAUGAGUCCCGAUUGGUUCAUUUGCAGAUAAAUGAGUCAGUUUUUCUGUUUUUAUUUUUUGAAAGACGGUUUUUCUGUUACGAAGCUUUUCAUGGAUGAAUAUUUUUUUUUUAAUUUUAUAGAUUCUCUGCGAGUUUUGUUAGGUAGAAGGGUAUUUAAGUAUUUUCAUUUCAUAUUUUGACAUUUCCUUGACCUUUGAAGUAUUGAAUCAUUGUGCAGGUAUUUAAGUAAAUCUGCCCACAAUGAAGAAUAGUUCAGAACAGUUGCGGAAGAUAAAUGGCUCAAAUAUAUGCGUUAUGAUCUUUUAAUAUUUCGCCUCUGAUAUUGUCCACAUUGCUUACUGCAAUAGAUAAAGCACUUCGUUUACCCCAAAUCCUGAUAGGGAAGUAUAAAUAUGUGCUUCCGAAAUAGUGCAACUCUCCAUAAUUAUUUAAUAUGCCUCUCAAUGAAGCAAUCACCUUCAUUUACAAUUCUUCGAUUAUUAAUCCUACAUACACGUGUUUCUUUUGUCUCUAAAAGUAUCCUCAAUUAAUUUACAUAAUUUAAUAUAAUAAGUACCUAAGACUAGACAAAUUAUCAUUAUAAUAGUAUUGACACAAUAAUGUCAAUAAUAAAUGCCUUAACAAACCUAUAAAUUUUAGAAUAUGGCUCAGAGUGCUACAAUGAACCACAACAAGUUAUUAUAUUGUCUAUAAUCAAUAUUCCAAUGGUAAUAGAGUUUUUUUAUUUUCAAUCCGCUGCUUUUCUGUUUAGCGAUUGCCAAAUUUUAUAUCUAAAAUUCUUCUAAUUUUAUAUCUAAAAUUCUUCUAAUUUUACACUAAGGUUUAUUUUUUCAAAAAAGGGGGGGGGGGGGGGGGGGGGGGGGGGCAGGAGAGAGAGACUUAGAGAGUAUUAAAAAAUGUAAUUCUAAAUUUUUACUUGAGUGUUGUGUGAUUUUGAUCAUUUUUUUAAAGUUGGCCAUUUAUAUUGAAUAAAUAAAAUAACGAAUAGACGUUUGGACCACUUCUUUUCUGUUAUAAUAAAACAUGAGAUGUCUUCUCUUGAUGUUUUCGUCACAAAAGAAUAUGUUUAAUUAUGUCAUCAUAGGCUUAAAUGGGAUGCCUUUUCUGUUAUAAGAUCGAGAACAAGUUUGUUUAAGCACUAGAGCCGCUAAAUAAAAGAAAGGCUCAUAUAAAAAUUACCUAAAGCACCAAAUAUUGUUAUUCAGCUACUUCUUUUAUGUUACAUUAGUUUCUACGCAAAUUUAUAUAAAUAAUUUAUAACUCCCAUCAUUAUUUAAAAAAUAAAAACCAUAGCAAUUGUGGUUAUAUCAUGUGGUGUGAUCUUUUGACAAUCCUCCCACAUCCCACCAAAAACUCUCACAUGGCGUGAACUUUUGACAAUUCUUCCAUAUCCCACCAAAAAUUUGUCAUGUUGCGAAAGGCAAUGUCAAUUGUAUUGUCAUUUCCAUUAGUUAUAGUGGCAGACAAUGUAGUCCCGGGAUAAGACUAGAAGUUUUUGAAACCCAUGGACUUAUUCUUACUUUAUUUUUUCUUUUGAAAAUGAGAAAAGGACACCCGUUUCGGGAAAUAAUUUUGUAGAAUCUCAUAUCGUGAAUAAGAGAUAAUAAGACUUUUCUUUUUUACUUUACUGCAAUACUCUUUAAUUUUAUUAAUUUUAUAUUUUAUAAUAAAUAUAAAUAUGAUACUAAAAUAAAUGUAAUGAUAUAUACAUAUUAAAAUAAUUGGAUAUUGAAAAAUAUUUUAAUAUUUUACAAUCCCGUAUAAUAUUAAACCAUAUUAUAAUAAAUAGACAUAAUAUUAAUAUAUAUAUAAGUUUAAAUUAUUUUGAAUAUCAUAUAAAAUAAUUUUAAUAUUAUUAAUAAAUCAGAAGUAUUACAUUAAUUGUAAAAUCUAUUUAAUCCAAGGAUUUAUUUAAAAUUUUUAUAAUAAAUUAAAAAUAUAUUGGUUAACAUUUUAACAAUUAAUAAUGAAAUUAAUUAUUUAAGUUAUAUAUAUUAGUCUACUAGAAAAAUUUAAACUACUUCAAUCAGAUUUACAUUUAAUGAAAAAAUUUGAAGUUAAUUUUCUUUUUAUCAUCUACUACGAAUCUUGUAGUUAAAAGAGGUAUUGACAUUCUUUAUUAAAAAUUUGAGGUCUACAUAACUAUUUUUUUUUUUAUUUUAAGGGUGUCAUUUUAUUUUUGACAAAAAUAAAAUUUCAUUUAAAUGGCUAAAAUGGUGAAUAAUACAAUGUUACAGCUGGCGUAAAUGGAAGGUAGGAAACAAUCAAAAUGACCAACAGUCUAAUGCCACAGCAAGGACAUGAGGUCAAAAAAUUCCCUUAUUAAUUAGUAAAAGAGAGUCACUUGGGCUUAUGGCGGGCAAAAUCGGAUAUAGAUCAGAUUCAAAUUAAUCCGAUAAAUUUGAUAUUGUUUGCAUUGAUAAAAAAAGUCACCCAAAUGCAAUCUAAACAUGUGUGUGUGUGUAUACAUAUUUGUUAUAAAUUAAAGUUACAAAAGUCUUUAACCAAGGCCAUUCAUAGUAAGUUUCAAAUUUUUAGGUUAAUAUCUGUAACUUCAUCAUGCUGGCCAUAAAUAAAGCUUGCAGGUCUAGGCGGGAUUGACUCGAGUUUUUUUGCCAAUCCUACGCAUGACGGGCGGUGUUAGGAAUAAUAUCCUGCAUCAAUUGAGUAUUGAACUUGGGUUCAGCAUAUAAGAUUUGGACAACUCUUAACUCUUGAGCUAACUUACUAAGUUUUGGAUUGAGUUAAGCAUGUAUGCUUCAAUAUCACAAAUUAGUCUUUCGUUACCAUUACUUAUUUUUUCUAUUGUUUAAUCCUAACACAAUAAAUGACCUUUCAUCCCAAAAGAACUAAAGUAAUCAUUUUAGACGAAUUAAGACACCAUAAAGUAAAUCUGCACACUAUGAAAAAUACUUUGGAACAGUUAAGGAAGCGUGAGAAUACUUGGGGAAAGCUUCAUAAUUGUUACGGCCGGAUCUACACUCUUUCCUCUAUAUGCAAUAAAUAUAUGCGUUAAUGAUCUCUCAAUAUUUUGCAUCCGAUAUUGCCCACAUCGCUUACCACAAUAUAUUCACUUUAUAAACAAAGUUUACAACCCAAAUACUAAUAGAGAAUAUAAAUAUGUACUUGUCAAUGAAGCAAUCACCUUUAUUUAGAAAUUUUUUAUUAUUAAUCCUACGUACACACACCUCUUUUGUCUCCAAAAAUAUUCUUAAUUAAUCCACACAAUUUAAUACAAUAAAUACCUAAGAUUACACAAAUUUUCAUUACAAUAGAAUAUAUAAUUUAUAAUAUUAUUGAUACAAUGAUGCCAAUAAUAAAAAUCCUAUAAACCUUACAAAUUUUAGAAAAUGGCUUAGAGUGUGACAGGUUGAAUGAACCACAACAAAUCAUUUACAUUAUAGUAUCUAUGAUCAAUAUUCUAAUGAUAAUAGGGCUCCUCCAUUUUCAUUUCCCUACAUUUUCUGUUUGGUGAUUGUCAAAUUUUAUGUCUAAAAUUUUUCUAAUUUUACAGUGAGGUUUAUUUUUUAAAGAGAGAGAGAGAGAGACUCAAAGAGAAUUAAAAAAAAUGUAAUUCUAAAAUUUUACUUGUGCAUUUUGUGAUUUUUACCAUUUUUUAAGUUGGCAAUUUGUAUUGAAUAAAUAAAAUAAUAAAUAGACUUAUGGACCACUUUUUUCUGUUAUAAUAAAAAUCAGAGGUCCUUUCUUGAUGUUUUCUUUCCAUAUGAAUAAAUUAGAAUUUUAUUGGUACAGUAAUGUCAAUAAUAAAAUUCCUAACAAACAUACAAAUUUUAGAAUAUGGAUUAAAGUGUUACAAGUUGAGUGGAUCACAACAAGUUAUUUAUAUUGUAGUGUCUAUGAUCAGUAUUUCAAUGAUAUCAAGGGUCCUCUAUUUUCUUUCCCUUGCAAUUUUUGUUUGGUCAUCGCCAAAGUUUAUAUCUAAAAUUUUUCUAAUUUUACACUGACAUUUAUUUUUUUUUUAAAAAAAAGAGAAAGAGAGACACGGAGAGAACUAAAAAAUGUAAAUCUAAAUUUUUGCUUGUGCGUUAUGUGAUUUUUAUCAUUUUUUAAGUUGGCCAUUUGUAUUGAAUAAAAAAAGUAAUAAAUAGACUUAUGGACCACUUGUUUUUUUAUUAUAAUAAAACAUUUUCUUCUCCUGAUGUUUUUCAUCUCACAGGAAUAUAUUUAUCUCAUCGUGGGCCCAAAUGGGGUAAAUAAAUUGGGAUCAAGGACAAGUCUGUUUAAGUGUUGAAAUUGCAAGAAGACCUCAUAAAAAAAAUUGCCUAAAGCCCCAUUAUUGUUAUUCAACUAUUACUUUCAUGACACUUACACAAAUAAUUUAUAACUCCAUCUUUAUUUAGGGAAAAAACUGUAGCAAUUGUUGUUAUAUCACAGGAACAAAUUCCAAUUAAAAAUAUAAUAAGAAUUAAUUGCAAAUUUUGUAAUAAAUAUCAAUAUAAUUUAAUAGUUUAAUUUUUUUUGGUAGAGUAAUAUAAUUUAAAAAAUUAAUAUUUAAAAAAAUAAUAUCAGUAUUACUUUUUAAAAUGCAAAUUAUUAAAAUUAUAUUAAUAAUGUAUUUUUAUUUAUUAUAAAAUUUAUUUUAAUAAAAUCUUAAAUUUUUUUAAAUAUUUGUAUAUAUUGUUAUAUGUUAUUAUAAUAUUAUAUUUAUAUUUAUUAAAAUAUAAGAGUUAAUAUUUUUAAAUUAAUAAAGACAAAAAGUAUUAUAAUAAAAAAGAAUUCUUUUAUUAAAAAUAUAAUCAUUCUCCCAAACUUAUCCUUGUCCCUUUUUGAAAGGAAAAAAUAAAUUAGAAAAGUCUAUGGUCAUGAUAACUUCUAGCCUUGUCCCGUGGGACAUGGCUACGGUGCAGAAGCUGAAAGUAACAGCUUCGAACUUUCCCAUUUCCAUCACCUUGUUGAUGGUUGUUGAAGCCAAUAAAAAUAAAUUCCUACUCUAAAUAAAUUGUGUAUAGUGAUUGAGCAGGGUCGUGUCCACAGAGAUCGGUAAUUAUUUAAAUUCUUUUGAAACGUAAAACGUAAAAUGGGAGAAUUGUUGACAAUAAUAAAAAAUCAAAUUAAAAUAACAAAAAUGCAAAUUAAAGUUGUAAUUCAAAUUGGAGAAAGCUUUGGUUGAAGGAAUUAACUCAGUUUGAUUCGACUACUGAUCAUUGAUUCAAAAAUAGAUUAUUAUUACUUAUGAAUAAACUGGUUAUAGCUAUUGAGACCCUCUAAUAGCCAAUCUCUCCUUAACUAGUCGAUAACCAAGGUACGACUAUUGGAUAUUUCCCUAAUCAAUAGACAACCCUAGAUACGAUCAUAGGAUUUAAUCAAUUGACAGCCUGAAAAACCAGAGCGACCCAAAUCCUAAUCAACACAUAUGAUGAUUCAUUUAAAUUAGAUUGUUUAUUCCCAUAACACAACUCACUGCUAUGUUAUUUGUCACAAACAUUAAACUCGUCAUACGAUGAAUUCUUUAAUUGACAAUAGAUUAAGUUGAUAAUUAAAUAGUGGCCAAUUACCUAAUUAACAAACAUAAUCAUGAAACUAAUUCAGAGAAUAAACAAAUACCCAAAAAGUAAUAAAACAAUUAAAGCAUAAGAAAGAUCUCACAGUAGUGAUGAAUCAAAAAUUCAUUAACCUUCAACUAGAAAAAAUAAGUUUAGUUUUUCAUAGAGAGAAGAGAAAAAUUAGAUCUAGGGUUUCUUUCUUUUUCUCCAAUUAAAAUCCCCCCUUUUUCACAAUAGAUUCCUCCCUUAAAUACUCUCUCUCUCUUCUCUUUUAAAGUUCUAUUUAAAAUAAAAUAAUAAUAUUUGAAAUAUUAAAUUCGUAAUUACAAAAAUAGCCAAAAAUACAAAACACAUUAAACUAAAAACUGCAGGUCCGCAGUUGACAGCACGCGCCCACGCCUUAUCUAUAAAGUUCUUCUGACGCUCUAAAUUUCUCCAAGAGAACAAUCAUCUUUAAACAUCAUCUUAUACCUCAAUUCUAUCACAAAUCAAUAGAAUUGCACUUACAAAAGUAAAACACAAGUAAAUCAUUAUUAUUAAAUGCAAAACAUCGAUAUUAAGGGAAGUAAACAAUGCAAAACUAGUGUAUAAAUUGUACUCUAACACUUGUAUUGGGACCUCUUUCUCUCUCCUAUAGCCCCCAUGGAAGUUCCCCAUUGGCUGCUGUUACUUACAGAAGCCGUAACAUAGACUUCUAGCCAUGUCCCGUGAUGUCCAUUGUCUGCCACUAUGAAUAAUGGCAAUGACAUUGCAAUUGAAACAUUGAAAAGGUAUUUUCGCAAUAUGACAAAGCUUUUGUUAGGAUAUGGGAGGAUUGUCAAAAGUUCACACCACUUGAAACUAGAAUUAGAUCUAAUUUCAUUUAUUUCAUAAAUUAGAAAAGUCUAUGGUCGUGAUAACUUCUAGCCGUGUCCCGUGAUGUCCAUUGUCUGCCACUAUGAAUAAUGGAAAUGACAUUACUAUAAUAAAAUGACAUUGCAAUUCCAAUAUGCAAUUGAAAAGUCUAUGGUCGUGAUAACUUUUGUAAUAUGACAAAGUUUUUGUUGGGGUAUGAGAGGAUUGUCAAAAGUUCACACACCACAUGAAACUAGUGUUAGAUCUAAUUUUAUUUCGUCCGUUCCUUAUAUAUUUAUUUCAUACAUAUAUGUCUUAGGGUGAUAUUGUUUUGUAAAGAUAUAAUAGUAAGGUACUAUAAAAAGAAAAGAACUGUGUGUAUACUUCCCAGUGUAAUAAUUAUAUGUAGAAGAAAACUAACAAGAGGAAAAAUGACAAAGAGCAAGGCGCUGGUUGUUGGGAGAAGAGGACAUGUCGGCAGAGGAUAGAGAAGCCAAUCUUAGCCUUGUUGAUUGAGGGCUCAUCUUCUGAUCAUCGUAGCCUUGUUGGAGCUGUCAAACAAGUCGAUGUUGUCAUUUAAGGAGCCACAACAUUUUGAUGCUGCUUAAACUUGUUGGGGCCAUCAAAUAAGCUGUAAAUAUUAAGGUACGUAAGCCUUAAUUUUUAUGUAAUUUUAAUUUCAGAUCCAAAAUUGCAUGCAAGCCAUUAAUUUCUUUCCUUUUUUAUUUUUGAUUUGAUGAGGUGCUUGAUUUGGUCGGGUGUGUAUUUUUUCUUUGUUCUUUUUUUUUUUAAAACAUAAAUCUCCAAAUCGGGUUGGAGCGGGGAUUCUAACCCUACGAUGGCCAUAUUAAAAUUUAAAAUUUUUUAAUUUAUUUUUCUACAUCUCAAUAUUUGAAAAAAUGAUUAUAUAGAUCUAUAUAUUUUCAAUAAGAGAUACUAAGAUACUCUUUUUUACUAUAACACCUACUAGCUCUAUUAACUCAAAAAAUUAGCUUCAAUGUUAAUAUAUAUAUUUUAAAAUAAUUUUAAUAUUUUAAAAAAAAUGAAAAAAAUAUUUUAAUACUUUACAAGCUUAUACUAUAUUAAACUAAAUUUUGUAAUAAAUAGAAACUUAAUAUAAAAUAAAUGUCUAAAAAUUUAAAUUAUUUUCAAUAGCAUAUAGAAUAAUUAUAAUAUUAUUAAUACCUAAGAUAUAUUAAAUUAAUUAUAAAUUCUAUUUAACACAAAUAUUUAACUAAAUUUUUUAUAAUAAAUAUAAAUAUAUUAUUAAAAUAAAUCUAAUAAUUAACAUUUUAAAAAAUAAUACUGAAAUUAAUUUUUUAAAUUAUACUAACACUAGUUUCACGCUGUGCGAACUUUUGACAAAAACUGUUAAUUGCAAUUUCUUUUGAAAACAAUAGAUCAAAUCAUUAAAGUGCAUGUGAUGAUUUGCUGUUUAAUUAUUUCUUUAGAAUAUAUCCAAACGUAAGGUUGUGAACUAGUGCUUUCUUCAACUUAAUUGGGUCCAACAAUACACUGCAGCUUCCUCUUUUGGUCAUUCCAAGUUUAAUUCUUCAUGAAAAUCUUAGACACUAAUACAAGGAUAUCGAAUCCAAAAUUAUAAUAAUACAUGUAAUUAUUCUAUACAUGCGUCAACAAGGCAACAGUAACCAAAUACAUGAUAUGCAAAGGGGGUGCAUGAUUAAGUCCUUUUUUUAUUCAAUUCAUUGUUAUUAUUCUCAUCAACUCUUUUCUCACUUAUUUUUCAGCAGUUACCAGUGAUCUUUUUGCUCUUUAAAAUUAUUCUUAAAUAUUCAAGGCUAAAUAGAGAAGCUCAUCAACUAUCUGAUCCCGGAUAAUUAAAGAGGUGAACUUGUUCUAAAUCCUUUGAUAAUUUCUAUUAAUAGCAUAAUCUCCUUGAUCUUGACCGCAGUUAUUUCUUAAUGUCCAAGAAAAAAAUAUCUCCUGUUUGUCUUAAUCUUGUCAUUUAAUUUUCUUGAUUUAAGUUACUGUUCAUUGUUAACUUCUGUGUUCUUGUUAUUAGCAUUUGUUAAUUUGCAUCUCUCCUCUAAAAUAGUUUCUAAAAAAGAAUGUUGCUUUUCAUUCAUACCCUUGAAACCUUUCAGUUAAUAGUCAAAACUCUAAUCUUUCAGUUAAUUUAUUUGAAUCCAAUUUUUUCAACAGCAAAUACACACACACAUUGUUAAGCAACAGCCAAAAAAGUGCAGAAAAACCAGUCAAAUUUAUACAUGCGUCAACAGGGAAACAGUAACCAAAUAGGUGAUACAAAAAGGGGUGAAUGAUUCUGUCUUUUCCUUUUGCAAGUCGCUGUUAUUACUCUCAUCAACUUCUUUCUCGCACAUUUCUCAGCAGUUACCAGUAAUAUUUAAAAUCGCUGUGUAGAUAUGCAAAAGUUCCGUAAGUGCAUUAAUAAUUAUUUGCCAGAAAAAAAUAGUUGCGUCAAUAUUAAAGGAAUUGACAUCCAGGGGACCCAAUUUAGUUGCUUAAUGAUUAUUUAAUUAAUUAAUUUAUAAUAUAUUAAUCUUUUAAGUUGAAUAAUUAAAAUCUUAGACCCGAAACAAUAAAUCAUCUGAGGCAUAUAAAAGAGAAAUUAUCAUCCUAUUUUUUCUUUUUUCUUUUUAACUUCUUGUAGCUUAUAAAAGAGAAAUUAUCAGUCAUUUACUCAAAGUUUAUUCAAUUAUUAAAAUUAUUAUAAAAAUUUAAAUUUAUUUAAUUUUACAUCCAAUGUAUGCAAUUUGUAUGAAACAUCUGUUAAAAAUAUAAAGUUAUUCGUUCAAAGUGACAAAAUAGAACCGAACACAAAAUUGUAGUGGUGAUUAUGUUUUAGGAGUAACUUUAUUUUUUUAGUAAACAGUUGAUACACAUUGUAAUAAUGGGUAUAAAAUUAAAUAUUUUUAAAUUUUUAUAACUUUUUGGAUAAUAAGAUAAUUCUUAGAUGGAUAAUUGAAAAUUUUUCUUUUCAAAAUAUUUUGAAAACAAUACCAAAUGUACCAAAACAUUGUUUACUUUCACUCUCUCUCUCUCUCUCUCUCUCUCUCUAUCUAUCUAUCUAUAUAUAUAUAUAUAUAUAUAUAUAUAUAUAUAUAUUAUUUCUUAACUCAUUCUUAUCCUUAUUCUUUCUAACAUAUCCACAAUCUGUCAAUGAAAUUUACUUUUAUAAAUUUGAAGAUUUUUUCAUGCAAUUUUAUACGAUGAUGAGUUCUCAUGUUUCUGUUAAAAAAUAAUUCGUAAAUAAUACAAAUGAAAAAAACAAAAAGUAGCAGGGCUGGCAAUACAAAACCAUAACUUUUUUUCUUUGAAUUUUGCAUAAACAAAGUCAAUAGUGAUUUGUCAGCACGAUCUUGAGAGCACGGCUUGGAGUCUCAAUAAUUAUUGACACUCAUAUUUGAAAACUUUCGAAAAGAUAAAAUCCAAUAUGAAAGGUGAAACGUUAUAAUCAUAGUAACUAGAAAAUGGAUUGAUUUACAAAUAUCAAUUUAAACAAUUUUCAUGUUGAUCGACAAUUUAAGUAGAUUGACAAAGAUUGAAGUAAUUACUGUUGGUGAUUGAUUGACUUUGUCCUUAUCCUUGCCUUCUUCUUAUCAAAAAUCGAGUGUCAAUUAAAUUGGGCCAGGGUUUCUGAUUGCAACUAAUGGACUUCAUAUACGCAUAAUGGUCCCUACGUACAUACGUACCAAUAUUUGAUUGAUAAAGGGGGUGCAUGCUUAAUGCUCAAGUCGUCUUCUUUUGGAAAUUCAUUGUUAUUACUCUCAUCAACUCGUUCCUCACAUUCCUCUUUAGUCAAAACCUGUAAUAUUUCUUCUAUAUUCAAGGUGAAUACAGCAGCUCAUCGACUCUGAUCCCAGACAGGUAAAGAGGUGCACUUGUUCUAAAACCUGUAAUAUUCUUUUAGUAGCAGAAUCUCUGAUACUUGAUCUUCAUAGCGGUUCUUUCUUAAUUUCCAUCAACUUUCCUAGGAAAAAAUUCUCUGGUUUUUCUUAAUCAUAUCAUUUACUUUUCUUAAGUCAUAUCAUUUAUUUUUAGUAGCAGAAUACUUGAUCUUGAUAGCCAUUCUUUCUUAAUUUCCAUCAACUUUCCUUAAAGGAUACCUUUCUGUUAAUAGCGAAACCUCUGAUCCUUAAGAUAGAAAAAGAAAUUCUCUACUUAUGUAUCAGUUGGUUCAAAAUCAAUAUCGCGAUGUUGUUUGCGGUCUUUUCUUUCUCUGUCUUUCCCUCUAGUUCAUUUUAAUUUAUUUGUAUUCCUUUCUUUGACAUUUUUAUUCAUUUUAUUCAUAUAUAUACAUAUAUUGUUAAGCAACAGGCAAUGGUUGCAGAAGUGGGUCUGGCUGCUUUUUCCAGCAUCGUAUCAGAAGAUGCAAAGUCACUGUUCAAACCGAUUAUACGGCAGAUCUCUUAUGUGUUCAAGUACCAGAGCUACAUAGAUGGCCUAAAAGAUCAAGUGAAACAGUUGGGAUAUAAAAGAGAAAGGGUGGAAAUACCCGUUCAUCAGGCUACUCAACAAGGAGAUGAGAUUUAUAAGGAUGUUGCAGACUGGCUUAAUAGCGUCAAGGAAUUCACUCAGGGAGCUGCGAAAUCCAUCACUGAUGAUGAAGAUAGAGCUAAGAAGUUCUGUUUCAAAGGAUUGUGCCCAAACUUGAUUUCUCGUUACAAGCUCAGUAGACAAGCAGCAAAGGCCGCAGAAGCUGCUGCUAGUCUCAUGGGAAAAUGUAACUUCUCUAAUGUUUCCUACCGUCCUGCUCCAAAGCGGGCAGAACAUAUGCAAGUGAAAGAUUUCGAGGCCUUUGAUUCAAGAAUGAAAGUAUUUGAAGAUGUUGUGGAGGCGUUGAAGGAUGAUAAGCUCAAGAUAAUUGGGGUCUACGGGAUGGGCGGCGUGGGUAAAACCACGCUAGUCAAGCAAGUUGCAAGGCAAGUUAUGGAAGAUAAGGUGUUCGACAAGGUCGUUAUGGCUGAGGUAACACAGACCCCAGAUCAUCAGGAAAUUCAAAAGAAACUUGCUUUUGACUUAGGCAUGAAAUUUGGCUCGGAUGAGAAUAAAUUCGAAAGAGCAGAUCGAUUACGUGAAAGAUUGAAGAACGAGAAGCAGGUCCUCGUUAUAUUGGAUAAUAUUUGGAAAAAACUCGAGUUCGAAAAAGUUGGAAUUCCUUGUGGGGAUGUUGAUGAGAAAGAUACAAAGGAUGAUCAGAGACGAUGCACAAUAAUAUUGACGUCUAGAAGUCGAGAUUUAUUGCGCAUUGAUAUGAAUUCUCAGAAAAAUUUCCCGAUCGAUGCUUUGCCACCAAAAGAAGCAUUGCAGUUAUUUGAAAAGAUAGUGGGUGAUUCAACUAAAAUAUCUGCUUUUCAAAGUAUAGCAAAUGAGAUCGUUGAAAGAUGCGGAGGUUUGCCUGUUGCACUGAGUACAGUUGCAAAUGCUCUGAAAACUAAGGAUAGUUACUUUUGGAAAGAUGCAUUGAAUCAGCUAAGAAGAUCGGAUGCUAGAGAAAUUCAUGGCAUGCAAGCAAAUGUGUACACCUCCAUAAAAUUGAGUUAUGACUUCUUGGAAAGUGAGGAGGCAAAAUCUCUGUUCCGUCUUUGUAGUCUAUACAGUGAAGGUAAUGUCAUACAAGUUUCUGACUUAUUGAGAUGUGGUGUGGGUUGGGGUUUGUUUGAAAAUGUUUACACAUUGGAAGAAGCAAGGAGUAGAGUGCAUCGGUUGAUCGACAACCUCAAAUCUUCAUGCUUAUUGUUGGACGGUGAUGCUGAAGAUGAAGUUAAAAUGCAUGACGUCAUUCAUGUUGUUGCCGUAUCAAUUGCCAGAGAGGAGCGCAUGUUUAAUGUUCCAAAUGUUGCUGACUUGGAGAAAAAGAUGGAAGAGACAAUACAGAAAGAUCCAAUUGCUAUUUCAUUACCUCAUAGAGAUAUUCAAGAGCUCCCUGAAAGGUUGCAAUGUCCCAAUCUCCAGUUAUUUUUGUUGUAUACGGAGGGUAAUGGCCCUAUGCAAGUUUCAGACCACUUUUUUGAAGGGAUGGAAGGACUCAAAGUUUUACAGUUUCCUGGAAUUGGCUCUUCUUCAUUACCUUCAUCACUUGGUCGCCUCAUUAACCUUCAAACAUUGUGUUUAGACUGGUGCGAACUAGCAGAUAUAGCGGCAAUUGGACAACUAAAGAAAUUAGAGAUUCUCAGCCUCGCAUAUUCCAAUAUCAACCAGCUACCAGUUGAAAUUGGACAAUUGACGCGGUUACAAUUGCUAGAUUUGAGCAAUUGUUGGUGGCUUGAGGUGAUAGCACCGAAUGUCAUAUCAAAAUUAUCUCAAUUAGAAGAAUUGUAUAUGGGUAACGGUUUUUCAGGGUGGGAGAAGGUUGAAGGAGGAAGUAAUGCCAGUCUUGUCGAAUUGGAGAGGUUGACAGAGCUAACUACUUUGGAGAUAGAAGUUCCGGAUGCCGAAAUUCUGCCGCCGGAUUUUGUCUCUGUGGAAUUGCAAAGAUAUAAGAUACGUAUAGGAGAUGGGCCCGAAGAUGAGUUUGACCCAUUGCUCGUCAAAUCUGAAGCAUCAAGAUUGAUGAUGCUCAAGGGGAUAAAAAAAGUUAGCAUUCUUCAGGAGAAUGAUGGGACAAAAAUGUUGCUGCAGAGAACUGAAGAUCUCUGGCUAGAAACAUUGGAGGGUGUUCAAAGUGUUGUUCAUGAAUUAGACGAUGGGGAAGGUUUUCCACGAUUGAAGCGUCUUCUCGUAACAGACUGUUCUGAGAUUUUACAUAUUGUCGGUUCAGUUAGGGUUCGUUGCGAAGUCUUUCCCUUGCUGGAGGCAUUGUCUCUUAUGUUUUUAACUAAUUUGGAGACGAUAUGCUACAGCCAACUCAGAGAAGAUCAAUCCUUCAGCAACUUAAGGAUUAUAAACGUAGAUUCCUGUCGAAAAUUGAAGUAUCUCUUCUCAUUCUCUAUGGCCAAAAACCUAUUGCGGCUUCAAAAAGUAAAAGUGGAAGACUGCGAUGAUUUGAAAAUGAUUAUUGGUAAGUGUUGAAAUUAAUUAUUGGUAGGAUUAUUGACAUUGACUCUUUCUUUUUUUCUUUUUCUUUUUUUGGGGAAAAAAACAACGGAUGUUUAUUAUAUAUUGUUUUGGUUCAUUUAUAGGGCCCGACAUGGAGAAACCAACAACAACUCAGGGAUUCAUAGAAAUCAAUGCAGAGGAUGAUCCUGUUCACCAGGUAAUAAUUUUCUGUUUAAUAAUUAAUUAAUUAAUAUAUUAUCACGAUUGAGCUUCAAUCAUCGAAAGAAUAUUAUAUUAGAAGUUGUAGUUGAAGGAACAAAAAUGUAUGGUUUUUCUUUGCAGGUUACUUUUCCACGCUUGGAGGAACUGGAACUUGUCAGUUUAACAAAUAUCAAAAAAUUAUGGUCCGAUCAAUUUCAGGGAAUAUAUUGUUGUCAAAAUUUAACAAAAGUGACCGUGUGGAGUUGUCAUCGUCUGAAGUAUUUGUUUUCAUAUUCUAUGGUUAAUAGUCUUGGGCAACUCCAACAUCUUGAGAUUCGUAAUUGCCGGUCAAUUGAAGGGGUAGUCAACACCACGACGUUAGGAGGAAGAGAUGAAUUUAAGGUUUUUCCCAAACUACACUACCUGUCGCUCCAUUGGCUUCCAAAACUAAGUAGCUUUGCCUCACCAGAAGACGUCAUUCACACUGAAAUGCAACCUCAAUCCCUCUUUGAUGAAAAGGUUUUUUUUCAUUGAAUUUUUAAAUUCUCUUUUCGUUGAGUCUUCAAAUUUAAUUAAUAUACAUCUCUAAUUGCAUUGAAUUUUUAACUUCAGGUACGACUCCCAAGUCUGGAGGUAUUAAAUAUUAGUGAGGCGGAUAAGUUGAGAAAAAUAUGGCACCACCAGCUUGCUUCGAAGUCUUUUAGCAAAUUGAAAAAAUUGAAGAUAUCUGGGUGUAAUAAUCUACUGAAUAUUUUUCCUCCAUUGGUAAGAUUGCUAUAUUCAUUUUGAAUUUUUAUUUCAAGUAACAUUCAACAAUUAUUUUAAUCAUUUUUGUGUUUACAAAUAAUUUUCAUUCACAAAUUAUUUAUUGCAAGUAUUUUACUUCAAACUUCAGGAGGGCAAAAAAGUAGUGUACUUCAAAUCACCAUUCUGAACUCUGCAUUGUCAAUCUAAUUUAUAGGUUCACCCGCAUUAAAGUCAACGAUAUAAUUGUUUUAAACACGAUUUAACAGCAUAAUAUAAUUCAAUUUAAUUGUUUUUUUCCUUAAAUCCUAAUAAAUAAGAUUUUUAGAAAUUAAAAGAUACUUAGUUACUCAGCUUUUAAGCUCACAAAUUCAUAUAUAUUUCUCUUUUCCUUGGGUCUUCAAAUUUCGAUUUAAAAAAAAAUAAAAGAAAAGUGUUCAAAUGUAGUUAAUAUCUCUAGUUUAGUUAUGAAUUGAUUACGCCAUUGAUUAAGCACAAAUUCAUGAUGGUCAUUUUGAAUCGACCGUUGAUUAAAAAAAUUCCUCAAAUAUUCACUCUAUAACAGUCCCAUGUUGAUGGCGUUGGGAAGUGUUUUCCAGAAAUGUUUUUCCAUUUUUAAAAGCAUGAAUAUCGGGAAAAAAAAAAGGGAAAUACAGCGUUUUAGUUUAGUUAUUUUAAAAAUAGGCAUGUUUGAAAAUUAAAAAUUUUAAAAAACUAGCAUCAAGAUGAAAAAUGAAUUUAGAAUAUUUAAAAAUUACCUGAAAUUCUUUCUCCGUUCCUAAUACUAAAUAGUGUAAAUGCAUUUUCAUUAUCUUUGUUUUUCUGGACUUCUAUUUAUUUAUUUUUAUUUUUUCUUUUUUUUCUUUAACAAAAAAUAUCUAGUAGACAUUCAUGGUUUGUUAUUUUUCAUAAAACAAUUGUAUGAUUUUGACAUACUUUGAAUCUAGUUGAAUGCUACUCUUUAUUUUCAGGUUGGAAUUCCCAAUAGUCUAGUGAAUCUUGAUGUAUCAGACUGUGCAAAAAUAGAAGAAAUCAUAGGACAUGUUGGAGAAGAAGCGAAGGAGAAUCGUAUUGCUUUCAACGAAUUAAAACUUUUGGAACUUGAUGAUUUACCAAGGCUUACCAGCUUUUGUUUGGAGAAUUACACUCUUGAAUUCCCAUCAUUGGAACAAGUUUCUAUGACACAUUGUCCGAACAUGAAGACUUUUUCUCGGGGAAUCUCAUCCACACCAAAGCUAUACGUAGUGCAAGUGACUGAAAGGGAAGAGGGUGAACACCAUUGGGAAGGCAAUAAGCUUAAUUCCACUAUACAAAAGUGUUACGAAGUAAUGGUAUGUGUUAAUCGAUUCACUUUACGAAGUAAUGGUGUUACGAACACCAUUACGAAGUAAUGGCAAUAAGCUUAAUUCCACUAUACCACAUUUAAACAUAUACACCUGCGUUGUAAAUAUAUUUUUAGAAGUUAAAGCACAAAACAUGUAAGUUUAAUGUAUAUAUAUAUCUAAUGCCUUUCAAAAAAAGAAAUUUAUAUAUAUCCAGUGCAAUUGUUUUGGUUUAUGCAGAUUGGAUUCCGUGACAUAGAGCAUUUGCAACUCUCACAUUUUCCACGCUUGAGAGAAAUAUGGCACGGCCAAGCAGUGCCUGUCAGCUUCUUCAACAAUUUACGACAACUGGCUGUGGAUGACUGCACGAAUAUGUCGAGUGCUAUUCCUACCAAUCUGCUACGUUGCUUGAACAAUUUGAGAUGCCUGGAAGUGAGGAAUUGUGAUUUAAUAGAAGAGGUGCUUCAUUUAGAAGAGCUAAAUGCUAAGGAAGAACAUAUAGGCCCCCGGUUUCCUAGGCUUAACAGACUAAGGCUCAUUGAUCUUCCAAAACUCAAAAGAUUCUGCAACUUCACUGGGAAUAUAAUUGAACUGUCUGAGUUGGAGAAUCUAACUAUUGAGAAUUGCCCUGAUAUGGAAACAUUCAUAUCCAACUCUGUAGUGCAUGUGACAACAAAUAACAAGGAACCUCAAAAAUUAACAUCAGAAGAGAACUUUUUGCUGGCUCAUCAAGUACAACCCCUCUUCGAUGAAAAGGUGAUUAUUAUUAUUAUUAUUAUUAUUAUUAUUAUUUUCCCCUUCACUUUUGUUCGCACAGAUGUAAUUUCAUUAGAAUCAAAUCAAAUUUUAUGACUCAUCUUUUUGCAUGUCAUCUUGAUUCAUAUAUGAAUUAACAAUACAACUACAGUUAUGAACUAACUUUAUAGUAUGAAUUAAAAAAAUGUCUUAAAUUAUUUCGAUGACUGGUAACAUGAGGUGAUGAACUAUAUCAAUUAUGCUUGUCGCAUCUCUGUUUUCCUAGCUAAUUCAUAUUGGAUUUAGUAUCAGAUUUCAUUUAUGUGUUUCAAAGGGUAAUCGAUUUGAUACUUAUAUUUGGGAUCCUACUGCAAAGCAUACUAAUUUGGAAAUAAAAUAUAAAAUGCCGUGAUUAAUCUUGUCCAUAAAAUAUGCAGGGGAAGACUGCAGAGAUUGGAUACAUACUUUCAUUUACAACUUAAUUUUGUUGAUUUUCAGCUUACAUUCCCUCAAUUGAAGGAGUUAAAGCUAUCUAGAUUACACAAAGUGCAGCAUCUCUGGAAGGAAAAUGACGAAUCCAACAAAGCGUUUGCAAACUUGAAAAGUCUAGAAAUAUUUGAAUGUAGUAAGUUACAGAAAUUAGUACCAGCUUCGUGGCAUUUGGAAAAUCUUGAGGCUUUGAAAGUAUCGAAGUGUCACAGGUUGAUAAAUUUGUUGACGCUCUCAACAUCUAGAAGUCUGAUAAUUCUUCAAAGUAUGACGAUAGCUGAUUGCAAAAGGAUAGAAGAAAUCAUACAGUCGCCGGUUGCAGAAGAAGCGAAAGAUUGCAUUGUUUUCAAGGAAUUAAAGUACUUGGGACUUGAUUGUUUGCCAAGCCUAACAAGCUUUUGUUUAGGUAAUUACGCUCUUGAAUUCCCGUCCUUGAAACAAGUAGUUGUGAGAGAGUGUCCAAAAAUGAUGAUCUUCUCUCAAGGAGUCUUAGACACACCAAUGCUAAACAAAGUGAACGUCACCGAAGAAGAAAAAGAUGAUGAUGAUGAAGGAUGUUGGGAAGGCAACCUCAAUGACACCAUAAAAAAAUUGUUCAAUGAAAUGGUGAGUAUCAAUUAAGUUUUGGUGCUAUUUAGAAAAUUAUUUUAUAGAAACUAAUGUAAUAUAAUAUGAUUGGUUGACUGAAAAUAUAUAAUAAUAAAUAAAUAAAUAAAUUAUGAGGGCUAUGUAAUGUUUUUGUUUAACCAAUCAUAUUAUGUCGCAUUAGUUUAUACAAUAUUGUUUGUGUACAAGAGUUGUAAUGUAUGCUUGCUUACACGAGUAAUUACAAAAUGUGCAUAAUUCUAAAGAAAAGAUUGAGCCAACCCUUCAGGUACAGUGAAGAAGCUAUCUCGAACCAGGCCAAUCUCGUGUACAUGAUUCAACUUGCUCGUUCUCCUGUACUUGAAUAAUUUGGUUCUAAACGCAUUUACAACUUUUUUGUCAUGCUAUAGACAUGCAAGACACUUUGGAUUUGUUUGAUGCAUUCUUUGUUUAAGGAAGGACUUGAAUUGAUGUUUCAUGUUUCAUGCAAUUUUCAAUUAGAUACUGUUUAAACUUCUGCAUUAUUCAUUCAAUCGGUGUUUUAAGCAUUUGAUUUCUAACUAGUCCUGAUAGAAGAUCAUUAGCUGAAGAAAACAUCAUAACAUUUGUGGCAUUAUCAGAAUAAGAAUAGUUUUAUGAGUAUAGUAAAAUUAACUAGACCAUUAUUAAAAGGAAUUAAUCCGUCAACUUUAAGUAAACUUUAGAUGAUGGUUCUGACCUAAACCAUUUUAAUGCUUGGCAAAAUCACAUCCUGAGCAUAGAGUAAAGAAAGUGGCAUACAUGGUAAUCAACUUCAAGAAGCUCUUCGAAAUGCAUAAUACUGUUGGGGAGAAAAGAAAAAGAAAGAAUACAAAUAAAAAGAAGUCACACAUCAUCAGCAGUUUUUCGGGAACACAAAAAUGUUAUAAUAACUUUUCUUGAUUGCCACCCACAUGCUAAACUGAUCAAAUACAAAACAGGAUACAGAAAAUCUCUAACCUUUUUGGCACUGAAGAAGACGCCAGUGCUUUCAAAAGAAAAUGCUUGAUUGUUGGCAUUCUGGUUUGAAAAAUAUGAGUCCAAUUCCUGUGUCCAGUCAUGUACCAAAUCAGGACGACGUGCAAGUCAUACAAAGAUGACAAAAAUACAGUAUAAAUUGCGUCAAACCAAUUCAAGUCAAUUGGAGAAGUAAAUCAAGGACCAUUUGCAAUAGUUGUUCUCCACAUCAAAUUUGGGUGUCCAUCGUCUUCAUCCUCUUGUGCACUGAACCUGAGAGUCCACGAGAAAUACAUAUAAAAAUUAGGCAUGAUUGAAAUUGAUAGUAGUACAAAAUGGAUAUAAACAUCACGAUGAACAAAUUAAAUUGUUCCCUGUCAGACAAAUCCAACCUGCAAGCUUAAGCUCUUAAGCUAGACCAAAUCACACUGCAAAUAACAAGACAUAAGGCCAAAAAAAGAUAAUAUGUAUCAUUCAUAUGCUUCGCCCUAUAGAAAUGAUUUGGGCCAUAGGUCAAUUAUGUUAAAAGCAGCGAUACUAAACCCAAAAGAAGAGAGGUGAGGCGAGGGAGUGGUGGGUUUUUUUUUUUUUUUUUUCAUUUAUAUAUUUUUACCUUAAACCAAAUGACCGGUUUUACAGGUUUCUGGUUGUUUCAAAUUUUUUUAUUGCUUAAUAAUGAAACAAAUCUCAGCCAUUAGAUCACUCCAUUUAAUCCAAUGGUCAGUUUUUGUGCAUGUAUCAGAUGCACGCAUGUAUUGUAGCCGCCCCAUUUUCCUUUUUAGUUGCAAAACCUCGUUCGAAAGCAACAAUGACUUUCACUCAAAGUAAAUGAGAAAUUACAAUGAAAAUGGGAUCAGAAAAAGGUUGAGGUGAAAUAAAACCAAAGGGAUGAUGUUUCUGCUUUCCAGCUUUGGGAAACGGCGUGGAUGGAGCACGUUCAAUACGAAAAACUUCAUUAGCUCACGCGCUGCUCAGCUGAUUCUUAACAGAAAAUGAUUUAGUGGAAACGGCGUGGAUGGAGCACGUUUAACAUAUCAGUUUAAGUAACCACGUGAGAAAGCAUGUGAUGAAGGUUGUUCCGAGUUCGUUGAAGGUUGUUAACCACGUGUCAAAACAAAGUGUUCAUACUGGAAAGAAACAAAAUAUUAAUAAAUAAACCAUUAAAAAGAUUAUCUGAAAAUUAUGUUUAACUAGGCCAAUUCAAUUAUCGAGCAGUUUGAUAUAUUAAAUGAGCUAGAACAGUAGCCUUUUAAUUAUUUCACUUACUAUUAUCGAACAGUUUUAUAUCAUUCCCUAUCUUAUAGUAAAGGUAAAAGAACAGAAAAGGUAUAUUGCAUUAGAGUUCGUGUACUUCUACCUUUUAGUUUAUUCUUCAUUUUAUUAAAAUGACAGAUUCCUCAUUAAAAAAGGUCACUCUACAUAGUAUGUGGGUGUAUGUUCUUUUAAAAAGGACUGAGAGAAAAAUAAAUGUGAAAAACAAGUAACAUCUGAAGAAGAAAGUGAUGCUGACACAUUAACGACCACUUGAUUUUGUAGGGACUGCACAUAAUUGAUAAUUUCAUCCAACAUGAGACCUUUCCAAUUACCUAAUUUUAUACCAAACAACAUGAAGUUUAUAAGAAAUAUUAAAAACACAAAAACUCGUUAUUUGUUUUAAGACAGGAAAAAGUGAAUAAAAAACAAUAACAAAAAAAAGAACUCAAAUUACUUAAUUACCAUAGCUAUGAACAAGUUUUUGCAAAAUUUUCAUCCUCUCACUAACUUUCUCUCUUCUUACCUAAAACCAAAUAAUGACAAGACAACUGCCCAUUAGACUAUGACAAAAGUUGGAAAUUAAAAUAAUAUAGUAGGUUAUUUUGGAUAAAAUUAGAAAAAGAAAGUUUGAAUUUGUAUUAAUAUACUCACCCUUUCUGUUAACCCCUAUUUGAAGGGCCGAAAGAGUAGUAACAGUAGCAAAAAAUUCAAAUAAUAGAAAUCAGAGUGCCCACUACAUAUAAAUGGAUCUAAAGAAUAGAUUAUAUAAUAGCUUGUUUCUUAUGAAUGAUACAUGUGAUUCCACAGAUAAAAAGAAAAUAAAAAUCAAGUAUGUGAAUUAAAAAAAACACCUAACCAAUAGGGGUUAGUGAGAUAUUUUAGCUAAAUAUCAGUUGACAGAAUCUGACCCACAAUAAAAAUUGCUAUCUUUUCACAAUGGGAAUCUGAAUUAUAAAAUUACUGAACAAAACUUUUAACACCUACAAGUCCAAAUAACAUCAAAUAAAAUGCCUAACCAGCUGUUAAAUAUAAAAUGUCCAUGUAGGACUAAAGCCCUGUGGCUAAUCCUUCAAAGUUCCAAGCAACAAUAUGAUAAAAACAUAAUGCAUAAUAUAUAAGGAGCUUAUCUGUAAAACUUCCAUACAAUACUUAUCAUAUUAAACAAUGUACAUAAUGAAAUAUUGGCUUAUUUCUACAGAAUAUUACGAUCUAAGUACACCAAUUUCUCAAGCAAUGCCAUAUAGAAAGAUACCGAAGAAAAAAGGAAAAUAAAAAAUCGAAGUAUGUUAGUUAUGAUUUCAACUUUUGAACUAAAAGUCUGUGACAAAUUUUGCUUCGGGAAAUACUAACAAACACUUGAGAAAAACUAAAGUGUAUCACACUUGAACCGUAUAUAAAGCACAAGAAUAAAAACAACAAGGGGCAAAAAGAGGCUAGAUGUAUCAUCUUCAUUAGUUAAACAACAUAAAUAGAAUCAAAAUAUUAAUGCAUACACCAAAACCUUCAAAAUUCUCUAAACAUUCAAUUUUUUUCAGAGUAAGAAAAUAAAUUUAUAAGAAAUCGAGAAUGCGUAUUUGUUGCGGUAUUUUAUCAAGCAAUUAGCAUGCAGCAAUGUAAAUGACAAUUAAAACAUGUAAAUCUCUGUACUUUGAAAGCUCACCUUCGUUAUUCAUCCAAAGAGAAUAUAUAGGGCAUGUAAGCUCCUUCUUUGAUAUUUAUCCCUAUCGUUCAAUUAUUUUGUUUUCAUCAAAUUCCGUUAGCUCAAGUGGAGACAAAGCAAUACAAAUGGUGCAUUUAGAAGGUACAACUUUAGAAACCGAAUUUGUGCUUGCAACAUAGGAGAAACAGGGGCUCUCCUUCCAUUUUCCUGGUUUUGUGUUUGGUGAUUUUAAAAUUUUAUAUCUAUAUUUACGAAAAAAGAAAAGAAGUUUUCAAAACUAUUUUUUUUAUACAAGUUCUGUGUCAACUCAAAAAUUGCUCAUGACCAAAAAACAUCUAUGGUUCUUCAGUUACUCAAAAAUUCCUCGUUUUUGAGUUACUUUUUUUUUUUUUUUUAAUUUUUAUUCUCAAGUAAUUUUAUCAUGGAAUUGUUAAUUUUUAUUGAAUGUUGAACAAGCCUUUAUUUCUUUUCUUUCCCUUUUAAUGAAAUUAAAUAAAUGGUGGGGAUAUACCCUACAAAUUAUUGUCUCCACCCCAUAUUUAGUAUUGCUUUUACCACAUGAAAAAUUAAUUUUAUACGAUAAAUUUAUUUACUUGAAUAUUAAACCAUAUCAUGAACCAAUUGACAGGUUGAAGAAUUAACUUUCAAGUUUCAACAUUAUAAGAUUAAUAAAUAGCAUAAACAAAUUUUUAUUUUCAUUUAAAUUAAUCUAAUCCUACCAACUUCAUUUGGAUUUCAUAGUUGUUGGUUUCAUGUAUCACACGAAUUGUUAGGCACCAACUAACACAAGUAUAUGUUACUCAAGCAUCUCACUUGAAUAAUAGUCUAAGGAACUUUGAUUCGGAUGGUAGAUAUUUAACUAACUAAAACUAACAUUCUUAACUCAAAGCUCAUUUACUAGUAAAAGUAGAACCUUCUCCGUCAGCUUAUCUUGUUCAUUAUAUAACAAAAGAUAUUUAGUGAAAAAAAAAAAUUGGAGGGGGGGGGGGGAGGGGGAGACUAUGAUAAUAAUUAUGUUCAAGAUCUAGCCGCUAGGGAUAGAUUUGGCUAUGACUAUUUGUUGAUCCAGUAAUUAAUUUGAACAAUAUUGUUAAUUUUAGUUGAAACUGGAAUGAAUUUUGUGAAAGAUGCUUUCUCAUAACUAACCAACUAAAACUAACAAUCAAAUUAUCAAAAUCAGAGCUCAACUACUAGUAAAACUAUAAAAGUAAAACACUUGCUUCUCCAUCAAGUCAUCUCUUUAUAUAUAACAAAGAAUGUUUUAUGAAAGAUGGCAAAAGCAGUCAAUAACAAUUAAGUCUCAAAUAAUUCAUAAAAGAUGUCAAGCUCUGUUGCGAAUGCUGCUGAGGCUGAGAUUUGGAUUGUCCCAUUCUUCGGUAAGGGACAUAUGUUUCCAUGCAUUGAAUUAUGCAAGCAAAUCACUUCUCGUAAUUACAAAUCUACCCUCAUUAUUCCCUCUCACGUUUCCGCCACCAGCAUCACCCCUUCUUUUGUUCACCAAUACCCUCUAUUUGAAAUUACUGAAAUACCCUCCUCAUCUCCACUACUACCAUCGCCUCCUUCUUACCUCCAUGUUGUCAUGCACAACCAAAUGCUUCAGGGUCUUCGAAACCUCCUUUCAACCCGGAACCCGAAAGCCGACCUGUUUGCGUAGUCAUCGGCGUUAUGAUGGGCUGGACGGCUGAUGUUUUCAAGAAUUUUGAAGUUCCCAUUGUUGGGUUCUUCACUUCUGAUGCUUGCUCAGCAGCUGUGGAGUGUGCCAUGUGGCAGGCUCGCAUCCAGGAUGUCAAACCGGGAGAGGCCCAUUUACUUCUUGGGUUACCCAAGGAUGUUGCUUUAUUCCAAUCAGAUCUUAAACGCAGGCCUCACGGGUCCCUUCCUGGUGGCCCACAACCUUUGUGAGGUGCACCCGGUUCAGAGAAAAUAGGUCCAUCAGAACCGAGUGAUCAACCACACUGGAUGAAGCAAGUGGAGGGAUCGAUGGUGUUGAUGCUAGUGUGGGGAGUGGGCCCAUUGUUACCUGAACAAUUUUACAAAUCGACCGGUUCAGUGCUUCGUGAUUGUGAGAUGAGAACCAACCGGCGGAGUUCUAACAUGACCAAAGAUGAGAUCAUUCAAUGGUUAGAUUUGAAAUCAUGUGGAUCAGUGUUAUACAUGUCAUUUGGUACCGAAAUGGGUCCCACCUUAAAUGAUUAUUCAACAUUAGCCAAUGAUUUAGAAGCAUCAAAUCCACCGAUUAUUUAGGUAAUUCAAACUGAUGUAAAUAGAUUGGAUCCUCCACGUCAUUUAACCAGCUUAUUUUCAUAGUGGUUUAGAUAGUAAAGCCGGUAAAAAGGGUUUGAUAAUAGAUGGAAUGGCACCACAAUUAUUGAUGCCGAGUUAUCAAUUAAUAGGUGGAUUUUUAUCUCACUGUGGAUAAAAUUCAACUGUAGAAGCAAUUGGCUGUGGGGUCUCAAUUUUAGCAUGGGCAAUUAGAGGUGAUCAACGUUACAAUGCCAAAUUGGUGAUCAAUCAUCUCAAGGUGGGGUGCAUGAUCUCUGAUGAUCAGUCGAAAUUGACUUAAAAGGAUGAUAUAGUGAGUGGUAUAGAAAAGCUUAUGAGUAGGGUUGGGCAAAAUAUCCGACCCGAUCCGAUCCGAUCUGACCCAAAAAAUAUCGGGUUCAGAUCGGAUCGGAUUGUUAACAAAAUCCAAUCGGAUGUAACUUUGCCAACCCGAUCGGAUCAUGAUCGGAUCGGAUGAAACCCGAUCCGAUCCGAAAACCCGAUCGGGUUGGCUUAAAAAAAAAACUGUGUAACAAACUAACAAAGUGGCAAACACAACAAAAUCGGAUUCACACCACACAAAAAGCAAAUCUUAGAUCUAAAUUAAAAUAAUCUGUAAGUGCACACACACACACUCACAUCACACACGGUCACACACAAAUAGAGGUUUGGCCUCGGAGAUCGGAAAUGUUGAGAUGCCAAACAACGAAGCAGCAGCCAACAGAUUGGAGAUACAACCGCAAGAAGCAGCAACCAGCAGACCGGAGAUGCGGCCGCGCGAAGCCGCGAACCAGCAGCCAGCAAUCACCGACGUGAUCGUGCGAAGCCAAACCAUCGGAGAUCGGAGAUGUCAGCGAAGCAGCGGUGAGCAGAUCGGAGAUGCAACCGCAAGAAGCAGCAGCCAGCAAAUCGGAGAUGCAACUGCGUGAACCAGCAGCCAUCAGUCACCGACGCGAUCGUUCAAAGCUAAGCCAUCGCUGCAACCGCAACGUGCCGAUGGAAUCUACUACACCUCGACUGCUACCGCUUGCUGCCACUAGCUUCACCGGUUACCACAACUGCUACAACUAAAUUCACCUCCACAUUCACUGUCACCAAGUUUUUGGUGGUAUUGACUAUAUUGUUUUAAAUAAUUUAAUUUAAAAAGCUUAAAACAAAACUAUAUCUUGAGAAAAGGUUGAUUGUUUUACUUGAUUGCUUCUGAAAUUAACCCAGAAAUAUAGAAUGGAUAUAUAACCCGAAUGCUUUUAAAUCUGAAUCUAAUCCGAAUUAAUCCGAAUUUUCGAUCCAAUCCGAUCCGAAUUAUAUUCGGAUCGGAUUGGAUCGGGUUAAUAAUUCGGAUUGAGUUCGGAUGAUUUUUUCCCCAACCCGAUUGAUCCGAAAUUGAUCAAAUCAACCCGAACCCAAUCCGAAUCCGAUUUUGCCCACCCCUACUUAUGAGUGAUCAAAGAAAUUGAAAAACGAGCUCACAUGCUUCGCCGUGUAUUUAAUCAUGGCUUUCUUAUAAGUCAAUGACUUCUUUAAUAUAGUGUUUACUUUUUGGAGUGAGAGUGAGGAGUGUGGAUUCCUCUUACUCCAGUGUUUACUUACAAUUUUCAAAGGGGAAGUGAGAAUUCCACUCCGUGGAUCCCACCUAAUUUUGGAGUGGGGGAGUGAGAUUCCCACUCCCAUGGAGGAAGGUGGGAGUGGAAAUUCACUCGCCUCUCUUCCUUUUUCACCCUUAUAUUUAAUAAAAUAAAAUAAAUAAUAUCAUAUUUAUUUAACUUAUAUUAUUAUUUUAUUUUAUAAAUUACAUUUAUUAAAAAUAAUAAUAUUAAACAUAUUUAUUUUAUUAAAUUUAAUAAAAUAAGUAAAAUCAUAUUUAUUUAAAUAAUAAUAUUUUAUUAUUUUAUAAAUUAAAUUUAUUAAAAAUAAUAAUAUUAAACAUAUUUAAAAUAAUAUUAAUUUUUUGGUUAAAAAUAAUAAUUUACAUUGAUUCUAAGUUAAAAUUACUUAAAAAUAAUAUCAUUAUAUUCAUAAAGAAUUAAUAAUAUUACUAUAUUCUAUUUUUAUUUGAAAAUAUAAUAUUAUUAUACUUAUUUAAAAAUAAUACUAUUAUAUUUAUUUAAUAUUAGUAAUUAAUAAUAAUAAAUAUUUUAUUCUAAAAAAAUUAAUUUUGUACUAUAUUAUCAAUAAUAAUGUUUCAUUUGUAUUGUUGUUAUUAAUAAUUUUUUAUUUAUAUAAUUAAAAUUAAAAUUAAUAAAAUAAUUGUGAUUUACAUAGUUAAGAAUAUUAAUAAUUAUUAUUAAUUUAAAAAUAUAAUUUUUAUUAAUUUUGUAAUUAAUAACUAUAAUUCUUUAAGAGUAAAGCUGUAAUUUAAAAUCAUUACUCACAAUCUAAGACAAUGUAAACAAAUAAAUUGGAUUCUGAUUUCAAUUCCAUACUUCCAUUUCAGUGUAAGUAAACAACAUACUUCGACUCCCACUCCACACUCCUAAUCCCAGGAUUCUCACUUCUCACGAUUCUCACUCCAACGCAAAAUGUAAACGCUACCUAAAUGCUUUCAAAUAUCUUGUUAACCAGAAAUCAAUUUAACAAAAACAAUUACCGUGUAUAUUAUUAACGAAAAGGCUUUGAUUCCGUUGGCUUGGGUGUAAAUAAAUCGACUUUAUCAAGAACAGACAUCUCAGCAACUACAUAAUAAUAUAUGUAAGCUUUUGUUAAUUGACUGCAUUAAAUCAUUAAAUCAAAAGCCUUACAAAGCAUCUACAAUAAAAAGAUGGCACAUCCUCCAUCCAAACGACAAAAACAUGGACUCGCAACGCAAUUCUUGCUAAUUAAUUAAUAGGUAGUCAUAUUCCUCCGAGCAACAAAAUGAACAUCAAAUUGUUGAUGAGGCACCAUAUGCACAAAAUGUUGAUAUUGUUUAAUGUUUAAUAUUAUGGGAAAGUUUUAAUAGAUCUUCAUUUCCCUUACAUAUUGUGAGCUUAUAACCAAAAAUGGGACUAUAUGGUUGUGUGACAAACAAAAAGGGAAAUUUUUUACUAUUCGGCUAAAUUUUAAUGUCAAUAAUAUAGGAUCUGAAUUCACUUUAAUAUGAUAUCGACAUGUGUAGAAAAUUCCUUAAGUAAAUAGAUUUUGCAUAAAAGGUAUCGACCCAGAGUCAGAGGAAAAUUAAAUAGAAUGUCUUUUAAUACAACAAUCACUGGUGACCCUGUUUGGGCAUAGUUUGAGAGUACUAAAAUAUCUACUGCCAACUCUAUUCUAGUUGAAAGGCUAUCAAGGCAAAUUGGUCGCAUUGUUGAUGAUGAGGAAAUAGAGGUUGGAUUCAAGAAGAAGAAGAUUAUGGUAGUAAUGUUCUUGAAGGUCGAGAGAUGGAGAGAUUGAGAAAUAAUAGUGCAGCAAGUUUAAUGAGUGGAUAAUAUUAUGGUCAUAUGUUUUUUUUUUUUACACACAUGUAUAUAAUAUUAUAUUUCUAUGAACUAGUUUGAUUACAAUGAUUUUAUGUACAUAAAAGUUUAUAUAAAGAUUAAAUUUUUGCAUUUUCUUUUUUGCACUUAAUUUAUUAAUCAAACUAAUGAUAUGUUAGUAUUUGUUAUAUCACGAACUACAUAACAAAUUUUUUAGUUAAAAAGAUAUUGAAGUUAAUUUUAUUGCAAAUUAAAAUAGUUAAUAAAAAAUUAUUUAAAUAUGUAAUAAAGAAAAUAGAAUAUGCUCUUAAAAAAUCUUGUAAAUAAAAAAAGAUUUAAAUAAUAAUAUUCUAAAUAAAUUACAAACAAGUAAACAAGUACAUUUUUGUCAUUGUACAUGAACAUUUUACACUUUUAAUUUUCAUUUACCAGAUUUGUAUAGUAAACCGUUUAAAAAUUGAUUGUCAAAUAAUCAUCAUUUACCAAACACCCUAAUAGAUUAUUUGUAAAAUUAUUUUUUUGUUCAGAAUCAAGGUAGAAAUUAAUUCUUGGAAAGUAAAGGAAAUCUCAAACAUACCCUCAAUCAACCAUGGGAAGUUAUUUAAGUUGUAGUAUCUAAUAAGUUCUAUUAAUAGUGAGCGCACAUAUCAAAUAUAUAAAAAUAAGUAUUUUAGUUAUUAUCCACCUGUUCCCUUGAAAUCAAUCUCAGUUUUUUUUUUCUUUUACCUAAAAUUCCAAGAAAAAUAUAUAAAAGAAGAAGAACUUUUUUUUGGGGGGGGGGGGGGGGGGGGGGGGGCGGGGAUUGGGGUGGGGGAGGGGGGAGCUCCUCUGUUUUCAUUCCAUUGUUUUGAAAUUAUCUAUCAUCAGUAUAAAGUUAUACUUUUGAAUCAAUAUGCUUUGUGACUCGAUAAUUUAGCAUAAUAAAAAAAGAAAAACACACUUACUCACAUCCCGAUUGAAUCUUAUCUCUAAGGAUAAGUAAAAAAUUAUUGUUCCUCUUUUUCUUUUACGGUUUGUUUACGAAAAGAAAACACUCACACCUUCAAGAUAUUUAUAAGUAGAACACUUAAGUUUUAAGAAUAAUACACCCUAAUUUGAAAAAAAAUGAAUACAUGUAUCAUAUUUUAUGUUUUUUUUUUAAAAAAAUUAUUUGAUGACAUUAUGAGACUCUAUAUGCCAAGAUCUAUGUGAUGGUGAGAAUGGUUUCAUAAAAGAAGCAAUAGUAUAACCGCACACAUGGCAUUGUUUGUAAUGACUAAAAUUAGAAGAGAGUCUAUGUAUCUACUCCUGAAACAUUAAGAAUUUAACUAUUUAUUAAUUAAAUCAAAAUUUCAAGAUCAUAGUGUCGUUUUACAUAAAGAACCCAAAUACUAAAUCUAGCUAAUAAAGGAGAACGGUUUAGAUUAGUUGCUUGGACUUCCUUGUCUCGGGGCUGUGUGGUCAAGCCUGUCCAUCAGGCGGAUUCAGAUUUUGAAAGUUAUCUGAAUCUUCUUCUCUAUGUAAGCCUAUACAAUGAUUUUGUGAAAGACAUAUGCAAAAACAGUACCAGUAAGCAUAUUUAUUUAUCAAAGAUGUCAAGCUCUGAUGCUCAGAUAUGGAUAUCAAAGAGAGAGAUUGAAAAAGAGAGAGAGAGAGAGAGGAUAAUCAGGGACUCGUCUGUUAUCAUUCCCCUGUUUUUCAGUUUGGUGAUUGGAAGUAACAUUAUUUGCGUGUACUCUUUAUUUAAUUUAUUUUUCAAUUUUUUAAAAAUUAAUUAUUGUUCUUCUCAAAGCGUUUAGUAAAUUAUAUGAUAAUCUGAUCAAAUCUCUAACAUUAAUGUCCGCAUAAUCUAGUAAUGAAACUUAUAAUUUUAUAAUAAUCAAAUUGAAGAUUUCUUCACGCUGUUUUGUAUGAUGACGAGUUUUUAUUUUUCUGUUAAACAUAAGAUCAUUUUCUAAUAAUGUCCAUCUGGAAUUAGUAAUAACGAAGCAUCAUUUGUGGACAGAACAAUUGAAAUAUCAAGUCACUAUUGAUCCCACUUUGAUGAUUGCACUUUAGUUUCUUUCUAAAAUGUCAUUCUUCAUUCAAGCUUUUACUUUAUCUUUUAUCAGGUAUCUUACAAAGCUUUUCCCUCCUAAUAAGCUCUAAUAAACCAAUGUGCUUUUCAAUUUCGCAGGAUACAAGUAACGUAUAUGCCAAAAUUAUUCAAGCACAACAAGUAUUUAUUCGUCGAAAACUUCAACUUAAUUAUUUCAUUAGAAAAUAUGAAACGCAGAGCCAUAAACUAGUGUUUUCUUCAACUUACUUGGGUUAAAUAAAAUUUUUUCAGUAUUUUUCCCGAUCCAUUUCUUGUAUCUCACUGCAUGCUUUAUUAAAGCUUCGUCUUUGUUCUUGAUUGUGAACUUCAAGAUUAAAUCUUAAAAAUCGGGUAUAAAAGGGGUGCUUGAUUAAGUCUUCUUCUUUUGCAAUUCAUUGUUACGGCUCUUUUCAGCUUUUUACUCACAAAUUCCUCUGACGUUAACAGUGAUCUAUCGCUCACUAAAAUUGUUCUUCAUAAUUUCUUUCAAUACCAGUUCUUAAUAUUCAAGGCGAAUAGAGAGCUCAUCAACUCUCUGAUCCCAAAUAAUUAAAGAGGUACACAUGCUCCUAAAUCCUCUAAUAAUUUCUUUUAACAGCAGUUCUUAUUUAAUUUAAUUUCCGUCUAUUUUCCAAGAAAAAUUUCUCCGGUUUGUCUUAAUCUUAUCAUUUAUUUUGCUUGAGUUGUAAGUUAUUGUUCAUUUGUAAGGUCUGUGUUCUUAUUACUAGCUUUGGUUAAUUUGAAUCUAUCUUCCCCAAUAAAAAAAAAAAAGAAGUUUUUAAAAAAAGCGCGGGUUUUUAUUCGGACCCUUAAAACCUCUCUGUUAAUAGCAAAGAAAGACUCUAAUCCUCGAGCCAGGGGGAGUAAAAAAAGAACAAAGAAUUCUCUGUUUAAGUAUCAAUUGUCUCAAGAUCAACAUUGUUUUUUUUCUUUUUCUUUUUUUUGUUAAUUUGUUUGUUAUUUUAUUAGAUUUGCUUUUAAUCUAAUUGUGCUUGAGGAUUGAAGAUGAGUGAGAAAUACCCUUUUUUUCUGAAGCAACCUACAAAUUUUAGAAUAGGGUAAGAGUAUUAGAGAUUCAAUUAAUCAAAAAAAGUUAUUUACAUUCGUCAUUUGCAAAAAUGUUUGCAUUAGAAUUUUUCUAGCAUUCAAGAGCAUUACAUAUCAUCAUGUCACAAAAUAGCCUGAAAAACAAGAUAAAUCAAUUAGAGCAACUUGCUCUUUAUUGAAUUUUUUUUUUUUUUGUUUGGUUUGCCCGAAAUCCCAGGGAAAAUAUUAUAUAAGAACAAGAGUUAAGAUCAAAAAAAUGUAAAACAAGUUUCCUCUGUUUUCGUCCCCCCCCCCCCCCCCCCCCGGUUUGAUGAUUGAAAUUUUUUUUAUCUAAAUUUUAUGAUUUUCCGUUGGGGUUUUAUUAAAUAAAAAAUAAUUAGAAAAUGUAAUUCUAGAUUUACCCUUGUGCAUCGAGUGAUUAUUAUUAUGUUCUCUUAAGAUUUGAUAGUGCAAUUUUGUGUGAUGUGAAUUUCAUGUUUCUGUUAAUCAAUACAAACACAAUUUGUAAGUAAUGGCCAUGUGGAACUUAAUUAUAACCAAGCAUCAUUUGUGGAAAGAACAAAUGAAAUAACAAAAAAGCAGCGUUGGCAAUACAAUAUCAAACUUUAUUUAUUUAUUUAUUUUUGUUUUUGUUCUUGAAUAUGCAUUAAUCAAAUCAUAUAUUGUUGAUCUUACUUUGAUGAUUUGCUGUUCAGUUUCUCUCUCAAAUGAUUUUUGUGUGUUUCCGGUAUCUGCUUUUAUGAAAGAAGCCCUAAAGUGCAUGUGGAUUUUUAAAAAAAGAUUGCAUAUAAUUAUCCUAUACGUGCGUAAACAGGGCAACAAUAACCAAAUACAUGAUAUAAAAAAGGGGUGCUUGAUUAAUGCUUUUUCUUCUGCAAGUCAAUGUUAUUAUUCUCAUCAACCCUUUUCUUACACAUUCCUCGGCAGUUACCGGUGAUCUUUUUGCUCUUUGAGGUUGUUCUUAAAUAUUCAAGGCCAAAUAGAGAAUCUCACCAACUCUCUAAUCCCAGAUAAUUAAAGAGGUGCACAUUUUCCAAAUCCUCUAAUGUGUGUGUUUGUGUAUAGUAGAUCUUUGAUCUUGACAUCUGUUCUUUCAUAAUUUCCAUCUAUUUUCCAAGAAAAAAAAUUUCUCUGGUUUGUUUUAAUAUUGAAUUUACUUUGCAUGAGUUUUAAGUUAUUGUUCAUUGUUAAAGCCUGUGCUCUUAUUAUUUCGUUUGGUUAACUUGCAUUCUUCCCCCCCCCCCCCCCCCCCCCCCCCCCCCCCCCCCCCCCCCCAAAAAAAGAAAAAAGAAAAAAGAAAAAGAAAGUUUUUAAAAAGAUUAUAGGUUUCUACUCAGACCCUUGAAACCUUUUAGCUUUCCGGUAAUACCAAAAUCUCUAAUCCUCCAACAAAUGAAAGCUAGGAAAAAAAUGUCCUAAAGUUUAAUAUCUGUUGCCUUUGUAUCAAUAUUGCCAGUUUGUUGUCUUUUAUUAUAUUGCUUGUUUGUCAUUUUAUUUGAUUUACUUUAUAUCUAAGUUUACUUGAAGAUUAAAUAUCAGUAGGAAAAGCCCUUUUUCUAAAGCAACAUACAGAUUUUAGAAUAGGGCUCAGCCACAUGAAAAUGUUUACAUUGUAGUAUCUCAUAUCAAUAAUCUAAAAACAGCCAAUCCAACAAGUUCAAAUUCAGUCAAAUCUAAAAAUGAUUGCUUUUAAGGAGUACAUGAUAGCUAUUAAAAAGAUCUUUUAGGCAGAAUUGAAAUGCAGUCAAUCGUAAAUCAACCAAUCCAACGAGUUCAAGUACAGAGUCAAUUGAACAAAUUCAUCACUUGCAGAAUUAAGCUUAUCUUCCGAAAUUGAGUUGUUUCCAUUAGAAAUUUUCCCAUAGUCACGAGCACUAUCAUCAAAACAAGAUUAUUUGUAUAGGAACAAGAGUUAAGGAAAAAAAAAAAAAGGUAAAACAAGAUUCCUCUGUUUUCAUUCCCAUUUUUUUUCCUUGGUGAUUGAAAAAUUUUAUCUCUAAAUUUUUAUAAUUUUCCAUUAAGAUUUAUAUUUAAAUAAAGAAUUAAAAAAAUCUAAUUUUAAAUUUAUGCAUUGAAUGAUUAUUAUUAAAUUCCCUUAAAAUUGGUUACAAUAUCAAUUAAAUAACGCAUAGAGUUAUUGAUCACUUUGUUAAAAAUGAUCAUGUGUUCUAUUUAUAUAAUAAAACAAAAGAUGGGGUCACACUUAAGUCUUGUUCUUUUACAAUUCAUUUGUAUUACUCACUCUCAUGAACUCUUUACUUACAUUCGUCUGCAGUUAAUAUUCAUCUUCUGGUCGUUCUUAUAUAUUCAAGGCCAGCAGUGAAGGUCAUUAACUCUUUAAUAAUUAAAUAGGUACAAUUGUCCAAGAAAAAAUAGCCCUUGUUUGUUUUAAUCUUGUCAUUUAAUUUUCUACGUACUGUUCAUUGUUAACUUCUGUGUUCUUAUGUAAUAUUAGCAAUGGUUAAUCUGCAUCCAUCUUACAAUUUUUUUUUUAAAUUGUUGGUUUUCCAUUCAGGCCCUUGAAACCUUUUUUUAAAAAGUUGUUGGUUGUCAUUUCUUUCUCCGUCUUUCCCCUAGUUCAUUUUAAUUUAUUUGAAUCUAAUUUUUCCAACAGCUAAUAUAUAUAUAUAUAUAUGUAUGUAUGUAUGUAUGAAAGCAACAGGCUAGGCAAUGGCUGCAGACCUGGUUUCCACUACUUUUUCCGGCAUUGUAACAGAAGGUGCAAAGGCAUUGUUCGAACCGAUUAUGCGGCAGAUCUCUUAUGUGUUCAAGUACCAGAGCUACAUAGCUGAGCUAAAAGUUCAAGUGAAGGAGCUAGAAUAUAAAAGAGAAAGGGUGGGAAUACCCGUUCGUGAGGCUACUCAACAAAGAGAUGAGAUUUACAAGGAUGUUGCAGACUGGCUUAAUAACGUUGAUGAAUUCAUCAGUGAAGGGGUUGCAAAAUCCAUCAUUGAUGAUGAAGAUAGAGCUAAGAAGUCCUGCUUCAAAGGAUUUUGCCCCAACUUGAUUUCUCGUUAUAAACUUAGUAAACAAGCAGCAAAGGCCGCAGAAGCUGCCGCUAGUCUCGUGGGAAAAGGCAACUUCUCUAGUGUUUCCCACCGUCCUGCUCCAGAGAGUACAGAACAUAUGCAAGCGAAAGAUUUCGAGGCCUUUGAUUCAAGAAUGAAAUUAUUUCAAGAUGUUGUGGAGGCAUUGAGGAAUGAUAAGCUCAACAUAAUUGGGGUCCACGGUAUGGGCGGCGUGGGUAAAACCACGCUAGUCAAGCAAAUUGCAAAGCAAGUUAUGGAAGAUAAGGUGUUCGAUAAGGUCGUUAUGGCUGAGGUAACAGAGAACCCAGAUGUUCAGAAAAUUCAAGACAAGCUCGCUUCCGAUUUAGACUUGAACUUUGACUUGAAUGAUAGCAAACCCCACAGAGCAAAACAACUUUGUCAAAGAUUGACGAAAGAGAAGCGAGUCCUCAUUAUAUUAGAUAAUAUUUGGAAAAAACUUGGGUUGGAAGAAAUUGGAAUUCCUUUUGGGGAUGUUGAUGAGAAAGAUAGAAAGCAAGAUCUAAGGAGACGCAUGAUAAUAUUGACGUCUAGAAGUAAACAUUUAUUGACCAAUGACAUGAAUUCUCAGAAGAUUUUCCUAAUUGAAGUUUUAUCAAAGGAAGAAGCAUUGCAAUUUUUUGAAAAGAUCGUGGGCAAUUCCGCAAAAGCAUCUGCUUUUCAACCUUUAGCAGAUGAGAUUGUUGGAAAAUGUGGAGGAUUGCCUGUUGCACUGAGUACAGUUGCAAAUGCUCUGAAAAAUAAGAAGCUUCCCGUUUGGAAGGAUGCGUUGACUCAGCUGCGAAAUUCUAAUCCAAGAGAAAUUCAUGGAAUGGAUGCAAAUGUCUGCUCUUCCAUAGAAUUGAGUUACAACUUCUUGGAAAGUGAUGAAGCAAAAUCUUUGUUCCUUCUUUGUACUCUAUUUGGUGAAGGUACUCCUAUACAAGUUGCUUCCUUGUUGAGAUAUGGUAAGGGUUUGUUUAAAAAUGUUCGCACAUUGGAAAAUGCAAGGAAUAGAGUGGACGCAUUGAUCGACAAUCUCAAAGCUUCAUGCUUAUUGUUGGACGGCGAUGCUGAAGAUGAAGUUAAAAUGCAUGACGUCAUUCAUGUUGUUGCCGUAUCAAUUGCCUCAGAGAAGCUCAUGUUUAGUAUCCCAAAUGUUACCAACUUGAAGGAAGAGAUAGAAAAGAUCAUACAGAAAGGUGCAAUUGCUAUUUCUAUACCUUAUGGAGAUAUUCAAGAGCUUCCCGAAAGGUUGGAAUGUCCCCAACUCAAGUUAUUACUGUUGCUUGCAAAUGGUGAUAGCUAUUUGGAAAUUUCACACCUCUUUUUUGAAGGGACGGAAGAUCUCAAAGUUUUAAGUCUUAGCGGAAUUCAUUUCUCUUCAUUAUCUUCAUCACUUGGUCACCUCAUUAACCUUCAAACAUUGUGUUUAGACUGGUGCCAACUAGAAGAUGUAGCGGCAAUUGGACAGCUAAAGAAAUUAGAGAUUCUUAGCUUUCGAUAUUCCGACAUUAAGCAGUUGCCACUUGAAAUUGGUCAAUUGGCGCAGUUACAAUUGCUAGAUUUGAGCAAUUGUAGCAGCCUUGUAGUGAUAGCACCAAAUGUCAUAUCAAAAUUUUCUCGAUUGGAAGAACUAUAUAUGGGUGACAGCUUUCCGCAGUGGGAUAAGGUUGAAGGAGGAAGUAACGCCAGUCUUGCUGAAUUGAAGGGGCUGUCAAAGCUAACUACUUUGGAGAUACAAGUUCAGGAUGCCCAAAUGCUGCCGCAGGAUUUGGUCUUUGUCGAAUUGCCAAGAUAUAGGAUAUGUAUAGGAGAAGCGUGGGGCAUCUGGCGCGCUAAUUCUGAAACAUCAAGAUUGGUGCAGCUCCAUGGGUUAGAAAAUGUUAGCACUCUUUUGGAGAAUUAUGGGAUGAAAAUGUUGCUGAAGUUAACUGAAGAUAUCCGUCUAGAGGAACUGACGGGUGUUCAGAAUGUUGUUCAUGAAUUAGAUGAUGGGGAAGGUUUUCCACGAUUGAAGCAUCUUUGGGUAGAAAGGUGUUCUGAGAUUUUACACAUUGUCGGUUCAGUUGGACGGGUUCAUCGCAAAGUCUUCCCCUUGCUGGAGUCAUUGUCUCUCUAUAAAUUGAUCAAUUUGGAGGCCAUAUGCCACAGCCAACUCAGAGAAGAUCAAUUUUUCAGCAACUUAAAGAUUAUAGAAGUAGAAUCCUGUGAUAAAUUGAAGCAUCUUUUCUCAUUUUCCAUAGCCAGAAACCUACUGCGGCUUCAAAAGGUCAAAGUGGCUUCCUGCAAUAAACUGGAAAUGACUGUUGGUAAGUGUUGAAAUUAAGUGUUGGUGGAUUUAUGGACUUCGCCUCAAUUAUUUUGAAAAAAAAAAGACAACGACAAAGAUUAAUUAUGUAUAUUGUUUUUGUUUGUUUACAGGACCCGACAGGGAGAAACCAACAACUUCUUUGGGAUUCAACGAAAUCAUUGCUGAUGAUGAUACUGCUCCAAAGGUGAUAAUUUUCUGUUCAAUAAUUAAUUGAUUAAUUUAUUAUCACGAUUAAUCUUCGAUCAUCAACAGAAUAUUAUACUAGACGGUUGUACUUGAAGGAACAAAAAUGUACGGCUUUUCUUUGCAGGUUCUUCUUCCGAGCUUAGAGGAAUUGAAUCUCACGGAAUUAAGAAACAUCAAAAAAUUAUGGGCCGAUCAUAAUCAAGGAAUGUACUGUUGUCAAAAUUUAACAAAGCUGUACGUGAGAAGUUGUGAUCGUAUGAAGUAUCUGUUUUCGUAUUCUAUGGUUAAUAGUCUUUUGCAACUCCAACAUCUUGAAAUAUGGUCUUGUGAGUCAAUGGAAGGGGUAGUCGACACCACGGGGUGGUCAGAAAGAGAUGAAGGAAAGUUGAUUGAAUUAAAGGUUUUUCCUAAACUACACUCCCUGCAGCUCUAUUGGCUUACAGAACUGACAAGCUUCGCCAAUACAGGACAUAUUCAUUCAGAUUUAGUUGUUGAAUUCCCUUCUUUGCUAAACCUCGAGAUUGGUAAUUGCAGUAAUAUGUUAAGAUUCAUCUCUACGAGCUCACCAGAAGACACCAAUCAUUCUGAAAUGCAACCUCCUCCUCUCUUUGACGAAAAGGUUUUUUUUUUAAUAAAUAAAAUUAAUUUUAGUCACAAUACUUAAUUUGUCUUUUCCUUGAGUCUUCAAAUUUAGUUAAUAUCCGCCUCUAAUUUAGUUAUCAAUUGAUUAUGCCAUUAAUUGAUUAAUUAGUUAUUUAAUCUUUAACUUCCAGGUACGACUUCCUAGGUUGGAGGUAUUAGAUAUUAGCUGGAUGAAUAAUUUGAGAAAAAUAUGGCACCACCAGCUUCCUUCGGAGUCUUUCAGCAAAUUGAAGAAUUUGGAGAUAUAUAAGUGUCAUAACCUAAUGAAUAUUUUUCCUCCAUUGGUAAGGUCGUUGUAUUCAUUUCGAAUCUUUUUUUUUUUAAAUUACAUCCAACAAUAUUUUAACCAUUUUUGGGUUUACAAAUGAUAUUCAGCCACUGAUUAUUUAUUUCAAGUAUUGUAUUUCGAACCACCACUCUCAAAUCUACAUUUUAAGUCCAUUUUUUAGGUUCGCCAGCAUUAGAAUCAACAAUAUAAUUUUUUUAAUCACGAUUCAACAUCAUAAUAUAAUUCAAUUUAAUUGUUUCUGCUCAUAUCUUAAUAAGUACAAUUUUCAAAAAUUAAAGGAUAGUCACUCAUCUUAUAGGUUCACAAAUUCAUCUAUAUAUUUCUCUUUUCCUUAAUUCUUCACAUUUCGAUUGGAAAAAGAAAAAAAGAAAAGAAAAGUCUUCAAAUUUAAUUAAUAUCUCUUGUUUAGUUACGAACUGAUUAUGCCAUUAAUUAACCACAAAUUCACGAUUAUUUACAACUGAUCCUUGAUUGUAAAGAAAUUUCCUCGAGUCUGGAAGUACUUAAUAAAGAUCCACUUUAAUUUUGUUUCCAAAAUUAAAUAUACAUAAAAAAAAGGGACCAAGGGAAAAGGGAAAAAGCGGCAUUUUGGUUGAUUUUUUUUUCCCAAAAGGAAUAGUUGAAAUUUGCAAAUUUUGUUUAAAAACUGGCAUCAAGAUGCAAAAUAAGUCUAAAAUAUUUAGAAAUUGCCUUAAAUUCUUCGUACGUUCCUAAUACUAAAUAGUGUAAAUGCAUUUAAUAUCUUUGUUUAUCUGGCUUUUAUUUAUUUAUUUAUCUUGUUGCUUUUUUUGUUUAACAAAAAAUUAUCUUGUAGACAUUUCAUGGUUUGUUAUCUUUAUAAAACGUAUAAUUGUAUGAUUAAACAUACUUUGAACCUAGUUGAAUGAUAUUCUUACAUUUUUACUUUUUUAAUAUACACACACUUUUGCUUAUUUUCAGGUUGGAAUUCCUAGUAGUUUGGUGAAUCUUAAAGUAUCGAAGUGCCAAAAAAUAGAAGAAAUCGUAGGACAUGUUGGAGAAGAAGUGAAGGAGAAUCGUAUUGCUUUCAGCGAAUUAAAAGUUUUGAUACUUAAUUAUUUAUCAAGGCUUACCAGCUUUUGUUUGGAGAAUUACACUCUUGAAUUCCCAUCACUGGAACGAGUUUCUAUGAUACGUUGUCCAAAUAUGAAGACUUUUUCUCAGGGAAUCUUAUCCAUUCCAAAGCCAUGCAAAGUGCAAGUGACUGAAAAGGAAGAGGGUGAACUGCACCAUUGGGAAGGCAAUAACCUUAAUUCCAUUAUGCAAAAGUAUUACAAAGAAAUGGUAUGUGUUAAUCGAUUCACCCAAAUUGUUUAUGCAUCUCCCCUGCAAUUGCACAUUUAAGCAUAUACCCCGGUCUUGUAUAUAUAUUUUUAGAAGUUAAAACACAAAACAUGUAAGUUUAAUGUGUAUAUAUAUAAUGCCUUUCAAAAAAAAAAUUGUAUAUAUCCGGUGCAAUUGUUUUGGUUUGUGCAGAUUGGAUUCCGUGACAUAUGGUAUUUGCAACUCUCACAUUUUCCACGUUUGAAAGAAAUAUGGCAUGGCCAAGCACUGCCUGUCAGCUUCUUCAACAAUUUAGCACGGCUGGUGGUGGAUGACUGCACGAAUAUGUCGAGUGCUAUUCCUGCCAAUCUGCUACGAUGCUUGAACAAUUUGCGACGGCUGGAAGUGAGGAAUUGUGAUUCACUAGAAGAGGUGCUUCGUUUGGAAGAGCUAAAUGCUGACAAAGAACAUAUAGGCCCCAUGUUUCCUAAGCUUUCCAAUCUAAGGCUCAUUGAUCUUCCAAAACUCAAAAGAUUCUGCAACUUCACUGGGAAUAUAAUUGAACUGCCUGAGUUGAGAUAUCUAACUAUUGAGAAUUGCCCUGACAUGGAAACAUUCAUAUCCAAUUCUACAUCUGUAUUGCACAUGACAGCAGAUAAUAAGGAAGCUCAAAAAUUAAAAUCAGAAGAGAACCUCUUGGUAGCUAAUCAAAUACAACAUCUCUUCGAUAAAAAGGUAAUCAUUAUUAUUAUUUUUCCCUUCACUUUCAUUCGCAUAGAUGUAAUUUCAUUAGAAUCAAAUCAAAUUUAAUGACUUAUCUUUUUGCACGUCGUCUUAAUUUAUAUCUGAUUUAACAAUAUAAUUGUAGUUAUUAACUAACUUUAUAGUAUGAAUUAAAAAAAUGUCUCAAAUUAAUUAGAUGCCUAGUGACAGGAGGUGAUGAACUAUAUCGCAUAAAUUAUGCGUGUUAGAUCUUUGUUUUCCUAGCUAAUUCAUAUUGGAUUUAUGAUCAGAUUUCAUUUAUGUGUUUCAAAGGGUAAUCGAUUUGAUACUUAUAUUUGGGAUCCUACUGCAAAGCAUACUAAUUUGGAAAUAAAAUAUAAAAUGCCGUGAUUAAUCUUGUCCAUAAAAUAUGUAGGGGAAGACUGUAGAGAUUGGAUACAUAUUUUCAUUUACAACUUAAUUUUGUUGAUUUUCAGGUUGCAUUCCCUCAAUUGAUGAAGUUAAAGCUAUCUGGAUUACACAAAGUGCAGCAUCUCUGGAAGGAAAAUGCCGAAUCCAACAAAGUGUUUGCAAACUUGAAAAGUCUAGAAAUAUUUGAAUGUAGUAAGUUGCAGAAAUUAGUACCAGCUUUGUGGCAUUUGGAAAAUCUUGCGACUCUGGAAGUAUCGAAGUGUCAUGGGUUGAUAAAUUUAUUGACACUCUCAACAUCUGAAAGUCUAGUGAAUCUUGAAAGAAUGAAGAUAACUGAUUGCAAAAUGAUGGAAGAAAUUAUACAGUCGCAGGUUGGAGAAGAAGCGGAAGAUUGCAUUGUUUUCAGGAAAUUGGAGUACUUGGGAAUUGAUUGUUUGCCAAGCCUAACAAGCUUUAGUUUGGGUAAUUACGCUCUUGAGUUCCCGUCCUUGGCACACGUAGUUGUGAGACAAUGCCCAACGAUGAAGAUUUUCUCUCCAGGAGUCGUAGACGCACCAAAGCUAAACAAAGUGAAACCCACCGAAGAUGAAGAUGGUGAUGAUGAAGGAUGUUGGGAAGGCAACCUCAAUGACACUAUAAAAAAAUUGUUCAAUGAAAUGGUGAGUAUCAAUGAAGUGUUGGCACUAUCUAGUAAAUUAUUUCUAUUUAAUGUGGCAUAAUAUGAUUGCUUGACUGAAAAUAUAAAAUAAUAAUAAAUAAAUUAUGAGGGUCAUGUUAUGUUUUUGUUUAAUCAAUCAUAUUAUGUCAUAUUAGUUUGUACAAUAUUAUUUGUGCACAAGAGGCUGUGGUCGUAUCAUUACUCUUGCCUUAUUAUUAUUAUGGUUGUAAUGUAUGCUUGCUUACACGAGUAAUUACAAAAUGUGCAGAAUUCUAAAGAAAAGAUUGAGCCAACCCUUCAGGUACUGUGAAGAAGCUAUCUCGAACCAGGCCAACCUCUUGUACAUGAUUCAACUUGCUUGUUCUCCUGUACUUGAAUAAUCUAAACGCAUUUACAAUUAUUUACAGACAUGCAAGACACUUUGGAUUUGUUUGAUGCAUUCUCUGUUUAAGGAAGGACUUGAAUUGAUGUUUCAUGCUUCAUGCAAUUUUCAAUUAGAUACUGUUUAAACUUCUGCAUUAUUCAUUCAAUUGGUGUUUUAAGCAUUUGAUUUCUAACUAGUCCUAAUAGAAGAUUAUUGGCUGAAGAAAACAUCAUAACAUUUGUGGCAUUAUCAGAAUAAUAAUAGUUUUACGAGUAUAGUAAAAUUAACUCGACCAUUAUUAAAAGGAAUUAAUCCGUCAAAUUAACUUUCUCAGACCAGAACCCUUUAAGUUAAAAGAAUUUCGUGAAGUCAAGACCAUGUUAUAGAUCUUGUGGAAAUAAGUGAACCCAUAAAUGUUUUCACAGCAUCAUAAGAAAAUCAUUUUUUUAGUUGUUGAGUUUUAAAAGUAGUAGGCUAUUAAACAAUGACAAUUAGUGCGGUCGCAGUUGGGGAUCGAGUAGUUCACUUGAUUGCGAGUAGAAACCAACUUCAAUACUAUUACACUCAUUCCAAAAAUAGUAACUAAAGAAUUAUUAAGUUUCCUAUUAAGUAUUCUUUAUUUUUUAAUGCAAAAUUCCUAUUCGAAAACACCAGUGACUUUCUUUCAAAGUAAAUGAGAAAUUACAAUGAAAACGGGAUCAAAAUACAUGUAUGCAUACCUAAAACAAAUGAUUUUUUUUUUCAAUUAAAAAAAAAACAGUUGAGGUGAAAUGAAACCAGAGUCAUGAUGUCUCUGGUUCCAACUUUGGGACAAUAGCAGACUUGAGUUCUAUAUAAGAAACACGUACAGCUCCAAUCAGCCGCUCCGGUAAUUCAUCUGUAGUAUUUGCCUGCAUACACGAAGCAUUAUACCAUUCUGAAAAUGAUUCUUGAGUUACUAUUCAAGUAUGCAAAUAUGCAAAUUGCAGUACAAUAUCUCAAAAUCAUGUCUCUUCCCUCGUGUCAUUUAGAAGUGGGGGAAAAAAACAAUCAUACAUACCUGCACAAGGAAAGCCAUGUCAACCACCAAUGCCGUAAUUACACCAAUUACAAGGCCCAAAACUCCAUUAGCAACUCUAGAAGAACACGUCAACAUCAAUCUACAGAAAGAUGAACAAUGUUAAACCAUGUUAAUGGUAUUGAACAAGCUAUUUGAAAGGGAACACAUCCCAUGUACUAUAGGAAUUCGAAGAGCAUUUAUUUCUAACUACUUAGGACCGCGGAUAUAGUUACAAUCAACUGCUUUUCCUAAUAAACAAGGGGUGCUUCCAUCACUCUGGUGCAUGAUCCAUGACUAAGCCCUAUAUUUAAGUCAUAUUGAGGAAACAUAAGAAAAAAAUUCCAGAAAAAGUAUCAGCUAAGAAUUAAAAUUAAAUUCAUCAAAAUGAUCUCAAUCACUAGAUUUUUUACUGUCACAGUAUGUUUAAAAACUUGCAGAAGGCCCAAAGAGAACUUAGGACUGAACCGAGGGAAAAACAAGACGGUGUAUUUAUUUUAUUUCUGAAUGCCAACAAUUACAUUGGGAUACAGAAAUUUUAGGUAAUUUCCUCACAUAUUACAUCAGAAGAGAGGAAAGGGGAAAGAAGAACAAUAAAUGUUCUAUUCUGACCAAAGCAUAAAUGAGAUGAUUGAAUCAAGAGACUAUUACAUUGGAAGCCAGUCCAGCUGAAGCCUAUGAUAGAGAAUAGCCGUAUGACCAUCUACCUCUUCAACUAAGCUGCGAUACAGAAGACUACAAUCCCACCUGCACAAAACAUGAAAAACGGUGUACGUGCGGCAAGAACUUUGAGAAAGGUACAUAAAAAAGAUCUGAUGGCCAAGAAAUACAACAAUUGUACAACCAAAAGAGGUAGAAAUCCAUGUCUAGUACACUGCCCUCUUCAAGACCUCUAAAUACUGAGUCAAAUUGAUAGGAAUUUCAUGGAAAUAACUAUUCGACAAAUGAUCAGCCUUGCUGGCCUUUAUAAGCCAACGCACAGAGAUUAUGGAACAAUGCAAUGGUGCAAACCAAGAAUUAUUAGGGUACAGACAGUAAAAUUAAAUAGAAUAAUUUGAACACAUUACUAGCAAACCUUGCCAAGAGACUUGUUAAAAUCUAAUUCGCAAACCAGCUAGAUUUGCUAGGAAACAGGUAAUUUCAGGCAGCACGCCUUCUCCUGUUUUAGAACACUCUUUUAUGUAAUAGUGACUUCAAAAGUGUAACAUGUUUCGAAAAAAAAAAAAAAAGAGGAAAGAACGUAUUUGACACUUCAUGAAAUGGCUAAGAUACAAGCUUUAAUCUAGUACAACAAAUUAAUAUAACUAACUUCAACCAUCAAUUGAUCUAUAGUUCAGCAACAAAAAAUAUAGAUAGCUACAUCUAUUUUGUCUUCAUCAAAUACCAUUAGCUAAGUGGAGAAAAGUUAUAAAAAUGAGUCCUAGUCUUUCUUUAUUAAUGAAGCAAUCCAUCAAACUUCAAAAGCUAUUUUCAUUUCCACAUUCUUCAUAUACUUAAGCAACAAAAGUUUGUAAUAAUCUUUAGAAAGCACCAUGCAGAUUAAUUAAAUAUAUUCAAAAAGGCACAUACAGAAUCGGGACUGGAGACAAUGUGAAUUUCACAGCAUACAAGAGGAAAUAUAAUACUCAGCUUACACAGACAGCCAAUAUAGUCUUGAUUAUGUUAAAGUAACUAAAAAUAAAAAAUAGAAAAGAAGCAUACUCGUAUCGUGUCCCAUCCAUGCUCAUUACAAGUUCAAAUAUUUCUUCACAGCUGGCCUUCAUAACACCAACAGCCUUCAUUGCUCUACUACAGCUUCUCGGCAGCAUUAAGUAAACUUUAGAUGAUGGUUCUGACCUAAACAAAAUCACAUCCUGAGCAUAGAGUAAAGAAAGUGGCAUACAUGGUAAUCAACUUCAAGAAGCUCUUCAGAAAUACAUAAUUCUGUUGGGGAGAAAAGAAAAAAGAAAGAAUACAAAUAAAAAGAAGUCACAAACAAUUCAUUUCCUGCACUACACAUCAGCAGCAGUUUUUCGGGAACACAAAAAUGUUAUAAUAACUUUUCUUGAUUGCCACCCACAUGCUAAACUGAUCAAAUACAAAACAGGAUACAGAAAAUCUCUAACCUUUUUGGCACUGAAGAAGACGCCAGUGCUUUCAAAAGAAAAUGCUUGAUUGUUGGCAUUCUGGUUUGAAAAAUAUGAGUCCAAUUCCUGUGUCCAGUCAUGUACCAAAUCAGGACGACCUGCCAGUCAUACAAAGAUGACAAAAAUACACUAUAAAUUGCGUCAAACCAAUUCAAGUCAAUUGGAGAAGUAAAUCAAGGACCAUUUGCAAUAGUUGUUCUCCACAUCAAAUUUGGGUGUCCAUCGUCUUCAUCCUCUUGUGCACUGAACCUGAGAGUCCACGAGAAAUACAUAUAAAAAUUAGCCAUGAUUGAAAUUGAUAGUAGUACAAAAUGGAUAUAAACAUCACGAUGAACAAAUUAAAUUGUUCCAUGUCAGACAAAUCCAGCCUGCAAGCUUAAGCUCUUAAGCUAGACCAAAUCACACUGCAAAUAACAAUACAUAAGGCCAAAAAAAGAUAAUAUGUAUCAUUCAUAUGCUUCGCCCUAUAGAAAUGAUUUGAGUCUACAUAAGAAAAUUUUUUGAGCUUCCCGAUCCACGAAUAAUAAUAAAUCUCCUUAAAAUAAUCUUUUGUAAAUAAUUUUAUUUUUCUUGACACAUGACAAGCACCUUCAUAUAGAGAAGAAAGGAGAAUCUCAAAUUCCACCCGCUCUCAGAACACCACAUCAAAGCUUCGUAUCAGUGAACAUGGAAGAAGAAUAAAAGAAGUAGCUCAAAUCCUGUAAAAAAGAACCUUGGACUUCGACUCUUGUCAAACAGUUGACUCCGACUGAAUAUAGGAAGAGUAAUUGAGCAAGCAUAGAUCGGCCAAGCUUAAGCAAGCGCAUAGAUCGGCCAAAUUUGAGCAAAGCCGAGAGAGAGAGAUGAUUGUGGUCAAUUUACAGCCGCAGUUGAUCGUUGCCGACUCGUGCCGCCGUUGAUGGCCGUGGAACAAGAAGAGAGGUGAGGUGAGGCGAGGGAGUGGUAAGGCGCGUGACGCGAGGGCGUGGGAGUGGGAGUGGGAGUGGGAGUGGGAGUGGUGGUUUUUGUGCAUGUAUCAGAUGCACGCAUGUAUUAUAGCAGAGUUGAGUUCAAUACGAAAAACACGUACAGCACCAAUCAGCCACUUCGAUAAUUCAUCUGUAGUUGUGAGAUGAUGAAUCAAGUUUGGUUCCCAGAAACGGCUGCGUUUUGAAGCCGUAAAAGCUUCAUUAGCUCACGUGCUGUUCAGCUGAUUCUUAACAAAAAAACGAUUUAGUGGAAACGACAUGGAUGGAGCACGUUUUACAUAUCAAUUUAAGUAACCACGUGAGGAAGCAUGUGAUGAAGGUUGUUCCGAGUUCGUUGAAGGUUGUUAAGCACGUGUCAAAACAAAGUGUUCAUGCUGGAAAGAAACAAAAUAUUAAUAAAUAAACCCUUAAAAAGAUUCUCUGAAAAUUAUGUUUAACUAGAACAAUUAUCUAGCAGUUUGAUAUAUUAAAUGAGCCUGUUAAUUAUUUCACUUACUAUCUUAUAAAUCCUCUCAAAAUUACACCGCUGCUCUGACCCCAAGUUCCAUUAUCAAUUAUAUCAUUCCCUAUCUUAUAGUAAAGGUAAAAGAAAAGAAAAGGUAUAUUGCAUUAGAGUUCGUGUACUUCUACCUUUUAGUUUAUUCUUCAUUUUAUUAAAAUGACAGAUUCCUCAUUAAAAAAGGUCACUCUACAUAGUAUGUGGGUGUAUGUUCUUUUAAAAAGGACUGAGAGAAAAUACAGUAGCACGUAAAAAUGUGCACCCAGCAGCAGAACCAUAUUAAUCCACAACAGCGCAAAAUAAAUGUGAAAAACAAGUAACAUCUGAAGAAGACAGUGAUGCCGAAACAUUGACGACCAAUAUAGUGUCUUGAUUUGGUUAAUUAAAUAUAUUUUUGUUAUCAUCCACCUGUUUGCUUUAAAUAAUUUUCAAUAUUUUUUCGUAUGCCUGAAAUUCCAAGGAAAAAUAUUUGUAUAAGGACAAGAGUUAAGGGGGACAAAAAUGGAAAAAAUAGGGCUCCUUUGUUUUCAUUCCCCUGUUUCUCCGUUUGGUAAUUGCAAAAAUUUAAAUCUAAACUUAUGAUGCAGGCUACAAGGUAGCUGGUGGACGAUUAAUAGGGUCUAUCUUUUGUUGUUAAUUAGGAAUUUAAUUUGGAAUUUGUAGUGUGCGCCUUAUCUAAGCAGACUUCCUAACAGUAAUUAAAUAAUCUAAAUUUAUGAUGCAUUAGGAUAUGAUUGUGAUAAAUUAGCUUUUUUCUCUGUAUUCUAUGAGGCUGAUUAUUAUUUUAAUUUAAGCCACACCUUUAAAUUCAGUUUUCGCAAAACUGACAGGUAGCUUGGGUGUAAAUGAAUAUACAUUAAUGAAGAACGGACAUGUGGAGUACCGAUAUACUAGCAUAAGUAAUGUUUAAUUUUAAUGUAUAAAACAAUGGUGCAUUUAGAAGGUACUACUGUAGAAAUAAAAUUUGUGCUUGCAACUCAUUUUUUAAUUCCCCUUUUUAAUAAUAAUCAAAAGAAAGCAGAGGAGAAACAGGGGAUUUUCCAGUUUUUUAUUCGGUGAUUUUUAACUUUAUCAUGGAAUUGUCAAUUUUUAGUUGAAACUUAUCUAAAUCGUCCUCUCUAUAUAAGCGAAUACAAUAAUUUUGUGAAAGAUAUAUGCAAAAACAAUACUAAUAAGUAUAUUUAUUUAUCUAAGACGUAGAGCUCUAAUGCUCAGAUAUGGAUAGUCCCAUUUUUUGUUAGAGGCAUCUCUUUCCAUGCAUUGAAUUAUUGCAAGCAAAUCGCUUCUCGCAAUUACAAACCUACCCUCAUCAUUGUCUCUCACGUAUCCAGCACCACAGUUACCCAUUCCUCUCCUCACCAAGGCACACAGAUUACAGGACAAUGCAGCGAUGCCAACCAAGAAUGCUUAGGGUAAAGACGGAAACAUAAAACAGAAUAAUAAAAAAAAAUCUAUUCCGUAAACAUAAUAAUUAAACAGAAAGUGGUACGUUCAGACAAAACACCUGCUCCUGUUUUAGAAAAGAGCUCCUCCGUUUUUAUUUCUCUGUUUUACUGUUUGGUGAUUGCAAAAAUUUUUGUCUAAAUAAUGCAUAGUAGAGUCAAGAAUAAAUUUAUGUUAAAACAAAGAAACAUCAAAGAUCCCCUGAUAUUAUUAUCCAGAACAAUAUGUUUAUUGGGCCGAAAUGGGCUAACAUACAUGGGUUCAAGCUUGCAAAAUCCACAUUUAUGUAUAAUUAUAUAGUAAUUAAAUACUGAACUUGAACUCAUACAACUCUUCAAUCAUUUGGAUUUCGAAUCUGUGUUAAUUGAACUAAAUACUGUCAGGCAUUCGAGUAAACACAUAAAGAAUUCAUGAUUUAAUGUCGUUCUGAAUUUUGACUUCAUAAUAUUCCAGCUACCGUUGCAGUUUCUAUUAUUGUGUGAUAAAUAUGAAUGAUGUCUUAGUAUAAAGACAUGUCUCAUUAAUUAUACCUUAUAGAAGAGAUAUCUUUUUAUACUAAAACUAUAUAGUGAAAAGGGGUCCGCCUAAGUUACGUUAAACGUAACUUACGGCCUGGCUGUAAAACUUCAUCCAGCCCCCUAUAUUCGAUAUUAUUUAUAUUAUAUUUGUGAAUAUUAUAAAAAUUUUUGAUUUGAAAAAUUUCGUUUAACCCCUUACACUCAAUUUUAUUUUAUUAAAAUCCUAGAGUACGAAUUUGCCUCCUAUAAUUUUAAAUUCUCAAAAUAACCUCAUUUAAUUAAAAAAUAUAAUUAUUAUUAAUUGAAUUAUAAUUAUAACUAUUAUUUUAUUAUAAUUAUAAAUAUAUUUAUAUUUUUUAAAUAGAUUAUUGUUAUUAUUAAUAACAAGAAUAAAAAGUAUUACAAUUAAUUAAUCUAUUAACAAUAAUUAAUAAUUUUUUAUUAAAUUGUUAAUAAUAAUUAAUGAUAAUUAUUAUUAAUAAUUAAGUUUUGAAUAAUAAUAAUAAUUAACAAUUAUCAUUAAUAGAUUGUGACUGACUCUGAACAAGUUGUCCGAUAUUUUAUAUCAUAUUGUAUGCAUUCACUUCUGGCUACAAAAAAAAUUAAAGAAAUAGCUUUCUCUUUAACCAAACAAGAGAUUUAACAAAAUCAUAAACACACGUUUCUCAAAACUAACAAGGACUUGGACAAUUAUGGCACUAAGUAGUACUGCAAUUAAUAUCAGUGAUGAGAGUAUGUUGCUACUUUGCUAGCUAAGCCUAGGUGGGCAUUGGCAUUCCUAGGACUCUGAACAAUUAUCGUUAAUUUUUAAAAAUCAAUUAUUAAUAAUAAUUAUCGUUAAUUACUACUAUUAUUAAUUUAAUAAAAACUAUUAUUAAUUAUUGUUAAUAGAUUAAUUAAUUGUAAUACUUUUUAUUCUUGUUAUUAAUAAUAAUAAUCUAUUUAAAAAAUAUAAAUAUAUUUAUUAUUAUAAUAAAAUAAUAAUUAUAAUUAUAAUUCAAUUAAUAAUAAUUAAAAUUUUAAUUAAAUGAGAUUAUUUUGAGAAUUUAAAAUUAUAGGGGGCGAAUUCGUACUCUAGGGUUUUAAUAAAAUAAAACUAAGUGUAAGGGGUUAAAUGAAAUUUUCUAAAUAAAAAAGUUUUAUAAUAUUCAUGAAUAUAAUAUAAAUAACAUUGAAUAUAGGGGGCUGGAUGAAAUUUUAAAGCCAGGCCGUAAGUUACGUUUAACGUAACUUAGGCGGACCCAGUGAAAAGAUAUCUCUUCUAUCAGGUACAAUUAAGUAUGGUUGCUUGCAAAGAAAUGUAAAUAUAAGUCAUAAAACAAAGUCUCUAUUAUUUGAAGUACAAUUUCAUUCACAUGUUGCACAUGAGACUUGAGCAACCACGAUGUGCAGAAGACACUUUACAAUGAUUUUGCUUGUUUUUUUCCUAAUCAUUUCUGUAAUUGAUUUUGUUAGAAAAUGUUAGUAAUGAUUAAAUUACUUUAAAAAACACACUCACACAUCUUAACUGUAAAGGUUCAGAAAAUAUAUCGAUAAAGGUCAGAAGUAUCUAAUAAAAGUUGGCCAUAAACUUCAAUAUCCAAAAUUGCUUUAAUAAAGUAGCUGCAGUAAACAAAAGUCAGUAACCAUAGGCGACAAUAAAUCACAAUCAGCAACUAGGUCUCCAAAUCAAAAUAUAAUGGAUUUGGUUAAGUCUUCUUUCGAAAAGCUCUCUCUCCUUUAGAGAGGCUUGAAUGGAAGUAUUGAGGGGUCGUAAGGACUCAUGUGUUCACUCCCUGUGAGUGGAAGGUAAUCCAAAAAAAGUCAGCUUUUGGGGUUGGUGAGCUGGUUGAGAAAGCUUCGAAAGCAAAGUUCGUGUAGAGCGUUGGGGCACGAUUUAAAGCUAGUGAGCCUAAAUAACUUACUACCUAUCCAAGCAUUAACUACCAUGGAUACUGAAGAGCUAAUUCGUAAGUGUCAAGCAAUAACUAUCACAGAGGAAGACAAAGCCAAAAUAACGCUGGAGGUGAAUUUGGAAAAAAAGAAAGAACAAAUGAUGGCAGGAUGCUUAGUGGGCAAAGUACUUCUCACAAAGGGAGUAAAAAAAGAUGGACUUAAGGUUGCGUUACAGCAGGUGUGGAGGACUUUCAAAGAAGUCAAGAUCGAAAGCGUGGGAAACAACAUCUUCAUGUUCAAAUUUGCUGAAGAAGCAGACAAAAAACGAGUUCUCAAAGGGGGACUAUGGCACUUCGACAGGGCCUUGAUUGUUCUCGCUGAGCCAAGGGGGAUUGGGGAAGUCGCAAAACAAUCUUUUAUUCACACAUCCUUUUGGGUGCAUAUUCGUAAUAUCCCACUGGCGUGUAUGGAUAAAGAUUUUCUCCGAGACUUGGGCGGGAAGAUUGGAUCAGUAUAGGAGGUUCAAACGGAUGAUAAUGGAGACUGUAUUGGGGAAUUUUCCAGAAUAAGAGUCUCAAUUAACAUAACACAGCUGCUAGAGAAGAUUUUAUUUCUAAAGCAAGAAGGUGAAACUGAUAUCCCAAUGCCGGUGGUAUAUGAACGCUUGCCAGAUUUCUUUUAUUGCUGCGGAAUUAUUAGACAUCAAUACAAAGAGUGUGGCAAGUACCAAGACCAACCAAGAGAAGAUCUACCAUUUAGGAGUUGGAUGAAAGUGAUUACGGUAGGGGGUUUUACAAAGAGGAAUUGGAACAAGGAAAGGUGGAACUAUGGGGCUGGUAAAUCGGAUGAAAAAUCAACAAGCUCAGGAACUCACAACUUCCCGCAACAGCAAGGGCAAAACCAAGAAAACUCGAUAGGGGCAAACGGGUCAGUACCCAUUGAGAAAGAAAUGGGGCAAACCAUGAAGCAUGCCAAGAAGGAUGUUAUAGGAGGAGUAGCUGAGCAACAAUUAAUGCGAAGAGUGAUACAAUCAGCGGAAAAAAAGUAAAAUGAUGGCAACAAGCAAGCUGGGGAAACUGGCAAUGCAACAACCCCAAGGAAAAUGGGCACACAAGCGGGAAAUGGCAUUCCAAAAGAGAGGGAAAAAAUGCAGAUAAGUCAUGAAGAGGAAGCUGAAAUAAACAAUGGGCCGGAAGUAUCUCAACUACAGCCCAAUAAAAGGAAAUUGAAGUAAUUAACUAGAGAUCUAAGCGAGGGGGGGGGGGGAAAUUAAGUUACGAGUUCAAAAAAGGCCUAGGGGGAAAAAAUUUGGGCAAAGCCCAAGGAAAAAAACAAAGCUCUCUAGCCCCAAUAAGCUUGAGACUAAAAACCUGGAGCAUGUCUCUCCAACAGCAACGCUUCAGCUGGGUUAGGAACUGUUGGUACUGGAAGAAGUGGUAGUCAUGGAAGCAAACAAUAUGGAGAUAUCGGCGGAGGCUGGUGGUCAGCCCCCCCGGAAGCUAUGAAUAUUCUCAGUUGGAAUGUUCGGGGUCUGGGGAAUCCCCGAGCAUUUCAAGCCUUAAGAAAAAUCCUCCAAUUGCAUGGUGCUCAGCUAGUGUUUUUGUGUGAAACAAAGGUAUCAACCAUGCAAAUGAAUGUGAUUGCAAAUAAGCUGAGUUUUGAGAAUUGCCUCGCGGUGAACUGUAAAGGAAGAUGAGGCGGAAUAGCAAUGCUCUGGAAGUCAGAUAUUGGUGCAAAUCAAUUCAUACAGUCAGCACCACAUUGAUGCCGAAACUCAAAUGCCAAAUGGAAAUCGAAUGCGAGUUACAGGAGUGUACGGACAUCCGGAAACAAGACAGAAAAAACACACUUGGAUGCUCCUCAGGCGGCUGGCAGUUUUAUCUUCUAGCCCUUGGUUGUGUUGUAGAGACUUUAAUGAAAUUUUACAUCCAGAUGAGAAGAGUGGCGGCAAUGACAGGAAUGUGAAUUUAAUUAAUGAUUUCAGAGAAGUUUUGAGAGAUUGUGGCUUAAAGGAUGUUGGGUAUCGGGGGUACGCUUUUACUUGGAAUAAUGGAAGAUAUGGGUAGGGAUUCGUGGAAGAAAGGUUGGAUAGAUUUGUUUGCAAUAAAGCUUGGAGUGAUAGAUUUGUGGAUUAUGCAGCAAGCAACCUUGACACAUGGACUUCGGAUCAUUGUCCCAUGCUGAUGGCUGUUUAGGAGAGAAGUGGGGGCAUGAACCAAAGGGGUAGACAUUCCUCACGAAUCCAUUAUGAGGAUAUGUGGAGCUCGUAUGACUUGUACAAAGAGAUAAUCAAGGAGGAAUAUAAUUUGUAUAGAAAUUAGAAUAGUGAAAAUCCAGCCCAAUCCUUUCGAAAAGCAACAAAAGAUUCGAUGGGUAGGCUGUUGGGGAGGAGCAAGUUGGUGAGGAAAUUCGGAAGGUGGAGAAGCAAAUCCAAAAUAUCCUCAUGGAUGAAGAAAUCUACUGGAAGCAGCGCUCAAGAGCAGAUUGGCUCAAGGAGGGGGACAAAAACACAAAAUUCUUUCACGGCAAGGCAUCGACUAGAAGGAAAAAAAAAAACAAAAUUUUGGGGAUUGAAGAUAAUUUCGGGAGAUGGAUUGAAAAGCCAAAAGAAGUGGAGCAUGAGUUUUGCAAUUAUUUCACCAACCUUUUUACAUCAACCCAGCCGAGACAGGAUCAAAUUGCAGCAGCCUUGAAAGGAAUAACUCCGAGAGUUUCAGCCAGCAUGAAUGAGAGUUUGGAGGAACCGUUUACAGCCGAGGAAGUCUUGGAAGCUUUGAGUCAAAUAAAGGCUUCGGGGCCGGAUGGUUUUCCAGCAGUGUUUUACCAAAAGCAUUGGCAUACGGUUAAGGAGGGAGUGCUCACCACUUGUCUGCAUAUCGUCAAUUCACAAGGUACCAUAGGCCCUCUAAAUCACACUUACAUUGCUUUGAUACCAAAAAUCGGGAAGCCUAGGAAAGUGACAAACUUUAGGCCUAUUAGUUUGUGCAAUGUUAUCUAUAGAAUUGUAGGUAAGUCAGUUGCUAAUAUAUUUAAGCAAAUUCUGCACAAAAUCAUCUCUCUAUCGCAAAGUGCCUUCAUCCCCAAUAGGUUGAUCACUGACAACAUCAUAGUUGGCUACGAAUGUUUGCACAAGAUAAGGCAUUGUAAAGGAAAGCGAAAUGGAUUAAUUGCAUUAAAGCUUUAUAUUAGUAAAGCUUAUGAUAGAUUGUAAUGGAACUUCCUAGAGCAAACUUUAAAACAACUAGGCUUCUCGCAUCAAUGGAUUAGCUUGAUCAUGGGGUGCAUUAGUUCAGUUUCCUUCUAUGUGUUAAUAAAUGGCUCAGUGAAAGGCUUAAUUAAACACCAAAGGGGCAUAAGACAAGGUUGCCCCCUCUCUUCGUAUUUGUUUAUUACAUGUGCAGAGGCUUUUUCUUCCUUGCUGUAGCAGGCUGAGCAACAACGGCUUAUUCAUAGGCUAUCAUUUGGAAACGAUUUGAAGAUUUCGCACCUUCUAUUUGCUGAUGACAGCCUUAUCUUCAGCAGAGCUUCCAUGGCUGACUGUCGAAAUCUGAAGAUGAUCCUUGAGUGCUACUCCACAACUUUCGGUCAAAUAUUUAAUUUCGAGAAAUCUUCUCUUUUUCUUAGUGGCAAUGUACAACAAGAUCAAGCUGAGGCAAUUGGGAAUCUCUUUUAGCUCAAUAUUGUGUAAAGACAUAAAAAAUAUUUAGGCUUGCCGUCUAUGAUCGGGAGAAAGAGAAGCAGCUUCUUCAAUGACAUCAAGCUGAAGGUUUUCAACAAGAUCUCAAGCUGGCAGCAUAAAUUUUUUUCUUGUGGAGGGAAAGAAGUCUUAAUCAAAGCUGUUGUGCAAGUCAUCUCAGCCUACGCAAUGAGCGUUUUUAAAAUUCCGAUGGGAGUUUGUGAUGAUAUUUAAAAAAUGGUGGCAAAGUUCUAGUGGGGCUCCAAGAGGGAAGGGAGGAAUAUUCAUUGGGCGAAGUGUGAAAAGAUGAGUCAAGCUAAGUGUAAUGGAGGGAUGGGAUUUCGUGAUUUUUCAAGCUUCAACAGAUCCCUUCUAGCAAAGCAAGGCUGGAGGAUUCAGCAAUGUCCAAACUCGUUGGUGGCUAGGGUCUUGAAAGCCAAGUAUUUCUAGUCAAAAAAUUUCUUGGAUGCAAAGCUCAACUCAAACCCUUCAUAUAUUUGGAGAAGCAUUCUUUGGCGAAGGAAAAUUAUUUGCUCGGGCUCUAGGUGGAGAGUUGGCAAUGGUCAGAAAAUUCAUAUUCAUAAGGCUAACUAGAUUCCACAACCUUCAACAUUCCAGCCAAUGGUUAAGCCAACUUUUCCUUCGAAUGCUAUGGUCUCUGAAUUAAUCAAUGAGGCAAACUACUGGGAUGAGAAGAGGAUUUAUGAGCACUUCGAAAAAAUGGAUGCUGAUUUAAUUACUAAGAUUCCUCUGCCUAGAAGACCAAGGAAGGAUGAGCUAAUUUGGCAUUAUGGAAAAAAUGGCCAGUUCUAGGUUAAAAGUGGGUACCAGACAACUCUCCAAAUAAAGUUUCUAGCCAUGCCUUCAAGCUCAGUGGCUUCAAAAAAUGAAUGGAAUAUUAUUUAGUCUCUUGCUUUGCCUCAAAAGAUCAGAAUUUUUGCAUGGAGGGCAGCCAAAAACCUACUCCCCUCAGCUGAGAAUUUGUGGAAGAAAAAGAUAAUCCAGGAACCUACUUGCCAAGUGUGUAAAAUGGGAAUGGAAAAUGUAUUUCAUGCUCUAGUGGCCUGCAAAUCGGCUAAGAAAGUAUGGAGGCUAAUCUAUUUUGAAGAUGAUAUUAAUGCUGCUCACAGUCAAGAUAUCUUCAGUUUGCCGCAUGCUAUGAAAAGAAUGAGAAGCAAAGUUGACCUGGAGCUGUUGGUAACGAUUUUUUGGGUUAAAUGGAAUGCUCGGAAUCAGUUGCUAUUCAAAGGAAAAAUGGAGACCCCCCAUGUAACACCCUAGGCGAAUCCCAUAUCGGCAAAGCACAGGAGAGAUGCUGGGUUUAUAAGAAGUGAUCCACACCUUAAUUGGCAAGACGCGUUUUGGGGUCUAUGGGCGCCCCAAGAACAAAUCCGUGCAGGCCUUGUUAAGGCCCAAAGCGGACAAUAUCUUGCCAGGUCAUGACCCAACCCAGACCUGGCAAGAUAUUGUCCGCUUUGGGCCUUAACAAGGCCCGCACGGAUUUGUUCUUGGCGUGCCCAUACACCCCAAAACGCGUCUCAUGCUCCUUCUUACUCUUAGAGUAAAUUAAUAUGUCAUCAAUAAAGACAAUGACAAACUGGUCAAGAUAAGGUUGGAAGAUCCUAUUCAUCAAAUCCAUGAACGCUGCAGGAGCAUUAGUUAAUCCAAAAGGCAUAACUAAGAACUCAUAGUGUCCAUAACGAGUUCAAAAAGCUGUCUUCGAUACAUCCUCACUUCUUAUUUUCAAUUGAUGGUAGCCAGAUCGUAAAUCAAUUUUAGAGAAUACCGCUGCACCUCGUAAUUGGUCAAAGAGGUCAUCAAUUCGAGGAAGAGGGUAUUUAUUCUUGACAGUAACCAUAUUCAACUGCCGGUAGUCAAUACACAACCUCAUUGAACCAUCUUUCUUCUUUACGAACAAAACGGGAGCACCCCAAGGCGACACACUAGGACGGAUGAAACCCUUAUCUAGUAACUCUUGUAGCUGGACCUUUAGUUCUUUUAAUUCAAUGGGUGCCAUCCGAUAUGGCGCCUUGGAUGUAAGUGUAGUACUAGGAACUAACUCUAUAGUAAACUCAACCUCUCUAUCUGGGGGUAGACCAGGAAGAUCCUCAGGAAAUACAUCAAUAAACUCCCUUACAAUAGGUAUGUCUUCAAGGCACGCCCCAUCAGGAUGGUCAGCAAUUAUAUACGCUAAAAAUCCUUCACACCCCUUCUUUAGCAUUUUCACUGCCGUCACCAUAGAAAUCAAAGCUUUAUAACUCUUAUGAUUCCCUUGAAAAUGAAAUUCUUCCUCGCCAGGUAGGCGAAAAAUAAUUUCCUUAGCAAAACAAUCUAUUGAAACAUGGUAAGGUCCUAACCAAUCCAUCCUCAAAAUCAAAUCAAAAUCAUGCAUCUCUAAUGGUAGGAGAUCCACAAGGAAUUCUCUAUCACACAAUCUGAUCACACAUGACUUAUAGACAUGAUCUAUUAACUGGCAAUCCCCCAUAGGGGUACUAAUUGUCACGUGAACACCGAGUGGCGUGAUAGGCACAUCAGCAUAACGGGCAAACACACAAGAUACAAAUGAAUGUGUAGCACCAGGAUAAAAAGGAACUUUGGCUUCUCUAGAGAAUAAGGACAAUGUACCUGAUACUACAUCAUUGGACACCUCAGCAUCUUUCUCCGUUAGCGCAAAAACACGCCCUUGCACCUUCGGUUUCUUCCUCUGCCCUUCGUUAGUCGGAGUAUUUGUAGUCUCGCCACGUCUCUUUGGGCAAUCCAUAAUCCUAUGCCCAGAUUCUCCACAAGCAAAACAAGCUCCAGUUUUCCAAUGGCAUUCACCAGGGUGCCUCCUUUCACAAUGUCGACAAAUGGGGUAAUUUCUCCGAGCAGUGUCACUAGUAACACCCUUGUUAUCCCAUUUGUUACCUCCACCAUUAUACUUCUGGGAGUGAGUGCCUUGCCUAUAGGAACUUCCAUUUCGCGGUCCACCUUGUUGAUUCUUCUUAUUUCUCUGAUACCAUAAUGUCAUGACCCAACCCAGACCUGGCAAGAUAUUGUCCGCUUUGGGCCUUAACAAGGCCCGCACGGAUUUGUUCUUGGGGUGCCCAUACACCCCAAAACGCGUCUUGCCAAUUAAGGUGUGGAUCACUUCUUAUAAACCCAGCAUCUCUCCCGUGCUUUGCCGAUGUGGGAUUCGCCCAAGAACAAAUUCGUGCGGGCCUUGUUAAGGCCCAAAGCGAACAAUAUCUUGCCAGGUCUGGGUUGGGUCAUGACAUUAUGGUAUCAGAGCGGCUCCGCGUGUCCUCUUGAGCGAUGGUGGGGCAAACCUCAGCGAGGACGCUGAGUCCCCAAGGGGGGGUGUAUGUAACACCCUAGGCGAAUCCCACAUCGGCAAAGCACGAGAGAGAUGCUGGGUUUAUAAGAAGUGAUCCACACCUUAAUUGGCAAGACGCAUUUUGGGGUGUAUGGGCACCCCAAGAACAAAUCCGUGCGGGCCUUGUUAAGGCCCAAAGCGGACAAUAUCUUGCCAGGUCUGGGUUGGGUCAUGACACCCCAUAUUAUGGUAGCUAAAGUUGAAGCUAUGAUUGCAGCUUAUAAGAGGGUGCAUUCUUCAGUUGAGGCUUCCAGUGAAACAGAGCAGAGGGUACCUCUUCAGACAUGGAAUCCCCCUCAAGAUGGUUUUGUAAAAGUCAACAUUGAUGCAGCUAUCAACUUCAAAAAGAACCUUGUAGGGCUGGGGGCAGUGAUUAGAGAUGAUUCGGGGCAUGUUACAGCAGCUGCAAUCAAGAUUUCCAAGUUUCAUGGAGAUGUUUCUUAUGCUGAGGCAGCAGCUAUGGAAUGGGGUAUGUUGGUGGAGAGAGAAGCUAAAGUGAAAGUUGUAAUCGUGGAAUCAGAUUCUCAAGGUGUGGUCAGUUUAGUUAACAACAAGCAGGGCUGCAGAUCUGAGAUCUAUUGGGUUGUUUCGGAAAUUCAGAAGUUAGCGGAAAACUUCGAGUGUGUUAGUAUUAAGUAUACAGCCUAGAUCUUGUAAUGUUAUUGCCCAGUCUUUAGCUAAGUUAGCUCUAGAAAAACGCGAGACUGUUGUGUGGAGGGUUCAUACCCUUCACAAGUGAUGUAUUUCCUUUCAUCGUUGUUUUAAUUGAAAUCUAUUUUCAAAAAAAAAAAAUCACAAUCAGCAACUACAAUGAUCCAAAACCAACAUAGAAAGACCUAGAAAUAGUAAAAAAUAUUGCAAUAUAUUAAAGAAGAUUAAUUCAUCAGAGUGCCCACAACAUAUAAAUGGAUCUAAAGAAUAGAUUAUAUAAUAGCUUGUUUCUUAUGAAUGAUACAUGGGAUUCCACAGAUAAAAAGAAAAUAAGAAUCAAGUACGUGAAUUAAAAAAAUACCUAACCAAUAGGGGUUAGUGAGAUAUUUUAGCUAAAUAUCAGUUGACAGAAUCUGACCCACAAUAAAAAUUGCUAUCUUAUCACAAUGGGAAUCUGAAUUAUAAAAUUACUGAACAAAACUUUUAACACCUACAAGUCCAAAUAAUAUCAAAUAAAAUGCCUAACCAGCUAUUAAAUAUAAAAUGUCCUUGUAGGACUAAAACCUUGUGGCCAAUCCUUCAAAGUUCCAAGCAACAAUAUGAUAAAAACAUAAUGCAUAAUAUAUAAGGAGCUUAUCUGUAAAACUUCCAUACAGUACUUAUCAUAUUAAACAAUGUACCUAAUGAAAUAUUGGCUUAUUUCUACAGAAUAUUACAAUAUAAGUACACCAAUUUCUCAAGCAAUGCCAUAUAGAAAGAUACCGAAGAAAAAAGGAAAAUAAAAAAUCGAAGCAUGUUAGUUAUGAUUUCAACUUUUGAACUCAAAGUCUGUGACAAAUUUUGCUUCGGGAAAUACUAACAAACACUUGAGAAAAACUAAAGUGUAUCACACUUGAACCGUAUAUAAAGCACAAGAAUAAAAACAACAAUGGGCAAAAAGAGGCUAGAUGUAUCAUCUUCAUUAGUUAAACAACAUAAAUAGAAUCAAAAUAUUAAUGCAUACACCAAAACCUUCAAAAUUCUCUAAACAUUCAAUUUUUUUCAGAUUAAGAAAAUAAAUUUAUAAGAAAAUCGAGAACGCGUAUUUGUUGCGGUAUUUUAUCAAGCAAUUGGCAUGCAGCAAUGUAAAUGACAAUUAAAACAUGUAAAUCUCUGUACAUUGAAAGCUCACCUUCGUUAUUCAUCCAAAGAGAGAUAUAUAGGGCAUGUAAGCUCCUUCUUUGAUAUUUAUAUAUUUUGUCAUAAAAGAUUAUAUAUUGUCCGAAAAGAGCUAACUUUGGACAGGCUUUUUAUGCCAAAAAAAAAAAAAAAAUUCUUUUGUGACUAUUAUAAAGUUCGUCAAAAAGAAAUUGAAACAGGGACCAAGUAAUGUCUCAAAAAGAAAAAAAAAUGGUUAUCAAAUAUAAAAUUAUUCAAGACAAAACAUUCAAUGACUAUUGUUUAAUUUUGUCACUGUAGGUAAUUAUAUAUGAUAAAAAAAAAUGGUCUUAAAAUUAGCCAAAAGAACAAUAAUUUUGGCUACUAAUAUUUUGUGUCAUAGAUUGUGUAGUCAAUUUUACACCCCUCUUUUAGUUACCAAAUAAUUUGGUCGCCUAUAAUUAUAUUUCGUGACUAUUUAUUUUGUCAUAAAUAGUGAAAUAUUGUCUCAAAAUAAUCACUUUUGGAGGGAAGAUUUUGCGCCAAAAAAAUAUCUUUUGGUGACUAAAAUAAUUUUUGUCAUAAAAAAAAUUAAUUAAUGACCAAUGAACAAGUCUCAAAAUAAAAAUAAUUGGUUACAAAAAACAAUAUAAGUUAGGACAAGACUAUUAGCUACGAUUUUAAAAAUUUGUCACAAUAAAUACCAUUUUGUGACCAAAUUUAAAGUUGUAAAAAAUAUCAUCUUAAAAAAUCAAAUUUCUUAUAGUGGCCGAGGCCUAUGAUAGAGCAUAGCUCUAUGCCCAUUUACCUCUUCAACUGCCAUAGAGAACUAGAAUCCCACUUGCACCCAAAACAUAAAAACAAUGUACACUUGGCAUGAACUCUGAGAAAGCUACGUAAAAAUGAUUUGAUGGCCAAGGAUUACAACAAUUGUACAACCAAAAGAGGUAGAAAUCCAUGUCUAGUAUAGUGCCCUCGUUAACACCUCUAAAUACUGAGUCAAAUCAAUAGGAAUUUCAUUGUGGGAAAAAAAAAACUAUGCUACGAAUGGUCAGCCUUGCUAGCCUUUAUAAGCAACGCACACAGAUUAUAGAACGAUGCAGUGAUGCAAACCAAGAACUAUUAGGGUAUAGACAGUAAGAUUAAAUAGAAUAAUUUGAUUCCAUUUCUAGCAAACUUUGCCUAGAGACUUGUUAAAAUCUAAUCAGUAAACCUGCUAGAUUUGACAGGAAACAGGUAAUGUCAGGCAAAUCGCCUUCUCCUAUUUUAGGGCACUCAUGUAUAAUAGUGACUUUAAAAGUGUAAACAUAUUUUGAACAAUUUUAAGGAAAUUAAAACUAUAUUUGACACAUCACGAAAUGGCUAAGAUACAAGCUUCAAUUCCAGUACAACAAAUAUAACUUCAACUGUCAAUUGAAGGAGCGAGAUAAAGAGGAGAGACACGAAGCAAUAUACCAUUAUGAGAACAUUGCAGCAUACAAAAGUGUAAACGGCAGAGCAAUAUCUCAAAAUCAUGUCGUUUCCGAUGUGUGCUCAUUUGAAAGUGCAGAAAAACCACUCAAACAUGCCUGUACAAGGAAAGCCAUGUCAGCCACCAAUGUCGUAAUUACACCAAUUACGAGGCCCAAAACUCCAUCAGCAACAGUAGAAGAACCGAUGUCAACAUCAAUCUACAGAAAGUUUCUAGCAGUCACGAGCAUUAUCACGAUCAUCGUGCCGCAGAUUGCCCUAAAAACAAGACAAAUCAAUUUGAUCAGCUUGUUCUUCCUCUAGAGCUGCGAAUAAUUGAAAAAAAAAAGAUUAAUUCCAUAGAAAUCCAUUAAUGAGGACAUUAAUCCAAUAUAUAAAAAUGAAUAUUUAAGUUUGAAGCUCCUAGCUUGAAGCUUUCCAAAUAUAAAGUUACAUAGUGAAGGACAACAUUUGUCCAUGAGGUUUCUAAAAUGGCAACUUUUGCACAGUAAAAUUAAAACGGACGGCGGAAGCUCUAGAAACCUCGGAUCGGCUUCAUUCAAAAACGAAAAUCACGAGGAAAGAUUUAAGUUUAAUUAAAUCACUUUUAGUUUCAAAAACGGCUUCGUGAAGUAGAAGAAAAAGACUGAAAACAGCACGCUACGAACACUGUCCAGAAAAUAGAGCUCUGCACGAACAGCUUCUGUUUUGCCACGAUUUGAGAUCCUUAAAGCACCCCAAUUGUGAUGCCUCUAAUUAUUCCACACUUAGAAAUGUUCUAGGAGUUCAUAGGAUUUGGAAUCUCGAAAUUUCGUUUAGAAAUGAAAGAGAUAAUGAAAAAACAUGAAUGCUAGUUCAUGAUGAUUCAUUCCAUCAAAUAAAGCUACCAUUAUCUCUAAUAAUGGCACCAAACAUUAUCAUGUGCUAGACCCACCCACUUAGUUAUUAUUUAUUGAAAGUGAUCUUAUCACUUAAAUAAAUUAUUUAAUCAAAUAAAUAAAUAGCUAAAUUAAUUAAUUUCGUAAUUAAUUAAUUAACCCCAUUUUGAUCAAAUCAAAUGGUUAAAUGUGGGCUCAUUUUGUGACAUGUUCUAAUGCUUUCUCUUAAUCCAUAUUAGAUCUAAUAAAAGCCCAAAAUUCUAAACCCAAAAUUGGUCUAGAAGUCCAUAAUCAUAUAUGAACCGGAACAUGUCCAAAAUGGUCAUUUUACGUGCUUGAUAUUGCAUAAUGUUUAAUGGGGAUUUAUGAAAUUUAUUUUGUUCCUUAAACUAUUUAUGGAACAUCUAAAUUUCUAUCUUAAAUCAUAUUUAAGAUAUAUUUAUAUAUAUAUUCAUUCUUAAUGAAUUAUAAUAUAAAUAUUGAUUUUCCUAAAAUUAGGAAAUUUAACUUCUCAUUUUCUAGUAACUCCUUUUUCAUUUCUAUUUAGUGUGUGACCUUUCAGGUUCUUAGUUAUAAGGUAGUAGAACUAUUUUAAUGAUAACUCUUUAUUCAUUAAAUGAUGCUAAACUCUUUAGUAAUCAAUUAGAACUUUUCUAAUGACCUUAAGAUGCAUAGCUAAUAGGCUUUACCAAUAUUGAUCUUAAGGUUUCUAUAAGUCAUGAGUGACACCUAGCAGUAUAUCACAACUAUCCAAAUAACAAGAAUUGUUGGAUCUAUAAAACCUAUUUUAUUGUAUCUCUAUGUCUUGGUCUCUUCAUCAUCCAUGUCUAGAGAAAAGCACGGCUUAUGGUUUAUUAUGUUAAGCAGUUAUGAUUUAUCUCAAAAUAAAUCUAAAUGAACUUAACAUGAAAAUAUAAUUUGAACUCCUUCAAAUAUAUUUCACCUUGGCCAAGGAUUUCUCAUGCCAAUUCAUAUUAUCUCAUAGGGACAUCCUUUUUGUAUAUUACAAAGUGAUUAAUUCCAUAUUAGCCAUACACUUGUCUUCAUACAUAACCAACCAUGACAGCUAUUGCUAGAUCUCUUCCGUGAUUAGGAAUCCAUGAUUAUGCUUUCACAUAUCAGAGAUGUCUAUGUAUAAGACAUCUGUUAUGCCUCAAGUCUAAAGACCAUUAUUAAACAUAGUGUCUAUUACAAUGUAUAAUAAGCCAUUAACACUCAAAACCAUAUGACUUACUAUAUUUGGUCAUGUUCAGUAAACUCGUUCUCUCAACAAGUACCUAUGUGUUUGACUUGACAUGUCAUGUCAAUGAUAUGAAACUCACCAUCCAUUUUAGUAUCACAUACCAUAAGGAGUCAUAACACAUACUAGUGUUUAUAGGAAUUUAUAAUGUCCAAUCAUAAAUCCACCACUAGGAACUAUUUUAGAAGUAUAGUACAAAGGAUGCACGUUUCAUACUCUCGACAAACUCGAGAAUGUGUUCCUUAACUAUUUUACUUCUUGGACUAUAUUCAUUAAAUUAAUUUAUGAAUGUUGAUAACUUUGCCAUUUUAUAAAUAUCAAAAUGCUAUUCAAAUACAAUAAUUCCCUAAACAAACAAACACCAUUUGAUUGGCCUUUAGGGCAUAUUACUAACACAUAGCCCUUAGAAGGCCGAUUGCAAACAUCACCUUUCCCGGGGAUGGAGAGGAGGACGUCCUCAAGGAUAUUAUAAAGGGUUCUUAGUUUGAGUAGGUCAGUAUGGGUAGUGGCACACUUGAGGUAGUCAAUGGGAUAAGAAUCGGCCUCCAUCCUAUAGCCGAGGUUUCUUUUCUUAGAGGGUCGGCUCGGCUCAGAACUAUUCUCCUUGUUAUCACUUUCUUUUUCAGGGAUCCCAGCCCCCUCAGAACUGUGAUUCUCACCAGAAGCCGAUGCUUGUCCACCGCGAUUUCCCAUAGGUUCACAAUCAGAAGGAGGCAAAAUGGCCUUUGGACGGGGGUACUCAAGGGUAUCUCUAUUAUAAGAGGGACCUAUGUUACUGGAAGGAUUUUGGGGAUCAGUGGGUCUUAAUAAAUUGGGGUAUGAAUCUAUCUCUUCAUCACUCUCAUUUACAAUUAUUUUUCCCCUUCGUCUUGACAUAGUGAAGUCUUAAGAGAAAAAUAUAACAAAUUUAAGUAUAUGGGUACAAAAGUGUUGAGUGCGGAAUGCAGAAUCAAGCACACCAAAUAAUUAUAGAAAAAUAAUUGACACAAAAUUUAUGUGGUUCAGUAAUUAAACCUACAUCCACCGGAGCAAGAGAAAAAUAAUUGUAUUAUUAACAAUUAUUUGAGUACAAAUUUGAGUAAAGAAAUCUUACUUUCCCAUAACCCAAAUACACCCAGUACUCUCACACACACACUCUCCAAUUGCUCACACUUUCAGAACUCUCAAAAGCUUAAAAACUAAUAAGCUUAACAAAUUUUUUGGGAUACUUUAGAAUGAAGAAAUGACUUUAAUUUAUAGGCUUCAAGCUUGCACUAUUCCACUUAAUCCCUCUGCAAUUUGUCAAUCUUCAUCUCCAUCAAUUUGACAAAUUUUGCUAAAUUUUCCAUUUUUCUUCAUUUAGUGCAGGAUUGUCAAAUGCCAAAUAUUUUACAGCUUGCAGUUUUGGUGCCGACUUUGAAAAAACAAAAGCAAUGCAUGUGGCUCACUUUUCUUUUUCAACCAAUUUGAAAACACUCAUUGACUUUUCAACAAUUUUCCACCUCGGCGAAGAUUUGUUCAAAUAUGAGCCGACUCCCAACCAAUCAUCAUCCCCAAAGUGGCUGCAUCUCUGUGACUGCUACGUACACAAAAUUUGGGAUCAAGCCAACCGUAGUUCAAAAUUCCUGAAGGACAUAACUUAACAUAAUCGAAGGAUUUGAAUUAGUCUCAAGCAUUGUUGAAACUUAACUCCAGAAAUCACCUUUGUCAACAUAUCUGCUGGGUUAUCCUUGGUAUUGAUCUUUUUCAACAACACAUCACCACCCUCGAUAAUCUCUCUCACAUAAUGAUAUUUCACAUCUAUGUGCUUCGACCGAGCGUGAUAUGUUUGAUUUUUCGCGAGGAAUAUCGCACUUUGGUUAUCACAAAAGACCGCAAUGUUCUCUUGGAUUACUCCCAAAUCACAAAAUAAGCCUUUCAACCAGAUAGCUUCCUUUACAGCUUCAGUUACUACCAUAUACUCUGCUUCCAUAGUGGAUAGAGCAAUUGUCGAUUGUAGAAUCGACCUCCAGCUAACUGAUCCUCUACCCAAUGUGAAUACGUAGCCAGUUGUUGAUCUUUGCUUUUUAAGGUCUCCGGCGAAAUCAGAAUCACAAUACCCAACACAUUGUUGACCACAAUCCUUUUUUAACAAUAACCCAACAUCAACUGUCCCAUAUAGAUAUCGGAGAAUCCACUUUACCGCAAGCCAUUAAUUUUUACUCGGAUUGUGCAUGUACCUACUAACCAUUCUCACUGCUUGAGAUAUAUUGGGCCUUGUGCAUACCAUAACAUACAUAAGACUACCCACAACACUAGCAUAUGGAACACGAGCCAUGUAAUCGCGCUCCUCUUGAGAUUUAGGACAUGAAGAAGAGCUUAAUUUGAAAUGAGGAGUUAGAAGUGUACAUACCAGUUUAGUUUUGUCAUCCAUACCGAAUCUUUUUAGCACUUUCUUCAAAUAAGACUUUUGAGUCAACCAUAUGCUCCCAUUCUUCUUGUCUCUAUGAAUUUCCAUCUCAAGUAUUAUAUGUGCAUCACCCAAGUCUUUCAUCUCGAACUCAGAAGCCAGCUGCUUCUUUAAUCUUUCGAUCUCAUCUCUAUUCUUCAAAACUAUAAGCAUAUCGUUGACAUAGAGUAACAAAUAGAUGAAAGCUCCAUCUAUUAGUCUUCUAAAGUAAACACAAUGAUCGUGUUCACUUUUGGUGAAUUUCUGCCCUUGUAUAAAUUAAUCAAAUCUUUUAUACUACUGCCUUGGCGAUUGCUUCAGUCCGUAUAAAGAUUUAAUCAACCUACACACAUGAUUCUCCUUUCCAGUAACUUUGAAACCACAAGGCUGAAUCAUAUAGAUUUCCUCCUUCAAAUCUUCAUGUAAGAACGCCGUCUUAACAUCCAACUGAGCCAACUCUAACUCAUAUUCUGCAACUAAGGCAAGUAGGAUACGAAUGGAAGUAUGUUUUACAACUGGAGAGAAAACUUCAUUAUAGUCAAUACUUUCCUUUUGAGCAAAACCUUUUGCCACGAGUCUUGCCUUGUAUCGAGGAGUUGAUUGAUUUGGAGAUCCUUGCUUUUUGGUGUAGACUCAUUUAUUGCCAAUAGUCCUUUUCCCUUUUGGUAACUUUACAAGUUCCCAAGUCUGGUUUUGAUGGAGAGAUUUCAUCUCUUCCUCCAUGACUAACUUCCACUGAUCACUUUCACUGCUGCGUAAUGCUUCACCGAAAGUGUUGGGGAUGUCAUCAUCAAUAACUGAAAGUGCAUAGACUACCACCAUAUCUUUAGUAAGCCAUCCGGGUUUCUUUAUCUCUCUUCUUGGUCUCCUUGUUACUAUAAAAUCAUCAUUAUCUACAGCAUCAAUUGUUUCUUCAUUUUGUGGGACAUCAGAAGAAAUAACAUAUUCUUCAACUCUAGGUAUCACCUCCAUAGUUGAACCCUUAUUUGAUGUAGAACUAACUGGUACAUAUGGAGUUGUAUCAAACUUCACCAGCUGCAAUACCUCUUUGGUUUUGUUUUCCAUUUGCUGAGAACUUGAAGUUUUCAUCAUUGAAACUUCAUCAAAUGUGACAUCUCUGCUACACACAAACUUUUUGUCUUUGAGAUCCCAAAACUUAAAGCCAUUUACUCUACCUUUGUAUCCCACAAAAAUAGCUUUUCUAGCACGAGGAUCCAGUUUACCAUCUUUGACAUAAUAAUAAGCUAGACACCCGAAUAUACGAAGGGAAUUAUAGUCUUGUGCAUGCUUUCCAGACCACAUUUCUAUAGGAGUUUUACCUCCAAUUAUAGCAUAAGGCAACUAGUUUACCAAGUGACUUACGUAGUUCACAGUUUCAGCCCAAAACUUUUUAUCUAAACCAGUAUUAGAUAACAUACACCGUACUUUCUCCAGUAAAGUACGAUUCAUACGCUCAGCUACACCGUUCUAUUGCGGAGUAUGUCUCACUGUGAAAUGUCUUUUAAUACCGUCGUUCUGGCAUACUUACAAGAAUGGAUCAGAAGUAUAUUCACCCCCAUUAUCAGGUCGUAAUACUUUGAUUUUUCUGUCAGUUUAAGUCUCCACCAAUUUCUUCCAUUUCACGAAAAUCUCUAGAACCUCAACCUUUGCUCGCAUGGUGUACACCCACACACGUCUAGAGAAAUCAUCAACAAAUGUAACAAAAUAAUGGCUUCCACCAAUUGAUGUAGUCUUGGUUGGUCCCCAUACAUCACUAUGAACAUAUUCAAGGAUUUCACGAGUAUCGUGAUUAGCUGUACCAAACUUGACCCUUGUUUUCUUGCCUACUACACAAUGCUCACAGAAAUUUAAUUUAUAGGUUUUGGUACCUUUUAAGAGUUCGUGCCUCAUCAGAGUUUGCAAAGACUUUUUGCUAGCAUGUCCUAGUCGUACAUGCCAUAGCUUGGUGGUGUCACUAUGCGCCUCAAUAAUAUUUGCUUCAUCAGUUGUACCUCCCUUCAAAUAGUACAGAUUGUGACGCCGAACCCCUUGUAGAAUCACCAUAGCCCCAUGUGUAAACUUCAUUAUACUAUUUUCAAUGGUAGCCUUGUAGCCUUUAGCUUCUAGAGCACCCACAGAAAUUAGAUUUUUCUUUAAAACUAGAACAAAUCUAACCUCUUUGAGUUCUCUGACCAUUCCAUUAAACAUUUUGAGCCGAAUUGUUCUUAUCCCCAUUGUGCGACAAUGUUGAUCAUUCCCUAUCACAACUGCACCGGAUUUUAGAUUACGAGUAUUCGUAAACUAUUCCUUAAUAGGACACAAAUGAUAGGUUGCUCCAGUAUCAAGUAUCCACUUACUCGAACUAGCCACGUAUGCUGCAAGAGUAAUACUUAGUGAAUAAUCAGAAUCUUCAUCUUUCGUGCCAUGUUUGCUGCUGUUGGUUUUUUCCCAUCUCUGUUUUGAGCUUUUAGACAAUCUUUCCUCCUAUGAACCUUUUCAUGACAAAAGGCACACUCGUCUCGAGCUAUAUCUCUGCUUCUCGAUUUGGAUCGAGAAUUCUUUCCACCACCCUUUUUCUUUUUCUCCAUCGCCCAAUCUUUACUCACCAAAACUUCAGACGAUACUCGUUCAGAAUUUUUAUUAUUAUUCUGAAUCUCCAAGUUAGUCAAUGCUGUGCAAACAUCUUUGAAGAUGAUCACGCUUUUCCCAUAUAUCAAGGUAGUCACAAAAUGGCUAUCUUCCUCUGGUAGUGAGUGUAACAGAAUCAUAGCCUUGACUUCAUCCUUAAUAUCUUCAUCAAGAUUCUUCAAAUCAGCAAGUAACUUUUCAAAUCUCGAGACAUGAUCGUGCAUUGAUACCCCAGGCUUCAUUCGAAAGCCAUAUACUUGGCUCAUUGCAUGAAGACGAUUUUCAGGACUUUUCAGCCUAUACUUCUUCUCUAAUGUAUGCCACAAAGUCACCGCACACUCCUCAACUUUCACCAAGUAUUUUACCUCCUUGGUCAAAUAAGAUCUGACCUGACCACAAACUUUCUCGUUCAUACGAUCUCAAAUUUCUUCAUCAUACAAGUGUAUUUUAUUUUUCAAAACAAUAUCGAGAUCGAUUUGAAUAAGGGCAUCCAUAACUUCGCGCAUCCACAUGCCGAAAUUGAUUUUCCCAUCAAACUUUUCAACAUCGAUCUUCUGGCCUCCUAUAACAGGUGCUGAAUAGCGAUUUUACAAGUCUCGUCUCCCACUUGAAGUGUCUUCUAAAAUAGUCUCGAUAGAUCUCUCCUUAAUUCUGGAAGUUUCACCUUAUACCAUUUUCUCAACGAACUAUUUCCACUUGAAAAACAGCCUCUAUGAUGUUAAUUUCGCGUGAAUAAAUGUCCCAGGAAAGUUCCCUAAAGACUAGACGGGAACUCGGUCCUAAUUAAAAAUCGGAAUCCUUAGACUCUUAUCGCCUUUGUUGACAGAACUUUCAUAGACAUGUAAAAAUACACACUACUUACAAUAGACUGUCUCCCAAGUACAAAUGGCCGCCUCCACCGUAUUCGUGAAUAGUACUGUAUAUGUGAACAAUACAGUAUACUGGAAUAGUACUGUAUAUGUGAAUAGUACUGUAUCCCCCCAAGUACGAACCGUCGGCUCUGAUACCAGUUGUUGAGUGCGGAAUGCGGAAUCAAGCGCACCAAAUAAUUAUAGAAAAAUAAUGGGCACAAAAUUUACAUGGUUCGGUAAUUAAACCUAUAUUCACCGGAGCAAGAGAAAAAUAAUUGUAUUAUUAAUAAUUAUUUGAGUACCAAUUUGAGUAAAAAAAUCUUAUUUUUCCAGAACCCAAAUACACCAAGUACUCUCACACACACUCUUGGUAGUGUGUCUUUUAUGGGCACGAUCUGACUAGAAAAGAUACCGACCAGAAGUUCAUACUGACCAGGUACUUGUCACUCAAAGAGAGGACGUGAUCUCACAAACACGCGACAAUUUCACCACGCCCCAAACCGCUGGGAAAACACGACGCCCCACGAUUACCCACGUUCGGUUGUUGAAGACCCAUUAAGGCCCUUAACCACCCAAAUAUGACGAGCAUGGAAAAUACCCUGAAAAAGUGGGAUGAUUGCCUAUAAAAAGCGGAGAAAUCAAUGAAGAGGGGGAGAGACAAAAAGAGAGAGAGGGGAAACUCUGUCAAAUUGACUCCAGGCAUUGUUACAUAGCCACCUUAAAUACAUUUUAUCUUAAGAACAUCGCAAUGAAUGUGUGUGAGCAUAAAUCAUAUAGUUUUCCCGUAAAUUCCAUUUCCUGACUUAAGUAUCGGAGGGUUUAUGCCGGAAAAACCAUCAGCGUCUCUGAUUUGUUUUUGUGAAUGCAGGUUUAGAAAGAAAAGGGAGAGUGAUUCGGUUCCCAGGAGCUCGGGCAAUUACUAUAGCUGGUGGAGCGCAACCUCUUCUUCAUUGUCAACACACUUGUUGAUGAUCCCAUCUGGUCGGGCAAAAGGCGACUAGAUUUCAGCAUCAACAGUACGUUCAGACAAAACACCUACUCCUGUUUUAGAAACGGCCUCCUCUAUUUUACUGUUUGGUGAUUGCAAAAAUUUGUCUAAAUAAUGCAUAGUUGUAGAGUUAAGAAAAAAAGUUAUGUUAAAAUAAAGAAGCAUCAGAGAUCCCCCGAUAUUAUUAUCAUCCAGAACAAUAUGUUUAUUGGGCCAAAGUGGGCUAACAUACAUGGGUUCAAGCUUGCAAAAUCCACAUUUAUGUAUAAUUAUAUAGUAAUUAAAUACUGAAUUUGAACUCAUACAACUAUUCAAUCAUUUGGAUUUCAAAUCUGUGUUCAUUGAACUAAAUACUGUCAUGUAUUCGAGUGAACAGAUAAAGAAUUCACAAUCUGUUCUCAAUUUUGACUUCAUAAUAUUCCAGCUAUGGUCGCAUUUCUAUUACUGUAUGGUAAAUAUGACUUUUAAAUAAUUUUUUUGACAAAAUUAGUCAAGGUGCCAUAUGUGUAUCAAAUAAUAGUUGAUAAAAUCAUCUUAUAUUUUGAACUACAGAAGUAAGUAUUCAUCAAACACUUUAUAAUUGUCAGUCAAUGUUUAUGUGAACGUGACCGAAAAUGGUUACUAAGUGCAUGUUUGGGAGUUAGGAUUAAGUAUGGGAUUAGAAUAACUUUGGUAUUAAAUAUUUUAUCCCAUGUUUGGCUACUUUGCUUGGAUUGGAUUAAGGAGGACUAAAUUUAAAUUUAGGGCUUAAAUCAUGGGAUUAACAAUCGCAAUUUAUAAGUGGAUUUAGAUGGGAUUAGAAUAAGAGAAAAAAAUUUUGUUCAUGUUUCUUUCAUAAAUAACACUAUUUUUUAUUUGAAACCUAAAAUUUAAUUACUUAAUUUAUUAUUUUAUUCAUGAUUUACAUGAAUUUAUUUUUUAUUUUAUUUUUAUAGUCUAAUUACAUUGGUACUUUACUCCAACAAAAUUAACUAUUUAAUAAUUUGUUACAAUAAUUGAUUGUAUUAAAUUCAAUAAUCAACUAUGUAAUAUUAAAAAUAAUCAUAGAAAUUAAUAAUACAAAUAAAUAAUUGAUUUUGUAUAUACAUUAUUUGCUAACUUUUUGAUAAAAUAAAAUAUAUCUAAAAUAUCCGAUAAAAAUUAAUUAAAUAAUUAAAUAGUUUUAUUAAUUUAUAUUUGUUUAUUAUGAAUAUGACUACCCAAUAACUAAUUUACUACAUAUUUAAUGCUAUUGUUAAUUAUCUUUAAAUUAAUUUUAAUUAUUACUUUUAAAUAUUCUUAACUUUUUUUUUGUAUUUAAAUAUGAUUUAACAUUGUCUAAUUCGAUAUUGUACCAAACAUAGUACAAUAUAUAAUAUAAUCUAGCUUAAUCUAAUCUAACUUAAUCCAGUCCAAUCUUAAAAAUUAGCCCAAUUCAAUUCUACGUGUCAAGCACAACCUAAGAGUUCCUAGUGUUAAAAAUUUAACAUACCCACGAUCCAUUAAUGGGAUAAUUUAUUUUAUAAUAAUCAAAUUGAAGAUCAAUUUGUACGAUGAUGAGCUUUCAUGUUUCUGUCAAACAUGAAAUAAUUUUGUAAACAAUGGCCACGUGGAACUUAUAACCAAUCAUCAUUUGUUGAUAGACAAGUGAAAUAACAAAAAAGCAGCGGGUUUGGGCUUUCUCCAGGAAUCGGCUUAACACAAACAAUGUGGGGUUUCUUGAUCUUCUUAAAGAUCAAGCAUAUACGUAUACAUGUUCUAUACCUAUCAAUCAUUCCCCUAUUCUUCGGUUUGGUGAUUGCAAAUAACAUUCUUUGCAUCUACUCUUUAUUUAUUUAUUUAUUUUUAACUCAUUAAUUCUUGUUCUUCUUAAAGCGUUUAGUAAAUAUAUCAUCACCGGGUCAAAUCCCUAACAUUAACGUACACAUAAUCUAUUAAUGAAAUUUAUUAUUUUAUCAUAAUCAAAUUGAAGAUUAGUUCAUGCAGUUUUCUAUGAUGAGGAGUAUUCACUUUUCUGUUAAAUACAAGAACGAUUCGUAAAUAAUGUCCAUUUGGAACUAGUAAUAACGAAGCAUCAUUUGUGGACCGAAUAAAUGAAAUAACAUUUUAGUUUCUCUCUAAAAUGUCAUUCUUCAUUCAAGCUUUUGCUGCAUCUUUUAUCAGGCAUCUUAUAAAGCUUUUCCCUACUAAUACUAAUAAACUUUGUAAAUCAAUAUUCUUUUCAAUUUCACAGGACACAAGUAAUGCAUAUUCAAGCACAACAGGUAUUUAUUCGUUAGAAACUCCAACUUAAUUAUUUCAUUGGAAAAUAUGAAACGCAGAGCCAUAAACUAGUGCUUUCUUCAAUUUAAUUGGGUUGAACAAACUUUUUAAUGUAUUUUCCCCAAUCCAUUUCUUUUAUCUCACUGCAUGCUUUAUUAAAGCUUUGUCUUUGUUCUUGAUUGAUGACCUUCAAAAUUAAAUCUUAAAAAUCGGGUAUAAAAGGGGUGCUUGAUUUAAGUCUUCUUCUUUUGCAAUUCAUUGUUAUUGCUCUUUUCAGCUUUUUACUCGCAAAACUUCUUACUCACAAAUUCCUCUGCAGUUAACCGUGAUCUUUUACUCAUUAAAAUUGUUCUUAUUAAUUCUUUUUUAUAGAGAGAGAGAGAGAGACUCAAAGAGAAUUAAAAAAAAAGUAAUUCUAAAUUUUUGCUUGUGCAUUGUGUGAUUUUUACCAUUUUUAAAGUUGGUGAUUUGUAUUGAAUAAAUAAAAUAAUAAAUAGAUUUAUGGACUACUCUUUUUUGUUAUAAUAAACAUCAGAGGUCCUUUCCUGAUGUUUCAUUCCAUAAGAAUAAAUUAUAAUUUUAUUGAUAUAGUAACGUCAAUAAUAGAAAUCCUAACAAACAUACAAACUUUAGAUUAUGGAUUAAAGCACUACAAGGUGAAUGGAUCACAACAAAUUAUUUAUACUACAAGGUGAAUGGAUCACAACAAAUUAUUCUGACGAAAGCAUAAACAAGAUGAUUGAAUCAAGAGACUAUUACAUGGGAAACCAAUCCAGAUGAAGCCUGUGAUAAAGAAUAGCCGUACGCCCAUUUACCUCUUUAGCUAAGCUGCCAUACUGAAGGAGGCAAUCCCACCCGCACAAAACAUGAAAAACGAUGUACACGUGGCAUGAACUUUGAGAAAGCUACAUAAAAAUGAUCUGAUGGCCAAGGGAUACAACAGUUGUACGACCAAAAAGGGUAGAAAUCCAUGUCUAGUACACUGCCCUCUUCAAUACCUCUAAAUACUGAGUCAAAUUGAUAUGAAUUUCAUGGAUGAAACUAUGCAACAAUCGAUAAACCUUGCUGGCCAUUAUAAGCCUAUGCACACAGAUUAUAGAACGAUGCAGCGAUGCAAACCAAGAAUUACUAGGGUAUAGACAGUAAGAUUAAAUAGAAUAAUUUGACUACAUUACAAGCAAACUGUCACGGACCGCAAUCGUGGCACCCAAGAUAUGCGCUUGUACGCUAGUGUCGAUGAUGGUUGUUGAUGCUGAAAUCUGCUCGCCUUUUGACCGACCAGAUUCUUUCACCAACGUUUGUGUUAUCUACUGUUGCUCGUUCACUGGGAUUGGAUUCGUCCUCCUUUCUCUCAAUAGACCUGCGCUCACUAAAAACGGAUCAGAGACGCCGGUGGUUUUGCCGGCGUAAACCCUCCGAUGUCUAAGUUAGCUCAAGGUGUUUACGGGAAAACAGUGCAAUUUAGAUCUCAAAACGGUUUCUAAAUUAUUCGGAGUUUAUAAGAAAAUGGCCUGAUUGUAAUUUGGCAGCGUUUUCCCUCUCUCAAUUUUUUCUAUCCCCAUCUUCAUCGAUUUCUUCCUCUUUUAUAGCCGUUGUCCCCACGUUCCCAUUUGCCUUUCACCCUACCUUUUUCGGGUAGUGGCAGCCUCUCAUGGAACUCUAACCGCUGCAUUACGGGCAAACGUGGGAUCUCGCAUCCUCCGCAACGGUUCUGGGAACAGCGCAACUACCGCGAUUCUGUGGGAUCUGUUCCCGCUUUUUGGGGGACGGGUACCGGCUCGGUAUAUACCUCUGGUCGGUAUAUUUCCCUGGUUGGUAAUCGCCUCUGGUCGGUUCAUGCUUGUCCCCGUGUUCUGCUCGCACCAUUUGGCUAAGAUGAUCCAUGCCGGGGUGGAGAUUAGUAGCAUGGCCGACCUGGUGCUUUUAUUUACUUAACAAUGGUUGUGCUGAUUGUUGGAGACGUGCUUCAGGGGCGUGCGUGUUGGGAAUACAAUGCCCUAGACUCUUUGGAGUUCAGGCAGGCCGACCCGGUUGAGUUUGGGGAGCUUGUCGCUAGUCAAGGACUUAACGCUGAAGAGGGGUCUAGGAAAAUCCUGACGCACACUGGUUGGGAAUUGAAGCCGUUCUCCUGAUGAGCCCAAGGCAGGGCGAAACCAGUUGACAUUGUGUCACUUCCUCUAGGCUUACUCUCGUAGUAUGGGAUGCGGGAGUGCCGCACGGGCUCGAAACCUCUCGUCCCGUGACAAAUGGUAUCAGAGCCGCGCUUGUCAUCUCUCGAAGCCCUCGUCGCGAGCUCGCCAAGCGCUCCAAUGCCGCACCACGCGGGUCCCCACCCUUUCAGAUACAAGAGUUGACAAGCGGGACGAACAGGCGGGUUCUCACACCCCCAAGCGUUCGCACCAAGUGGAUGGUGUCUCCAUGCGGGUCCUCUCCAUGGAUUGAGGACGUGCAUGUAGGCAGGGAGUUCAUGGGUUGAGUUUGGCAAGUCGAUCUUCACAUUUUUGCGUGGAAGUGCACACUUGCGAGGCGUACUCCUCAUGCACGAGGACGUGCAUGGUUAUGGCGGUGGGAGAAUGUCACGGACCGCAAUCGUGGCACCUAAGAUAUGCGCUUGUACGCUAGUGUCGAUGAUGGUUGUGCUGAUUGUUGGAGACGUGCUUCAGGGGCAUGCGUGUUGGGAAUACAAUGCCCUAAACUCUUUGGAGUUCAGGCAGGCCGACCCGAUUGAGUUUGGGGAGCUUGUCGCUAGUCAAGGACUUAACGCUGAAGAGGGGUCUAGGAAAAUCCUGACGCACACUGGUUGGGAACUGAAGCCGUUCUCCUGAUGAGCCCAAGGCAGAGCGAAACCAGUCGACAUUGUGCCACUUCCUCUAGGCUUACUCUCGUAGUAUGGGAUGCGGGAGUGCCGCACGGGCUCGAAACCUCUCGUCCCGUGACAAAACGCUGCCUACAGACUUGUUAUAAUCUAAUCAGUAAACCUAUUCGACUUGCUAGGAAAAAAAUAGGGCUUUUUUGUUUUCAUUCCCCUUUGGUGAUUGCAAAAAUUUAAAUCUAAAUUUAUGGUGCAGGCUACAUGGCACCUAGUGGAUGAUUGUUAGGGUUUGUCUUUUGCUCUUAGUUAGGAAUUUAAUUAAGAAUUUAUAGUGUGCGCCUUAUCGAAGUAGGUUUCCUAAUAGUAAUUAAAUAAUCCAAAUUUAUGAUGCAUUAGCAUAUGAUUGUGAUAAAUAAGCUUUUUAUGUAUCCUGUAAGGCUAAUUACUGUUUUAUUAGAUUCUCUUGUUAGUCUUGUGAAUCAACGAGAUUUAAUUAGUAGUAGAUAAUACUUUAGGCUUCACAGGCGCACUAUUUUAUCCGCUAAAUCAAUUUUUUUUUUAAAUUAAAAACAAUUCAUCAAACACUUUAUAGUUCUAACUUUUAAGCUGGUAAACACUUUAAGCCACAACUUUAAAUUCAGUUUACGAGAAUUCCUAAUAGUCACAGUGGCUUGGGUGGAAAUGAAUAUAAAUAAUGAAAUACUAUCUAAGCAACUCAAGGGCGGUGAAUUGAGUUUCUAAAAAUUUUGUAAAACUUAAUUCAAAUAUGAAACGAAUUAAAACAACAGUAAGUAAAUCAACCAAAAUAUAAAAAGAUAGGGGAAGAGAGAUUCAAACACAGAGAUUUUUAUGUGGUUCGGCCAACCUCGCCUACAUCCACGCCUCCAAGCACACCGAGCUUGAGGAUUCCACUAGUCAUGCCUUUAAGGCUUCAAGAACACCUACAAUUGACUUCAAAGAUGUCAAUCAACCUUUACACCAAGAAAUUAUCCUCAAUCUCUUAACCCAAGUGUAUCCUAACACUUACAAUUUCUCAAUUUGAUUUAAAAAUAAAUACAAAAUAAAUCUCUCUCACACAAUGUGUUUGAUUACAAAUGAAAUUCUAAAGUGUGAAUAAAUGAGAUGUAUACAAGAAUUUAAAACUCAAUGAAAGUUGUAUGCUCAAUAAUUUGCUCAAUGAUAAUGGUUGGAAUCGUUGUUAUUUGAAUUUGAUUGAACUUAUUUAUAGUUGGAGCUGAAAUAUAGUCGUUAUUGACUUUUUGCUCAAUGUUGGAUUGCCGUUUUGACUAUGAGCAAGUUACCGUCGGACAAAAUUUUAAAUUCUCGGACCGUCGAUUUCAAGAUGUCGAAUCGCCGUUAAUGUCCAGAGGCUGCUCUUCAAUUCUGUUCAAUGUCGGCUAGCCGUUAUCAAGAGAUCGGUUAGCCAUUUGCUACAAUGACUGCUACAGUGAACUAUUUCUAAAAUUAUAAUUUGGCCCCAAAACUUUAUAAAAUUUACUAUGACCGAUAACUUUAUAAAAUUUUGUCAAAUAAGUCCAUUUCCAAAAUUUUAAGCAAUAUUUGCUAAUUUCAAAGUUCUCAAAACUUUUUCAAUUUAAAUCAUUAACAUGAAAAUAACUAAUAUCAUAAAAUUACUUUUCAUUGAAUAUAAAGCCUUAAUAUGAAAAAAAAAUAAUUUGAGCUUUUAAAUCAAGCUUAACCAAGUUUGUUAUCAUCAAAAUCAAUAUUAAAGAAAUAUUUAUGUUGACAAAUAAUGUUUAAUUUUAAUGUACAAAGCACUGGUGCAUUUAGAAGGUACUACUGUGUAAACAAAAUUUGUGCUUGCAACUCAUCUUUUCAUUCAACUUUCUAAUAAUAAUAAAAUAAUACAGAGGAGAAAUAGGGGCUCUCUUUCCGUUUCCCAGUGUUUGUGUUUGGUGAUUUUAACUUUAUCAUGGAAUUGUCAAUUUUUAGUUGAAAGUUAUCUAAAUCUUCUUCUCUAUAUAAGCGUUUACAAUGAUUUUGUGAAACACAGCAAAAACAAUAAUAAUAAGUAUAUUUAUUCAUCUAAGAGGUCAAACUCUCAUGCUCAGAUAUGGAUAGUCCCAUUUUUUGAUCAGGGACAUCUCUUUACAAGCGUUGAAUUAUGCAAGCAAAUCGCUCCUCAAAAUUACCAAUCUACCCUCAUCGUUACCUCUCAAGUACCCAUAACUAUAGUUACCCAUUACUCUCUUCGCCAAGGCACACAGAUUAAAGAAUGCUUAGGGUGAAGGCAGUAACUGUCCUGAAAUAUGACUUUUAAAUUUUUAUUUUUUUUUUACGAAAUUAGUUAAAAUGCCAUAUGUGUGAUCAAAGUUGUUAAAUAUCUUAUCUUUCAAAUUAUAGGAGUAAAUAUUCACCAAACACUUUAUAAUUUUUAGUCAAUGUUUAUGAAAACACGGCCGCAAAAUGGUUACUAAUGCUAGGGAUCAAUAAUCAAACUGAAGUUUGUACGAUGAUGGGCUUUCGUGUUUCAGUCAAAGAUGAAAUAAUUUGUCAAUAGUGGCCAUGUGGAACUUAAAACCAAGCAUCAAUUGUUGACAUAACAAAUGAAAUAACAAAAUGGCAGCGGGGUUGGCGAUACAAAAUCAAAUCUUUUUUAUUCUUUUGAUUUUUGAUUUUUUCUAUUGCAUUCUGCUUUCUUAAAAGUUUGGUCCAAUUAAAGAGAAUACGGAGCAAUGACUUGUAUCAUCUGUGGAAUAAUCCAUAGAAAUAUAUAUGUGAAGCACGCCAAAGAAAAUGGCGCUGAUGACAUACUCCUAAGAAUUGUUCAUACUGAGUCAUCCAUCAAUCAACGGGUGGAUUAUUAUCUCACUGUAGAUGAAAUUCAACUGCAGAAGUAAUCGGAUGUGGGAUCCCAAUUUUGGCGUGACCAAUUAGAGGUUAUCAAUAUUAUAAUGCGAAAUUGAUGAUCAAUCAUCUUAAUGUGGGGUACAUGAUUUCUGAUGAUCCAUCAAAAAUACAAAGUUGAUUCAAAAGGAUGAUACGGUGAGUGGAACAGACAGGCUGAUGGGAAAUCAAGCUAUUAAAAAACGAGCUCACAUGCUUCAUAUUGCAUUUGAUCAUGGCUGUCCUAGAAGUUCAGUGGCUGCUUCGGAUGCUUUCAAAGUUCUUAUUAACCAGAAAGCAGUUUAACAAAAACAAGUAUUGUGCAUAUUAUUAACCAUAUGCUUUCAAAGAUCAUGUAUAAGCAUAUCAGAGAUCUUGUUGGCUUGAAGAUCUUCUUUGGAUGCUUUCAAUACCUACACUUAUACUACCAUAUGUAAAGCCUUUGUUACUGAUUGCAUUCAAUUAUUCAAUUAAAAGUCUUACAAAGCAUCUAAAAUGGAAGAUGGAACAUCCUCCAUCCAAAAAACAAAACGGAAGUCAAAACGUUGAUAUUGUUUUAUGUUUAAUAUCAUGAUACUAGAACUUUUUAGGCUAAAGCACCUACCUGCUGUGAGCUUUACUACAAAAAAAUGAGACUAUUUAGUUGUGAGACAAAUAGAGAGGGAAAGUUUUUACCAUUUAGCUAAAUUUCGAUCUUAUGCAAAAUAAUAUAAUUCAUUUGUUAUUAUGACCUAACCAACUCAAAACAAAAAGGAUUAUUAUGGCCUAACACAGUUCAAAAUGCAUGCAACAAUGGUGUAUUUAAAAUGGAACUAAUGUACAAAUAAAAUUUAUGCAUCUCUUGGAGGAAGGCCUUUAGGCCAACAAAUGAAAAUAGUGAGCUCGCAUUUUCUAUUAUCAUUUUCACCACUUGAAAAAGAGAGGGAAAAAAAUUGAGAGGAAAAACAGGGCUCCCCUGUUUUCAUUUCCCAUUUUUUCAGUUUGGUAAUUGUAAAUAACAUUCUUUACUUCCCUCUUUAUUUUAUUUUUUUUUUAUUUUUAACUCAUUAAUUCUUUUUCUUAUUCUUGCUAAAGCGUUUAGUAAAUCUUAUGAUCAUCUGAUCAAAUCCCUAACAUUAACAUACCCAUAAUCUAUUAAUGAAAUUUAUUUAUUUUAUAAUCAUCAAAUUGAAGAUUUGUUCAAUUUUGUAUGGCGACCAAUUUUCAUUUUUCUAUUAAACAUAAGAAGAAUUUGUACAUAAUGUUCAGGUCGAAACUCGUAAUAACGACGCAUCAUUUUUCGACAGAACAAAUGAAAUAACAAAAAAGUAUAAAUCAAGUCAUUAUUGAUCCUACUUUGAUGAUCGAACUUUGGUUUCUUUCUAAGAUGCCAUUCCUCAUUCAAGCUCUUGCUUUUCUCUUUUAUCCGACAUCUUACAAAGCCUUGUCCCUACUAAUAAGCUCUGCAUAUCAAUAUUCUUUUCAAUUUCGCAGGAUACAAGUAAUGUAUAUGCCAAAAUUAUUCAAGCACAACAGGUAUUUAUUCGUUGAAAACUUUUAACUUGAUUAUUUCGUUAGAACAUAUGAAACGUAGAGCUAUAACUUAGUGCUCUCUUCAAAUUAACUGGGUUGAACAAAAAAUUUUAAAGUAUUUUACCCGAUCCAUUUCUUGUAUCUCACUGCAUGCUUUGUUAAAAGCUUCGUCUUUUGGUCUUGAUUCUGAACUUCAAAAAUUAAAUCUUAAGACUCGGGUAUAAAAUGGGUGCAUGAUUAAGUCUUCUUCUUUUCCAAUUCAUUGCUAUAACUCACACCAACAUUUUACUCAGACAUUCCUCUGCAGUUAACAGUGGUCUUUUACUCAUUAAAAUUUUUCUUAAUAAUUUCUUUGGAUACCCGUUCUCACUUAAUAUUCAAGGCGAAUAGAGAAGCUCAUCAACUCUUUGAUCCCAGACAAUUAAAGAAGUACACAUGUUCUAAAUCAUCUAAUAAUUUCUUUUAAUAGCUGUUCUUAAUUUCCAUCUACUUUGCAAGAAAAAAUUUAUCUUGUUUGUUUUCAUCUUGUCAUCUAUUUUGCUUGAGUUUUAAGUUAUUGUUCAUUUGUAAUGUCUGUGUUCUUAUUAUUAGCUUUGGAUAAUUUGCAUCCAUGUCUUUUCUUUGUUUGUGGGCUUUUAUUCAGACCCCCUGAAACCUUUCUGUUAAUAUAAAAACUCUAAUCCUUGAGCAAAAGGUUAAAAAAAGAAAAAGAAAGAAUUCUCUGUUUAGAUAUCAGUUGGGUUAAGAACAAUGUUGUUUGUCUCCUGUCUUUUCUUUGUUUGUUUGUUUGUUUAUUUUGUCAUUUUAUUAGAUUUGCUUUGUAUCUAAUUUUACUUGAAGAUUAAAGCUGAGCGAGAAAUGCCUUUUUUUUUUUUCUGAAGCAACCUACAAAUUUUAGAAUAGGGCCAAGAGUAUUAAAGAUUCAAUUAACCGCAAAAAGUUAUUUACAUGCAUCGCUUGCAAACUUAAGCUUAUCAUCCCAAAUUGAGUUGCUUGCAUUAGAAAUUUUCAUGCAUUCACGAGCAUUAUCAUCAUAUCACAAGAUAGCCUGAAAAACAAGAUAAAUCAAUUUGAGCAACAAGUUUCCUCUGUUUUCGUUCCUCUGUUUUCAUUCCCUGUUUAUUGAUAUUUUUUUUUUUUUUUGGCCUGAAAUUAAGAAGAAAAAAGUGGUAAAACAAGUCACCACUGUUUUUAUUCCCCUGUUUUUCGUGGAAAGAAUAAAUGAAAUUGAAAAAAAAAAAAGCAGCGUUGGCAAUACAACAUGAAACUUUAAAUUUUUAUUUUAUUUUUAUUUUUGAUUUUGAAUGUGCAUAAGUCAAAUCAUAUAUUAUUGAUCUUACUUCGAUUAUUUGCUGUUUAGUUUCUCUCUUAAAUGCUUUUUGUUUGUUUCCGGUAUUUGCUUUUAUAAAAGUUUUAGUCCUCAAUCAUUCGUUCAAGGAUUUGCUUUCUCUUUUAUUAGGCAUUUACAUUGCUCUGUCGAUCAAUAUUCAUUUGAAUUUCACAGUACACAAGCAAUGUAUAUACCAAAACUUAAUUAUUUCUUUAGAAUAUAUGAAAACGUAAGAGUUGUGAACUACUGCUUUCUUCUUCAACAUGCGUCAACAGGGCAACAAUAACCAAAUACAUGAUAUACAAAAGCGGUGCAUGACUAAUUCUUUUUCUUUUGCAGGUCAUUGUUAUUGCUCUCGUCAACUUCUUUUCUCACACAUUUCCCAGCAGUUACCAGUGAUCUUUUUUCUCCUUCAACUUGUUCUUACAUAUUAAAGGCGAAAUAGAAAAGCUCACCAACUCUCUAAUCCCAGAUAAUUAAAGAGGUGCACGUUUUCUAAAUCCUUUAACUUUUUUUUUUUUUUUUUUUAUAGUAGAACCCCUGAUCCUUGAUCUUGACAUUUGUUCCUUCAUAAUUUCCAUCUACUUUCCAAGAAAAAUUUCUCUGGUUUGUUUUAAUAUUAUAACUUAUUUUGCAUGAGUUUUAAGUUACUAUUCAUUGUUAAAGCUUGUGCUCUUAUUAUUUCCUUUGGUUAACUUGCAUGCUUUUCCCCAAAAAAAAGAAAAAAGUUUAUAAAAAGAUUAUAGGUUUUUACUCAGACCCUUGAAACCUUUCUGAUAAUACCAAAAACACUAAUCCUUUAACAAAAGAAAGCAAGAAAAAAAAAGGUCCUAUAUUUUAAUAUCUGUUGGCUUUGUAUUGAUAUUGCUUGUUUGUUGUCUUUUAUUUCAUUGUUUGUAUCUAAGUUUACUUGAAGAUUAAAGAUCAGUAGGAAAAGCCCUUUUUAUAAAGCUAACAUACACAUUUUAGAAUAGGGCUCAACCGCAUGAAAAUAUUUACAUUGUAGUAUCUCAUAUUAAUAAUCUAAAAAAAACCAAUCCAACAAGUUCAAAUUCACUGAAAUCUAAAAAAGAUUGCUUUUAAGGAGUACAUGAUAGCUAUUGAAUUUUGGUUAAAGAUCUUUUAGGCAGAAUUGAAAUUCACUCAGUCAUAAAUCAACCAAUCCAACGAGUUCAAGUGCAGAGUCAAUUGAACAAAUUCAUCACUUGCAGAAUUAAGCUUAUCUUCCGCAAUUGAGUUGUUUCCAUUAGAAAUUUUCCCGCAGUCACGAGACUAUCAUCAGAACAUGAUUAUUUAUAUAAGAACAAGAGUUAAGAGGAGAAAAAUAAGGCAAAACAAGAUUCUUCUGUUUUCAUUCCCUUUUUUUUUUUUUUGUUUGGUGGUUGAAAAAUUUUAUCUCUAAAUUUUUAUAAUUUUUCGUUAAAGUUUAUAUUUAAAUAAAGGGUUAAAAAAAUCUAGUUCUAAAUUUAUGCAUUGAAUGAUUAUUAUUAUUGGUUACGAUAUCAAUUAAAUAACAAAUAGAGCUACUAAUCACUUUGUUAAAAAUGAACAUGCGUUCUGUUUAUAUGACAGAGCAAAACACGGGGUGCACGCUUAAGUCUUGUUCUUUUACAGUUCAAUUGUAUUACUUACUCUCAUAAACUCUUUACUCACAUUCCUCUGCAGUUAACCGUGAUCUUUUGCUCAUUAAAAUUUUUCUUAUAUAUUCAAUGCCAAUAGUGAAGCUCAUAAACUCUGUGAUCCUGAAUAAUAAAAGAGGUGAACUUGUUCUAAAUGAUAGCUAUUCAACUUGGUUAAAGAUCUUUUAGAAAGAGUUCAAAUUCAGUCAAUCAUAACUCAACCUAUCCAACAACUCCAAGUCUAGAGUCGAUUGAGCAAGAUUCAUCACAUGCAAAAUUAAGCUUAUCAUACCCAAAUUGAGUUGUUUCGGUUAGAAAUUUUCCAGCAGCCAUAAGCAUCAUCAUUGUGUUUCCGUUAGGAAAUUGAGUUGCUUAUCAUACCCAAAAUAUUUAUAUAAGGACAAGAGUUAAGGAAAAGAUCCCUCAAGGAAAAGGUCCCUCUGUUUUCAUUCCCCUGUUCUUUCGUUUAGUGAUUGAAAAAUUUUAUAUCUAAAUUUUAUUAUUUUCCAUUGAGGUUCAUUUAAAACAGAAAAGAAUUAAAAAUGUAAUUCUAAAUUUACCCUAAUUCACGGAGUGAUUAUUAUUAUGUUAUCUCAAAAUUGGCCAUACGAAUUAAAUGACUAAUAGAGUUAUUGACAAUUUUGUUAAAAAUGAACAACCGAUAAGUCAUUAUCUUUUGCACUUCAUUCUUAUUACUCUCAUAAACAUUUUAAUCACAUUUCUCUGUAGUUAACAAUGAUCUUUACCCAUUAAAAUUGUUCUUACAUAUUCAUGGCAAAUGAAGAAGCUCAUCAACUCUGUGAUCCCAGAUUAUUAAAGAGGUGCACAUGUUCUAAACCCUUUAAUAGUUUCUUUUGAUACCAUAAUCUAAUCCUUGAUCUUGAUAAUAGUGCUUUCGCAACAUCCAAGUAAAAAUUUCUCUUGUUUGUCUUAAUCUUGUCAUUUAGGUUUCUCGACUUUUAAUUUAUUAUUCAUUGUUGACUUCUGUGUUCUUAAUAUUAGCAUUCGUUAACUUACUUAAAUCCAUCCUUUUCAACAGCCAGAAAAAUAUAUAUUGUUAAGCAACAGGAGAUGGCAGAAGUAUGUCUUGCUAUUUUUUCCUGCGUAUCAGAAGGUACAAAGACAUUGUCUGAACCGAUUAUAGGGCAGAUGUCUUAUGUGCUCAAGUGCCAGAGCUACAUAGAUGGGCUAAAAGACCGAGUAGAGGAGCUGGGACAAAGAAGAAAAAGGGUGGAAAUACUGGUUGAUCAGGCUCCUGGACAAGGAUAUAAGAUUUUUGGGGAUGUCACAGAGUGGCUAGGGAAAGUUGAGCAAUUCACUCAAGGGUAUGCAAAACACAUCAUUAAUGAUGAAGAUGAAGUUAGGAAGCCCUGCUUUAAAGGAUUGUCCCCAAAUUUGAUGUCUCGUUAUAAACUCAGUAAACGAGCAGUGAAGGCUGCAAAAUAUGCUGAAACUCUCUUGGCAACAGGCAACUUAUGGAUCAUGAGUAAUGUUUCCCACCCUCCUUCCCCAAAGAUGAGAGAAUUUGGCAACAUGAAAGAUUACGAUAUCUUUAAUUCGAGAAAGAAAAUAUUUCAAGAUGUUAUAGAGGCGUUGAAAGAUGAUAAGCUCAACAUAAUUGGGGUCUGCGGAAUGGGCGGCGUGGGUAAAACCACGCUAGUCAAGCAAAUUGCAAAGCAAGUUAUGGAAGAUAACGUGUUCGAUAAGGUCGUUAUGGCUGAGAUAACAAAGAACCCAGAUGCUCAAAAAAUUCAAGGAGAACUCGCUUCCGAUCUAGGCAUGAACUUUGACUCGAAUGAUCACAUAUACCACAGAGCAAAACAACUAUGUCAAAGAUUGAAGAAAGAGAAGCGAGUCCUCAUUAUAUUAGAUAAUAUUUGGACAAAACUUGAGUUGGACAAAAUUGGAAUUCCUUAUGGGGAUGUUGAUGAGAAAGAUAAAAAUGAUGAUCCGAGAAGAUGACGAUAAUAUUGACGUCUAGAAGUCGAGAUUUAUUGUGCAUUGAUAUGAAUUCUCAGAAAAUGUUCUGGAUCGAUGCUUUAUCAAAAGAAGAAGCAUUGCAGUUAUUUGAGAAGAUAGUGGGUGAUUCCACAAAAGCAUCUGAUUUUCGACCUUUAGCAGAAGAGAUUGUUGGAAAAUGCGGAGGAUUGCCUGUUGCACUGAGUACAGUUGCAAAUGCUCUGAAAAAUAAGAGUCUUGCCAUUUGGAAGGAUGCGUUGAAUAAGCUGACAAGUUCCAAUCUAAGAGAAAUUCAUGGUAUGGAUGCAGAUGUGUAUUCUUCUAUAAAAUUGAGUUACGACUUCUUGGAUGAUGAAGCAAAAUCUUUGUUCCUUCUUUGUGGUCUGCACCGUGAAGGUCGUCCUAUACACGUACAUUACUUACUGAGAUAUGUUAUGGGAUUGAGAUACGAUAAGGGUUUGGGUCUAUUUAGAAAUGUUUACACAUUGGAAGCAGCAAGGAAUAGAGUGGAUGCAUUGAUCGACAAUCUAAAAGCUUCAUGCUUAUUGUUGGACGGUGAUGCUGAAGAUGAAGCUAAACUGCAUGACGUCAUUCAUGUUGUUGCUGCAUCAAUUGCAGAAGAAAAGCUUAUGUUUAAUAUUCCAAAUGUUGCUGACUUUGAGAGAGAGAUGGAAGAGACAAUACAGAAAGGUCCAAUUGCUAUUUCUUUACCUUAUAGAGAUAUUCAAGAGCUCCCUGAAAGGUUGGAAUGUCCCCAACUCAAGUUAUUUUUGUUGUUUGCAAAGUACGAUAGCACUUUGCAAAUUUCAGACCACUUUUUUGAAGGGACGGAAGAACUCAAAGUCUUAGAUUUUACUGGAAUUCGUUUCUCUCCAUUACCUUCAUCACUCGGUCGCCUCAUUAACCUUCAAACAUUGUGUUUAGAUGGUUGGCGACUAGAAGAUAUAGCAAUAGUUGGACAGCUAAAGAAAUUAGAGAUUCUCAGCCUUCGAGGUGCCGAAAUUAAGCAGUUGCCACUUCAGAUUGGACAAUUGACAAGGUUACAGUUGCUAGAUUUGAGCAAUUGUAGCAGCCUUGUGGUGAUAGCACCAAAUGUCAUAUCGAAAUUAUCUCGAUUGGAAGAACUAUAUAUGGGUGACAGCUUUUCACAGUGGGACAAGGUUGAAGGAGGAAGUAACGCCAGUCUUGCUGAAUUGAAGGGGCUGUCAAAGCUAACUACUUUGGAGAUAGAUGUUCGGGAUGCUGAAAUGCUGCCGCAGGAUUUGGUCCUUGGGGAAUCGCUAAGAUAUAGGAUAUGAAUAGGAGAAGUGUGGGGCCGCUGGUCUGUUAAAUCUGAAACAUCAAGAUUGAUGAAGCUUCAGGGGCUAGAAAAUAUUAGCAUUCUUUUGAGGAAUCAUGGAAUGAAAAUGUUGCUGAAGAAAACUGAAGAUCUCUAUCUACAGGAACUGAAGGGUGUAAAGAAUGUUGUUCCUGAAUUAGAUGAUGGGGAAGGUUUUCCACGAUUAAAGCAUCUUCAUGUAGGAAAUUUUGCGGAGCUUUUACAUAUUGUCGGUUCAAUUCAUUGCAAAGUCUUUCCCCAGCUAGAGUCAUUGUCUCUUUUUGGUUUGCUUAAUUUGGAGAAGAUAUGUUACAGCCAAAUCACAGAUCAAUCUUUUAUCAACUUAAGAAUCUUUAGCGUACGUAAUUGUAACAAAUUGAAGCAUCUCUUCUCAUUCUCUAUGGCCAAAAGCCUAUUGCGGCUUCAACAAAUAAAAGUGGGUCUUUGCAACAACCUGGAAAUGAUUAUUGGUAAGUGUUGGAAGUAUUUUGAGGAAUUAUAAAAAGCUACUAUUACUUAAUGACAGAAGUUAAUUAUUAAUUUUGUUUCUAGGACUCAACAAGGAGACAAGUAAUUUCGGUUUUAAAGAAAUCAUUGCAGAGGAUGAUCCUGUUCAGAAGGUGAUAAUUUAUGAUCCUGUUCAGAAGGUGAUAAUUUUCUCUUUAAUAAUUAAUUAAUAUAUUAUCAUGAUUUAUUUCAAUCAUCAAAAGAAUAUUAGAGAGAUAGGGAGGGGGAAAAAAAAAAAAGCUUACGGUUUUGCUUUGCAGGUCAUUCUUCCAGGCUUAGAGGAGUUGGAACUUGAUAGAUUAGCAACCAUUGAAAAAGUAUGGCCGGAUCAGUUUGAGGGAAUGUCUUGUUGUCAAAAUUUAACAAAAGUGACCGUGGAGAGGUGUCAUCGCCUGAAGUAUCUAAUAAAUUUGUUGACAUUCUCAAUGCCUGAAAGUUUUGUGAAUCUUGAAAUAAUGAAGAUAGUUGAUUGCAAAAUGAUAGAAGAAAUCAUAAAAUCACAGGUUGGAAUAGAAGCGAAACAUUGUAUUGUUUUUAGGAAAUUGAAGUACUUGAGGCUUGAUUGUUUGCCAAGCCUGACAAGCUUUUCUUCGAGUAAUUACACUCUUGAAUUCCCCUUCUUGAAACAAGUAGUUGUGAGACAGUGCCCAAAGAUGAAGAUUUUCUCUCAAGGAGGACUCUUACACACACCAAUGUUGAACAAAGUGCAACUCACUGAAGAAGACGAUGAUGAAGGGUACUGGGAAGGCGACCUCAAUAAUACCAUACAAAAGUUGUACUACAAAGAAGUGGUGAGUAUUAAUUAAGCAUUGGUGCUAGGCCACUAGCUUUAUUUUAUGAAUAACACAGGAGCCCUAACCACAUAAAAAUUAUCUUAUAUAAAGUGGUGAAAUAAUAUGGUAGGUUGACAUAUAUAUACAUGUAUGUAUGUAUGUAUGUAUCCACGUAUAUGGCCCAUGUUUUGUUUUACAUUUAACCAGUCAUAUUAUGUUACAUCAAUUUUUAUAACAUUAUUUAGAUAAUAGUGUCUGAAACUGUAUCAUUAUUCUUGAUUUAAUUUUGUUAUUAGUUUUUUUUUCUAUUAUUAGUAUUAUCAUUAAAAGGUAAACGUUUUCUUACCCACCUCAUAAAUUAGCAUGCUUUAUUUUGUCUUUAACUUAUUGAAAACAUUAACCCACGCCCAUUUAGCGUUAAAAGUACAAAAUGUUUGCCGAAGAAUAUCAUCAACACAGGCCCCUAUUCACGCUAUUCUUUUGGAUAGUAAAUGGGGGUGCGUUGAUGUUAUCAUUAAUUUGGUAGACAUCGGGAAACUGUAAUAAUAUAAAAAACAAUUGUGUGUGUCUAGUGAAUUUUUUUUUGGUUUGUGCAGGAUAGAGUUCGUGAAAUGACGAAGUUGGAACUCUCAAACUUUCCACGUUUCAGAGAAAUGUGGCAUGCCCAAGCACUGCCUGUUAGCUUCUUCAGCAAUUUAGUAAAGCUAGUGAUGGAUGACUUCAAGAAUAUGACUACUGCUAUUCCAGCCAAUCUUCUACGGUGCUUGAACAAAUUAAAAAUUCUGGAAGUGAGGAAUUGUGAUUCAUUAGAAGAGGUGCUCCAUUUAGAAGAGCUAAAUGUUGAUGAACAUUUUGGCCCUCUGUUUCCUGUUCUUGUCCAGCUAGAGCUCAUUAAUCUUCCAAAACUCAAAAGAUUCUGCAGCUUCAUUGGGAAUGUUAUUGAACUGCCUGAGUUGUUGAAUCUGAACAUUGAGAAUUGCCCUAAUAUGGAAAUAUUCACUUGCAAUUCUAUAUCUAUAUUGCACAGGACAACAAAUAAAGAACCUCUGGAAAUAACACCAAAGGAGAACUUCCCGCUAGCUGACAUACAGCCUCUCUUUGAUGAAAAGGUGAUUGUUAUUAAGUUUUUUUUUUUUUUUUCCUUCGCUUUCAUUCACAUAGAUGUAAUUCUCAUUAGAAUUAAAAUUAAUUUUAUUUAAUGAUCUUUCUGUUGUCUUUACUCUUUAUAUCUAAUCUAACGGUUCUAAUGCAGUUAUUAACUAAAAUUUCAGUAUACACUCAUAAAAAUGUCAUCAAAUUAGUUAAAUGAUUGGUAACAAGGGGUGAACUCUAUCCAUAUUAUCUCUAUUCAGAUUUGAUUUAUGUGCUUCAAGGGUAACUAUUUGAAUUUUAUUUUUUGGUUCCUCCGCAACUAAAUACAAUUUGGAUAUAAAAUGCUGUCGUCAAUCUUUUCCAUGAAACUGCUUACGAAGACUGCCGACGUUAGAUAUAUGUUCUCAUUUACAACUUUUUUUUUUCCAGGUUGCAUUCCCCAAGUUACAUAUGUUGAACCUGUCUAGAAUACCCAAGGUGUCGCAUCUAUGGAAGAAAAUUUCCGAAUCCAACGAAGUUUCCAAGUUUUUGAAUACUCUAGUAAUAUCAGAAUGUAGUAAGUUACGAAAAUUAGUACCAUCUUUGUUGCAUUUGGAAUAUCUGGCGACUCUAGAAGUGUCGAAGUGUCACGGGUUGACAAAUUUGUUGACGAUCUCAACAACUAAAAGUUUAGAACAUCUUUUAGUAAAUCUUGAAAUAAUGAAGAUAGCUGAUUGCAAAAUGAUAGAAGAAAUCCUACAAUCACAGGUUGAAAAAGAAGAAGAAAUCCUACAAUCACAGGUUAAAAAAGAGGAAGAUUGCAUUGUUUUUGGGAAAUUGAGGUACUUAGGACUUGAUUGUUUGCCAAGCCUAACAAGCUUUUAUUCGGGUAAUUACACUCUUGCAUUCCCAUCCUUAGAAGAAGUAGUUGUGAGACAGUGCCACAAGAUGAAGAUUUUCUCUCAAAAAGGGCGCUUACACACACCAAUGUUGAACAAAGUGCAAUUCACUGAAGAAGAUGAGGAUGAAGGAUGCUGGGAAGCCAACCUCAAUGAUACUAUAAAAAAAUGGUACUACAAAGAAGUGGUCAGUAUUAAUUAAGCAUUGGUGCUAGCUUUAUUUUAUCAAUAAUACUAGAGUCUCAACCUCUUAAAAAUUAUUUUAUACAAAAUGAUGUGAUAUAAUAUGGUAGGUUGUGUGUGUGUAGCCCGCGUUUUGUUUUUUGUUUAACCAAUCAUAUUAUUUUAUAUCAGCUUUAUAACAUUAUUUAGACAAUAGUGUUUGUAACUAUAUCUUUACUCAUUAUUUAAUUUUGUUAUUAGUUUUGUUACUGUUAUUAGUAUUAUUAGUAGUAUUAUUAUUAAAUGGUAAAUGUUUUUACCCAGUACCCACCUCAUAAAUUAACAUUCCUUAUUUUUGUCUUUAACUUAUUGAAAACAUUAACCCAUGCACAUUUAGCUUUAAAAGUACAAAAUGUUUGAUUAAGAAUAUCAUCAACACAGGCUCCUAUUCACUAUAUUCUUUGAAUAGUAAACGGGGUGCGUUGAUGUUAUCAUAAAUUUGAUGGACAUCUGGAAACUGUAGUAAUCUAGAAAACAAUUGUGUCCAUAUAUAUAUCCACUACAGUUUUCCUCUUUUUUUGUGGCUUUUGCAGGAUAGAGUUCGUGAAAUGAUGAAGUUGGAACUCUCAAGCUUUCCACGUUUGAGAGAAAUGUGGCAUGCCCAAGCACUGCCUGUUCGCUUCUUCAACAAUUUAGUAAAGCUAGUGAUGGAUGACUUCACGAAUAUGACUACUGCUAUUCCAGCCAAUCUUCUACGGUGCUUGAACAAAUUAAAAAUUCUGGAAGUGAGGAAUUGUGCUUCAUUAGAAGAGGUGCUCCAUUUAGAAGAGCUAAAUGUUGAUGAACAUUUUGGCCCUCUGUUUCCUGUUCUUGACCAGCUAGAGCUCAUUAAACUUCCAAAACUCAAAAGAUUCUGCAGCUUCAUUGGGAACGUUAUUGAGCUGCCUGAGUUGUUGAAUCUGAACAUUGAGGAUUGCCCUAAUAUGGAAAUAUUCACUUGCAAUUCUAUAUCUAUGUUGCACAGGACAACAAAUAAAGAACCUCUGGAAAUAACACCAAAGGAGAACUUCCCGCUAGCUGACAUACAGCCUCUCUUUGAUGAAAAGGUGAUUGUUAUUAAGUUUUUUUUUUUUCCCUUUGCUUUCAUUCACGUAGAUGUAAUUCUCAUUAGAAUCAAAAUCAAUUUUGUUUAAUCAUCUUUCUGUUGUCUUUACUCUUUAUAUCUAAUUUAACGGUUCUAAUGCUCUUAUUAACUAAAUUUUCACUAUACACUUAUGAAAAUGUCAUCAAAUUAGUUAGAUGAUUGGUAACAAGGGGGAGAACUCCAUCCAUAUUGUCUCUAUUUAGAUCGGAUUUAUGUGUUUCGAGGGUAACUAUUUGAUUUUUAUUUUUUGCUUCCUCUGCAAAUAAAUAGAAUUUGGAUAUAAAAAGUUGUGAUCAAUCUUUUCCAUGAAACAUGCUUGUGAAGACUGCCGAUGUUAGAUAUAUAUUCUUAUCUACAACUUUUUUUUUUAUUUAAUUUUCAGGUUGCAUUCCCCAAGUUAUAUAAGUUAAAACUGACUAGAAUACCCAAGGUGUCGCAUCUAUGGAAGGAAAUUUCCGAAUCCAACAAAGUUUCCAUGGUUUUGAAUACUCUAGUAAUAUCAGAAUGUAGUGAGUUACGAAAAUUAGUACCAUCUUUGUUGCAUUUGGAAUAUCUGAUGACUCUAGAAGUGUCGAAGUGUCACCGGUUGACAAAUUUGUUGACGACCUCAACAACUAAAAGUUUGGUGAAUCUUGAAAUAAUGAAGAUAGCUGAUUGCAAAAUGAUAGAAGAAAUCCUACAAUCACAUGUUCAAGAAGAAGGGAAAGAUUGCAUUGUUUUUCGGAAAUUGAGGUACGUGGGACUUGAUUGUUUGCCAAGCCUAACAAAAGCUCAUGCCUUGUUGAUGGAUGCUGUAGAAGAAGGACUAUAUUGUUGUAGCAACAAGCCUGCAGAAAAUCACAGAAUACUUAUCUGUAUAUGAACAAAAACAAGUCUGAACCAGAGAGAAUGUUGUAGUAACUAUUGCAAAAAUCUAGAUCAAAUACAAACAAAACUGUCUAGAUUGUUCAUGUGCUAACUAAUAAAGUCUACUGCAGUCGAUACUGAACUACCACUAUCAUGUGCAGACAACAGAGUGGCAGGCAGCACAAAAGGGAAUGUGCUCCUAGGAUGCCAAAAAACACAAGUGUCCUAAUGCUUUUUAGUUGCCCAAAUCCCAAGAUAUAAAAGACCAUAUUUUAAGGAAAUACAUCAUCCACGACCGACACAUGCAAAGAGAACAGAAAGAGAGAUUUCAGAGUUGCAAUAGAGGCAUUUUUCGUGUUGAAAAAUGAGAGAUAAUAGAAGAUCAAAGCAUGACGUUUUGGGUCUUUUGUAUCUCAACGUUUUUUCUUGUAUUUGUUUAUUUUGUUCUCUCUCUGAUAAUGUAUUUAAUGGCAGACACUUGUGUUGUUACUGUUUCAAAGCUCAUCAUGAGCUAAACCUUAAUUUAGUUGGGUUUUGAAUAUGCUUAAUGGUUAUUUAAUUUACAUGUGUAUGUUGCUCAGAACCUGUUAUAGCAUUUUGUUUUAACUUUACUUAUUGUAAUUGCCUACCUCGGUUGACUACCUAUUUAGUGGAUAUUAGAUAAGAAGGAGCCUAAAAGGUUUGACUUAGUGGAAUAAAUUAAGAAAUACAUGGUUCUAGAUUAGGAUUCCCAAGUUGAGUUAAUCUCGAUUUGAAUAGGGCCAUGCUUAAUCUAAGAUUAGUGAAGAACUAGAUUUAGGGAUUCACCUUGUAGGGCAAAUAGAGUCUAAAACAUAAAAUGCUAUGUCUAAUGUUAGUUUAAUAACUAAUCACUAUUAGAUUACAUAUAGAUAUAAGAUAUCCAAAAAACGACAGUUGAAGACGCUAUAACAACUGUGUCUCAAUUGAAAGAUAUUCAAUAACCAAUAAGUGAGUUUAGAACCCGACUACCCUUUUGCCAUUUAGUAUAUUUUUUUGUUUGACUUUAGAUUCUCUUUAUUGCAUUCUAUUUGUUGCAUUGUUAAUUUCAUUAGAUCAUUAAUAUCAUCAUUUAUUUUCUUUUAUUUAGUUUAUUAAAAUUGCACUGUUAAGAUUGCUAUAGUAAGUCCUAUAACAUCAAUCCAUGUGGAGACGGUUUUGAUACUCAUCAUUAUAUUAUUUCUUGUGUACACUUGUAUAUUGACACUUUACCAAGUUUUUGGCGCCGUUGCUGGGGAUUGAGUGUAACACCCCAGUCUGAAAUCCAAGGGCAAAUAUGUCCAUAACUCACAUAUGAAUUUAAAUAACCCUUUACAAUCGAAAAAAAUUCAAACCUCCAAUAUAAUAGGCAGCGGAAUAAUUUGAAAAUUUUGUCAAACCAUCUAUCAUCCUCAAUUCAAGUCUACCUUCUCACUCAUUACGAAUCAUUCCUGACUUUUGGAAACUGAAUCACAAUAAACUAUAAUGAGUACAAAACUCAGUAAGCAAAUUAGUUUUCUUAUACUAAAAUACAUCCAUACUUAUACAUAAUGCAAAUGGAUGAUAUGUCAUGAUCUUUUGGAAAUACUAUAAAACAAAUUCAUAAAAGUCUCUUUCUGUCGCUUUCAAACUUUCUCAUUUUCUUUCAAUAAAAUACGUAUCCUACAAUGUGGCACUUUGUGCUGUGCGUGGCACUUUGCACCAUGCGUGGUACUUUGCGGCGCUCUGGCCCUCAAGAGGUGGCCCCCGCAUAGUCUCAAGAGGUGGCCCCCAAUGUAAAAUCUCAUAAAACAAAAAUUCUGUUUGCUAAAAUUCACUUGUUCAUUCAUAGAAAACUCAAUGCAUUUUCGUGCUCAUGCUAAUGAACCAUCACACAUACAUAUGCCCAUGUACAUAAUCAUGCCCAUUACAUAACAACACAUCACAUAAACACAUGAGCAGAGACAUAUAAAUCCAUAUUCGUACAUAUCAAAAUAGGUUUUUCAUACAAGUCAAACAUAUAUAUUAUUUAUUGUGAUUCGUUUUAAAGUCUAGUUUACUUACCUCUUGGUAUCCUCAUGCAACAAAUGCAUAUUGAUAUCAUCAACCUUAAAUCAUCAAUAAAUUUCUCAUAAGAUAUAAUCAAGUCUCAAUCAUAAACUCUAAUGUCCUGAAGUAUCUCAAUUUAAAUGUCCUCAAUAAUCGGCCCUCAAAACAUAACAGUCCAUAUUUCUCCGAUUUUUAAUAAACUAUUCUCUUAUUGGAAGAAUCUAAAAUUUUACCGACCAUAUGCUGACACAUUGAAAGUUCAUUGAUAAAUAUUUCGUAACAUAAUUCCUUCAAAAACUAUUGAAAAUAACUGACGUUUCAGACAUCAUCAAUACUGUCAAACAGUUUUCUAUUUUGAACACACUUGCUUUAAAAAUACAAAACAAUUUAUUGCUUUAUCAUAAAAUCAUGAACAUUUUUAGAAUCAUACUAUACAUAUAUAUAAAUCAUUGGUCCAAAUUUCGUAAUUGUUGAAGAAGUCUAGCUAUGGUAAAAAUAAUUUCGUAAUUUACGUUAUUCACUGAAAUCAUAAAUUUCCAGGUUUUCAGGCUUGAAUUUGAAAAAUCGUAAUUAAUUGAAAUCUUAUCUGAUUAACUUGAAACAAGUUUCAAAACAUUCUAAACGAUAUCUAGUUUAACAUACCCAAAAAUCAGAAUCAAAAUCAACUUGUACAAAUUACUAUGAUUUCCGUAAUAAUUCACUGUCAGCAUAUUUCUGCAAAAUCUUAGAUUUCUACUUCUAUUGCAAUAAUGCUUCUCCACAACAAUUUAAUAGAGACCAAUAAUUAAAACUUACCUCCAAAACUUCUCCCAACAAUAAAAACUUAAUUCCAUGUGUUGCCUAUGGCAGAACUAAGAAGAAGAAGAAGACUUCUUCUUUUUUUCUUUUCUUGAUUUUCUCUCUUGUCUCUCCAUCUCUCUCUCUCUCUCUCUCUCUCUCUUUUCUGUCGUUUUUUUUUUGCAACCGAUCCCUCUUUUCCUCUCUCUCUUAUAAUAAAAAAGACAUCUUGUUCUAUUUAUACUAGGGCAAAAAAGGAUCACUAAAAAUUAAAAAGAGUUAAAUACCCUUAGGAGAUUUGGAAUAUUACAUUGAGUGCAUAUUGUGAGUUUUUAAGUUAAUUUUUUUUCUUUUAAUUUGUUUGUUGUGUUAACAUAAUGCUUUAGCAACCCUUGCAUGCUCAAGUAUAAACCUGUUGAAUUUUAGUUUGAUCCAAAAAUUGAAAGAACUGCAAGGAGGCUAAGAAAAGAGCAUAGAGGUUUAGGAUCUGUUGCAGACAUGGAUGGUUUGUAAAAUGUGGGAGAUUUGAAUCCCCAAGGAGGAAUGAAUCCAAUUAAUGUUCAAAGAGAUAAUCCUCUUCCCAUUUUAGAUCUAGUUAAUGCACAAAGAGUUCAAGAAUGUCAGUACGGGUAGAUUGGUCAAGGGCAACUAGAGAAUAACAACAUUUUCUGCAUGACAGUUGAUAAAGAAAAUGUUGUUAGGGACUAUAUAGUGUUAACCCCUCAAACUAUAAAUCCUGGAAUAGUCAAACCCAAAGUUCAGGCUGCUCAUUUUGAGCUCAAACCAGUAAUGUUUCAGAUGUUACAGAAAGUAGGAUAGUUCAAUAGACUACCAUCAGAAGAUCUUCAUCUUCACCUUAAACUAUUUUUGAGGUGAGUGAUGCUUUCAAGAUUGCUGGAGCAUCACAUGAGGCAUUGAGGCUAAUACUCUUAAUUUUCUUUGAAGGAUCGAGUAAGAGAAUAGUUGAACUCUUUACUACAUGAUUCAAUCUCUACAUGGAAUACCUUAGCUGACAAAUUUUUGAUAAAGUAACCUACCAAGAAUGCAAAGUUGAGGAUGAGAUCACAUUUUUCCAUUAACUUAACGAUGAAAGCUUCUAUGAUGCUUGAGAAAGAUUCAAGGAGUUGUUUAGGAAAUAUUCUCAUGAUGGUAUCCCUUGUUGUAUACAGUUGAAAACUUUCUAUAAUUGUCUAAAUUCAAGCACUAGAUUGAUGGUAAACACUUCAGGAAGUGGGGCCUUGUUAUCUAAGUCUUACAAUGAGGCUUAUGAUAUUUUGAAAAGGAUAGCCAAUAACAACUAUUAGUGGCCAUCUACCAAACAAACUACAAUAAGAAGAAUAAUAGGAGUUUACAGUGCAGAUGCCUUGAUAGCAUUAUCAGCCUAAGUAACCUUAUUGAUAAAUAUGGUAAAGGAUAUAUCCACUGUUCCAGCAACUAUCAACAAAGUUGUUAAGGCAUCAUGUAUUUAUUGUGGAGAAGGAAAUUUAUUUGAUAGUUUUCUUAGAAAUCAUGCCUCAGUCAACUAUAUGGGCAAUUAUAACAGACAGAACCACAUCAACCCUUAUUCAAACACUUACAACCCUGGAUGGAGGCAGCACCCAAACUUUUCAUGGAGCAAUCAGAAUCAGAAUCAAUAUGUUGUAGAAUCUAGUGGACAAAAUAGACUUGCUCAACCAUUUAGAUUUCAUCAGCAAAAUCAAGGGCGAAGAGACACCAACAAUGAUCAACCCAACUCCCUUGAAGCCUUAAUUAAGGAGUACAUUGUGAAGAAUGAAACAUUUAUCUAAAGUCAAGCUAUUUCCUUAAGAGACCUAGAAAAUCAGAUGGGACAAGUUACUAUAGUAUUAGGUAACAGACCUCAAGAUAAUUUACCAGGCAAUACAGAGGACCCAAGAAGAGAAUGGAAAGAGCAUUGCAAAGUAAUUAACUUAAGAUCUAGAAAGGAUGUUCACAUUCUAGUUGGUGUACUAAAAAAAAGAGUUGAGCCCACUUCAAUCUAAGAAAAAACUCAAGUUGAAGAAGAUCCAUAACCCUCUACUUCACAGUACACAGGUGAAAACAGCAAAGCACACCAAUCCAAUACUUUACAAAAAAUGAUUAUCGAAUACCUAUUGAUGAAGAUCUUGCACACUAACCACACCAAUCCAGAACAUGGCAAAAGUGAAGCAGUUUGCACAACCUUCUACAACUCAGCCGUUUAGGCACCCACCACCCUUUUCUUAAAGGUUCAAGUGACAGAAACAUGACAAGCAGUUCAGUAAAUUCUUUGAAGUGUUGAAGCAAUUGUAUAUCAACAUCCUUUUUAUGGAAGGUCUAGAGCAAAUGCCAAAUUAUGUGAAGUUCUUGAAGGAUAUUUUGACAAAGAAAAAAAGGCUAGAAGAACUUGAAAUAGUUUCUCUAACACAAAAGUACAACCACAUGCAUCAGAAUAAGAUACCUCAGAAAUUGAAGGAUUCAGAAAGCUUCACAAUUUCAUGCUCUAUAGGCAAUAAAUACAGUGACAAGACACUUUGUGAUUUAGGAGCCAGCAUUAAUCUCGUGUCCUUAUCUAUAUUUAAGCAAUUGGGUGUUGGAAAGGUCAGACCAAUAAUAGUUACCUUACUACUUGCUGAUAGAUCUCAUGCCUAUCUAGAUUGAAGAUGUACUGGUGAAAGUAGAUGAGUUUAUUUUUGCAGUUGACUUCAUAGUAUUGGAUUUUGAAGCAGAUAAAGAAGUGUUUAUCAUUUUAGGUAGACCUUUCUUGUCUGCUGGUAAGACUCUAAUUAAUGUGUAAAAAGGAGAACCAACCGUGAGGGUUAAUGAUCAGUAAGUUACAUUCAAUGUGCUAAAUGCCAUGAAGAGUCCUGAUGAUGUUGAAGAUUGUAAUUUUGUUAAUGUUGUGGAUUUUACUAUAGUAGAAAGAUUAAACAGUUGCUGCAGCAGAAAGAUUAAACAGUUGCUGCAGCAAAGAAGAAAUCAAGGUUGCAAGAUUUAAAGAACUUGAUGAUAAACCUCAAGGCCUUGAAACAACUGACAUAACAUGGCUAGAAGAAAAACAACCCUUCAAAACUGAGAAGCAAAUUAAAUAUCUUGACCUUCAAAUAGGGAUAUAAAAUAUUCUAUUUCUUUUAUUAAGUCCUCAUAUUUUAGAAUUAAAACUUUUACCUUUACACUUGAAAUAUGCUUAUCUUAGUGACCGUGAUCAACGUCAUGUAAUCAUUUCAUCAUCUUUGAAUGCAGAACAAGAAAAUAGCUUAGUUUUUGUAUUAGGGAAACAGAAGAAGGCCAUUUGAUGGACCAUGACAGAUAUCAAAGGAAUCAGCCUCUCAAUAUGCAUGCACAAGAUUCUACUGGAGGAUAGUUAUGGCAAUUCUCUAAGCAAUUGAAAAGAUUAAAUCCUAUCAUGAAGGAAGUUGUAAAGAAAGAGAUCAUCAAAUGGCUUGAUGUUGGAAUCAUCCACCUAAUAUCAAACACCUCAUGAGUGAGCCCAAUACAAUAUGUUCCAAAGAAAAUUGGAGUGACAGUUGCAGAAAAUAAAAAGAACGAGUUUAUUCUUAUAAGAACUGUAAAUGGAUGAAGAGUCUGUAUAGACUACAUAAAGCUAAAUAAGACCACAAGGAAGGAUCGCUUUCCACUGCCUUUCAUAGAUCAGAUACUGGAUAGACUCGCUAGAAAGGAGUAUUAUUAUUUCUUAGAUGGAUACUCAGGAUACAACCAUAUUGACGUAGCACUAGAAGACCAGGAGAAGACAAAAUUCAUUUUUCCUUAUGGAACCUUUGCCUUUAGAAAGAUGCCAUUUGGCAUGUGCAAUGCUUCACCAACUUUCCAAAUGUGUAUAAUGUCCAUCGUUUCAGAUAUGAUUGAGCAAAUACUUGAGGUAUUUAUGAAUGAUUUGUUUCAGUUUUUGGGGAAUCAUAUGAUGACUAUUUGUAUAAUUUAAAAAAUAGACUUAGAAGAUGUAAAGAGACAAACUUAGUAUUGAAUUCGGAAAAAUGUCAUUUCAUUGUACAAGACGAGGAUAGUCCUAGGCUAUAAACUCUCUAAAAAAAUGAUAGAAGUGGAUAAGGUAAAAAUAGAGGUGAUUAAUAAACGUCUAUUAUCCACUUCAGUUAAAGGCAUAAGGAGUUUCUUGAGGCAUGCUGGAUUUUAUAGAAGGUUUAUUAAGGAUUUCUCCAAAAUAUCAAAACCUUUAUACAUGUUGUUGGAGUGUAACAAACCUUUUAAUUUUGAUGAUGAUUGCUUGAAGGCCUUCGUUGAGUUAAAGAGAGCUUUUGUUACAACACAAGUUGUUGUAACACCUAAUUAGAGUAUGCCUUUUGAGUUGAUGUGUGAUGCUAAUGAUCAUUCGGUUGGAGCAGUGUUAGGGCAAAGAAAAGGCAAGACUUUCCAUUCCAUUUAUUAUGCCAGUAUGACUCUAGCUAAUGCAAAUUCAACUAUACCACAACUGAAAAUGAGAUGCUGACAAUUGUAUUUGUAUUUGAUAAAUUUAGAGCCUAUUUGGUUGGCAGCAAAGUGACUGUUUACAUAGAUCACUCAGCCAUAAAAUAUUUGACUCCAAAGAAAGAUGUCAAACUAAGGCUAAUCAAGUGGAUUCUCUUCCUACAAGAGUUUGACUUAUAGAUCAAGGAUAGAAAAUGAACGGAGAAUUAAGUAGCAAAAUAUCUUUCAAGGCUUGAAGUAGAUGCAAGCACUUUGACCAAGCAGGAUAUCAUAGAAAUAUUUCCUUAUGAGCAAUUGUUCAUAUUGCAGCAUGCACAGAUGCUGCAGUAAUCUGAAUUUCCAUGGUUCACGGAUUUUGUUAAUUUUCUAGAAAGUGGAUUGCCACCACCUAACUUGAGCUACCAGCAAAAGAAGAUAUUAAUUUAUCCAUGAUGUCAGAAGCUAUUAGUGGGAUGAGCCCUACUUGUACAAGAUGUGUUUGUUAACAUAUAUGUUUCCAUAAUAUUGAUUUUGAUGAUAACAAACAAGAUUAAGAAUGAUUAAUCUUUUAAGCUCAAAUUAUUUUUAUACUUUUUAAAUAAAUCAUUAUUUUUACAUUAUAAAAGUUUUAUAUUUAAUGGAAAAAUGAUUUUAUGAAAUUGAUUGUUUUUAUUCUUUUUAAAUAAAUCAUUAUUUUCACAUUAUAAAUGUUUCAUAUUUAAUGGAAAAAAGAUUUUAUGAAAUUGGUUGUUUUUCAAAGUUUAUGGUUUAAUUGAAAGAAUUUUGAAAACUUUGAAAUAAACAAGUAUUGCUUGAAAUUUUGGAGAAGGACUUAUUUGAAAAGUGUCAUAGCUUUUUGGGCUAUAUCAUAAUUUCAAAAAGUUUUGGGAUUAACAAAGCAUUACUUAGAAAUUCUGAAAUUGGACCUAUUUGCAAAGUUUCAUGACGUUUUGGGCCAUAGUAUAGUUUUAUAAAGUUUUGGGGUCAAACCAUAAUUUCAGAAAAUAGUGCACUGUGAAGGUUACUGUAGCAUCCGGCUUAUCGGAUAUAAAAACCAAAAAACUGGAUACGGGGCAGAAUGUAUCCAGAACGUAAACGGCUUACCGGAUUUCGUAACCGGCAAGCCGGAUAGGCAAAAUUCAAAUUUUUGCCUUAAUGGUAACAUAAAUCCGGCUUACCGGAUUCCAAAAACGGCAAACCCGAUACGUCCAGAAUGUGCAUAACGGCUAGUUUUUGAGUUCAAACUAUAUAAACUCAAAACCAAUUCAUUUUUCGUAAUCCAAGCAAGCAAGAACAAGUGCACACAACAUAUAUUAAGCUUCAAUUUCGUAACUCAUCAUUUAUUAAAUCAUCUUUGUUCUUCAAUUUGUAUAUCCACUCUUAAAGAGAGAUUCAUUGUUGUAUUUUUCAUUUCUCAUUAAAUUGUGAGUGUACAAGUGUGAGAAACACUUGGAGUGAAGAGAUUGGAGAGAUAAUCUCUUGUUGUAAAGGUUCAUUGACACCUUAAAGUCAAUUGUAAACGUUUGAAGCCUUGGAAAGGCUUGGAUAGUGAAAUCCUCAAGCCCGGUGUGCUUGGAGGCGUGGACGUAGGCGGGGAUUGCCGAACUACGUAAAAAUCCUUGAGUUUGCUUUCUCUUCCCUUGCUCAUUUAUUAUUGUGCUUUCAUUGAAUUUAUUGUUUUCGAAUUUAUUAAGGAAUUAGAUUGGAUUUGUGUGUGGUUUGCUUAGCUUAAUUUUUAAAAAUCCAAUUCACCCCCCCUCUUGGAUUGCCUAGUUAGUAUUUCAUUUGGUAUUAGAGCGAGGUGCUCUUGUGUAAACUUAACCGUCUAGAGUUAAAGAUCCAUGGAAACCCAUAAUGACUCAAUCUUUAGGGAAGGACAAUCCACAAUUAGACCACCGUUCUUUGACGGUAAUGACUACCCAUAUUGGAAAACUAGGAUGAGAAUUUAUUUACAAGCUUUAGAUUAUGAAAUUUGGGAAAUUGUUUGUGAUGGUCCAUUUAUGCCUUUGACUAAAAAUGAAGUCGGGGACGAUAUUCCAAAACCUUCACAGGAAUGGAAUGAAUUGGAAAAGAAAAAAUCUACUCUAAAUUCCAAAGGUAUGAAUGCCUUGUUUUGUGCACUAGAUAAGAAAGAAUUUCAUAGAGUUUCUAGUUGUGAGAGUGCUAAUGAAAUUUGGCACAAACUUGAAGUUGUUUAUAAAGGCACAAAUCAAGUGAAAAGAGUCUAAAAUUAGUAGGUACACUCGGCAAUAUGAAUUAUUCCAAAUGGAACAAAAUGAGAGUGUGUAUUCUAUGUAUACUAGAUUUACGGACAUAGUGAACACUCUAGGAGCCCUAGGAAAGACUUUUUCAAAUAGCGAUAAGGUUACGAAAACUAUUAGGUCGCUACCUAAGGAAUGGAGACCAAAAAGGACUGCUAUUGAGGAAGCUAAGGAUUUAAAUAUCUUACCUAUUGAUGAUUUAAUUAGUUCUCUUAUUUCUUAUGAGGAAGACUUGGCAGCCGAAAGAGGCAAUAAGGAGAAGAAGAAAAACAUUGCUCUCAAAGCCUCGAAACAAGAGAGUGAUGAGGAAAGCGAGCUGGAUGAGGAGGAGAUGAAUAUGUUGGCUAGGAGGUUCAGAAAACUCUUUAAGAAAUCCGGUGAGCGAAGAAAAUUUAAAGACCUCAAGAACUGAAAGGAGAAGAAGGAAUUAAUCAAAUGUUAUGAGUGCAAGAAGCUUGGCCAUAUAAGAACGGAAUGUCCUCUUCUCAACAAGCUCAAGAAGAAAGCAAUGGUUGCCACAUGGGAUGAUAGCGAUGAGGAAACAAGUGAUGAUGAAGAGAAUCAAGAAAUGACAAAUCUAGCUCUCAUGGCAAUUGGAGAUGAAUCGGAUGAUGAACUUGAUGAGGUAAAUGAUCUUUUUACUUAUGAUGAAUUAUAUGAUGCUUUUAAAGAAUUGCAUGAUAAUUGGAUAAAAAUUGGUAAAAAGAAUGCAUGUCUUAAAAAGAAAAUGGUAGAGCUCAAAAAUGAAAAUGAAUCUCUAUGUGCAAAGAUUACAUGCCUAGAAUUAGAGAAUAAAACAUUGCAUGAUAGAGUUGCAUUAUUUGAGAAUUCUAGCACUUUACAUGAGCACUUAGAGUCACACAUGAAUGACUUGAAAAAUGAGAAUGAAAUGCUUAGAAAGAAGAGCAAUGAGUUAAAUGAGAUUGUUUUAAAAUUUACAGAUGGACAAAAGAUGUUGGAUAACUUGAUUAAUUCUCAAAAAUGUGUGUUUGAUAAAGGAGGUAUUGGUUAUAAGCCAAAUUUGAAACAAAAAUAUUAUAAAAGUUAUUUUGUUAAAACUACCUCCAUUAAUAAUCAAAUUGUAUGUCAUUAUUGCAAUCAAAAUGGUCAUAUGAAGAAUAGAUGUCCAAUUAAAAGAAAUGUGUAUUAUGGAGUAAAAUGUGUUUGGGUUCCAAAAGGAACCAUUGCUAACACUCAAGGACCCAAGAGCAUUUGGGUACCAAAGGGCACAACUUGAAUAUUCUUUUGUAUGUACCACAAACAAGGAAUGGUGGAGAGUUCCUUGAUGAAGCUUGUGAGGAUAAUCAUUUGAGCAUGAUCUAGGAGAAAAAGAUGAGGCAAGAUGAUUUAAUUGUUUUGGUAAUAAUUCUUGCCAUAUUAAUUUUGUUGAAUGGAUCAUGAUAAAUGGAUAAUAGCUUGAAUUUGUGAAAGUAUACUUGUAUGUUUACAUGAUAGAAUUAUCAUUGUGUUUAACAUUGAGUGCUUUAUCAUAAUGCAUGGUUAUAUAUAUAAGAUGAUAGCUUGUCAACUCAUCAUGAUAGCUUUGUUUGAUUUUGAUGAUUAUGUAAUGCCUAAGCUUGAUAAAUGAAUGAUAUGCUUGAAUUAUUAAUCUUUGAAUGCUUAUAUGUUUCAUGAUUGUGUAAAAUAUAUACAUGAUGAAUGAAUUAUAUGUGUAAAUUCUUGUGUCGUUAAUUGUGUUAUAUCAUCAUUCACUUAUAAAAUUGACAUCAUUGGUUGAUAUGAUUUCAUAUGUUUGGUCUUGUAUGCAUUUAUGUCUCAUGUAUUAAAUGACUUAUUGAAAAGUUUUAAAUCUCGAAAUGAUUUAAAAUUAAUCAAUUUUUAAAGCCAAAAAUAAAAUGGUGAGUGUAAUACAAGUAUAAGAGCUAGCCAAUAUUCAAUUAGAGCCAAAUAGAUUUCCAAGUCCAAACCGGUAAGCCAAAUCAUCUUUUGUUGCUCUCGGGUUAUCAUUCGGAUAACCGGAUUUUCAAUCCGGAAAACCGGAUUUGCUAAGCCUUCUCUCUGCCUCAAAACCGGAUAACCGGUUCUUAAAAUCCGGAAAACCGAAUUCAAGAGGAAACUUUUUGCCUCAAACCGGACUACCGGUUAGCAAAACCGGAAAGCCGGAUUCGCUUGAAAAGCUUACUGGAACAAAACCGGAUUUCCGGUUAUGCAUAUCCGGCACGUCGGUUUCGGGUUUCAUCUUUCUGCUCACAACCGGCUAGCCGGUUAGUGAAAUCCGGCAAGCCGGAUUCGUGAGCUUUUAGCUUUGUUCUUCCUCUUCCUCUCAUUCGGCUUUCCGUUUCUCUCUCUCUCACUAAAAGCUGAUUACUCCUCACUUGAUUUCAUUCCAAAAUCCAUCAAUCUCAUCCUUUUUCACUUCAAAUCCUUUAUGCUUGUAUUUGAACACACCAACAUUUACUAUUUUUUUUGGAUUAUAUGGAUGUUUGCUAUGAUUUUGGAUUAUAUGUCUAUUUUGAAUUAUAUGGAUUUGAUAUAGUUAUAUGUUAUGUUCUUUACUUAUGUUUUGGAUAAUAUGCAUUUUGAAUUUUUUUGUUGUCCAAAGGGGGAGACAAAAUAGUAUAUCAUUUCGAUGUUAUCAAAAGGAGGAGAAUAAUAUGCUUUUUGAGUAAUUGUUUUGAUAAUUGGUAUUUGAUUAUGAUGAUGAUUUUGAUGAAUUUGAGAUAAUGAUGAUUUGAUUACAUGGGUGUUUUAUAUGAUAAUUUCAUGUUAUGAGUUGUUGAUUUGGUAAUUAAUGGAAUAAUGGUUCAUGAUAUUUUAGUGUGAUUAUUUGUGUAUGGAGUUGGCUUUUAUCAUGAUUUAUAAUAAUUUGGAUGUGAUAUUACUAAUCUUGUAUUUGAGGUGAUGCUUGUUGUUAGGGAGAGAUUUUGUUGAAAUUUCUAUUCGGACAACAUUGGUAACAAAUUUGCUACUCUUAUUCUUUUCCUUUAAGUUUUAUUUUUGAUGAUGAAGGGGGAGAAGAAUACAUGUUUUUAAAUUUAUAAAAAUUUACUACUCUUUUUUCUUUGCCAAUUAAGUUUUCUUUUUGAUGAUGAAGGGGGAGAAAAAUCCAUGUAUUUAAAUCGUUAAUUUAGCUAAUUGGCAAAUUGUAAAAGAGGAUUAUAUUUAGGGGGAGCAAUUGUGGAAUCAUUCUUUAAAUACAUGAAAUGUUUGUCAUCAUCAAAAAGGGGGAGAUUGUUAACAUAUAUGUUAACAUAAUAUUGAUUUUGAUGAUAACAAACAAGAUUAAGAAUGAUUAAUCUUUUAAACUCAAAUUAUUUUUUAUACAUUUUAAAUAAAUCAUUAUUUUUACAUUAUAAAUGUUUUAUAUUUAAUGAAAAAAUGAUUUUGUAAAAAAUGAUUGUUUAAAUACAUGAAAUGUUUGUCAUCAUCAAAAAGGGGGAGAUUGUUAACAUAUAUGUUUCCAUAAUAUUGAUUUUGAUGAUAACAAACAAGAUUAAUAAUGAUUAAUCUUUUAAGCUCAAAUUAUUUUUAUACUUUUUAAAUAAAUCAUUAUUUUUACAUUAUAAAGGUUUUAUAUUUAAUGGAAAAAUGAUUUUAUGAAAUUGAUUGUUUUUAUUCUUUUUAAAUAAAUCAUUAUUUUCACAUUAUAAAUGUUUCAUAUUUAAUGGAAAAAUGAUUUUAUGAAAUUCGUUGUUUUUCAAAGUUUAUGGUUUAAUUGAAAGAAUUUUGAAAACUUUGAAAUAAACAAGUAUUGCUUGAAAUUUUAGAGGACUUAUUUGAAAAGUGUCAUAGCUAUUUGGGCUAUAUCAUAAUUUCAGAAAGUUUUGGGAUUAACAAAGCAUUACUUAGAAAUUCUAAAAUUGGACCUAUUUGUAAAGUUUCAUGACGUUUUGGGCCAUAGUAUAGUUUUAUAAAGUUUUAGGGUCAAACUAUAAUUUCAGAAAAUAGUGCACUGUGCAGGUGACUGUAGCAUCCGGCUUACCGGAUAUAAAAACCAGAAAACUGAAUAUGGGGCAGAAUGUAUCUAGAACGUAAACGGCUUACCAGAUUUCGUAACCGGCAAGCCGGAUAGGCAAAAUUCAAAUUUUUUCCUAACGGUAACAUAAAUCCGGCUUACCGGAUUCCAAAAACGGCAAACCCGAUACGCCCAGAAUGUGCAUAACGGCUAGUUUUUGAGUUGCAUAACGGCUAAUUUUUGAGUUCAAACUAUAUAAACUCAAAACCAAAUCAUUUUUAGUAAUCAAAGCAAGCAAGAACAAGUGCACACAACAUAUAUUGAGCUUCAAUUUCGUAACUCAUCAUUUAUUAAAUCAUCUUUGUUCUUCAAUUUGUAUAUCCACUCUUAAAGAGAGAUUCAUUGUUGUAUUUUUCAUUUCUCAUCAAAUUGUGAGUGUACAAGUGUGAGAAACACUUGGAGUGAAGAGAUUGGAGAGAUAAUCUCUUGUUGUAAAGGUUCAUUGACACCUUGAAGUCAAUUGUAAACGUUUGAAGCCUUGGAAAGGCUUGGAUAGUGAAAUCCUCAAGCCUGGUGUGCUUGGAGGCGUGGAUGUAGGCGGGGAUUGCCGAACCACGUAAAAAUCCUUGAGUUUGCUUUCUCUUCCCUUGCUAAUUUAUUAUUGUGCUUUCAUUGAAUUUAUUGUUUUCGAAUUUAUUAAGGAAUUAGAUUGGAUUUGUGUAUGGUUUGCUUAGCUUAAUUUUUAAAAAUCCAAUUCACCCCCCCCCCUCUUGGAUUGCCUAGUUAGUAUUUCAGUGUUCAGACUAGAUAAUUAGAAGAUAUGUCCCUGACGAAGAGAUUUCAAGCAUUUUAUAGUCUUAUCUUGCUGCAGUAUAUGGUAGACACUUUGGAGGACACUAAAUAGCAGUAAAAGUUUUUCAAUCAGGUUAUUACUAGCCCUCCAGCUUUAGAGAUGCUUACAAGUUUGUUAGUGCUGUGAUAGUUGUCAAAGAGCAUGAACCAUUUCUAAAAAACAUGAAAUGCCACUGACCAAUAUUUUAAAAGUUGAGCUUUUUGAUAUAUAAGGGAUAGACUUUAUGAAGUCGUUCUCACAAUCUUUUAGAAACUUAUAUAUCUUAGUUGUUGUGGACUAUAUGUUGAAAUGGGUAGAAGCUACAGCAUUGCCAACAAAUGAUGCCAAGGCAAUGGCAAAUCCUUUAUAGGAAUAUUUUCACAAGAUUUGACACCCCAGAGUUGUCAUCAGUGAUGAAAGAAGCCAUUUUUGCAACAGGAUAUUUGCUGUAGCAUUGGCUAAGUAUAAGAUCAAGCUUAAAGUUGCUACAUCAUAUCAUCCACAAACGAGUAGUCAGGUAACAUUGUCCAAUAGGGAGAUCAAAAAGAUUUUAGAAAAAGAAGCGAAUCUUAGUAGAAGGGAUUGGUUUACUAGACUAAAUGAUUCUCUAUGGGGUUACAGAACUACUUACAAGACAUCACUUGGCAUGUCUCCAUACAAACUUGUUUAUGGCAAAGCUUGCUAUUUGUUGUUAGAACUGGAGCAUAAAGUAUAUUAGGCAGUUAAACAACUGAACAUGGGUAUGCAUGCUGUAACAGAGCAAAGGAGGCUACAACUUUUUGAGCUAGAUGAGUUGAGGUUAUUCUUCUAUGAAAAGGCAAGAAUCUAUAAGGAGAGAACCAAGCAAUGGUAUGACAAGAAAAUCCAGUAAAGAGAACUCAUUACAGGCCAACAAUUAUUGCUUUACAACUCUAGACUGAAGCUUUUCCAUGAAAAUUUAAAGUCUAGAUGGUUAGGAUGCUUCAAACUCGUCAAGGUUUAUCUUUAUGGAGUUGUUAAUCUUAAAGAUGAAAGAACUGGUUAAGAAUUCAAGGUUAAUGGGCAUAGAGUGAAGCAUUAUAUGGGAGCUAAGGUGAACAACCUAAACGAGGAUCCGGUUUGAGUAAACAAGGAAGGUGAGAAUGAAGAACCUAAAACCAAGUGCUAAUUAGAAGGGAACUAAAUGAGGGGAAGUUUAUUUUGAAUUUUUAAUCACUUUAAUUUCACUUUUGUUGUUAUUAAGUUUAUUUCUCUAUUUUGUUUUAAUUUAUGCGACUAAUUUCUAUGUUUUUUUUGUCCUUCUCCCUCUCUUUUUGAAUGUUUAAAAUUUUUAAAAUCUUUAAAUUAAUUUUAUCUCUUUCUCUCUCUAUUAUCUUUCUUUAUAAAUUUAAGCUUUUCACUGUUUCACUUUUCACUACCAAUCUCUCUUCCUCUACUGUAAUUUUUAAAAUUAUGCUCUCUAUUUCUCUCUCUCUCUCUCUCUCUCUCUCUCUCUCUCUCUCUCUCUCUCUCUUACACACACUCAAAGUCCCAAUCUCUCAUUCUAACGAAACUCCUUUAAGUGUUGCAGCAAUACUGAGAGUCAAGGCACCUACUAAAAGGUUGAAGGACUAAAAAAGAUUCCAAAAUCACAAAGUUGAAGAGAAGUAUAAUAAGUCCAUAAGAUCUCGUAUAAUUUUAGAAGAGAAUGGUUUUGAAAUUUGUUGAACAACCCACUGGCCUUAUCAGCAUCAUUCUCAUAACUGCUAUAAAAAGGGGGUGGAUCAAAUGAUCCAAGUUGUAAAGGAAUUUUAUUCUAACUUGCUGGAGCAAAUCCAAAUUCCUUAAGACUCUAGGGUGAUAAAUGUCUUUUAUGGUUUGCCCCUACUAUUAAUUGUGAAUACGCUGAAUUUAUUAAGAGCAUAACUAUUAAGAAAUAGAGGGAGAUGUUUAAAGCAUUAAUUGUGGAAGGAAGUGAGUAGGUUAAUGAAGAAGCUGGGAUUGUUAAUAGGAUUGGCCUUAAAUUGAUUAUAAAGGUUUGGGUGAACUUUAUAAAGUCUAGGCUUAUGCCCACCACGGCACACCACAACAAUGUCAAUGCUAGAGUGAAAGGAUGGACAAUUGAUGUUGGGAAAGUGAUUGAGCAAGAAAUUAGAGACUGUGCUACAAAAAAAAAAAAAAAAUCAGCUGUCUUUUUAUUCCCCUCACUCAUCAUUGGGAUUUAUGAGGCCUUUGGUGUCAAAAUUUGUUGACAAUGAUGAGAGGGUUAAAAAUGAAAUGGCCCUCACAGUAAGAAGAAUAGAGAAGAUUGUAGGAGAAUCAACUGGUACAACAACCCAAAGCAUCCAGUUGUAAGAAAAUUAAUAAAAGCCACUACAUUUGGGAAGAUUCUGAAAGAUUUGAGUGACAACUUAAAUGCAUGGAGAGAAGAUCCAAAAGAGUUAAAUCAGAGGCUUUAGGCUUACUUGCUGCAUCAAGAAGCUCAAAAACACCAGUUUGUAGUUUAUAUACAGAGCAAGAAUGUAAACUUCCCAGAGUCUCUAUUGUAGCAGUACAAUUUCCACAAAGCAACAGAGACUGUUCCAGCAAAUGAUGAAAAGGAUGAAAGUGAAAAAGAGGAAAAAGAUGAAAAAGGAGAAAAAAGUGAAAAAGAUGAAGAUGAAGAAGAGACUGAUGAGAAGUAGGAAGAGGAGCUACCAGCAAUAACUCCUAAAAGCUAUGGCAAACAGAAGAUCUUGCUUGAUGAAAAUCAAAAUGAUAAUGAUGCGGCCAUUUAAGAGACCAUUAACAAGUCUGCAAUGACAGAAGGAGAAAAGAAAAGGUUAAAGGAGCUCAAUGUCUACAUAACUGCUAAGGAACUUGCAACAACACCUCGUUCAGCAUUAGCAACAAAGAAGUCUCCCAAGAAAUCUCUAGUCAAAAUUCCCACAAUCUCCAAUAAAAGAAAAAGAGCACAAAUCACUAAAGUAGAGAUAGUUUAUGGAUAAGGGUUGAAAUUCUAUCAUAACACUUAGAUUUGGAUUAAGUUUAAUGAAUAUGUUGUAGCAAACCAAGCUGGGUAGUUUAGAAAAAUUUUCAAGAAUCUAAGGAUAAAAAUAGCUCUAGUUUGGGGGAAAUUAGGAAAAUUUUCAAAGUUAUUGCAAAUUGUACUGGAAGUAGAAUAAUUUUUUCUUCAAUGACUUAGUUGCUGAGUAACCAGGGCUGUGUUUGUAACCCAUAUCCAAACUUGAGUAAAAAGACAGUAAGAGUUAUGAGCAUUGCUGUAGCAACCCAAAAAGAAGAAAAAUCCUCUAUUUAGGAAUCUGAAUAGCUAGGUCUGUUCAUGAACCUCAUAUUCAGCCUUGAGUUAAAGAUAUAUAAAGAUAAGACCAUGGUUGUAGCAUCUUAGAUGCUUUUGUUGUAGCAGCUCUGAUUUGUGUAUUGAUUAAGUAAUUGGGUUCCAUCAUUACAAGUGAUAGGCAUUCGCAUAAAAAGAUUGAUUUUACUCUGAUGGGCCUCAUAAUAAAAAAAAAUUGAUGAAUGUUGUAGCACAAUUUGUAGUUCUUUAUGACCCUUGUCCCUUAUAAAUAAAAAUGUUUUUAUUGUUGUUAUGUUUGAGAUGCAUUUGAUGCUUGAGUGAUUCUGAAGCAACUCUGAAACUUGAUCAAAGUGACACAGACACACACACUGGAUAGAAUGAAGCCUAAGUCUAGAACUAGAACUGUUGAUGGUAAUGUUUAAGAAUGAAGUCUGAGGGUUAAUGAAUUAGAGUAAUCUAAAUAGCAGAGCUAAGUAUCCUCAUGCUUUUUGGUCCUUAAUCCCAAGAUAUAAAAGAGCACAUUUUAAAUAAAUGCAUCAUCCAUGACCGUCACAUGCAAAGAGAAUAAAAAGAGAGAUUUCGGAGUUGUAAUAGAGGUAUUUUUCGUGUAGAAGAAAAAGAGAUGACUAAAGAUUAAAGCGUGACAUUUUCAGUCCUUAGUAUUUUAACUUUUCUUUUAUUUGCUUGCUUUGUUCUUUCUUUGAUAAUUUAUUUAAUGGUAAACACUUGUGUUGUUACUAUUUCAAAGCUCAUCAUGAGCUAAACCUUAAUUUAGUAGUUAUUUAAUUUACAUGUUUAUGUUGCUUAGAAUCUGCUGUAGUAAUUUGUUUUAACUUUACUUAUUGUAAUUCCAUAUUUCACGUUGACUAUGCAUUUAUUAGAUACUAGCUAAGAAGGAGCCCCAAAAUAACUUGACUUAGUGGAACAAAUUACGACAAUACAUGGUUUUCGAUUGAGUUUUCCAAGUUGAGUUAAUCUCGAUUUGAAUAGAGUCAUGCUUGAUUUAAAAUUAUGAAGAACUAGAUAUAAGGAUUCAUCGUAUACAACAAUAGAGUCUAAAAUGUAUAAUGCAAUGUCUAAUGUUAAUUUACCAAAUAGUCACUGUUAGAUUGCAUAUAGAUAUAAGAUAUCCAAAAUGCGACCGCUGAGGAUACAUUAUAGAUUCUGUCCAAUUGUGUAGUAGAUGUUGUAGCAACUGUGCCUCAAUUAAAAGAUAAUCAAUAACCAAUAAGUGAGUUUAGAUCCCAACUACCCCUUUGCCAUUGAGUAUAUCUUUGUGUUUGACUUUAGAUUCUCUUUAUUGCAUUUUGUUUAUUGCUUUAUUAGUUUCGUUAGAUCAUUAAUUUCAUCAUUAAUUUUUUUAUUUAAUGUAGUAAAAUUACACUGUUAAAUUUACUAUAGCAAGUAAUAUAACAUUAAUCUCUAUGGAGACGAUCUUGAUACUCAUUAAUGUGCUCCAAAGUUUUAUUUGUGCGUUUGAAAUGCAAGAAACCAAAGUCUCAACAGUUUAAGCCUGCCAACUUUUGAAAUAUGCAUUUUUAUCAAUAGUACGUCAAGAAACUAAAGCAUGCCAACAUUUGAAAGAUGCAUUUCCACAGUUAAGGUUGCCAGUAGUUCGACAAAUUGUCCGCUGGGCAAAUUAUUAACCAUUGUGUUAACUCCACAAAAUUCUUGUUGGACUAGAUAUGACGCCAGUCCUUUUGUUGACUCUUUCAAUGCAAUGUUGGGUCCUUUAGAAAAAAGCUAUUUCUACUUGUUAACGCAACUGUAGAAAGAAGUUUUUUGUUCCUGGUCUUGAGGUCCCAACAGCAGACAUUAAAUUAUUGCCUUUUCAAUUCUGAGUUGUCUUCAAUUAGAUGCAUUAUGCUAGACUAGUAAUUGUUUUAAAAAAGAAAGCUUCAUAGUGAGAAGCUGAUUUUUUAAGGAAGGAUAAGUUUAUUCUUACCUGAAAGUGAAUGUUCCACUGAAGAAAACACGGCUGGUGCCUGGAAGGAGAGCUAGUUCAGGAUGAAAGACAGGCAAUGAUUAUAUAUUUGAAAAGAGAGAUGAUAAAAUCAAGUUUGCAUGGGGCAGGUAAAGCAUGGCAUUAAUCAGGCUCUCUGCACUUUAGGAGUGUAGAUAAUCAAUCAAAGGCCAUCAAUCAACUCUAUUUUGUUUUUUUUAAUAUUAUAAUCAAACAAAUGUUAGCCUUUAAUUGGCAUCCAAUUGUUCAUUGUCUUAUAUUAGGAUAUAAGCUAAAUUCAUAAGAGGAUCCCUCUACAUAUAUAUUUCAUGUGCAUAAGGUGUAUGAAUAAUGUUUUCUGUAUGCUUUUGCUACUCUGUUAGUAGUCUGUUUAAGGCCCAUUUCUGAUUAUCUAAUAUCUAUGUUCAUGAUUUGUUUCGUGAUGUUGGUCUGUCAUUUGGUUUUUAGUUUUUCCCAGAGGCAAAUGAAGUCAAAUUUGCAAGAACAUCGGUCUUUGAAGGAGCAUCAUUUAAGUUGGACUCUCUAACAAAACCUUCAUUCUUUGAGAAUUUUGGAUUCACUGAGAAGGUCAAAAUGGCAGGCCGUGUGAAGCCGGAAGAUGAAUUGUUUCUAGUGGCCUAUCCAUAUUUUAAUGUCAAUGGUAGUCUUACACCUUGUCUUCUCAUUGAUAUUCAUUCCUUAAGGUCAUUAAUUUUGCUUUUCUUUUGUCUUGUAGAAAUGCUUGUGGUUGAAGAGCUUUACAAAGAAGCUAUAUUCAAUACUGCCCGGAAACUGAUUAUAUUCAAUGGAGAACUUGACCAGAUAAUGUCUGGGUGUAUUAUUCACCAUUCUUUCAUUCUUAUUGUACUUUCUGUAAAUUUAGUAUGAUUUUGAUGCUAUAUAAUAGUUUCUAGAUGCCCGCCCAUUGAAUUGCUUAUUUACAACUUUUUGGUAUAUUAUAGCAGAUUUGUUUUAUAGCUUAUAGCAGAUUUUUUUUAUAGCUUAUAAAAGAUCAACUUAUGUGCUGAGUUCAAUCAUUAUUCCAUAAACUUUUUCUGUACCUAUUUUCACAUGGUAUCAAAGCUAGACUCCCUUUCUUUUUGAUCUCUUUCCCACCAUGUCUGACUAAUCUUCUAAAACCACAGUCACCUAAAAAAGACUAGAACAAAAAAUUUUUGAUUCUGAAUCUCAUUCUGUCCAUAUUACAACUAUCCGGCUGAAUGAAGGAAAUUUUCAAAGAUGGUCUCAGUCAGUUAGAAUGCAUAUUAGGGGAAGAAGGAAGAUUGGUUAUCUUACUAGAGAUGUUAAGGCUCCUGAAAUAUCUGAUCCCUCUUAUGGUGUAUGGGAUGACGAAAAAUCCAUGAUUAUGGCAUGGUUAGUCAACUCCAUGGAUGAAGACAUUUGUGCAAAUUAUAUGUGCUACUCUACUGCAAAGAACUCUGGGAUAAUGUGAGUCAGAUGUACUCUGACAAUGGAAAUUAGUCUUAAAUCUAUUAGUUGCAGCUUGCUCUUGGAGAUAACCAUCAAAGAGAUUAUAGGAUAACAAAAUACUUCAAUACUCUAAAGAGAUUGUGGCAAGAUCUGGACUUAUUCAACAACUACGAGUGGAAGAGCACGGAAGAUUUUAAACACCAAAAACAAACUAUCAAUAAUGAGCGAAUCUUGAAGUUCCUAGCUAGGCUCAAUGUUGAAUUGGUAAGAGGAAGAAUUAUUGGGAGAAAGCCACUUCCUACUCUUGAGGAUGUUUUCUCUGAAGUAAGGAGAAAAAAAAUUCGUCGAGGUGUUAUAUUGGGAAAAAGGAACUCCAUUGUCUUUGUGGAAAAAUCUGCCCUUGUUACAGCAGAUGCUAAUGCUACCUGCUCCUUCACUCAACAGCAACAAAAACCUCGAGUAUGGUGUGAUUACUGUAAUAAACCAUGUCAUACUCGGGAGGCUUGCUGGAAACUCCACGGAAAGCCUACAUAAUGGAAAAACAGCAAGCAUAGCCGUGCGUCUACCAAUAAAGUGGAGGAUAUAGAAAAAAAUCUUAACGAGGAGCAAAUUGAUCAUCUCAUAAAGCUGCUGACUUCUAAUCCUCCACCUGGUACUCCUAGUGGUUCACUAGCCUAAACAUGUAGUAUUAUUAAUGCUCUAUUUAGCCACUCAUCUACUGCACCAUGGAUUAUUGAUUCGGGUGCUUCUGAUCAUAUGACCAUCAUUUCUAGUUUAUUUGAUUCCUAUUAUCCUUGUCCUAGUAACAAAAAGGUAAGAGUUGCUUAUGGAAACUUAUCUUCCAUAACUGGAAAAGGAUCAAUAAAAAUCUUUGAAACCAUUGAGCUUAAUAAAUGUGCUACAUGUCCCUAAACUUUCUUGCAAUCUGUUACUUGUCAAUCAAUUAGCCAAAGAUUCUAAUUGUUGUGCUGUCGUUUUUUACUCCCAUUGUGAAUUUCAAGACAGGGAUUUGGGGACGAUGAUUGGCAGUGCUAGUUUGCGAGAAGUUCUUUACUAUUUUGAUGACUACUUAUCAAGGAAUAAACAAGCUCAAGGUUUGAGCAAUAGGAUUAGUUCAAACUCUGCUAGGGAUCAAAUAAUGCUUUGGCACCUUAGACUAGGACACCCUACCUUUCCUUAUUUGAAAUAUUUGUCUCCAGAUUUAUUUAAAAAUGUUGAUUGUACUACUUUUCAGUGUGAAAGUUGUUUUUAAUCUAAAAGUCAUCGAGUUUCAUAUAAAGCACUUACUUAUUGUGCCUCAAAACCAUUUUAUUUAAUUCAUAGUGAUGUUUGGGGACCCUAAAAAAUCAUUACUUUAACUGGCAAAAAAUGGUUUGUAACAUUCAUAGAUGAUCAUACGCGGCUUCAUUGGGUUUAUUUAAUGAGAGAAAAAUCUGAAGUUGAGGGUUAUUCAAAGAUUUUUAUAACAUGGUUGAAAAUUAAUUUCAAACAAAAAUAAGCCUACUCGAUACAGAUAAUGGUCUGAAUAUUUUAAUAAUUAUCUAGAGGUGUUUUGUAAGGAAAAGGGUAUAAUUCACACAUCCACUAGUCGUGAUACUCCACAACAAAAUGGAAUUGCGGAAUGAAAAAACCGCCAUUUACUUGAAGUUAGUCUGGCUAUCAUACUCUCUAUGCAUGUUCCUAAAUAUUUGUGGGGUGAUGUUGUUUUAACAGCAUGUUAUUUGAUUAAUAGGAUGCCUACCCGUGUUUUAAAGUAUCAAUCACCUUUAGAAUACUUUACACUUAUAUAUCCUUCUAGUAGGAUUACCUCGAAUAUUCAGUUAAGAGUCUUUGGGUGCACUGUAUUUGUUCACCUUCCUAACCAUCUUAGAUCUAAAUUGGAUCCUAGAUUUGAAAAUUGUGUUUUCUUGGGCUAUGCUCCUAAUAAAGAGGCUACAAAUAUUUCAAUCCUCAAACAAAGAAAUUCCAUGUCAGUAUGGAUGUUAUAUUUCUCGAAAAUCAACCUUUUUUUGGCCAAAAUUCUCUUCAGGGGGAGAAAGAAAAUAGUGAAGAUCAUUUUUGGCAUACUUAUACACCUAUGCCUAAUUUGUUUUUACCUGAUCUGAGCACUUCAAUUCAAACUCAAAAAACUAAUAUUUCUAAUAAUGAAAACUUAGGAAACUUUGAACUACAAGAACCAAGUGUUAAUGUACCAGAGACAGGGGGAGAAAUAUUACAAGAUAAAAUUCCACCACCAAAGCUUCGUGUUUAUACUCGACUAAGGUAUCAUCACAGCAAUAAAGACCCUCCCAUAAACUUGGUACAACCUCAAUUGUCGCCUCCAAGCACUGAUUCCUCAUAAAAUUUAGGUAACAUUUCUUCUCCUAAAAAUUCCAGCACUUUUUUUUUCCUGAUCUUGACUUACCCAUAGCACAUAGGAACGAAACCCGAACCUGUACUAAGCACCCCAUUGCUGGAUAUGUUUCCUAUGAAAAGUUUUCCAAUAAACGAAGAGCCUUUACCACAAAAAUCUCUCAGAUACCAAUUCCUAAAGCCAUAAAAGAAAAAUUGGACAAUGGUUUGGUCUGCAUGCUGAACAUUCCUACAGAUGAGCAAAUUGCUAAUAUACUCACCAAGGGACUACCUAAGAAACAUUUCGAGAAAUUGGUUUGCAAGCUAGCCUUGAAAGACAUUUUUAUACCAGCUUGAGGGGGAGUGUUGAAAGGUUGACCAAAUCAAAUUGAUUUGGUUUCCUUAUAUAUUUAGGUGUAUAUUAGGCGUAAAUAUAGAGUUAUUGCUUCCUAGAAAUCAGUGUGUAAUAUUCUGCUUUAAUUUUUUCUUUCCUUUCUUAGUCUCUUGUAUCCCUAUAUUAAGACUGUAUACAGUCUCAUGAAGAUAUGAAAAAGAGAAUUAUUCCAUAAACUUUUUCUCUACCUAUUUUCACACUUCCACAUCAUACGGUGAUUAAUAUGUCAUCUCUACUCAAUUUAUUUAGCAUCAAAUUAUCAGAAGAUUUUGUUACUUAAAUAGAUGGUUUUCAUUUCAACUUCAAUGUUUUUUCAGGCCUAAAGCUUCAUAGUGCUUGUUUAUAUUGUUAAUCAAUAUAUAUAAGUUUACUUGCAGGCAAUAUCAGGCAUUUUCGAAAUAUGCGUAAGUAUGACAAGGAAAUCUCAAAAAGAAACAAAAACUUAUUGCUUGGAAAAAUUUAUUUAUUUGGGGGAAGCCAUUAUGAGUUUUGGGCUCCUUAAUAGCUUUAGUAAAUUUUGGACCAUUAUUUUGAACUAUGACCCAGUUUCCCUUGUUUACACCACAGAAAAUUAGCAACACUCUCUUAUGUCUCAACUCUCUCUGUCUCAACCAACAAAAUCAACUCUGUUAGUAGUCUGUUUAAAGCCCAUUUCUGAUUAUCUGAUAUCUGUGUUCAUGAUAUGUUUCGUGAUCUUGGACUGUAAUUUGGUUUUUAGUUUUUCCAGAGGCAAAUGAAGUCAAAUUUGCAAGAACAUCGGUCUUUGAAGGAGCAUCAUUUAAGUUGGACUAUCUAACAAAACCUUCAUUCUUUGAGAAUUUUGGAUUCACUGAGAAGGUCAAAAUGGCAGACCGUGUGAAGCCGGAAGAUGAAUUGUUUCUAGUGGCCUAUCCAUAUUUUAAUGUCAAUGGUAGUCUUACACCUUGUCUUCUCAUUGAUAUUCAUUCCUUAAGGUCAUUAAUUUUGCUUUUCUUUUGUCUUGUAGAAAUGCUUGUGGUUGAAGAGCUUUACAAAGAAGCUGUCUUCAAUACUGCCCGGAAACUGAUUAUAUUCAAUGGAGAACUUGACCGGAUAAGGUCUGGGUGUAUCCUUCACCAUUCUUUCAUUAUUAUUGUACUUUCUGUAAAUUUAGUGUGAUUUUGAUGCUAUAUAACAGUUUCUAGAUGCCCACCCAUUGAAUUGCUUGUUUACAACUUUUUGGUCCUUCAAUUGGUAUCAUUUUGCAAAAAUUGAAAGUAAAGUGGGUUUUUUGCUUUUAUUUUUUAAUACAAUAAUUUGAAAUUCACUCCCAGAAAUCUAAAGGGGAAUUAAUAAGGAUGAUCGUGUUAUAUCUUUCACUAAAAUGUCGCAAGGAAGACUUUUUUUAAAAAAAUAAAUAACAAUGACUUAACCAAACUAAUUAGUGACUUGGUUGUAGUAUAGUUGUUUUGGAAUGUGCAAUAAAAGGAUCAGAGAGGAUUUCCUUAAAUGAGCAGAAGAUUAUCCAUCGUUCUUCUACCCUAAGCUGGCUGCACUAUCCAGAACACUUUUUCCUGUGAUGGAGACCAUAUAUUACAUUCACAACUUUAAGGGUGGCAAUGGAGGAACCCUUUUCAGGUUUGCCAGCUAGUUACCGACGCGUUUCCUGUGGCAACAUAUUAAUGCUUGCCUAGUAUCACUCACUGUUUUCCUGCUGUUUAACUUAUAUUUUACAUGUUUUUCUUUUCCACUUCCUGUUAGGUGCUACCCAGGUUCCUGGAAGGUCCUGAAGAAAGUGAGUAAUAAAUAUAUAUGUUUGCAUCAGCAGGAAGUGAUGCCUUCCCUUAAGGAGGUUGCUUUGGAUAUCCUUCCCUCAGCUUGAGUUUCACCAAAAUAUUUGUCUGGUGAUAAAUCCCACUUUCUUAUGUUAUAGCAGAUUUGUUUUAUAGCUUAUAAAAGAUCAACUUAUGUGCUGAGUUCAAUAAUUGGUUCAUGAUUUCUAGUUUGUAGGUCUUAUGCUGAGUAUUUUGAUACUAAUCUGCCAGUGUUUGAAAGAUCUUAUUCUUAAGAUGAAUAUAAUCAUAACUUCCACAUCAUAGCGUGAUUAAUAUGUCAUCUCUGCUCUAUUUAUUAAGCAUCAAAUUAUCAGAAGAUUUUGUUACUUAAAUAGAUGGUUUUCAUUUCAACCUCAAUGUUUUUUCAGGCCUAAAGCUUCAUAGUGCUUGUUUAUAUUGUUAAUCAAUAUAUAUAAGUUUACUUGCAGGCAAUAUCAGGCAUUUUCGAAAUAUGCGUAAGUAUGACAAGGAAAUCUCAAAAAGAAACAAAAACUUAUUGCUUGGAAAAAUUUAUUUAUUUGGGGGAAGCCAUUAUGAGUUUUGGGCUCCUUAAUAGCUUUAGUAAAUUUUGGACCAUUAUUUUGAACUAUGACCCAGUUUCCCUUGUUUACACCACAGAAAAUUAGCAACACUCUCUUAAGUCUCAACUCUCUCUCUCUCAACCAACAAAAAUCAACUCCCUUUCCAAUCUAUAUCACAAUGCACGCUAUUUCAUCAAACCCAAGACUUACUUCAACUUAGAUUCAUAUAUGUUAUUUGAUUCAUGAUUAAGAAACUGUGUUUUUUUUCUUUUUUCAAAGUACGCUUGGAGAAUAAUAAAUAAAUUUACCAACCAACACAAAAAAAGUUUAUGUGAGGCUUGGUUGACAAUUUUAUUGUGGUAAUAUGUCGUUUAAAGAUAAAUGUUGUUGAUUUAUUGAUUCUUGUGUUGACUUGGAUGGAAGAUAUGUUGAAGAAAAAGAAACCCAAAAAUUACAUAUGCAGUUUUUUUCGUCAUUUCUGACUUUCAUGAUUUUGUACAAGAUAUAAGUUUUGUUUUCUAGACUUUGUUCUAAGUAGUAUUGGAAAACUUUGCAUUGCACAUUGUAGGUGUCCUCAAAUCUAUUAAAUUGGAUUAGGCAGUCUGAACACAUUAUUAGGGUUGUAAAGGGUCCAUGCAGUAUAAUUUUCUCUUGAUGCUUUCAUAUUUUUUGGCUGUACAGAUUUGAUGCAUCAUUGAUUCUUUGAUUCUGAUGUCUAAUGAAAAUGUAUGUUUAUAUUGCAUCGAUGAAUUUUUUAAUCCGGGAAUUGUAGUAAUUGUCUGUUGUAUUUCCAUGCAGUUGAAACCUUCUUGAUUUUUUGAAAAAGGAAAAUUACUUAAUUUGAUAAAGAAGAAUAUAUGAAUUUCUGAACAAUAAAAACUGUAGGAAGCAAAAAGAUAUCCUUGUGGCAUUAAUGAGUUGCUGGAAACAAGGUUUAAGAAUUUUGUAUGCUUUUGUUAAAGCUAUAAAAUGCUAUUUAUUAUCUGUGUUGUUACAAACUAAAGUACUUUUGUGCUUUAUGCAAAUUUAAAAAUGCUAUGCUAUGCGUUAGAGCAAUAAAGUUGUUAAGAAACAGUGAAGGCUUUUGUUGCUUUACUUAAGAUGAGGUUCAAGAAUAUUAUAUAACUUUAGUGAAUGUUUGCAUGGUGGCUUUGAUCUUGUUGCUGCCCCAAACUGACUGAUUGAAGGAGAGAAUUUUACAGCUAGAUCAAGCUUCUUUCCCCAGAUUAACUUCUGACAUGGACCAAUCAAAUGGCUGUCGCAUUCUUAAAAAAAUGGUUCAAGUUUUCCAUAGUUAUGGUCCACUUAUACAGAAUCUGGAGAAAUGAAUAUAUGAAUUGUGACUUAUAUCAUCUGUGAAGGCAAGGAAUAAUCCAUGGAAUUAUAUAAGAAGCAUUGAAACUGCUUUGUUGAUGGCCUGAGGCCAGAGAAAAUGCCGAAAACAUAUUCCUAAGAAAGUUGUUCCUUCUAGUUCAGUCCGGUCCAUUAAUUAAUCCUGGCUACAGCCCUCCAAGUAGUCGGGAUUGAGGGGCUUCUGUACGUGUAAGAAUGCUCUUGUAUUUUUUUUUAAUUCUUUUUAAAUUACUAAUUGUUGAAUUGAUCAAAUUUCGCGCCAUGUUUUCAGUUUAUAACAUGGAAGAGUGCUUGCAAGUUAAGUUGGAAAAAUUAUCACCAUUGCCCUCAAACUGCUGCAUCUACAGAGUUCCGGAGCGAUUACGUCAGAUAAAUGAAAAGGCAUAUACACCUCAGGUAGUCUCAAUUGGCCCUCUUCACCAUGGCAAAGCAAACUUACAGUUCAUGGAAGCUCAUAAACAGCGGUACCUGCGUUACUUACUUCAACGGACCAUAAUAAGCUUUGACGAGUUUGUUCAAUUUAUAAAGCUCAGAGAAGCAGAAUUAAGAGGUUCUUAUGCAGAAAAAGUCGAACUAAGUAGUGAUAAAUUUGUUGAAAUGAUUCUGCUGGAUGCUGCCUUCAUCAUUGAACUCUUAUUGAGGUAUCAUUUUCGUCAACUUCAAAAAAAAGAUGAUCAUAUAUUUCAUAAACCAUAUUUAAUAGAGGAUAUAUGGUAUGAUAUGUAGUUGCUUGAGAAUCAGCUUCCUUUCUUCAUUCUUGAGGAUCUUUUUGCUCUAGCUGCAAUUGAAAUCCCUGAACAACAUGAAAAUCCAACCAUCAUCACAGUCACAUAUGAGUAUUUCAAGGGUUUAGAGGCAGUACAAGGUAAUCGGCAAAAAUUCCCUCCUUACACUGAGGUUAGGGUACAGCAUUUCCUUGAUUUUCUAAGGAUUUGUCAUCUACCAUCAUCGAGGAAUCAGGAAAAACAAGAAGGUCAGCAAUACCACAAAGGUAAAACCGCACCAAGUGUGACUGAGCUCCACCAAGCUGGAGUCCACUUCAGUUUGAGCAAGAGCAAUGAUUUGUUCGCCAUAGAAUUCAAAAACAGGACAUUGCAUAUUCCGAAACUGAAGCUACAGCUGGAAACAGAAUCCUUAUUUCGUAAUCUCAUUGCCUUUGAACAACGGCAUUACUCAGAGAAUUACAUAAAUGAUUAUGUGUUCCUUAUUCAUCAUCUCGUGAACACAGCGAAGGACGUCGAGUUGCUUGUUCAGAACGGAAUCAUUGAGAACUGGUUGCGGGAUAAAGAGACUGCGUCAAUGCUUAUAAAUAACCUUUCUAGAGGUACUACUCUGCUGUCUGAUAGCUUCUAUUUUUCUGGGCUAUGCAAAGGAUUGAAUGAUCACUGCAAAAGAACGUGCUACAAAUGGAGGGCAAACUUGAAACAAAAUUACUUCAAUACUCCAUGGGCUGGCAUUUCGGUGUGUGGCGCCGUUUUCCUUCUUAUUCUCACCGUCAUUCAGUCUGUAUGCUCUGUUAUACAAGUGUUGUCUCAACCCAAAAAUAUCUCGUGACGAAAAACCUCUGUGCGGUAUUUGUAUGUCGUUUUUGAGUUGCUGUUUUCUUUUUUUUAUUUUAAUUCUUAUUCUCAACCAAUUUUAUCAUGGAAUUGUUAAUUUUACUUGAAUGUUGAACCAAGCCUUUAUUUUUUAAUAAUGAAAUGAAAUAAAAGGUGGGGGUAUACCCUUCACAAUACCCUCUUCACUCCUUAUUUAGUGUUGCAUUUACCGCAAUAAAAAAUAAUUUUUAAACGAUAAACAUAUUUACUUGAAAACAAAAAUUAGUUUAUGCUAUUUAUUUAUCUUAUAAUGUUGGAACUUGAAAGUUAAUUUAAAUUAAUGUAAUCCUACCAACUUGAUUUGGUUUUCAUAUUGGUUGGUUUCAUGUAUCAUGCGAAUUGUUAGGCACCGACUAACUCAAGCGUAUGUUACUCAAACAUCACGCUUGAAUAAUAGUUUAAGGAAUGUUGAUUUGGAUGGUAGAUAUUUAAUCAACUAAAACUAACGUUCUCAACUCAAAGCUCAUCUACUAGUAAAAGUAAAACCCUUCUCCGUCAACUUAUCUUCUUCAUUAUAUAACAAAAGAUGUUCAAUGAAAGAAUGAAAUAUAUAUAUAUAUAUAUAUAUAUAUAUAUAUAUAUAUAAUUAAGUCAAAGUAGUCAAGAUCCAGCCACUCGGCUUGAGGGCUUGAGUUCGAACCCACAAGAACUUAUUUCAAUCCUUAUUUUAUAAAUAUGAGAUUAGGGAUAGAUUUAUCUCUAAUUAUUUAUUUAUCGAGUAAUUAAUUUUAACAAUAUUAUUAAUUGUAGUUGAAACUGGAAUGAAUUUUCUGAAAGAUGCUCUCUCAUAACUAACCAACUAAAACUAACAAUCAAAUUAUCAAACUCAGAGCUCACCUACUAGUAAAACUGUAAAACUAAAACACUUGCUUCUCCAUUAAGUCAUCUCUUUAUAUAUAAAAAAGAGUGUUUUUAUGAAAUAAUCAGUAACAAUUAGGUAUCAAAUAAUUCAUAAAAGAUGUCAAGCUCCGUUGCUACUGCUGCUGAGGCCGAGAUUUGGAUUGUCCCAUUCUUCGGUCAGGGACAUCUAUUUCCAUGCAUUGAAUUAUGCAACCAAAUCGCUUCCCGUAAUUACAAAUCUACCCUCAUCAUUCCCUCUCACAUUUCCGCCACCAGCAUUAUCCCAUCCUCGUUUCACCAAUAUCCUCUCUUUGAAGUUACUGAAAUACCCUCCUUCGCCUCCUCACCCCCAUGUUGUCGUGCACAGCCAAAUGCUUCAAGGCCUUCGAAACCUCCUUUCAACCCGGGAACCCAAAAGCCGACCCGUUUGUGCAGUCAUCGACGUUAUGAUGGGCUGGACGGCUGAUGUUUUCAAGAUUUUUGAAGUUCCCAUUGUUGGGUUCUUCACUUCUGGUGCUUGCUCAGCGGCUGUGGAGUGUGCCAUGUGGCAGGCUCACAUCCAAGAUGUCAAACCAGGAGAGGCCCGUUUACUUCCUGGGUUACCCGAGGAUAUGGCUUUAUUUGAAUCGAAUCUUAAACACAGGCCUCAUGAGCCCCCUCCUGGUGGUCCACCACCUCUGAGAGGUGCACCCGGUUCCGAGAAAAUAGGUCCACCAGAAGCCGGUGAUCAACCACACUGGAUGAAGGAAGUGGAGGGAUCAAUGGCGUUGAUGUUCAACACGUGUGAUGGUCUUGAGGGACCAUUUAUUAAUUAUUUAGCCAAUGAAUUGGGAAAGCCGAUGUGGGGAGUGGGCCCACUGUUACCUGAACAAUUUUACAAAUCGGCCGGUUCAGUGCUUCAUGAUCAUGAGAUGAGAAUCAACCGGUGGAGUUCUAACAUGACGGAAGAUGAGAUCAUUCAAUGGUUGAAUUUGAAAUCAUGCGGAUCUGUGUUAUAUGUGUCAUUUGGUACUGAAGUGGAUCCGACCUUAGAUGAGUAUUUAGUACUAGCCAAUGCUUUAGAAGCAUCAAAUCGACCGUUUAUUUGGGUAAUUUAAGGUGAUGCAAGUAGAUUGGAUCCUCUAUGUCAUUUGGACAAAACAGUAGAAGGCAGUUAUUUUCGUUAGAUGAGUUUAGUGUUGUUGACGAGGCACCAUAUGCACAACAUAGUGAUAUUGUUUAGUGUUUAAUAUUAGAGUAAUGAUAUAGCCACAAACUCUUGUACAAAUUUAUUUUGUACAAACUUAUGUGGCAUGAUAAGAUUGGUUGAAUUAAAUAUCACUUGGCCCACAUGAUUUGUUUUCAUUAUUUUAUAUUUUCAUUCAACCAAUGAAUUAGUGCCACGUCAGUUUGUAUAAAAUAAGUUUGUACAAUAGUUUGUGGCUGUAUCAUUACUCUUAAUAUUAUAGGGAAGUUUUUAAUAGAUCUUCAUUUCCGUGCAUAUUGUGAGCUUAUUGCCAAAAAUGAGACUAUAUAGUUGUGGGACAAACAAAAAGGGAAAUUCUUUACCAUUCGGCUAAAUUUUGAUGUCAUGCAAAAUAAUAUAGGAUCUUGAAUUCACUUUAAUUGGAUGUCAGCCGGGUUACCAUUCAGAGAAACGGGUCUGAAUCCGACCCGUUUCAACUCCUCCCCCCAUCUCUCCACUUUCACCUCACCCGUCCUCUUGGGUCCACCAACCGCCACUAUGUUCCUAAUUUCACACCCAAACAACUGCUGCUCCACCGUAUGCCUCUCUAUACUGUCAGCACCCAGUCCGUCCCCCAGCACAGUGACGGAAAAAAAAAAAAAAGAACACUCAGAAUAAUAACAAUAUAUAAAACAAAAAAAUACAUAAAAAUAUUAAGAAAUGGAAAAAGAAGCCAACUUCUCUUGUUCGACGAGAUGGACCCUUUCGAUCAAUAAAUUGCAGUAGCCUUCCAUCAUACCAAAAGCAUCCAACAUAUUUUGCUCCUUCAUCACAUGCUCAACCUGCAAAAACCAAACCAGGUCAUUAGACAAAUGCAAUUGAACUAGUCAAUAAUUAUAACGAAUCAAACAGAAAAAGAGACCAUGCAUGAGCGACUUUGAUUCUUCAUGCAUGUGCAUAUGUCUUACGCGAGGAGAGCACGCUCUUGAAAGCCUUGUUGGAGGAACUGAACGACGUCGGAGCGUGCUUGGGAGCACUUGACUUGGCGUUGGUUUUUGAGAACGGCCAGGCGAGAGAUUGCAAGGUUGACCUGCGGCUUGAAUUUGUAGGUCUUGAAGUUGUUUUCUCUAAGAAGAAAAUCGAGUUUCUUUCCCAUGCCGCCGCCUGCUCUUCUGAUGAGUAACUGAGCUGAUCACGCUUCCAACUCAAUCACCCAACGCACAGUGACGGAGAGAAGGAGAAGAAACAAGCAAACGAAGGCUUGUUUACUCCUUUUAGAGAUGACGAGUGAUUGCGUUGUUAUUUUAUAGUUUCAUUAGCCUGAAACUUGGACUGAAGUUGUUAUUGCUGGACAAAAGGAAAAAGAGUUCAAUCACUUCAGUACCGUUAUUAUUGCUGGAUUCAUCUCCUCUCUCGGCAGCAAAAAUCACUUCCAUAUUUUGGCAACUACUCACUUCAAUGGACUGAAGUUGUUGAAGGCCUCCGCCAAUGACCAAUGGAAAUACAUUUUUCAAUUUAUCACACCCUUCCACCCUUAUGGUCUUUAGUUUGCAAAAAGACUCUGCUGUGAGUGGACCACGACAUAUUUCCUGUAGAUUCCUUAAAUCUCUCAGAAAUAAUGACUCCAAAAGGGGGAAUGCAGGCGUCGGAGCUGGCGUACAAUCCAUUGUGUCAACAACACAAGAAAGGUUGCCAUUAUGUUUGAUUUUGUUAAGGAAGUUAAGGAAGCUCAUAUUUGUAGUCAAGCAGAGGAUCACAGCAGCUUCUAUAAUCAGUUGCAAGUUGAUGACAUGUACUGCCAGCUGGCACCAGGUGGUUAUGUAGCUGCUUGUACUCAUACAUGUGAUAAGUUUGUUAAUCAUUUUUUAAUUAGUUAGUUAGUAUUGUAACCUUCAGCUGAGAAGCAACACUUGUAUAUAUAUGCUUGUAAUCAUUCAGUAGCAUUUUAAGCUUGAGAAAAUAAAAGAAGAAAGUUUUCUAGAUCUCAGUUUAUUUUCUUAUUAGCCAAACACUCAUUUUCUGUUUUCUAACUUGGUAUCAGAGCUAGUCAUGGCGUCUCUGAAUAUUGCCUCAUCAAAUCACACUUCGAAUAUUCAUACAAACUCAACAAACUUCUCAUUCACAUUCAAUACCCCUGUGAAACUGGAUCAGGCAAACUAUCUGAUCUGGAGGUCCCAAGUUCUAGCUUCCAUACACGGCAAUAGGCUAGAAAAGUUCAUUGAUGAAAAUGUCACUCCUCCUCCAUCUCAUAUUGCUCAAAGGAUUGACGAUGAACUUAGAUCUGUUGAGAAUCCAGAUUCAUCAAGCUGGAAAGCACAAGAUCAAGUACUUCUUGGCUGGUUGCUGUCAUCGAUGAGUGAAGGUAUUAUAAGCCUGGUGUUUAAUCUGGAAACUUCUCUUGAGGUAUGGAAAGCUAUUGAAACUCAAUUUGGAUCACAGUCAAAAUCCAGACUCUUACAUUUGAGAUAUUUGAUGAAUUCAACUAGGAAAGAUGAUCUGAAAAUCAAUGAGUAUUUCAUUAAAAUGAAGAAUAUUGCUGAUAACAUGGCUGCGGCAGGAAGUGCCUUAAGCAGUGAUGAUUUAAUUUUGCAUGUACUGUCAGGACUAGGACCAGAUUAUAAUGUUGUUGCUACUUAUAUUACUGGUCAAAUAAGUGGUGAUAAAAUGAAUUUGAAUGAGGCUUAUGCUAUGUUGUUGACUCAAGAAGCUAGAAUUGAGCAACAAGCACAUAUGCUUUCUGGAAUGGAUGUUAAGCAUAAUUUUGAAGCUAAUUUUGCUCAGAACAGAGGUUUCAAGAAAGGAAAUUUCUCAGGUGGUAGAGGAUCUGGUAAUCAUAACUAUUUUACUGGAUUAGAUAAUGCUGGAAAUUUUGGAAAUAAUUACAGAAGUGGCUAUAGAAGAUCUGGUUUCUUUGGCAAUGGUUUUGGAAAUAAUCAUAGUAACCAGUUCAGAGGAUUUCAAAGUGAUAAUCAAAGGGGAUCAGGCUCAGGAAAUUGGAACAAUGAUGGGGGUGGUAACAAUAAUUCUAUCAGGCCUCAAAUGAAUCCAAAACCUCAGUGGAAUGCUUCUAAACCUACUUGUCAAAUCUGCUUCAAAACUGGUCAUACUGCAAAUGUGUGCUGGAAGCUUGAAGAAUUCUUUACCUCUGGUGCUUACAAACCUCCUCCAAACAAAAAUCCCAAAGCUACAUAUCUAGCUGAUAUGGAUGGUGCAGCUGAUCCCAACUGGUAUCUGGAUAGUGGAGCUACACACCAUCUUACCAAUGACAUGAGGAAUAUGACUAUGGCAGAAUCCUUUGCAGGUAACUCUAAACUCAUCAUUGGAAAUGGUACUGGUUUACACAUAACACAUGUUGGAAAUGCUGUGUUAAGAAUGCAUAACUCUUCUGCUCAUCAUACACUCAAAUUAAACAACAUGCUUCUUGUUCCACAAAUAUCCAAGAAUCUUAUUAGCAUAUCUCAGCUUACCAAAGAUAACAACAUUGUUAUUGAAUUUACUGAUAAAUCCUGUUUUGUGAAGGACAAGGUGAGGAAUUUGAUCAUACUGUAGGGCAAAGCUGAAAAAGGUUUAUACAGAUUGCUAUUGUUUCCCUCUAAUAAAGUCUCUUCUCAAUCAUGUCAAAGGUCUCUUGAAGCCACUCAAUCCAAAAUUUCAGAUGUUCCUCUGUUUAUGUUUUCAGUUGUUCAGUCAGUUGUCAAUAAUCAAACAAGUCCCUGCUUGCAUACUGCAGCAGAAUCUUGUAUCGGUCUAAAUUGUAUGCUGAGUGUUUCUGUUUUGCAUCAGAAACUUGGUCAUCCUAAUUCCAAAGUUUUAAGUCAUGUAAUAAACUCUUGUUCAGCUUUCAAGAAUUUAAAUGGAAGUAACUUUCUUGAUUCAUGUGAUGCAUGUAAAAUGGGAAAAAUGCAUAGAUUACACUUUCCAGUUUCUACUACCAAAACAAAGCAUGUAUUAGAAGUUUUGCACACUGAUUUAUGGGGACCUGCCCCUGUGCUUUCAGUUCAAGGUUAUAGAUAUUAUGAGUUUUGUGGAUGAUUUUUCGAGGUUCACAUGGAUAUUCCCAUUAAAAACCAAGGAUGAAACACUAGUUGUGUUUAAAAUCUUUAAGAAACAAAUUGAGAAAUAGCUAGAUAGAUCCAUUAAGUGCAUUCAAUCAGAUUGGGGUGGAGAGUAUAGAUCAUUUGUUAAUUUUCUUCAUGAGGAAGAUAUUCAAUUCAGGCACUCAUGUCCCUAUACUCACAAUCAGAAUGGCUUAGUUGAGAGAAAACAUAGACACAUAACCGACCUAGGUCUCACCUUACUUGCUCAAGCUACUUUGCCUCUCAAAUUUUGGUGGGAUUCCUUCCAUACAGCCACCUAUAUUAUCAAUAGACUUCCCACACCCAUACUAUCUAUGCAGUCACCUUAUGAAUGUGUCUUCAAAACCAAACCUGAUUACAAAUUUCUCAAGGUCUUUGGUUGUUCAUGCUUCCCUUUCUUAAGGGAUUAUAAUACUCACAAAUUUCAUUUUCAUACCUCAAAAUGUGUAUUUCUUGGUUACAGCCCUUUACAUAAGGGUUACAAGUGUAUGCAUUCUUCUGGAAAGAUUUUUAUAGCCAGUCAUGUGUUAUUUGAUGAAACUUCUUUUCCUUACACAUCAAAUUCACAAUUUUUAACUUCAUCAUCCAAACCCUCUGAUUUCCAUUACAGUCUUAUUCAAUCUUAUACUGUUUCACUUCCCAAUAGCAAUCAAGAAACCUGUGAAGCUAGCUCUGCAGAAGAUGAAGCUCCAUAUCAUCAUUUCAGUGAUCAUUCCUCACCUGACAGUCAUAAUACAACCUUUGAUGUUUCACCUUCUCAAAUACAUCUUCAACCCUCUACCAUAGCUACUUCACAAACACAACAGCCAUCAUCAUCUACUAUUCAAUCCACACAACCAUCCCAACAUUCUCUGCCAAAUCAUCCCAUGAUUACUAGAGCAAAAGCUGGUAUAUUCAAGCCUAAAGCAUUCUUAACAUCACAUAACAGCCUGGAACCAUCCACUGUUGAUGAAGCUUUGUCUGAUUCUAAGUGGAAAGCUGCAAUGCAAUUAGAGUUUGAUGCUUUAACCAGAAAUAAUACCUGGACUCUAGUACCUAUGACAUCUCAGCACAAGUUGGUUGGUUGUAAAUGGGUCUUUAGAACCAAGUACAAUACAGAUGGUACAGUUUCUAAACACAAAGCAAGAUUGGUGGCCAAGGGCUUUCACCAGACAGCAGGAGUGGAUUAUAAGGAAACUUUUAGUCCUGUGGUAAAGUCUUCUACAGUCAAAACUAUACUAAGUUUGGCAGUGAUGAAAUGUUGGAAAGUCAGGCAAAUCGAUAUAAAUAAUACUUUUCUUAAUGGAGAUAUUUCAGAGGAUAUAUACAUGACACAACCAGAGGGCUUCAUCACCAAAGAGGGCUAUGUCUGCAAACUUAGCAAGGCUCUUUAUGGCUUGAAGCAAGCUCCUAGAGCUUGGUAUGACAAACUCAAAUGGUGUCUUACAAGCUGGAAUUUCUUCAACUCCAAGGCUGAUACAUCCCUGUUCAUCAGACAUGACACAAGAGGUAUCAUUCUUGUUCUUAUCUAUGUGGAUGAUAUUCUCAUUACAGGACCAAUUCUUCCAUGUUGGAAACAUUCAUCACUAAAUUCAGUAAGGCUUUUGCCUUAAAAGAUUUGGGAUUGGUAUCCUAUUUUCUGGGUGUUGAGGUGUGUUAUACUGAUAGUGGGAUGCAUUUAUCACAAACAAAAUAUAUUAAAGAGCUCUUAAGUAGAGCUUCAAUGCAGAACUGUAAAGGUUUUGAUACACCUCUCAGCACAGGUCAAAAGUUAGAAAAGGUAGCAAAGGGCUGUUUGGGGAAAGAAUUUGAAGAUCCAACUCUCUAUAGAAGUAUUGUUGGAGGGCUCCAAUACUUGAUACUCACCAGACCUGAUAUUGCAUACUCAGUUCAUAAGCUCAUUCAAUAUCAGAGUGCUCCUACACUUCAGCAUUGGCUUGCUUGUAAGAAGGUACUUAGAUAUCUUCAAGCAACUGUCACUCAUGGAAUAUAUAUUCAAAAGGAAGGAGAGCUUGAAGUUACAGGUUUGAAUGGAUACUCAGAUGCAGAUUGGGUUUGUGAUACAGAUGAUAGAAAGCCCAUUGGAGCAUAUUGCAUCUAUCUUGGCAACAAUUUAAUUUCAUGGUCCUCUAAGAAACAAGCUAUAGUGGCCAAAUCCAGCACUGAAAGUGAGUAUAGAGCACUAUCAUCAGCAAGUUCAGAAAUCUCUUGGCUUGAAUCUCUAUUUUCUGAGCUCAACAUUGUAAAGCUGCCAACACCAGUGCUUUGGUGUGAUAAUCAGAGUGCUGGGGAAUUAGCCAAAAAUCCUGUGUUUCACUCCAGGUCUAAGCAUAUCGAGUUGGACAUUCAUUACAUUCGAGAUAAGGUACUUCAAAACCAAUUAGAAGUGAGAUACAUUCCUACAGAUGAACAAGUUGCUGAUGUCCUCACCAAAGCUUUAUCACUUCCAAAAUUCAGCUACUUCAGGUCCAAGCUCAAUGUCAUUAGCAGACCCUUGAGCUUGAGGGGGGAUGUUAAGGAAGUUAAGGAAGCUCAUAUUUGUAGUCAAGCAGAGGAUCACAGCAGCUUCUAUAAUCAGUUGCAAGUUGAUGACAUGUACUGCCAGCUGGCACCAGGUGGUUAUGUAGCUGCUUGUACUCAUACACGUGAUAAGUUUGUUAAUCAUUUUGUAAUUAGUUAGUUAGUUUUGUAACCUUCAGUUGAGAAGAAACACUUGUAUAUAUAUGCUUGUAAUCGUUCAGUAGCAUUUUAAGCUUGAGAAAAUAAAAGAAGAAAGUUUUCUAGAUCUCAGUUUAUUUUCUUAUUAGCCAAACACUCAUUUUCUGUUUUCUAACUGAUUUGGAGACGCUUCAGUUUUGGAAAGCCUUCUCUGUCUGAUCCAAAAAGAACAUUCUUCAUGUCCGGCAAUCCAUCUAAAGUUAGGUCUUCAAUACCCUUCAAUUUCAUGAUAUGCGCCCCGUUCAAGCAAAUGUUGGCACCACUGGCGAGCUUCAGUGUGAACGUUCUAGAAAUCCCAUCCGAUGGGCCAUACCGCCGCCGCCGAUCUCCUAUCAAUAUUCUGUACCUUUGCAGCAUUUUGAAGAACGACAAGUCACUUGGUAGAUUCAUUGCAUCCGGGAUGAGUAUUUCUAAAGAAGUCAAUUUAGAUAAAUGAUUCAACUCAUGAAGGCUGGCAUUUCUUCUUCUACUGUUGUUAGGUCCCAGUCAGAGACAGCCAAUGAUCACGCAUAACACAAGUGAUAUUUUUCUGCUUAUGGCGAGAAAGGACUAAAUAAUUGUUGUUUAGAAUUCUCAAUACUUUUAUUCAUAUUCUGGAGCUUAUUUAUAAUAACAAGACUUUGGUUUCCAUCCUACAAUUACGGCUAAAUAAACGAGUAUAACAACUUAGCUAAAAAUUCGAAACCGAAAGAUAAUCGAAAACAACUUCCGUGUCUUAGCUUCCCUCCUUACUCGCUGCACAAUUGUUGACAAGCGUAUUCCUAGAUCACGGCUCCAGCUCCAGCACGUAUCUUCACGAUCUCAGCACAUGCAUGUUUCAUGCAUGGCUUGCAUGGGACUCAUGCCCUUACGUAGCAAACUUAGGAUUUGGCUUUGGCAUUUCCAGAUCUUCGUGGCUCAUGCAUUUGCUGUCUAUCAUUACCCCAUCCUCGAAGAAUACCCUUGUCCUCAAGGGUCAGAUUGGGAAACUGUUGGUGCAGCAUUAUGGUGUCCUCCCAUGUUGCUUCUUCAGCCAACAUUUUUUUUCCAACGGACUAGAUUCUGCUCGAUCACUUUACCUCCUCUCUUCACCCAACGUGUGUCAAGGAUAGCUUCAGGGUCCAUGAUCACCAAGCCUUCAUCAUCCACAGGUGGUAAAUCGACGCCGUUGCUAAGGAAAUCACCCACAGCUUUCUUAAGCAAAGAGACGUGAAACACUGGGUGAAUUCGAGCAUUCUCUGGUAAUUGUAGUUCGUAGGCAACGGCUCCAACUUUGCGAAGAACUAAAUACGGCCCAAAGUACCUGCAAGUUAAUUUCUGAUGUGCCCUUCUGAACACUGAAGUCUGCCGAUAGGACUGCAACUUUAAUAACACCAUAUCUCCCUGUUUGAACUCAACGUCGCGGCGACCCUUGUCAGCUGUUUGCUUCAUCCUGUUAGCUGUUGUGGCUAAGUUUUUCUUUAAUUGUAAGAGCAGUUCAUCACGCGAAUGUAAGGCUUGAUCAACCUCAUGCACCGGCGAGGAACCAAGUUGAUACAUGGGCAUGGCUGGAGGUGGUCUUCCAUACAAAGCUUGGAAUGCAGUCAUUCCGGUGGAGACGUGGAAUGUGGUGUUGUACCAAAAUUCUGCCCACGGCAAAAAAGAAUGUCACUUUCGCAGCCACUGGUGAACAAAACAUCUCAAGUAUUGUUCCAAGCAUCGAUUAAUUACCUCCGUUUGGCCGUUGGUUUGCGGGUGGUAUGUGUUGAGUGUUAGAAAAUGCAUAUUUAUAAAGGAGAAAACCGUCAUUUUACAUUUCAAGUCUUACUAACAACCCUUACUUUUAUGUAUUUAACCUUCUUGUGAUUUAAUUACAUGUGUUUUAUUUUAAUUAAGUAUUUUAUGUAUUUUAGGGGCAUUAUAGUCAUUUCACAAUAAAGGAGAGAUUAGACGGCAAAACGGACAUCACUUUUGAACUCAGGACGGUCGAAAACCUUAGGAGGAGCAUAAAAGGAAAAAUGGAACUAUUCACAUGUACGGUACUAUUCACGUGUACGGGACUGUCUAUGUUACUGUUCACGACACUGUUCACAUAGACGGAUCGAUGACGUGGCAUUGACCGAUGAUGUGGCAUUGACUGAUGAGGUGUCACGAUCCUGUUGGGCUAAAAUUCUUAUGUACUGUUGAUGCUGACGUGGCAGCAUAUCAGUGGACGAAAAAUCUCGCGUACGGUACAUGCAUCACACAGGAUUAUUUUCAACCAAACUGCGUUACUGUUCAUCCGGGUCAAACCGUAUUACUGUUCAUCCACGUUGUCAAACCGCGUACUGUUGACUGAUGACGUGGUGCAAUCCUGAGCGUCCAAACUGUUUUUAAUCUGAUGGCCAUGAUUUACUCCAUGUAUCUAUAAAAAGGGGGCCUCUCCCCCUUAAUUUGAUAGCUCUGAAUCCAUUUUUGGGAUCCAUUUUCUAUAAUUCCCUCUCCAUCUUGUAUUUUCUACGUAUUUUAAUAAAUUCCCAUUUUGCCCCUAGUUCAAUUAUGAAUAGCUAAUUUUCUUUCAAGCUUGGGUUGAAGGUGAAGUCUCAACAUGUGUCAUGGGCUUAAUUUGGUAAAUUUAUUUUCUCUUCCCCUUUAGUUUUUGUGGAUGUUUUGACUUCUCGUCGACAAAUAAUAAUAAUCUUGUCUAGAUAUCGUCUUGGUUACACCGGCUCUCUAGUAUAAGGUUAUUAUUAUUUGGCACGAUAAGCCCUUAGCACCAUAUUGAUUAGAGUGUGGUUCAUAAGGUGUGGAUUCCCCCCUCAUGAUUUAAUUGGUAUUAAUAAGGAAUAUUUAGCCCAUGGUGCAUGUUGAUACGGAUCCAAAUACCCAAGUACGUCAUUUCAAUAGAUUUCUCUUCAAUUUAUUCUCGCCAUUUAAAUUCCAAUUUUAGAAUUUAUUCUCGCCAUUUUAAUUUAAGUUUUAGCAUAUUCCAAAUCAUUUCCAUCACAAAUCCAAUCACCCAUUUACAAAAUUAAUUCUACACACAAUUAAAAUCCACCUCCUCGUGGGAUCGACACUCGUCACCAUUGAUCUAUACUACAAUAGAUUCGUGCGCUUGCGAGUACAUUAAAAUUUGCACAACAGUAUGGUGAGCUCAUUUUGAGUUUGGUGCCUGAUAAAUUAAAGAACUCUUGCCAAAAUUUGCUGAUGAAUAUGGGGUCACGAUCGCUGAUGAUUGACUUGGGCAUACCGUGCAGCCUCACUACUCCUUCACUUUCUUCUCGAACUGGCCGCGGUGAACCAAUGGUUUCGUUGGUGCCGUGGCUAGUGGUGUCUUUGGAUGCAUUGAAAGUUUCUGCUAAUUUGCUAAUGGUGUCUUCUAAUCGCUGAAGCUUGUCAUUGAUCCCAAUCUCCAUGCGUUCCAUUCGGCUCUCCAUGCUUUUCAGAUCAGCUUCAAUUCGCUCAAUACGUUCUUUGUUGGUCAUCAUUGUUAACCCGCUCUGAUACCAAUGUUAGGUCCCAGUCAGAGACAGCCAAUGAUCAUGCGUAACACAAGUGAUAUUUUUCUGCUUAUGACGAAAAAGGACCAAAUAAUUGUUGUUUAGAAUUCUCAAUACUUUUAUUCAUAUUCUGGAGCUUAUUUAUAAUAACAAGACUUUGGUUUCCAUCCUACAAUUACGGCUAAAUAAACGAGUAUAACAACUUAGCUAAAAAUUCGAAACCGAAAGAUAAUCGAAAACAACUUCCGUGUCUUAGCUUCCCUCCUUACUCGCUGCACAAUUGUUGAUAAGCGUAUUCCUAGAUCACGGCUCCAGCUCCAGCACGUAUCUUCACGAUCUCAGCACAUGCAUGUUUCAUGCAUGGCUUGCAUGGGACUCAUGCCCUCACGUAGCAAACUUAGGAUUUGGCUUUGGCAUUUCCAGAUCUCCGUGGCUCAUGCAUUUGCUGUCUAUCAGUUGGUCCUUUCACGCUUCCCCCACUCAAUGGGACUCUCACCAAUGUACAAUUCUUCUAAUCGUGAUAAGCUUGAUAUGACAUUUGGUGGAAUAACUUUUAGAUUGAAACAGUUGCUCAGAUCCAACAACCUCAACUGAGUCAGCCGGCCUAUUUCUUCAACCAGUUUCUGCAUAUUAGAACCUCGAAGUGUAAGGAUUUCUAAUUUCUUUAGAUCUCUAAUAAUAGCGAUGUCUCCGAGUUGGCAAUCAUCGAGAGACAAUGUUUGAAGGUUUUGUAAGAGACCAAGCGAUGGAGGCAAAGGCAACAAAUGCAUCGUAGUGAAAUCUAAAACUCUAAGCCCUGUCAUCCCAGUAAAAAGGUUAUCUGGGAUUCUCAAAGAUGGAACAUUAUCAAUGGUGAGGUAUUUAAGUUGCGGACAUUCAAAAUCUUGAGGAAACUCACUAAUAUUACACCUACAUAAGGAAAUAACUUUGCAAACCUUCAGUCUCUCCUUAUCUGGCCAGCUGGUCAGCGGAAUAACCUCGUUUUCCACCGCAAACACAUGUUGGUCUCUAGAUGCAAUUGAUAUGGCUACAUCACGAACAACAUCAUGCAUAGAAAACCAUUCACUUGUAUUGCCAUCAAGCAACAAACAAGAUUUUUUGAGUUUUUCAACCAAUUCAUGUGCUCUAUCCCGCGCCUCUUCCAACGUGUUGAUGUUUUGAAACAGACCCAAACCCAUUCCAUAAAAGAGCACGUCUUCAACGCAAGAGAUGAAGGCGUACCUUAUUAGCAAAAAUGUACUCUUGAGCUCCUCCCCGUUUAAAUGACUGUAACUUAGCUCUAUACUUUUAUAUGCCACCUCCAGUGUUCCACUGAAGUUCCUCAAGGAAGGCCUUCUUAAUUCUAGCAAAGCAUCAUUCCAUUCACACAAUCUCUUAUUUCUCAAUGCCCUUGCUACGGGUACAAUGGCAAUGGGCAAACCAGCACAUUCCUUGACUAUAUCUUUUGCUACCGAUCUCAAUUCAUCAUUUUCUAUGCAAUCACCUGUCGUCUUCGUAAAAAGACUACAAGCUUCUCCUCCAUUCAAAACAUCAACACGAAAAUUCUGUUGACAAUCAAUCUUACAGGACAACACAUCUACACUUCUUGAUGUCAGCAGAACUUUACGUCCGCUGUUAUCAUCUGCCAAUGGAAUUCCAAUCGCCUCCAAAUCAAGACUCCCCCAAAUAUCAUCCAAGAUUAUAAGGAUCUUCUUCUCUACUUUCAAUCGUUCAUAUAGCCUCCCUGCUCUUACAGUUUCAGUCUCUUUAACUAAUCGCAAGCCCAUCUUCUCUGCAAUUUCUUCACCAGCGUCGUCUUUCCAACCCCACCCAUCCCGUAGACCCCAAUCAUGUUGAAUUUACGGUUGCUGAGUGCGUCUAGUAUCUCCUUCAAAGUGCACUUCCUCGAUUGAAAGUGCACGAAACCCUGGGUAGACUUAAGCCAUGGCUCUUCUGGAAUGGUUCGAAAAGAAACACUGUCCAAUCUCCCUUUUUCAAGGAGUUCAACAAUAGCAUUCACCUCCCUCACUGCUUUCUUGCUAAGCUGGUACCGAGUCUUCAAAUCAGGGCAUAACCCCUUCAAACACCGGUUGUUUGAAUUCUCUUUGUAUCCAAUAAGUUCUCCGACUUCAUUGAUGAGCCUGUGCGCACUAAUCAGCCACUCCGCAACUUUCGGUAGAAUUCCAUCCCCAUUAUUUCUGGAAUCAUCAACUUUAUGCUGCACACUGUCUCUAGCAUUCUUUAGGUUACCAACUUCAUUCUUCAGCUUCUCGAAGUUGGUCUUGUAGCUGCGGCAGUAAGUAAAUGGGUGAAAAAUGGGACCAACCAAGUUCUUUGAAGCUUUUGUAACAAUGGAGAUAACAAUUUCCAUUAUCCUUUUUUUUCCCCCCGCUUUCAGAAAACAGGGAAAAGCAAAACUAAUCAAACUAAGCAGAGCUAAUCAAUCGGCUGGGAAUUUGGAUAAAUUGCUGAAAUAAGAAGUUGUCCGAAUGAAAUUGAUGAAACAAAUAUUUAAGGGAGAAGGAGGGGAAAGGAGUGAAAAAUCUAGAGAUGAAGCGAAGAGGAGACAAAUUAAAAAGUGAGUGCAAUGAAAGAUUUGCAAAGAAGGUAUGGGAGGACAAGGAUGAUUCAGACAAGGGAAACAGAAUAUGAAGAAAGGGAUUUCAGAGAACUCUAAAGAUUAGGGAAGAAUGAUGAUUAGGAAAAUGAAGAGGCAGACAGUUGUGAUCUCGAGACUCAAGGGGUAAACUGAAUCAUGCAAAAAUGCCAAACUAAAUUCAUACAAGGAGAAGACUCGUGCUUCCAAGUCAACUAGAUUCUCCAUAAGUAAAUAGCGUUAAAGUCGCAGGUUAAAUGCUAAAUGGCAUUUUGGCAUUUCGUUGAAUUUUCUUGUUACCAGUAAGUGCUGUGCUGCCGACAUUUUUCAACUUGUAAUUGUAAGACUUUCCAAGCAAUUUUUGUGGUAGUUUUAAUUAAUUUUAAUUGUAUAUCAAAUAUUUUAUUACUGUAAUUUAAAAAUCACAAUUGAUAAACAACAAUAGUAGAGAGAACGUUAAAUAGUUUGAGAAUGAUUUUUUAUUUAGGGCAUGUUUGUGAUUGCUUUACGAACAAUCAAAAUGCUAAUUCUAUUAGCCAAUAAACACAAGCGCUUUGUCAAGAACAUUACGCGAAGAACCCUUUAUAUAAAUAGCAAUCAUGUAAUUACGGAAGGCUUAUCCUAAUUACAUUUUAGUUACAUUCAAUAACAAAUUAACAACAAUAUUACUUAAAAAUUUUCGUUUGGCAAUGAGUAUAUUGGAGGUAGCAUAAAAAAAUCUGAAAACUUUGCAAACUUUUUAUGAAAAUGCAUUAGAGUUGUUAUGUUCUUUCACUGUUGAUAAUGGAAAUAUAAUGCAGGCCAAGAGACCCAAAGUGAAAGUGACCCAUGUGCUUUUCUAAUUACUCUGCUAUAAAGCCAAAGUUUGCGGACUUUAUGAUUUUUUUUUUCAGAAAUAGAUAUGCAAAUAAAUUGAAAAGAAAAAAAAAAACCCUGUUGCGUGGUCAUGUGGGUCCUCGAAAUCAUUUCGGCAUUUAAUCGAACAGUUGGAUGUACUCGGCAAGACGGCAACUAUACUUCCUCGAAGGUUCCUGGAUGUUGCAAGUGCUGCCGGCAUUUUCAAACUCGGAAGGUUUCAAUAAUUUUUUUUCUUUGAAAUAAAGGUUUCAAUAAUUAGCUUUGAUUAUUGUGUAAUAUACGAUAAUCUAGUGAUGAUGGUCACUUAUAUAUGUGAUUAAAAGCUAAGCUGGUUGAUUUGUAAGUAAGAACACACGGCAAAGUAUUUGAGCAAGCAUUUUUAUCUUCUUAUUACCACAUUCUUCUAACCAAUUUGCUUUCACCAACAAAAUAAUUAAUAAUUUGUAAAUAGUUGGAUCUUAAGCUCAGAUUUUGACAAUACAUGAAUGAUAAUAUAUACUUAUUUUCCAAGAGUAUACUCUAUUCAAGAGAGGAUCUCAAAUUUUUAUUAGAGAAGAUCAUAUUUAAAGCUCAAGUGCAAGAAUAAUAAUGGUUGCGUUGACUGGAGAACAUCAAAUACAAACAAAGACCAUGCUAAAGGAAAAGCAAAAGCUGGCGAGAUUGAUAAAGAAAGACUAAUAAAGCUUUCCUUUCAGCAUUAAUCAUGAUUAUUGGAUGAACUAGAGGUGAUCACUGUUUUAUAUUUUUAGUGCAAAAUAGAAUACACUGCAAGAGCUGAUGGCUUUCUUUGUUGUCCUCUUAUUGUCACGUAUUUUGUAGCUUUCUCAUUUUGAUUAGUUGUUCGCUCAAUAACCUAAAUGGGUCAGGGUUUUGAUGAAUUGAAAUUGACAUCAUUUCUGUUAAGAGUAGUUUGUUAUAGUUAGUUAUAGCUGCUGACUUAUGCUGACGUGUUAGAUGAGCUAAUAAUUGUUAGUUAUAUUGGUUGUAGUUUGUUAGUAAUCUUUUAGCACAUGUAUAAGCUAAGCUCAGCUCGCGUGAAUUGAUUCCAGAAUAUUCAAGAGCUUAGUAUAAAUACUCUUGUAACAAAUACAACAAUUAAUUCUAAGCUCUCCAUUCUUCUUUCAAACUUUCUUUCGUUUUCUCUGUUUUUCUCAGAUGCUAAACACUUUUCUUAUAUUUUAACUUGGUAUCAGAGCUUCAAUCUUCAAUUCUCAUGGCAUCAUCAAGCUCAAACUCAAACACAAACUCAAUUAUUUCAUCAUUUACUUUCAUCUCACCGAUCAAACUUGAUCGUUCAAAUUAAACAAUCUGGAAGUCUCAAAUUCUUUCAUUUGUUCAAGCCAAUGGUCUAGAAGAUUUGCUUGAUGGAUAAAAAACCUAUCCAGAUCAAUUUCUUCAAGGUGAAACUGAAAACGCCUCUGCUAAUACUCAGCUAAAUCCAGCAUAUACUACAUGAGAGGGAAAGGGUCAGUUGCUACUGAACUGGUUGAUGUCAUCUAUCAGUAUUGAGAUUCUGAGUCUUGUAGUAAACUCUGAAACUUCUCUAGAACUUUGGACUAGUUUGGAACAACAGUUUGGAUUUGAAACUUUUGCUAAGAAAAUUCAUCUAAAAAAUGAUGCUUAAUAACCUUAAAAAAAGUUCGAUGACAGUCACUGAAUUUUUUGGCAAGUUAAAAACAAUUACUGAUGAGUUAGUCAUUACUGGUAAUCCAAUAAGUUCUCUGGACUUUCUUACACACCUGAUUUCUGGAUUAGGUCAGCCUUAUUAUCCUGUUGUAGUUUAUCUUGAAGCAAAUCUUGUUAAGAUCUCUAUCAAUGAGGCAUAUUCUAUGUUAUUAACUCAUGAAGUUAGUCUAUAGGCAAAUCAGUUAAGUGCAAGCAAGGAAGUUAAGUUGAACUAUACUGCAAAUAUUGCUCAAACUGGAUCUAGAUCUAAUAAUAACAAGAAACAAGGUGGUCAAUUCAAUAACAAUUGGACUGGUGGUCAAUUUAACAAUAAUUGGAACAAGAAUGCUAGCUUUAGAGGUGGAUAUGCUGGAGGCAAAGGUGGUUAUGGUAGAAAUUUUUCACAAGGAUAACGAAGAGGAAACUGGAAUGGUGUGCCAUUUGGAAAUUUUUCACAAGGAGGCAAAGGAAGUAAUUACAAUGGCAAUCCUAGUCAAAAUGAGGGAUUUACUAGUGGAUUUACUAAUGGCACAGGUGUUAUGGAUCAGGCUACUGCCACUGUAAUUUGCCAGAUUUGCUUUAAACCUAAGCGCACUGCAGCUGAGUGCAGAAACUGAUUCAACAAGGAUUAUGUUCCUUUCAACAAUCCAUUUCAGAACUCAUCAAGAAUUGCCCAUCUUACAACUUCAGAAGGGGCAAUAGCUGAUCAAGGAUGGUAUAUCGAUAGUGGUGCCACAUAUCACAUCACUAACAACUUACAAAAUCUACAAAUUGGAAGUGAGUAUUCAGGUAAUCAGCUGCUCCUUGUAGGUAAUAGUCAGGGUUUACAUAUUUCACAUAUUGGCUAUGCAUAUCUUCAAACAUCAUGCAAUACAACUUUAUACUUAAGAGAUACUUUGUGUGCUCCUAAACUUACUAAAAAUCUCAUAAGUGUUUCGAAAUUGCUUGAAGAUAACAUUGAUGUAACCAUUGAGUUUGUUGCCAAUAUGUGUUUUAUAAAAGAUAAGAGGAAGGAACGACAUCUGGCUCAAGGGAUUGCUAGAGGAGGAUUGUAUCUGUUGUUGUCAAAGAAUGACUUUGUUUCGAAUUCUAGUUGUCUCACUUAUGCACCUAGCUCUAUGCUUUCUGUUUUGAAUAAUUCAGCUUGUAAAAUUUUUGAUACUGCUACAAAUAAAGUUUGUAAUCCACAAUGUCAAAUGAACACAACCAAGAUAACAAACUUGUUUCAUCAGAAAUUUGGUCAUCCUAAUAAACAUGUGUUGAAAUCCAUUUUAUCUUCUCUUUCUAUUGAGUACUCAUCUAUAUCAGCACCUGAUUUUUGUGAUGCCUGUCAAUAUGGUAAAGUCCCUCAAAUGCCCUUUUACACAACUAGAAUCAUAACUAAAGCUCCUUUAGAGCUUAUCCACACUAAUCUUUGGGGUCCAACACCCUUACCAUCUCUACAUGGCUAUAGUUAUUACAUUAGCUUUGUAGAUGACCAUAGUAGAUAUUGCUGGAUUUUUCCAUUGACCCUCAAAUUAGAAGCAUUAGGCACUUUCAAAUUCUUCAAAACCUUAGUCAAAAAAUAGUUUGGCUACACUCUAAAAUCACUGCAGUCUAAUUGAGGGGGUGAGUAUAGAAGCUCUCAAAGUUUCCUUGAAGAAGAAGGGAUAAGGUUUAGACAUAGUUGUCCUCACACACACCAUCAAAAUGGUGUGGUUGAAAGAAAACAUAGACACUUGGUUCAAACAGGACUUACCCUUCUGACACAAGCCAAAAUGCCUCUGUCUUUCUGGUGAGAAUCAUUCCAUACAGCUUCCUUGUUAACAUAUAUGUUUCCAUAAUGUUGAUUUUGAUGAUAACAAAUAAGAUUAAGAGUGAUAAAUCUUUUAAGCUCAAAUUAUUUUUUAUACAUUUUAAAUAAAUCAUUAUUUUUACAUUAUAAAGGUUUUAUAUUUAAUGGAAAAAUGAUUUUAUGAAAUUGAUUGUUUUUAUUCUUUUUAAAUAAAUCAUUAUUUUUGCAUUAUAAAUGUUUCAUAUUUAAUGGAAAAAUGAUUUUAUGAAAUUGGUUGUUUUUCAAAGUUUAUGGUUUAAUUGAAAGAAUUUUGAAAACUUUGAAAUAAACAAGUAUUGCUUGAAAUUUUAGAGAAGGACUUAUUUGAAAAGUAUCAUAGCAUUUUGGGCUAUACCAUAAUUUCAAAAAAUUUUGGGAUUAACAAAGCAUUAUUUAGAAAUUCUGGAAUCGGACCUAUUUACAAAGUUUUAUAAUAUUUUGGGUCGUAAUACAGUUUUAUAAAGUUUUGGGGUCAAACUAUAAAUUUGGGAAAUAUUUCACUGUAGCAGUUACUGUAGUAGCUACUGUAGAAAACGGCGAUCCGACAUCUUGAUAACGGCUCGCCGAUAUCUAACAGAGUUGAAGAUUAGCCUCUGGACCUAAACGGCGAUCCGACAAUUGUGAUAAACGGCUCGCCGAUAUUUAACAGAACUGAAGAUCAGCCUCUGGACCUAAACGGCGAUCCGACAUCUAGAAUAAACGGCGAUCCGACAAUUUGAAAAAUCAGCCCAACGGUCAUAUUGACCAGUCAAACGGCGAUCCGACAGUGUGCAGACAGUCUAUAACGGCUAGUUUUCAGCUGCAGCUAUAAAUAAGCUCAUUCAAAUUCAAACAAAGGUUAAUCACAACACGACUAUUGAGCUUAUAUCCGAGAAUACAAUCUUCAUAGAGCUUUAAACACAUUCUCUCUUCAUCUAUUCACAUAUUGGGCAUUGAUUUGUAAUCUUAAAUAUUGUGUGAGAGAAAAACAAUUUGUAAUCUUUUACUUUGAGUGAUUGUAAGUGUUGGGAUACACUUGGGUUAAGAGAUUGGGGAUAAUCUCUUGUUGUAAAGGUCCAUUGACACCUUGGAAGUCAAUUGUAAGCGUUUGAAGCCUUGGGAGGCUAGCUUAGUGAAAUCCUCAAGCCCGGUGAGCUUGGAGGCGUGGACGUAGGCGGGGAUUGCCGAACCACGUAAAAAUCCUUGAGUUUGCUUUCUCUUCCCUUGCUCAUUUAUUAUUGUGCUUUCAUUGAAUUUAUUGUUUUCAAAUUUAUUAAGGCAUUAGAUUGGAUUGUUGUGUGGUUUGCUUAGCUUAAUUUUUAAAUCCCAAUUCACCCUCCCUCUUGGGUUGCCUAGUUAGUAUUUCAUUUGGUAUCAGAGCGAGGUGCUCUUGUGUAGACUUAACGUCUAGAGUCAAAGAUCCAUAGCAACCCAAAUUAGCUCAACCAUCAUGGAAGGCCAAUCUAUCACUAGACCUCCAUUUUUCGACGGAAAUGAUUAUCCUUAUUGGAAAACUAGGAUGAGAAUUUAUUUACAAGCUUUAGAUUAUGAAAUUUGGGAAGUUGUUUGUGAUGAUUUACUCAUUCCUAGAAAGAAUGCUUUAAGUGAGUUGGAUAAGAAAAAGAUGUCUUUAAAUUCCAAGGCUAUGAAUGCUUUAUUUUGUGCCUUAGAUAAAAAGGAAUUUCAUAGAGUUUCAAAUUGUUCUAAUGCUUAUGAAAUUUGGAGAAAACUUGAAAUUGUGUAUGAGGAGACUACAAACGAGGAGAAUUUUCAUGAAGUGUCAAAUUUGGCACUUAUGGCAAUUGGAGAUGAAUCGGAUGAUGACCCAUGUGCUUUUCUAAUUACCCUGCUGAAAACUAUAAAGCCAAAGUUUGCAGAUUUUAUUAUCAAUUUUUUUUUUCAAAAUAGAUAUGCAAAUAAAAAGACAAAAGAUGAGACUUAUUAUAGUACCAGUGGCGGGCCCCCUGGGUCCUCAACUUCUUCAAAUGGGCAUUUUAAUAUAUUUACAUAUAAAUAAAUGAAUAUCUUAUGUAAUAUUCACUCCAUCAAGCAUGAAGUAUAUAAUUAAUUGAAUGUACAAGCAUCGGCAUUAGUUGACAGGAAAAGAGCUCGUUAAUAAAUUAUAUGAGUGAUAAUACUACUUGAAUCAAACUCACGUCCAAAGUUGGGACUCGCCUAUUGUGCAACAGUGGCACCAUGCCACCGUUUUUGUCUUUUUCUGUGUAAAAUUUCAUGAAGCCCUUUCACUUAUUCUUAUUUGAACUUUGCUUCACAAAUAUUAAGUUCAUUUCUCCCAAACUCGUGAAUCCUUCAACGGCCGAUCAACGGCAAAUCGGCUCCUCCAAUGGCUGUGGUUGGUCAGAAAAGACAAAGGGAACUGUGGAGAACAAAACCCAAGUGGUGGUGUCACCGGAAACCGGAGAAACCGCAGUGAAUUGAAGCGGGGAUUCUGUGACUUUUUGCGGCUUUGAUCAACAGCUUUCCGAAUGCUUUACGGCAACAAGGAUGGCAUGAAGAUGACCAGCGUCGCACGAGCUUCCGAUCGGUACCAACCUUGGCUGGUGGAGUAGGCAGAAACGUAAAAAAAAUUUGGGUCGGGUUCACGAGUCAGGUUGACUCAGUUAUUUUUGCGACAAGGAUGGUGUGGAGAUGACCGGCAUCGCAUGAUCUUCCGAUCGGUACCAACCUUGGCCGGUGGCAUGGACGAAAAUGGAAACGAAAUUCGGGUCGGGUUCGUGGGUAUUUGUGAUAAAGAGAGGGGUAUUGUGAUAAAAGGUGCAAUAUAGAAGGAAAAUGUAUAAAUAGGAAAUAGUAUAAGGUGCUAAUUAUAAUGUUUAUAUGGAUGCAAUAGAAAUUAAUUUAAUAUUUAUGAGGUAAAGUUUAAAUAAAAAUGAAUGAAAGUGGUUCAAUGAAAUUUUACAACAAUGCUGGCACAAAAGACAAAACCAGUGGUACGGUACCACGGUGGUACCGUAGCUGGAUCCCCAAAGUUGAUAAGAGUUAAAUUAAAUAAAGCUUUGAUGAUUUAAUGUGCAUAAAAUUAUAAAUUUAUAAUCAUCAAAUGGAUCCACCUAUGUCACAAUAGUUGCACCAUACCACACUUUUUGUCUCUAUUUCGCAGAGCCGUAAGAUGUUUUAUUGUUCAAUCUAACUAUUGAUGCCAAAAUCGGCUCGUCCUUGGACCGACCAGAUUCGUUCACCAACGUUUAAGUUAUCCACUGCUGCACGAACCGCUAAGGCUGGAAUUACCCUCCUUUCUCUCACUAGACCUGCGUUCACCAAAAACAGAUCAGAGACGCCGGUGGUUUUGCCGGCGUAAACCCUCCGAUGCCUAAGUUAGCACAAGGUGUUUACGGGAAAACAGUUAAAUUUUGAUUCAACAGUGGUUCUAAUUUGUUCGAAGUUUGUAAUAAAAUUGUCUGGUUUCAAUUUGGCAGCGUUUUCCCUCUCCCAGUUUUGUUAUCUCCAUCUUCAUCGAUUUCUUCUUCUUUUAUAGCUGCUGUUUGUCCCACGUCUUCCGCUUACCCUCUAUCCCCCCUUUUCUCGGGUUGUGGCAGCCCCUCAUGGGGCUCUGACUGUUGCAUUGUGGCAAACGUGGGAUCUUAUGUGUCCUUCAACGGUUCCGGGAAAGGCGCAGCAGCCGCGAUUCUGUGGGAUCGUGUUCCCGCUUUUCUGGGGAGUGUGUAUCGGUUCGGUAUUAACAUCUGGUCGGCAUACGCUCCCGUGCUCUGCUCGUACCCACGGCUGAGGUGAUCCAUGCCGGGGUGGAGGUAGUAGCAUGGUCGACCUGGUGCUUUUAUUAACUUAACACCAGUCCCCCAGUUUCUGGUCUUGCGAGUGAAAUGAGUUAGGAGUAGAAACUGAUAGUCAAAUCUUACCAACCUGGGGAGCGUCUCGCCUGGUCUUCCGCUUACCAGGACAGAUCUCAGGUACCAUUUUCCUUCUAGGGAGAUUCCGACCUGAGCAUGGGCCUAAAUGAGCCUGUCCGUUGCAUAUCUGGGCUUUCAUCUAACCCGGUCUCUUGUAACGGUUGGUGACGUGGUGCUUCCCGACUCUUCGUAUUUGAAAUUUGAAACGACGGGCUAUCCGUCCUCGAUAUAUGGGGGGGUGAGCUGGCAUAUCCCAUCACUUAAAUGCUUCCAUUUCCCCCUUUUCGUUUUAAAUCCCUAGACUGGAGUCUUCACCAUCUUGUUACUCGUUUCUCCGCCGUUAACCAAAUUUUCUCUGAACUUUGCUCACACUUCCAGCGUCCGGAGUAUCCAUUUGCUGGGUGUUUUCUCUGUUACGGCAGCGCUAUCAGUGUCAGUCUAUUCCAGGUAUAGCCUUUAACCUUUUCUUCGGCUGUUGUUGAUUGGGUUCUGUGUUGCCCCUUUGUGUCCAUAUACUCGAGUUUUCUCUGUUUUCUUUUGGGAUUCCGGUAUGUCAAAUCGGAAGAGGAAGUUAAUUGUUGAUGAGGGUGAUGACGAAUCAGGGGAUUCAGGCCUCAACGUGCCAAUACCCACCGAUUUUUUAGGUCCCUCCAGUAGUGUAGGUCCUCCCCAUGGUAGGGAUACCCUUGAUUACCUACGCCCCCUGGUUGUCUCUCCCUCUCCCGAAUUAGAGCUUGUAGGAAAUAGGGGUGGACCUGCGUCGGGCUCUGGUGAGAACCACAGCUUUGGUGGGGUUGGGAUCCCUGAAGGAGUUGGUGAUGGUGAGGGGGAGCAGUUCCGGACCGAGCAGACCUGCUCAGAAAAGGAACCUAGGCCAUAGGGUGGAGGUUGAUUCCUACCCUAUUGAUUUCAUGGCUUGUGCCACCACCCCCACCGAUCUAUUUAAACUUAGGAAUCUCUACAACAUCCCCAACGAGGUUCUUCUUGUAGUUCCUGGAAAAGGUGAUGUCCCUAGUCGGCCUCCGAAAGGGUAUGUGACGAUGCACUUGGAGAGUUUCAGACUAGGAGCUCGGCUGCCCCUUCAACCUUACUUUGCCAAGAUACUGGGCGGUAUGCACCUGGCCCCAGGUCAGCUACACCCAAAUGGGUGGAGGGUUCUCUCGGCAAUGUUUGUGUUGUGGGAGAGGUGCGGGUCGGAGGAGCCUUCUCUUGUUGAAGUGAAACAUCUGUACCAGUUGCGGAGUAGCCCGAAAGAGGCAGGCUGGUACUAUUUCAUGUCCAGUUCCGCAAAGAGGAAACCGAUCACUGGGUUUCCAUCUUCAUGUAAAAAUUGGAAGAAUAAAUUCUUCUUUGCUGGAGGGAACUGGUGUCCAGCGGUUCGGUCGCUUGGUGGGGAGAUUUAUCUUCCCACCCAUUUUGUCACCCCAGGUCGUUCAUUUUUUGCCUAUAUUCUUUCUCAAAUUGACACUCAUUGGGUUCUUUAACCUUGUUUGUUUUUUCAGAAUCGUGGGGUUUGGUGAAGGACCUUGAAGACCGACCUUUGCUUCAGGUGGAAACUGCUCUGUUGAACGCGUCUACUUGCCAAGACCUCCUGUCGCCAACAAACUUGGUCGGUUCCCGCUUAGUCGAUAUUGCCGCUGGAAUGGAUAACAAGAUCCUCAGCGCGUUGAGCAGAAAGCGUGGUCGGGCUCCGAGUAGCUCCAGCAACCCUCCUCCUCCUCCAAAGAAACCCAGCGUCGGUCCUUCCAAGGUGCCAGUUCCUGCUCUGCCCCCUCCUCCACCUCGUAAGAGUGGUGGGGAUAAAACCUCCGACAAGAGUCCUGAGGUCAGCUUGCAGUCUGGGGACCGCUCUUCUCCUCUUCCAUCUCGGGAUCAGGGUGACUACCUAAGCCCAUAUCAGAAGGAUUAUAGAAAAUCGGUUGGGCCCAAGAUGGUGAAGGACAUCGAGAGCAUGAGCCUCUCCGAGUUAACUGCUUCUGUUCAAAGAGUCUCCUUCAGGCUGGCCACAAUGGUCUCGUGCUACAAGACCGGGUCCGCGCGUCAUGAGAGGAAGCUUCAAGCUGAUAACCAGGAGUUGAAAAAGAAAGUUGAAUCUGCUGACCGCUCCAAGGAGAAACUGGCCGAGCUGAACAAGCAGCUUACGGAGCUUGAGGAGAAAGUUGCUGUUGCUGAGUCCACUUCCUCCAAGCUUGAGGGUGAGUUGGGUGAUCUGAAGUCCGAUCUUCAGGCUACCCAAAGUGAAAAGGAUACUCUGAGGAUCGCCCUUGAAGGAGAGAUCAACUUCCUGAAGGACAGCUGGCUGAGGAGAAAAGCAAAUCCGCUGACGUGGAUGAUCGGCUGGAUGCCGAGUAUGACUCCGGGGUUGCUUUCAGCUAUAAGUGCAUCAUGUCUGUGCUUAAGGAAGAAUACCACGAGCUCGACAUGAGCAAGCUGGAAUCUGGGGUGGAGAGGUAUAUGGCUGGGGCCGGCCAGGGAGAUAAGGAGCAGGUGGAGGUUCCUUUUGAUGAGGUGCGGGAGGGAGGAGCUGGUCAGUGUGUUUUUUAAGUGGGACAAGGGUCUGUGCCUCCUCCUCCCGUUAUUGCUGAUCUUCCACCUCCCGAGAUAGCCGACCCUUCUCCUACUGAGGCCGUUGACCUUCCUAAUCCUUAGGUCUAUUUUUGUAAAAACUCUAGAUUGUUAUUCGCUUUGUAAACAUUUGAACAUUUAUAAAUUUUUAAAUGCUCUCUAUUGGCUUUCUUGUCUGGUUUUGCUCACGGGUUGCUUCUGCAAAACAACUUGGCAAUUUAUCUGAUUUUGCCUGUUGGUUCUUUAGUGCAUUGAGCAGGAAUAGGCAUCCGUUUGCCUUAGCGAAAUUUUCGCAAAAUUGCCUGCUGGUCUUCGGUGACCGAGCAGGAUUGGACACUUAUUUGCCUUAGUAGAAUUGUCGUAAAUUUAACUGCUGCUUUUCGUUGACCGAGUAGAGGUAGGCACUUGCCUUAGUAGAGUUUUCGUAGCUUUAGCUGCUGAUCUUUUACUUCACCGAGCAGAAGUAGGCACCGAUUUGCCUUAGUAGAAUUUUCGUAGCUUUAGCUGCUGGUCUUACGUUGACCGAGCAGAAGUAGGCACUGAUUUGCCUUAGUAGAAUUUUCGUAGCUUUAGCUGCUGGUCUUACGUUGACCGAGCAGAAGUAGGCACUGAUUUGCCUUAAUAGAAUUUUCGUAGCUUUAGCUGCUGGUCUUACGUUGACCGAGCAGAAGUAGGCACUUAUUUGCCUUAGUAGAAUUUCCGUAGCUUAAGCUGCUGGUCUUUCGUUGACCGAGCAGAAGUAGGCACUGAUUUGCCUUAGUAGAAUUUCCGUAGCUUAAGCUGCUGGUCUUUCGUUGACCGAGCAGAAGUAGGCACUGAUUUGCCUUAGUAGAAUUUUCGUAGCUUUAGCUGCUGGUCUUUCGUUGACCGAGCAGAAGUAGGCACUGAUUUGCCUUAGUAGAAUUUUGGUAGCUUUAGCUGCUGGUCUUUCGUUGACCGAGCAGAAGUAGGCACUGAUUUGCCUUAGUGAACUUUCAAGAAUUUAGCUGCUGGUCUUUCGUUGACCGAGCAGAAGCAGGCACUGAUUUGCCUUAGUGAACUUUCAAGAAUUUAGCUGCUGGUCUUUCGUUGACCGAGCAGAAGCAGGCACUUGCCUUAGUGAAAUUUUUAUUGAUCUUGCUAGCAGGGGGAUUUCAUGUUGAAUUCAUCUUUAUUGAAAUUUGAAUGUAUUACAAAAAACAUAGAAUAUAUGCAUGUGCGACAGGCCAUCGGGCAUUGUAACAGAAAUAACUUGCCAGAGUGAGGAUUUAAUAGAGCAUUUUGCUUACUGGAAAUACUUCUUCAGGUGUUCGGCGUUCCAUGACCUCUUCACGUCUCGUCCGUCUUGGCACGCUAAUUUAUAUGCUCCUGGUCCAGUGGCUCGUAUCACUCGGUAUGGGCCUUCCCACUUUGGGCCAAGAGCGCCAUGGUUAGGAUUCCUGGUGUUCUGGUUCACCUUCCUAAGUACCCAAUCUCAUGCUCGGAACUGCCUCACGCGUAAAUUCUUGUUGUAAUAACGCAUGACCCUUUGCUGACAUUGGGCCACUUUCUGCGAGGCCUCUUCCCUUUUCUCCUCCAGCAGGUCUAGGCUUAAGCAGAUCUGCUCGUCAUUUUGCUCCUCAACGAAAUGUUCUGUUCGAUGUGUCCCCACUCCAAUUUCCGCUGGGGCUACCGCCUCAUGACCAAAAGCUAAAGCAAACAGGUUUCCCCUGUGGCGGUUUUGUGGGUUGUCCGAUAGGCCCAUAAUACCCCUGGUAGUUCGUCAACCCAAGCUCCCUUCUUCUCUCCCAAUCUAGUUUUCAAGAGCUUCUUUAUUACUUUGUUAGCUGCCUCCACUUGUCCGUUUGCCUGGGGGUGCGAGGGGGUGCAAAACUUCAGGUCCACCCCCAGAUUCCGACAAAAUUCUCUGAAGUUGUUGUUGUCAAAUUGCCUCCCAUUGUCGGUAAUAAUGGCAUAAGGGAUUCCGUAUCUGCAGAUGAUAUUCUUCCAAAUAAAAUCUGUUGUCUUUCUUUCCGUGAUUUGGCUGAGGGUCCCCACUUCUAUCCACUUGGUGAAGUAGUCUAUUGCUACAAUCGCAUGGGUUGCCGCUCAUCGGCCUUUCGGUAACGGACCAAUCAGUUCUAUUCCCCAUUGAGCAAAUGGCCAUGGGGAUGUCAUAGUAGUCAGCUUUUCUGGGGUUGUGUGGGAACCUCUGAAAAGCUUUGGCAGAUAUUGCACCUCUUUGUCAUCCAUUUUGCAUCCUGGUGCAUGGUCGGCCAGAAGUAUCCUUGCCGGAGUGCCUUGAAGGCUAAAGCUCUGGCUCCUGAAUGAUUUCCACAUAUCCCUUCAUGAAUCUCCCUUAGUACAUAGUUUACCUCCUCGUCAUCCAAACAUCUCAAAAGGGGUAAGGUGAACCCUCGGCGGUAUAACACUCCAUCUAGUAGCGUGUACCUCGCUGCUCGGCAUUUUAACUUUCUUGCUUGCCUUUUGUCUUUCGGUAAAACUCCGUCGCGGACAUACGCGCAAAUCGGGUCCAUCCAGGAUUCUCCAGCGCUUACUCUCAUCACCUCUACUUCCUCCCCUAUACUCGGCGAGGUCCUCACCUCUAGUGGAACCGACUUAGGUAAUUUUGGAUCUGCAAUUGCAGCCAUCCUAGCCAACAUAUCCGCUCGGUAAUUCUCAUUCCGAGAUAUCUGCUUUACUUCCACCUCUUGGAAAAGCCCGACCAUCUGCUUCGCUUUUUUUAAAUAAAGACCCAUCUUCUCUCCCCUUGCUUGGAACUGAUCAUUGAGCUGAUUACAUACCAAUUGGGAAUCUGCUCGGAUUUCUACCCUUUCUGCUCUCAAAGCGUGUGCAAGCCCGAGCCCGGUGAUAAAGGCUUCAUACUCAGCUUGGUUGUUUGUGAGCUGAAAUUCGAACUUCACCGCAUAUGUUAUCUCGGUUCCCUCUGGGCUUCGUAUUACAACUCCUGCUCCGGAUCCUUGCUCACUACAUGAUCCGUCAACCAUUACCAGCCAUAUCCCCUUUGAAUCAUGUUGCUCUGCCGGUUGUUCCUCUUGGACCUCUUCCCCCGGUUCAACACGGUCCACCAUAAAAUCUACCAGGGCUUGGGCCUUGAUUGCUCCUCGGGGCCUGUAGGACAGGUCAAAUUCGCUCAGCUCCAUGGACCAUUUUACUAACCGACCAGACACAUCUGGUUUUUGAAACACUUGCCGAAGUGGCUGGUCAGUCAUCACAACGAUCUGGUGGGCUUGGAAGUAUGGUCGGAGUUUGCGUGCUGCCGUUAUCAAAGCCAGCGCCCACUUCUCCAUUAGCGGAUAUCUGGUUUCUGCAUCCACCAGGGCCUUGCUUGUGUAGUAUACCGGGUGUUGCUUCCCUUCUUCUUCCCUGACUAAGACCGAGCUGGUAGCCUGCUUAGAGAUUGCCAAGUACAAGAGCAGCUGAUCACCCUCUCUCGAAGUUGAUAGUAACGGGGCGCGGGCUAGGUAUUCCUUCAGCUGUCCAAAUGCCCCCUCGCAUUCCGGUGUCCAUUCUAGCUUCUUCCCUUUCUUUAUGACUUGGAAGAAAGGGUGGCACUUAUCAGUGGCUCGCGAAAUGAAUCGGUUCAAUGCUGUCAAUUUCCCCGUAAGGCUCUGCACCUCCUUAACUGUUCGUGGGGACCUCAUUUCUAUUACCGCCCGUAUUUUUUCUGGGUUGGCUUCAAUACCCCGAUGGCUCACCAGGUAUCCCAAAAAUUUGCCCGAGCCGACCCCAAAUGCACAUUUCUCCGGGUUCAGCUUCAUUUCGUACCUCCUCAGCAAUUCGAAAGUCUCCUCCAAGUGCUUCACAUGAUCUCUCGGGUCUCUUGACUUGGUGAUCAUAUCGUCCACAUAUACUUCCAUAGUGUGACCGAUCAAUGGUUUGAAGACCUUGUUCACUAACCUUUGAUAGGUAGCUCCUGCAUUUUUCAGGCCAAAGGGCAUCACCCUGUAACAAAACAGACCCAUGUUAGUUAUAAAGGUGGUGCUUUCCUCAUCCUGCUCGUUCAUGGGUAUCUGGUUGUAUCCGGAGAAGGCAUCUAUGAAACUGAGCAGACUAUGACCCGCGGUUGAGUCCACCAACUGAUCUAUUUUUGGUAGGGGAAAUCUAUCCUUCGGGCAUGCCUUAUUAAGGUCCGUGAAGUCUACACACAUUCUCCACUUCCCAUUGGCCUUCUUUACCAGUACCACAUUGGAAAUCCACUCCGGGUACUUGGCUUCCCUUAUAAAUCCUGCUUUUAGCAGCUUUUCCACUUCGGCAUUUAUGGCCUCGUACCUUUCAUGAUUGAAGCACCUCCUUUUCUGCCUCACCGGCCUUGCCCCUCUCUUGACCGCCAGCUUGUGACAAGCUAUCCCGCGGUCAAUACCUGGCAUAUCCUCAUGAGACCAGGCAAAUAUGUCUGCAUGGGACUGUAGACACUUCACCAGCUCGGCCUUUAUUGCUUCGCCCAAUUCUGAUCCGAUCUUAACAACUCUGCUAGGGUCACUCCUGCUUACAACAACUUCCUCCAGCUUCUCAACAGGUUCCUGACGACCAUUUUUUGAAUCCCCUCGGUUAUCUAGAGAGGUAACCUGCAGCGUUUCCUUGGCCGCUGUAGCAUAGCAGCUCCUGGCCAUUCUCUGGUCGCCCUUUACCACACCCACAACUCCAUUUAUUCUGUACUUCAUCGCCAGAUAAUGCGUGGACAUUACACAUUGGCUUAUCCUCAUGAACGGUGUCCCCAAUAUCAUCUGGUAAGGACUUCUUUCCUCUACCACUACAAAGUCCAACAUCAUCGUUCUUUCAAAUGGCUUUGUCCCCACAGUAAUCGGGAGUUCAAUGACCCCCAUGGGAGUUAACCGUCCCCCUCCAAAUCCCUUCAAGGAUGUAUUCGUUCGCUCCAGCUUGAAGUCUAAAAUCCCCAUAUCAUCUAGGGCCGACUUAAACAGAAUGUCUACUGAGCUGCCCGUAUCUACCAGUAUUCGUCGCAAUUCUGUACUGGCCACCAAUGCUUUAAUCACCAGUGCAUCCUCGUGAGGGUACAAAAUGCCCUCUUCGUCGUCCUCUGUCCACAUAAUAGGAACUUGCCGCACUUUUGCCCUAUUGGCUACUGGCAAAUUGAGAAGCACUUCCUUGCCAGUCAUGGCAUAUCUCCUAUAGUUUUUUCGUGCUCUGUUUGAAUCCCCGGCCAAUGUUGGCCCUCCUGCUAUCACCUGGAUAGUCGGCUGUUCUCGUUCCAAACCCCUUUCAACUCCUUCAUCCUGUGCAUAUUGCGACUCACUGACGGGCGACACUCUAUCUACGUACUCACCCAAGUACUGGUUCCUCACCAAAUCCUCCACCUGAAUCCUUAGGUCACGGCAUUGGCUGAUGGUAUGACCGUGAGUAUUGUGAAAUUUGCAGAACCUGCUCUUAUCACGCCGGUGAGCGGGUUUCGUUAUAGGGGCCGGAGUAUACAGCAGUCCUCGUCCCUCGAUCCUUUCAUAUAGUUCCUCCAUGGAGAUUUUUAAUGGAGUAUAUUGUCUAUAUGCCGCGCUCUGGUCAACCAACUGAACUGCUCGGCUAUGAUGGAUGUCACCUCGGUCUGGUAUAGCCGGUAGCUGCUCUGGUCGGCCAGACCUGUAAUUAGUUGCAUUUACCGCUCUGGGGGUGCUGUGAUAAGGGUGAGCAGUCAUCUGCCUGAAUUCUCGCUGCCGCUCUGGGAUCGGGGGGCGCGGAGGUUGAGCCCGGCUGUGUUGGAACUGUUGUGCUCUCUGAGCUAUGGGGUAAGGGCGAGACCGAACUGAUAUUCCGCCCAUCCCUGAAGAUUCUCCAGUUCGCUUUCCCGACCCGCUCCCUUUCGGGGCUCUCCGUUCCCUUCGCCUCAGCUCUUCUAGCUGUUCACUUUUAAUUCUUGCUGAUUUCUCCUCUUCUAUUUCUAUAUCUCAUCUCGCCUGCUCAUACCCCGACGAGUAAUUCUGUACGAGGGGGCUUCUUAAGUUAUACCACAAUCGGCCGAUUCUUACACCUUCUUUUAAUCCCCUCAAUGCCUGCGGGUGAUUAAAAGCUCCCAAAUCCAGCACGGCUCGGUGAUAUCGUUUUACGAAAUCUCGAAGGGAUUCAUUCUCCUCCUGCUUCAUCCCCAUCAAUUCCAUCAUGUCAUCCUCUGGGGCCACUGCCCCUCGGAACUGCUCGGCCAACUCCUGGCACAUCUGCUCAUACCCCUUUAUUCCUCCUCGGGGCUGCUUGCGGUACCAUUCUCGGGCUCGUCCCUCUAGUGUCAACGGGAACACCCUGCACCUCUGAGCUGGUGUCAGCCCCUGCACACCCGUCAUGUCGUUGAAACGCUCAAUGUGCACCAACGGGUCACUUCGCCCGGAGUAUUUGAGGUCGGGGAAGCGGAAAUCUCUUGGGAUUAUGGUACUCAUGAUCUUAGUUGAUAACGGGGAUUCUUCAUCUAGCAUUAUCCUCCAGCUCGGGGGCUUUCUCUUGCCCUGCAUCUCCUCUAUCACCUGCGCCAAUCUGCGCACCUCCCCCUCCAAUUCUAUAGCACGAUCAGGAUCAUGUGCAGCUAUCUGGUCUCGCUCCUGCUCGACGUUCUGCAACCGCUGUCUGAGCUCUCCUUCAUCAACACUGGCCCCUCGGCCAUUUAUUUCCAGUACCCGUCUGGGGCGAGGUUGGUCUCUCCCUUCAUCCACGUGUUCCCCUGGGACCCGACCAGUACUUCGGUGAGGAUGCACUCCGUUAGGUUGGUCUGCGGGCGGGGGGAUUUCCCCGACCCUACGCCCCCGGAGGCUGGGUUCUGCUCCAACUCCAUCUCUUCCCACGGGGGUUUCACAAUCCCUUCUCUGCUCGUCCCUCAGCUCAAACAAUACAGCCGCGAGAGUCUCCAUUUGUUUCUCCAUCUGCUCCAGUCUAUCUUGCAUCAUCCUCUCUCGGGCUUCAUUUGCAAUCUCCCGGAGAGUGAUUGUCUCCACCGUUUCAUUGCCCUCCCUUAAAGUAUCCUUUCUUGACGCAUCCAUAUCCAAUCGUUCGCUGCUUCUCCGGUACUUACUAAUUUGGUGGUAGCUUUUUAUUCAGCUCCCCACAGACGGCGCCAAAAUGUUGAUGCCAAAAUCGGCUCGUCCUUGGACCGACCAGAUUCGUUCACCAACGUUUAAGUUAUCCACUGCUGCACGAACCGCUAAGGCUGGAAUUACCCUCCUUUCUCUCACUAGACCUGCGUUCACCAAAAACAGAUCAGAGAUGCCGGUGGUUUUGCCGGCGUAAACCCUCCGAUGCCUAAGUUAGCACAAGGUGUUUACGGGAAAACAGUUAAAUUUUGAUUCAAGAGUGGUUCUAAUUUGCUCGAAGUUUGUAAUAAAAUUGCCUGGUUUCAAUUUGGCAGCGUUUUCCCUCUCCCAGUUUUGUUAUCUCCGUCUUCAUCGAUUUCUUCUUCUUUUAUAGCUGCUGUUUGUCCCACGUCUUCCGCUUACCCUCUAUCCCCCCUUUUCUCGGGUUGUGGCAGCCCCUCAUGGGGCUCUGACUGUUGCAUUGUGGCAAACGUGGGAUCUUAUGUGUCCUUCAACGGUUCCGGGAAAGGCGCAGCAGCCGCGAUUCUGUGGGAUCGUGUUCCCGCUUUUCUGGGGAGUGUGUAUCGGUUCGGUAUUAACAUCUGGUCGGCAUACGCUCCCGUGCUCUGCUCGUACCCACGGCUGAGGUGAUCCAUGCCGGGGUGGAGGUAGUAGCAUGGUCGACCUGGUGCUUUUAUUAACUUAACACUAACGACUACAAAUUUUUUUUAAAAAUCAAAUAGCUACUGAUCAACUGUGCAAUUGCUUUAUACAAUUAGGGUUCUUGCCUUAAUGAUGUCAUGGAGAUGGGUGAAUCAAUGGCCACCAGGCACCAAAUUCAUGACCAAUCAAUGACCAACAAGCACCAAAGUAAUGCCAAGCACACCAACAACCACCGAUUAAUGGCAAGCUUAGUGUUUAGAAUUUGGAGAAGCACUUGGUACUGUAUCGAGGUAUUAAAUCAUCAAAAACCAAUUUGGUUUGGACUCUUCAAUUUCAACUUGACUCCUACACCAAAGCCGCCCAACAACAACUCAACAACCGAAUCACUCGUCCUAAUAGCAUAACAAUCCAGUCGUCAGUUGCCUGCACAUGAGAGACCAUUUUCUAAUUUAUGAUCGAAAUUGUUGAAUUAAUUUUACAAUUCUCUUGUACCAAUUUUCAUCAUAUAUGUUGCCUCAAGAAGUGAAGAUUGAUGUCGGAAUCACUUUCAGUUUCAAUUACAUGAUGUUUGCGAUCUUCUUAUACCAAUUCGGUUUACAGUUGCCUUAAGUAUCCAUGUCCGUCAAAUCUUAUCUAUAUUAAAGUAACCGCCUAAACUGUUAACCAGUGGCUGUUUGAUUUUAAAAAAAUAUUUGCAGCCGUUAGAUUGAACAAUAAAGCAUCCGACGGCUCUGCCAAAUAGAGACAAAAAGUGUGGUAUAGUGCAACUGUUGUAACAUAGGUGGAUCCUCAUCAAUAUAUCUCGAGACUUUGUAAAGUUACUAUGAAAAUCCAUCACAGCUGUAGUUAUUAUGAUUUAUUUGGUCCAAAUAGUCUAAUGCCAGUGGCGUGACCUCGUGGGUCCUCAAAUUAUUCAAAUGGGCAUUUCAUCGAAUAGUUGAUAUACUCGGCAUCUGCAAUUGGAAGACACGUUCAAAAACUCUAAAUCAUGUUAAAGUCAACCAGAAAGACGAAACAUAGAAAGCAACAAUCCAACAACUUGUUUAAAAUAUUCGCUUCAACAAAUGGUUGCGUUGACGUGUAUUUUGGGGGAUCAUCAAAUAUAAACAAAGACCAUGUUAAAGACAAGCAAAAGCUGGCGAGAUUGGUACUGAUAUACUAAAAGAAAGACUAAUAAAGCUUUCCUAGCGGCAUCACUCGUGAUUAUUUGAUAAACUAGCGGUAAUAAAUGAUUAUAUUUUUAGUGGAUAACAGAGUACGUUACAAGAGCUGAUAACUGAUCGCUUUCUUUAUUUUUUGUCAAUAUUCAAGCAAAAAUACAAGUCAAUCAAAAUAACGUACCAUAUUAACAUUAAAUAAACAGAGAGGGAUAAGCUGGGCCAAGUCUUUAAAUCAGCUACGUCAUGGAAGAUUAAAAAAAUAGAUCAACUAGAAUAUAAUAUAAUGCUCUCACAUUUAAUUAAUUAGGAGGCUAAUGCACUAUAACUCAGCAUUAAUCAAAAUUAUUUCAUAAACUAGUAUAUACUGGAUAUCUCGAUCGGUGCAAAACCGAGUACUGAGAGAUAAAAAUUAACCUGGUGUCUUUGGCAGGUCUUUAAUAUAAUUGCUAAGCUUGCCCCAUGCCAUUGCCAACUUUGGCCAUCGGCUAGCUGCUACUUAUGAAGCAACUCAAGGAAACAUAAAGCAGCCGUCGUAAGAUCAAGCACAACAAGUGUGAUCACUGAUCAUGCAUCCAGGACAAUUUUAUAUUUAUUCAAUUUCAAUAAUCAUAAUAUACUAUUGAAUUAUAGACCAGGAUUUCUAUUUUUAAGAAUAUAAGACACAAGCACGAGCAUAUUCGCGCAUCUUUAAUAAAUUUAUUGGGACACACUAUUUCUGCUUAUUGAAGAAAAUCAAGAAAUGCUGAUUCCACCGUGCAUGGUUUAAUGUUAAUUAAAGUUUAAAGGGAUCAGAUUCAUAUUCAUUAAUAUGCUUUUAUACGAAUCGUUCUGUUUGAAUAUAAUAAUGGUUUCAGAAAUGCAUACCUGUUAAUUCUCCAUUUCUUGUCUCCGAGGAAAGUUUGACUUCAAGCAAUGUUAUAAGAGGUUUAAUUGUGGGUCAAUUUCUUGCGAGCAUUUCAACAAACAGGUGAUAUGCAUGCACAUCUCCUACGCUAUCACUGCCAUACUUGCCCUGUAGUUGCUUCCAGUUGUAACAGGAUGCUGACAUGUCAUCAUACUUGGACAGAUCUUUAGAGGCCAUUCUUCGAAGCGCUUGAUGAUGCAAACACGUGAGGACAAAUCAUGCACGUAUGAUAUGUGUUUAUUAAUUAAAUAUAACUAUUAAUUACAAGAUUAUUUUUUUAAAUAAAUACAUACAUGUCAUGUAUCUAUUAAUUAUAUAGAAAUAGAAUACAACAAAAUAUUUUUAGAAUCUGUGGGUGAACACAAUGUAAUUAUUAUAAUAAAAGAAAAACUUUAGAGCCUUUGGUGUACUCAUUAGUGAAAUUUGAGCAAAAGAAAAAUUCAUGUUUGUAAACCUCGAAACCACAAUAACCUUAAAUUUGAGAUCAUUAAUCAUUGAAUGUUUUGUUUGUAAUAUCAGUGGCAACACGUUUAAUGAUUUGAUUAAAUUUGUGUUUUGUUCUAUGAAUGAUUUCAUUCAUUUUUAUGAUUUUUUUGGGUUGACUCAACGGAACAACUAAUAAUUACCCAGUUCCAUAACCGUAAUUAUAACAGCGGCAAUUAGAUUUUUUUAUUGUUAUUAUUUUAAUGUGUAUUUUAUAGAAUAUAGAUAUUUUAGGCUAAUGAUAUUUAAGGGUGUUUUAAUUUAUUUUUUUUUUUAAGUUUCAAAUCACUUAACUUUUUUACCAAUCUAUUAAGGGUCCGCCUAAGUUACGUUUAAUGUAACUUACGGCUUGGCCCUAAAAUUUUGGCAACUACUCACUUCAAUGGACUGAAGUUGUUAUUGCUGGACAAAAGGAAAAAGAGCGGGUUCAAUAGAUGAGUUGUUCCCAUUGAAGCUAUCAAAGAAAGAAAAGGAAAAAGAGCGGCUGCAAAAGGGAGGAAAGUGGGAGGAGUUGAAAGGCUGUCACAGUAAAUUGAUCGCCUUGUUGAUACUGUGGAAAUGGAGGUCGAAUUCAAGAAGAAGAUCAUGGUAUUAAUGUUCCUAAAGGUAAAGGUCGAGAGAUGGGGAGAUUGAGAAAUAAUAGUGCUGCAAGUUUAAUGAGUGGACAAUAUUGUAGUUAUAUAUAUAUAUUUUUUUACACACAUGUAUAAAAUAUUUUAUUUUUAUGAGCUACUUCGAUUGCAAUAGUUUUAUGUACAUAAAAGUUUACAUAAAGAUUAAAUUUUUGCAUUUUCUUUUUGCACUUAUUUAUCAAUCAAUUUAAUAAUAUGUUAGCAUUUGUGCACAUUACAAACUGCAUAACAAUUUUUUUAGUUAAAAAAAAAUUAAAGUUAGUUUUAUUGCAAAUUAAAAUAGUUAAUAAAAAUUAUAUAAGUAUGUAAUAAAGAAAAUAGAAUAUACUCUUUAAAAAUCCAGUAAAUAAAAAAAUGAUGUUAAUAAUAAUAUUCUAAAUAAACUACAAAUAAACAAACAAGUACAUUUUUAUUAUUGCACAUGAAUAUUACACUUUGAAUUUUCACUUAUCAAAUUUGUAUAGUAGAUUAUUUGAAAAAUGAUUGUCAAAUAAUCAUCAUUUACCAAACACCCUACUAAAUUAUUCGUGAAAUUAAUUAUUGGGAAGUAAAAGAAAUCCCCAAUGUACCCUCAAUCAAUCACAAGAAGUUAUUUAAGUUAUGAUAUCUAAUGAAUUCUAUUAAUAGUGAGCGUGUUUAUCAAAAAUAUAAAAAUAAAUAUUUUAGUUAUUAUCCACCUGUUUUCCUGAAAUCAUUCCCAAUUUUUUUUCGUUUGCCGAAAAUUCCAAGGAAAAUAUAAAAAGAAGAAGAGUUGGGGGAAAAAAGAAAAGGAAGGAAAAACAGGUUCCUCUGUUUUCAUUCCCCUGUUUUGAAAUUAUCUAUCAUCGAUAUAAUUUAAUCCCCCUGUUACUAAAGGAGAAUGGUUCAGAUUAGUUGCCUGGACUCGCUUAUCUUGAUCUGGGUGGUCAAACCCGCCCAUCAGGAGGAUUCAGAUUUUGAAUUACCUGUCAUAAUUUGUUUUCCCACCUAAGCAUCUUGAGCAUGCUUAUUAAAAGAAUUGUUGUUCCACUCGUAUAGUCAAUGGAUUCCCACCUACGCGUUUGCUUAUUAAAAGAAUUAAUCUUGCUUUUCUAGGAAAAUAAUGCAAUACGCAUGACGGUACGUGUCCAUGUGAGAAAGUUGAUGAAAUCUUCACUUUCAGUGUUGGAACUCCACAAUCGAAACAAUCAAUACGACAAUUUUUCUCCAUCGUUUCAAUCUUAAUUAAAUAGAAAACAAGUACGGUCAAAUAAAUUCUGGUCUACCAAUUUAAUUAGUAUAAACAUAUGGAUCCCAUCAUUAAUAUUAUAAAUAUGUGGGUAUUUUUAAUUAUUACAUUAUAUGACUAUUUACAGAUUGCUUUCAUUAUGUCAUAUUAGGUAAGGAGAUUCCCCUUAAAAAAACAAAAAGAGGGAGAGAUUCCCUCUUCGGCGAAUGAAAAUAAAAGAAAUUAAAAAUAAAAUAAGACUUGGUAAAUUUCGCUCUUUUUUUCUCUUUUUGCUGUUGGCAUUUUAUUCAUAAAAGAAAUGAUCACAAGUCAUUCAAUAAAUAUUAAGGGCUGCAUGAUUAAGUCUUCUUCUUUUCCAAAUCAUUGUCAUUACUCUCAUAAGCUCUCUAUAAUCACAUUCCUCUGCAGGUAACAGAAAUUUUUUGUUCAUUGAAAUUGCUCUUAAAUGUUCAAGGCGAUCACAGAGGCUCAUCAACUUUCUGACCCCACAUAAUUAAACAGGUGCACUUGUUCUAAAACCUUCAAUUAAUUUCUUUUAAUAGCAUAAUCUCUAAUGCUUGAUCUUUAUAGCAUUUCUUUCUUAAUUUCCAUCCACUUUCCAAGAUAAAAAUUAUGUGGCUUGUUUUGCUUGAGUUUUGUAGUUAUUGUUCAUUUAUGGUAAAUUUAUGGUUGUUUUUUUUUUAAGACGCUUGAAGUAGGUUUUGUUAAUAGCAAAAACUCUGAUCCUUAACAAAGAAGAAAAAAUGUUGCGAUACUGUUUACUGUCUUUUCCUUUUUUGUCUUUCCCUCUAGUUCAUUUUAAUUUAUUUGAAUUCCUUUCUUUGACAUUUUAUUAGAUUUGUUAAGCAGCAGGCAAUGGCAGAGGUGGGUCUUGCAGCUCUCUCCAGCAUCGUAUCAGAAGGUGCAAAUUCACUGUUCAAAGCGAUUAUACGGCAGAUAUCUUAUGUGUUCAGGUACCAGAGCUACAUAGAUGGGCUAAAAGAUCAAGUGAAGCAGCUGGGAUAUAAAAGAGAAAUGGUGCAGCAACCAGUUAAUCAUGCUAGGCUACAAGGGGAUGAGCUUUAUGAGGGUGUCACAGACUGGCUACAUAACGUUGAUGAAUUCAUCAGUGAAGGGGUUGCAAAAUCCAUCAUUGAUGAUGAAGAUAGAGCUAAGAAGUCCUGCUUCAAAGGGUUAUGCCCAAACUUGAUUUCUCGUUACAAGCUUAGUAAACAAGCAGCAAAGGCGGCAGAAGCUGCCGCUAGUCUCGUGGGAAAAGGCAACUUCUCCAAUGUUUCCUACCGUCCUGCUCCAAAGCUGGCAGAACAUAUGCAAGUGAAAGAUUUUGAGGCGUUUGAUUCAAGAAUGAAAGUAUUUCAAGAUGUUGUGGAGGCAGUGAAGGAUGACAAGGUCAACAUAAUUGGGGUCUAUGGGAUGGGCGGCGUGGGCAAAACCACGCUGGUCAAACAAGUUGCAAACCAAGUGAUGGAAGAUAAGUUGUUCGAUAAGUUCGUUAUGGCUGAGAUAACACAGACCCCAGAUUAUCAUAAAAUUCAAGACAAACUUGCUUUUGAUUUAGGCAUGGAAUUUGACUUGAAUGAGAAUGAAUUUCAAAGAGCUUCUCGACUGUGUCAAAGGUUGAAGCAAGAGAAGCGGCUCCUCAUUAUACUGGAUAAUAUUUGGACAAAACUUGAGUUCGAUACAGUUGGAAUUCCUUAUGGGGAUGUUGAUGAGAAAGAUAGAGAGGACGAUCGGAGAAGUCGCACAAUAAUAUUGACGUCUAGAAGUCGAGAUUUAUUGCGCAAUGAUAUGAAAUCUCAAAAGGAUUUCUCAAUUGAAGUUUUAUCCAAGGAAGAAGCAUUGCAAUUGUUUGGAAAGAUAGUGUGUAAUUCUGCAAAAGCAUCUGCUUUUCAACCUUUAGCAGAUGCGAUCGUUGAAAAAUGCGGAGGAUUGCCUGUUGCACUGAUUACACUUGCAAAAGCUUUGAAAAAUGAGAGCUUUGACACUUGGAAGGAUGUGCUGCGUCAGCUAAGAAGUUCCUGUGCAAAAGAAAUUGAUGGAAUGGAAAGAAAUGUGUACACCUCCAUAAAAUUGAGUUACGACUUGUUGGGAAAUAAGGAAGCAAAAUCUCUGUUCCUUCUUUGUGGUCUAUAUACUGAAGGUGAUGUCAUACACGUUUCUGACUUAUUGAGAUAUGGUAUGGGUAUGGGCUAUUUUAAAAACGUUUACACGCUGGAAGAAGCAAGGAGUAGAGUGCAUACGUUGAUCGGCAAACUCAAAUCUUCAUGCUUAUUGUUGGACGGUGAUGCUGAAGAUGAAGUUAAAAUGCAUGACAUCAUUCAUGCUGUUGCUAUAUCAAUUGCAGAAGAGGAGCUCAUGUUUAAUAUUCCAAAUGUUGCCUACGUGGAGAAAAAGAUGGAAGAGACAAUACGGGAUGGUCCAAUAGCUAUUUCUUUACCUUAUAGAGAUAUUCAAGAGCUUCCCAAAAGGUUGGAAUGCCCCCGUCUCGAGUUACUUUUGUUGUUUUCAAAGCGUUAUAGCUCUUUGCAAAUUUCAGACCUCUUUUUUCAAGGGACAGAAGAACUCAAAGUUUUAGAUUUUACUGGAAUAUUUUUCUCUUCAUUACCUUCAUCACUUGGUUGCCUCAUUAACGUUCAAACAUUAUGUUUAGAUGGUUGCCGACUGAACGAUAUAACUGUAAUUGGACAGCUAAGGAAAUUAGAGAUUCUCAGCUUCCGAGAUUCUGAUGUCAAGGAGUUGCCACUUGUAAUUGGACAAUUGACGAGAUUACAGUUGCUAGAUUUGAGCAAUUGUAGCAGCCUUGUGGUGAUAGCUCCAAAUGUCAUAUCAAAAUUAUCUCGAUUAGAAGAACUAUAUAUUGGUAACAGCUUUUCACAGUGGGAGAAGGUUGAAGUAGGAAGUAACGCCAGUCUUGCUGAAUUGAAUGGGCUGUCAAAGCUAACUACUUUGGAGAUACACGUUCGGCAUGCCGAAAUUCUACCGCGGGAUUUGGUCUCUGUGGAAUUGCAAAGCUAUAGGAUAUGUAUAGGAAAUGAGUGGUGGAGCAGCUGGUCCGUUAAAUCUGGAUUAUCAAGAUUGAUGAAGCUCCAGGGGCUAGUAAAGUUUGGCAUUCUUUUGCAGAAUUAUAGGAUGAAACUGUUGUUGAAGAGAACUGAAUAUCUCUAUCUAGAAGAACUGAAGGGUGUUCAGAAUGUUGUUCAUGAAUUAGAUGAUGGGGAAGGUUAUCCACGAUUGAAGCAUCUUUCUGUAGAAAGAUGUUAUGAGAUUUUGCAUAUUGUCGGUUCAGUUGGACGGGUUCGUCGUAAAGUCUUCCCCUUGCUGGAGUCAUUGUCUCUUAUUGAUUUGAACAAUUUGGAGACAAUAUGUGACAGCCAACUCACAGAAGAUCAAUCUUUCAGCAACUUAAGGAUUAUAGAAGUAAAAUCCUGUCACAAAUUGAAGCAUCUUUUCUCAUUCUCCAUAGCCAAAAACCUAUUGCGGCUUCAAAAUGUAGAAGUGGAUGAUUGCGAUGAUCUGGAAAUGAUUUUUGGUAAGUGUUGAAAUUAAGAAUUGGUGGGAUAAUGGACUUCGCCUCAAUUAUUUUGAAAAAAAAAAACAACAAAGAUUAAUUAUGUAUAUAUUGUUUUUGUUUGUUUAUAGGACCCGACAGGGAGAAACCAACAACUUCUUUGGGAUUCAACGAAAUCAUUGCUGAUGAUGAUACUGCUCCAAAGGUGAUAAUUUUCUGUUCAAUAAUUAAUUGAUUAAUUUAUUAUCACCAUUAAUCUUCGAUCAUCAAAAGAAUAUUAUACUGGACGGUUGUACUUGAAGGAACAAAAAUGUACGGGUUUUCUUUGCAGGUUAUUCUUCCGAGGUUAGAGGAAUUGAAUCUCGCGCAUUUAAGAAACAUCAAAAAAUUAUGGGCCGAUCAUAAUCAAGGAAUGUACUGUUGUCAAAAUUUAACAAAAGUGACUGUGAGAUGGUAUUAUCGUCUGAAGUAUCUGUUUUCGUAUUCUAUGGUUAAUAGUCUUUUGCAACUCCAACAUCUUGAGAUAAGUUAUUGUUCGUCAAUGGAAGGGGUAGUCGACACCACGGGAUGGUUAGGAAGGGAUGAAGGAAAGUUGAUUGAAUUGAAGGUUUUUCCUAAACUACACUCCCUCAAGCUCUCUCAUCUUCCAGAACUAACAAGCUUUGCCAAUACGGGACAUAUUCAUUCAGAUUUAGUUGUUGAAUUCCCUUCAUUGCUAAACCUGAAGAUCCAUUGUUGCACUAAUAUGUUAAGAUUUAUCUCUACAAGCUCACCAGAAGACACCAUUCAUUCUGAAAUGCAACCUCCUCCUCUCUUUGACGAAAAGGUUUUUUUUUUUAUAAAAAAAAUAAUUUUAGUCACAAUACUUAAUUUGUCUUUUCCUUGAGUCUUCGAAUUUAGUUAAUACCUGCCUCUAAUUUAGUUAUCAAUUGAUUAUGCCAUUAAUUGAUUAAUUAGUUAUUUAAUCUUUAACUGCCAGGUACGACUUCCUAGGUUGGAGGUAUUAGAUAUUAAGUGGACGGAUAAUUUGAGAAGAAUAUGGCACCACCAGCUUGCUUCGGAGUCUUUCAGCAAAUUGAAGAAUUUAGAGAUAUUUGAGUGUAAUAACCUAAAGAAUAUUUUUCCUCCAUUGGUAAGGUUGCUGUAUUCAUUUCGAAUCUUUUUUUUUUUCAAAUUACAUCCAACAAUAUUUUAACCAUUUUUGGGUUUACAAAUGAUAUUCAGCCACUAAUUCUUUAUUUCAAGUAUUGUACUUCGAACCACCACUCUCAAAUCUACAUUUUAAGUCCAGUUUUUAGGUUCGCCAGCAUUACAAUCAACAAUAUAAUUUUUUUAAUCACGAUUCAACAGCAUAAUAUAAUUCAAUUUAAUUGUUUCUGCUCAUAUCUUAAUAAGUACAAUUUUCAACAAUUAAAGGAUAGUCACUCAUCUUAUAGGUUCACAAAUUCAUCUAUAUAUUUCUCUUUUCCUUAAUUCAUCUAUAACAGUCCCAUGUUGAUGGCGUUGGGAAGUGUUUUCCAGAAAUGUUUUCCAUUUUUAAAAGCAUGAAUAUCGGGAAAAAAUGUGAAAUACAGCGUUUUAGUUUAGUUAUUUUAAAAAUAGGCAUGUUUGAAAAUUAAAUUUUUUUAAAAAACUAGAAUCAAGAUGAAAAAUGAAUUUAGAAUAUUUAAAAAUUACCUGAAAUUCUUUCUCCGUUCCUAAUACUAAAUAGUGUAAAUACAUUUUCAUUAUCUUUGUUUUUCUGGACUUCUAUUUAUUUGUUUUUGUUUUAAUUUUUUCCUUUUUUCUUUAACAAAAAAUAUCUAGUAGACAUUCAUGGUUUGUUAUUUUUCAUAAAACAAUUGUAUGAUUUUGACAUACUUUGAAUCUAGUUGAAUGCUACUCUUUAUUUUCAGGUUGGAAUUCCCAAUAGUCUGGUGAAUCUUAAUGUAUCGGACUGCAAAAAAUUAGAAGAAAUCGUAGGACAUGUUGGAGAAGAAGCGAAGGAGAAUCGUAUUGCUUUCAACGAAUUAAAACUUUUGGAACUUGAUGAUUUACCAAGGCUUACCAGCUUUUGUUUGGAGAAUUACACUCUUGAAUUCCCAUCAUUGGAGCGAAUUUCUAUGACAGGUUGCCUGAACAUGAAGACUUUUUCUCAGGGAAUCGUAUCCACACCAAAGCUGCACGAAGUGCAGGUGAGUAAAAAGGAAGUAUUAAGUUUUAUAUGAAACUGUGAUGUUGUUUGGUUACUAAGAAAAUAGGAAGAAAGAAAACUUCUGUAAGCUGAGAAUUCUGUUAUUAUUGAUCUAAUGAAUCUGGAAAUUACAAGCCUUUUUAUAUGUGCAUAGAAGAUUCUACACACAUUGCACACACGCACAGUUUACUACUAACAACCUUUAGCUGACUCAGCUGCCAUGUCAGCAUACUCAUUAACUAACUAAUUCUAUUCUUAACAGGAAGAGGGUGAAUUGCGCCGUUGGGAAGGCAACCUUAAUUCCACUAUACAAAAGUGUUACAAAGAAAUGGUAUGUGUUAAAUCGAUUCGUCGAAAUUACUUAUGCAUCUCCCUUGCACUUGCACAUUUGAACAUAUACACCUGCCUUGUAUAUAUAGUUUUAGAAGUUAAAACACAAAACAUGUAAGUUUAAUGUAUAUAUAUAUCUAAUGCCUUUCAAAAAAAAAAUUUAUAUAUAUCCAGUGCAAUUGUUUUGGUUUGUGCAGAUUGGAUUCCAUGACAUACAGUAUUUGCAACUCUCACAUUUUCCACGUUUGAAAGAAAUAUGGCAUGGCCAAGCACUGCCUGUCAGCUUCUUCAACAAUUUAUUUAAGCUGGUGGUGGAUGACUGCACGAAUAUGUCGAGUGCUAUUCCUGCCAAUCUGCUACGUUGCUUGAACAAUUUGGAAUGGCUGGAAGUGAGGAAUUGUGAUUCACUAGAAGAGGUGCUUCAUUUGGAAGAGCUAAGUGCUGACAAAGAACAUAUAGGACCCCUGUUUCCUAAGCUUUCCGACCUAAGGCUCAUUGAUCUUCCAAAACUCAAAAGAUUCUGCAACUUCACUGGGAAUAUAAUUGAAAUGCCUGAGUUGGGAUAUCUAACUAUUGAGAAUUGCCGAGAUAUGGAAACAUUCAUAUCCAACUCUGUAGUGCACAUGACAACAGAUAACAAGGAACCUCAAAAAUUAACAUCAGAAGAGAACUUCUUGCUGGCUCAUCAAGUACAACCUCUCUUCGAUGAAAAGGUGAUUAUUGUUAUUAUUAUUAUUAUUUUUCCCUUCACUUUCGUUCGCAUAGAUGUAAUUUCAUUAGAAUCAAAUCAAAUUUAAUGACUCAUCUUUUUGCACGUCGUCUUAAUUUAUAUCUGAUUUAACAAUAUAACCUCCGUUAUUAACUAACUUUAUAGUAUGAAUUAUAAAAAUGUCUUAAAUUAAUUGGAUGCCUGAUAACACGAGGUGAUGAACUAUAUUAAUUAUGUGUAUUGCAUCUCUGUUUUCCUAGCUAAUUCAUAUUGGAUUUAGCAUCAGAUUUCAUUUAUGUGUUUCAAAGGGUAAUCGAUUUGAUACUUAUAUUUGGGAUCCUACUGCAAAGCAUACUAAUUUGGAAAUAAAAUAUAAAAUGCCGUGAUUAAUCUUGUCCAUAAAAUAUGCAGGGGAAGACUGCAGAGAUUGGAUACAUAUUUUCAUUUACAACUUAAUUUUGUUGAUUUUCAGGUUGCUUUCCCUCAAUUGGGGAAUUUAAGACUGUCUGGAUUACACAAAGUGCAGCAUCUCUGGAAGGAAAAUGACGAAUCCAACAAAGCGUUUGCAAACUUGGAAAGGCUAGAAAUAUCGGAAUGUAGUAAGUUGCAAAAAUUAGUACCACCUUCGUGGCAUUUGGAAAAUCUUGAGGCUUUGAAAGUAUCGAAGUGUCACGGGUUGAUAAAUAUGUGGACGCUCUCAGCAUCUAAAAAUCUAGUGAAUCUCGGAAGAAUGAUGAUAGCUGAUUGCAAAAUGAUAGAAGAAAUCAUACAAUUGCAGGUUGGAGAAGAAGUGAAAGGCUGCAUUGUCUUCGAGAAAAUGAACUACUUGACACUUGAUUGUUUGCCAAGCCUAACAAGCUUUUGUUCGAGUAAUUACACUCUUCAAUUCCCAUUCUUGCAAAAAGUUGUUGUGAGACAGUGCCCAAAGAUGAAGAUUUUCUCUCAAGGAGUCAUAGACACACCAAAUCUAAACAAAGUGAAACUCACCGAAGAAAAAGAUGAUGAUGAUGAAGGAUGUUGGGAAGGCAACCUCAAUGCACCAUAAAAAAAUUGUUCAAUGAAAUGGUGAGUAUCAAUUAAGUUUUGGUGCUAUUUAGCAAAUUAUUUUAUAGAAACUAAUGUGAUAUAAUAUGAUUGGUUGACUGAAAAUAUAUAAUAAUAAUAAUAAAUAAAUAAAUAAAUUAUGAGGGCCAUGUAAUGUUUUUGUUUAACCAAUCAUAUUAUGUCGCAUUAGUUUAUAUAAUAUUGUUUGUGCACAAGAGGUGGUGGUCAUAUCAUUACUCUAGCUUUAUUAUUCUUAUGGUGGCAAUGUAUGCUUGCUUACACGAGUAAUUUACAAAAUCUGCAGAAUUCUAAAGAAGAGAUUGAGCCAGCCCUUGAGGUACAGUGAAGAAGCUAUCUCGAACCAGGCCAAUCUCUUAUACAUGAUUCAGCUUGCUCGUUCUUCUGUACUUGAAUAAUCUGGUUCUAAACGUAUUUACAAUUUUUUGGUCAUGCUACAGACUUGCAAGACACUUUGGAUUUUGUUUGAUGCAUUCUCCGUUUAAGGAAGCACUUGAAUUGAUGUUUCAUGUUUCAUGCAAUAUCCAAUUAGAUUCUGACUAAAUUUCUGUGUUAUUUAUUCAAUUGGUCUUUUAAGCAUUUGAUUUCUAACCUGUCCUAAUAGAAGAUCAUUAUCUGAAGAAAACAGCAUAACAUUUGUGGCAUUAUGAGAAUAAGAAUUUUUUUGAGUAUAGUAAAAUUAUCUCGACCAUUGUUAAAAAGAAUUAAUCCGUCAAACUGACCUUCUCAGACCAGCACGCUUUAAAUUAAAAGAAUUUUGUGAAAGUCUAGACCAUGUUAUAGAUCUCGUGGAAAUAAGAAAACCCGUAAUUUUUUUCACAGCAUCAUAAGAAAAAAUCAUUUUUUUUUUAGUAUUUUUGUUAGCUGUUGAGUUUUAAUAGUAGUAGCUAUUAAACAAGAACAAUAUGUGUAUAUUAAAAAGUUGGAAACUGGUUGAUAGCACUUGGGAGUCGAGCAGUUCACUUGUUUGCGAGUAGAAACCAACUUUACUACUAAUUACACUCAUACAAAAAAUAGUAACUAAAGAAUCAGGAAAUUUCCUAUUCACUAUUCUUCAUUUUUUAAUGCAAAAUUCCCAUUCGAAAACACCAAUGACUUUCAUUCAAAGUAAAUGAGAAAUUACAAUGAAAAUAGAAUCAAAAUACAUGUAUGUAUACCUAAAACAAAUGAUUUUUUAAUUUAAAAAAAAAAAAACCCGGUUGAGGUGAAAUGAAACCAGAGUCAUGAUAUCUCUGGUUCCAACUUUGGGACAACAGCAGACUUGAGUUCUAUAUGAGAAACACGUACAGCACCAAUCAGCCGCUCCAGUAAUUCAUCUGUAGUAUUUGCCUGCAUACAAAAGAGCAAGAUAAAGAAGACACACACGAAGCAUUAUACCAUUCUGAGAACAUUCAAGUAUGCAAAAAUGCAAUUUAAAAUGCAAAUUGCAGUGCAAUAUCUCAAAAUCAUGUCUUUUCCCUUGUGUCCAUUUAGAAGUGGGGGAAAAAAACAAUCAUACAUACCUGUACAAGGAAAGCCAUGUCAACCACCAAUGUCGUAAUUACACCAAUUACAAGGCCCAAAACUCCAUUAGCAACAGUAGAAGAACCGAUGUCAACAUUAAUCUACAGAAAGAUGAACAAUGUUAAACCAUGUUAAUGGUAUCGGACGCUAUUUGAAAGGGGAACAAUUCAUCUGUAGUUACAAUCAACCGCUUUCACUAAUGAACAAGGGGUGCUUCCAACACUCUUGGCGCACGAUCCAUGACCCCUGCAUGAUUCAGUGCUUAAAAUCAAGAACAAGUGCAAAACAAAUUCAAGAGGGUAAAAUGGACAUGAAGUUUGAAGGUACAACCCAUCAAUACAUUUACACCUAAAUGCAUGCCUUCUUUGGACAAAUUGAAGUGUACCAUGCAGUAAAGGGUUAGUAUACGUUAAUAUAGUCCUAAUACAUGAAGGCCAAGAUGGAUACCUUAGGAACAGAUGGAAUCAGUUUCAACCUACUAUUGCGAAACUCAUCAUCGCCAUCAACAAACCGUUGCAAAAGUGAUCCCAUAACCAAUUGCCUUGCGACUAAAUAAAAUACCAUACUAUAAUGUGUUGAUCCAGGAACCUGCAGAUGCUUAGGUUACAACUAUACAACCUCCCAAUACAAUAAGUUUGAAACUUAAUACCUUCUGAAAUGAAACAAACUUACUUGAAGAUUAAAGAUCAGCGAGAAAAGCCCUUUUUCAGAAGCAACCUACAUUUUUUAGAAGAGGGUCAGUGUGUUAUAGAUUCAAUGAACCAUGAGAAGUUAUUUACAUUGUAGUAUCUCACAGGCAGUAUUUUCUCCUAAUGCAUCAAUGGAAAAGGAAAAAUAAAAAGAAAAGAAUAGUUACUUGUGCAGCACAGCCUUGACGCCUAGCUACAUGGUCCAUUCUCUUUGUGUCUUUGAACCAAUCAACAGCAACAAGAUCCAUUAAAUGUUUUCCCGCAGGUAUCUGCAGUUACAAAUUGCACAAAGCACAAGAAGAGCCAACCAAACUACAUCAUAACCUGUCUACCUAGCCUAUGCAGGAUAUAUAAAUACCAUAACAAACAAACAAAAUAUGGGGGAACCUUUGUUUUGUCAUAACAAAAAUGCUUGCUACGAACUCUAAAGUUAUUUCCAUCAGAAAGUUUCCAGCAGUCACGAGCAUUAUCACAGUCAUCGUGUCGUAGAUUGCCCGAAAAACAAGACAAAUCAAUUUGAUCAGCCUGCUCUUCCUCUAGGGCUGCAACUAAUUGAAAUUUUUUUUUAAAAAAAAAAGAUCAAUACCAUAAAAAUCCACUAGCCAAAUAUACAAAAAUGAAUACUUAUCAUCCACCUGUCCUCUUGAAAUCAUUCUCAAUCUUUUUUUCAUUUGCCUGAAAUCCCAAGGAAAAAUAUGUAACUAAUACUUCCCAUUCAUGAAUAUUGUCUAUCGUAUAAACAUGACAUUUUUAAUUGGAAUAAUAAAAUUAUUUAAUUAUUUUAAUUAAAUGUUAAUCCUACAAAUUAUUUUUGUUAAAUCUAGCAAGAAUAACUAAAAUUUCUUUAAGAUAUAUUUUGGUGGUAAAUUAAAAAAAAAUUAAUUAUUUGGCGGGAAUUAUUGAAAUUGGAGCCAUUUUUUUUGUGGGAAUUGAAAUAUAUUCUUUAAAUUAUUACAUAAAUAGCAAAAUGUACAUACACACACAUACAUAUAAUUCAUAUAUAAAAAUUCUCUAAUUUGUUCACAAGUACCAUAGAUUAUAAUUCAGUUAUGAAAUAAAAUAACUACAAUAAUUAUAGUUAAAUGAAUACUUCAUUAAUUCUUAAUUUGCUUCCUAACAUUAAAUGAACAACUUGAGUCAGCCACCUGAAUUAACCAGUAACAAUGCCUGAGUCAACUAUCUGAAUAAACCAGCAACCCUAGCUGAUUCCAGCACCUGCAAUUAACAUCAGCACAACAGGAACAAUCUUAAAUCAACACCAAGAACAGACCAAACUGCCAUCAAAUGUCACAAAACCAAACAGUCUGCUACUGCCAUCAAAUGCAAGCAAACAUAUGCAACAAAACCAGAUGCAAGUGAAAUUCUGGAGAAUAUCGGAUAAACCAAACCAAAUAACACACUUCUAGUAAUUAGACUAGAUGCAGUGUUCAAUUAAACUAAAUGUAGUCUCAUAUUACAUUCAAAAUUUCUAAAAGAAGCAGUGUUCCAUCAGAGAAGCACCAAAACCAAACCAAUCUAAUCCAGCAUAAUUACCAGCUCAACCCAAAACAAUUACACAUUAUAUUGACAUAUCAAAAUUCGCUAUCAAAACAUAGCCAAAUAAAUGAAAAUAAACUCAAAACAGACCCAAACCAACUGAUGUUGCGGCCCUAGUAGUCGUUGUCCGUUCCACUGCCAUGGGAGCGAGGGUAGGCUCCGUUGUCGAUGAGUGAGUAAGAUAAGGCUCCAAAUCAAUAGUUCCACCUCCUUUCUGCAAUUCAAAAAACAGAAAUUCAUAUAUGUAAAACUAUUAAAAAGUGUGAAACAACCUGUAAGUAUUCAACUUCUGUCAACUCAAUAGCACUUACUAAAGUUUUUAUACAGAAGAAAAAGGCAUUUUAAGUCCAAAAAAUUAGAAUUAUUGGUUGAACUCCAACUCCAUCAAUCCAUGCAACCAUCCAAUCUUUAACGAAAAAUGAAGCAUAAUUAACCAGACAUCUGAAUCAGAAAGAUUGUGCUUUCAUUUGGCACGAGGUGUUGGAAACAACUUAACAAAUCUAGACACAAUCUAUAACCAUCAUGUCCAAACAAAAGUCAGGAUCUAAAAUACUUUGAAAAAUCAGAAAAACAGUUUCAAUUUCUUUUUCAUCCAUUGUAAGCUCAAACUAAAGGUAGCCACGAUACCUUUAAACAUCAUUUGGGCUUAUACAUGCGACAUUUGCUCAUGAACAACUAAAGUUGAAUAAGAUUUUUAUAUGAAACAGAAUACAAAAGUCAAAGUAGAAUAUGACAGGAGCUACAAUAUAUUAUUCAGCAUCAGCAUUAUGUAUAAAAUAAAUUUAGAGGCAUUAUAUUCAUUCACAAUCUUGCAGAGGUAACACCAGAUUAUGGCACGCAUCUCUUGAAUAGCAGAUAAAGGAGGAGAUGCAGUGGGAAGGUAGUAACUUGCUUGCAUGAGAACUAGAAAGUAAUAUCCCAAGAUCAAUUAUAGAUCUCAUAAAACAAAAACAGUGAGGCAAACACAAUUAUACAAUCCAUCUGUCAAAAGGCUAAGCAAAUGAAUAUACAAUCAACACCAUUCUUCCAAACGAAUAUACAGUCAACACCAUUCUUCUAAACACAAACAAAGUUUGAACGUAUGACAGAUUUUUAGCCCUUUAAUAUUCCAUCAAAGAUAAUUAGAUAACACCUACCAAGGAUUUUUGAAAAGAAUGCAUUCUCAUCUUAAGCAGCAACCUCACCAGUAACACAUUUUCAUACCCUGUUUCCACCUCUGGUCGCACCACCAAAAAAAUUCAGUACUAAUUAGCUUCAACAGAAUCUAUUUUUUAAUUUCCUUUUUUUUUUUUCAAAAUAAACCUCCAUUCUUAUACAUAAAAUUAAAAUAUCAAUUAAAUAAACAAAGUCUAUGCUUACUAGUAAAACACGUCCAUUUUUAGGUAGAGGCAGAUAAUAAAAGAAAAUUGAAACUGAGAUAAAAUAAGAAGAGCUUACUAGGUGCAUUUGAUCAACAAUCCAAUCCUCAACGAUGGAAUCGAUGCCAUCAAAUAAACAUGACUUAAUCUUGAAACCACAAACUGCACUAAGCAUAGCACCAAAGCCAGAGCGUGACUAUAAAGAAGAAGAAAAAAGAAGGCAAAGAAGAAUUAAAUUAACAUGAAAUUCAACUGGAACAAUACAAAAUAUGAAAUUUUUAGCAAAUCUUACUAGCGUUAGGGUUAAGGCUUACCAUAGGGAACUGGAUGGCGCUAACUAAAUGACAAGUUGAAACGGCAUCUGCAAUCGUAUUGAAUGACAUUGAACCGCGAGGUAGGGUUUAAAUGAAUACCGAGCAGAGAUAAAUUGGUGUGGUGAAUUAGGGUUUUGUGGCUACGUUUUAUUUCGAUUGAAAAAAGGAAUUUGAGCUUUUGCUUUAAUACAACGGUGUCGUUAAUUUAAACAUUCAUUUUAGGUUGCAGUGGCCAGUGGAGAGAGGGGGAUUCAUUCAACGCUUAGCCAAAAUUUGGCUGUAAGUGUUGAUGUGUUUUAAGUUAUACAGAACGGUGUCGUUAAUUUAAACAAUACUGUUUUACAAUCUUAUAAGAUCACAAAACCUAAGCAUGACUUAUAUGUAUCAUUUAUUUAGGACGGUUAAGUUAUAAGUCAUGAAUAUGUCAUAUAUUCUGGACAUAUGAAUAUAUAUUAUGAAUCUAUUAUAUUUUUAUGACACAUUCGUGACACAAUGAUAUAUGUCAUCAAAUUUAUGUCAUUAUUUAAUAUUUUUCUAGUGGUGUCAGAUUUUUGAAACAUUUUUGUUAAUAGCAAAAACUCUAAUCCUUUAGCAAAAGACUAAAAAUUAAAAAAAAAAUCUGUUUAAAUAUCAGUUGGCUCAUGAUCAACACUUCAAUACUGUUUGUUGUAUUUUCUUUCUUUCUUUCUUUGUCAUUUUAUUAGAUUUUUUUUGUAUCAUAGUUUGUUUUGCUUAAGUAAUUGUUCAUUGUUUAUGUCUGUGUUCUUACUAACAGAGUAAAAGAUUUUGAGAGAAUGAAUUGCACCCUUUUCCAUUGAUUGUAAGACUUUUAUAUGCAGCAAUAUAUAUAACAACUGUGCCUAUUUUAAAGAGAUAAGAUAACAGAAAGAUAUACUUUACAUUUGAAUUAGUUUGAAUGAGUAAACUAGAUAGGUCCCAUAUUCUAAGAGGAGAAUCUGCUGACACUUACUGGCUUUUGAUAAUUUAUGGUUGGUUUUUUAUUCAGACCCUCGAAGUACCUUUUUGUUAAUAUUAAAACCUCUGAUCCUUAAGAAAGAAAAAGAAAUUCUCUAUUUAGUUAUUAGUUAGUUCAAGAUCAAUAUAGCGAUAUUGUUUGUGGUCUUUUCAUUCUCUAUCUUUCCCUCUAGUUCAUUUUAAUUUAUUUGUAUUCCUUUCUUUGACACUUGUAUUUAUAUAUAUAUAUUGUUAAGCAACAGGCAAUGGCUGUUGAAGGGUGUCUCCCUGCUUUUUCCAGCAUUGUAUCACAAGGUUCAAAAGCAUUAUUCGAACCGAUUAUGCGGCACAUAUCUUAUGUGUUCGAUUACCAAAGCUACAUAGAUGGGCUAAAAGAUUGAGUGAAGGAGCUGGAAUAUAUAAGAGAAAGGGUGCAAACGCUGGUUAGAGAGGCUACUCUACAAGGAGAUGAGAUUUAUAAGGGUGUCUGAGACUGGCUAAAUAGAGUUGCUGAAUUCAGUGAAGGGGUUGCAAAAUCCAUCAUUGAUGAUAAAGAUAGAGCUAAGAUAGAGCUAAGACUGAGCAUGAUUGCAAAUGCACGAUUGCAAAUGCAUUGGAUCAAUUAAGAAGUUCCAAUCUAGGAGAAAUUCAAGGAAUGCGUGCAGAUGUAUAAACCUCCAUAAAAUUGUUACGACUUGAAGGAUUGUAUAUAAGCAUUAAAUUGAUCUAAUUUAAUUUGUAUGUAAACAUUAAAUUGUAUAUAAAUACACAGAACAGAACCAUAUCAGUGUUGGAAAAAAAAAAAAAGAAUCCAGAGUUAUAUAAAUUCAAUUAAAAAUUACUGAAUUUUUUAUUACUAACUUUGAACACUCUAAUUUCAAUAAAAAAAUUAUAUUACUAAAAUAGUCUUAAUUGAAUUUACUAUUAAAGACAUUAGAAUAACUCAACACUAAUAUUCUAAAAUAUAUUUCUCUCCAUAGUCUAAUCUAAUCCAUUCUAAGAAUCCUAUAGAAAAUAUAUUAUUUACUUUUUCCUUAUUAAACACAAAAACAUGUCAUUUUGUUGCUAACUAAAAUUUUGGAACUAACAACAUCAGAUUAACAAAAUUAUCAGAAAAAGAAAUCAAACAAGAUUUUAAUUGUCGUCAUCUUCACUCUUGUCUUUUUCUUUUUCUUCACACAUGUGGCUUGCACACGCAUUCCCCUCUCUCAUCCUUAGGGCCGCCCUUCAACAAUAUCCAAUCAUCGAUUAUAAUUAUUUAGAUUGACCAAAUCAAGCAUUGAUCAUAUAUUGGUUGAGGUUAGAAAUAGGCAGGCAGCAGCAAUAAUACUACUAAUUAAUAUCUCAUGAGAAUUUUAAAGAAAAAUCUAACGUUGUCAAAUUCGUUUGAUUUCAAUGAAGUCUUUCUCCUACUUAUACUUUCACAUAUUCUCUUUUAUUUCCAAAGUUAAGGUUAUGGAUGUUGUAGAGUAAAAAGAUGAACAUUGCUAGGAAAGCAAUAAAAGGAAAUAAAUAAAAAUUAAAAAUAUAAAAAGAGUUAAGUCAUUUUUUUUUCUAUUAGUGUUUUUGUAUUUAAUAACGAAAGAUAAAAAUAAAGUAGAUAUUAUCUAUUGGAUUAUUAAAAUAACACAGGUAUAACACAUGUCAAAAUCUCGUUAUUAUAAUAUUAGAAAAGAUUAAAUUAGGAGAAUAUUCAAAUCGGCGAAAUAAUUAAUAAAUCGUAUUUAUUAAUCAUCCACCCAAUUCAUGCAUACCCAAAUGGCCGUCAACGAGCUAACCAAAUCCCAGCUUGUUGUAAUCUGGGUUGGGCUUUUUGGGCGAUAAUUAACUGCCCGAGCUGCUCAUCUACCCCAAUAGAGCCUAACAAAAAUUUUCGCCUAAGCUUCACAAAAAUGUUCAUAAAUCUUUUUUUUUUUGGUAUCAUAAAAACAUAAAUUUAUUUCAAACACUUUUGGAGCUUAAUAAAAAUUUCCCAACAUUUCAUCUGACAAAGGUAGUUUAAAAGUGUAUUCGUUAAAUUCUAAAAUACAUACUUAAAAUCUUUUAGUGACAAUCUAAUUAUAAAUUAAGGAUCUAUUUGGGAUUGAGAUUGAACAGUUAAAAUGUUAUAGUUGUUGUAGUUUAGAAGUUAAGAUGAUUUGAUUUUACACUUAUAUGAUAAAAAAUUUAUUAUAUCUUUUCUAAUUUUAUCAAAAUUAUUAUUAAAAAAUUAUAUUUAUUAUAUACUAUUAACUUUUAUUUUAUACUUAAAACUUUUUUUUCUUACGGCAAAAGUUUUAGCACCUCAAUACCCAACCAAGUCUAAAACUGCACAAUAAUAAUUAUGAGUGCGAAUGUUAAAAUCUACACACAUUCGUACUUGAUAAUUUCAAUCAACAGUGUUACAAACUUAAUUAAAAUAUUAUAUCUGAAAUUAUUGAGGGGAAAAAAAAGAAAAAGAAUGUUGUUUUCAUGAUAGUGACAUGUGUCGUGCACAUUUUGCUGUUGGCUCUUUGGUCUCUAACCUAGCGAAUAGGUUGUUGUGUCCUCGUUGUUAGAUGCCCGAACAGCAGCGCAAGAACUUUGUACUAUACCAUAUAUUUUAUGAAGGUGGUGAUGUUACAAAUAAAGACGAGUAAUAAACCAAACGGCGUCGCUUUGCUAGCCUGUUAGAACUAUCAACGCGCUCUGCCGCCCUCUCGUUCCAUUUAUUCAUUUAACCCGGUCAGGGGAUUGGCGAAUUAAAUAAACAACAACAGUCGUCCGAUCCACACAGAUCGCCACUCAUAUUUAAUCCAACGGCUGGGAUAUGAACCCCUCUAUAACUUUUAUUUGUCGAAUCAGCCGCUCUCUCUAUUUAAAUUAAUUUUUUUUUCAACAGCCGACGAGUGCUGACGUAUCAGAGACGCCCCAUCAAUCAAUAAAAAAAUCAAUUGAAAAGGACGGUAUAGUGAGUGGAAGAGAAAUGCCAAUGGCAGAUCAAGGGAUGAAGAUACGAGCUCACUUGCAACGAGGUAUAGUUCAUCAUGGCUUUCCUAUAAGUUCAGGUCCUUAUGAAUACUUUCAAUGAUCUUAUUAGUCAGAAAUUCAACAAUAAUUUUUACUUUUUACAUCCAGGAACAGUUUUAAGCACAAGCAACUCAGGUGGUCAAUAGGCCUCAUAUGUUAGCAAGGUCUCCGUUUUGGUCACUUAAGUCCCAUAUGUUAGGAAGACUCCCUUUUUAUUUUUGGUAUUACUUAUAAUAGCAAAUCCUCUUUUUUAGGCCUCUUUUUAUUUAGUAAUUAUCUUAUAAUGAAGAAUUUUGUUACACAUUUUAUAUUUGAUAACCUUAAUAUUAAAGAUCUCUAAUUGAUAGUAUUAUCUAAUUGUUAAUUUAUUAUUAGUUUUUCCAAAAAAAAUAAAUUCUUUAUCUAUUUAAAAAGGUUAAUUAAUUAACAUUAUAAAAAAUUUUGUGAUAUUCUCUACACAGAAAAUUAUUACAUUUAUUACUUCACUUCUGAAUUAAAAAAAAAAGAUUUAUUGAAAUAAUAGUUCUAGAGGAGGUAAAAAAGAUAUCUUCUUGAUUAUUUUUCUUUUUUGAACAUUUUAACUAUCUUGUUGAUUGUUAAUAUUCACGAUAUAGUUAAAAAUUGAUUGAAUUCUAAGCUCUUUUAUGUUUCUUUAGGUGUUGAAGCUGCUGAAUGUAGGGAGCCCUCGUAAAACAAUUCCCAUAAUGCCCCUAAUACUCUAAGGUCGACCCUGUGUAUAUCAUAUUAUUGAAAAAAAAUUGCUUCAAUACAGUAUGUGGUAAGGUUUAAUUUUAUAUGAAUUUAAGCUGAAGUUGGUACCUUUUAUUGUUUAAUACCGUGACAUCAGGGAAAUUUUUAAUAGGUCUUCAUUUUAGGCUAAAGUACCCGAACAAUACUUCCCAUGCACUUUGUGAUCUUAUUACAAAAUCUUAAACUAAAUAGCUGUGGAAGUAACAAAGAGGGCAACUUUUUACUAUAAUGUGAUGAAAAUAAUUCAUUUGUCAUCACGAACUAACCAAAUCAAAACAAAAAACUAAUGAUCAUAUGGUUCAAAUCUGUGCAACAAUGGUGCAUUUAAAAGGAAAUAAUGUACAGAUAAAAUUUGUGCUUGUAACAAGAACUCUUCUCUUCAAGCCAACAAUUCCACCUAGCAGAGAGAAGUGUUUUAGGCGACACUUUCCAACUAAUGAAAGCAGUGAGCUCUCAAACUCUGUUAUCAUUUUCUACUACUUGAAAAAGAGAGAAAGAGAAACGAGAGGAAAAACAUGGCUCCUCUGUUUUCAUUUUGGUGAUUGCAAAUAACAUUUUUUUUUUACUUUUACUCUUUAUUUAUUUAAUUUUAAAAAAAAAACUUUUAGCUCAUUAGAUCUUGUUCUUGUUAAUGCUUCUAGUAACUUAUAUGAUGAUCUGAUCAUAUCCGUAAAAUUAACAUACCCAUAAUCCAUUAUUUUAUAAUUAUAAAACUUGAAAAUUCGGUCAUGCAAUUUUGUAUGAUGAACAGUGUGUUCAUUUUUUCUGUGAAACAUAAGAACAAUUUGUAAAUAAUGUCCAUGCGGACCUUGUAAUAGCGAAGCAUCAUUAUUGAUCUUACUUUGAUGAUCGCACUUUAGUUUCUUUUUAAAGUGCCUUUUGUUUAUUUUAUCGGCAUCCGCUUUUACAAAAGUUUUGGUCCUCGUUCAUUCAUCAAAGCUUCUACUUUUAUCUUUUAUUAGGCAUCUUAUAAAAAGCUUAAUUUAAUUGGAAUCAUGUUCGGUAUGAAGAUUGUUUUACUUACUUCAGCAAUCUUUCAAUCAACCGAAUUUAUUCUUUUCUGAUCUGGAAAUUAUUCAUGAAAAAAUAGGCGCGUCAGUAGGACAACAGGGACCAAGUACAUAAUAUGAAAAUUCAUUUGUAUUGCUUACUCUAAUAAGCUCUUAACUCACACAUUCCUCUGCAGUUACCAGUGAUCUUUUGCUCACUAAAAUUGUUAUUAUAUAUUCAAGGUGAAUAAAGAAACUCAUCAUCCCAGAUAAUUAAAGAGGUGAACUUGUUCUAAAUCCUUUAAUAAUUUCUAUUAAUAAUAGCAUAUAUAAUCUCUAAUCCUUGAUCUUGGUAGUAGUUCUUUCUUAAUGUCCAAGAAAAAUAUCUCUCAUUUGUCUUAAUCUUGUCAGUUAAUUUUCUUGAAUUCUGAGUUAGUGUUUAUUGUUAAAUUCGGUUUUCGGUUAGUAGCCAUUGGUUAAUAGCUUCGGUUAAUCCUUGAAUUAAACAUAUUAAAAUCUAAUCAUAAACCCGCCUUUCCCUAUUUUACAACACCCUUUAUGUAAUAGUGACUUCAAAAGUGUAACAUAUUUUGAACAAUUGCAAGGAAAGAACAUAUUUGACACUUCACGAAACGGCUAAGAUAUAAGCUUCAAUUCUUGUACAACAAAUUAAUAUAACCAACUUCAACCGUCAAUUGAUCAAUAAUUCAGUAACAAAAAGGGACAGAUAUCCUAGUCUUUCUUUACUAAUGAAGCAAGCCAUUAAACUUCGAAAGCUAUUUCUAUUUCCACAUUCUUCAUGUACCAAAGCAGGAAAAAUAAAAAAAAAAAGCAACAAAAAUUUGGAAGUAAUCGUCUUUAUUCAGCAGCAUGCAUAUUAAUUAAACAUAUUAAAAAAGAGAUAUACAAUAUCAGGUCUGGAGACGAAAUGAGCCCACAGAGACUACCAAUAAUGUAACGGCUUGAUUAAAAAUAUUAAUCAAGCCACUACAUUAGAAGAACAAGAGUUAAUCAUGCAUAGUAAUUAAAAAUAUUUUUGCUAUCAUCCACCUGUUCUCUCUAAAUAGUUGUCCCUUUUUUUUUUCUUUUGCCUGAAAUUCCAAGCAAAAAUAUAAUUAGAAGAUCAAGAGUUAAGGGUUAAAAAAAUGGAAAAAGAGGGCUCCUCUGUUUUCAUUCCCCUGUUUUUCUGUUCGGUGAUUACAAAGAUUUAAAUCAAAAUUUAUGAUGCAGGCUACACGGCACCUGGUGGAAGACUGCUAGGGUUUACCUUUUAUUCUUAGUUAGAAAUUUAAUUUAGAAUUUGUAGUGUGCGCCUUAUAUAAGUAGGUUUCCUAAUAGUAAAAUUAAAUAAUCAACUUUAUGAUGCACUAGGAUAUGGUUGUGAUAAAUGAGCUUUUUAUGUAUCCUGUGAGGCUGAUUAUUAUUUUAUUACAUUGAAGAUUCAGUUAUCUCUUGGUAGUCUUGUGACUCAAGCGGAUUUAGUUAGUAGUAGGUAAUACUCUGGACUUCACAUACUAAACGGAAUGGAGCAUUAUUUUAUCCCGCUAAAUCAGUUUUUUUUUUUUUUAAUUAAAAAAUAAUUCAUCAAACACUUUAUAGCUCUGGUUUUAACUUGGUAAACACUUUAAGCCGCAACUUUAAAUUCAGUUUACGAGAACUCCUAACAGUCACUGUGGCUUGGGUAGAAAUGAAUAUACUAGCAUAAGUAAUGCUACCCAGGAAAUGUAGUUGAACCUAACCAAACUAAAACCAGAUGAUGAAAGCUUAUAUACACCAAGAGAUUUAUUCGUUUCUGAGUUUGUUUCCAGAAACCCGGAACCUCCCCUGUUUCUACAAACACGGCACCUUUGUUUUCAUUCCCCUGUUUUUCCAUUUGGUGAUUGUAAAAAUCUAAAUCUAAAUCUAAAUUUUUGAUGCAGUCUACACGGCACCUGCUAGAUGAUUGUUUGGGUUUAUCUUUUAUUCUUAAUUAUGAAUUUAAUUUAGAUUCGUAGUGUGCGCCUUAUGAAAGAUUAAAUAGAAUAAUGUGAAAAAAGAAAGAAUGCCUUUCUUAAUUUUGACUUCAUAAUGUUGCAGUAACCGUCCUCUCUUAUCAUUCCCCUGUUCUUUGGUUUGGUGAUUGCAAAUAACAUUCUUUGCAUCUACUCUUUAUUUAUUUAUUUUUUUAAUUUUUAGCUCAUUAAUUCUUGUUCUUCUUAAAGUGUUUAGUAAAUUAUAUGAUCACCUGAUCAAAUCCCUCACAUUAACUCUAAUCCUUUUAGAAAAGACUAAAAAUUAAAAAAAAUAUGUUUAAAUAUCAGUUGGCUCAUGAUCAACACUUCAAUACUGUUUGUUGUAUUUUCUUUCUUUCUUUGUUUGUCAUUUUAUUAGAUUUGUUUUGUAUCAUGGUCUGUUUUGCUUAAGUAAUUGUUCAUUGUUUACGUCUGUGUUCUUACUAGCUUUUGAUAAUUUAUAGUUGGUUUUUUAUUCAGACCUCGAAGUACCUUUCUGUUAAUAGCAAAACCUCUGAUCCUUAAGAAAGAAAAAGAAAUUCUCUAUUUAGUUAUUAGUUGGUUCAAGAUCAAUAUAGCGAUAUUGUUUGCGGUCUUUUCAUUCUCUAUCUUUCCCUCUAGUUCAUUUUAAUUUAUUUGUAUUCCUUUCUUUGACACUUGUAUUUAUAUAUAUAUAUUGUUAAGCAAUAGGCAAUGGCUGCAGAAGGGUGUCUCCCUGCUUUUUCCAGCAUUGUAUCACAAGGUUCAAAAGCAUUAUUCGAACAGAUUAUGCGGCACAUAAAUUAUGUGUUCGAGUACCAGAGCUACAUAGAUGGGCUAAAAGAUCGAGUGAAGGGGCUGGAAUAUAUAAGAGAAAGGGUGCAAAUGCUGGUUAGAGAGGCUACUCUACAAGGAGAUGAGAUUUAUAAGGGUGUCUGAGACUGGCUAAAUAGAGUUGCUGAAUUCAGUGAAGGGGUUGAAAAAUCCAUCAUUGAUGAUAAAGAUAGAGCUAAGAUGUUCUGCUUCAAAGGGUUGUGCCCAAAUUUGAUUUCUCGUUACAAGCUUGGUAAACAAGCAGCAGAGGCCGCAAACGAAGCUGAUAAACUUGUGAAAAAAGGCGAAUUUAACAUCUGUAAUCAUGUUUCCUACCGUCCUGCUCCAGAGAGUACAGAAUAUGUGCAAGUGAAAGAUUACGUAGCCUUUUAUUAUAAUAUCUUUUCACUCUAUUAACUUAAAAAAGAUUGACUUCAAUGUUAAAAAUGUAACAGUAUAUACAUUUUAUAAUAAUUUCAAUAUUUAAAAAAUAUUUGAAUACUUUACAAUCUUAUAUUAUAUUAAACUAAAUUUUAUAAUAAUUAGAAACAUAAUAUUAAAAUAAAUAUAUAAAAUUUUAAGUUAGGCUUAAUAUUAUUUAAAAUAAUUUAAAUAUCAUUAAUAGAUGAGAUAUAUUAUAUUAAUUAUAAAUUCUAUUUAAUCGAAAUAUAUAUUUAAAUUUUUUAUACUAAAAAUAGAUAUAUUAUUAAAAUAAAUAUAACAACUAACAUUUUAAAAAUUAACACUGAAAUUAAAAUUAUAAAUUAUAUUAAUCUACUAGAAAGAUUAAUCUAUUUGACACUAGCAGCGGACAAUGAGGUCACGGCAUAGGACAAGCAGUUAUCGUGACCCAUGGACUUUUCUACUUCUUUUGAAAAAAAAAUCAAAAUCAAAAUCAAAGUCAUUGAAGUGCGUUUGAUGAUUUGCUGUUUAGCUUCUCUCUCAAAUGCUUUUUGAGUGCCUCCGGCAUCUGCUUUUAUAUAAGCUUUUGUCUUUAAUCAUUUAUUCAAGCUUUCGCUAAGAGUGAUGCAGCACAGCACAUAAAUAUAGAAGCAUUGACAGCCGGUCAGGAGCUCUUCGGUAUUUGAAGCAAGAAUGAUUGUUUGGCUUUGUGCAUUGAAAGAGAAAAGAAAAUGAAAGACUUAUUUCAUUAAUACAAUUUAAUUAAUUAAUUUAAAAUAAUAAGCAUAUAAUAAUGAUGAAAUUAAUUAAUAAAAAGAAGAAAAUGAAAAUUGCACGUGCUAUUAGCAUAAACCAAUUGCCGGAAUGAGGUCACUUUGUAGACAAAUGAUUCUGGAAUCAGAACUUGGGCCAGCUUUGGGUUAUGGAUCCAAAAUAAAAAAAGGUGGGCCCCAUGGUCUCUUAUGAUCAAUAAAAAUCGAUUGAAAAGGAUGGUAUGGUGAGUGCAAGAGAAAUUUCGAUGGCAGAUCAAGGGAUGAAGAUACGAGCUCACUUGCAACGUGGUAUAGUUCAUCAUGGCUGGCUUUCCUAUAAGUUCAGGUCCUUUGAAUACUUUCAAUGACCUUAUUAGUCAGGAAUUUAACAAUAAUUUUUAUUUUUUACAUCCAGGAACGGUUUUAAGCAUAGGCAAAUUAGGCCUAUAAUUAAUAGCAAAUCCUCUUUUUUAACAAUUAAACAAUUAGGAAGUCUCCCUUUUUAUUUUUGGUAUUACUUAUAAUAGCAAAUCUUUUUUUUUUUUUUUUUUUGGUUGUAAACCAUCCGGUGUGCCACGACCGCAUUGGGCCUCGAUUAAUCCGGAUUCGGAGUGUAGUCACAGUUAAGGCUCUUUACCCCUCCCAAAUGGUGUGUUUAGUGGGGAUCGAACCCGAGAGCUCUUCCCACAAACUCAGCCUGCACUGCCAACUGAGCCACAACCAUUUGGUAGCAAAUCUUCUUUUUUAGGCCUCUUUUUAGUUAGUAAUUAUCUUAUAAUUAAGAAUUUUUAUACACAUUCUAUAUUUGUUAACCUUAAUAUUAAAGAUCUCCAAUUGUUAAUUUAUUAUUAGUUUUUCCAAAAAAAAAUUAAAUUCUUUAUCUAUUUAAAAAAUUUUAUUAUUUAACAUUAUAAAAUUUUUUGCUCCAUUCUCUAUAAAGAAAAUUAUUACAUUUAUUGGUUCACUUUUGAAUUAAAAAAAAAAGUUUAUUGAAAUAAUAGUUCUAGAGGAAGUAAAAAAUAUAUCUUCUUGGAAAUGUUUCAAACCCAUGAGCUUGGAUUUGUUUGAUAAUUUGUCGAAUUUGCCCACAUAUGAAAUUAGUAUGAUUUUACAGGUUAUAUUAUUUUAUUGGCUACUUCAUUAAAAAAAAAAAACACACACACACAGACACAAGGAUUUUUAUUUGAUGGUAGAAGUUAAGUUGUUUUUCAGUGAUAAAUAAUGUUGUUAACCAAAUUUAAUUGACAUUCUACGCGGCAGUAAUUCAAUUUUAUAGAAGCACGUGGAUUAAAGGACAAAAACACAUCAAGUAUUUAAUAUUGGAUAUGGAUAUGAAUUUUAUCCGUAUAGAUAUGGAGAUCCAUGGAUAUCCACGGAUAUUUUAUUUUUAUUAGGGAUAUUAUCAUUUUCCUACCAAAGAUAUUCUGACACAUCAUGUCAGUACCACGAUUUGGUAAAACCAUCAAUUUACCACUAAAUGUUUAAACUGUUAGCAUUUUCCCACCAUUCCGUUAAAACUCAGUUAAUAUGUAACAGAAAAUUCAUAAAAGGUCAAUUUUACCCCUGAAGCGUAAAAUGCCAUGUAAUUAACCUUUUAUAAAUUUUGUAAUUAAAUCAUCAUUUACUGUUCUUCUUUCUUAAUGGGCAAAAAUUACCCUUUAUGAAUUUUGUAAAAUUGACCGUGUGGUGCUAGGUACUUCAUAAAUUGAUUUAAUUUAUUUAAUUUUUAAAGGGCAAAUUUAUUUAUUUAAUUUUUUGUGUAAAAUUAUUAUCAUCAUAUCAAAGAUUAAAUUGCUUCUUUUGCACAUUCUUUUUUUUCCCUUUCAUAAAUUGAUUUUUAGUAGUAGAAUAAAUUGUCUUUAGCUCGUCAAUUUAAUAAAUAAAUUUAAUUAAAUGAGUGCGGAUUAGGUCAGUGGCAGAUAAAAGAGUCGGUUUUUCCAUUACUAAGCUUUUCAUGGAUGAAAAUUUUAUUUAUUUUUUUUGGUUUUAUAGGGUCUCUGUGAAUGCCAUUAGAAAUGAAAUUGACUAAUUCAAGCUUCCUUUUUCCCCUUAACUGACUGUGAGAGGCCAUCAAUCAGCUCUGUUUUGUAUUUUUGUACCUUUUUUUUUUUCGUAUAAUGAUCAAUCAAAUGUUAGCCCUUAGAUUGCAUCCAAUAUUUACUGAUUGUCUUAUAUUAGGAUAUAAACUAAAUUCAUAAGACAUUCCCUUAUUGAUAUUCAUUCCGACACGUCCUAGUCCUUUGCCUUGUAGAAAUGCUUGUGGUUGAAGAGCUUUACAGAGAAGCUGUCGUCAGUACUGCUGGGAAAUUUAUUAUAUUGAAUCAGAAAACUUGACCAGAUAAAGGCUGUGUGCAUGGGAAUACUUGAGGAAAUAUGAUUUACAUAUACCACUUAAUAUUUUACAAUCUCGUAUUCUAUUAAAUGUAAAUAUGAUUUACAUAUAAAAUAAUUUUCAAUAUCAUAUAAAAUAAUUUUAAUAUUAUUAAAACAUGAGAAAUAUUAUAUUAAUUAUAAAAACUAUUUAACCCAAGGAUUUGUUUAAAAUUUUUAUAAUAAAUAUAUUAAAUUACAUUUUAAAAAUUAAUUAUUUAAAUUAUACAUACUAGUCUACUAGAAAAUUUAAACUAUUUAAAUCAUAUUUACAUUUAGUAAAAAAAUUUGAAGUCAUUUUUUUUUGUGGCUACCAUAAGAGUACUAUAGUCAAAAAGGGUAUUGGUGUUCUUUAUUAAAAUUUUGGGGUCUGCAUGACUAUUUUCUAAAAUUUUAAGGGUGUCAUUUUAUUUUUGGAAAAAAAAUAAAUUUCAUUUAAAUAGCUAAAAUGGUAAAUAGUAGAAUGCUACAGUGGGCGUAAAUAGAAGGUAAAAAGCAAUCAGAUUUUGAUUAAACAUGCAAUGUAUGAAAUAUAUAUUAUGAUUAAACAGAUUUUGAUUAUUUAAUAUUAAAUUAUAUUCACAUUAAUAUCUUAAGGAUAGGUAAUACUCAAAUAAUUUUAAAAAAAAUCAAACCCAAAUUAUAUGCAUUGCUAAUGUGCGUUAUUGUCUAAUAUUUGGAUUUUGCUAAGUCACAACUACUGUAACUUACGGACUCUUCAAACAUAUGUGGAUCCCACCACAUGUUAAAUUUUUUACAUUAUUUUUUAAGGGACUGUAAGUUACAACAGCUUAACCUAACAACACCCUAAUAGUUCACUUUACUUUUAUAUCUUUACAAAACAAUGCCAACAAGACAACAAUGUAUGAAAUAAAUAAAAUAAAUAAACAAAGAACUGACAGCGAAAUUAGGGCUAUCAUUGGUUUCUCGUGGUGUGAACUCUUGACAAUCCUCCCCGAUCCCAUCCAAAACUCCCGCGUAGUGUGAACAUUUGACGAUUCUCCCAUAUCCCUCCAAAAAUUUGUCAUAUUACAAAAAGCAAUGUCAAUUGCAAUGUCGUUUCCAUUAGUCAUAGUGGCAGAUAGGACUAGAAUUUGUUGAAACCCCUGGACUUAUUUUUCCUUUUGAAAAUAAUUUUGUAGAACCUCAUAUCGGGAAUAACAGACAAUAAGACUCUUUUUUUAAUUAUAAUAUAUUUUUUUAAUUUAUUAACUAAAAAAAUUAAUUUUAAUAUUUUAUAAUAAAUAUAAGCAGGAUAUUAAAAUAAAUAUAAUCAUAUGUACAUAUUAAAAUAUUUUAAUACCUAAAUAUAUUUUAAUAUUUUACAAUCUCGUAUUCUAUUAAACCAAAUUUUAAUAAAUAGAGACAUAAUAUUCAAAUAAAUAUAUAAAAGUUUUACUUAUUUUCAAUAUCAUAUCAAAUAAUUUUAAUAUUAUUAAAACAUGAGAAAUAUUAUAUUAAUUAUAAAAUCUAUUUAACCCAAGGAUUUGUUUAAAAUUUUUAUAAUAAAUAUAUUAUUAAAAUAAAUAUAUUAAAUUACAUUUUAAAAAUUAAUUAUUUAAAUUAUACAUACUAGUCUACUAGAAAAUUUAAACUAUUUAAAUCAUAUUUACAUUUAGUAAAAACUUUUGCAGUCAUUUUUUUUUUUUUUGUUACCAUCUACUAAGAGUACUAUAGUCAAAAAGGAUAUUAGUGUUCUUUAUUAAAAUUUUGGGGUCUACAUGGCUAUUUUCUAAAAUUUUAAGGGUGUCAUUUUGUUUUUGGAAAAAAAAUAACAAUUUCAUUUAAACAACUAAAAUGGUGAAUACUACAAUGCUACAAUGGCGUAAAUGGAAGGUAAAAAGCAAUCAAAAUGACCAACAGUCUAACGCCUCAGCAAGGACAUAAGGUCAAAGUUUGUUACAUGUGGUCAGAGCCAUUUAGUCUGUGAGUGGGUCUUUCGUGUCAUUUUUGGUCAUUUCAUCUUCUUUGGCAUUGAAGAUUAAAUGUUGACGACAUUUUCAAAAUUUUGGAAGACCCAUCAUACUUUUGGAUGGUUGUCAUUAUUUGAUAUUAUCAUUAUAUGACGAAAUAAAAUUGGAUGUAACACUUGUUUCGCAUUGUGUGAACUUUUGACAAUUCCCUCAUAUCCCCCAAAAAUCUUUCGCCAUUUUGGGAAGAUGCCAUUUAUUUUCAUUUUCAUCAUUGAUAGUGGCAGAUAAUGGGUUCCGGGGACAGACCAUAAAUUAUUGUGACCCAUGGACUUUUCUAAUUUUUUUCCCUUCGGAUAGUUGUCGUUAUUUGAUAGAAGGAGAUAGAGAUAAAGUUUUUUAAUCAAAUGCCCAUUUUAUUUAACAUGGAAGAAGAUCUUUAAACUCUAAGCGAGACUAUCACUUCAACAUAUGCAGCCUUCAAGAAAGCGGUAACAAGUGAUGAGAUAGACUCAUUAUUGUCUAAUCAAACAAGGACAUCGGUAGAUGUAUCAGGAUCUUAAGUUAGAUUGGAAUUUGAUACAUUAUUGUUGGUAACGUUGGUUCAAACCUUCAAAGUGAGGUUGGAUGCAAAAUGGUUUACACCAAAGAAGUGAUUUAGGAAGUUAAUUAACGUUAUUUUAGAUAAUUUAUAAUUCUAGAAUAUUUAUUAUUUUAUGAUUUUCUAUUUUAGUUUGAGUUAAUUAUGGUAUGUAUCUUAAUCUUUUAUUUCCAUUAUAAUUAUGAUUUAAAUUUUCUUUUUAGGUUAACUUAGGAAAGCGGGUUUCUUCUAUUAUAAAUAAAGAUGUCUGUAAUAAAAAAAAUAAAGAUGUCUUGUCAUUGUUUUCAUAACUUCAAGUUCAAUUAUUAAAUAAAACCCCUCUUUUAUAAUUUCCUCUAGGAUUAUUUAUCAAAAUCUCUCUUGUAGAGUCGUUUGGAUUAGAGUGUCAUCUAAUCUCGUAUUACGCGUUAUUAAAAAUCUCAUUGAGUCAUUUGGAUUAUAACGAUAUCUAAUCACGCUUCGAUUAGAGCGUAAACUAAUCGCGUUGGCUUGGUCUGGUACUAGAACGAUAUCUAAUGUUUCUUACCCUAUCAAUUCUGCUUCCGCUACGCCUCACUCCAUCAAUUGGUAUCAAAAUGAUUAUGUGCGAAUUGCACAUCUUUCCUAGAUACACCAUACCUAUCCAAACCAAAUCCAUCAAAAAAAAAAAAUUUACAAAUUUGAAACCCCCUACCCGUCACAUCAACCUCCACCGUCGCCCACCACCGCCGAUCAGCCAGCCAACACCACCACAAACCUCACUAGCCACCGUUGACCAAGCCUUAGUCAUCGCUGCCUCAACCGUCGCUUGAACAGCCGCAAAUCACCAACCCAAACCCGCGGCUCCACCAAGCAGCCCACCACCAUUCAGCCACUUUCUCCACCAACCACCUCCACCAACAAACUCGCCGGCCUCCGUUGACCAAAAACCGACCAACUUCAGCCCUUGAUCGCCGCCCGUUGUCACCACACGAAACGACACGAGUGCUUCCUAGACGCGCCGCCACCAAAACACCUUCUUUUUCCGUCAAUUUACACCACCACCAUAAUCCUUAGCAUUCGGCAACCGUAAAUCCAGUCUUCCGCCACUGUAAAGCCGGCGUAAACCAAAAGCCACAUCACCAAAAUCAACCGCCAAUUCAAGUCGGAUUUCCCCCAAUUCAAGUUGCUGAAUAUAAAAAGGACUCAUGAAAAUUACCUAAAGUUUCAAAUAUUGUUAUUCAGCAACCACUUUUAGGUUACAUUAGUUUCAACCCAAAUUUUAUAUAAAUAAUUUAUAACUCCCAUUAUUAUCAUAAAAAAAAAAUUGUAGCAAUUGAGGUUAUAUCACAUGAAAAAAAAAAUCUAAUUAAAGAAAUUGACAUUAUAACUUAAGGGAUAGUUGCUCUUUUAAUCAUUAGAAUUUAUGUCAAUUAUCCAGCUUAUCCUUGCAUUCUUAAAAACUAUAUACAAUACCAUUAUCUCUGCUUUUGUAGCUAUUGACUUUGACUUUGACAACAUAAAUAUUUAUUAGCAACAACUUAAAAUUCAAACAAAUCUAAUAUGUAAUGUAUGAAAUACAAAUAAUAAUUAAACAAAUUUUGAUUAUUUAAUAUUAAGAUAUAAUCACAUUAAUAUCAUAAGGAUAGGUGGUACUCAAAUAAUCUUUUAAAAAUCAAACCCAAAUUAUAUGCAUUAUUGUCUAAUAUUUAGAUUUUGUUAAGUUACAACUGAUGUCACUUAAGUCUCUUAAAAAAUAUGUGGGUCCCACCACCUAUUAAAUUUUUUACAUUAUUUUUUAAAAAAUUGCAGUUACAUCAGUUGUAACUUAAUAGCACCCCUAGUAUUUUACUUUACUUUUAUACCUUUACAAAAACAAUAAUGUAUGAAAUAAAUAAAUAAAGAACUGACAACGAAAUUAGGCCUAUCAUUAGUUUCUCGUGGUGUGAACUCUUGACAAUCCUCCCCUAUCCCACCUAAAGCUCUUGCGUGUGUGAACGUUUGACAAUUCUCCCAUAUCCCUCCAAUAAUCUGUCAUAUUGCGGAAAGCAAUGUCAAUUGCAAUGUCGUUUCCCAUUAGUCAUAGUGGUAGAUAGGACCAGAAUUUUUUGAAACCCCUGAGACCCUGAACUUGUUUUUCCUUUUGAAAAUAAGAAAAGAACACCCGUCUGGAGAAAUAAUUUUGUAGAACCUCAUAUCGUGAAUAACAGACAACAAGACUUUUUUUUUAAAUUAUAAUAUUUUUUAAACUUAUAAACUAAAAAAAUUAACUCUAAUAAUUUAUGAUAAAUAUAAAUAGGAUAUUAAAAUAAAUAUAAUAAUAUAUACAUAUUAAAAUAAUUUCAAUAUCUAAAAAUUUUAAUAUUUUACAAUCUCGUAUUCUAUUAAACCAAAUUAUAAUAAAUAGAGCAUAAUAUUCAAAUAAAUAUAUAAAAAUUUAGGUUAUUUUCAAUAGCAUAUAAAAUAAUUUUAAUAUUAUUAAUACAUGAGAAAUAUUAUAUUAAUUGUAAAAUCUAUUUAACCUAAGGAUUUAGUUAAAUUUUAAAAUAAUUACAAAUAUUUUAUAAAUACAAAUAAAUUAAUUUACAUUUUAAAAAUUAAUAUUUAAAUUAAUUAUUUAAAUUAUAUAUAUUAGUCUACUGGAAAAUUUAAAUUAUUUAAAUCAUAUUUACAUUUCGUAAAACUUUUAAGCCAAUUUUUUUUUAUUACCACCUACUAAGGGUAUUGUAGUCAAGGGGAAUAUUGGUAUUCUUUAUUAAAAAUUUGGGAUUUACAUGAUUAUUUUUCUAAAUUUUAAUGGUGUCAUUUUAUUUUUGACAAAAAUAAAAUUUCAUUUAAACAGCUAAAAUGGUGAAUAAUACAGUGCUACAGUGGCGUAAGUGGAAGGUAGGAAACAAUCAAAAUGAACAGUCUAACAUCACAGCAGGCAUAUAAGGCCAAAGUUUGUUACAUCCCAAUACAACAAGUUUGAAACUUUGCACCUUCUGAAAUGAAACAAACUUACUUGGAUAUUGGCGAUCAGUGAGAAAAACCCUUUUUCCAAAGCAACCUUAGGGUACCGAGUGUUACAGAUUCAAUGAACCACAAGUACUUAUUUACAUUGUGGUAUCUCAAAGGCACCAAUUUCUUCUGAUCCGUUAAGGAAAACAAGAAAAAUAAAAAGAAAAGAAAAAGGUUACUUGUGCAACACAACCUUGACGCCUAGCUACAUGGUACAUUCUCUUUGUGUGUUUGAACUAGUUAACAAUAAUUGUGCCUUUACUUCUUGGAUUGGGGAAUCGGAAUCCGAAAUCAAAAUCAUUAAUGAUGGAGGCAGGGAUCCAAAUCAGAAUUAUGGGGCCACCCAAAUUUAGGAAUGAGGAAUGGAAGAUUGAUUCCCAAGGAAGGUGGUGGGAAUCAAUCACCCGUUCCCAAGAUUGACCAUUUUGCUCCCUCUCACAAACUAUAAAAUGUCUAUUUUGUCCUCAAUUAAAAAAUUAUUAUGAUUAAUUAAUAUAUGUUUAUAAUUUAUUAAUAUAACUAUUCUAAUCAAUUUAUACAUUUUACAUUUAUUACUAUUAUUAAAUAAUUAAUAUAUUAUUAUAAUUAAUUAAUAUAUUUUGAAUUUUUAUUAUUAUCAUCAUCAUCAUUAUUAUUAUUGUUAUGAAUGAUAAAAAAUUUUACAAUUAAUUAAUAUAUUAAUAUAUUAUUGACAAUAAUUAUUAAUAAUAAUAAUUUUUGAAUAAAUAAAAAUGUAUAAUUAAUUACUGAAUUUGAACAUUUUACAAUUAUUCUAUUAUUUGGACUUAUCGUACAUGCAGAGUAGCUAGUUUGCUAGCAUAUAUGUAAGGUUUAAUUUGAAUGCAUGCAGCAUUGAGAAGAGACAACGCAGAAACAAAAUUUCCGCUUGCGAUCUUUUCAUUUCCCUGUUUAAUAACAAACAAAACAGAGGAGAAACAGGGGCUCUCUUUUAAUUCCCCUGUUUUUCUGUUUGGUGAUUUUAAAAUGGGUCAUUCUAUAAUGCCGUAACUAAAUUUACGGCAUUGAUGCCGUAAUGGACGUGGACCGUUAGAUUUGAAUAAAAAAUCUCUACCAUUAAUUCUAAAUAAAUAAGUAAUAUGUUACCUAAAUAGCAGGUAAUUACUCUUUUUUGUUCAAGUUUCAGGUUACAUUUACUAAUUUUAUGUGUGAUUUACAAGUUUUAUGAAACUUUUACAAGUUAAUGCUGAUUUACAAGUUAUAUGUAACAUUUACAAGUUUUUGUUUUGUUUACAAGUUCUUCUUACAAUUUACAACUCUAACAUUAAUUUACUAGUUGUAUGUGUGGUUUACAAAUUUUUUGUUUUAUUUAACACUUAAUGUCAAUUUACAAGUUCUAUGUAAUUUUUCUAAAUUUUGGUUUUGUUUACAAGUUCUUCUUACAAUUUACAACUCCAACAUUAAUUUAUUCAUUUUUCCAUCAAUUUACUAGUUUUAUGUGUGAUUUACACAUUUUUUGUUUCAUUUCACAAUUAAUGUCAAUUUACUAGUUAUAUGUCAUUUUUAUAAGUUUUUGUUUUGUUUACAAGUUCUUCUUACAAUUUACAACUCUAACAUUAAUUUACCAAUUUUUCCAUUAAUUUACUAGUUUUAUGUGUGAUUUACACAUUUUUUGUUUCAUUUCACACUUAAUGUCAAUUUACUAGUUGUAUGUCAUUUUUCUAAGUUUUUGUUUUAUUUACAAGUUCUUCUUACAAUUUACAACUCCAACACUAAUUUACCAAUUUUUUUCAUUAAUUUACUAGUUUUAUGUGUGAUUUACACAUUUUUUGUUUCAUUUCACACUUAAUGUCAAUUUACUAGUUGUAUGUCAUUUUUCUAAGUUUUUGUUUUGUUUACAAGUUCUUCUUGUAAUUUACAACUCCAACAUUAAUUUACCAAUUUUUUCAUUAAUUUACUAGUUUUAUGUGUGAUUUACAUAUUUUUUGUUUCAUUUCACACUUAAUGUCAAUUUACAAGUUCUAUGUCAUUUUUCUAAGUUUUUGUUUUGUUUACAAGUUCUUCUUACAAUUUACAACUCCAACAUUAAUUUACCAAUUGUUCUAUCAAUUUACUAGUUUUAUGUGUGAUUUACAUAUUUUUUGUUUCAUUUCACAAUUAAUGUCAAUUUACUAGUUGUAUGUCAUUUUUCUAAGUUUUUGUUUUGUUUACAAGUUCUUCUUACAAUUUUCAACUCUAACAUUAAUUUACCAAAUUUUUCAUUAAUUUACUAGUUUUAUGUGUGAUUUACAUAUUUUUUGUUUCAUUUUACACUUAAUGUCAAUUUAAAAGUUCUAUGUCAUUUUUCUAAGUUUUUGUUUUGUUUACAAGUUCUUCUUGCAAUUUACAACUCCAACAUUAAUUUACUCAUUUUUCCAUUAAUUUACUAGUUUUAUGUGUGAUUUACAAAUUUAUUGUUUUAUUUCACACUUAAUGUCAAUUUACUAGUUGUAUGUCAUUAUUCUAAGUUUUUGUUUUGUUUACAAGUUCUUCUUACAAUUUACAACUCUAACAUUAAUUUACCAAUUUUUCCAUUAAUUUACUAGUUUUAUGUGUGAUUUACAUAUUUUUUGUUUCAUUUCAUACUUAAUGUCAAUUUGCAAGUUCUAUGUCAUUUUUCUAAGUUUUUGUUUUGUUUACAAGUUCUUCUUGCAAUUUACAACUCCAACAUUAAUUUACUCAUUUUUCCAUUAAUUUACUAGUUUUAUGUGUGAUUUACAAAUUUAUUGUUUUAUUUCACACUUAAUGUCAAUUUGCAAGUUCUAUGUCAUUUUUCUAAUUUUUUUUUUGUUUACAAGUUCUUCUUGCAAUUUACAACUCUAACAUUAAUUUACUCAUUUUUCCAUUAAUUUACUAGUUUUAUGUGUGAUUUACAAAUUUAUUGUUUUAUUUCACACUUAAUGUCAAUUUGCAAGUUCUAUGUCAUUUUUCUAAUUUUUUUUUUUUGUUUACAAGUUCUUCUUGCAAUUUACAACUCCAACAUUAAUUUACUCAUUUUUCCAUUAAUUUACUAGUUUUUUGUGUGAUUUACAAAUUUAUUAUUUUAUUUCACACUUAAUGUCAAUUUACAAGUUCUAUGUCAUUUUUCUAAGUUUUUAUUUUGUUUACAAGUUCUUCUUGCAAUUUACAACUCCAACAUUAAUUUACUCAUUUUUCCAUCAAUUUACUAGUUUUAUGUGUGAUUUACACAUUUUUUGUUUCAUUUCACACUUAAUGUCAAUUUACAAGUUCUAUGUCAUUUUUCUAAGUUUUUGUUUUGUUUACAAGUUCUUCUUACAAUUUACAACUCCAACAUUAAUUUACCAAUUUUUCCAUCAAUUUACUAGUUUUAUGUGUGAUUUACAUAUUUUUUGUUUCAUUUCACACUUAAUGUCAAUUUACAAGUUCUAUGUCAUUUUUCUAAGUUUUUGUUUUGUUUACAAGUUCUUCUUACAAUUUACAACUCUAACAUUAAUUUACCAAAUUUUUCAUUAAUUUACUAAUUUUAUGUUGAUUUACAUAUUUUUUGUUUCAUUUCACAAUUAAUGUCAAUUUACUAGUUGUAUGUCAUUUUUCUAAGUUUUUGUUUUGUUUACAAGUUCUUCUUACAAUUUUCAACUCUAAUAUUAAUUUACCAAAUUUUUCAUUAAUUUACUAGUUUUAUGUGUGAUUUACAUAUUUUUUGUUUCAUUUCACACUUAAUGUCAAUUUACAGGUUCUAUGUCAUUUUUCUAAGUUUUUGUUUUGUUUACAAUUUCUUCUUAUAAUUUACAACUCCAACAUUAAUUUACUAGUUUUUUUCUAUUUUUUAUUUUUUUAAAUUUUGUAGACCAAUUUACCACUCUAACGUUGAUUAUUGGCAUUUUAUGAUUUAGAUAGAAUGAUAUAAGGGUGGGCAUGAGUUGGGUUUGAUAGGGUUAGUGAAAUUCUAACCUGAUCUACUUUUUAAUGAGCUGACAUAAAAUCCAUCCAACUUAACUAAAUAAACUUGUUUAACCCAAUUCUACCCAAGCCUUAUAUCGUCUGGUUAAGUUGAUUAGGUUGAAGGUCAAAUCAAAAUUUUAAUUUGAACAAUGAAAAUGAUAUGAAACUUGAAAUGAAACUUAUUAAAAUCAAAUAUAAAUCUUUUAUAAAAUGAAAUUUUCAUUCACUAUCUAGUGUACGUAAAGAAAGUUAAUAAAUUAACUAUCUUUAAAUUAAGAAAAUUUCCACAAAAAGCAUAUAGACUUUAUUUCUCCUACAUCUCCUUUUCCAAUUCCAAAUUCAGACUUUUUAGAUAAUUAGCUAGCAUCAUAUACAAAAAUAAAAUGAAAGUGAUAUAUAAUUAUAUGCCGUUAAGUAUUCACUAAAAAAAUAAAAAGAAAUUAAAACCAACUUACUUUUAUAUUAAUCUUAUAAAAUAAUAAAUUUACUUAUAAGAGAGUGUGAUUUUGGUUUUGGAAUUGUAGUCUAGAGCAACAUGUAGGUCCCGAACCCUGAUUUCAAUUUAAUUGGGCUCUAAUAUUUAGGCCCGAGCCUAACCAUUAAAUUCGAGUCAAAGGAUAGAAAAUUCAGGUCAAGUCAAUUAGACUAAAAGUCGAUCCGAGUCUUCCUUGCAUGUAUAUAUGUUUGCAUCUUGAUUUUUUAUUUUUAUAUAUCAUAUAAACUCUUCUAUAAAUUUAUAGGUAUAUAUAGAAUGCUGCGUUUACUUGUCAUUAAUUGGAAUAGGUAAUGAGAAUCAGAAUAAGUUGUUUACUUGAUCUACAAGAAUCGAAAUCGGAAUGGACUGGAACCCCAUUAAUGUGUUUAUUUUAUCUUGGAAUUGGCUUCGGAAUGAGUUAAAUUGUAACAAAUUACUAAAAAGUACUUAAUGGAUUAUUAUCAUAAUUAUUAUUUUAUAUUUUAAUUAUAGUGAUUAUUUAUUCAAAAAUUAUUAUUAUUAUUAUUAAUUGUAAUAUAUAUUAAUAUAUUAAUAAAAUCAUAAAUCUAUCAUUUUUCUUUAAAUUAGUUUAUAAAAAUCGACAUUGUCCCUUUCCCGAAUGAGAAAUUGGGUAUAAAAUCAUAAAUUUAAAAUUUAACUAAAAAUCAUAAAUCUAAACCCCAAAAAAGUCAUAACAUAAGUGGUUCUAUAUAUAUUUUAGGUAUAUAUAUAAAUGUUUGUGUGUGUGUGUGUGUGUGUCUCUCUCUCUCUCUCUAUAUAUAUAUAUAUAUAUAUAUAUCUUAUUUUUAAUGAAUUGUCAUAUUACUGGAAUUACUUAGUAUGAUGUCAUAAUUAUAGAAUUAAGUCACUUUUAUGGCAUAAACAAUAUAAUUUUCUAAAAAAAAAUUAGGUUCAACUAAAGAUUGAUAUGUUACUAAUUUUUUUUUUUUUUGGAUGGACCUCUUUACUAGUUUAAAAUCGAAUCAUUGGCAUGUUUAAUUUAAACCUUAUGGUCCUUUUUAGUUACAAUUUUUUUUUUAAAUAUCAAGGUAUUUUUUAAUCUGCUAUCAAAUUUCACUUAACACUUUUACACUCUUUUUAUUUCAAUUUUUUUAAAAUAAAUAUUACAGUACUUUUUUCUUACAUUCACGACAAAUUAUGUAAUCUCAAUAGCUCCAACUAAAGAUUGUAAUCUCACGACAAAUUAUGUCAUAUUUAUAGAAUUAAGUCACUUUUUUCCUUGUUCCCGUAAUAUUUUUGCUUCUUGCUUGCUGCAGUCAAUUAAAUAUUUUGAAAAAAAAAUAUAAUCAGUGCACUGUCACAUUAUUAUGCUUGACUUUACUAAAUAUUCAUAAAUUUACCAACAAUCAAAUACGUAAUAUUUAAUGUAAUUAGACUUACAAAUACUUAACGAAAGACCGAUUAUUUCUUAAAAUUUCAAUUUCUUGGUUCACGUUAUCCUUGAAAUCAUUCUCGUUACCCUUAUCUACAUUUUCAGCCAUUUUCGAGUUUAUAACAAGAACCUGUACAUGAAGAUAUUAGGCACAAAAAGAAAUGUCAAAGAUCACAAGUUUUGGAUCCUGUAAAAAUAUUUUACAGAUAAACAUUUCAAUUCAAAAUUCAAUCGCCCGAGCAAUAAUUAGGAACACCUGGAAAGUUAAACUGGUAUUUGCUUCCAUAACAGUGACAAACAAUAACCAUUCACAACAUUAGUUAUAAUCCUUAAAAAGAAAUAACAAACUUCAAAAAAAAAUAUAUAGACGUUUUACAAUGACUGUUGGCUUGGCACAUCAAUCUAAAGCUCACAAGCAGUUUGCAUUUCUCAUCAUCUCUUUCUUCUUCCCUCUAUUAUCAAUGGAUUGUAGAAGCUCAAAUGAAGCAAGUAGCAGCAGGAACAACACAAGCAACUUUUACUAUCAAUCCCCAUCCUUCUCCAUUCAAAAUGCAUCAUGACCAUUUUCCGGCCAGCUCCAUACACAAAAACAACAGUAAAUAUAUCCGGAAACAACAAAAAAAUUAACCCAAAAGUAGUAGUAAAUUUAUACAAAAACAGAAAAAAAUUUAACUGAAAUACGGCAGCAAAUUAACCCAAAACCAGCAGAAUUUUAACACAGAAAUAGCAGCAACUGAAGCCCAAAACACCCGAAAAUUUUACCCAAAAACAGCAGUAAAUUUAUCCAGAAACAGCAGAAAAAUUAAUUGAAAAACAGCAGCAAAUUUACCCAGAAGCAGCAGAAAAUUUAACCCAAAAAUAGCAGUAAAUUUAUCUAGAAACAGCAGAAAAUUUAAUUGAAAAACAGCAGCAAAUUUACCCAGAAGUAGCAGAAAAUUUAACACAAAAACAGCAGCAAAUGAAGCCCAAAACAGCAGAAAAUUUAACCACAAAACAGCAGAAAAUUUAACCCAAAAACAGCAGUAAAUUUAUCCAGAAACAGCAAAAAAUUUAACUGAAAAACAGCAGCAAAUUUACCGAGAAACAACAGAAAAUUUAACACAAAAACAGUAGCAAAUGAAGCCCAAAACACCAGAAAAAUUUACCUCCAAACAGCAGAAAAUAUAACCCAAAAACAGCAGUAAAUUGAUCCAAAAACAGCAGAAAAUUAGACUAAAAACAGCAGCCAAUUUACCCAGAAACAGCAAAAAAUUUAACUCAAAAUCAGCAGCAAAUGAAGCCCAAAACACCAGAAAAAUUUAACCCAAGAACAACAGCAAAUCAUUCCAAAUACAGCAUAAAAUUUACCCAGAAAAAAAAAGCAUAUCAAAUCAUCCCAAAUACAGCAGCAAAUCAUCCCUACGUUUCAAACAUGCUUCUCUAGGCUAACUCUAGACUUAAUUUUCCCUUCAUUACCACAGUGGAACUCAUUCUAACUGGUAAAUUUAUUUGUAUAAACAAUAAUUCACUUUCUAUUGAACUAAGAGUUGAUGAAAUUCAUUGAUAUUGAAAUUAUUUGCAGUUGAUGAACCUCGUAUUCUAUUAAACUUCCAACCAAAAUCAAUGCACAUGAGAAUACAAAAUCAAGGGCACAACAAUUAACGAAAUUUACUUUUAAUUUCGUCCAAACCUAUACAUCGCACCAAAUUAAGGUUCAGUUUCUAUUUCUUCAUUAACCCAAGUGACACAAAACAAUUCUAUUAAAUUUUAUGUUGAAAUUAUUUGUAGCAAACAAACAAAUAUACCAAAAAUAGGCUUACUUGGUGGAAUUAACAACAAUGCAAACGCGGUGGAGGGGAAUCAGUGGCUGGAACUUGCCUUGCCUUCUCUUCCAAUCAAUAAGAUUGAGGGCAGCAGCAACAACUUAUGAUCAACACCUGGUACUCCGCUUCAGGCACUGUCAAAUCUCAUCAAAAUUUCUUUAUCCCUUAAUUCUCUUGGAAACCAAACAAAAUACCACAACCAAUCCAGAUGCACAGUAUCCAAAAAUUAUAAAAAAAUCCACUUAAAAAACUUAAAAAAGGGUUAAAAAAAGUCUUAAGAAGAGUUUACCUCCUGAAUCACUGAUGCCCAGCCGGUAUCGUUGUUCCAAAACCCCUUGACGAAUACGAACACAGCCUGGUUCUCCUCAACCAAGUUGUUGUAGAGCUUCUUCUUGUCCGAUUAAAUAAUCUAUUGGUAUUUAGUGAUGGAUUUAAAGAGGAACGCCUUGGCGAUGGGCAAAUUUCAAAUCCGCUUCUGUUUUGCUGCAAGCAGAUUUCAAAUCGGUGAUGGGCAGGAACACAAACUCAGCCCCUUCACCAACAUGAACCGUUGUAGAGCUUCUUAUUUCUCGCUUCUUUUUGGCUUCAGGCAGUUUUCAAAGCGAUGAUUGGCAGGAAAAGAGGAACGAUUGAGGAAAACAAAAUUUGGGUUAGCCAGCAAGCACAAUCGCUUCGAAAAUACAAGAUCCGGCGUGCUGCAAUUUCUUAGACUCGAUGUUGUGCCCUUCGAAUUAUGAGAUUCUAUUUGGAUUUUUGUAGAUUCGGUUUUAAAAAAAUAUAUAUAUAUAUAUAUAUGUAUGUAUAUAAUUUUGAAAAUUUUAACCAGUUAAUUUUUUUAAAUAAAUGUUUAGCCGGUUAACAACCGGUUAAUGAAAAAAAUUUACAAAUUUUUUUAUUAUGUUAUAGUUAUUGCAUGCUGUUGAUUUAAUCCAACGGUGUACAGUAAUUACGGCAUUAAUACCGUAAUUUUUAUUACGGUAUUAUAGAAUUUUCCUUUUAAAAUUUUAUGUCUAUAUUUAUCAAAAAAAGUUAUCCAGAAUUAUUAUCUAUUUUUGAUACACAUUGAUUUAUUAAAAAAACAAUUAAAAACUGCAAUUCUAAACUUAUCGUUGUGCACUGUGCUUUGACCUUGGGGUGGUUUUUUUCUGUUUUUUUACGUAGGCCAGAACCUUAAUGAAGAAAGUUUUCAUCGUUAAUUGCUUUUGACCUAGGAGAAUUUAUUACUUGGACAAAUUAACACCAUUGUCCUUUGAUGCGGCUCCUAGAUAUCUAUGCAAUUUGUGUCAUUUACUUUUGCUUUGUAUUCUUUUUUAAAUGAGUCCUGACUGGUUCAUUGGCAGAUAAAUGAGUCGGUUUUUCUGUUUUUAUUUUUUAUUUUUUAUUUUUUGAAAGACGGUUUUUCUGUUACGAAACUUUUCAUGGAUGAAUUUUUUUUUUAAUUUUAUAGAUUCUCUGCGAAGGCAGUUUAGAAGUACUAAGUUUUGUUAGGUAGAAGGGUAUUUAAGUAUUUUCAUUUCAUAUUUUGACAUUUCCUUGACCUUUGAAGUAUUGAAUCAUUGUGUUGGUAUUUAAGUAAAUCUGCCCACAAUGAGGAAUAUAUAGUUCAGAACAGUUGAGGAAGCAUGAGAAUACUUGAGGAAAACCUGAUCUGCACUCUUUCCUCUAUAUGUGUCUUCAAUAUAAAUGGCUCAAAUAUAUGCGUUAUGAUCUUUUAAUAUUUCGCCUCUGAUAUUGCCCACAUUGCUUACUGCAAUAGAUAAAGCACUUCGUUUACCCCAAAUCCUGAUAGGGAAGUAUAAAUAUAUGCUUCCGAAAUAGCGCAACUCUCCAUAAUUAUUUAAUAUGCCUCUCAAUGAAGCAAUCACUUCAUUUACAAUUCUUCGAUUAUUAAUCCUACAUACACGUGUUUCUUUUGUCUCUAAAAGUAUUCUCAAUUAAUUUACAUAAUUUAAUAUAAUAAGUACCUAAGACUAGACAAAUUACCAUUACAAUAAAAUGAAUAAAUUAUAAUAGUAUUGACACAAUAAUGUCAAUAAUAAAUGCCUUAACAAACCUAUAAAUUUUAGAAUAUGGCUCAGAGUGCUACAAUGAACCACAACAAGUUAUUAUAUUAUCUAUAAUCAAUAUUCCAAUGAUAAUAGAGCUUUUCUAUUUUCAAUCCGCUGCUUUUCUGUUUAGCGAUUGCCAAAUUUUAUAUCUAAAAUUCUUCUAAUUUUACACUAAGGUUUAUUUAAAAAAAAAAAAAAGGGGGUAGGAGAGAGAGACUCAGAGAGUAUUAAAAAAUGUAAUUCUAAAUUUUUACUUGAGCGUUGUGUGAUUUUUAUCAUUUUUUUUAAGUUGGCCAUUUAUAUUGAGUAAAUAAAAGAAUGAAUAGACGUUUGGACCACUUCUUUUCUGUUAUAAUAAAACAUGAGAUGUCUUUUCUUGAUGUUUUCGUCACAAAAGAAUAUGUUUAUGUCAUCAUAGGCUUAAAUGGGGUAAGUAAAUUAAGAUCGAGGAAAAGUUUGUUUAAGCACUAAAGUCGCUAAAUAAACGAAAGGCUCAUAUAAAAAUUACCUAAAGCACCAAAUAUUGUUAUUUAGCUACUUCUUUUAUGUUACAUUAGUUUCUACGCAAAUUUAUAUAAAUAAUUUAUAACUCCCAUCAUUAUUAAAAAAAAAAAAAAACUGUAGCAAUUGUGGUUAUAUCACGUGGUGUGAUCUUUUGACAAUUCUCCCACAUCCCACCAAAAACUCUUACGCGGCAUGAACUUUUGACAAUUCUCCCAUAUCCCACCAAAAAUUUGUCAUGUUGCGAAAGGCAAUGUCAAUUGCAAUGUCAUUUCCAUUAGUCAUAGUAGCAGACAAUGGAGGUCCCGGGAUAGGACUAGAAGUUUUUGAAAUCUUGGACUUAUUCUUACUUUAUUUUUUCUUUUGAAAAUGAGAAAAGGACACCCGUUUGAGGAAAUAAUUUUGUAGAACCUCAUAUCGUGAAUAGGGGAUAAUAAGACUUUUUUUUUUUUUUACUUCACUGCAAUAUUCUUUAAUUUUAUUAAUUUUAUAUUUUAUAAUAAAUAUAAAUGUGAUAUUAAAAUAAAUGUAAUAAUAUAUACAUAUUAAAAUAACUUGAUAUUGAAAAAUAUUUUAAUAUUUUACAAUCCCGUAUUACAUUAAACCAAACUAUAAUAAAUAGAUAUAAUAUUAAAAUAAAUAUAUAAAAGUUUAAAUUAUUUUGAAUAUCAUAUAAAAUAAUUUUAAUAUUAUUAAUAAAUCAGAAGUAUUACAUUAAUUGUAAAAUCUAUCUAAUCCAAGGAUUUAUUUAAAUUUUUUAUAAUAAAUUAAAAAUAUAUUAAUUAACAUUUUAAAAAUUAAUAAUGAAAUUAAUUAUAUAAGUUAUACAUAUUAGUCUACUAGAAAGAUUUAAACUAUUUCAAUCAGAUUUACAUUUAGUGAAAAUUUUUGAAGUUAAUGGUUUUGGUUAUCGUCUACUAAGAAUCUUGCAGUUAAAAGGGGUAUUGACAUUCUUUAUUAAAAAUUUGAGGUCUACAUAACUAUUUUUUAAAAAUUUAAGGGUGUCAUUUUUAUUUUUAACAAAAAUAAAAUUUCAUUUAAAUGGCUAAAAUGGUGAAUAAUACAAUGUUACAGCUGGCGUAACAUUGUAUUAUAUGUUAAAUUUUUUUAAAUAUUUGUAUAUAUUGUUAUAUGAUAUUAUAAUAUUAUAUUUAUAUUUAUUAAAAUAUAAGAGUUAAUAUUUUUAAAUUAAUAAAGACAAAAAGUAUUAUAAUAAAAAAGAAUUCUUUUAUUAAAAAUAUAAUCAUUCUCCCAAACUUAUCCUUGUCCCUUUUUGAAAGGAAAAAAUAAAUUAGAAAAGUCUUUGGUCAUGAUAACUUCUAGCCUUGUCCCAUGGGACAUGGCUACGGUGCAGAAGCUGAAAGUAACAGCUUCGAACUUUCCCAUUUCCAUCACCUUGCAUUGGGACCUCUUUCUCUCUCCUCUAGCACCAGUGGAAGUUCCCCAUUGGCCGCUGUUACUUACAGAAGCUGUAACAUAGACUUCUAGCCAUGUCCCGUGAUGUCCAUUGUCUGCCACUAUCAAUAAUGGCAAUGACAUUGCAAAUGAAACAUUGAAAAUGUAUUUUCACAAUAUGACAAAAUGGGAGGAUUGUCAAAAGUUCACUGAAACUAGAGUUAGAUCUAAUUUCAUUUAUUUCAUAAAUUAGAAAAGUCUAUGGUCGUGAUAACUUCUAGCCAUGUCCCGUGAUGUCCAUUGUCUGCCACUAUGAAUAAUGAAAAUGACAUUGCAAUUGAAACUUUGAAAGGUAUUUUCGCAAUAUGACAAAGCUUUUGUUGGGAUACGGGAGGAUUGUCAAAAAUUCACACCACGUGAAACUAGCGUUAGAUCUAAUUUUAUGUCGUCAGUUCCUUAUAUAUUUAUUUCAUUUAUUUUAUACAUAGCUGUUUUAGGGUGAUAUUGUUUUGUAAAGAUAUAAUAGUAUGGUACUAUAAAAAGAAAAGAGGUGUGUGUAUACUUCCCAGUGUAAUAAUUAUAUGUAGAAGAAAACUAACAAGAGGAAAAAUGACAAAGAGCAAGGCGCUGGUUGUGGGGAGAAGAGGAUAGAGAAGGCAAUCUUAGCUUGUUGAUUGAGGGCUCAUUUUCUGAUCAUCGUAGCCUUGUUGGAGCUGUCAAACAAGUCGAUGUUGUCAUUUGCACCAUGUCGGGGGCUCAUUUAAGGAGCCACAAACAUUUUGAUGUUGCUUAAACCUGUUGAGUCCAUCAAAUAAGCUGUAAAUAUUAAGGUACGUAAUCCUUAAUUUUUAUGUAAUUUUAAUUUCAGAUCCAAAAUUGCAUGCAAGUCAUUAAAUUUCUUUCCUUUUUUUAUUUUUUAUUUGAUGAGUUACUUGAUUUGGUCGGGUGCCUUUUUUUUUCCUUUGGUUUUUCUUUUUCCAAAACAUAAAUAGACCAAGCACAUCUCCAAAUCGGGUUGGAGCGGGGAUUCUAACUCUACGAUGGCCAUAUUAAAAUUUAAAAUUUUUUAAUUUAUUUUUUCUUUUAUAACUACAUCUCAAUAUUUGAAAAAAUGAUUAUAUAGAUCUAUAUAUUAUCGAACCCAAAAUUAUAAUAAUACAUGUAAUUAUUCUAUACAUGCGUCAACAAGGCAACAGUAACCAAAUACAUGAUAUGCGAAGGGGGUGCAUGAUUAAGUCCUUUUUUUAUUCAAUUCAUUGUUAUUAUUUUUCAGCAGUUACCAGUGAUCUUUUUGCUCAUUAAAAUUAUUCUUAAAUAUUCAACGCCCAGAAGAGAAGCUCAUCAACUAUCAGAUCCCGGAUAAUUAAAGAGGUGAACUUGUUCUAAAUCCUUUGAUAAUUUCUAUUAAUAGCAUAAUCUCCUUGAUCCAAGAAAAAAUAUCUCCUGUUUGUCUUAAUCUUGUCAUUUAAUUUUUUCAACAGCAAAUAUAUAUACACACGCACACACACAUAUUGUUAAAAAGUGCAGAAAAACCACUCAAAAACGUGGAGAAAAACCACUCAAAUUUAUACAUGCGUCAACAGGGAAACAGUAACCAAAUACGUGAUACAAAAAGGGGUGAAUGAUUCUGUCUUUGCCUUUUGCAAGUCGCUGUUAUUACUCUCAUCAACUCCUUUCUCGCACAUUUCUCAGCAGUUACCAGUAAUAUUUAAAAUCGCUGUGUAGAUAUGCAAAGUUCCGUAAGUGCAUUAAUAAUUAUUUGCCAGAAAAAAAUAGUUGCGUCAAUAUUAAAGGAAUUGACAUCCAGGGGACCCAAUUUAGUUGCUUAAUGAUUAUUUAAUUAAUUAAUUUAUAAUAUAUUAAUCUUUUAAGUUGAAUAUUUAAAAUCUUAGACCCGAAACAAUAAAUCAUCUGAGGCAAAUAAAAGAGAAAUUAUCAUCCUUUUUUCUUUUUUUAACUUCUUGUAGCUUAUAAAAGAGAAAUUAUCAGUCAUUUACUCAAAGUUUAUUCAAUUAUUAAAAUUAUUAUAAAAAUUUAAAUUUAUUUAAUUUUACAUCCAAUGUAUGCAAUUUGUAUGAAACAUCUGUUAAAAAUAUAAAGUUAUUCGUUCAAAGUGACAAAAUAGAAGCGAACACAAAAUUGUAGUGGUGAUUAUGUUUUAGGAGUAACUUUAUUUUUUUAGUAAACAGUUGAUACACAUUUUAUAACUUUUGGAUAAUAAAAUAAUUUUUAGGUGGAUGAUUGAAAAUUUUUCUUUUCAAAAUAUUUUGAAAACAAUACCAAAUGUACCAAAACAUUGUUUACUUUCACUCUCUCUCUCUCUCUCUCUAUCUAUCUAUCUAUAUAUAUAUAUAUAUAUAUAUUAUUUCUUAACUCAUUCUUAUCCUUAUUCUUUCUAACAUAUCCACAAUCUGUCAAUGAAAUUUACUUUUAUAAAUUUAAAGAUUUUUUCAUGCAAUUUUGUACGAUGAUGAGUUCUCAUAUUUAUGUUAAAAAAUAAUUCGUAAAUAAUACAAAUGAAAAAAACAAAAAGUAGCAGGGCUGGCAAUACAAAACCAUAACUUUUUUUCUUUGAAUUUUGCAUAAAUAAAGUCAAUAGUGAUUUGUCAGCGCGAUCUUGAGAGCACGGCUUGGAGUCUCAAUAAUUAUUGACACUCAUAUUUGAAAACUUUCGAAAAGAUAAAAUCCAAUAUGAAAGGUGAAACGUUAUAAUCAUAGUAACUAGAAAAUUGAUUGAUUUACAAAUAUCAAUUUAAACAAUUUUCAUGUUGAUCGACAAUUUAAGUAGAUUGACAAAGAUUGAAGUAAUUACUGUUGGUGAUGAUUGACUUUGUCCUUAUCCUUGCCUUCUUCUUAUCAAAAAUCCAGUGUCAAUUAAAUUGGGCCAGGGUUUCUGAUUGCAACUAAUGGACUUCAUAUACGCAUAAUGGUCCCUACGUAUAUGCGUACCAAUAUUUGAUUGAAAAAGGGGGUGCAUGCUUAAUGCUCAAGUCGUCUUCUUUUGGAAAUUCAUUGUUAUUACUCUCAUCAACUCGUUCCUCACAUUCCUCUUUAGUCAAAACCUGUAAUAUUUCUUCUAUAUUCAAGGUGAAUACAGCAGCUCAUCAACUCUUAUCCCAGACAGGUAAAGAGGUGCACUUGUUCUAAAACCUGUAAUAUUCUUUUAGUAGCAGAAUCUCUGAUACUUGAUCUUCAUAGCGGUUCUUUCUUAAUUUCCAUAAACUUUCCUAGGAAAAAAAUUCUCUGGUUUUUCUUAAUCAUAUCAUUUACUUUUCUUAAGUCAUAUCAUUUAUUUUUAGUAGCAGAAUACUUGAUCUUGAUAGCCAUUCUUUCUUAAUUUCCAUCAACUUUCCUUGAAGGAUACCUUUCUGUUAAUAGCGAAACCUCUGAUCCUUAAGAUAGAAAAAGAAAUUCUCUACUUAGGUAUCAGUUGGUUCAAAAUCAAUAUCGCGAUGUUGUUUGCGGUCUUUUCUUUCUCUGUCUUUCCCUCUAGUUCAUUUUAAUUUAUUUGUAUUCCUUUCUUUGACAUUUUUAUUCAUUUUAUAUAUAUAUAUAUAUUGUUAAGCAAUAGGCAAUGGCUGCAGAAGUGGGUCUGGCUGCUUUUUCCAGCAUCGUAUCAGAAGGUGCAAAGUCACUGUUCAAACCGAUUAUACGGCAGAUCUCUUAUGUGUUCAAGUACCAGAGCUACGUAGAUGAGCUAAAAGAUCAAGUGAAACAGCUGGGAUAUAAAAGAGAAAUGGUGCAGCAACCAGUUAAUCAUGCUAGGCUACAAGGUGAUGAGCUUUAUGAGGGUGUCACAGACUGGCUACAUAGCGUUGAUGAAUUCAUCAGUAAAGGGGUUGCAAAAUCCAUUAUUGAUGAUGAAGAUAGAGCUAAGAAGUCCUGCUUCAAAGGAUCGUGCCCAAAUUUGAUUUCCCGUUACAAGGUCAGUAAACAUGCAGCAAAGGCCGCAGAAGCUGCCGCUAGUCUCAUGGGAAAAGGCAACUUCUCUAAUGUUUCCUACCGUCCUGCUCCAAAGCGGGCAAAACAUAUGCAAGUGAAAGAUUUCGAGGCCUUUGAUUCAAGAAUGAAAGUAUUUCAAGAUGUUAUGGAGGCGUUGAGGGAUGAUAAGCUCAACAUAAUUGGGGUCUACGGGAUGGGCGGCGUGGGUAAAACCACGAUAGUCAAGCAAGUUGCAAAGCAAGUGAUGGAAGAAAACUUGUUCGAUAAGGUCGUUAUGGCUGAGGUAACACAGACCCCAGAUCAUCAUAAAAUUCAAAACAAACUUGCUUUUGAUUUGGGCAUGGAAUUUGGCUUGAAUGAGAAUGAAUUCCAAAGAGCUGAACGAUUACAUAAAAGAUUGAAGAAAGAGAAGCAGCUCCUCAUUAUAUUAGAUAAUAUUUGGACAAAACUUGAGUUGGAUAAAAUUGGAAUUCCAACCGGGGAUGUUGCUGAGAAAGAUAGAAAGGAUGAUCAGAGAAGAUGCACAAUAAUAUUGACGUCUAGAAAGCAAGAUUUAUUGCGCAUUGAUAUGAAUUCUCAGAAAAAUUUCCCGAUCGAUGCUUUGCCACGAAAAGAAGCAUUGCAGUUAUUUGAGAAGAUAGUGGGUGAUUCAACUAAAAUAUCUACUUUUCAAAGUAUAGCAAAUGAGAUCGUUGAAAGAUGCGGAGGUUUGCCUGUUGCACUGAGUACAGUUGCAAAUGCUCUGAAAACUAAGGAGCUUGACUUUUGGAAAGAUGCAUUGAAUCAGCUAAGAAGAUCGGAUGCAAGAGAAAUUCAUGGCAUGCAAGCAAAUGUUUACACCUCCAUAAAAUUGAGUUAUGACUUCUUGGAAAGUGAGGAGGCAAAAUCUUUGUUUCGUCUUUGUGGUCUAUACAGUGAAGGUAAUGUCAUACAAGUUUCUAACUUAUUGAGAUAUGGUGUGGGUUGGGGUUUGUUUGAAAAUGUUUACACAUUAGAAGAAGCAAGGAGUAGAGUGCAUCGGUUGAUCGACAACCUCAAAUCUUCAUGCUUAUUGUUGGGCGGUGAUGCUAAAGAUGAAGUUAAAAUACAUGACGUCAUUCAUGUUGUUGCCGUAUCAAUUGCCGCAGAGAAGCGCAUGUUUAAUAUUCCAAAUGUUGCCGACUUAGAGAAAAAGAUGGAAGAGACAAUACGGAAAGAUCCAAUUGCCAUUUCAUUACCCCAGAGAAAUAUUCAAGAGCUCCCUGAAAGGUUGCAAUGUCCCAAUCUCCAGUUAUUUUUGUUGUUUAGAAAGGGUAAUGGCCCUAUGCAAAUUUCAGACCUCUUUUUUGAAGGGACAGAAGAACUCAAAGUGUUAAGUCUUAUCAGAAUUCCUUUCUCUUCAUUACCUUCGUCACUUGGUCGCCUCAUUAACCUUCAAACAUUGUGUUUAGAUGGUUGCGGACUAAAAGAUAUAGCAAUAGUUGGACAGCUAAAGAAAUUAGAGAUUCUCAGCCUUCGAGAUUCUGAUGUUAAGGAGUUGCCACUUGUAAUUGGACAAUUGACGAGAUUACAGUUGCUAGAUUUGAGCAAUUGUAGCAGCCUUGUGGUGAUAGCUCCAAAUGUCAUAUCAAAAUUAUCUCGAUUAGAAGAACUAUAUAUGGGUAACAGCUUUUCACAUUGGGAGAAGGUUGAAGGAGGAAGUAACGCCAAUCUUGUUGAGUUGAAGGGGUUGUCAAAGCUAACUACUUUGGAGAUACACGUUCGGGAUGCCGAAAUUCUACCGCAGGAUUUGGUCUCUGUGGAAUUGCAAAGAUACAGGAUAUGUAUAGGAAAUAAGUGGUGGAGCAGCUGGUCCGUUAAAUCUGGAUUAUCAAGAUUGAUGAAGCUCCAGGGGCUGGAAAAGUUUGGCAUUCUUUUGCAAAAUUACAGAAUGAAAAUGUUGCUGCAGAGAACUGAAGAUCUCUAUCUAGAAGAACUGAAGGGUGUUCAGAAUGUUGUUCAUGAAUUAGACGAUGGGGAGGGUUAUCCACGAUUGAAGCGUCUUCGUGUAGAAAGUUGUUCUGAGAUUUUACAUAUUGUCGGUUCAGUUAGACGGGUUGGUUGCGAAGUCUUUCCCUUGCUGGAGUCAUUGUCUCUUAUGUUUUUAACUAAUUUGGAGACGAUAUGCUACAGCCAACUCAAUGAAGAUCAAUCUUUCAGCAACUUAAGGAUUAUAUACGUAUAUUGUUGUGACAAACUGAAGCAUCUCUUCUCAUUCUCUAUGGCCAAAAGACUAUUGCGGCUUCAAAAAGUAGAAGUGGAAAACUGCUAUGAUUUGAAAAUGAUUAUUGGUAAGUGUUGAAAUUAAUUAUUGGUAGGAUUAUUGACACUGACUAAUUCUUUUUUUCUUUUUUUUUUUGGUGAAAAAAACAACGGAUGUUUAUAAUAUAUUGUUUUUGUUCAUUUAUAGGGCCCGACAUGGAGAAACCAACAACUACUGAGGGAUUCACAGAAAUCAAUGCAGAGGAUGAUCAGGUGAUAAUUUUCUGUUUAAUAAUUAAUUAAAAAAUAUAUUAUCGCGAUUGAUCUUCAAUCAUCGAAAGAAUAUUAUAUUAGAAGUUGUAGUUGAAGGAACAAAAAUGUACGGUUUUGCUUUGCAGGUUAUUUUUCCACACUUGGAGGAACUGAAACUUGGCCGUUUAAGAAGCAUCAAAAAAUUAUGGCCCGAUCAAUUUCAGGGAAUGAAUUGUUGUCAAAAUUUAACAAAAGUGACCGUGUGGAGAUGUGAUGGUCUGAAGUAUCUGUUUUCAUAUUCUAUGGUUAAUAGUCUUGGGCAACUCCAACAUCUUAAAAUAAGUUUUUGUAAGUCAAUGGAAGGGGUAGUCAACAACACCACGGGGAGGUUAGGAGGAAGAGAUGAAUUUAAGGUUUUUCCUAAACUACACUCCCUGCAGCUCACUGGUCUUCCAAAACUAAGUAGCUUUGCCUCACCAGAAGACGUCAUUCACACUGAAAUGCAACCUCAAUCUUUCUUUGAUGAAAAGGUUUUUUUUUUUUUAAUUAAUUUUAUUCUCAAUAGUUAAUUUCUUCUUUCGUUGAGUCUUCAAAUCUAAUUGUAUUGAAUUUUUAACUUCAGGUACGACUCCCAAGUCUGGAGGUAUUACAUAUUGUUUGGAUGGAUAAGUUGAGAAAAAUAUGGCACCACCAGCUUGCUUCGAAGUCUUUUAGCAAAUUGAAAAAAUUGGAGAUAUCUGAGUGUGAUAAUCUACUGAAUAUUUUUCCUCCAUUGGUAAGAUUGCUCUAUUCAUUUUCAAUUUUUAUUUCAAAUAACAUUCAACAAUUAUUUUAAUCAUUUUUGUGUUUACAAAUAAUUUUCAUUCACAAAUUAUUUAUUGCAAGUAUUGUACUUCAAACUUCUGGAGGGAAAAAAAGUAUUGUACUUCAAAUCACCAUUCUGAACUCUGCAUUUUCAAUCUAAUUUAUAGGUUCACCUGCAUUAAAGUCAACAAUAUAAUUGUUUUAAACACGAUUUAACAGCAUAAUAUAAUUCAAUUUACUUGUUUUUUUUCUUAAAUCCUAAUAAAUAAGAUUUUCAGAAAUUAAAAGAUACUUAGUUACUCAGCUUUUAAGUUCACAAAUUCAUGAUGGUCAUUUUGAAUCGAUCGUCGAUUAAAAAGUUUCCUCAAAUAUUCACUCUAUAACAGUCCCAUGUUGAUGGCGUUAGGAAGUGUUUUCCAAAAAUGUUUUCCAUUUUUAAAAGCAUGAAUAUCGGGAAAAAAUGGGAAAUACAGCGUUUUAGUUUAGUUAUUUUAAAAAUAGGCAUGUUUGAAAAUUAAAAUUUUUUAAAAACUAGCAUCAAGAUGAAAAAUGAAUUUAGAAUAUUUAAAAAUUACCUGAAAUUCUUUCUCUAUUCCUAAUACUAAAUAGUGUAAAUACAUUUUCAUUAUCUUUAUUUUUCUGGACUUCUAUUUAUUUAUUUUUGUUUUAAUUUUUUCCUUUUUUCUUUAACAAAAAAUAUCUAGUAGACAUUCAUGGUUUGUUAUUUUUCAUAAAACAAUUGUAUGAUUUUGACAUACUUUGAAUCUAGUUGAAUGCUACUCUUUAUUUUCAGGUUGGAAUUCCCAAUAGUCUAGUGAAUCUUAAUGUAUCAUACUGCAAAAAAUUAGAAGAAAUCAUAGGACAUGUUGGAGAAGAAGCGAAGGAGAAUCGUAUUGCUUUAAGUGAAUUAAAACUUUUGGAACUUGAUCAUUUACCAAGGCUUGCCAGCUUUUGUUUGGAGAAUUACACUCUUGAAUUCCCAUCAUUGGAACGAAUUUCAACGACACAGUGUCCGAGCAUGAAGACUUUUUCUCAGGGAACCUUAUCCACACCAAAGCUGCACGAAGUGCAGGUGAGUAAAAAGGAAGUAUUAAUUUACCAAGCCUUUUUAUAUGUGCAUAGAAGAUUCUACACACAUUGCACACACGCACAGUUUACUACUAACAACCUCUAUAACAACCUUUAGCUGACUCAGCUGCCAUGUCAGCAUACUCAUUAACUAACUAAUUCUAUUCUUAACAGGAAGAGGGUGGAUUGCGCCGUUGGGAAGGCAACCUUAAUUCCACUAUACAAAAGUGUUACGAAGAAAUGGUAUGUGUUAAAUCGAUUCGUCGAAAUUACUUAUGCAUCUCCCUUGCACUUGCACAUUUAAGUAUAUACACCUGCCUUGUAUAUAUAGUUUUAGAAGUUAAAACACAAAACAUGUAAGUUUAAUGUACAUAUAUCUAAUGCCUUUCAAAAAGAAAAAAAUUUAUAUAUAUCCAGUGCAAUUGUUUUGGUUUGUGCAGAUUGGAUUCCAUGACAUACAGUAUUUGCAACUCUCACAUUUUCCACGUUUGAAAGAAAUAUGGCAUGGCCAAGCACUGCCUGUCAGCUUCUUCAACAAUUUAGUAGUGCUCACGGUGGAUGACUGCACGAAUAUGUCGAGUGCUAUUCCUGCCAAUCUGCUACGGUGCUUGAACAAUUUGGAAUGGCUGGAAGUGAGGAAUUGUGAUUCACUAGAAGAGGUGCUUCAUUUGGAAGAGCUAAAUGCUAAGGAAGAACAUAUAGGCCCCCGGUUUCCUAGGCUUAACAGACUAAGGCUCAUUGAUCUUCCAAAACUCAAAAGAUUCUGCAACUUCACUGGGAAUAUAAUUGAACUGCCUGAGUUGAGAUAUCUAACUAUUGAGAAUUGCCCUGAUAUGGAAACAUUCAUAUCCAACUCUUUAGUGCACGUGACAACAGAUAACAAGAAACCUCAAAAAUUAACAUCAGAAGAGAACUUUUUGCUGGCUCAUCAAGUACAACCUCUCUUCGAUGAAAAGGUGAUUAUUAUUAUUAUUAUUAUUAUUAUUAUUAUUAUUAUUAUUAUUAUUGUUAUUAUUAUUAUUAUUAUUAUUAUUUUUCCCUUCACUUUCGUUCGCAUAGAUGUAAUUUCAUUAGAAUCAAGCCAAAUUUAAUGACUCAUCUUUUUGCAUGUCAUCUUAAUUUAUAUCUGAUUUAACAAUAUAACCGCAGUUAUUAACUAUCUUUAUAGUAUGAAUUAUAAAAAUGUCUGAAAUUAAUUGGAUGCCUGAUAACACGAGGUGAUGAACUAUAUUAAUUAUGUGUGUUACAUCUCUGUUUUCCUAGCUAAUUCAUAUUGGAUUUAGCCUCAGAUUUCAUUUAUGUGUUUCAAAGAGUAAGCGAUUUGAUACUUUUAUUUGGGAUCCUACUGCAAAGCAUACUAAUUUGGAAAUAAAAUAUAAAAUGCCGUGAUCAACCUUGUCCAUAAAAUAUGCAGGGGAAGACGGCAGAGAUUGGAUACAUAUUUUCAUUUACAACUUAAUUUUGUUGAUUUUCAGGUUGCAUUCCCUAAAUUGUGGGGGUUAAAGCUGUCUAGAUUACCCAAUGUGUUGCAUUUCUGGAAGGAAAAUGCCGAAUCCAACAAAGUGUUUGCAAACUUGGAAACUCUAGAAAUAUCGGAAUGCAGUAAGUUGCAAAAAUUAGUACCACCUUCAUGGCAUUUGGAAAAUCUUGCGACUCUGGAAGUAUCGAAAUGUCACGGGUUGAUAAAUUUGUUGACGCUCUCAGCAUCUAAAAAUCUAGUGACUCUUCAAAGAAUGAAGAUAGCUGAUUGCAAAAUGAUAGAACAAAUCAUACAAUUGCAGGUUGGAGAAGAAGCGAAAGGUUGCGUUGUCUUCGAGGAAUUGGAGUACUUGGGACUUGAUUGUUUGCCAAGCCUAACAAGCUUUUGUUUGGGUAAUUACGCUCUUGAAUUCCCGUCCUUGAAACAAGUAGUUGUGAGACAGUGUCCAAAAAUGAAGAUCUUCUCUCAAGGAGUCUUAGACACACCAAUGCUAAACAAAGUGAACGUCACCGAAGAAGAAAAAGAUGAUGAUGAAGAAGAUGAUGAUGAUGAUGAUGAUGAUGAUGAUGAUGAUGAUGAUGAUGAUGAUGACGACGACGACGACGACGAUGAAGAAGAAGUAGAUGAUGAUGAUGAUGAUGUUGGGAAGGCAACCUCAAUGACACCAUAAAAAAAUUGUUCAAUGAAAUGGUGAGUAUCAAUUAAGUUUUGGUGCUAUUUAGCAAAUAAUUUUAUAGAAACCAAUGUGAUAUAAUAUGAUUGGUUGACUGAAAAUAUAUAAUAAUAAAAAAUAAAUAAAUUAUGAGGACCAUGUAAUGUUUUUGUUUAACUAAUCAUAUUAUAUCGCAUCAGUUUAUACAAUAUUGUUUGUGCACAAGAGGUGGUGGUCAUAUAAUUACUCUAGCUUUAUUAUUCUUAUGGUGGCAAUGUAUGCUUGCUUACACGAGUAAUUACAAAAUCUGCAGAAUUCUAAAGAAGAGAUUGAGCCAAUCCUUCAGGUACAGUGAAGAAGCUAUCCCGAACCAGGCCAAUCUCUUAUACAUGAUUUAGCUUGCUCGUUCUUCUGUACUUGAAUAAUUUGGUUCUACACAUAUUUACAAUUUUUUGCUCAUGCUACAGACUUGCAAGACACUUUGGAUUUUGUUUGAUGUAUUCUCUGUUUAAGAAAGGACUUGAAUUGAUGUUUCAUGUUUCAUGUUUCAUGCAAUAUUCGAUUAGAUUCUGCCUAAAUUUCUGUAUUAUUCAUUCAAUUGGUCUUUUAAGCAUUUGAUUUCUAACCUCUCCUGAUAGAAGAUCAUUAGCCAAAGAAAACAGCAUAAAAUUUGUGGCAUUAUGAGAAUAAGAAUUUUUUUAAGUAUAGUAAAAUUAUCUCAACCAUUGUUAAAAAUAAUUAAUCCGUCAAACUGACCUUCUCACACCAACAUGCUUUAAAUUAAAAGAAUUUCGUGAAAGUCAAGACCAUGUUAUAGAUCUCGUGGAAAUAAGUAAACCCGUAAUUUUUUUCACAGCAUCAUAAGAAAAAAUCAUUUUUUAAAAGUAUUUUUGUUAGCUGUUGAGUUUUAAUAGUAGUAGCUAUUAAACAAUAACAAUUAGUGUAUAUUAAAAAGUUGGAAACCGGUUGACACCACUCGGGAAUCGAGCAGUUCACUUGUUUGCGAGUAGAAACCAACUUUACUACUAUUUACAAUCAUACCAAAAAUAGUAACUAAAGAAUCAGGAAAUUUCCUAUUCACUAUUCUUCAUUUUUUAAUGCAAAAUUCCCAUUCGAAAACACCAAUGACUUUCAUUCAAAGUAAAUGAGAAAUUACAAUGAAAAUAGAAUCAAAAUACAUGUAUGUAUACCUAAAACAAAUGAUUUUUUUUAAUUAAAAAAAAAAAGCACAGUUGAGGUGAAAUGAAACCAGAGUCAUGAUAUCUCUGGUUCCAGCUUUGGGACAACAGCAGACUUGAGUUCUAUAUGAGAAACACGUACAGCACCAAUCAGCCGCUCCGGUAAUUCAGCUGUAGUAUUUGCCUGCAUACAGAAGAGCAAGAUAAAGAAGACACACACAGAAGCAUUAUAUCAUUCUGAGAACAUUCAAGUAUGCAAAAAUGCAAGUGGCAGUGCAAUAUCUCAAAAUCAUGUCUUUUCCCUUGUGUCCAUUUAGCAGUGGGGGAAAAAAACAAUCAUACAUACCUGUACAAGGAAAGCCAUAUCAACCACCAAUGUCGUAAUUACACCAAUUACAAGGCCCAAAACUCCAUUAGCAACAGUAGAAGAAUCGAUGUCAACAUCAAUCUACAGAAAGAUGAACAAUGUUAAACCUUUUUAAAGGUAUUGGACGCUAUUUGAAAGGGGAACAUCUCAUGUACUAUAGAAAUUCCAAGAGCAUUUACUUCUAAGUACUUGGGACCGCGAAUAUAGUUACAAUCAACUGCCUUCCCCAAUAAACAAGGGGUGAUUCCAACACUCUGGCGCACUAUCCAUGAACCCUGCAUGAUUCAGUGCUUAAAAUCAAGAACAAGUGCAAAACAAAUUCAAGAGGGUAAAAAGGACAUAAAGUUUGAAGGUACAACCCAUCAAUACAUUCACACCUAAAUGCAUGCCUUCUUUGUACAAAUUGAAGUGUACCAUGCAGUAAAGGGUAAGUAUACGUUAAUAUAGUCCUACUACAUGAAGGCCAAGAUGGAUACCUUAGGAACAUAUGGAAUAAGUUUCAACCUACUAUUGCGAAAUUCAUCAUCGCCAUCAACAAACCGUUGCAAAAGUGAUCCCGUAACCAAUUGCCUUGUAACAAAAUAAAAUACCAUACUAUAAUGUGUUGAACCAGGAACCUGCAGAUGCUUAGGUUACAACUAUACAACCUCCCAAUACAAUAAGUUUGAAACUUAUACCUUCUGAAAUGAAACAAACUUUCUUGAAGAUUAAAGAUCAGUGAGAAAAGCCCUUUUUCAGAAGCAACCUACAUAUUUUAGAAUAGGGCUCAGUGCGUUAUAGAUUCAAUGAACCAUGAGAAGUUAUUUACAUUGUUGUAUCUCACAGGCAGUAUUUUCUCCUAAUGUAUCAAUGGAAAAUGCUAGUGAAUUGAAUGAAGCUAGAGCAGAGCAUGAUGUUGCUGUGUAGCUGACUUUAGCAGAUCAACUCACUAAGCUGACCUGGCAAAGUUAUUUAGCUAGUUGAGCUGAUGUGUCAAAUUAGUUAUGCAGCAAAUGGUUAUGUGAUGUAACAAACUCGUGUGUGUGUUGAGCAAAUUGUAGCUUAAUAUAAAUAUCAGUCUAUAUUCAUUCAGUUGUAAUGCUAAAGUAAUAAAGGUUCUACAAACUUCUUUACAGAGCUUUCUUUUAUUUUCUUCAUUUUCUAGCUUGCCAAACAAUACAAAACUAAGUUUCUUUCAUGGUAUUAGAGCCAUAAAUGGCGAAUACAGUUCAAAAUAACAACUCUUUUAGUUUUGUUACGCCUGUAAAGCUAGACCAAAACAACUUCAUUUUAUGGCGCGCACAAAUUUUAGCAUCGAUCUAAGGAAACGGUCUGGAAGGGUUUAUCAAUGGUGAUCAAGAAUGUCUUGAGCAGUUUCUUUCUUCUGGAAACAACAAUGGAGCUGAAAUUUUAACUGAAUCUGAAUCCAAAUCUAUUAAUCCAGAGUUCAUAGCUUGGAUGAAGACUGAUCAACUUCUGUUGAGUUGGAUGAUGUCGUCGAUACAGCAAAAUCUACUUGCUACUGUGAUUGACUCCACAACUUCAAAACAGCUCUGGGAGACUCUUACUAGUAUGUUUAUUUCUUAUCUUAAUCACAAGCUAGAAUUCAAACACUUAGAAUGCAGAUUCAAACUAUUAAGAAAGGUGCAAUGCAUAUGUCUGAUUACUUUGCAAAAGUAAAAUGUAUAGCUGAUACUUUAGCUCUAGCUGGAAAACCUGUUGAGUUAAGUGAUCUUGUGAUGCAUGUAUUAACUGGUCUUGAUUCAUCAGAUUAUGAAUCUUUAGUCACAGCUGUUUUAGCUCAAGGUGAGAAGAUAACAUUAGAUGAACUAUAUCCUUUGCUAUUGAAUCAUGAAAAUAGAGUUGAGCAAAAGAAAGGAAAAAUUGCUGGUGAUGUGAUGCACAAUAUGACAGCAAAUAUUGCUCAGAAGAACUCAUAUGCUGGAAAGAAUAAUGGCAAUUUUCAAAAAAAUUAUGGAAAUAAUUCUGGAGGUGGAAAUAAUUCUAGGUAUGGAGGUUUUAGUGGAUAUGGAUAGGGUCAGUUUAAUAAUGGUGGUAAUUCCUCUGAAAUUGUUUGUCAAAUCUGCUUCAUACCUGGUCAUGCAGCCAAUAGAUGCAAAAAUAGGUACAAUUCAUCUUUUGUUCCACAGAGAAACUAUGGCAGAGGUAAUAUGAAUGGUGGCAGAGGUUUUAAUCAAGGGCAAUAUGGUAGAGGAAGAGCUUUUAAUGGUAAUGGUGGCAGAGGUUUUGGAGGUUUUGGUUUAAAUGCUGGUUUUGGCUAUGCACCCAGGGGUUUUGGCUAUCAAGGAAAUAUAGUGUAUCCAGAUAGUAAUCCUUCUGCUUAUUACUCAUUCACCCCUGGACCAUCUACUUUUGUUUCUAGUCAAGGAAAUAAUAAUCCUGGACAGUCAAGUGCUUCAUCUUCCUCAGCUAUGCCUUCUUCACUUCCACCAGAACACAUUGAAGAUCCUUCAUGGUAUAUUGAUAGUGGGGCAACAAAUCACAUUACAAAUGAUCUAGGUAAACUUCUGGAUUCACAAGUUUAUACUAGUACUGAAAAAUUGUUUGUUGGAGAUGGAAAUGCAUUAGCUAUUACACAUGUAGGAUCAGUUGUGCUAAAUACUUCAACUUCUAAACCUUUAAGAACCAUGUUCUUCAUGUCCCUUUUAUUACUAAGAAUUUGCUUAGCAUUUCAAAAUUAUUGGCUAACAAUCCAGUUACUGUUGAAUUUCUUAGUGAUUUGUGUUUUAUAAAGGCUAGGAACACAGGGAAAAUUUUACUUGAAGGUGUUGCUAAAGGUGACUUGUAUAGAGUCUCUUCACAUGUUGCUGCUCAUUCAGUCUUUCUCAAUUCAGUUGGUCAAAAUAAAGUUCACUCUCUUUGCUUGUUCUCCUGUUUUCAAUUCUGAUCAGCUCACUGCUGUUAGUUCUUAUGAAUUGAAUAAAAAGUCAUGUCUGUCAAUUGUUACAAAGAGUUCUAUUGAUGUAAAUCUUCUUCAUAGAGAAAUUAGGACGCCCAGCAUCUUAUACUCUCAAAACUAUACUCAAAACUUGUAACAACUCUACUGCUUAUAAUAAAAUUGAAAGCUUGAAAUUUUGUUCAGCAUGUCAAUAUGGGAAAAAUCAUAUGCUGCAUUUUGAUUCAGUUGAAACAAAAACUUCAGCACCCUUAAAAGUGAUAUAUGCAGAUCUUUGGGGUCCUUCUCAUGUAUGUUCUACCCAAGGAUAUAAUUACUACUUAUCAAUCUUAGAUGAUUAUAGUAGAUUUACCUGGAUAUUUCCAUUGUCAGCCAAAUCUGAUGCUCUUGAAGUGUUUACCAAUUUCAAAAUUUUUAUUGAAAAGCAUCUUCAACUUCAAAUCAAAACUGUCCAAACUGACUGGGGAGGAGAGUUCAGAACAUUUUCCUCAUUACUCAAUGCUUCUGGUAUCCAUUUUAGACACCCUUGCCCACAUAUUCAUCAUCAAAAUGGAAGAAUUGAGAGGAAACAUAGACACAUAGUUGAUGUAGGUCUGACCUUAUUAGCUCAAGCACAUUUACCACUCAAAUUUUGGUGGAAUGCAUCCCACACAGCUGUCUAUUUGAUAAACAGACUUCCAACUCCAAUUCUAAACAACAUUUCUCCUUUCCAAAAGUUAUUUCAUCAUCAACCAGAUUAUUCAACACUUAAAACCUUCGGUUGUGUUUGUUAUCCAACACUCAGACCAUACAAUAGACAUAAGUUUGAUUUCAGAACUACAAGAUGUAUAUUCAUUGGCUACAAUUCACAACACAAGGGAUAUCAGUGUCUUCACUCUUCUAAGAGGGUUUACAUUUCAAAUCAUGUCACCUUUGAUGAAAAUUCUUUUCCUUGUGAGUCUGGAGCAGAUUUUCUUCACUCUCUUCAAGUUGUCAGUCAACAAAAAAUUAUAAGUCUUCUUUCAAUUCCUCUGUUCCUUCUGUUACUCAGUUACAAGCACCUUUAGCAGCAUCAUCAGAACACCAUCAAAAUGUUCAUCAUUCAGAUGCUCCUACUCCCUCACCAAAUUCUACUCCACUUUAUUUUUCUGAUAAUUCCAACUCAGCUUCUUCUUCUUCACCACCACAUAAUUCACCUCCACAUACAUUGCCACAACCUGCAUCAACUGGUCAUCCAAUGAUAACCAGGUCAAAAGCAGGUAUUUUCAAGCCAAAAAUUUAUUUGUCAGCUUUAUUAGCCUAGAAAUCAGAACCAACUUCUGUUUCCCAAGCACUUUCUAAUCCUAUGUGGUAUAAGGCUAUGCAAGAAGGGUAGCACUUAAAACUAAUCACACCUGGGAUUUAGUUUUACCUGCUACUCCAGUGAAGAUAGUUGGCAGCAAAUGGGUGUUUCGAAUAAAGUACAACUCAGAUGGUUCAAUUUCAAGAUAUAAAGUCAGGCUUGUUGCAAAGGGGUUUCAUCAAACACAUGGGAUUGACCAUACAGAAACUUUUAGUCCAGUGGUUAAAGCUUCAACUGUUAAGAGUUAUUCUUAGCUUAGCAGUAUUGAAUCAAUGGGUGAUUAGGCAAGUAGAUGUUAAUAAUGCCUUUCUAAAUGGCAUUUUAAUUGAAGAGGUGUACAAGGCUCAACCUGAAGGUUUUGUUGACUCAACUAAACCUAAUCAUAUCUGCAAGCUGAAUAAAGCUUUGUAUGGCUUAAAACAGGCACCUAGAGCCUGGUUUGAUAGAUUCAAGGAUGCAAUGAUCUCUAAACGGCAUUUCCAACAUUCAAGGUCUGAUAACUCUCUGUUUCAUGCCUGGAACAGUGGUCAUCUAACUCUUGUUUCGGUCUAAGUUGAUAUUAUCAUCACUAGUUCCAGUCCAACACUAAUUCAGCAAGUUAUUCAGAGUAUGAAUCAAGCCUUUGCUUUAAAAGACAUGGGGGAACUUAGCUAUUUUCUGGGGAUUGAAGUCAGCAAGUCUUCACAAGGGGUUUCCUUGACACAAGCAAAGUAUAUUACUGACAUUCUGGAUAAACAUGGCAUGACAGAUUGCAGUCCUGUGCCUACUCCAAUGUCUACUGGUUAUUAUCUCACAAAAGAAUCAGGAGAGCUAAUUGAUAAUGUUUCUCAAUAUAGGAGUGUUAUAGGAGUUCUUCAAUAUGUUACUCUUACCAGACCUGACAUUGCUUUCUCUGUAAACAAGCUAAGUCAAUUCCUUUCAAGUCCUAGAACACAACAUUGGGAAGCAUGCAAAAGGUUAUUGAGGUACUUAAAAGGCACUAUAUAUCUUGGGCUGCAAUUUAAUAACAAAGGAGCUUUGCAACUACAUUGUUUUUCAGAUUCUGACUGGGCUUGUGAUCGUGAUGAUAAGAAGUCAGUGGCUGGCUUUGCUGUUUACCUAGGCCCUAAUCUAGUCUCAUGGUCAUCAAAGAAACAAGCUGUUGUUUCUAGGUCCAGCACAGAGGCUGAGUAUAGAUCUCUUGCUCAUGCUGCUUCAGAGGUUCCCUGGAUAUAAUCUUUACUUGGUGAACUUAACAUCAAAUUGAGCUCUACUCCUAUGAUGUGGUGUGAUAAUCAAGAAGCAAUUGCUUUAGCUUACAAUCCAGUCUAUCAUGCUAAAACUAAGCAUGUCGAAUUGGAUAUACAUUUUAUCCGAGAUAAAGUUACUGCUAUAGAGAUUGAAAUAUGUUUUGUGCCCAGUCAAGAUCAAACAGCAGAUGUGUUGACUAAGGCUUACUUUCAAACAGUUUAGUUACUUAAGAAGGAAGCUGAAUGUUCAUCCUAAACAUUUUAGCUUGAGGGGGGAUGUUAGUGAAUUGAAUGACGUUGGAGCAGAGCAUGAUGUUGUUGUGUAGCUGACUGUAGCAGAUCAACUCACUAGGCUAACCUGGCAAAGUUAGUUAGCUGGUUGAGCUGAUGUGUCAAAUUAGUUAUGCAGCACUUGUGUGUGUGUUGAGCAAAUUGUAGCUUAAUAUAAAUAUCAGUCUGUAUUCAUUCAGUUGUAAUGCUAGAGUAAUAAAGGUUCUACAAACUUCUUUACAGCGCUUUCUUUUAUUUUCUUUCAUUUUCUAGCUUGCCAAACAAUACAAAACUAAGUUUCUUUCAGAAAAGGAAAAAUAAAAAGAAAAGAAUAGUUACUUGUGCAGUACAGCCUUGACGCCUAGCUACAUGGUCCAUUCUCUUUGUGUCUUUGAACCAAUCAACAGCAACAAGAUCCAUUAAAUGUUUUCCCGCAGGUAUCUGCAGUUACAAAUUGCACAAAGCACAAGAGCCAACCAAACUACAUCAUAACCUGUCGACCUAGCAUAUGCAGGAUAUAUAAAUACCAUAACAAACAACCAAAAUAUGGGGGAACCUUUGUUUUGUCAUAACAAAAAUGCUUGCUACGAACUCUAAAGUUAUUUCCACCAGAAAGUUUCCAGCAGUCACGAGCAUUAUCACAGUCAUCGUGUCGCAGGUUGCCUGAAAAAUAAGACAAAUCAAUUUGAUCAGCCUGCUCUUCCUCUAGGGUAGCAACUAAUUGAAAAUUAUAAACCAAAAAAAAAAAAAAAAUCAAUACCAUAAAAAUCCACUAAUGAGGACAUUAGCCAAAUAUACAAAAAUGAAUACUUAUCAUCCACCUGUCCUCUUGAAAUCAUUCUCAAUCUUUUUUUCAUUUGUCUGAAAUCCCAAGGAAAAAUAUGUAACUAAUACUUCCCAUUCAUGACUAUUGUCUGUCAUAUAAACAUGACAUUUAAUUGAAAUAGUAAAAUUAUUUAAUUAUUUUAAUUAACUGUUAAUCCUAUAAAUUAUUUUUGUUAAAUCUAGCAAGAAUAACUAACAUUUCUUUAAGAUAUAUUUUGGCGGUAAAUUAAAAAAAAAUUAAUUAUUUGGCGGGAAUUAUUGAAAUUGGAGCCAUUUUUUUGUGGGAAUUGAAAUAUAUUCUUUAAAUUAUUAUAUAAAAAGCAAAAUGUACAUACACACACAUAUAUAUAAUUUAUAUAUAAAAAUUCUCUAAUUUGUUCACAAGUAUCAUAGAUUAUAAUUCAGUUAUGAAAUAAAAUAACUACAAUAAUUAUAGUUAAGUGAAUACUUCAUUAAUUCUUAAUUUGCUUCCUAACAUUAAAUGAACUUGAGUCAGCCACCUGAAUCAACCAGUAACAACGCCUGAGUCAACCAUCUGAAAAAACCAGCAACCCUAGCUGAUUCAAGCACCUGCAAUUAACAUCAACACAACAGGAACAAUCGUAAAUCAGCACCAAGAACAGACCAAACCGCCAUCAAAUGCCACAAAACCAAACAGUCUGCUACUGCCAUCAAAUGCAAGCAAGCAUAUGCAACAAAACCAGAUGCAAGUGAAAUUCUGGAGAAUAUCGGAUAAACCAAACCAAAUGCCACACUUCUAGUAAUUAGACUAGAUGCAGUGUUCAAUUAAACUAAAUGUAGUCUCAUAUUACAUUCAAAUUUUCUAAAAAAACCAGUGUUCCAUCAGAGAAGCACCAAAACCAAACCAAUCUAAUCCAGCAUAAUUACCAGCUCAACCCAAAACAAUUACACAUUAUAUUGACAUAUCAAAAUUCGCUAUCAAAACAUAGCCAAAUAAAUGACAAUAAACUGAAAACAGACCCGAACCAACUGAUGUUGCAGCCCUAGUAGUCAUUGUCCGUUCCACUGCCAUAGGAGCGAGGGUAGGCUCCGUUGUUGAUGAGUGAGUAAGAUAAGGCUCCAAAUCAAUAGUUCCACCUCCUUUCUGCAAUUCAAAAAACAGAAAUUCAUAUAUGUAAAACUAUUAAAAAGUGUGAAACAACCUGUAAGUAUUCAACUUCUGUCAACUCAAUAGCACUUACUAAAGUUUUUAUACAGAAGAAAAAGGCAUUUUAAGUCCAAAAAAUUAGAAUUAUUGGUUGAACUCCAACUCCAUCAAUCCAUGCAACCAUCGAACCUUUAACGAAAAAAUGAAGCAUAAUUAACAAGACAUCUGAAUCAGAAAGAUUGUGCUUUGAUUUGGCACGAGGUGUUGGAAACAACUUAACAAAUCUAGACACAAUCUAUAACCAUCAAGUCCAAACAAAAGUCAGGAUCUAAAAUACUUUGAAAAAUCAGAAAAACCGCAAACUAUCAGUUUCAAUUUCUUUUUCACCCAUUGUAAGCUCAAACUGAAGGUAGCGGCGCUACCUUUAAACAUCAUUUGGGCUUAUACAUGUGACAUUUGCUCAUGAACAACUAAAGUUGAAUAAGAUUUUUAUAUGAAACGGAAUAUAAAAAGUCAAAGUAGAAUAUGACAGGAGCUACAAUAUAUUAUUCAGCAUUAGCAUUAUGUAUAAAAUAAAUUUAGAGGCAUCAUAUUCAUUCACAAUCUUGCAGAGGUAAUACCAGAUUAUGGCACGCAACUCUUGAAUAGCAGAUAAAGGAGGAGAUGCAGUAGGAAGGUAGUAACUUGCUUGCAUGAGAACUAAAAAGUAAUCUCCCAAGAUCAAUUAUAGAUCUCAUAAAACAAAAACAGUGAGGCAAACACAAUUAUUGUGAACAAUUAUUCAUAGAACCACAUACCAGCAACAAGAUCAAAGUCAUCUGUGUAUAAAUCGAUUCCCCACAGCUGACUGCCUCUGACCUAAACAUAAUGAAAUUACAUAAAUAAGAAGUAGAGUCAUAAAAUAUGCUGCUGUAACAGCUAUCAAUAAAUUUCCAGACAAAUGGAAUUUGAUAUGUAAGGCUAUAACUAGCAACACUUCAAAAUAAUUUGAAGUAGCAUGAUCUUACUUUAAGGAUCAAUACUACAAUCUUUCAGAAAAAUUAAAGUCUAACCAAAAUUAAAACCUUAAACAUACUAAAAUCUGGUAAAUAGACCUAUAGGAAUUCCAAUGACCUCCAAAAUAUUUGAAAAAAAAAUUAAUUUACAGCAAAAAAUGUUAAAGAUUUGUAAAAUGGAGGCCCACACUACUAUUCAAAUUACAAAAGAGGAAAGGGAGCUGGCCAUUAAAUGAUAAAGGCAUGCAUAAAGAAAUACGAGCACCACAUUAAGUGAUAAAGGCAUGCAUCGAGAAAUACAAAAAAUAUGCCCAUAAAGACGUCCACUCAAGCCUUAUAAGCGGCUUUAUGCAAAGGAAAGCCAAUUAGUUAACAGUAAAUGAAUUUCAAGGUGCAAUAAUUAAACUCCCUGAUCAGCACAUUUAAGGUUCAUGCAUUUCUACAAAACAUGUAAAUCAUAAGAACUUUUUUGGUCCAAAUGCUAACCAGUAAUUAAGUAGAUUAUCAAAGUUGUCACAGAACAAGCACCACAUUGAUUGCUAUGCAAAAGAUGAAAGUAAAAGUUAAUACUUUAUUUUAUUUUACUUUUCGAGAGUUUUGAUCAUCAUGUGCAAAAUAGUAGUAUAACUUGCUCAGUGUUAUCUCAAAAAGCUUGCUUAAAAUACCUAUUAGCACCAGUCCAAGUUGUCAAAUAAAUCCUUAUCUAUCCAUUCAUCUCUGACCUUGCCAAAAAGAUUUAAACGAGCAUCUAUAUUCUCACUCCAAUCUUUCACAAUCAUAGGCUUUAACUUAGACCAGUUCUUCAAUAUCCCUUCCACUGUGAGCCCCUCGAAAACCUUGUAAAUUGAAUCACAUUUAUCAUCAGUUCCAAAUCCAUCUGUCAAAAGGCUAAGCAAAUGAAUAUACAAUCAACACCAUUCUUCCAAACGAAUAUACAGUCAACACCAUUCUUCUAAACACAAACAAAGUUUGAACGUAUGACAGAUUUUUAGCCAUUUAAUAUUCCAUCAAAUAUAAUUAGAUCACACCUACCAAGGAUUUUUGAAAAGAAUGCAUUCUCAUCUUAAGCAGCAACCUCACCAGUAACACAUUUUCAUACCCUGUUUCCACCUCUGGUCGCACCACCAAAAAAAAUUCAGUACUAAUUAGCUUCAACAGAGUCUAUUUUUUAUUUCUUUUUUUUCCGAAAUAAACCUCCAUUCUUAUACAUAAAAUUAAAAUAUCAAUUAAAUAAACAAGGUCUAUGCUUACUAGUAAAACACGUCCAUUUUCAGGUAGAGGCAGAUAAUAAAAGAAAAUUAAAAUUGAGAUAAAAUAAGAAGAGCUUACUAUGUGCAUUUGAUCAACAAUCCAAUCCUCAACGAUGGAAUCGAUGCCAUCAAAUAAACAUGACUUAAUCUUGAAACCAUAAACUGCACUAAGCAUAGCACCAAAGCCAGAGCGUGACUAUAAAGAAGAAAAAUAAAAAGAAGGAAAAGAAGAAUUAAAUCAACAUGAAAUUGAACUUUUGUUUUAUCUUCCACAAGCAAGAAAUUCAACUGGAACAAUACAAAAUAUGAAAUUUUUAGCAAUCUUACUAGCAUUAUGCACAAAUCUCAAUUCACGACAAAUAGGGGAAUGAAUCACUAACAUCACUCAAUUCAUAUAUUCAAAUAAUGUAUCCCCACUCCUAACAAGCAACGUGCUACCACAGUCGAUUAGUUGUUAGGGUUAAGGCUUACCAUAGAGAACUGGAUGGCGCUAACUAAAUGACAAGUUGAAACGGCAUCUGCAAUCGUAUUGAAUGACAUUGAACCGCGAGGUAGGGUUUAAAUGAAUACCGGGCAGAGAUAAAUUGGUGUGGUGAAUUAGGGUUUUGUGGCUACGUUUUAUUUCGAUUGAAAAAAGGAAUUUGAGCCAGGCUUUAAUAUGUAAAUUUUCGCUUAGUUGAAACAGAGGAAAGCUUUUGGGUUAUUAAAGUGAAAGAUAUGGAAUAAUACAAAAAAUUAUUGAAGUGAAAGAGCAGGAAUACAAAAAAUCAGCAGAUGAGAUCGUUGAAGAUGCGGAGGUUUGUAUAUAAAUAUUAAAUUGAUCGUUGAAAGAUGUAUAAACCUCCAUAAAAUUGAGUUACGACUUGAAGGAUUGUAUAUAAACAUUAAAUUGGUCUAAUUUAACUUGUAUGUAAACAUUAAAUUCUAUAUAAAUACACAGAACAGAACCAUAUCAGUGUUGGAAAAAAAAAAUCCAGAGUUACAUAAAUUCAAUAAAAAAUUAUUGAAUUUUUUAUUACUAACUUUGAACACUCUAAUUUCAAUAAAAAAAUUAUAUUACUAAAAUAGUCUUAAUUGAAUUUACUAUUAAAGACAUUAGAAUAACUCAAUACUAAUAUUCUCAAAUAUAUUUCUCUCCAUAGUCUAAUCUAAUUCAUUCUAAGAAUCCUAUAGAAAAUCUAUUAUUUACUUUUUCCUUAUUAAACAGAAAAACAUGUCAUUUGUUGCUAACUAACAUUUUAGAACUAACAACAGCAGAUUAAAUAAAAUUAUCAGAAAAAGAAAUCAAACAGGAUUUUGAUCGUCGUCAUCUUCACUCUUGCCUUUUUCUUUUUCUUCACACAUGUGGCUUGCGCACACAUCCCCUCUCUCAUCCUUAGGGCCGCCCUUCAACAAUAUCCAAUCAUCGAUUAUAAUUAUUUAGAUUGACCAAAUCAAGCUUUGAUAAGAUAUUGGUUGAGAUUAGAAGUAGGCAGCCAGCAACGACAAUACUAAUUAAUAUCUCAUGAGAAUUUUAAAGAAGAAUCUAACGUUGCCCAAUUCGUUUGAUUUCAAUGAAGUCUUUCUCCUACCUAUACUUUCGCAUAUUCUCUUUUAUUUCCAAAGUUAAGGUUAUGGAUGUUGUAGAGUUAAAAGCUGAACAUUGCUAGGAAAGCAAUAAAAGGAAAUAAAUAAAAAUUAAAAAUAUAAAAAGAGUUAAGUCUUUUUUUUUUGUCUAUUAGUGUUUUUGUAUUUAAUAACGAAAGAAAAAAAUAAAGUAAAUAUUAUCUGUUAGAUUAUUAAAAUAACACUUGUCCAAAUCUCAAUAUCAUGAUAUUAGGGAAAUUUUUAAUUAAUAGAUCUUCAUUUUUAAUUAGUAGAUAUUGUUUAAUGUAUAAUAUCAUGAUAUUAGGGAAAUUUUUAAUGAAUAGAUCUUCAUUUUAGGCUAAAGCACCCAUACAGUAGUCCCCCCUACGUACUGCGAGCUUACUACAAAAGAUAAGACUAUUUAGUUGUGGGACAAAUAAAGAGGGAAAGUUAAAUAAUAUAAUUCAUUUGUUAUUAUGAACUAACCAACUCAAAACAAAAAGGAUUGAUAAUACAGUUCAAAAUGCAUGCAACAAUGGUGUAUUUAAAAUGGAACUAAUGCACAAAUAAAAUUUAUGCAUCUCUUUGAGGAAGGCUUUUAGGGCAACAAAUGAAAAUAGUGAGCUCGCAUUUUCUGUUAUCAUUCUCACCACUUGAAAAAGAGAGAAAAAAAACUGAGAGGAAAAACAGGGCUCCCUUGUUUUCAUUCCCUAUUUUUUCAGUUUGGGAAUUGCAAAUAACUUCUUUACUUCUCUCUUAUUUUAUUUUUAAAAUUUGUUUUAACUCAUUAAUUCUUUUUCUUGUUCUUGUUAAAGCGUUUAGUAAAUCAUAUGAUCAUCUGAUCAAAUCCCUAACGUUAACAUACCCAUAAUCUAUUAAUAAAAUUUAUUUGAUUUUAUAAUCAUUAAAUUGAAGAUUUGUUCAUGCAAUUUUGUAUGGUGACCAGCUUUCAUUUUUUUCUGUUAAACAUAAGAACAAUUUGUGCAUAACGUCCAGGUUGGAACUCGUAAUAACGAGGCAUCAUUUGUGGACAGAACAAAUGAAAUAACAAAAAAGCAUAAAUCAAGUCAUUAUUGAUCCUACUUUGAUGUUUAGUUUCUUUCUAAGAUGUCAUUCCUCAUUCAAGCUUUUGCUUUCUCUUUUAUCAGGCAUCUCACAAAGCUUUCUCUCUACUAAUAUGCUCUGCAUAUCAUUAGAACAUAUGAAAGCUUUUGCUUUCAAGCGCAAAAGGUAUUUAUUCGUUGAAAACUUUUAACUUGAUUAUUUCAUUAGAACAUAUGAAAUUAGUGCUUUCUUCAAGUUAAUUGAGUUGAACAACAUUUUUUAAAGUAUUUUACCCGAUCCAUUUCUUGUAUCUCACUGCAUGCCUUGUUAAAGAUUCGGCUUUUGGUCUUGAUUCUGAACUUCAAAAAUUAAAUCUUAAAACUCGGGUAUAAAAGGGGUGCAUGAUUAAGUCUUCUUCUUUUGCAAUUCAUUGUUAUUACACACAUCAACAUUUUACUAGGACAUUCGUCUGCAGUUAACAGUGAUCUUUUACUCAUUAAAAUUUUUCCUAAUAAUUUCUUUGAAUACCCGUUCUUACUUAAUAUUCAAUGCGAAUGGAGAAGCUCACCAAUUCUCUGAUCCCAGACAAUUAAAGAGGUACACAUGUUCUAAAUCAUCUAAUAAUAUCUUUUACUAGCAGUUCUUAAUUUCCAAGAAAAAAAUUUCUCUUGUUUGUUUUCAUCUUGUCAUUUAUUUUGCUUGAGUUUUAAGUUAUUGUUCAUUUGUAAUGUCUGUGUUCUUAUUAUUAGCUUUGGAUAAUUUGCAUCCAUUUUUCCCAAAAAAAAAAAAACAAUUAGAGAAAUUGUGGGCUUUUAUUCAGACCCCUGAAACCUUUCUGUUAAUAUAAAAACUCUAAUCCUUGAGCAAAAGGUGGUUAAAAAAAUAAAAGAAAAGAAUUCUCUGUUUAAAUAUCAGUUGGCUUAAGAUCAAUGUUGCUUGCCUCCUGUCUUUUCUUUGUUUUGUUUGUUUGUUUGUCAUUUUAUUAGAUUUGCUUUGUAUCUAAUUUUACUUGGAGAUUAAAGAUGAGUGAGAACUGCCCUUUCUUCUGAAGCAACCUACAAAUUUUAGAAUAGGGCCCAGAGUAUUAAAGAUUCAAUUAACCGCAAAAAGUUAUUUACUUGCAUCACUUGAAAAUUGAGCUGUUUACAUUAGAAAUUUUCAUGCAUUCACGAGCAAUAUCAUCAUGUCACAAGAUAGCCUGAAAAGCAAGUUUCCUCUGUUUUCGUUCCUUUGUUUUCAUUCCCCUGUUUAUUGAAUUUUUUUUUUUUGGCCGGAAAUUAAGAAGAAAAAAUUGGUAAAACAAGUUGCCUCUGUUUUCAUUCCCCUGUUUUUUGUGGAAAGAAUAAACCAAACUUUAAUUUUUUAUUUUAUUUUAUAUUUUGGUUUUUGAAUAUGCAUAAAUCAAAUCAUAUAUUAUUGAUCUUACUUCGGUUAUUUGCUGUUUAGUUUCUCUCUUAAAUGCUUUUUGUGUGUUUCCGGUAUUUGCUUUUAUAAAAGUUUUAGUCCCGAAUCAUUCGUUCAAGGAUUUGCUUUAUGUUUUAUUAGGCAUAUACAUUGCUCUGUCAAUCAAUAUUCAUUUCAAUUUCACAGUACACAAGCAAUGUAUAUACCAAAAUUACUCAAAACACAACAGGUAUUAUUCUAUGAAAACUUAAUUAUUUCUUUAGAAUAUAUGAAAACGUAGAGUUGUGAACUGGUGCUUUCUUCUUCAACAUGCGUCAACAGGGCAACAAUAACCAAAUACAUGAUAUAGAAAAGCGGUGCAUGACUAAUUCUUUUUCUUUUGCAGGUCUUUGUUAUUGCUCUCAUCAACUCUUUUCUCACACAUUCCUCAGCAGUUACCAGUGAUCUUUUUCCUCUUUCAACUUGUUCUUAAAUAUUGAAGGCCAAAUAGAGAAGCUCACCAACUCUCUAAUCCCAGAUAAUUAAAGAGGUGCACGAUUUCUAAAUCAUUGAAUUUUUUUUUUUUUUUGAUAGUAGAAUCCCUGAUCCUUGAUCUUGACAUCUGCUCUUUCUUAAGUUCCAUCUACUUUCCAAGAAAAAAUUUCCUCUGGUUUGUUUUAAUAUUGUAACUUAUUUUGCAUGAGUUUUAAGUUAGUAUUCAUUGUUAAAGCCUGUGCUCUUAUUAUUUCUUUUGGUUAAUUUGCAUGCUCUCCCCCCCCCCCCCCCAAAAAAAAAAGGUUAGAAAAAGAUUAUAGGCUUUUACUCAGACCCUUGAAACCUUUACUGAUAAUACCAAAAACUCUAAUCCUUCAACAAAAGAAAGCAAGAAAAAAAGGUCCUAAGUUUAUUGUCUUUUAUUGGCUUUGUACCAAAAACUCUGAUCUGUUGGCUUUGUAUCAGUAUUGCUUGUUUGUUGUCUUUUAUUUCAUUAUUUGUAUCUAAGUUUAUUUGAAGAAUACAGAUCAGCAGGAAAAGCCCUUUUUCUAAAGCUAACUAUACAGAUUUUAGAAUAGGGCUCAACCACAUGAAAAUAUUUACGUUGUAAUAUCUCAUAUUAAUAAUCUAAAAACAACCAAUCCAACAAGUUCAAAUUCAGUCAAAUCUUAAAAAAAAUUGCUUUUAAGGAGUACAUGAUAGCUAUUAAACUUUGGUUAAAGAUCUUUUGGGCAAACGUGAAAUUAAGUCAAUCAUAAAUCAACCAAUCCAACGAGUUCAAAUUCAUCACUUGCAAAAUUAAGUUUUCUUCCGAAAUUGAGUUGUUUCCAGUAGAAAUUUUCCCGCAGUCACGAGCACCAUCAUCAAAACAAGAUUAUUAAUAUAAGAACAAGAGUUGAGGAAAAAAAAAUAGUUAAAACAAGAUUCCUCUGUUUUCAUUCCCCUGUUUUUUUUCGUUUGGUGAUUGAAAAAUUUUAUCUCUAAACUUUUAUAAUUUUCCAUUAAGGUUUAUAUUUAAAUAAAGAGUUAAAAAAAUCUAAUUCUAAAUUUAUGGAUUGAAUGAUUAUUAUUAUAUUCUCUUAGAAUUGGUUACAAUAUCAAUUAAAUAACGAAUAGAGUUAUUGAUCACUUUGUUAAAAAUGAACAUGUGUUCUGUUUAUAUGAACACGGGCUGCACGCUUUAAGUCUUGUUCUUUUACAAUUCAAUUGUAUUGCUUACUCCCAUAAACUCUUUACUCACAUUCUUCUGCAGUUAACAGUGAUCUUUUGCUCAUUAAAAGUUUUCUUAUAAAUCGAAGGCCAAGAGUGAAGCUCAUAAACUCUGUGAUCCUAGAUAAUUGAAGAGGUGCGUUUGUUCUAAAUACUUUAAUAAUUUCUUUCAAUAGAAUAAUUUCUAAUCUUUGAUCUUGAUAGCAGUUGUUUCUUAAUGUCCAACAAAAACUAUCUCUUGUUUGUCUUAAUCUUGUCAUUUAAUUUUCUUGAGUUUUAAGUUACUGUUUAUUGUUAACUUCUGUGUUCUUUUGCAGUAUUAUUAAUGGUUAAUUUGCAUCCAUCUUCCAAAAAAGUUUUCUUUCCUCAAAAAAUUGUUGGUUUUCCAUUCAGGCCCCUGAAACCUUUUUCUAAAAAGUUGUUUGUUGUCGUUUCUUUCUUUUUCUUCCCCGGUAGUUCAUUUAAUUUAUUUGAAUCCAUUUUUUUUUCAACAGCCAAAAACUAGAUAUAUAUUGUUAAGCAACCGGCAAUGGCUAUAGAAGCGUGUCUGGCUUUUUUAACCAACUGCGUAUCAGAAGGUGCAAAGUCACUGUUCAACCCGAUUACACGGCAGAUAUCUUAUGUGUUCAAGUACCAGAGCUAGGCUACAAGGGGAUGAGCUUUAUGAGGGUGUCACAGACUGGCUACAUAGCAUUGAUGAAUUCAUCAGUGAAGGAGUUGCAAAAUCCAUCAUUGAUGAUGAAGAAAGAGCUAAGAAGUUCUGCUUCAAAGGAUUGUGCCCAAAUUUGAUGUCCCGUUACAAGCUUAGUAAACAAGCAGCAAAGGCCGCAGAAGCUGCCGCUGGUCUCGUGGGAAAAGGCAACUUCUCUAAUGUUUCCUACCGUCCUACUCCAAAGAGCACAGGACUUAAUGACGGGAAAGAUAACGAGGCCUUUGAUUCAAGAAUGAAAGUAUUUCAGGAUGUUAUGGAGGCGUUGAAGGAUGAUAAGCUCAACAUAAUUGGGGUCUACGGCAUGGGCGGCGUGGGUAAAACCACGCUAGUCAAGCAAGUUGCUAAGAAAGUGAAGGAAGAUAAGUUGAUCGAUAAGGUCAUUAUGGCUGAGGUAACACAGAACCCAGAUCCCCAGAAAAUUCAAGACAAGCUCGCUUCUGAUUUAGGCAUGAAAUUUGACUUGAAUGAUAGUAUACACCAUAGAGCUUCUCGACUGCGUGAAAGGUUGAAGCAAGAGAAGCGGGUCCUCAUUAUAUUGGACAAUAUUUGGACAAAACUUGAGUUAGAUGCGGUUGGAAUUCCUUCUGGAGAUGUUGAUGAGAAAGAUAGAGAGGAUGUCAAGAUUGGGUGUCUUGAUAUUCAAAGUUUGAAUAUCAAAAUCAAACUUCUAGAUAUUCAAACUUUGAAUAUCAAAUUCAAAAUUCUAGAUAUUCAAAGUUUGAAUAUCAAACUUUGAAUUUUGAAAUUUUGAACAAUAAUAAAUAAUUAAAAAAAUACGUGAAUAGUAGCCAAGAUUUUGGCUAUAAAUAGAGGGACUCAUUCCCUCAUUUGUUCAUCCAAUUUUGAGAAGAGUUUUCUUGUAUUUAGAGAGAGUUUAGAGAGCUUGAAAUUAUAAGCUUUUGUUUUAGUGUUUUGAGAGUUUGGGUGUAUUGGGAUUUUGGGAAGUGAGCUAAAAUACUACAAUACUUGUAACUCCUUUUCACUAGUAAAAUAUUUCCUUCUGUCUUCGCCCGUGGACGUAGGCUAAAAGUCGAACCACGUAAUUUCUAGUGUCCUCUUUUGUGCUUGUUCUUUAUUUUCUUCCAAUUUUACUUUAGCUGCGUGUCUGCUUCACCCACCAAUUUCCUAACAGUGGUAUCAGAGCUAUUGGUUGUAUUUUUGGAGUCGGGUACUGUUCACGUAAGGGGUACUAUUCACGUAUACGGUACUAUUCAUAAGAAACGGUGGGAGCGAUCCAAGAAUUUUGUGGUGUAAAGCAGGGAAUAGUGGUGUGAGUAAAACAACUGUGUGGUUUUGUACAUGUCUAGGAAAGUUUUGUCACAAAGGCGAUAAGAGCUUAAGGAGUCUGGGUUUUAAGUAGGACCAUUGUGACCCCUCCAGUCUUUCUUGGGAACUUUCCUGGUGUACAUUCUCACACAUACUCACAACUAUUCAAGGAGGUACACUAGCUUGUGUGCGGUAUUUAUCAACAAAAUGGCGGCAAAGUAUGAAAUUGAGAAGUUUAACGGAAAUAAUUUUUCGUUGUGGAAAAUGAAGAUGAAAGCUGUAUUGAGGAAAAAUAAUUGCUUGGCAGCAAUUGGAGAAAGGCCCACGGAGAUAACUGAUGACAAGUGGAACGAGGUAGACGGCAACACCAUUUCUGAUCUACACUUGGCACUUGCAGACAGAGUAUUAUCCAGUGUGGCAGAGAAAAACACAGCGAAGGAAAUAUGAGAUACUCUCACAAAAUUGUACGAGGCCAAGUCACUACACAACAAAAUCUUCUUGAAGAGAAAACUCUAUACUCUUCGAAUGGCGGAAUCUACAAUGGUGACCGACCACAUCAACACCUUGAAGACUCUAUUUUCACAAUUCACAACGUUGAGUCAUAAUAUAGAGGAAAAUGAACGUGCAGAGCUUCUACUUCAAAGUCUACCAGAUUCAUAUGAUCAACUCAUCAUCAACCUGACAAACAACAAUCCAGCGGACAGUCUAGUUUUCGACGAUGUUGCAGCCUCCGUAUUAAAUGAGGAGAGCAGGCAGAAAAAUAAGGAAAACAGACAAGCAAGUUCGCAGCAAGUGGAGGCACUAUCAGUGACGAGAGGGAGAUCAACGGAACUUGGCCCCAGUGGGAGUCAAAAUCAGGGUAGAUCAAAAUCCAGAAGUAAAAUGUUAAAUGCUACAAAUGUGGCAAUUAAGGGCACGUCAAGAAAGAAUGUUGGAGUAACUAGAAGAGAAAAGAGGGCAAAGAACCUGAGUCAUCAAAUGCUCAAGGUUGUGUAGCAAGUACCUCGGAUGAUGGCGAAAUUCUUUACAGCGAGGCAACAACUGUUUCAGAAGGCAGAAAACGACUUUCUGAUGUCUGGCUUAUAGACUCAGGAGCUACCUGGCACAUGACCUCUGGGAGAGAAUGGUUCCACACAUAUGAACCUAUCUCAGGAGGAUCUGUAUAUAUGGGAGAUGAUCAUGCCUUGGAGAUCGCCGGUAUUGGUGCUAUCAAAAUAAAAAUGUUUGAUGGUACAAUUCGCACAAUUGGAGAGGUACGACAUGUCAACGGCCUGAAGAAAAAUCUAUUGUCUUUGGGACAAAUGGAUAGUCAUGGGUACAAAACUCAUGUGGAGAAUGGAAUAAUGAAGAUCGUUAAAGGCGCGCUUGUAUUGAUGAAGGCAGAAAAGAUCGGUGCUAAUUUAUUCAUGCUUAAAGGAGAAACACUACAGGAGGCUAAUGCGUGUGUCGUGUCAAAUGGAGAAGAAUCAACGAUGAUGUGGCAUCUCAAACUUGGCCACAUGUCAGAACAAGGCUUGAAGAUUCUCUCUGAGUGAAAAUUGCUUCCGGGGCUCAAAUCGGUAAGUUUACCAUUUUGCGAGCAUUGUGUUACAAGUAAGCAGCAUAGAUUAAAAUUCAGUAGAUCUAUUGCUAGAAGUAAAUGCAUUUUAGACUUGAUCCAUUCUGAUGUUUGGGAAUCACCGAAUAUAUCCAUGGGAGGUGCAAAGUACAUGGUGACUUUCAUUGAUGAUUAUUCCAGAAGAUGUUGGGUGUAUCCAAUUAAGAAAAAGUCAGAUGUAUUUCCUGUGUUUAAAGAAUACAAAGCGCGGGUGGAACUUGAAUCUGGUAAAAAGAUCAAGUGCUUGAGGACAGAUAAUGGUGGAGAGUAUACAGACGGUGAGUUUCUUGCUUUCUGUAAGCAAGAGGGUAUUCAGAGGCAAUUCACGGUGGCAUACACUCCUCAACAAAACGGAGUGGCAGAGCGGAUGAACAGAACUCUUACAGAAAGAAUAAGAGCUAUGUUGAGGACUGCUGGUCUACCCAAUUCAUUCUGGGCAGAAGCAGCCAAAACUGCCUGUUAUAUAGUAAAUCGGUCGCCAUCUACAACUAUUGGGUUGAAGACGGCGAUGGAGAUGUGGACUGGAAAGCCAGCUGAUUAUUCCUACCUACAUGCAUUUGGAUGUCCUGUGUACGUGAUGUACAAUGCCCAAGAAAGAACAAAGCUGGAUGCAAAAUCUAGAAGAUGUAUCUUCUUGAGGUAUGCUGAUGGAGUAAAGGGGUAUCGUUUGUGGGACACCACUGCCCACAAGAUCGUCAUCAGCAGAGAUGUUAUUUUUGUAGAAGAUCAACUGCAAAGAAAAGAUGGAGAUGAUGACACUGUAAAAGAAAAGUCAGAGACUGUGCCGGUAUAUGUCGAAAAUAAUCCAGAAGAUUCAGAUUCUUUUGAAGCAGCACUAGAGCACGAAGAACAAGAACCAGUCGAGUCUGAGGCUCCAGAAGUUCGUCGGUCAACUCGUGAGAGACGACCGCCGGUGUGGCACUCGGAGUAUGUCACAGAGAUCAACGUUGCAUACUAUCUUCUAACAGAGGAUGGAGAGCCUUCAACUUUCCAUGAAUCUUUAAACAGCUCAGAUGUUGCUUUGUGGAUGACAGCAAUGCAGGAAGAAAUUGAAGCUCUAUACAAGAACAAGACAUGGGAACUUGUACCACUACCACACGGAAGAAAAGCCAUUGGAAACAAAUGGGUCUACAAGAUCAAACGUGAUGGCAAUGAUCAAGUGGAGCGGUAUCGUGCGAGAUUGGUGGUGAAAGGAUAUGCUCAGAAAGAAGGUAUUGACUUCAACGAGAUAUUUUCUCCGGUGGUUCGACUCACAACAGUCAGAGUAGUCUUGGCGAUGUGUGCUACAUUUGACUUACAUCUUGAGCAGUUGGAUGUGAAAACUGCAUUUCUUCAUAGAGAACUUGAAGAAGAAAUAUAUAUGCUCCAACCAGAAGGUUUUGUAGAAAUAGGAAAUGAGAACUUGGUUUGCAGGUUGAACAAAUCUCUAUACGGUCUCAAACAGGCGCCGAGGUGUUGGUAUAAGAGAUUUGAUUCCUUCAUCAUGAGCCUUGGAUACAACAGACUCAGUUCAGACCAUUGUACAUAUUAUAAAAGGUUUGAAGAUAAUGAUUUCAUCAUUUUGUUGUUGUAUGUGGAUGACAUGUUGAUAGCAGGUCCCAACAAAGAUCGAAUCCAAGAAUUGAAGGCACAGUUGGCUAGGGAGUUUGAAAUGAAGGACUUAGGACCAGCAAACAAGAUUCUAGGGAUGCAAAUUCACCGAGACAGAAAUAACAAGAAGAUUUGGCUUUCACAGAAGAACUACUUGAACAAAAUCUUGCGGCGCUUCAACAUGCAAGAUUGUAAGUCAAUUUCUACCCCACUUCCUGUUAAUUUCAAAUUAUCCUCAAGUAUGUGUCCUAGCAAUGAAGCAGAGAGGAAGGAGAUGUCUCGAGUACCGUAUGCAUCAGCAGUGGGAAGUUUAAUGUUCGCUAUGAUAUGUACAAGACCGGACAUUGCACAAGCAGUGGGAGCAGUCAGUCGAUACAUGGCGAAUCCUGGUGGAGAGCAUUGGAUAGCUGUGAAGAGGAUUCUGAGAUACAUCAGAGGAACCUCAGAUGUUGCAUUAUGUUAUGGAGGAUCAGAGUUUAUUGUCAGGGGCUAUGUGGAUUCAGAUUUUGCAGGUGAUCUUGAUAAAAGAAAAUCCACUACUGGUUAUGUGUUUACACUUGCGGGAGCAGCUGUAAGUUGGGUUUCGAAGCUGCAGACUGUUGUGGCUUUAUCUACAACAGAAGCAGAAUACAUGGCAGCUACACAAGUUUGCAAGGAAGCUAUUUGGAUACAAAGGUUAUUGGAGGAGUUCGGGCACAAACAAUAGAAAAUUCCUGUGUUUUGUGACAGUCAGAGUGCCUUGCACAUUGCAAGGAAUCCAGCCUUUCAUUCCAGGACAAAGCACAUAGGAGUUCAGUAUCACUUCGUUCGAGAAGUAAUGGAAGACGGAAGUGUGGAUUUACAGAAAAUCCAUACGAAGGAGAACCUAGCAGAUGUUUUGACCAAGCCGAUAAAUGCUGACAAGUUUAUCUGGAGUAGAUCCUCUUGUGGCCUAGCAGAAACGUAAGUAACCUGACAAUGGCGAAGCAGAAAGGAUGGUGUGGAGAUUGAUUGGUUCUCAAUCAAAUCUCCAAGUGGGAGAAUGUCAAGAUUGGGUGUCUUGAUAUUCAAAGUUUGAUUUUGAAAGUUUGAAUAUCAAAAUCAAACUUCUAGAUAUUCAAAGUUUGAAUAUCAAACUUUGAAUUUUGAAAUUUUGAACAAUAAUAAAUAAUUAAAAAAAUACGUGAAUAGUAGCCAAGAUUUUGGCUAUAAAUAGAGGGACUCAUUCCCUCAUUUGCUCAUCCAAUUUUGAGAAGAGUUUUCUUGUAUUUAGAGAGAGUUUAGAGAGCUUGAAAUUAUAAGCUUUUGUUUUAGUGUUUUGAGAGUUUGGGUGUAUUGGGAUUUUGGGAAGUGAGCUAACAUACUACAAUACUUGUAACUCCUUUUCACUAGUAAAAUAUUUCCUUCUGUCUUCGCCCGUGGACGUAGGCUAAAAGUCGAACCACGUAAUUUCUGGUGUCCUCUUUUGUGCUUGUUCUUUAUUUUCUUCUAAUUUUACUUUAGCUGCGUGUCUGCUUCACCCACCAAUUUCCUAACAGAGGAUGAUCAGAGAAGAUGCACAAUAAUAUUGACGUCUAGAAGUCGAGAUUUAUUGUGCAUUGAUAUGAAUUGUCAGAAAAUUUUCUGGAUCGAUGCUUUAUCGAAAGAAGAAGCAUUGCAGUUAUUUGAGAAGAUAGUGGGUGAUUCAACUAAAAUAUCUUAUUUUCAAAGUAUAGCAAAUGAGAUCGUUGAAAAAUGCGGAGGUUUGCCUGUUGCACUGAGUACAGUUGCAAAUGCUCUGAAAAAUAAGGAGCGUUACUUUUGGCAAGAUGCAUUGAAUCAGCUAACAAGAUUGGAUGCAACAGAAAUUCAUGGCAUGCAAGCAAAUGUGUACACCUCCAUAAAAUUGAGUUAUGACUUCUUGGAAAGUGCGAAGGCAAAAUCUCUGUUCCGUCUUUGUGGUCUGUACAGUGAAGGUGAUGCCAUAGAAGUUUCUGACUUAUUGAGAUAUGGUGUGGGUUGGGAUUUGUUUGAAAAUGUUUACACAUUAGAAGAAGCAAGGAGUAGAGUGCAUCGGUUGAUCGACAAUCUCAAAUCUUCAUGCUUAUUGUUGGACGGUGAUGCUGAAGAUGAAGUUAAAAUGCAUGACGUCAUUCAUGUUGUUGCUGUAUCAAUUGCUGCAGGGGAGCGCAUGUUUAAUAUUCCAAAUGUUGCUAACGUGGAGAAAAAGAUGGAAAAGACAAUACGGAAAGACCCAAUUGCCAUUUCAUUACCCCAGAGAGAUAUUCAAGAGCUCCUGAAAGGUUGCAAUGUCCCAAUCUCCAGUUAUUUUUGUUGUCUGCAGAGGGUAAUGCCCCUAUGCAAAUUUCAGACCUCUUUUUUGAAGGGACGGAAGAACUCAAAGUUUUAAGUCUUAUUGGAAUUCAUUUCUCUUCAUUAUCUUCAUCACUUGGUCACCUCAUUAACCUUCAAACAUUGUGUUUAGACUGCUGCCAACUAGAAGAUGUAGCGGCAAUUGGACAGCUAAAGAAAUUAGAGAUUCUUAGCUUUCGAUAUUCCGACAUUAAGCAGUUGCCACUUGAAAUUGGUCAAUUGGCGCGGUUACAGUUGCUAGAUUUGAGCAAUUGUAGAAGCCUUGUAGUGAUAGCACCAAAUGUCAUAUCAAAAUUUUCUCGAUUGGAAGAACUAUAUAUGGGUGACAGCUUUUCGCAGUGGGAUAAGGUUGAAGGAGGAAGUAACGCCAGUCUUGCUGAAUUGAAGGGGUUGUCAAAGCUAACUACCUUGGAGAUACAAGUUCGGGAUGCCCAAAUUCUGCCGCAGGAUUGGGUCUCUGUGGAAUUGCAAAGAUAUAAGAUAGGUAUAGGAGAAGCGUGGCGCAUGUGACGCGUUAAUUCUGAAACAUCAAGAUUGGUGGAGCUCCAAGGGCUAGAAAAUGUUAGCACUCUUUUGGAGAAUUAUGGGACUAAAAUGUUGCUGAAGAAAACUGAAGAUAUCCAUCUAAACGAACUGAAGGGUGCUCAGAAUGUUGUUCAUGAAUUAGAUGAUGGGGAAGGUUUUCCACGAUUGAAGCAUCUUUCUGUAGAAAGAUGUUCUGAGAUUUUGCAUGUUGUCGGUUCAGUUGGACGGGUUCAUUGUACAAUCUUUCCCUUGUUGGAGUCAUUGUCUCUUUGGUUUUUGAGCAAGUUGGAGACAAUAUGUGACAGCCAACUCACAGAAUAUCAAAUUUUCAGCAACUUAAGGAUUAUAGAAGUACAAUUCUGUGACAAAUUGAAGCAUCUUUUCUCAUUCUCCAUAGCCAAAAACCUACUGCGGCUUCAAAAGGUAGAAGUGGAUGUUUGCGAUGAUCUGGAAAUGAUGGUUGGUAAGAGUUGAAAUUAAGUGUUGGUGGGUUUAUGGACUUCGCCUCAAUUAUUUUGAAAAAAAAAAAAAAACAACGACAAAGAUUAAUUAUGUAUAUUGUUUUUGUUUGUUUAUAGGACCCGACAGGGAGAAACCAACAACUUCUUUGGGAUUCAACGAAAUCAUUGCUAAUGAUGAUCCUGCUCCAAAGGUGAUAAUUUUCUGAUCAAUAAUUAAUUGAUUAAUUUAUUAUCACGAUUAAUCUUCGAUCAUCAAAAGAAUAUUAUACUAGACGGUUGUACUUGAAGGAACAAAAAUGUACGGGUUUUCUUUGCAGGUUAUUCUUCCGAGCUUAGAGGAAUUGAAUCUCAGGGACUUAAGAAACAUGAAAAAAUUAUGGGCCGAUCAUAAUCAAGGAAUGUACUGUUGUCAAAAUUUAACAAAGCUGUACGUGAGCAGUUGUCAUCGUAUGAAGUAUCUGUUUUCGUAUUCUAUGGUUAAUAGUCUUGCGAAACUCCAACAUCUUGAGAUAAGCACUUGUUGGUCAAUGGAAAGGGUAGUCGACACCACGGGGUGGUCAGAAAGAGAUGAAGGAAAGUUGAUUGAAUUAAAGGUUUUUCCUAAACUACACUUCCUGCGGCUCGAGAAUCUUCCAGAACUAACAAGCUUUGCCAAUACGGGACAUAUUCAUUCAGAUUUAGUUGUUGAAUUCCCUUCUUUGCUAAGCCUCGAGAUUGAUACUUGCAGUAAUAUGUUAAGAUUCAUCUCUACGAGCUCACCAGAAGACACCAUUCAUUCUGAAAUGCAACCUCCUCCUCUCUUUGACGAAAAGGUUUCUUUUUUUUUUAAUAAAAAAAUUAAUUUUAGUCACAAUAUUUAAUUUGUCUUUUCCUUGAGUCUUCAAAUUUAGUUAAUAUCCACCUCAAAUUUAGUUAUCAAUUGAUUAUGCCAUUAAUUGAUUAAUUAGUUAUUUAAUCUUUAACUGCCAGGUACGACUUCCUGGGUUGGAGGUAUUACAUAUUAGGUCGAUGGAUAAUUUGAGAAAAAUAUGGCACCACCAGCUUGCUUCGGAGUCUUUCAGAAUAUUUUUCCUCCAUUGGUAAGGUUGCUGUAUUCAUUUCGAAUCUUUUUUUUUUUCAAAUUACAUCCAACAAUAUUUUAACCAUUUUUUGUUUACAAAUGAUAUUCAGCCACUGAUUAUUUAUUUCAAGUAUCGUACUUCGAACCACCACUCUGAAAUCUACGUUUUAAGUCCAGUUUUUAGGUUCGUCAGCAUUAGAAUCAACAAUAUAAAUUUUUUAAACACGAUUCAACAGCAUAAUAUAAUUCAAUUAAAUAGAUUUUGCUCAUAUCUUAAUAAGUACGAUUUUCAAAAAUUAAAGGAUAGUCACUCAUCUUAUAGGUUCACAAAUUCAUCUAUAUAUUUCUCUUUUCCUUAAUUCUUCACAUUUCGAUUGGAAAAAGAAAAAAAGAAAAUAAAAGUCUUCAAAUUUAAUUAAUCUCUUGUUUAGUUACGAAUUGAUUAUGCCAUUAAUUAACCACAAAUUCAUGAUUAUUUACAACUGACCCGUGAUUGUAAAGAAAUUUCCUUGAGUCUGGAAGUACUUAAUAAAGAUCCACUUUACAGCAGCAGUCCCUUGUUGACAAUAUUGGGAAGUCUUUUCCAAUUUUUUUUUCCAUUUUUAAAUGUACAUAAAAAAAGGGACCAAGGAAAAGGGAAAAGGCGGCAUUUUGGUUGAAUUUUUUUUCCCUAAAAGGAAUAGUUGAAAUUUGUAAAUUUAUGCUUAAAAACUGAUAUCAAGAUGCAAAAUAAGUCUAAUAUAUUUAGAAAUUGCCUUAAAUUCUUUCUACGUUCCUAAUAGUAAAUAGUGUAAAUGCAUUUUUAUUAUCUUUGUUUAUCUGGCUUUUAUUUAUUCAUUUAUCUUGUUGCUUUUUUUGUUUAACAAAAAAUUAUCUAGUUGAAUGAUAUUCUUACAUUUUUACUUUUUUAAUAUACACACAUAUGCACACACUUUUGUUUAUUUUCAGGUUGGAAUUCCUAGUAGUCUGGUGAAUCUUAAUGUAUCGAAUUGCCAAAAAUUAGAAGAAAUAGUAGGACAUGUUGGAGAAGAAGUGAAGGAGAAUCGUAUUGCUUUCCGCGAAUUAAAAGUUUUGAUACUUGAUUAUUUACCAAGGCUUACCAGCUUUUGUUUGGAGAAUUAUACUCUUGAAUUCCCAUCAUUGGAACGAGUUUCUGUGACACAUUGUCCGAACAUGAAGACUUUUUCUCAGGGAAUCUUAUCCACACCAAAGCUAUACAAAGUGCAAGUUAGUAAAAAGGAAGAGGGUGAAUUGUACCAUCGGGAAGGCAAUAACCUUAAUUCCUUUAUACAAAAGAGCUACGAAGAAAUGGUAUGUGCUAAUCGAUUCGUCCAAAUUACUUGCACAUUUAAAAAUAUGUUACAAAAAGAUGGUCUGUGUUAAUCGAUUCACCCAAAUUGUUCAUGCAUCUCCCCUACGCUUGCACAUUUAAACAUAUACACCUACCUUGUAUAUGUAGUUUUAGAAGUUAAAACACAAAACAUGUAAGUUUAAUAUGUGUGUGUGUAUAUAUAUACAUAUAUAUAUAUCUAAUGCCUUUCAAAAAAAGAAAUUUAUAUAUCCAGUGCAAUUGUUUUGGUUUAUGCAGAUUGGAUUCCGUGACAUAGAGCAUUUGCAACUCUCACAUUUUCCACGCUUGAGAGAAAUAUGCCAUGGCCAAGCACUGCCUGUCAGCUUCUUCAACAAUUUAUUUAAGCUGGUGGUGGAUGACUGCACGAAUAUGUCGAGUGCUAUUCCUGCCAAUCUGAUACGGUGCUUGAACAAUUUAAGGUACCUAGAAGUGAGGAAUUGUGAUUCACUAGAAGAGGUGCUUCAUUUGGAAGAGCUAAGUCCUAAGGAAGAACAUAUCGGCCCCCUGUUUCCUAGGCUUUUUAGCCUAAGGCUCAUUGAUCUUCCAAAACUCAAAAGAUUCUGCAACUUCACUGGGAAUAUAAUUGAACUGCCUUGGUUGUCGACGCUGACUAUUGAGAAUUGCCGAGAUAUAGAAACAUUCAUAUCCAACGCUGUAGUGCACGUGACAACAGAUAACAAGGAACCUCAAAAAUUAAAAUCAGAAGAGAACCUCUUGGUAGCUAAUCAAAUACAACAUCUCUUCGAUGAAAAGGUAAUCAUUAUUAUUAUUUUUUCCCUUCACUUUCAUUCGGACAGAUGUAAUUUCAUUAGAAUCAAAUCAAAUUUAAUGACUCAUCUUUUUGCACGUCGUCUUAAUUUAUAUCUGAUUUAACAAUAUAACCGUAGUUAUUAACUAACUUUAUAGUAUGAAUUAUAAAAAUGUCUCAAAUUAAUUAGAUGCCUAGUGACAGGAGGUGAUGAACUAUAUCGAUUAUGCGUGUUACAUCUCUGUUUUCCUAACUAAUUCAUAUUGGAUUUAGGAUCAGAUUUCAUUUGUGUUUUAAAGGGUAAUCGAUUUGAUACUUAUAUUUGGGAUCCUACUGCAAAGCAUACUAAUUUGGAAAUAAAAUAUAAAAUGCCGUGAUUAAUCUUGUCCAUAAAAUAUGCAGGGGAAGACUGCAGAGAUUGGAUACAUAUUUUCAUUUACAACUUAAUUUUGUUGAUUUUUAGGUUGCAUUCCCUCAAUUGAGAUAGUUAAACCUGUCUAGAUUACACAAAGUGCAGCAUCUCUGGAAGGAAAAUGACGAAUCCAACAAAGCGUUUGCAAACUUGGAAAGUCUAGAAAUAUCAUAAUGUAGUAAGUUGCAAAAAUUAGUACCACCUUCGUGGCAUUUGGAAAAUCUGUGGGAACUAGAAGUAUCGAAGUGUCACGGGUUGAUAAAUGUGUUGACGCUCUCAGCAUCUAAAAAUCUAGUGAAUCUUCGAGGAAUGAAGAUAGCUAAUUGCAAAAUGAUAGAACAAAUCAUACAAUUGCAGGUUGGAGAAGAAGCGAAAGAUUGCAAUGUUUUCAAGGAAUUGGAGUACUUGGGACUUGAUUAUUUGCCAAGCCUAACAAGCUUUAGUUUGGGUAAUUACGCUCUUGAAUUCCCGUCCUUGAAACAAGUAGUUGUGAGACAGUGUCCAAAAAUGAAGAUCUUCUCUCAAGGAGUCUUAGACACACCAAUGCUAAACAAAGUGAACGUCACCGAAGAAGAAAAAGAUGAUGAUGAAGAAGAUGAUGAUGAUGAAGGAUGUUGGGAAGGCAACCUCAAUGACACCAUAAAAAAAUUGUUCAAUGAAAUGGUGAGUAUCAAUUAAGUUUUGGUGCUAUUUAACAAAUUAUUUUAUAGAAACUAAUGUGAUAUAAUAUGAUGGGUUGACUGAAAAUAUAUAAUAAUAAUAAAUAAAUAAAUAAAUAAAUUAUAAGGGCCAUGUUAUGUUUUUGUUUAACCAAUCAUAUUAUGUCGCAUUAGUUUAUACAAUAUUGUUUGUGUACAGGAGGUGGUGGUCGUAUCAUUACUCUUGCUCUAUUAUUAUUAUGGUUGUAAUGUAUGCUUGCUUACACGAGUAAUUGCAAAAUGUGCAGAAUUCUAAAGAAAAGAUUGAGCCAACCCUUCAGGUACAGUGAAGAAGCUAUCUCGAACUAGGCCAAUCUCUUGUACAUGAUUCAACUUGCUCGUUCUCCUGUACUUGAAUAAUUUGGUUCUAAACGCAUUUACAAAUUUUUAGUCAUGCUACAGACUUGCAAGACACUUUGGAUUUGUUUGAUGCAUUCUCUGUUUAAGGAAGGACUUGAAUUGAUGUUUCAUGUUUCAUGCAAUUUUCAAUUAGAUACUGUUUAAACUUCUGCAUUAUUCAUUCAAUUGGUGUUUUAAGCA